GAAAAAAGAACCGAAAACUGCAGCCUCCAAGUCCUCCAGCUCUUCCAAUUUUGGGCCAUCUUCACCUUGUGAAGACUGCCCCUCACCUUGCCCUGCAAAAGCUCUCCAUCAAAUAUGGUCCCCUGAUUUUCCUUCAUUUUGGGAUUCGUCCUUUCCUUGUUGUUUCCUCGCCAUCUCUUGCAGAGGAAUGCUUAACCAAGACCAAUGAUAUUAUUUUCGCGAACCGGCCUGAGUCAGUUUCCAGUAAAUACCUUGGCUACAACUCAACUAUUCUCAUACUCUCCCCUUAUGGAGAUCACUGGCGAAAUCUCCGCAGAGUCACAACCAUCCAUAUGUUUUCUUCGAUUCAACUCCAGCGUUUAUCCUCCAUCUGGACCGAAGAAAUCCAUUUCAUCAUCAAAAAAUUGUUUUCAAAUAACUCUGAUGAGAAAACCUGGAAAGUUAAGGACAUGAGUUCUUUGUUCCGGGAGUUAUUAUUCAACGUGAUAACGAAAAUAGUUGCUGGAAAAAGAUGGCCAUCUGAUCAGCCAGGUGAUAUAUUUUCACCGCGACCAAUCACUAAUCUUUGUGAUUAUAUUCCAAUCUUGAGGUGGGUUGGCUAUGGAGGGUUGGAGAAAGGUGUAAUCAGUUUGCACCAGAAGAGGGAUGAGUUUCUUCAGGGCCUGAUUGAUCAAACACGUAAAGAGGAAGCAGAAGACGGUUCUUGUCCGACAGAGAGAAGGAAAACAAUUAUUCAAGAAUUGCUAUCUCUACAAGAAGCAGAACCCGAAUACUACACUGAUGAAAUUGUUAAAGGAAUUAUACAAGUAAGUCUCUUCUACUUGAAUCUCUUUUACAAAUUGGUCUAUUAUUCAUUGGAACAAGGUCAUCUCACCCAUGUAGCAGCAGCACAAUUUGUCUAGCCCUAUUUAGUGGUAGGGCUAAGACUAGUGGUGCGGGAUGCAGUGCUUGUGUGGUGCAGAUGCAACUGCAUGCUUUUCACGGUUCAAAUUGGAUCACAUUAGCUCGAUUCCAUCUGAAUUUUGAAAUGAUCAAAUCAAAUCGUAGCUUGAUGUUGUGGUCUAAUCUGAGCUGUAGAAAACUCCUCCGACUGCAUAUAGGCAUCGGAUCUAGCGGUGGCGAGUGUGGAAAUGGUGUGUGCCACUAACUUCAGUGUUGGUGUCUAGAUAAGGAAUUUAGUCAAAGUCUUUUCAAAAAUUUGGUUUUCAAGAAUUUAGUACACGUGAUUUCAACAUUAAAUAUGCCAAUAUCUAUUGGUGACGGGUGAGCUGGGGCAUCCGUUAACGUGUAAAUUGGGUUAGUCUUGUUGUGGUGCUCUAACGUAGCGGGGCAGCCCGUCCCCCGUCCCCCGUCCCCCCUAAUAAAAAAUUAUUAUAUAAUUUUAUUAUGGUUAAAAUUUAGCAAAUAAUCAAGUACUAAAAUAUCAACACAUCAUCAAAUUAUUAUUCAUUGUAAUUUUACAAUUGAAACGUAUAAAAUCAAUCAAAUAAAAAUUAUUUGAAUACAAUCCAACAUUAUGAAAUAAAUAUAACUAAAGUAGUCAAGUUUUCACUUUUGGCACAAAUACAAUCACUAAUUCAUUAUUGUGCUUGUGCUUUUUUUAAGAAAAAAAUGUUAUUGUAUUAAGUGUAAUUAGGGAUUUAGUAUAAAUGUAUUAGUAAAUUUAGUAUAACCAAUUAAUAAUUUGUAUUAGUACACAUAUAUAAUUAUUAGUAUAAUUAAUAAUAUCAAUUAUAUUAUAUAUACUAAUAGACAUUAUAUAAUACAUAUAACUAAUAAUAUCAUUAUCAUAAGUUUGGAACUAAUUAAAUUAUAUAUUAUAUAUAUAAUUAUAUACAUAUAUAUUUUAUAUAUUUAUUUUUUUAAAGCGGGUGGCGGGGCGGGGGUACACUCCCCCGCCCCCCCGCCCAGUUUCUAAGCGGGGGGAAAAAAAUUCCCCCGUCCCCGCCCCAACCCCCUCCCCAUUAGCCCCCCGCGAGGCGGGUGCCCGCGGUCACCCGCCCCCAUUGUCAUCCCUAGUUUGGUACAAUUGUUAUACUUUUCACAUUAUUUGGUGUAUAAUUAUAUUAUAUUAUUUUUUUUAGAAAUAAAAGUGAUGUACAUAAAUAAAGUAUUUGACACAUAUUCAAUAUAAUAUUAUGAAGUAUUUGUACACUAAAAAAUUUAAACCUAUACAAUGGUUGGACGAAAUUGUAUAAAAUACAAUUGUACCAAAUUCCUAUUCCAAAGUAACAUAUCAAUUUAUGGCUGUAUCUAUCAUUUUACACCAUAAAAUAAUCAAAGAAUCUUUAAUGGUAUGGGGCAAUAUUUAAGGUUUUAACAAUAUUUUCCGCAACCGUAGAUUUAGGAAUCUAGUUCACAAAAUUUAUAGACACAUGAGAAUAACUUAACAAACAAAAAAGAUUAUUUUAACAAGUUACUGUCCUUUUUUUCCUCAAAAGUUUGGGAUUCAAUAUAAUGGAUGUAAUAGCCUUAAGAUGCCCUUAUAGUUUGGCUUGGCAACAUGGGAUGGAAGCAAUUGCCAAUAUAACUAUCUCAACAGUGUUGAACUUUCGUAAUAAAGUAAAAUUUAUCACAAAAUAGUGUGCACAGCUGUAUUACAAGAAUGUUAAAAAUCAGCCUCAUCCUAACGAAAAAUACAUGUAAUUGUAUCCGAAUAUUAAUUGUACAUUUUUUAAUUGUUGUUUUGUUGGCCAAAUUAAGGCCCUUAAAAUUUGGGGAAGGUUGCUGCUUGCUCCCAGUCCCUACCCCUGAUGGAGGACAAAUAGGUAAAUUCACAUUGCUGAGGUGAUAAACUGACAAUUGAUACACGUGAUGAUAUUCGGCAACGGACGAUAGAAGCAAAUCAGAUUAGAUGAUGAGACAUUAACCAUGACACUUGUGGCUGGGUUUAAGUCAACGGUGGAGGCUGUGAGAUAGUUUUAGAAUUGGUCGUUACGAAGGCACAUCAAUGUUGCUUUUGAACCUUUGUCCUGGCUCUUUUUGAAAAAUAUACAGAAAAAUGUGCACAAAUCCAAAAAUUAAUCACAUCAAUGUUCUUUACAACAGAAAAAUCAAACCACGUCAACUAGGAAAUUUUUGGACUUUUUUUUUAAAAAAAUCUAUCAAUUACUAAAGACAUUUUAAAAUGUGUUCAUUUGAGUACAGGUAUUUAAGGUUAAAUGCAUAAAACUCCCACGAACAAGUACACUAAUUGCACUUUACAUUCUAAAGUAUUUUAAUAGGCACUUUACACCUUUAGUUAACUAAAAAAUUACAUGAAAAUUAAUUUCAUCCAAAUAAUUGAUGAAAUGAUUAAUUAUCCUCCAUUAAAACUUAAGUAAUAAAAAUACUAUUUUGGUGGGGAAGAUUACUAAUUUAAAUAGACUAAUUUUCACUUUAUGUCAAAAUGUCUAAUUGUUAACACAUAAAAAAUCGAUUUGAAUGACGAUUAAGGCUAUUGGAGUCAAAAUGGGGGCAAAAUAUAGAAAUAUUGAGUGAUUAAUGUUGCAAUUUUUAAAAUUCCAUAAUUUUCUUCAAUGCAUCAUAAUGCAACAAAAUUUCAUUUGAAAUAUUCACAAGCAUAAAAUAGGAGUAGAACCCAAAAAUUUGCCUAUGAAUUUAGCACAAUAAUUGCAAUAAAAUUUCAAUAACGAACCAAAAUUAGAAGCCAUAUAUUAUGAAACAAAAUAUUGGGCUAAAAUUUUUUAAUAAAACACCUAAGUUAUUUACUUUUCCUUGACAACAAUCUUUUCUUACCUAGGCUAACUUGAAAUACGUCGUGAAGUAAGGUUGAUGAGAUUCUUGAAUUGAAUUUAUUCCUUUUCUUGUUUUUUUCCUACUUCUUUUGUUUAAUUGUCAUUCAAAGUGAUCAUAUUUUUAUUGUUAUAUGUUUCCAAUUAGAAUUUUAUUAUGAAGUGAAAAUUAAUCCAUUUAAAGUCACAAAUUUUUCUACCAUAACGGUAUUUUUGUCACUUAAAAGCUUUUAAUGGAGGAAAAAUUGGUCACUUCAUCAAUUAUUUAGAUGGAAUUAAUUUUCUCAUUAUUUUAUAGUUGACUAAGGGUGCAAAAUGCCUAUUAAAAUAGUUUAGGGUACAAAAUGCAACUCGUGUAAUAGUUCGUCAGGGUUUUCUGCAUUUCACACCCUAUUUAAUUUUGGCUUUUCAGUUUAUACUCUGAACUAUGAAUUGUGAUACUUAAGUAUUAUAUACUAUCAAUUUUAGGGCACAUCGUCCAAAUAAGAUAAAAUCAAUUAAUUCUUUCAGCAACUUUAGAAUGAAAUACUUUAAUACCCCUAAACGAAUUUCAGAAUUUGGACAAACAACAAAUUAAGGAUAUUUGAAGCCUUCUAAACUACCUAUAGAAGAAGUUAUUUGGAUUUGAGUUGAUUUGAUCAAUGGGCCAACAAAAGAGUAGUAUAAGAUACCGAAGUUCUAAAAUUAGCAAUUUAGAGAGCAACAAGCAAAUUGGUGAUAAUUUAGGAGUGCAUAUUGGCAAUAACCCAAAAAAAGUAGUUCCUUCAUGCCUUUACAUAUAAUUGAGGUCUAAAGAUAUCAAAUGCCAUAAUAUAUAGUUCCCUCAUGCCAGAAUAGGGGUUCAUUUUUUCGAAUAUCACAUGUAAUUCUCAUAUUUCGCUUGAACCUUCUUAUGUGACUAGUGGACAUUCAUCUGCGAGCAAUGUCAAAAGUGUAAAUUAUUGAUUCAGGAUCUAUAGCAAGAGAAAUGACAUUAUUUGUCAACAACUUGAUUCUAAAAACUAAUUCAUAUUCUUUUCUUAUUCAUUCAAAAAGUUGCAUUGAAUUUGACUGUACAUUACUUCUUGUGUAGAUAAUGUUGUCAGGCGGAACCCAUACUACAUCUCAGACAAUGGAGUGGGCAUUGUCCAGCCUAUUAAAUCACCCUAAUGUACUGCAAAAGGCAAGAGAUGAACUAGAAAAAAUGCAGCCUGGCCAUCUGCUAAAUGAUUCGGAUAUCUCCAAAUUGCCUUAUUUACGCUGCAUAAUCAACGAAACACUAAGGUUAUUUCCUGCGGCACCAACUCUUGUGCCUCAUUUUUCAUCUGAGGAUUGCACCAUAGGAGGCUACAAGGUUCCUAAAGGUACAACUUUGUUAGUGAAUGUUUGGGCCAUUCACAGGGACCCCAAUCUUUGGGAAGAGCCCAACAAGUAUAAGCCAGAAAGAUUUGAAGGAAUGGAUGAGAGAGGGUGGAAUGAAGGGUUCAACUUUCUUCCAUUUGGAAAAGGCCGGAGAAUUUGCCCAGGAGCUGCCAUGGCCAUAAGGUUGGUCGGGUUGACAUUGGGCACCCUGAUUCAAUGCUUUGAUUGGGAAAGAGUUGGGCCUGAAAUGGUGGAUUUGGAAGAAAAUCAAGGAUCAACUUUGGGUAAGGCCAAUCCUUUGGAGGCAUCUUACAAGCCGCGCCCAUCUAUGAUCAAAACAAUUUCUCAGCUUUAAGUUAGAUGUGUUGUUCUAUUAAGAUAAAUUGGGAUUUCUUUUUUUUUUUCUGAACUUAAAUAUCAAGAAAUAAUUGUCUGUUCUUUGGUUUUGAGCACCUCUUACAAUUUCAGAUUUGUAGUUGUAACUUUCUUUCAAUACAAGUUAAUGCUCAAAUUAUACAAACUCAAGUAUUUUACAUGGAAAUGCGGAACAUUAAAUGAUUCUAAUUCUACACUGUGGAGAAGGAGAUGGAAAGUACAACCCCACAAGCCUAAUUAGGCGUCUUAUUUAUUCACCAAUCUAAUUGAACACCAGGGAGCCUGAAAACGGUGUGAAGAACCAAAACGAAAUAAUCAUUAUACCAGUACAGUAGUAAUUGCACUGCUUUUAAAUUGAAUAUCAUAGUUUGCCCAAAUUGCAGAAUUCAAAUAAUAAGAGUUGAACGUAACAAUGACCGGAGAAAACUGGGAUCCAUGGUGACCCUAAUGUUUGGGAAUGAUGGAAGGGGGAUGCAAUGAAGGGUUCAAUUUUUUUCCAUUUGUUAAAGGGAAGAGAGCUUGUCUAGGAGCUGCUUUGGCUAUGAAGUUAGUUGCAUUGUCAUUCAUGUUCGCCGUCACGAGUUGCUGUUGCUGGUGUUCCACGUCUGUCACAGUAUAUUGGUUGAAUAUUGGGUAAUAUGUAUAUUAUAGCACAUGAAAAUUUUCAAAAAAUCUGAAAAAAUUAUUAAAAUUAGAUAAAGCCAAAAAAGGCACAAUUUGAAAAAAAUAUUCGAGUUGAUUCCCAAUGGAUUCGAAUAUAUUGGUCGAUACCAUACAUCACGGAUUUGAAUUGGUCGAGUCAAAUCGAGUCGCCACAGAUAUAUUGUUAUCCACAAUUCAGCGAUCAGUAUCGUGCCUGUUUCCUCCGUUCUGAUUACGACUUGGCUGAUUAAAAUAUUCCUAUACACUAAGGGCUUGUUCUAAAACUGCUUAAAAUAUGGGAAUCCCUUCCCACAUCGACAGUUUCUUGGCUUUUUUUUAUCAGUGGUCACAUAUUGAAUAUUCCUAGUAUUUAAUGUCGCAUUCAAACAUUUCAAUUUGACAAAAACAUGCUAUGACAGGGCAACAAGACAAAGAAAUAAAAGAUGCAUUUUCGUAUGCAAAUUGAAUUGAGCUCAUUGUGACAAGUGACAGCCUUCGUUGAUGCCACUACAAUGUCGGGGCAGGUCAUAACAUGAAUAUGUAAAAUUUUUUCAGAAAAUAUCUUUGGUAAAAUGUACAAAAAUUUGAUUAGUGUGUAAAUCUUUGUUGACUAUUCCAUUUCUGAUUGUUUAAGUUUUGUACUCUUGCACGUUUGGCAAGAUUUUAUUUUACAUUAGUAGACCAAGAAGUUUGCUGUAUUAUAGUCGAUCUUCUUUUGUUUUUUAAGGGUAAAGUAUGUCGAAGGUUAUCAAACUUUUCAAUAGUUUCAUUUUACUCUCGUAACUAUUUUUCGUACUAAAUAGUCCACUAAAUUUUUUAAAAGUCUCAUUUUAUUCAUUGAACUAUUUUUUUUAAUAAGAAAUGGCUCAUUAAUUUUUGUUAAAAAUUUUCAUUUUACCCACUCAACUUCUUUUUUUUUUUUUUUUUACCAAAAAACCUACUAAACUUUUAAAGUGAUUUAUCUGGAUCGUUUUGUUAGAUUCUACCAUUAAGAUAGAUAAAAAGUUUGCCAAGUAGUCCAAUUUUAAAUGGAUAAUUUUUUCAUUUCACACCCAAAAUCUAUAUGUCCAAAUCAAUUAAAAAAUUUUAUAGCUUCAGAAAAAACCACAAAUUCUAUUUUGGAUGGGCCAAAAAUAGUUUUUGUGAGGAUUGAGAUUUUAUUUUGGGAUUUAGGUAUUUUUAAAAGUGAUUGAAUAGUUUAAUCCAUUGGGGCAGAUGGAUUUUAGGCGUGCAAUGACGAAAUUAUCCAUUUAAAUCGGGCUCACAUGACAAACAUUCGUCUAUCUUAAUGGUAGAAUUUUAACAAAAUAGUCAAGAUGAAUCACUUUCAAGAGUUUAAUAGGCUAUUUUGUACAAAAAGUAGUUGACUGGGCAAAAUAAAACUUUUAAAAUGUUUAGCAUGCAGUUUGAUAGAAAAAAUAGUUGAAUGAGACUUUUAAAAAGUUUGAACGUCUAUAAUCAAAAAGUAGCAACCUUAUAUUAUUUUCUAAUGGCUGAUAGAAAGGACUAAAAGUCUAAAAUUGUCCCUUGUCAGAGUCUUAGCUACUCUUGUCAAUUUUCAGUUAACAAACGUCCAAUACUUGCAUCAAAAGAAAAUCCAAACAUGAAAAAUGAAGUGUUAAACCUUAACUUAUUCAGUAUAAAGUCAACACCAAACUUCUCUCUUUCUUCUUGCCAGUUGCAUCCUGAAUCUUGAUUAUGGAGUUACUCUACAGCAUCCUAAGUCUCAUUUUUUUUUUCGUUUUCUGGAUUGCUGUGAAGUUUCAGUACCACAUCCCACAGCAAAACAGGAAACUUCCCACAGAUUUGAUAUUUUGUCUGGUAUAUUACCAGAUAUAUGCACUUGCCAAGAGAAGUGCAAAUGGCUUGAAGGAGUUGUUUAAGCAAAUGCAAUGAUGGAUUAACUUAGCUGAAGUUAGAAAUAUUUGAAUUUUUUAUGUUUCUAUCUUGUGCUUUCACAUCUGAAUUGAUGUAUUUUUCUGAAGUUUAUUAGGUGGUUUUGUUGAAAAGUAUGAGUAAUUUUUGUGGGAAAAUAAUAUUCAAGCCCUUGCAUUUUCAGUCACUUUUGUAUUGUUGGGUAAUAAGGGUGGUCGCAUAGGACCACAUCCCACAGGAUUUAUAAACUAACAGUAGCGAAGACAUAGGUUUUCUUUGAAAGCCGCAUGGAGUUUUUAUUUUUGGAAAAUAAUAUUCCAUACUAACACAACUUUAUGAUAUAGAAAUAGAAUAAAGGGCAAAUUACACUUUACCCCCCUGCGGUUUAGUGUUUUUGUACAUAACUCCCAAUGGUUUCAAAAGUUAUACAUAACCCUCUCAUAAUUUGGAUUAAAGUAUCAAAGCAACAGAAUUUGGAAUUCACAAUGGAGUCACCUAAAAUGUCAAAAAUGCCCUAUGUAAAGUUGAAAUUUAUUUAUUAACCAUAGGGGGUAUGUGUAUAUUUUAAAACAUAAGGAAGUUAUAUGGUAAAGUAUUAAACUAUAAGGGGGUUAUAUGGUAAACUAUAAAAUCAUAUGGGGUUAGUGCGUCAUGUAUAUUAUAUUUAUAUAUUUUGGUUAUUUUAACCAUUUUAAUUUUUAAACAUGGGUAAUUUUGACAUUUUAAAAGGUUCCGUAACGAAUGAUCAUUUCCAUCACUUUGACACUUUAAUCCAAAUUAUGAGGGGGUUAUAUAUAAUUUUUAAAACUAUAGAGGAGUUAUGUACAAAAAUACUAAACCAUAAAGAGAUAAAAUGUAAUUUACCCUCGAAUAAAAGAUAGUCGACCUUUUAUUUCUUAGAUUGCGUAAUUUGAGUUGCUUUAGGUAACUGAAUUCUUUGUCAUUAAAGUGUCACUUUCAUUUCUUUUGGGUUGUUGCUGGAGCCUUCACAUAUUGUUAAAUUAAAACAUUAUUCUUAAAACUUAAUUUAGUUGGCAGGGACAUUUUUUGUUGAGGUUUCUAAUUCAACUUUCAAGCCUUUCUCGUGUAAAACUUUGAGUGUUUUCUUGAACCAAAAAAUUAAAUAAAUAAUAUAAAAUAAAACAUUUUUCCCUUUGCAUCCUCAUUGAUUUUCUUGAGAACUUUUGCUUUGAGCGUAUACUAUUCGAUAUAAUACGAGUUUUUCUACUCUAUGGUCAGUAGGAUGGUAUUUUCGUUGGGGGAGGAAGCGGAGGAAAGUUGAUUCAGUUCCCCAACCUCUAGCUUCCGACCCUCAGUUUUGCUUUAAUAGUCCCUACCCAAAUGAUUAAAAUAGUCCCUCAACUUUAGUUCAUUAGCUGAUUAAGUCACCAGCUGUUGAACACUCAGUAACUUACAUUAUUUGGGUAGUGAAUUAUUUUUUAAAAAAAUUAUUUUCUUGUAUCACAAUAUAUUUUUUAACUACUUUUUUAUUUCAUAUACAUCACAUUAAAAAGAAUUGUACAUCACCAUUUUAUCUCGUAUACAUCAUAUCAAAAAAGUGUUGCAUUAUUUUUUCAAAAAAUUAUCCUAAAUAAUCUACUAUCCAAACUCAUAGAUUUGCAGCAUCGAUGAAAUCUUCUUGUGAGGUUGGCAUUUUUCCAAGAAGUUUUUAUAUGUGUUAUCUUAGAACAAUGGCAAUAAGCAACUCGAUUUGCCAUGAUCCGGUGCCCCAACCACGAAAUGCCAAACUCCCAUUAUUGGUCACUGUACAAGUUAAUUUAUAGAUGAUGGUAGCAUCCCAAUAUUCCUAUUUUCUUUGCCUUCGAUCCUUUUUUUUAAACAUAAACAAAUAUGUGCUUAGUCCAAUUAAGGAGGAUGGAAAAUUUGCUUUUUAAUCAGAGACUUGGUGUUCCCCGAACAUGCCUUUUGAAGAUGGCUUCCUCGUAAGCUCCCGAAGUAGAUGGCUUGGCCUCUCCCUCUACCCCGAAAAUAUCAUAUUUUUAUUAAGGGUACGUUUGGUCCCCCAUAGAAUUGGAGUGUAGAAUUGGAAUUGGAGCCCCAAUUUCAAUUCUUGUGUUUGGGUACUAUCUUUCCUGUAGAAUUAGAAUCGAACUGCAAUUCCAAAUCGAUCCAAUUCCAUGGUUCCAAUUCUUUGGCUGGACCAAAGAAUUCCAAUUCCAAUUCCACGGACAAACUUCCAUUCGGGUCAACACGCGGACUUUAAAUGGGUAAAGCUUCCAAAACGGGUCAACUAUAAAGCUGGAUUAAAAAAAAAAUACAAAGCUGGCUUCUUUCUCUCUUCUCGUGUGCAAUCGCUCUAGCGUUUUCUGCCACCACCACCGCCGGUGCCGCCUCCUCUUCCCAACACUUCACCCGUAACCCCUCCAGGCCUUUCCUCCCUCUUCUCUCCUCCCCAACAUCGUGUGGGUGAAAUCGCUAUAUCUAUUCUGCUAUAUCGUGGUAAGCUUUCGUUCCGCUGUAUCCUCUCUCUUUCUAUGUGAUUCGCUUCUUCUCUAGAUUUGCAAAACUAGGGUUAUUUUGCUAUAGAUACAGCCCAUAUGAUUGCUGAUGACCAUGUCGUAGAUGUCAAAAUCAUACAUAAAAAGUAACAGAGAAGGAAAAGAAAUUGUAAGAAUCAUCACGUUUCUUCAUAAAAGGAAAUACGAAAAAAAAGAAAGAGAAGACAAAUUGCCAUUAUAUCUUUCUUCACUUUCUGAAAAAACGAUGUUUAUGAUCUAUAGAUGUGGAUUUUCAAUGUGACUAAAAGGACUCCAGGCAUAGUAGAAACUAGAAAGGGUACAGAAAUAAAGUAGACAAGAUGUUAAAACUUAGAAACUAAAAAAGAAUUUACGACUUAAGCUAGUAUAGAAAACUUCAAUUUUUAGCAUUGAUUAAUGCUAGAAUUUAUCAUGGGACCAGAUAUUUGAGAAUACAUUUUUCUAUUUCUUUUAGUGAGAAUACAUUUGUUAGACUUUUAGUGAGAAUGCAUUCUUAUAAAGUACCACAAAUUUGUGUUGCAAUAUUUUCUAUUUAUAUUGUCAUUGUUGGUUGUGGUUUUUGCCUGAAUGUAAAGAGCAAUAUACUUGGAUUUCCGGCUGGAUUUUGCCCAAUCGUUGGAGUUGGUGGACAUAUAAGUGGUGGUGGCUACGGUUCACUGUUGCAAAGAUAUUGCCUGAUGGUGGAUAAUGUUCUUGAUGCUCAGAUUAUCGAUGUUAACAGCCAGGUUUUGGAUAGAAAAGAAAUGGGAGAAGAUCUGUUUAGGGCUAUUAGAGAUGGUGGUAGUGCUAGUUUUUGUGUUGUUUUUGCAUAUAGAAUCAGGUUAGUCAGAGUGCCUGAAAUUCACACUGUUAAUGUGCAGAAGACUGAGGCAGAGAAUGCAACAGAUGUUCUUUACAAAUGGCAAAAUGUUGCUGACAAAAUUGACAACGAUCUGUUCAUUAGAGUUCUUGUGCAGCCAAAUACUGGAAAAGUAAAGAGUCCAAAAUCAUUAGAUUGACAUUUUUGGGACAUUUUCUUGGAGAUGCAAACAGGUUGAUUUCUGUUAUGAACACUGGAUUUCCUUAACUGGGAUUGAAGAGAAGUGAUUGUUUGGAAACAAGUUGGAUUGACACGAUGCUCUGGUGGUAUAGCUACAAGAUUGGGACAGCAAAGGAAGUAUUAUUAGGAAGGGCUUUUGAUCAAUUGAUCUUCUUGAAGAGAAAAUCAGAUUAUGUACAGAACCCAUUCCUAAAGAUGAUUAGUAUCACUAUUCAAGAAAAUGGUUCAACUUGGAAAAACAAGACUUGUUUUCAAUCCUUAUGGUGGAAGAAUGAGUGAAAUUCCUGAGAAUGAAACACCAUUUCCUCAUAGGGCGGGGAUCAUCUUCAACCUGCCAGAUUGGUGAAAGUGAAGGCUACCGUGGAUCCUCAAGAUUUCUUCAGGAAUGAACAGAGCAUCCCCACUUUGAACCUUCAAACCUCUAAAGGGAGGAAGGGACGAAAGUAAAGAGCAACAAAUGAUAAUUGCUCAUAUAGUAACGAUUAUCAAGUAGCAGAGGUGCCUUGUCCUAUUAAUGGCUUUAGCAUAAAAUGUAAUGUUAAUGAAUGGAUAUAGUGAGCAUUACUUUUGUAGCAUUGUAGCACCGAAUGGUUGCUUGUGCAUUAAAGAGGCAAAAGUGAUGUACAAGGUUUUAACUGUAAGAAAAAUAUCAAGGUUUUAACUUGAUGAAUAUUAACUACUUUUUAAGUUAGAAUAUAUAAUUAGUUUUUUAUUUAAUAUAAUUUAAUUAAUAAUAAAGGAAACAAGAAUAAUAUAUAUAUUGCAAAAAAGGAACUAAUUGGUUUUCUUUUUCUUUAAAGCUUUAGUAACAAUUAGUUAAAUGCAAGAAAAAAUAAAUUAUUAAAGGCACUAAUUGGUUUUUUCCUUGAAGCUUUAGUGACAGUUAGUUAAAUAUCAAAAAAAUUAUUACAUAGGAAAAAGAAAAAAAGAAAAUUUUUAUGUAAGCAAAUGUUAGAUGGAAGCAAUUCUAAUUUUUAAUGAAUUCUUCUUUCAUCAAAACAAAGAAUUUGAAAUUCUAAAUGAAUUCUGCAUCAAUUCUAUGCAUUUUCCAAACAAAAGAAUUCCAAUAUUUUGGAAUUCCAAUUCCUAGAAUUUUAAUUCUAUAGAAUUCCAAUUCCAAUUCAAUUCCAAUUCUAUACAACCAAACGCACCCUAAGUUGAAAUCAGGGAAAAAUUAUACCACACGUAUGGAUGUUCCAAUGGCCAAUACCAAAAAAAAAAAAAAAGAAUAAUUAUACAAUCUAACUAGUCAACUACAACAACAAACCACUAGCAAAUGACUCAAGUGAAAAUUUUCCGAUCUAAGUCUCAACUCGUACUAAUCUUCCAAUUCUUUCUAAAUCUAUCUACUCUUAACAGUACAAUUUACAUCACGAACAAUUCAUUCCACCCCUAUAGAGGAUGCAGAUUUGACGAUUGACUAGCUAGUCUAUGGAAAAAAUGUAACAUUUGGGUGGUCCAAUCACACAAGGACAAAAUUGGCAAAAUACUUCGAGGACUCAGUAAACUAAAGUUAAGAGUUGAAGCACCAAAAUUGUUUAGUAAAAACGUUGAGGCACUAUUUUGCUCAUUUGCUCCAAUAAAUUUACGGAUAAAAAAAAGAUUAUUUCACCCAAGUCCACUGCCACUGGCACUUCCAGUAACUUAUUGUGGUGGUAAGUUCUUCUUCUUCUUCUCUUUCAUUUUUUUGGUUUUUCUUGAAAUUUGAUGUUUGACACACUUUCUUUGGUAAUGUCAUACUGCCAAGGUUUGUAUUAACAGAGUUGAGAAUAUAAAGGCAAAAAAAAGGUUUAUCUAUCCACUGAUGGAAAUUUGUGAAUGGUGAUUACCAUAAAAUUAUUUAUUUAUUUUUGGGUUACAUUACAUGGAAUUCAGGCUUUAUGAAAUAUAGUCAUGAUGUUUGAUCUUUUGCAUUUUGAGCAAGAAAGACGUAUACUUUUUUGUCUUUUGGAUUUCUGAAGAUAGAGUUUGUGGUCUUUCUCCUUGCUUCUUGCAUCUUGAGCCUUGAUCAUGGAGUCACUCUACACCAUUCUAGGCAAUGUUUUGAAAACCGGACCGGACCGGCCGGUUCGACCGGUUGAACCGCGAACCGGCCAUGCACCGGUCCGGUUCAAUGACAUUGUUGACUUUGCUAGAAAACCGGUCAAAGACCGGUUGAACCGUGAAAACCGCCGAACCGGAUUGAACCGGCGGUUUUUCGGUUUUCAGCUUUCCUUUUUUUUUUUUUUUUUUUUUUGCAAAAUGCAACUAUCAAGAUUCGAACCAAGACCUUUGUAAUAAAAGACCAAUGUAUUAACCGUUGCACCAUCACAUUUUAUUAGUUUUUUUUGAUAACUUAUUUAUAUAAAGCAAACACUUAUAUUUCUUUUUUCCAUUUUUCUUACAAAAUCUCAUGCUCUCAUGGCUCUUUCUUUUUAAUUUUCAACUCUCUCUCUAUUCUCUUUUCUUUUGUCACUCCCUUUUUAAUCAAAGCUCUUUAUUUUUAAUUUAUUGAUGUUUUCUUCCAUCUUUUAAUUUUGUUUUUAUCCAUUAAAUUGAAAAAGGUUAAAAAAGAAUUUUUUUUAACCCAAAUUAUUUAAUGCCACAACCACUCACUUUUAUCUUAUUUUUUGUUUCUUAUCAAGUUUACAUUUCUAUUUUCAAUUUUCUUGACUUCCUUCGAAUUCCAAAUUUUCUUUUUUAAAUUGCAAUAUCUAAAUUCCAAAACGUAAAUUAAAAUUUAAGUUCCUAAUAUCUAAAUUCUCAGAGACAUGAAUUUUGUAUAAUUUCAAAAUAUUGUGAUAUUUUGGGGUUGGAUUUAGAUAUAAUUGAAAUUGAGAUGAAAUUUAUUUGUUUUAACUUAUAAUUUAAAAAAUUUAUUUUUAAAAAUCCAAGUUAUUAAAAAAUAGUAAAUUUUUCAUCAUAUAAAAUAUUAAAUUAGUCUAUUACAUGUCUUAUUUUGUACAUAUAUAUAUUUAUAUAAAUUAUUUUUUAAAAAAUUCAUUGAACCGAGGUUGAACCGGUCCGACCGGUUGAACCUCGACCCUUUCACUUCACCGGUUCAAUUAACGGUCCGGUUUUUAAAACAUUGAUUCUAGGUCUCUUCAUAUUCUUGAUGCCUGUAAAGUAUCAGUAUCUCCGAAAAAAGAACAGAAAACUGCAGCCUCCAAGUCCUCCAGCUCUUCCAAUUUUGGGCCAUCUUCACCUUGUGAAAACUGCCCCUCACCUUGCCCUGCAAAAGCUCUCCAUCAAAUAUGGUCCCCUGAUUUCCCUUCAUUUUGGGAUUCGUCCUUUCCUUGUCGUUUCCUCACCGUCUCUUGCAGAGGAAUGCUUAACCAAGACGAAUGAUAUUAUUUUCGCAAACCAGCCUGAGUCAGUUUCCAGUAAAUACCUUGGCUACAACUCAACUGCUCUCAUAAUCUCCCCUUAUGGAGAUCACUGGCGAAAUCUCCGCUCACAACCAUCCAUAUGUUUUCUUCGAUUCAACUCCAGCGUUUUUCCUCCAUCUGGAUGUUAUGGUAUUGGACCAAUAAGCGCAAUGGUGACAGAUUACUUGCAGCAGAAAGAAUUAACCCUUGACACUUUUGAAUGGAACAGGAACUAGUAAUGAGUAUUGGAACUUAAGUUUCUGAUUGACAGUAGGUAGGUCAAUUACAGAAUAGAAUCAACGGAUGUAGGAUUGGAAAGGAAAGAUUGAAGGAAUUGAAAGAGAGAAGAGAGGGAAAUUGGCAGAGCCAAUUUCUGUUACAAUCAAUGGAAAUGAUAUGACUAAAAUCUAUCUAACUCCCGAAUUCUUCAGCCUUUUAUGGCCUUUUCCGGACUAACUAACUUCUAACUAGCUAAUCAGGUGAGGCCACGUGGAAGUUCUGGAAUCAUCAGCUCCACUUGCGCCAAACAGAAGCAUAAUUCUGUUAUAUCAGGUAGAAGGCGUGAUUUGUAAGUCACGCCUUUCUUCCUCAAGUUGAGCAGCUGCGCCUUUCACAUAAACUGGAACACGCCUUCCUCCUUCUUCAAGCUGGAACACGUUUUUCAUGUAUUCCAAAUCACGACUUCCGUAUAUCCUUCAUACUCUAUGACAGAGCCUCCCUCUUUAAAGAAUCUUGUCCUCAAGAUUGGAAAUGAGGAAAUUGCCUCCUAAUUUCGUCUGCAAAUUCCCAUGUUGCCUCUGCUGGAUCUGUUCCCCACCAAUGUACCAGCCAUUGAACAGCAGCUGCAUUCUUUCUCUUGACUGUUCUUCGUUCUAGCACUGCAACUGGUUCGAUCCUUAAGUGCCCCCUCCCAUCUGUUUCUGGUAGUUGUAAGACAGGUGUGGUCUGGUUCCCAACCUUCUUCUUCAGCAGAGAGACAUGGAAAACAGGAUGAAUUUUGGAAUCUGCUGGUAAUCUGAGCUUGUAUGCAACCUCCCCCAUCCUUCCUAUUACUUCAUAUGGUCCAUAGUAACGUGCUGAUAACUUAGUGUUACCUCGCAUGGCCACUGAACUCUGCUUGUAAGGCUGUAACCUCAGGUACACCCAAUCACCUAUAUCAAACCUUCUUUCACUCCUGCUUUUGUCUGCGUACUUUUUCAUCCUCUCCUGAGCUAGCUUUAGGUUCUGCUGCAGUAAGAUGUCAACCUUGUGUCUCUCCCUCAAGUAGUCCCCAACAACAGCUACCUUGGCCUGAGUAUAUGGCCCUAUAGCUAAUUGGGGGGGUGCCUGCCCAUAUAGAGCCUCAAAAGGGGUCAUUUGGAUGGCUGUGUGGUAGCUGGUGUUGUACCACCAUUCAGCCAUAGUCAACCAAUGAUUCCACUUCUUUGGUUCCAAAUGUGAAAAACACCUGAGGUACAUUUCCAGUACCUGAUUGACCCUUUCAGUCUGGCCAUCAGACUGGGGAUGGUAGGCGGUACUGUGGUCCAGUGUAGCUCCCAGGAAUGUAAACAGUUCUCCCCAGAACUGACUGGUGAAGACCCUGUCUCUGUCUGAUAGCAUACUCUGAGGUACUCCAUGCAACUUGACCACCCCAUCUAGAAAAAUCCUGGCGAUCUUUGGGGCAUCAUAAGGAUGUGAAGUGCUCAGAAAGUGGGCAUACUUAGUGUAUCUGUCCACUACUACCAUGAUGGUAUCCUUUCCUUCAGAGUUAGGUAAUCCUUCGAUGAAAUCCAUAGUGAUGUGGCUCCAGGGGUACUGUGGAAUUGGCAGGGGUUGUAGGAGCCCUGGAUAGGAUACAUGCUCAUCCUUACACUUCCUGCAGACAUCACAUUCCAGGAUUGCUGUCUUGAUGUCUCUGUGCAUUCCUGGCCAAUGGAACAACUGCUUGGCUCUCAUGAAACUGGCCUGGAUCCCAGAAUGUCCCCCCAAUUGGGAGUCAUGUAAGGUGUUGAUCAGCUUUUUCCUUAUCUCUCCUCCUGAUCCCACUACUACCCUUCCUUUAAACUUCAGUAUACCAUUCUGAUAGCUGUGAUUGGCAAUCAGGUCUGGUUUAAGUAGAACUUCCCUGAUGAUAUUCUGUGCCCAGUCAUCUCCUUGGUAGCUACUAAUCACCUCCUUGAUCCAUUCUGGUACUAUGGUAGUUAUUGCAGUGCACUCCAAGCCUGAUUUUCUCCUGGAAAGGCCAUCAGCUACCACAUUCUCCUUUCCCUUUUUGUAGUGGAUCUCAUAACUCAUCCCCAUGAGCUUAGUUAACCACUUCUGCUGCAGUGGUGUGGUGAUUCGUUGUUCCAGCAAGUACUUCAAACUCUGAUGAUCAGUGUUGAUGAUGAAGUGUUGGCCCUCCAAGUAGUGUCUCCAUUUGGAAAUUGCUGUAACUAAAGCUAGUAGCUCCUUUUCAUAGAUAGAUAGCCCCAUGUUUCUUGGCCCCAAACUUUGACUGAUAUAGGCUAAAGGUCUUCUGUUCUGCAUUAAUACUGCCCCUAUCCCAUUGUAACAGGCGUCAGUUUCUACUACAAAGGGUUGGUUGAAGUCAGGUAGAGCCAGGACAGGUGUGUCACACAUGGCCCUUUUUAGCUUUUGAAAUGCCUCCUCUGCUUCUGUUCCCCAAUGGAAGCUGUCUUUCUUCAAUAGUGCAGUCAAUGGUUUGGCUAUACUACCAUAUCCCCUAACAAAUCUCCUAUAGUACCCUGUCAGGCCUAGGAACCCUCUCAGCUGUUUCACAUUUCCUGGUUUAGGCCAUUUCACCAUACCUUCAAUCUUCUCAGGGUCAGCUUUUACUCCUUCAGCAGUUAUGAUGUGUCCCAGGUACUCCACCUGUGUUUGGCCAAAGGCACAUUUGCUCCUUUUGGCAUACAGUUGGUGUUUCCUGAGAAUGUCCAAGACUUCUGUAACAUGCUUCAAAUGUUCCUUGAACUCGUAGAGCCCUUGAUGGGUUCUAAAUGCAGUCUUGGAAAUGUCUGCUGCUUUCACUCUGAUCUGGAAGUAGCCUGCCCUCAAAUCUAUCUUGGUGAAGUAUUUGGAACCUGUCAAUUCAUCCAAAAGUUCAUCAAUAAGGGGUAUAGGGUAUUUGUUUUUGACUGUCAGCUCAUUUAGCUGCCUAUAAUCAACACAGAAUCUCCAGGUGCCAUCCUUCUUUUUUACCAGAAGUACAGGGGAUGCAAAGGGACUGGUAUUGUGCUGAAUGAUACCAUUUUCCAACAUUUCUCGCACCAGCUUCUCAAUCUCAGUCUUUUGAAUAUAUGGACAUCUGUAUGGCCUGAUCUGGAAAGGUUUGGACCCUUCUUUAAGGGUAAUGGUAUGAUCAUGACCCCUCUCAGGGGGUAGCCCUUGAGGUUCCUUGAAUAUCUCCUCAAAAUCCUGCAGUACCUCCUCCAUCUCUGGGGGUGUAGUAGCAUUGGUAUGUACCUCCUCCUGGACUGCACUGAGUUGAGCCAUAAUUCCAUAGGCCUGUUUCCUGGCCCACUUGUGCAAUCUGCUCCCCUUAAUCAACCUUAGCUGCACCUGAUCACUUUCCCCCUUCAAUUCUACCUGCUGUUUUCCCUUCCUGAACUUCACACUUAGUCCCUUGAAAUCAAAUUCCAUAGGACUGAAUCUGGCAAGCCAAUCCACUCCCAGCACCAUAUCACAUCCCCCUAGCUUCAGUGUAUUAAACUGGUGCUGGAAUUCAUAGCCUUGCAUCUUCCAGACUACAGGCUUAGCUAGGCUGUUGGACUGUACCUUUUCCCCAUUAGCUACCUUGACAACUAGGGGUGGACCACUACUAACCAGUUUCAGGUUGCUAGCCAGUUGUGCAUCCAUAAAACAGUGAGUGCUACCACUGUCAAUAAGUGCAGUGAUAGUUCUCCCUUUUAUUAACCCCUUUAGUCUAAUAGUUUUGUGCUCACUACCCCCUGCUAAAGCAUUGAUGGAGAUUUCCAUAUGUUCAUCCCCAAUUUGGCCCUCAAUGCAAUCGCAGAAAACUUCAGAUUCAGCCUCCUUCCCUCCCUCACUGGUCACAGGGUUCUCACUGUCAUCAUGUGCUAGCAGAAGAUGGAUGUGGGAUUGUUUACAUACGUGGCCAAGUGUGUAUGGUUCAGCACAUUUAUAACAUAAUCCUUUCUCCCUCCUUAGGUUGAACUCACUAGGGGUGAUCUUUUUGAACUGGUUAGUGUUGCUGUUUGGGGUCCUGUAGUUGUCUGUGGGAGGUUUAUCUGAGGUUCUGGAUGUGGUGGGGUUCCAUUUGUUAUGGCUCUGGGGGUGGAAAGGGGUUCUGUGUGUCUGGAAGCUGUUAGGUGGGGGUUUGUGAAACUUUUGCAUAGCUUUUAGGUUCUUUUCUUGUAGCUUGGCUGCUUCAAUUGCAUCUGCCAGGGUUAGAGGUUUGGCCAUUUUAACCAUAUUGACUAUUUCUUCCCUUAAACCACUCAGGAAGCAUGCUUUAUAAUAGGAAUCAGACAAAUGUGGGAGGGAAGGCAUUACCAGUGCUUUGAGCAGCUCGAACUUUUCCAGAUAGUCUGCUAUGGAUCCCUCCUGCCUAAGCUUGUUGAAUUCUUCAAUAGCUUCCUCUGGUGUACCUUCCCCAAACCUUUUACACAAAGCAGUAGCCAGUUCUGUCCAUGGUAUGUUUCCCCUGCCACUGAAUACCCCGUGGAACCAAGUAUCAGCUCUGUCCCUCAGGUAUAGCUCAGCAAUCUCAGUUUUCAUGUUCUCCUCCACUCCAUUGAUCUUGAAGAACUUGUUAGCCUUACGGAUCCAUUCCCUGGGAUUAUCUCCUGUGAAGUUAGGUAACUCCACCUUAGGCAUUCUGGUGUAGGAUCUAGUUUCUUUCCAUUCUGAUCUGCCACAGCCUCCUUCCUGAGUUGCUUCCUUCUUAGGUCCUUCAAUGGAGCUACUGCUUUCUGCCUCCUUGUCCUUGUCAUUGAAUUUUGCCAUCAUCUGAGCCAUCAUAGCCAUCAUACUUUCAUAUUUCUGAUCUAGAUUUUUGAGAGUUCGUUCUGUGCUUUCUUGUCUAUGCCCCAACACUUUGACCACACUGCCUAGCUCAGAGAUAUCCUUCUUUAGCACCUCCUCCUGAGACUUUGUCAUCCCAAUGGCUCGUAGCUAAGCUCUGAUACCACUGUUAUGGUAUUGGACCAAUAAGCGCAAUGGUGACAGAUUACUUGCAGCAGAAAGAAUUAACCCUUGACACUUUUGAAUGGAACAGGAACUAGUAAUGAGUAUUGGAACUUAAGUUUCUGAUUGACAGUAGGUAGGUCAAUUACAGAAUAGAAUCAACGGAUGUAGGAUUGGAAAGGAAAGAUUGAAGGAAUUGAAAGAGAGAAGAGAGGGAAAUUGGCAGAGCCAAUUUCUGUUACAAUCAAUGGAAAUGAUAUGACUAAAAUCUAUCUAACUCCCGGAUUCUUCAGCCUUUUAUGGCCUUUUCCGGACUAACUAACUUCUAACUAGCUAAUCAGGUGAGGCCACGUGGAAGUUCUGGAAUCAUCAGCUCCACUUGCGCCAAACAGAAGCAUAAUUCUGUUAUAUCAGGUAGAAGGCGUGAUUUGUAAGUCACGCCUUUCUUCCUCAAGUUGAGCAGCUGCGCCUUUCACAUAAACUGGAACACGCCUUCCUCCUUCUUCAAGCUGGAACACGUUUUUCCUGUAUUCCAAAUCACGACUUCCGUAUAUCCUUCAUACUCUAUGACACUGGACUGAAGAAAUCCAUUUCAUCAUCAAAAAAUUGUUUUCCAGUAAUUCUGAUGAGAAAACCUGGAAAGUUAAGGACAUGAGUUCUUUGUUCCGGGAGUUAUUAUUCAACGCGAUAAUGAAAAUAGCUGCUGGAAAAAGAUGGCCAUCUGAUCAGCCAGGUGAUAUAUUUUCACCGCGAGCACUCACUGAUCUUUGUGAUUAUAUUCCAAUCUUGAGGUGGGUUGGCUAUGGAGGGUUGGAGAAAGGUGUAAUCAGUUUGCACCAGAAAAGGGACGAGUUUCUUCAGGGCCUGAUUGAUCAAACGCGGAAAGAGGUAGCAGAAGACGGUUCUUGUUCGACAGAGAGAAGGAAAACAAUUAUUCAAAAAUUGUUAUCUCUACAAGAAGCAGAACCCGAAUACUACACUGACGAAAUUGUUAAAGGAAUUAUACAAGUAAGUCUCUUCUACUUGAAUCUCUUUUACAAAUUGGUCUAUAAUUCAUUAGGACAAGGUCAUCUCACCCAUGUAGCAGCAGCAGCAGCACAAAUUGUCUAGCCAUAUUUAGUGGUAGGGCUAAGACUAGUGAUGAGGGAUGCAGUGCUUGUGCGGUGUAGAUGCAACCGCAUGCUUUUCAUGGUUCAAAUUCGAUCUGAAUUUUGAAAUGAUCAAAUUGUAGCUUCAUGUUGUGGUCUGAUCUGAACUGUAGAAAACACCUCCGACAGCACAAAGGCACCGGAUCUAGUGGUGAGUGGGGAAAUGGUAUAUGCCACUAACUUCAGUGUUGGUGUCUAGGGAAGAAAUUUAGUCAAAGUCUUUCAAAAAAUUUGGUUUUGUUUGGGUGUACACAUGAUUUCAACAUUAAAUGUGUCAAUAUCUAGUGGUGACUGGUAAGUUGGGGCAACCAUCAACAUGUAAAUUGGGUAAAAUCUUGUCGUGGUUCUCUAACGUAACGGGAGAGGGGCUAGUGAGGUUGAAGUUUGGUAUGGUUCAAUCUAGUUAUUACACUUUUUAUAUUUGGUGUAUAAUUACAUUAUAUUAUUAUAUUCAAAGUAAAAGUGGUGUACAUUAAUAAAAUAUUUGAUGCAUAUUCAGUACAAUAUUAUGAUAUAUUUGUACACUAAAAAAUUUAAACUUGUACAAGGAUUGGACGAAAUUGUACAAAAUACAAUUAUACCGAAUUCUUGUCCCUAAGUAACAUAUCAAUUUAUGGCUGUAUCUAUCAUUUUAAACCAUAAAAUAAUCAAAGAAUCUUUAGUGGCAUGUGACAAUAUAUAAGGUUUUAACAAUCUUUUCCGUUUAUAUAGAUUUAGGAAUCUAGAUCACAAAAUUUAUGGACACUUGAGGAUAACUUAAACAAACGAAAAAUAUCGUUUUACAAGUUACUGUCAAAAGUUUAGGAUUCAACAACGUGGAAGUGAUGGCCUUGCGAUGCUCCAUGGGAUAGAAAGAGUUGUCAAUAUAACUAUCUCAAAAGUGUACAACACUUGUAAUAAAGUAAAAUUCAUCACAAAAUAAUCUGCACAACUUUAUUACAAGAAUGUUAAAAAUCAGUCUCUUCUUAACAAAAAAUACAUGUUAUUGUAUGCUAAUAUUGGUUGUACAUUUUUUACAUUUUGUUUUGUUGGCCAAAUUAAGGCCUUUAAAAUUUGGGGAAGAUUGCUACUUGCUCCCUGCCCCUGAUGGAGGUGAUAUACUAACAAUUGAUACACGUGAUAAUAUUCAAUAACGGACAACAGAAGCAAAUCAGAUGAGAUAAGAUAACAGCCACUUGGACCGUUGGUCACCAUUAAAACUUUAAAGUAAAGUCUUGGGGGAUGGUAGAUUAAGAGUUCAACCAUUGCCUCUCAUCAUAUACUUGUCAGUUAAUCGUGCCUGACACUUUUAAUGGCUUUCUCCCCUAAAUUAAAAUAGAGUAGAUUAUAAAAAUAUUAUCGUUACGAUAAAACAAAAAGAUGAGAUAAGAUAAUGAGACCUUAACCAAGUUACUCGCGGUUGGGGCUAAGUUAACGGUGGAGGCUGUGAGACAUUUUAAAAAGUGUUCAUUUGAGCAUAGAUAUUAAGUAAUACUUAUGGCACAAUAUUUUAACUGGUUGUCUCAAACAAAAUAUUUUUAUUUUCAUUGAAACAUUCGGCUGGAAUAAAUCCUACCUCUCUCUUGUUAUAAAAAAAUAAAAUGUAUAUAUUUUAUUAGUAAUACUUUCGUUUACAUAACUAUAUAUACAUAUAUAUAUUAUGUGCCUCAUUGAUGUUCCAUAACGAAUAGUUAAUUUUCAGAUUUUUAGAAUGCAAGUGGUUGCAAAUGUUUGCACCACAUAAUUGCCCUAGCAAGUUUGGUUUGAUGUGCGUUGUUGACAAAUGUCUGAACCGAACUCUCAGAAGUUUGGGCCACAAACUAUCCCACAGAAUUCACUCAGUUAGUAAGAUUAUUAGGUAGAUGAUCGUGAAAUCUUUGUUGAAUUCUCAAAUCUCCCUUUUUCUCUUUAUAAGGCUUUGAAUCUCUCUUAAAAAUUAAAAACAGAAAUCUCGAUUACGAACUCAACUAAUGAGGCUCCUAAUUUAGAAUCAGGGGCCUCGAUAUUUGUUUGGUGCCACUUCUACAGAGGCCAAUUGACAGCCAAGAAUCGGGGAUAAAUUAACUCAACAAAAAGGGUUGCUUUCAAUUUAUACCCGUAUUUAAGGGUUAAAUGCAUAAAACUCCCACGAACUAGUACACUAGUUGCACUUUACACUCUAAAGUAUUUUAAUAGGCACUUUACACCCUUAGUCAACUAAAAAAUAACACGAAAAUUAAUUUCAUCCAAAUAAUUGAUGAAAUGAUUAAUUUAUCCUCCAUUAAAAACUUUAAGUGAUAUGAGAUUGGCUACCCUGUUGGAAGACAUUCAUCAUUUAAAGUUGUUGUUUCAUAUGUGCUCCUUUUGUUAAGUUAGCAAGGAUCAUAAUCAUAUUAGUAAUAGGAUUAUCUUAUAUGGUUUAGCAUUAUUUAAGAUGAGAAACUUUGAUUCAUCCGUGUCAAAAUACACUGAUUGUAUAGUUCCAUCGAAUCUUAACUCGAAACUGUAAAGUUUUUUUAAUCUAUAAAAUCACUUAUUGUUUCGAAAAAAAUUAAAAUCUUAAGUGAUAAAAACACUAAUUUGGUGGGGAAGAUUACUAAUUGGUAACACAUAAAAAAUUCUAAUUGGUAACACAUAAAAAAUCAUUUUGAGUGAUGAUUAAGACUAUUGGAGUCAAAAUAGAGAAAUAUUGAGUGAUUACUGUUGCAAUUUUUAAAAUCUCAUAAUUUUCUUCAAUGCAUCAUAAUGCUAUAACUUCAUAUAAUCAGCAAAAUUUCACUUGGAAUCUUCACAAGCAUAAAAUUGGAGUAGAACCCCAAAAUUUUCAUAUAAGUUUAGCACAAUAUUUGCAAUAAAAUUUCAAUACCGAACCAAAAUUAGAAGCUGUAUAUUAGGGAAAAAAAUAUUGAGCUCAAAAAUUUUAAUAAAACACCUAAAUUAUUUACUUUUCCUUGACAACAAUCUUUUCUUACAUAGGCUAACUUGAAGUACGUAGUAAAAUAGGGUUGAUGAGAUUUUUGAAUUGAAUUUAUUCCUUUUCUUUUUUUUCCUACUUCUUUUGUUUUAAUUGUCAUUCAAAGUGAUCAUAUAUUUUAUUGUUAUAUGUUUUCAAUUAGAAAUUUAUUAUGAAGUGAAAAUUAAUCCAUUUAAAGUGACAUUUUUUCUACCAAAAGGGUAUUUUUGUCACUUAAAAGCUUUUAAUGGAGGAUAAAUUGGCCAUUUCAUCAAUUAUUUAGAUUGGGUUAAUUUUCUUAUUAUUUUAUAGUUGACUAAGGGUGUAAAGUAGGAAUGGCAAUGGGGCCCCUCCCCCGCCCCCGCCUCGCCCCAUCCCACCCACGGAGAAAAAGUUUAUAAUUAGUAAAAAUAUAUAAUUAGUAAAAAAUUUAAUUAGUAAUUUCAUAUAAAUAUAUAGUUGGUAAAAAUUAUAUAAUAAAAUAAAUGUAUGAAUAGUAAAAAAUGUAAUAAUAAUUUAGUAUAAAUAUAUUAGUAUAACUAAUCAAUAAUUUGAAUUAAUAUAAAUAUAUAAUUAUUAGUAUAACUAAUAAUAUCAAAUAUGUUAUAUAUGUAAUUAAUAUAUAUGUGUGUGUAUAUAUAUAUUAUUUUAUUUAAGUGGGGGAUAGAGUGGGGGAUGGGGCGAGGGUAUAGUCCCUUAUACCCCACCCCUAUUUAACGGGGGAGCAUUUUAUCCCCCGUCCCAUCCUCCGGGGGAUGGGUGCCCUCGCGGGACCCAUCCAAUUGUCAUCCCUAGUGUAAAGUGCCUAUUAAAAUAGUUUAGGGUGCAAAAUGCAACUAGUGUAAUAGCUCGGGGGGGGGGGGUUUGCAUUUAACCCCCUAUUUAAUUUUGGCUUUUCAGUUUAUACUGUGAACUAUGAAUUGUGAUACUUAAAUAUAAUAUACUAUCAAUUUUGGGGCGAAUCGUCCAAAUAAGAUAAAACCAAUUAAUUCUUUUAGCAACUUUAGAAUGAAACAUUUUAAUACCCCUUAAUGAAUUAGAGAAUUUGGACAAACAACAAAUUAAGGAUAUUUGAAGCCUUCUAAGCUAGAAAAAGUUAUUUGGAUUUGAGUAGAUUUGACCAAUGGGCCAACAAAAGAAUAGUAUAAGAUACUGAAGUUCUAAAGUUAGCAAUUUAGAGAGUAACAAGCAAAUUGGUGAUAAUUUAGGAGUGCAUAUUGGCAAUAACCCAAAAAAGUAGUUCCUUCAUGCCUCUACAUAUAAUUGAGGUCUAUAGAUGUCACAUCCCAUAAUAUAUAGUUCCCUUCUUAUGUUGACUAGUGGACAUUCAUUUGCGAUCAAUGUCAAAAGUGUAAAUUAUUGAUUCAUGAUCUAUAGCAAGAGAAAUGACAUUAUUUGUCAACAACUUGAUUCUAAAAACUAAUUCAUAUUCUUUUCUUAUUCAUUCAAAAAGUUAAAUUGAAUUUGACUGUACAUUACUUCUUGUGUAGUUAAUGUUAUCAGCCGGAACCCAUACCACAUCUCAGACAAUGGAGUGGGCAUUGUCCAGCCUAUUAAAUCACCCUAAUGUACUGCAAAAGGCAAGAGAUGAGCUAGAAAAAAUGCAGCCUGGCCAUCUGCUAAAUGAUUCUGAUCUCUCCAAAUUGCCUUAUUUACGCUGCAUAAUCAACGAGACACUAAGGUUAUUUCCUGCGGCACCAACUCUUGUGCCUCAUUUUUCAUCUGAGGAUUGCACGAUAGGAGGCUACGAGGUUCCUAAAGGUACAACUUUGUUAGUGAAUGUUUGGGCCAUUCACAGGGACCCCAAUGUUUGGGAAGAGCCCAACAAGUAUAAGCCAGAAAGAUUUGAAGGAAUGGAUGAGGCCAUAAGGCUGGCUGGCUUGACAUUGGGCACUCUGAUCCAAUGCUUUGAGUGGCAAAGAGUUGGGCCUGAAAUGGUGGAUUUGGAAGAAAAUCAAGAAGCAACUUUGGGUAAGGCCAAGCCUUUGGAGGCAUCUUACAAGCCACGCCCAUCGAUGAUAAAAACAAUUUCCCAACUUUAAGUUAGAUAUGUUGUUCUAUUAAGACAAAUUGGGAUUUCUUUUUUUUUUUUUUUUAGAACUUAAAUAUCAAGAAAUAAGUGUCUGUUUUUUUUUUUUUGGUUUUGAGCUCCUCUUACAAUUUCAGAUUUGUAGUUGUAACUUUCUUUCAAUACAAGUUGAUGCUAAAAUUAUACAAAAUUAAGUAUUUUACGUGAAAAUGUGGAAAGUUAUAUGAUUCCAAUUAUACGUUGUGGAGAAGAAGAUGAAAAGCACAACUCCACAAGCCUAAUUAGAAUUCUUAUUUAUUCACCAAUCUAAUUGAGCACCAGGAGCCUGAAAACGGUGUGAAGAACCAAAAGGAAAUAACCAUUAUUCCAAUACAAUAGUAAUUGCACUGCUUUCAAAUUGAGUAUCUUAGUUUGCCCUAAUUGAAGCAUUCAAAGAAUAAGAGUUGAAAGUGACAAUGACUGGAAGAAAACUGGCAUCCAUGGAGACCCUAAUGUUUGGGAAGAAGCAAACAAGUUUAAGCCGGAAAGAUUUGAAGUGAUUUAUGAUGAAGGGUUCAAUUUUCUUCCAUUUGGAAAAGGAAAGAGAGCUUGUCCAGGAGCCGAUUUGGCUGUGAAGUUAGUUGCAUUGUCAUUGGGCACUUUGAUUCAAUACUUUGAUUCAAUGAAGGAUUUGGAAGAAAAUCCAGGCUCAAAUGGGGGCAGAGGCAAGCCUUUGGAGUCAUUAUACAAGCCAUGCGAGUGUAUGAUCAACUUGAUUUCUCAGCUUUAGUUAAGUUAGAGAUCGAUGUAGUAUAAUCCGUUCUUCUCUUCACUGAAAAGAAAAAAGAUAGAAAUAUUUCUUUCCAGAACAUAAAACUGCAAUUGGGGUAAGAAUGUCUAGGAACAAAGGGGAAUAUUAUAUGGCAUGAAGAAUUAAAUGCCUGAAUGCAAUGGUGGAUAAAGUAGACGAACAUCCUAUGCUCUGCAGCUCAGGCUUUUCAAUUAGUAGAUACAGCAAGGUCAUGGAAUCCAUUCCCAUCUUGACAUUUUUAUCGCUUCUCUUAUCAGUCAACGAAAAUUUUCUUUGCAGGGACUUGUCACAUGUUAGUGGUCACAUAUUGAAUAUUCCUAGUAGUUAAUGUCGCAUUCAGACAUUCCAAUUCACUAAGGCUUGUUCUAAAACUGCGUAAAAUUAAAAAUUAAACAUUACUUCCCAGUCAGCUUUAAAUAAUAUAUACACGAGAGAGAGAGAAAGAGAGAGAUUGAACAAAUAUUUUCUCUGAGAGGGAUUGAACACAUAUUCCAAUAGACUCAGGGCUUGUUCUAAAACUGCUUAAAAUUAAACAUUAACAUUCGCUUCCCAGUCAGCUUUAAAUAAAUAAAAAAAGGAUUGAUCAUACUAUGUCCCUUCAAGGUAUGGUUUAGUCACUCUUUAUAACGCAACAUCAGAAAUAUAUACUUUACCCCUCUCUUGACUAGUCAAAAUGUUAAAAAUGCUUAACACUGUUAAAAAAAAAAAAAGUGUUGAUAAGACUAAAAUAGCCAUGAUUUGGUACUGAAGGUAUAAUUGUAGCCUUGUUUUGGUGGAAAAUUAAGCAUGCAGUGCAUAUGACCUCAAAAAAAAAAAAAAGACAUUAAGUUUGUUUGGAUUGACUUGAUUUCAGAUAAAAUAAUUUACUUCACAAAUUUCAACCACCUUUUUAUCUUCCCAAUCAUCUUUUUAUCUUACAUACAUCACAUCACAAAAAGUGAUACAGUAACUAUCUCAAAUAAAUCAUCCAAAUAAACUCCUAUCCAAAUGCUAAGUGAAAAAAAAAACUCAUAGUUGACAGCAAGUAUGGUAAAAAACCCUUGAAGCAUCGAGAGAAACUAGAAAAAUUUGCCAAGAUGUGCUAAAGGGCUCAUUUGGGUUGUGAUGACUUAUCAAAAAACAUUUAAAAAUUGUUUAGGGUUGUGGUUCUUUUGUUAAAAAAGUGUUUUUGGGGGAUAAAAACACUUUUAAUGUAUUUGAUGGAAUUGCUCGAAUUUAGGAGUAGAGCUUUUCGCCAUAAAAGAGCUUUUAGCAUAGGUUUUAAAUUUUGAACUUUUAAAGUAACUUUUAUGUUUCAAAAAAAUAAAAUUUAACUUUAAUAAUUUUUUUUAAAUUUUGAGCUAAAAAAAGAGAUAAAUAAUUUAUAAACUCAAAAUUGCAUAUUAUUAAAUAGAAAAAGUACUUAUAUAAGUGUAUGCAUCUAAACAAUAUGAUUAACAACUUUGACUAAAAAAGUCUGUUUGGAGUUGCAGUAGUUUAUUAAAUAACAUUUCAAUUAGUAGAACUUUUCGUUAUCAAUGUACUUAUAAAGUGUUUAAUCAUAUUAUUUGGGUGUGUACUACUCCCUCCAUCUCAUAAAAUUUGUCAUGUUUGACACUUUUUCUUGUGCAAAAUUAAUUGUCAUUUUAGACAAGUCAACCCAUUUUUUUAUGAAAUUUUAUUUUUAUUCUUCAUGUGACUCACCACUUAUUCAAAUAAAAGAUGAUCUGCCACUAAAGAUAUAAAAGGAAAGUAAAAAUUCUCUUUCCUACUAAUAUCACUAUACAUAAAUUACACAUUUUUUGAAAAUAGAAUAAUACUUUUUCUAUUUGAUAAUGUGCCCUUUUGAAUUUGUAAAACAUAUUUAUCUUUUCAUUUAGUUUAAAAUUUAUAGUGAGAUUGUUAAAUUGAUUUUUUGUUUUUGAAAUACAAAAGUUGCUCUAAAACACUUAAAAAUUCUACUCCUAAAUUCAACAAAUUACACUCACCAAACAUAUUAAAUGCACUUUUAUCCUUCAAAGUACUCUUUUAGUAAAAGCACCCAAUCCCGGACGAGCCUACACUUUCACUUGAUUAAUGAAAAGGACGAAUUAGGCAACAAGAACAGUGCGCAAAACCAAAACCUUUCGCUACCACUUCCCCUUAGGCGGCUAAGAACUGCUCACUUCGGAAAUGUCCAUCGUUCUAGAGAGGAGUCUGUUCUGUUUCAUGGUCAGAAGAGCUUGGCUUCUGCGAAAGUGUUGCGAUCUGCUAGUCCAAGGUGGGGCGGAUCUUGUGCUUAUGAAGGUGACCAAGGACGGCAUUGCCUUGCAAACUGUAGAGGAGAACAUACAUGCCUCCGUCUUGAACUCUAAGUUCUUCCCUAUUUUCGUCCUAGAUAGUGACCAAUUCAUGAUGUAGAUGCCGUACAAUGGCUGAUCAAACUUUUCAAUUGGAUGGUAGAUGGAGACUUCAUGAGCUUCUUCUAUUGGAAGACUGGAUCGACGUAAUUCUUGUUCGAUCUAUAUCAGGAACCCUGUUGGUAACUGGUGGACAUCUGGUCGAGGCAUCCUAUUUGCUGAAUGGCUUUUAUGUAACAUAUUGAGAAAGAUUAGAAGACUGAUUCAUGAUUUCUCAGCUUUUAGACGGCGUAUUUUUCAGGAGGUCAAUUCCUCUGCGAAUAGGUUAGCGGCUAUUAGAACAUCUGGUGAAUUGAUAUUUGAUCAUAUGCAGUAGUUGCCUUCUCUAGUUGGAACUCAUCUUGUUCUAGUUUCGCAAGAUUUGUCAUCGGUUCGUAUGAUAUUGUCUUCAUUCGGUUGAGGUCAGAUUUUGGCUGUCAGUUCUUUUACUCUUUCAAUUUUAUGGUAAUAAAAAAAUAUUAUUUCCCGCUAAAAAAAGAUUAAAAUACAAAGUAUAAGUAUAAAACUCUCUUAAUAUCUUGUCCAAGAGGAAAAAUCCAAUUUUGACCAUGUCCACGACCAUUUUGAUGCUGUGACCUACAAAAUUCAUAAAGACGCAUAUUAACUUAAGAAAUACAAGAAGCAUACUAAACACUAGAAAAACACUAAAUGGUUGGAUUACCUUCCAACAAGUGCUUUGUUUAAAAUCGUUAUACUGCAGUUUUCACUAUUUAUUUUAAUGAAGAGAAGAAGCCCCUGAGUAAACUACCCCUUUUGGGGCUAUUUCACUUGUUAAAUAAGUCUUUAAACUCUACCCAUUCACCUUAAAAGAUUCAUUUUUACCAUUUGUUAUGUCUACCGAUUCAUAGGAAAGUACUCUUGUCAGUUCAAAUGGAUUAGAGCACCUAGAUUUUAACUUGUCUGGAAAAUAAUUUAAGGUAUGAAUUGUACGAUAACACCUUAACGUCCAAUUUCAAAUUGUUCAUGAAGGAUGCUUGUCAUGUUGAAACUUCACAUUUUUCUUAUAUAUCUUGGCAUUCUCAUACAAAGUCAAAUGAAAUUCCUCCAAUUCACUCAAUUCAAGCAAUUUCUUCUCACCUGCAACAUGAAAAUCCAUAUUAAUAGCCUUCAUAGCCUAAUCUGCUUUAUGCUAGAUGGCAUAUUUUUCAAUAAAUUAGUCGAUAAGGCGACAUUCCCAACAGAGUCUUAAAUACCAUGCUAUAGUUCCAUAAUACAUCAUCUAACUUAUCGUCUAAUCCUUCCUUGACUUGUUCACUAUUUUCUCUAAAAUGAGUUUGAGCUCCCAAUUAGCAAACUUUGCUUGGCCAUUCACUUGCAGGUGAUAAGGAAGUGAAAUUUUGUGCUUGCAACCAUAUUUAAGCAAUAAAAUGUCAAAUGAUUUAUUACAAAAAAUGUUUGCCUUUGUCAUUUUUAAUGGUUUUUGAAAUUCCAAACCUGCAAAAUAUAUUACUUUUAAGGAAUUUAAUUACAACUUUAGCAUCAUUAAUAGGCAAUGCAAUAACUUUUACCUAUUUCGACAUAUUGUCAACUGCUACAGGAGUCAUUGAAGUUUCCUUGAAUCUCUUCUUCUGCUUUCUUUUUUGCUCUAAAAUACUGCAUGUAAGUUGAUCUAACAUCAUACUUUUUCAUCUUAGCUCCUAUCCCCUCGUUAGAUAUGAUAAGAUGAUCUCUCAUCAAAGGAAUCAGUUUUUUUAUAAUCUAGUCAGAUGUAGUCUCAAUAUUAUUCCUAUCCAUCGCACAAGUGUGUUUAGGUUGGUAGGCUUUAAUCAUAAAAGUGAUGGAAUCAGCCACUGGUGAUGCAUGAAUCCUCCAUUUGCAACCAUCCACAUCAUAAAUAGCAGUCACUCUAGUUUUCUCAUUCUUCAAACUAAGUAUUGAAAAUCGUUUUUGAAUUACAUAAUCUUUCAAGAUUGCUAUAAACGAAUCCACAUUAGUGAAGAAUUGAACUUUUUCAAAUUCUAUAUCAUCUCUAUGGUUGUAAGUCCACAUUUUUUAUCUCAACACUUCUAUCAUAGGGUGAGACUCUUGAUCAAAUUCAGAAUUAAAAACAAUCUCACCAUCUUCAUUUUCUUCAAAAUUAGAAAAAUUGGCAUCACUUGAUUCACUACUAUUCACUAACAUAGCAUUAGCAUUUGCAUCAACUUCAUUGUCACUGUCAAGCAUAUGUUUUCAUGAAUCAUUAAAACUAGAAUCCUCAUAUUCAUCAUCAGAUAUUUCAAGGUUAGUAAUCAUCCUUUUAGAAGUCUGAUCAAGACCUAAAUUCUCUUGAGUGUUUUCAAAAUUUUUAUCAGCAUUGGUAUUACCAUAUUCAGUUGAAAUAAUUUUUAUGUCAUAUACAUGUAAAUUGAUUACAAUUUCAAAUUGAUGCAUUUUGAACAUGUCGACAACUGCAUCAUCAUCAUUAACAUCGCACAUUUUAUUUUCACCGGGAAUUUCCUUCCUUGUAUUUAUCAGCAUAUUUACAUUUUCUGACAUUUCUCUCAAUACUUUUUAAAUCACAUCAUAUAGCAAGUUACUGUACAAGUAUUCAUUAGGAUCAACAUUCGGGAUCCUGACUUUCUUUCCCUUGCAGUGCACAACUAUGUCAUAAGUACCAAUGACCAUCUUACAUUAUUCACAAUAAUUGUUAAUUACUAACAACUACAUGUGAAAAUUCUACCAUACACAUACAAUUUUACUCAACAAACCAAUAAUAAAUGCACAAUACAAAUUUACAAAUCAAUAAUCAGAAUAAACAACUUAUGUCUCGCAUAUGCACUAAAAUUAUUUAUAUAGUCAUCUGAUCAAUGAGUCUAUCAAAUAACUUUUCUUAUAAACACAUAUGACAUACAUAAUUGUACUGCCUAACAUUGAUAAAAUAAUGUCACCAUCUAUCCAUAUAUAGAAUCUGUAAAGACUCACAAAAAAAAAAUAUCUAUUUUAAACUCAAAAUUCUAGCUUAUUUAAUUAUUUAUUUGGCCAAAUGCUCCGAUUAUUAUUUUCUAACCUUUUUAGACCUAAUGUGAUGGAUCUAUAGCUUAGUUAUAUUUUUAAAGUGUCUCGUUUUAAAAUUUAAUUUCUAAAGGCUCGUUAAGUGAAAAUAGUUAAUACGCGAUUGGAGUAAAUAAUCGAUUCGAGGAUACAAUAAGUUUGGAAAAUUGGAGACUUGUACAUUAGUUCUAAAAUAGGUAUUUUUAUGUAUAAGUGUUCAAAGGUUAGUUAGUUAUAUUACGGUUAUAAGAACUUCUUAGAAAUUUCACUAUCUCGCGCUUAAAUUGGAAAUACGCGUUUUUACGCGCGCGAGUAAUUGAGGAGCCUUAGACCGUUAUUUUGGGAUUAUUAAGAGUGAAUAAUAAUAAUAUGAAUGUAAGUGCAUUAGAGGUUUAGUGCACUAGUACAAUAAAGUCGAGAGGAAUCGAGUAAGAAACGCAUGCGCAUGUGCAUUAUUUUAGUGGACAACUUUGAGCAAAUUUGAGCCACAAGUUUUAAGCUUACCUUAGAAGCUAAUAACAUUAGAAUUUCCUUCCUCACAUACACUCAAACAGCCGAGCAACAAAGGAAGAACAGGACAAGAAAAUUCUUCCACUCUUUCUCCUCAAUUCCUUGCUCAAAUUACCUCCAAAUUUUACACACAACACUCAAAGCACUUGGUGAUCAAGAUAAGCUAGGAAAGGAGCUGCCUCUCACGAUUUUUCUCCAGCUCAAAGUGACCGAAAUUUCUGUCUUGGCUCUCUAAGAAAGUAAGUAAUGAUCAACCACUUAAUUCUUGAUUUAUGGAAGAUAGAUUACACUCAUGAGCUCUUGAAUUCUCAUGGGCAGCGUUAAAUUGUUAGAAAAUUGGUGAGUGGGCUCUAUGAAAUCCCACAAUGACUUUGAUGAUCUGAUUUGAUAAGAUUGGAUGUUAAUUGUGUUGAUUAGGUGUUAAUUUAGUAGAGUUAAGUGAUAAAAGUGAAAAGGAAGUCAAAUGAGGGGUUGCAUGUGAAGGUGCCGAUUCUGCCCUGCCAUUUUUGUGCAUUUUAGUGUACUUUCUUGAAGUCCAAUUGACUUGUUUCUAAUGCAAAUGUGUAAUAUAGGUUGUGUAUAAAGUUUUCUCAAAAUUUUACGUGAUUUGGGUGAGUGCAUGUUGAGAUUUAGAAAAUUUGCCAAAACUGGAAUUGUGUCCCGUAUUAUUCUGGCAAUGAUUUUGUUUAGACUAUAACUCUUUGUCCCGAUGUCAAAAUCGAGUGCCGUUUGCGGCACUGGAAAUUAGACAUUCCCAGCUUUCCAACAUUAUAAAAUACACAUUCUGAUUCCACUUGAGUGAACUACACCAACCGUUUGAACUUGGCUGCACUGUUUCGUUGGUUCACUGGAAGGCAGAACAUGAACUACAACUUGAUGCUUAAAUGUGGGCUAGUUGUGGACAGAUUUUGAAAAUGGUUUCUUCUAAGAAAUUGUAGCUCUAUGAAUGUGUUUUCUAAUGACACAACCAUGCUCAAUUCCGAGUUGAAUUGAGUGAUUUAUGACCAAAAUUCGAAUCUGGUAUUGUGAAGAAAUACCAUGCAUUUGGACAGAUUUGAAACUAACAAUGAUUUGGAACUUUGUUAUCCGAAGCUUCUUAGUGUAUAUCACUUAUCAAAUGUACCUUGGACAUAUUUUAGACAUUACCUACUGGAAUGGACCAAGUUUCAGAUGUUUCUUGACCAAAUGCUUGGAAACGGCAAAACGGAAGUUCAAAGGCAGUUUAGCCUUAGAAUUUCUUGUGAUUUCAACGGUCUCGUUAACCGAUUUCCGAGCAUAUUUUCCUAUGAAAUUUGGCAAAGGAGUGGCCCUUAUACGGUAGUAUAUUCAUACCAAAUUGGCUCUGUUCCGAGUCCGUUUUGAUACCUAACUAAAGUCCCAAAGUUUGGAACUUAAAUCUGGAAAAUUGGCUUAACAGUUUCGGUUUUUCACCAACUUUGAGCUAUUGUAUCUUGAUGCUCAAAACUUCGAUUCUCGUUCCGUUUAUUUUUUUUUAAACUUGGAUUGCAACCCUAAUAGAGUUCCAAAUUCCAGAGGUUAGUUCAAAUCAAGUGAAUUUUUCCGAAUUUUCAAAGUUGGCCAAAAACCAACUUAAACUUGUCUUCAAUGUCCCAAAACAGCAACUUUGAGCUAAUUUUUGGAUACCUUCCAUUUAGAAUCCUGGAAAGGUGUCUUCUAGGAACUUUUAGUACUUCCUAAGAGGUUUCCAACAGUACCAAUUUUUCCAAUUUUGGACUUGUAAAGAGUGAAAUACGAUAUUUCAAAGAUCUCGUAUCAAAACUGAAAUUUCCGAAUCUUAAGGAAAUGGAGUUUUUCAAAUUCUCCUUAUUCCUUUGAUAUUACUUGAACGUUUUAUAUUUGAUUUCAAAGAUGAGAACUCGAUUUCUUUUGUACUUUAAAACCCCACUUUUGAGCCUUAAUUCGCAAGUAAUUUAGGCUCAUUUUAGUGAAAUUUUCUAGGAUUGUACAAGCGUGCAAUCUUUCUUGAUAAUUGGGCUUUAUAAGUAUUUGUUCACUAUUAAUUGCUCAGGCUCGCACGAGAACCUUCAAGAGGAUCCUACUGUAGAUGCUUGAACUUCAAGUAACAAUUCUCCUUGGUUGACUUGGUGAGCGUCAAGUGCAUGACUACUUGAAUUCCUGUGGACUUGAUACACGUUUACUUGUUAUUCAUGACUUGAAAUUUUGAAAAUGGAGUCGAGUGUGUACUUUAUCGUACUCGUUCUCAUUUGAAAUAAAUAACUCAUGAUUAACUUGCUUGACAUGAAAUAAAUGACCUGCUGGACAUCACCUGAAUGCUUGAAUACAUCAAAUGCUUGCUUGACUUGAAAUAGUAUGCUAUGGCUGCAUACGUCACUGAAGUAAAUCUCCUUGACACUCAAAUGCACAUGGGGGACGCCCAAACUCAUAGGUCGACCUUGGAACUCGAGCUGGCAUGGGCUUGGACGGGAACCUCGGUGUGCCAUGAGAAUCACAUGAUAAGCUUGAUCUAUUGGAGAGAUCUUGCUUGGCAUACUCGUUGAGUACCGCCUCAUAAAUGACGUGCGGGCCCGGUUGUGGUAUGUACGGUGGACGGACAUGAGAAGUAAGUGGAGAUCUACGGAUUUGAAAUACCGACCUGGUUGACGGAGAGUCAUCGCGGGAAGGUAUACGAAUGACCUUGGCAAAGCAAGUGAAACUUAACUCCUGAGAGCUACCAUAUCCUUGAAUUGUUUCUGUUUACAUUUCAUUGGAAUUGACAAUUACUUGUACUUUAUUAUGUGACCUGUUAAUUGGGCUUGUUAUUUGGACUAUGUCCUUGCAUGUGUGUCCUUGACCUCACGAGCGUUUUGCUCACCCUGUAGAUUUGUUUUCCUUAAUAGGAUUGGGCAUGGAAUGAUACUUGGAGGAACUCUUUUGAUGCAUUUUUGGCUUAGUGUUUCUAAUAUAUUUUGGGCUAGACCUUUUAUUGGUUGUACUAUUGGGAACUUAAUGUAUGAUUUGGAUAUUUGAUGUACCUAGAUGUUAUAUAUUUUGGGUAUUGAUGUAACUUUUGGGAAUUUAAUGUAAUGAUUGGAUAAGCGUUAUAUAUAUAUUGUUAAGUUUGGAAGUUUUCCGCACUUUCUUACUUAUCUAGUAUUGUUGAAUAGUUUUACAUUAAGCUUGAACGGAAAUUGCUUGAGUCUUGGUGAGAGUUGGGCAGGCGUCCCGCGGAUACCCUCUGGUUCGCCUUAGGGAGAAGUGGGGGCAUCACAGUUGGUAUCAGAGCACUAGGUUAGAGAUCUAUAUGGGAGACAUACUAGAUACUUUACCCUUAAGACCUGAGACCGGACGAUUUAGUCAUACCUUAAGUGAUAUUUGGGCGAACUAGUGACUAUGUUAGACAUACCCUAAGUGACAUCUGUGCGAGUGAGUGAUUAAGGUUCUAACCUAAAAAGUGUAAUUGUUUUGCAGGGAUGGAAAAUAGAAACGAGACUUCGGCAACUAAUGGGAAUGGCCAUGCUAAUGGUCACGUAGAGUUUUCUAGGCCCAUUUACUACCGAGUUCUGAGUGGAGGAGUUCACGUGCGAUAUGCACCUUAUGAUGGAUAUCCUCGUUGCCCAUGUAGGGUGAUAUUUGCCUACCCGAAUCAUAUUGUGCUAGCAUUGGACGAUGAGCGUCGUCAGUUGGUGACCGCCAACUUAGACUUACAGGCCGAAGUGAACGAGUUUAGACAGAUGGUUAGUGCUCAGGGCGAGAGGAUCGCUGAGGUUGAGGAGGUAGUAGAGGGCGAGGUGGCUACAGCUGCAGUUGUUCGUGAGGAGCUCCAGAGUAUUAGAGCUUGACUUACUAGAUUAGGAGGAGAGGUCCGUGAUCGGGCUUCCAGGAUCUUGGCUGAUGCCACUGAGAUGAUAGAGGGAGUGGCGGAUAUAGUUCAGAGCCCGGUCCAGGAGGAGGACCCUGAGGAGGAGAUUCCGCCUGGUAGUCCUGCUGUGGACUAGGUCCCUAGUGAUCGACUCUUUUAACCCUUUUGACUGGUGUAGAUAGGAUUAGCAGGGGUGAUGCUACGUGCUGAGGCCAUUGUAUUUUGCAUGACUGUGUAACCAACUUUUGUGGCACUUGCUUUUACUUUAGUCUUCUGUGACUAAAAGUACUCUUGUAGCACUUGCGUGCUAUAUUUUUAUGAUUUUUCCAUGACUUGCUAAUUGUAUGAACUUGAAAUGAUAAUGAAUGUAAAUUAUUGUUAUUUUCAAUGCUUUCGUGAUUGGUUCUUGUUUUAAGUAUUUUCUCACGAAAUUGAUUUAUUUCUUGCACUAGGCACAUCUAGGAUAAUGGACGGACAAAGAAGUGGUCGAGACCGUGAUCGAGGCCGUGGGCGAUGGACUGGACAGGCCAAAUCUCAUGGAGAUGAUCAGGGAUCGGCAACUGGACCGACCCAGGGACAGGAAAAUAUAAAGGGAAAUCAAGUGGCUACUGCCAUCAAUAGGAGGACUGAUAUCCUAGAACGCUUAGCUGAUAGGCAAGGUCCUGGACCACUUAACCAACCUGGGGGACGGGAAAGAGGAGAGAACUGAGCCUUAGAAAGAUUUUUGAAGUUUAAUCCGCCUAAAUUCGUUGGUGAACCCGAUCCUGAGGUAGCGAAGAAUUGGUUGGAAAGAAUGACUAAUAUAUUCGCCGCCUUAGACUAUACCGAGAAUAGGCAAGUGAAUUUUGCUGCUUUCCAAUUUGAGAGAGUGGCUCGUGCUUGAUGGGACAUGAUAAAAGGAAAACGAGAGAGAGUUCAAACCCUUUGGACUUGGGAGAAUUUCACGAGGGAGUUUAAUGAAAAAUUUCUUCCACCUCUGAUUCAAGAAAAGAGGGAGGAUGAAUUUAUCAAGUUGAAACAAGGGACCCAUAGUGUAGCUGAAUAUGAAGGAAAAUUUACUAAACUUUCUAAGUACGCUCCUGAAUUGGUAACCAAUGAGCGAAAGAGGAUAAGGCGGUUUGUGCAGGGACUUAAUGUAGAAAUCCAAGAGGGCUUAGCUGCACCUCAAAUCUCCACCUUUAUUGAGGCUUUAGACAAAGUACAACGGGUAAAAAGUGCAAGAAUGCAAGUUAAAGACUUUCACAAUAAGAAGAGAAACUUUUCUAGUCGUACUUCUGGACAGACUAGUAAGAGUUCACAGCCUUCUAAAGUUGGAAAAGGAAUGGGAGGAAUAAGGACUACUGGACCUCUUAGUGGAGCUUUAUCCAGAGGAGGUCAUAGUGGACCGGUUCAGACUAGGGGAGCGCCUUCUAGUGGUUCAGCCGUGACCCCUCAAGUCACUUGUGGAUACUGUGAAAAAUCCAACCACUCUGAGAAUGAAUGCUGGAGGAAGUUUGGGAAGUGUUUAGCUUGUGGUAGCACGGAGCACCAACUCGUGAACUGUCCAAGUAAAACGAAGAUGGGAGGUAACACUCAGAAGCCAGAAAAGUCAACCUCUAAACAGACUAGUGCUGGAGGAAGUCGACCGAAAGUACCGGCUAGGAUCUAUGCACUGGACUAUCAACAGGUCCCUGAGGCGACUGAGGUGGUUCAAUGUACAAUUCCAAUUUUUCACCGUUUAGCUAGGGUUUUAAUUGAUUCGGGUGCAACACAUUCUUUUGUAAACCUUAACUUUAUGAGUGUGAUAGAUUUGAACCCAAUUAAAUUACCAUAUGACUUGGAGGUUAGAACACCUACUGGAGACAAAAGUUUAAUUGCUAACCUGGUGUAUAGGGAUUGUGAAAUCUGUUUUGGGGAACGAAAAUUGUUGGCCGAUUUGAUAGGUUUAGCAAUUAAGGGAUAUGAUGUGAUUUUAGGGAUGGAUUGGCUAGCCCGUUAUAAUGCCCAGUUGAAUUGUAGGACAAAAAUUGUAGAAUUGUGUAUUCCAGGAGAAGCAACCCUGAAGUUGGAUGUGAGGGGUAAGUUGGUUUCGUCUGCACUUAUUUCAGGAAUUCGGGCUAGAAGAUUAUUAAGUAAAGGAGUUCAAGGUUAUUUGGCCUUCCUUAUUAACACCCCUAGUGAUAAGGUGAAUUUGGAGGACAUGCCUGUAGUAAAAGACUUUCUAGAUGUUUUUUCUGAAGAGUUAGAGUCUUUGUCCCCGGAACGGGAUAUAACUUUUAAGAUUGAUGUGACCCCGAGAGUAACACCUAUCUCUAAGAUGCCAUAUCGAAUGGUUCCAGCCGAAUUGAAAGAAUUAAAAUUACAACUACAGGAUUUGUUGGAACAUGAUUUUAUAAGGGAAAGUGAUUCACCGUGGGGAGCCCCGGUUUUAUUUAUUAAGAAGAAUGAUGGGAGUUUGAGACUGUGCAUAGAUUACCGAGGCUUAAAUGAUGUUACAGUUAGGAAUAAGUACCCACUGCCCCACAUUGAUGACUUGUUUGACCAAUUUUAAGGGGCGGUAGUAUUCUCGAAAUUGGGUUUGAAACAAGGUUACUAUCAAUUGAGGAUUUUGGAGAAGGAUAUACCAAAGAUUGCUUUUAACUCAAGAUACGGGCACUUUGAGUUUGCCGUAAUGCCGUUUGGGUUAACAAAUGCACCUGCUGCUUUCAUGGAUUUAAUGCAUAGGGUUUUUAAACCUUACUUGGACCAAUUUGUCGUGGUCUUUAUUGACGAUAUUUUGGUGUAUUCUAAAAAUAUGGAGGAUCAUGAGAAGCACUUGAGGAUUGUUUUGCAAACUCUAAGGGAACAUCAAUUGUAUGCUAAGUUUAGCAAGUGUGAGUUUUGAUUAAAAGAAAUGACUUUCUUGGGACACAUAAUUUCUAAGGAAGGGAUUAAAGUAGACCCGGCCAAAGUUGAAGCUGUUUCAAAAUGAAAACGACCGGAAAACCCUACUGAGAUCUGAAGCUUUAUUGGAUUAGCAGGGUAUUACCGGAGAUUUAUUCAAGAUUUUUCUAGAAUUGUUGGACCCAUGACCGAGUUAACCAAGAAAAGUAAAAAGUUUAUAUGGAGUUCUAAGUGUGAAGAAAGCUUUCAAGAGUUAAAAAGACGUUUGACUAAGGCGCCAGUGUUACCCCUAUCGAACGGAAAAGAUAACUUUGUGGUCUACACAGAUGCUUCCAAGGAAGGAUUAAGUUGUGUUUUAAUGCAAAAUGACAAAGUGAUAGCCUAUACCUUUAGGAAAUUGAAACCGCAUGAAGGAAAUUACCCGACCCAUGACUUGGAGUUAGCAGCGGUGGUAUUUACUUUAAAGAAAUGGAGGCAUUACCUGUACGGGGUGACGUUCGAUGUUUUCACUGACCACAAAAGCCUUAAGUACUUAUUUUCUCAGAAGGAGCUGAAUUUAAGGCAACGUAGAUGGAUGGAAUUUCUAGAAGAUUAUGAUUGCACGAUAAAGUAUCAUCCAGAAAAAGCCAAUAUAGUGGCUGAUGGUCUAAGUCGUCAAGUACAAGUGGCCGAAUUGAUGAUUAAGGAGCUUCAUUUGUUAGAAGAAAUUAGUUAUUGGAAUCCUCGAUUGGAGCCGAGAAAAAUAAUCUUUGGGAACAUUGUAGUGAAUUCCAUUUUGAUAGGACGUAUUAAAGAGUCUCAGGAAAAAAAUCCUGUAGUGCAAAAGUGGGUGGAAAGUGUCGAAAAGGGAGAAAAGUCGGAUUUUAAUUUGGGAUCAAAUAGUAUUGGGUAAACAACAAAAAAACCCCUUGUGGUUAAGCAAUCAUACAUAAAAAUCCCCUGUGAUUUCAUAUCAUACCAGUCGAUAUCCCGUGGUUUGAAUUAACCUGAAAAGUGGACGGAAAUCGUCAAAACAGACGGAGCUGAGUGAAUAGACGAAAAUAUCCUUUUGAUAUAAGCGAAAAUUGCAGAAGUAAUUUUGCACUUUCAUUCUAUCGAAACCAACGAAGAGAGAGAGAAAGAAAUAGAAAACCCUAGAGAGAGAUAGAGCAGCCCCUUUUCUAGCCAAUUUUCAACAAAAUGGGGCGUGAUUCAGCGGACGACGUUCAAGGACAAGACGUUUCCGGAGUCAGACGAUCAAACGGGGUUGGCUUAUCUGAUCCUGAAAGAGAGAGAGAAAUGGGGGAACAAAAUUUACAUGGAGGAUGUAUAUUAUUUUGAGGGGUACUGGAUGGAAAUCGUGGGGACGCUGGAGAGCAUCACCGACACAUACACGGGGAUUGAGAAGCAGGAGAGGAGACUGAGGAGGCGGCAUGCAGAGAGAGUGGGGGAGAGUUAUGGUAAGGUGUGGGAGCAGCACCUUAAGGACGCUGGGUAUGGGAGGGGGAGUUGGAGGAGACCGUUCAUGACUCACUUCACGGGGUGUCAGCCUUGUAGCUGGGACCACAACCAGAUGUACUCUGGCCAGUCUUGCUGGGAUGCAAUGCAAAUUGCUUUGAAUUUUGCUGAUAAUCAGGUGCUUAGGAGAUAUGGGUUCGUGCACCGGGAUUUAUUGGAUACGUCCACCGUCUUGCCUCUGUCGUUCGAUUACCCAGCAUCGGACCUUGUUGAAGGCGCUUCCGAGAAAUAUUUUAUUCUAACCAACUGUUUCCUACCAUCAUCGGAGGCUUUACUAGUAGUAUCAUUAUUGAUUUAUGAAACGAUUAGUGUCAUAUAGAAAGAACCCACAUUCAUUUUUUUCACACAUAAAAUAUAACAAUCCUUUCGAUGGCUUUUCCGACUCAACAAUCUUUAGCUUUGCUUUCCUUCGACAAUUACAUACCUUGUACUGGUAUCGAAGACCUCUGCCUCCAUUUCCCCCGCUUGUUGGUCGAGAGCUUGAGGAAGACAUCUUAGGGUACUUUUUGCACUUUUCCUUUAGAAUUUGCAGACCGAAUAUAUACAAAUAUAGUUCACAUUUUUACCUUAAAGCUUUGUUUCCUGCAAUUCCUUUGCUAGCCUGCAAGCUCUGCACAGGCUUCGAAUGUUGCCUUCAAUCUUCAAUUUUGGCCGAACUUGAAGACUCGGAAGACUUGGAAGCUGGUCUCUUAUUAUUAAAGAGUGAAGGGUAAAGUAGGUAUAUCAGGUGAAAGUUUGUGGUGGAAAUCUAUUUUUCGCAUAUGCACGCCCCUUUGCAGUUCGUUUAAGACACACGCCGAAUAUUUGACGAUUUCCGUCCACUUUUCAGGUUAAUUCAAACCACGGGGUAUCGACUGGUAUGAUAUGAAAUCACAGGGGACUUUUAUGUAUGAUUGCUUAACCACAGGGGGCUUUUUUGUUGUUUACCCAAUAGUAUUUUGAAGUUUCAGAAUCAGAUAGUAGUGCCAAAAGAUGAAGGGUUUAAGAAGAAAAUUUUAGAAGAGAAACACCAAUCGAAGUUUACGGUACACCCUGGAGGGAAUAAAAUGUACCAAGAUUUGAAGAGUUUGUACUGGUGGGAGAGCAUGAAAAAGAAAAUUUUCCAAUUUGUCCAAACCUGUUUAAUUUGUCAACAGGUUAAAGCCGAACAUUAGAAACCAUCAGAAAUUUUGCAACCUUUGGAAAUACCUGAGUGGAAAUGAAAGAACAUCACUAUGGAUUUUGUAUCAGAAUUACCGAGGACACAAAGUGUCCAUGAUGCCAUUUGGGUAAUAGUGAAUAGAUUGACCAAAUCGGCUCAUUUUCUGUCGAUUAAUAUGAAAUACCCAUUGGAGAAGUUAGCUAAACUGUACAUGGAUGAGAUUAUCAGGUUACAUGAAAUACCGGUAAGUAUUGUAUCUGAUAAAGAUCCAAGAUUUGUUUCGAGAUUCUAGCAAAAAAUGCAAGAGGUGCUGGGGACUAAAUUGAAUUUCAGUACUACUUACCAUCCCCAAACCGAUGGACAGUCCGAGCGGACGAUUCAAACACUUGAGGAUAUGUUGAGGACUUGUGUUUUGGAUUUUGGGGAGAGUUGGAGUAAAUUUUUAACACUAGUGGAAUUUGCAUAUAAUAAUAGUUUUCACUCUUCUAUUCAAAUGACUCCAUAUGAAGCACUUUAUGGUCGGGAGUGUAGAUCACCGAUUUAUUGGGACGAAAUAGGUGAACGAAAGAUUUUAGACCCGACUACAGUGCCCUGGAUUGAGGAAGCUAAUGAGAAAGUAAAGUUAGUACGUCAGAGAAUCCAAACUGCACAAAGUCGUCAAAAGAGUUAUACAGAUAAUCGGAGAAAGGACUUGAAAUUUGAAGUUGGAGAUCUAGUAUUUCUCAAGAUUACACCUCUGAAAGCAAGUUUAAUGUCUGGGAAGGGAAAGAAAUUACAACCAAGAUUUGUAGGACCUUACAAAGUUAUCCAACAUGUAGGAAAUGUAGCCUAUAAGUUGGAAUUGCCACCGAGGCUGUCUCGGAUUCAUAAUGUUUUCCAUGUGUCCAAGCUUAAGAAGUACCAUCUAAACCCUUCUCAUAUUUUGCAACCUGGAAAGUAUUGAGAUUGAUAAGACUGUGAUCUAUGAGGAGAGACCGGUGAAACUUCUGGAUAGAAAGGUAAAAGAAUUGAGAAAUAAGCAGAUACCUUUAGUAAAAGUUCUCUGGAGGAACCACGAACUAGAGGAAGCGACCUGAGAAGUUGAAGAGGCAAUCCGAGGAAAGUAUCCAGGCCUGUUCGCAGAUCAAGGUAAAUUUCGAGGACAAAAUUUUCUUAAGGGGGAGAGGAUGUAAAGACUCACAAAAAAAAUAUCUAUUUUAAACUCAAAAUUCUAGCUUAUUUAAUUAUUUAUUUGGCCAAAUGCUCCGAUUAUUAUUUUUUAACCUUUUUAGACCAAAUUAGAUGGAUCUAUAGCUUAGUUAUAUUUUUAAAGUGACUCGUUUUAAAAUUUAAUUUCUAAAGGCUCGUUAAGUGAAAAUAGUUAAUACGCGAUUGGAGUAAAUAAUCGAUUCGAGAAUACAAUAAGUUUGGAAAAUUGGAAACUUGUACAUUAGUCCUAAAAUAGGUAUUUUUAUGUAUAAGUGUUCAAAGGUUAGUUAGUUAUAUUACCGUUACAAGAACAUCUUAGAAAUUUCACUAUCUCGCGCUUAAAUUGGAAAUACGCGUUUUUACGCGUGCGAGUAAUUGAGGAGCCUUAGACCAUUAUUUUGGAACUAUUAAGAGUGAAUAAUAAUAAUAUGAAUGUAAGUGCAUUAGAGGUUUAGUGCACUAGUGCAAUAAACUGGAGAGGAAUCGAGCACGAAACGCACGCGCACAUGCAUUAUUUUAGUGGAUUUGAGAAAAUUUGAGCCACAAGUUUUAAGCCUACCUUAGAAGCUAAUAACAUCAGAAUUUCCUUCCUCACAUACACUCAAAUGGCCGAGCAACAAAGGAAGAACAGGACCAGAAAGUUCCUCCACUCUUUCUCCUCAAUUCCUUGCUCAAAUUACCUCCAAAUUUUACACACAACACUCAAAUCAUUUGGUGAUCAAGAUAAGCUAGGAAAGGAGCUGCCUCUCACGGUUUUUCUCCAGCUCAAAGUGACCGAAAUUUCUGUCUUGGCUCUCUAAGAAAGUAAGUAAUGAUCAACCACUUAAUUCUUGAUUUAUGAAAGAUAGAUUACACUCAUGAGCUCUUGAAUUCUCAUGGGCAGCUUUAAAUUGUUAGAAAAUUGGUGAGUGGGCUCUAUGAAAUCCCACAAUAAUUUUGAUGAUCUGAUUUGAUAAGAUUAGAUAUUAAUUGUGUUGAUUAAGUGUUAAUUUAGUAGAGUUAAGUGAUAAAAGUGAAAAGGAAGUCAAAUGAGGGGUUGCAUGUGAAGGUGCCGAUUCUGCCCUGCCAUUUUCGUGCAUUUUAGUGUACUUUCUUGAAGUCCAAUUGACUUAGUUCUGAUGCAAAUGUGUAAUAUAGGUUGUGUAUAAAGUUUUCUCAAAAUUUUACGUGAUUUGGGUGAUUGCAUGUUGAGAUUUAGAAAAUUUGCCAAAACUGGAAUUGUGUCCCGUAUUACUCUGGCAGUGAUUUUGUUUAGACUAUAACUCUUUGUCCCAAUGUCAAAAUCGAGUGCCGUUUACGACACUGGAAACUAGACAUUCCCAUCUUUCCAACAGUAUAAAAUGUACAUUCUGAUUCCACCUGAGUCAACCACACCAACCAUUUGAACUUGGCUGCACUGUUUCGUUGGUUCACUGGAAGGUAGAACAUGAACUACUUCUUGAUGCUUAAAUUUGGGCUAGUUUUGGACAGAUUUUGAAUAUUGUUUCUUGUAAGAAAUUGUAGCUCUAUGAAUUUUUUUUCUAACGCCACCAACUAUGCUCAAUUCCAAGUUGAAUUGAGUGAUUUAUGAUCAAAAUUCGAAUCUGGUAUUGUGAAGAAAUACCAUGCAUUUGGACAGAUUUGAAACUAACAAUGAUUUGGAACUUGUUAUCCGAAGCUUCUUAGUGUAUAUCACUUAUCAAAUGUACCUUGGACAUAUUUUAGACAUUACCUACUGGAAUGGACCAGGUUUGAGAUGUUUCUUGACCAAAUGCUUGGAAACAGCAAAACGGAAGUUCAAAGGCAGUUUAGCCUUAGAAUUUCUUGUGAUUUCAACGGUCUCGUUAACCGAUUUCCAAACAUAUUUUUCUAUGAAAUUUGGCAAAGGAGUGGCCCUUAUAAGGUAGUAUAUUCAUACCAAAUUUGGCACUGUUCCGAGUCCGUUUCGAUACCUAACUAAAGUCUCAAAGUUUAGAACUUAAAUCUGGAAAAUUGGCUUAACAGUUUCGGUUUUUCACCAACUUUGAGCUAUUGUAUCUUGGUGCUCAAAACUCCGAUUCUCGUCUGUUUAUUUUUUUUUAAACUUGGAUUGUAACCCUAAUUGAGUUCCAAAUUCCAGAGGUUAGUUCAAAUCAAGUGAAUUUUUCCGAAUUUUCAAAGUUGGCCAAAAAUCAACUUAAACCUGUCUUCAAUGCCCUAAAACAGCAAUUUUGAGCUAAUUUUUGGAUACCUUCUAUUUAGAAUCCUGGAAAGGUGUCUUCUAGGAACUUUUAGUACUUCCUAAGAGAUUUUCAACGGUACCAAGUUUUCCAAUUUUGGACUUGUAAAGAGUGAGAUACGAUUUUUCAAAGAUCGCGUAUCAAAACUGAAAUUUCCGAAUCUUAAGGAAAUGGAGUUUUUCGAAUUCUCCUUAUUCCUUUGAUAUUACUUGAACGUUUUAUAUUUGAUUUCAAAGAUGAGAACUCGAUUUCUCUUGUACUUUAAAACCCCACUUUUGAGCCUUAAUUCGCAAGUAAUUUAGACUCAUUUUAGUGAAAUUUUCUAGAAUUGUACAAGCGUGCAAUCUUUCUUGAUAAUUGGGCUUUAUAAGUAAUUGUUCACUAUUAAUUGCUCAGGCUCGCACGAGGACCUUCAAGAGGAUCCUACGGUAGACGCUUGAACUUCAAGUAACAAUUCUCCUUGGUUGACUUGGUGAGUGUCAAGUGCAUGACUACUUGAAUUCCUGUGGGCUUGAUACAUGUUUACUUGUUAUUCAUGACUUGAGAUUUUGAAAAUGGAGUCGAGUGUGUAUUUUAUCGCACUCGUUUUCAUUUGAAAUAAAUAACUCAUGAUUAACUUGCUUGACAUGAAAUAAAUGACCUGCUGGACAUCACCUGAAUGCUUGAAUACAUCAAAUGCUUGCUUGACCUAAAAUAGUAUGCUAUGGCUGCAUACGUCGCUGGAGUAAAUCUCCUCGACACUCAAAUGCACAUGGGGGACGCCCAAAUUCAUAGGCUGACCUUGGAACUCGAGUCGGCAUGUGUUUGGUCGGGAACCUCGGUGAGCCAUGAGAAUCACAUGAUAAGCUUGAUUUAUUGGAGAGAUCUUGCUUGGCAUACUCGUUGAGUAUCGCCUCAUAAAUGACGUGCGGGCCCGGUUGUGGUAUGUACAGUGGACGAACAUGAGAGUAAGUGGAGAUCUAUGGAUUGGAAAUACCGACCCGGUUGACGGAGAGUCAUCGCGGGAAGGUAUACGAAUGACCCUGACAAAGCAAGUGGAACUUAGCUCCUGAGAGCUAUCAUAUCCUUGAAUUGUUUCUGUUUACAUUUCAUUAGAAUUGACAAUUACUUGUACUUUAUUAUGUGACUUGUUAAUUGGGCUGAUUACUUGGACUAUGUGCUUGCAUUUGUGUCCUUGGCCUUACGAGCGUUUUGCUUACCCUGUAGAUUUGUUUUCCUUAACCGGAUUGGGCAUGGAAUGAUGCUUGGAGGAACUCUUUUGAUGCAUUUUUGGCUUAGUGUUUCUAAUAUAUUUUGGGCUAGACCUCUUAUUGGUUGUACUAUUGGGAACUUAAUGUAUGAUUUGGAUAUUUGAUGUACCUAGAUGUUAUAUAUUUUGGGUAUUGAUGUAACUUUUGGGAAUUUAAUGUAAUGAUUGGAUAAGCGUUAUAUAUAUAUUGUUAAGUUUGGAAGUUUUCCGCACUUUUUUACUUAUCUAGUUUUUUUGAAUAGUUUUACAUUAAAUUUGAACGGAAAUUGCUUGAGUCCUGACGAGAGUUGGGCAGGCGUCCCGCGGAUACCCUCUGGUUCGCCUUAGGGAGAAGUGGGGGCGUCACAGAAUCAAAAUUUGUACCCAACUAUCAUAACUUUGUAACUAACUAUUUUUUUUUAUAGCAUAUCAUUAGAUCAUACAAUACCAUUACUCAUUAAAAUAGAUGAUCAUUUUUUUCAUUUUUCGCUGUUUAUAAGUUAGUUAAGUCAAUAGUUUUCAUAGGCCUGUUUAACUUCUCAUCAUCAACUCACAAAUUUUCAUGAUCUAGAACUUAUAUUGACUUUUUAAUAUUAGAUUGAGACAACAGAAAUUGCUAACCUGUAUUCUGUGUCUUGUUGCAAUUUACAACAGAAAAAUACCAUAUGUUGUUUUUUAUACUCCUUUCUUUCUCUUGCAAAGUCAAAAUAAAUACCAUCACAACCACGAAAUCAGGUGCUGUAUUUUUCAACCUUCAUUCUCUCUUGCAUUCUUCCUUAAUUUUCUUUUUUGGACGAGAUGCAUUCUUUUUAUUUUGCAAUCCAGUACUGAUUUGAUAUGUUUGUCACUAAUGUCAUUCAAUAAAUGGCACCAAAUUGGUGUAGAAUUGGUAAUACAAUAUAUAAGCAAUUGGUGUCAUUUGUCUAAUAGCUAUUAGGAGCUUUCUGAUGGUACUUUUAAUCGUUAAUCAAGUUUAACUAAUUUAUUGUGCCAUAAGUACUAAUUGUUAUAUAUUAGCCUUUGCAUACUUCAAAAUCUUAUGGGUAUAACAAUAAAUUCAUCUCAUGUGAUGUAAAGAGGUGGGUUCAAAAUUCUACUAUAGAAGGUUAGUGUAAUUUUGAAAUCCUUAGGGGAGGUAAGUGAAAUAUUCAGAAUCUCAGGGGAGGUUUUUUGAAUUAUCCCUUAUUUAAAGUCGUUAUAUUGGACUUUUCACUAUUCAUCUUAAUGAAGAGAAAAAUCCCCGACUAAACUACCUCUUUUGGGGCUAUUUCAUUUGCUAAGUAAGUCUUUAAGUGCUACCCAUUCACCUUAAAAGGCUCAUUUUUACCAUUUGUUAUCUUUACCGUUCCAUAGAAAAAUAGUUUUGUCAGUUCAAAUGGACUGGAACACCUAGAUUUUAGUUUAUCUAGAAAAUAAUCUAAGGCGUAAAUUAUACAAUAACACCUUUCCUUUUUGGCAAAUUUUAGUAAGUGCUAUUAUAUUUCAGUAGUGAGAAAGCGAGGCCAUUUGAUAAUCAACAAAGAAUCUCUAUCCAUAUAGUAAAAACUAAUACUCGCUCAAACAAAGAUUGAAAAAAUCAACUUGGUAAAUAGAACACAAAGAGCAGUCAACUCGAAUUCUUUUUUCUAAUUCUAAAAUCAAAAUAUGGCAGUCAACUCUAAUUCUUCCUUCUAAUUUUAAAAUCAAAAUAUCACACCAGACCACUGUUAAAAUAACAUAUAAGAGACUAUAGAUGUCUCAUAUCCUUAAAUGCAACUCUUUCAUAGAUGGUCAACUGAUAAUCGUCAUUCAAUUGAUUUGCCAAUUCAAAAUUUAGUUCUCCCAUAGAUGGUAAAUUGGCUGUCGAAUUGUUGAUUGCAUCCCGAUAUCUUUUAAGCAUAUUCUCCUCGACUACAUGAACUUGAAAAUAUCUAAGAAAUGCAAGUUAAGAGGACCGAGUAUCUAUGUAAUAUAGAGAAAUAAUCACUGGUGUUGAUUUUAUCUUUUUCUAUUCUUCCUUCCACUCUUUAUUUUCUUGUUUAACUCCUCCUUUAACUGCAUAUUUUUCUACCUCCGCUUCUCUUUUGGAUAAUCAAAGAUUAUGUCACAAAUGGAUUUAGGCUUAAUCUUUUAGUCCAAUCUCUCUAAUAGGUUGAGUAUGUAUCCAACACAGGUAUCCGACCCGAUUGAGGUCUAACCAUUAACAACAUGUAGAUACAAGUUGGAAAAGCCAGCCUCUCUACAUGACUGAAUAGGAACAGAUGAUAGUACGUUCCUUCAUUCGCAUAGUUCUUCUACAAGUAAAAAUUAUCGCUCUCGACAGCUAACAAUGACUUAGUCGGUAACAAAGAAUCAAACAUUCGUUGGCGGCAUAUGCUGUCAUUAGUCCUCACUGUCUCAUUCCAUUUUGUUCUAUCCAUGAUUCUGUGAUAGUAUUUUACAAGCAAAUGCCUAACCUCCUCCCUCUUCUUGAUUAAAAAAAUGUGUUUAGCAAUCAUAUCAUCGUGUUCAAUCUUUUUUUUAUCCAGUUAUUGAAAACAAGUUAAGACUCCGCGUAUUUUCUCGGUAAUCUAGGGCAAUAGCACAUCAUAGGCAUCAUAUAUUCAUUCUCAUUUAGCUGCAAUGUACGAGUCUAGGCUAUGAUUGAUUCUCUCCAUGAUGAUUCUAUAUUUUUCCUUCCCAUUCUCACAUUCCAUGGCUGUACCCAUCACACGCAGAAAACACCUUCCUCUUUUCGUUGCAACUUCGACUGUCGCAUCAAAAUCAGUCUUAACUGAAACAUCGAUGAUGGAACAGGGAAUCUCUCGAUCGAUGGAAUCGCCCCUAAAGAAGCCAUGGUGAAGCUACUCUUCAACGUUAAACUGUUGAAUCUUAUAUUAGAUGCCGGUUGCAGGUCUAAACAUUAGCAAAGUAGGAGAGUAAAAGAGAAGGCUCGAAAACAAUGAAAAUGAGGGAAUUGGACAAAAGGUAUAGUAGGAGAAUAUUAGGGUUUGGAAGUCUUAAGUUUGGAGGAGGAGAUGAUUAUGCUUUGGAAAGGAGACAUGAGCCGUCAUAGAGAAACGGGAAAUGUGAAGGGAAAAAGACGGCAUGGAACAAGAGAAAAAGUUUAGGGUUUUAGGACUCUUGAUGCUUACAUAAGUAUAUUAAAUAACCAUCGUAGUAUCUACAAUAAUACCUUUUGUCCAGUUUCAAAUUCUUUAGGAAGGAUGCCUGUCAUGCUAAAUUUCACCUUUUCCUUAUAUAUUUUGACAUUCUUAUACGAAGUCAACUGAAGUUCUUCCAAUUCACUUGAUUCAAGCAAGCUCUUCUCACUUGUAAGACAAAAAUCUAUAUUAAUAGCUUUUAUAGUCUAAUCUGCUUUAUGUCCAAUUUCAACAGGUAGAUCGCAUGCCUUUCUAUAAAUUAGUCGAUAGGACAACAUUUCCAAUGAAGUCUUAAAUACCAUCCUAUAGUCUUAUAAUGUAUCAUCUAACUUUUCAUCCAAUCCUGCCUCGACUUGUUCACCAUUUUUUCUAGGAUAAGUUUGAGUUCCCGGUUAGCCAACUCCAUUUGACCAUUCACUUGCAGGUGAUAAGGAAGUGAAAUCUUAUACCUGCAACCAUAUUUAAACAAAGUGUCAAAUGAUUUAUUACAAAAAUGCUUACCUUUGUCACUUUUAAUUGUCGUUGAGAUUCUAAACUUACAAAAUAUAUUCCUUUUAAGAAAUUCAAUUACAUCUUUUGCAUCAUUAAUAGGCAAUACAAUAGCUUCUACCUUUUUCGACAUAUUAUCAAUUGGUAUAAGAAUGUACUUAUUAUUAUAGGAAUUAGGAAAGGUCCCAUAAAAUCUAUACUCCACAUAUAAAAUAAUUCAACUUUCAUAAAAAUAGUUAAAGGCCUUUUAUUUUUCUUAGAAAUAUUGUUAGUUCUUUGACACUUAUGGCAUUUGAUAAAAUUUCUAAUAUUUUGGUGUAUAGUUGGCCAAUAAAAACCUGAUUACCAUACUUUCGUCACUAUUUUUGAUGUACUAAAAUGUCCUCCCAUUUCAAAGCAGUGACAAUACAAUAAAAUACUAUAUAUCUCUUCUUGCAGUACAUACCUUCUUAUCAUGCCAAUAGGAUAAUGUUUGAAGAAAAAUGACUCCUGGCAAAAAUAAUGUUUGGCAUCAUGAAAAAAUUUCUUCCUUUGGUGGUUGUUUAAAUUUCCUGGAAUGACUUUACUAACUACAAAGUUAAUCAAAUCGGCAUACCAUCUUCAUUUUCUUCAAAAUUAGAAAAAUUGGCAUCACUUGAUUCACUACUAACCACUAACAUCAUAUUAUGAUCUGCAUCAACCUUGUUGUCACUGUCAAGCAUAUGUUUUUAUGUCACUGUCAAGGUUAGUAACCACUCUUUUAGAAGUAUGAUCGAAACAUAAAUUCUGUUGAGUGUUUUGAACAUUUUUGUCAGUAUUGAUAUUUGAUAGGGUACAUUUUAGUGGGGUAUUUUGGGCAUUAUUGCACAAUUAAUUGACUAAAUAUUUUUAUUAAUUGGGUGGAUUCUACUGAUAUUUUGUUUUGGUGCUAACUGCAGGAAUUGGUACCAAAAAGAGCUUGAAAUCGAAAUUUAGAAGAUUCGUCGAACGGGAGCCAUUUCAAGUACUGGGGUCCGCUCGAGAAGUUGAAGAAACUUAAUUGUAAUAGAUAUUAUUUUAUUCUAUUUUUGGAGGGAGGCUUGUUAUUUUAUUUUGGGAAAAAAAAGGAAAAACACAACUGCCUGGAACUUCGGUCGACAACAGAGGCGAGAGUUAGUUUUCUUCGGCUGGCUUAGGUUUUUAGGGAGGCUAUGCGUUUAAAAGGGAGAUUGGCCGCAGCUUUGAAGGGGGAAUGAGCAGAGACAAGAGCCACCAUUCUUGACUUCUGUACUUUUCUUUCCAUCUUUUGUGGACUUGAAAACUCAAAUUCUAAGUUUGGUUGACCGAAAUUGGAAGAACAAAAGAAGCAAUUGAAACCUUUCUCUCGUAUGUUUGUUUUGUGAGGGACCAAUAUGGGCCACCAUUGUUGACCAUUUGGCACUUACUUUACUCUUUCAUUUUGACCGAAUUAAUGGAGAGAGCAUCAGACAAUUUCUUUGCUUGGUGAGAAACAACUGCAGAUCGAUUCCUCUCGCUCUUUUCUAACUCUCUCGGUUGACCGAUUCCCAACGCAAGAAUUGGCGGCCCUUGUCAACUACGUUCGCAUGGCCUGUUCACUAAUGGGGAACUAAACCUCUAUUUCUAGUCAAGGGAGCAACUGAUGAAUUGGUUCAACUAAUACUGUGAGAUCUAAAUCAUUCUUUAUUAUUUUUCUCAUUUAUUGAUACUUAUAUGUUCCUGGCUUUUAAUCGCUAUAGCCUUGUGUAUGAUUGGUUAGUGCGCAAUAAUUAAUUAUUCAUAUAGGCUAUUUUGCUAAAUAUGGGUAAUUGAAUCCGUAAUUGUUCGUUACCUCUGUGUUAGUAGCAACUGGCGUAAUUGGCUUUAUGUCAGGGGAACAUAUGAUCUAUCUUAAAUAAACCCUCGUAGCGUGUUUGUUAGUUAGGAUUGGGCAUUUCUAAUUAUUAAUGCAAUCUAGAAAUUAAAUCCUACGGUCGUACCUAGGGUUGUUUUUGGGUUAGAGAAAUAGCUAACGGUCGUACCUUAGCUGUCGAGAAAUUAAGGAAAGGUUGGUUGUUUAUCGCGUGCAUGACAACUAUAACUAAUCUGUUGAUAAAUGUUGGAAUUAUUUCUGCAUCAAUGAUCAGUGCAUGAACCAUUUCUGAAGUGUACCCUUGGCUAGAGCUUCUCUUAAUUAUUUCUUUAAAUUAAUUAUUCUCUGCAGUUACUUUAUUCUUAGCAUUUAAUCGUGAAAACCCCCCAUUUGUCUUGAUUCGAAAAGGAAUAAAUUUCUCUCCAGUCCCUGAGGAGACGACCCUGCUUACCACUGUCUACUAGUUAGUGAAUUCAGUUAAAUAAUUAAUUCAGGUAUAUCGGAUUAAGUAAACUCUUCGGGAACAGGGUGAAUCAAGUAACCCAUUGCACACCUAGGGUCCUUGCUCCAGUACUCGAAUUAAUUAUUGACUGCUUUAGGUGGUAGUUAGGUUUUAUUUAUUAUUAUUGCACAGGUUCGGCACCUGUCAAUUUUUGGCGCCGUUGCCGGGGACUGGCAUCUGAAUUAUUUGUUUCUUUUUGAAUUCAGCCUUUUAUUUUGUUUUAUUUUAUUUUAUUUUUCUUGAUAUUUUUGCUAGUUUAUGCCCAGUUCUUCUCGCACAGGUGAAUUGAUAUACGAACCUGAGGUUGAGAAGGCAGCACGUAGGCGAAGGCAAGAGACCAAGAGACGAAAAGAAGGGCACUUAUCUUCUGCAAACGAGUCAGUAGAAGAUGAAUUUAGCAUGGCCAACACCCAGACAUUAAGGGAGCUGGCUACCCCGAAGCUGACUCAUCAGCCCUUGUGCAUCACUUUCCCAACUCUGUCUGAGAAUACCUCCUUCGAGCUGAAAUCGGGAUUGAUUCAGCUCUUACCUUCGUUUUAUGGUCUUUUUGGUGAAGAACCUCACAAACACGUCAAGGAGUUCGAAGUGGUUUGCUCUAGCAUGAAACCUCCUGGGGUCACUGAGGAGCAAAUAAGACUUAGAGCUUUCUCCUUCUCUCUCAAGGAUGCAGCGAAGGAUUGGCUAUACUACCUACCUGCAGGUAGUAUCACCACGUGGGCACAAUUGAAAAAGAAAUUCCUAGAAAAGUUUUUCCCCGCAUCCCGGGUUGCGAGUUUGAGGAAGGAGAUAUGCAGCAUCAAGCAGUACUCCGGGGAGUCCUUGUACGACUAUUAGGAAAGGUUCAACAAGUUGUGCACUAGAUGCCCACAGCAUCAAAUUAGUGAACAAUUGUUGAUCCAGUACUUCUAUGAAGGGCUCCAGUCAAUUGACAGGAGUAUUAUUGACGUUGCGAGCGGAGGAGCCCUGGCGAAUAAGACAGCGAAGGAAGCAUGGGACCUGAUCGAAGCCAUGGCAGAGAACUCCCAACAAUUUGUCUUCCGUGAGAGCAACCCUACCCGUAGAGUCAACGAGGUAGAGACUUCAUCCAUACAGCAGCAACUGUCAGAGUUGACGUCUGCUUUCAGGCAAUUAACCAUGAGAGACACGCCGCGAGCUAGAGUUUGUGGCAUCUGCACUAGCAUGGACCACUGCACGGACACGUGCCCCCUUUUGCAAGAGGACGGGGCAGAACAGGUAAACAUGGCCGGAGGCGUGCCCGCACCCCGCAGGCAGUAUGACCCGUAUUCCAACACAUACAACCCCGAUUGGAGAGACCAUCCUAAUUUCAGUUAUGGGAACCGACCGCAAAAUUCACUCUCAAAUCGUCCACCAGGGUUUCAGCAACCAUGGCAACCGAAACCGCAACCUUCAUCCUCCAACGCAGGAAGUUCCUUGGAAGAUAUUGUCAAGAGUCUGGCUACGACUACCGCCCAGAUCCAGCAAGAGACUAGACAGCUCCAGCAGGAGACCAGGUCAUUGACCACGAAUAUGGCUCAACUCCAGCAAGAAACUAGAGUUUUAACCAUGAGCACCACUCAGUUCCAGCAGGACACCAGAGCAGGCAUGAAAGAUAUGGAUGCUCGAAUAAGCCAAUUGGCAACUGCCAUCAAUCCCCUGGAGUCCCACGCUCAUGGAAAAUUGCCAUCUCAACCUGAGAAAAAUCCUAGAAAUGUAAGUGCCAUGACGCUGAGGAGUGGUAAGGAACUGGAAGGGCCUAAAGUGGAAAAUUCAAAAAGCAAAAGUGAGGAGGAGAAAGAAAAGGAAAUCGAAGAGGAAGGACACAUUCGCGAAGACCCUAAGGUAACAUCUAUUCCUACAAUCCCUAUUAAAUCUAAUCUAGCUCCUUUUCCUUGCAGGUUGGAAAAGACAAAGAGGGCAGAAAGGGAAAAAGAAGUCCUGGAUGUGUUCCGCAAAGUUCAAGUAAACAUCCCACUAUUGGAUGUGAUUAAGCAGGUACCCAAAUACGCAAAGUUCUUGAAAGACUUGUGCGUUAACAAAAGAAAGCUAAGGGGUGAUGAAAGAGUGAUGGUAGGAGAGAAUGUAUCAGCUGUACUUCAAAGGAAACUUCCACCCAAAUGCGGGGAUCCAGGUAUGUUUACUAUUCCCUGUAAGAUUGGACAUUCUAGUAUCAAAAAUGCCAUGAUAGAUUUAGGGGCUUCUAUUAAUGUGAUGCCUAAGUCAAUCUAUAAUUCCCUAAAUUUAGGACCAUUAAAAGAAACGGAGAUAAUAAUUCAAUUGGCUGAUCGUACAUGUGCUUACCCGGAUGGGAUAAUUGAGGAUGUUUUAGUGCAAGUAGAUGGAUUAAUUUUUCCUGCUGAUUUUUAUGUGCUUUACAUGGAUGAUAGAAGUGCCCCAAAUCCAUCACCCAUUAUAUUAGGAAGACCAUUUUUGAGUACUGCCCAGACUAAAAUUGAUAUUAGUAAGGGUACUCUCACGAUGAAAUUUGAUGGAGAAAUAGUCCACUUUAAUAUCUUUGAUACAAAGAAACAUCCUGUUAACUUUCAGUCUGUAUAUGCUAUUUAUGCCACUAAUCCCUCUGUACAAGAAUUUUCUAAGUUUGCUGGUAGGGGUAAAUUCAAGGUUGCUGCGAACAAGUCCUAUAGGAUGAAAGCAGUUUAUGAGGUGAAAAUGGAGAGAAAAUUUAGGAAAAAGGGUGCACUCAAUGGCCACGUGGAUCCCGGAGGAAGGCCACCAAUUACAAGGAAAAUUCAAUUACAUCCAGACUAAAGAGUGGUGCAAUGUCUAGCCAAAGACAUUAAAGAAAGGCGCUACUUGGGAGGCAAUCUAAGACUUUGUUUCAGUUUUCAUACAUUUUUGAAGUUUUAGUUAAGUGUUAGUGUCAAUUAAUAGUUUGAUUUUUUGUGGCAGGAAAUUGGCAGUUAGACGUGCCCACGUUAAGUGGUCACGUCUGAGGAAAAGGGUUGGAAGGUGACGGUCAGAAGACUCUGUAGCAAUUAAGCGUGCCCACGCUAGGUGGUCAGGCUAAAGGAUCAAGAAUUUUCGUCGGAUGGUCAAAAGACUAGGGGCAGUUAGGCGUGCCCACGCCUAAGACAGGAGUUCUUCGUUUACCCGAAAAAAAUAAUAAUAAUAAUAAUAAUAAAAAAUAAAAAGAUGAAAUUGCCCUAAUCCAAAAAGAAAAAAUAUAUAUAUUUCAAAGGACCCGCAACCCAACUCUUUUUUUCUUCUUCUUUCUUUUCUUUUUCUUUCUUCUUCUUCCUUAUUUUCUUUCUUUUCUUUUUUCCCCUCUUUUGCUUCGUCCGCCGCCGCUCCUCACCGCACCGCACGCCACUCAUUGCUGUUCGACGCCGCCGCCCUCCAGCUCAGAUCCUCCGCCAGCGGCCACCCUGCUUCAGCGCGCCGCUGAGCGCGCCCUCUGCGCAAGUUCCUUGUGCGCCGCCCAGCCCGCGCGCAGCGCGCGACCGCUCCACCUGGCACGCCUGGGCCCCAGCGCAGUCCAGCGCAACCCAGCGAGCCCAGCAGCUCGCGACAGCCACGCCAGCGUACUACCCAGCGCACGUCACCCGUGCGCCUCCCCUUCGUAAGCUCCAGCCUCUGCCCAUCGCGCGACCAGAGCACCAGCACCAGCAGCCAGGCGCGCAGCUCAGGCGCGGCGCAGGGGCGCGCUCGACCAACGCAGCAGCAGCAGCAGCCCACGCGCGUGGCUCUCACGCGCGUCGCACCUUUCUCCUCCGUGCCGCCUCUUCUCUCUUCACUGUCAUCCACUGCCUACUCCAAACCUCCGGUGAAUUCUUUCUUUAUUUUUCUGUCACUAAGUAGCUGAGGCCAGAUUACUAGUUUUCAUUAGCUGAUGCCAGAUUUUAAUUUCUUAGCUGAGGCCAGAUUGUUGACUUGCUAGCUGAGGAUAGAAAUUUUGUGCUUGUUUAGGUGCUGUGGUAUAUAUCUGUGGUUGAUUGCUGACUAAUAGUUAAAUUUUGUCUUCAACCAGUGAUAUUUGGGGGAUGUUCUUAUUUGGGUUGCUAAUUUAAUUGAUUUUUUGGGGAAUGUUGCUGCGGUUUUCUAAUUAAGUGAUUUUUGGGUUGAUCUGGUAGUGUUUGGGGAAAAUUUUGCUGUUCACAGGAUUAAUUAGCUUUUAGGGUAAGUUUAUUGUCUGUUUUUGCACUUGUCUGUGAUUGGAAGCUGUGACUGGGAAUCAUUUACUUUGCUAGCUGUUUGUUGACCUCUUUGGAAUAUCAUUCCCUUGCCUUUGCCCUGCCCUCUGAUUUCAAAUGACUAAACCAAAAAAUAAGGGCAAGAACAAGCAUUCCACCUCCACCCCACAGGCUACGGUCCCCUUGAGUGGACCUGCCCCCUCGACUGGGCCGGGAGGGCCCCGGACCGUACUCUUCGGUGCCUCCACCGUCUUCCUCCGCCGAUAGCCAGGGUACAGCCCUUCGAUUCCAGAUGCAGCACAUGGACACUCGUAUGGAGCGGAUGGAGCGUCAGAUGGGCGGGAUGGCCCAGAAUUUAGCGCAGUAUCUCCAUCAUGUGGGUUUCCGCCCGCCUUUUCCUCCACAGCUGUAGUCCAUUUCUGUCCUCCUCCAUUUUUAAGGGAAGUGUCGUUGCCCCAAUACCUCUGUUUUGAUCUUUCUUUGCUUACAUUGAGGGCAAUGUAAGGUUUAGGUGUGGGGGAGGGUUAACUAUGCUUUAGUUGUGUUUUUAGUUGUCUGAUUAAAUUUUCCUUGCCUUAGUAGUUUUCUUCUUUAAACGGUGAUGAAUGAAAUCGGGAUAUGAGUAUAAGUAGUAAGUUCAUACCAUGGGGUGUUUCAUUUUUCCUCGAUGAUGUGUUGAUUGAUGAAUAUGCCAAACUUGACAAAAAUUUGAUCACUUGUGCAAUUUUUGAGCAUAAUUUUUCGUUUGUUUGAGUGGUUAGUGCACAUGGUUUGUCAUUCUAGAACUUGCUUGGUUAUGCAUGUCAAGACCACAUUUAAAUGAGUUUAAUGCAUUAAAAUGAUAGGGCACCUAGGAAUGAGCCAUUUUUGGACUUUCUUAAAACCAACCCUCGGAUUAUUUACAACCAUUUGGGAGCCAAGUUGAGCCUUAACUCCUAUUCUUCACUUGGGACCCUAGUUUUUAGCCGUAAAAUCUCUUUUUAGACUUUCUUUUGAACCUCGUGUGAAGAAGUGCUUUGAUUUCAUUAUACAGAAUUUUGGAGUAUUAAUUGAGAGGCAUUACACCUAUCCCGUACAAAAAAAAAACACAAAAAAAAGAGAAAAGUGAAAAGAAGACAAAGUGCAGGAAAUCAGCAAGUAAAGUUGAUUUUUAUGGUGCUGGUUGGGAGUUAUUGAAAAUCUUUCUCGGAAAAAGAAGAGCAAAAGAAAAAAGAGGAGAAAGAAAAGUCGAAGGUUGUGGCAAAUGCCAAUUUUUACUUCGCUUGAGGGAUGGUUGAGGUGCUUUGAAGUUCCCAAUGUGCAGGAAUCUGUGUAAUGAGUUUCUGAGCACUUUCUUUAUACUUUUACACCCUUUUGAAUCCUUUUUAUCCGACCUCCUCACCCUAGCCCCAUUACAACCUUGCAAAGUCCCUUGAUUGUUGCAUUUAAAUUCACAAGUAAGUGGUGGCGAUAUGAUAUAAGAGCAAGCUUAUGGUAGUGCCAUCCUAUUGUGUUGAAUGAGGGCCAUUUUAUAUACAUAUCCUAUACACCUUGGAGUGAAUGAGUGCACUUUGAACUGUGAGCAUUAUUGAUUUGGUAUAUUUUGAUUUCAAUGAGGUUAUUGGGGAAUUUGGAGUGCCAUUCUUGGUAUGGACUGUUGUAAACUGCUCAGUAUCUUGUUUGCACUUCUGAGUUAAUUAUGCUUGAGGGCAAGCAUAGUUCAGGUGUGGGGGAGAUUGAUAGGGUGCAUUUUAGUGGGGUAUUUUGGGCAUUAUUGCACAAUUAAUUGACUAAAUAUUUUCAUUAAUUGGGUGGAUUCUACUGAUAUUUUGUUUUGGUGCUAACUGCAGGAAUUGGUACCAAAAAGAGCUUGAAAUCGAAAUUUAGAAGAUUCGUCGAACGGGAGCCAUUUCAAGUACUGGGGUCCGCUCGAGAAGUUGAAGAAACUUAAUUGUAAUAGAUAUUAUUUUAUUCUAUUUUUGGAGGGAGGCUUGUUAUUUUAUUUUGGGAAAAAAAAGGAAAAACGCAACUGCCUGGAACUUCGGUCGACAACAGAGGCGAGAGUUAGUUUUCUUCGGCUGGCUUAGGUUUUUAGGGAGGCUAUGCGUUUAAAAGGGAGAUUGGCCGCAGCUUUGAAGGGGGAAUGAGCAGAGACAAAGAGCCACCAUUCUUGACUUCUGUACUUUUCUUUCCAUCUUUUGUGGACUUGAAAACUCAAAUUCUAAGUUUGGUUGACCGAAAUUGGAAGAACAAAAGAAGCAAUUGAAACCUUUCUCUCGUAUGUUUGUUUUGUGAGGGACCAAUAUGCGCCACCAUUGUUGACCAUUUUGCACUUACUUUACUCUUUCAUUUUGACCGAAUUAAUGGAGAGAGCAUCAGACAAUUUCUUUGCUUGGUGAGAAACAACUGCAGAUCGAUUCCUCUCGCUCUUUUCUAACUCUCUCGGUUGACCGAUUCCCAACGCAAGAAUUGGCGGCCCUUGUCAACUACGUUCGCAUGGCCUGUUCACUAAUGGGGAACUAAACCUCUAUUUCUAGUCAAGGGAGCAACUGAUGAAUUGGUUCAACUAAUACUGUGAGAUCUAAAUCAUUCUUUAUUAGUUUUCUCAUUUAUUGAUACUUAUAUGUUCCUGGCUUUUAAUCGCUAUAGCCUUGUGUAUGAUUGGUUAGUGCGCAAUAAUUAAUUAUUCAUAUAGGCUAUUUUGCUAAAUAGGGGUAAUUGAAUCCGUAAUUGUUCGUUACCUCUGUGUUAGUAGCAACUGGCGUAAUUGGCUUUAUGUCAGGGGAACAUAUGAUCUAUCUUAAAUAAACCCUCGUAGCGUGUUUGUUAGUUAGGAUUGGGCAUUUCUAAUUAUUAAUGCAAUCUAGAAAUUAAAUCCUAUGGUCGUACCUAGGGUUGUUUUUGGGUUAGAGAAAUAGCUAACGGUCGUACCUUAGCUGUCGAGAAAUUAAGGAAAGGUUGGUUGUUUAUCGCGUGCAUGACAACUAUAACUAAUCUGUUGAUAAAUGUUGGAAUUAUUUCUGCAUCAAUGAUCAGUGCAUGAACCAUUUCUGAAGUGUACCCUUGGCUAGAGCUUCUCUUAAUUAUUUCUUUAAAUUAAUUAUUCUCUGCAGUUACUUUAUUCUUAGCAUUUAAUCGUGAAAACCCCCCAUUUGUCUUGAUUCGAAAAGGAAUAAAUUUCUCUCCAGUCCCUGAGGAGACGACCCUGCUUACCACUGUCUACUAGUUAGUGAAUUCAGUUAAAUAAUUAAUUCAGGUAUAUCGGAUUAAGCAAACUCUUCGGGAACAGGGUGAAUCAAGUAACCCAUUGCACACCUAGGGUCCCUGCUCCAGUACUCGAAUUGAUUAUUGACUGCUUUAGGUGGUAGUUAGGUUUUAUUUAUUAUUAUUGCACAGGUUCGACACCUGUCAAUAUUACCAUAUUUAGUUGAAAUAAUUUUCAUGUCAUAUACAUGUAAACUGAUUACAAUUCCAAUUUGAUGAAUUUUGAACAUGUCAACAACUGCAUCAUCAUCAUUAACAUCACACAUUUUAUCUUCAUUAGGAAUUUCAUGCCUUGUAUGUAUCAGCAUAUUUACAUUUCCUGACAUUUCUCUUGAAGAUUUUUCAAUCACAACAUAUAGCAAAUUAAUGUACAAGUAUUCAUUAGGAUCAACAUUCAGGAUCCUGACUUUGUUUCCCUUGUAGUGCAUAACUAUGUCAUAAGUACCAAUGACCAUCUUACGUUAUUCACAAUAAUUAUUAAUUAUCAACAACUACAUGUUGAAAUUCUGCCAUACGCAUACAAUUUUGCACAACAAACCAAUAAUAAAUGCACAACACAGAUUUGCAAAUCAACAUUAAUCAAAACAAACAACUUAUAUCUCUCACAUGCACUAAAAUUACUUAUAUAUUCUUCUGAUCAAUAAAUAUAUCAAACAACUCUUCUUAUAAAAAUAUAUGACAUACACAAUUGUACCACCUAACAUUGAUAGAAAAGUCAUCAUCUAUCCACAUAUAGAACCAAAAUUUAUACCCAACGAUCAUAGUUUUACAACUAUAUUUUUUAUAGCAUAUCAUCAGAUCAUACAAUACCAUCACUCAUUAAAAUAGAUGAUCAAUUUUUUCAUUCUUUACUAUUUAUAAACUAGUUAAAUCAAUAAUUUUCACAUGCCAGUUUAACUUCUCAUUAUCAACUCACCAAUUUUCAUGAUGUGAGACUUUCUAAUAUUAGAUUGAGACAACAGAAAUUGCUAACCUGUAUUUUGUGCCUUGUUGCAAUUUACAGCAGAAAAAUAUCAAAUGUUGCUUUUUAUACUCAUUUUUUCCUCUUGCAAAAUCAAAAUAAUACCAUCACAACCAUGAAAUUAAGUGCUGUGUUUUCAACCUUUAUUCUCUCUUGCAUUCUUCCUUAAUUUUCUUUCUUGGACAAGAUGCAUUCUUCUUAUUUUGCAAUCCAGUACUGAUUUGAUAUGUUUGUCACUAAUGUCACUCAAUAAAUGGCGCCAAAUUGGUGCCACAAUAUAUGAGCAGUUGGUGUCAUUUGUCUAAUAGCGAUUUGGAGCUUUCUAAUGGUACUUUUGAUCGUUAAUCAUGUCUAGCUAAUUUAAUUGUGCCAUAAGUACUAAUUAUUAUAUAUUAGUCUUUCGAUACUUCAAAAUCUUAUGGAUAUAGCAAUAAAUUCAAUCUCAUAUAAUGUAAAGAGAUGGGCUCAAAAUUCUAUUAAGGGAGGUCAGUGUAAUUUUGAAAUCCUUAGGAGAGGUAAGUAAAAUAGUCAGAAAUUUCAGGGGAGGUUUUUGAAAUAAUCCCUUGUUUAAAGUCAUUAAAUUGAAUUUUUCACUAUUCAUUUUAAUGAAGAGCAGAAUCUCCUAAGUAAACUACAUCUUUUGGGGCUAUUUUACUUGCCAAAUAAGUUUUAAGCGCUACCCAUUCACCUUAAAAGACUCAUUUUUACUAUUUGUUAUCUUUACUGCUCCCUAGAAAAAUAGUCAUAUCUGUUCAAAUAGAUCGGAACACCUAAAUUUUAGUUUGUCUAUAAAAUAAUCUAAGGUGUGAAUUGUACAAUAAAAUCUUUUUUUGACAAAUUUUAGUAAGUGCUACAAUAUUUCAUUAGUGAAGAAGCGAGACCAUUUGAUAUUCAACAAAGAACCUCUAUCUAUAAAUUAAAAACUAAUACUUGUUCAAACAAAGAUUGAGAAAAUCAACUUGGCGAAUAGAGCAUGAAGAGCGGUCAACUCUAAUUUUUCCUACCAAUUUUAAAAUGAAAACAUGACAGUCAACUCUAAUUCGUCCUCUUAAUUCAAAAAACAAAACGUGAAAUUUAAUUCUAAUUUUUUUAGCGUAUCAUUUUCGACUACAUGAAUUUGAAAAAUUUUAAGAAAUGCAAGCAAAGAGGACUGAGCAUCUGUGUAAUCUAGAGAAACUGUCACUGGUGUUGGUUUUAUCUUUUUUCUAUUCUUCCCUUCUCUCGUUAUUUUUCUUGUUUAACUACUCCUUUAACUGCAUAUAUUUCUACCUCCAUUUCUCUUUCGUGUAGUAAAAAAUUACACUACAAAUGGAUUUAGACUUAAUCUUUUUAGUCCAUUCUUCCUGAUAGGCUGAGUGCGUAUCCAAUACAUGUAUCCAAUCCGAUUGAGACCUAACCAUCAACCAUGUCUAGAUACGGAUUGGAAAAACCGGCCUCUCUACAUGAUUAAAUAGAAACGGAUGAUAGUACGUUCCUUCAUUCGCAUAGUUCUUCUGCAAGCAAAAAUCACCGCUCUCGGUAGCUCACAAUGACUUAGUGGAUAACAAAGAAUCAAACAUCCGCUGGAGGCAUAUGCUGUCAUUAGCUCUCAUUUUCUCAUUCCAUCUUAUUUUACCAAUGGUUCUAUGUUACGAGUAAAAACUUAACCUCCUCCAUCUCCUUGAUUAAAAAAAUGUGGUUAGCAGUCACAUCAUCGUGUUCAAUCAUUUUUUAUCCAAGCAUUGAAAACAAGUUAAGACUCCAUGUAUUUUCUUGUCAAUAGCACAUCAUAGGUAUCAUAUAUCUGUUCUCGUUUGGCUGUAAUGUACAAAUCUAUGCUAUGAUUGAUUUUUUCCAUGAUGAUUUGGUAUUUUUUCUUUCCAUCCUCACAUUCCACGUUUGUAUCCAUCAUGCAUAGAAAACACUUUCCUCCAUCCGUUGCAACUUCGACUGUCACAUCAAAAUCGGCCUUAAUUGGAACAUCGAUGAUGGAAUAGAGAAUCUCUCGAUCCACGGAAUAAUCCCUGAAGAAGUUAUGGUGGUGCUAAUCUUCAACGUUAGCCUGUUGAAUCCUAUAAUAGAGGAUAGUUGCAGGUCUAAACAUUAGCAAAGUAGGAGAGUAAAAUAUAGGGACCGAAAACAGUGGAGAUGAGAGAAUUGAACAAAAGGUAUAGGAGGAGAAUGUUAGGUUUAAACAGAGUGUUAGGGUUUGGAAGUCUUAUGUUUAAGGGAAGAGAUGAUUACGCUUUGGAAGGGUAACAUGGGCCAUCAUAGAGAAACCGAAAAUGUGAAGGGAAAAAGAAGGCAUGGAACAAGAGGAGAAAUUUAGGGUUUCGGGGCUUUUUAUGCUCACAUAAUUAUAUUGAGUAACCAUCGUAGUAUCUACAAUUAAACCAUUUGUCCAAUCUCAAAUUGUUUAGAAAGGAUGCCUGUCAUGCUAAAAUUUCACCUUUUCCUUGUAUAUUUUGACAUUCUUAUAGGAAGUCAAACAAAAUUCUUUUAAUUCACUUGAUUCAACCAAUCUCUUUUCACCUGUAUGACGAAAAUCUACAUUAAUAGCCUUUAUAGGCUAAUUUGUAUUAUGUUGAAUCUCAACAGGUAAAUCAUAUGCCUUUCCAUAACUUAGUCAAUAUGGCAACAUUCUCAAUCCUUCGUCGACUUUACUAGUUGCAUAGUUAAUCAAAUCGCCACACCAUCUUAAUUUUCUUCAAAAUUGAAAAAAUUGGCAUCAAUUAAUUCACUAUUAUCCACUAACACCAUAUUAUCAUCUACAUCAAUCUCAUUGCCACUGUCAAGCAUAUGUUUUCGUGAAUUAUCAAAAUCAGAAUCCUCAUAUUCAUCAUCAGAUAUUUCAAGGUUAGUAACCACUUUUUUAAAAGUCUGAUCAAGACCUGAAUUCUGCUAAGUGUUUUGAACAUUUUUGUUAGCAUUGGUAUUACCAUGUUUAGUUGAAAUAAUUUUCAUGUCAUAUACAUGUAAAUUGAUUACAAUUUCAAAUCGAUACAUUUUAAACAUGUCGACUACUGUAUCAUCAUCAUUAAUAUCACACAUUUUAUCUUCAACAAGAAUUUCAUUGUAUGUAUCGGCAUAUUCACAUUUCCUGACAUUUCUCUCAAUGAUUUUUCAAUCACAUCAUAUAGCAAGUUAAUGUACAAGUAUUUAAUAGGAUCAACAUUCGAGAUCCUGACUUUGUUUCCCUUGUAGUGCACAACUAUGUCAUAAGUACCAAUGACCAUCUUACGUUAUUUGAAACAAUUAUUAAUUAUCAAUAAUUACAUUUGAAAAUUCUGCCAUACGCAUACAAUUUUACUCCACAAACCAAUAAUAAAUGCACAACACAUAUUUGCAAAUCAAUAUUAAUCAGAACAAACAACGUAUGUCUCUCAUAUGUAUUAAAAUUACUAAUAUAUUCAUCUAAUUAAUGAGUCUAUCAAAUAACUCCUCUUAUAAACACACACGACAAACAUAAUUGCACUGCCUAACAUUAAUAGAAAAGGUCACCUUCUAUCCACAUAUAGAACCAAAAUUUUUGGCCAACUAUCAUAACUGUACAAUAAUAUUUCCUAUGACAUGUCAUCAGAUCAUACAAUACCAUCACUCAUUAAAAUAGAUGAUCAUUUUUUUCACUCUUUGCUGUUCAUAAGCUAGGUAUGUCAAUAGUUUUUACAUGUUGAUUUAACUUGUCAUCAUCAACUCACAAAAUUUCAGGAUGUGAAAUUUAUGUUGACUUUCUAAUAUUAUAUUGAAACAACAAAAAUUGCUAACAUGUGUUCUGUGCCUUGUUGCAAUUUAUAGUAGAUAAAUAUCAUAUGUUGUUUUUUACUCCUUUUUUCUUGCAAAGUUAAAAUAAAUAUCAUCGCAACCACGAAAUCAGGUGCUGUAUUUUUCAACUAUCAUUAUCUCUUACAUUCUUUCUUAAUUUUCUUUCUUGGAUGCCCUCUUCUUAUUUUAUAAUUUAGUACUGAUUCGACAUGUUUGUCCCUAAUAUCACUCAAUAAAUGGCACCAAAUUGGUGUAGAAUUGGUGCCACAAUAUAUAAACGGUUGGUGCCAUUUGUCUAAUAUCUCUUAAGAGCUUUAUAAUGGUACUUUUGAUUGUUAAUCAGGUCUAACUAAUUUUAUUGUAUCAUAAGUACUAAUUGUUAUAUAUUAGUCUUUGCAUAUUUCAAAAUCUUAUGGGUAUAGCAAUAAAUUCAUCUCAUGUGAUGUAAAUGUGAGGACCCGAAAAUUUUCUUAUUUUUAUCGAAUAUUAUUGGUUUAUUCAAAUAUCUAUUCACCCGUUUUCUCCAAAUAAUUUAUUUCAACCAUUUUAAAUCCAUUCGUAUGGAACAAUGUCUUCCUUGUGUUUUAAACGUCCCGUUAGCAAAUUUAAUUUUUCGAAGGUUCAUUUAAGUGAGGAAUAAUGAGUACAUGUGUUUUGACGUGAUAUUCUAUCCGAGAGUGCAAUUAUCUUGGAAAAUUAAGAAUGAUUAAUAGUAGAUUAAGAAAAGUUAAUUGAGGAAUUAAAGGUGAAUGAGUUCUAAUUAAGCGCAUACCGCUCGCGCGUCGAUAGUUUUUCGAAAGACGCGCUGAUACAAAUUAAUUAGAGAUUUGACGAAGUAAUACUAAACUCAUGUGAGGACUCAUGUUUUUGUUACUAAAAUAGGUAAAUUUUAUGUCUAAUUACCCUAGUAUUAGUUAGUUAUAUCAUCAUUAUAAGAAUUUCUUAGAAAUUUCGCUUUAUCGCGCACAAGUUGGAAAUUCGCGUUUUCGCUCGCUUGACUAAUUGGAGGAUUUUAGAAAUUAUUGUUAGACUAUUAAGAAUGAAUAAUAAUGGUGAUAAAGGGAGUGCAUUAGAGGUUUAGUGCACAAGUGAAAUAAACCCGAGAGGAACCGGGCACGAAACGCGCGCGUACGCGCUAGGAAGAAUUGACUUUUGUGCACUUAAAGUCACCACCUACCAAGCUUCUCCAAGAAGCUUUCUAUAUCAGAUUUCAUCUCUCUCUUUUCUCUCUCAAAGCUGCCGGCCACCCCAAGGAGAAGAAGAAGGAAACUUUCAUCAUCUCACUUCAAUUUCUUCCAUCAAAUUCACUUCAAAUUCACCGUACAAACUCAAAACAACUUGGAGCUUCACUUGGACUAGGAAGAGACCAUCAUUUCCACGAUUUUCUUGGAGCUUUUAGUGGCCAAAAUUUCUGAGUUUCUUCACUCAAGAGGUAGUGAAUCAUCCAACCUUUGAAUCUUAGUUUUAGUGAGUUAAAUUGCACUUAGAAGCUUGUAGCUUCAUGUGGGUGGCUUUGGUUCGUUGAAAAUCACUCGAGUGGGCUCUAUGAAAUCCCACAAUGGACAUGUUGGACUGAUAUGAUGAUUUUGGAUGUUGUUUAUGUUGAUUAAGUGUUAAAUAAGUGGUUAUAAGUUGAAAAAGUGGAAAGAAAAUCAAAAGAAAGUUGAAAGCUAAGAAGUGCCGAAUCUGCCCUGUCCUUGCCGCAACCUUAGUUCUAUUUUUUAGUGAUAAAAUUGCCUUUAUUUUGAUGUAGAUAUGUUGUAUAGGUUGUGUGAAAAUUUUUCACAAAAAUCACUUGAUUUGGUUGGGUAAAAAUUGCAUUUUCAAAAAUCCUUCAAAGCUGGAAAACGGGUAACAGGGGUUACCUGGCAGCGAAAUUUAAACGAUCAUAACUCUUUGCUCCGACGUCAAAAUCGAGUGCCGUUCAUGGAAUUUAAAACUAGAUACUUCCAGUUUUCUAACGGUAUAAAGUACAUCCCCAAAUUCGAACUGAGUGAGCCGUACUAGUUCUUCAAAUUUACCUGUUUUGUUUUAUUGUUGUGCUUGAGAGUUAGUGAUGAGCUGAAGAUUGUUGCUUGAAUUUGAGCUAGCUAUGGACUGAAUCUUAAAACAUUUUCUUCUGAGAAAUUGUAACCCUAUGAAUUUAGUUUCCAACACCACCAGCCAUGCCCAAUUUCAAGUUAAAUUGACCGCGUUAUGGCCAAAUUACAGACCUACAUCAGAGAAAGAAAACCCUAAUUUUGGGCUACCCAAUGGCUUAGCUCGAAUUGGGACUUGUUAUUUUGAAAAUUUUGGUGUAAAUCACCUACCAAAUAUAUUUUGGAUGUUUCUUAGACCUUUGUUUUAUAAAUGAACCAGAUUUGAAUUGAUUUCAUUGGCCAAAUGUUCGGAAAGGAAAACGGAAACUUGAAGACAGAUCUGUCUUCGGUUUUCCUUAAAACUUUGGUAGCUUAGUUAACUACCUUCCCUUGUGAAUUUUUAAGUGAAAUUUGGUAUAGGAAUAGUCAUUAUAUGGUAGUAUAAUCAUACCAAAUUUGGUGCCAUUCCAAGUCCAUUUAGAUGCCCAACUGAAAUCCCAAAGUUUAUGUUUCAAAUCUGGAAAUCCUUGUUCCGUGAGAAAAUUUCAGCAACUUUGACCUGCUAUAUCCUGGCACUCAAAACUCCGAUUCUUGUUCCAUUUGUGGUGUUUUAAACUUUGAUUUUAACUCUAAUUGAGUUUCAAAUUUUAGAGGCUACUUCAUAUUCUGUAAAGUUUGCCGAAUUUUCAAAGUUUACCAAAACCAACCUUGAAUCUGUCUUAGAAGUGCAAGUCAGUAGUUUUAAGCCGAAAUUUAAGUGUCUUCCAUUUUGAAUCAUGGAAAAGUGCCUUCUAGGAACUUUUAGUACUUCAGAACUAGUUUCCAACGAUAUCAAGUUUUCCAAUUUUGGACCUACGGAGUGUGAGAUAUGAUUUUUCAAAGAUUACACCUCAAAUCUGGAAUUUCUGAACUUAAAGGAAAUUGGAUUUUUAGAACUCUCCAUUUUCCUUCGAUAUUUCUUGAUCGUGUUACACUUGAUUUCAAAGAUGAAAAUCAGAUUUUUGUUGUAUAUUUAAAUCCCACUUUUGAGCUUCGAUUUACGAGAAAUUAAGGCUCAUUUUCAUGAUAUUUUCUUAGAUUGUACAAGUGUACAAUCGUCCUUGAUAAUUAGGAUUUUUAAGUGAUAGUUAAUUAUUGUUUGCUCAGGCACUCAAGAUUUUUAAGUGAUAGUUAAUUAUCGUUUGUUCAGGCACUCAAGAAGACCUUCAAGAGGAUCUCACUGUGGACGCCUAAACCCUUGAAUUGCGCACUACUUCCUAUAUUAUUUGGUGAGUGUCAAGUGUAUGUGAAUUUGUUACGUGCUUAAUUGUUAUUAGUGAUUGGAGAUUUUGAAAAUGUUGAGUCGAGUGUGUACUUUACCGCACUCGUUCUCACUUGAAUGAAUAAUGAUUGAAAUGAAAUGAAUGAAUCAUGAUUGAAUUGAUUGAAAUAAAGUGAAUGGAUUGAAAUAUAUUGAAUGGAUUGAAUGAAAUGAAUGGUAUGCUAUGGCUGCAUACGUCGUUGGAGUAAAGCUCCUCGACUCAUAAAUGUUAAAUGGAGGACCCCCAAACUCAUAAGCCGACCCUGGGACUGGAGCCGGUAUGGGAUUGGUCGGGAACCUCGGUGACCCAUGGGAAAAAAAUGAUAAGCUUUAUCUAUUGGAAAGAUCUUGCUUGGCCUACUCGUGCAGUAGCGCCUUUAUCGAAGUUCGGACCCGGUGGGGGGGGGUUGUAAGGUGGAAGGAAUUGUGAAGUGAAGUGGAGUUCUACAGACUUAAAAUACCGACUCAGGUGACGGAGUGUCAUUGUGGGAAGGUAUUUAAUCGAUGUUGGCAAAGCAAGUGGAAAUUAGCUCCUGAGAGCUACCAUAUCCUUGAAUUGUUUCUGUUUAAAUUUCAUUUGAAUUGUUAAUUACUCGAAUAUUAUUGUUUUACUUGUCAAAUGGAAUUGUUACUUGGACAACAUGCUUGCAUGUGUGUUUCUUGGUCUCACGAGCAAUCGCUCACUUCGUAGAUUUAUUUUCCUUAACAGGAACGGACAUGGAGUGAAACUCGAAAAAACCCUUGGAAUGUACUUUUGUGUUAGGGUUUCAAAUGUAAUCGACUAAACACCUUUUGGCAGUUGUAUAUUUUGGAAAAUUGAUGUAUUUUGAACUUGUGGUGUAAGAUCGAAUAUUAUUUAUGGAAGCAUCUGCACUUCUUCUUUUGUCUUGUCAUGAUAGCUAUUAUUGUAUUAAGUUUGAACGGGAAUUGUACCGAGUCCUGAUGAGAGCUGGGUAGGCGUCUCGCGGAUACCCUUUGGUUCACUUUAGGGAGAAGUGAGGGUGUCACAGUAAAGAACUGGGGUCAAAAUUCUACUAGGGGAGGCCAGUGUAAUUCUGAAAUCCAUAGGAGAUUCAGAAAUCUCAUGGGAGGUUUUUCAAAUUAUCAUAUUGUUGAAAUACGUUAAAUUGGACUUUUCACUAUUCAUCUUAAUGAGGAGAAGAAUCUCCUAACUAAACUACCUCUUUUGAGACUAUUUCACUUGUUAAGUAAGUCUUUAAACGCUGUCCAUUCACCUUAAAAGACUCAUUUUUAUCAUUUGUUAUCUUUACCAUUCCGUAAAAAAAUAGUCUUGUCAGAUCAAAUGGAUCAGAACACUUAGAUUUUAGUUCCCUGGAAAAUAAUCUGAGGCGUGAAUUGCACAAUAAAUCCUUUUUUACCAAAUUUUGGCAUGUACUAUUAUAUUUUAAUAGUGAGAAGCGAGACCAUUUGAUGUUCAACGAAGAAUCUCUAUCCAUAAAAUAAAAACUAAUACUCGCUCAAACAAAGAUUGAAAAAAUUAACUUGACAAAUAAAAUAUGAAGAGCAGUUUGCUCUAAUUCUUCCUUCUAAUUCUAAAAUCAAAACAUGGCAGUCAAUUCUAAUUCUUCCUCCUAAUUCUAAAAUCAAAACAUCACACAAGACCAUUGUUAAAAUAACGUAUAAGAGACAACAGAGGUCUCAUAUCCUCAAGUGCAACUCUUUCAUAGAUGGUCAACUGAUAAUCAUCACCUAUUUGACUUGCCAAUUCAAAACUCAGUUCUCUCAUAGAUAGUAAAUUGGCUGUCGGAUUGUUGAUUGCAUCCAGAUAUCUUUUAAACAUAUCCUCCUCGACAACAUGAACUUGAAAAUGUCUAAAAAAUGCAAGCCAUGAGAACCGAGCAUCUGUGUAAUUUAGAAGAAUCAUCACUGGCGUUGGUCUUAUCUUUUUCUAUUCUUUCCUCCAUUCGUUAUCUUCUUGUUUAACUCCUCCAUUAGCUGCAUAUAUUUCUACUUUCACUUCUCUUUCGGAUAGUCAAAAAUUACAUCACAAAUGAAUUUAGAUUUAAUUUUCUUAGUCCAUUCUUCCUGAUAGACUGAGUAAGUAUCCAACACACGUAUCCGAUCCGAUUGAGGCCUACCAUCAAUUGCGUGUAGAUACGGGUUGGAAAAGCCCGCCUCUCUGAAUGAUUGAUUAGGAAUGGAUGAUAGUACGUUCCUUCUUUCGUAUAGUUCUUUUGCAAACAAAAACCAUCGCUCUCGACAACUAACAAUGAUUUAGUGGGUAACAAAUAAUCAAACGUCCGCUGGAGGCAUAUGCUAUCAUUAGCUCUCACUGUCUCAUUCCAUCUUGUUCUACCUAUGGUUCUGUGAUACUAUUUUAUGAGCAAAAGCCUAACCUCCUCAUUCUCCUUGAUUAAAAAAAUGUGUUUAGCAGUCAUAUCAUCGUGUUUAAUCUUUUUUUAUCCAGAUAUUGAAAAUAAGUUAAGACUCAGUGUAUUUUCUCCACAAUCCGGGCAAUAGCAAAUCAUAGGCAUCAUAUAUCUGCCCUUGUUUGGCUGCAAUGUAUGAAUCUAGGCUAUGAUUGAUUCACUCCAUGAUGAUUCUGUAUUUUUUCUUCCCAUCCUCUCAUUCCACGGCUGUAUCCAGCAUGCGCAGAAAACACUUUCCUUCUUUCAUUGCAAGUUCGAUUAGCACAUCAAAAUCAGUAUUAACUGGAACAUCAAUGAUGUAACAGAGAAUCUCUCGAUCGACGGAAUCGCCCCUGAAGAAGCCAUGGUGGAGCUACUCUUCAACGCCAGUCUGCUGAAUCCUACAAUAGAUGCUGGCUACAGGUCUAAACAUUAGCAAAGUAGGAGAGUAAAUGAGAAGAACCGAAAACAGUGGAAAUGAGAGAAUUGGACAGAAGAUGCAAGAGGAGAAUAUCAGAUUUAAGGAGAGUGUUAGGUUUAAGGGAGGAAAUGAUUACGCUUUGGACGAGUGACAUGGGCCAUCAUAGAGAAACUGGAAAUGUGGAAGGAAAAAGACGGCAUGGAACAAGAGGAGAAAUUUAGGAUUUCAGGGUUUUUUAUGCUCACAUAAUUAUAUUGAGUAACCAUAAUAGUAUUUACAAUAAAACUUUUUGCCCAAUCUCAAAUUGUUUAGGAAGGAUGCCUGUCAUGCUAAAAUUUCACCCUUUCCUUAUAUAUUUUGACAUUCUUAUACUAAAUCAAACGAAGUUCGUCCAAUGCACUCAAUUCAAGCAAUCUCUUCUCACCAACUAGACUGUUUAUCUCAGUCCGUAACUUUUAAUGAUUACAAAAUAAAUAGAUGUUACUGAUACUCUCUGAUUAGACCUUUUCAGAAUUGGAGCAAAACAGGUUCAAAGGCUAACAUAUGCUAAAAUAGCUGUCGAACGCACAAAAAAAAUGCAUCGACCGUCCGACAACCAAUGAGUAACUUCGGACGCACAAAGAACUCACCCUCGGACGUCCGAAGCUGAUAAACCAAGUCCUCUAAGCUUACUGAUCUCGAUCGGACGAACAACACCUGAGCAUCGGACGUCCGACACAUGUUGCGACACUUCGGACGCCAAGCAUUGGAGGUACCGGACGUCCAAAGGAAUUAAAGAAGAAUUUUCAGUUUUACAUCAUACGUUCAGACGCAUAUUUUGGAGGUACCGGACAUCCUAAAUAUUUCAAAAAAACUUCUUGAACUCACUGCCUGCAUUCGGACGCAGAAAACUAGCCUACCGGACGUCCGACACCACUAAAGGCUAGUUUACUCUUCAACUGCCUUCUAUCCGUUAGUAGCAUUGAUUGAAGAACUUUUUGGUCUCUUAUAAGUAGAACAAAGUCAACCACUUCAAACAGACUUUGAACAUUGAGACUAAAUCAGAUCUUGAGUGAUUCAAGCGUGAGAAUACUCUUUAAAAAAGAUUUGUACUCUUAGUUAUGUAACUUUUUCGAUAAACUUUUCAGGUGUGCUUCAAUUUUUUCAAUAGUGUAGCUUUGUAAGGGUUAUUCGAGCGAUAGUAAAACUUCCUUACUUGACCAAGUGUGGCUUGGGGUGAGGAGAAAGUGAUCCUUCCUUUGUUCACAAGAGAUUGGUUGUAAGUUGAUCAACUUGAAAAAACUUGCUAUAUAAAGUGUUUUUCAAGUUCAAGUGGAGUUUGAAACUUGGUUUGCUACUCUAUCCUUUCACUUACUGUCUUGCUGUGACGCCCCCACUUCUCCCUAAGGCGAACCAGAGGGUAUCCGCGGGACGCCUGCCCAACUCUCACCAGGACUCAAACAAUUUCUGUUCAAGCUUAAUGUAAAACUAUUCAACAAUACUAGAUAAGUAAGAAAGUGCGGAAAACUUUCAAACUUAACAAUAUAUAUAUAACGCUUAUCCAAUCAUUACAUUAAAUUCUCAAAAAUUACAUCAAUACCCAAAAUAUAUAACAUCUAGGUACAUCAAAUAUCCAAAUCAUACAUUAAAUUCCCAAUAGUACAACCAAUAAGAGGUCUAGCCCAAAAUAUAUUAGAAACCCUAAGCCAAAAAUGCAUCAAAAGAGUUCCUCCAAGCAUCAUUCCAAGCCCAAUCCUGCUAAGGAAUCCAAAUCUACAGGGUGAGCAAAACGCUCGUGAGGCCAAGGACACACAUGCAAGCACAUAGUCCAAGUAACAAGCCCAAUUAACAAGUCACAUAAUAAAAUACAAGUAAUUGUCAAUUCCAAUGAAAUGUAAACAGAAACAAUUCAAGGAUAUGGUAGCUCUCAGGAGUUAAGUUCCACUUGCUUUGCUAGGGUCAUUCGUAUACCUUCCCGCGAUGACUCUCCGUCAACCGGGUCGGUAUUUUGAAUUCGUAGAUCUCCACUUACUUCUCAUAUCCGUCCACCAUACAUACCACAACCGGGCCCGCACGUUAUUUAUGAGGCGAUACUCAACGAGUAUGCCAAGCAAGAUCUCUCCAACAGAUCAAGCUUAUCAUGUGAUUCUCAUGGCUCACCGCGAUUCCCGACCAAACCCAUGUCGGCUUGAGUUUCAAGGUCGGCUUAUGAGUUUGGGUGUCCCCCUUGUGUAUUUGAGUGUCGAGGAGAUUUAUUCCAACGACGUAUGCAGUCAUAGCAUACUAUUUCAGGUCAAGUAAGCAUUUGAUGUAUUCAAGCAUUCAGGUCAUGUCCAGCAGGUCAUUUAUUUCAUGUCAAGCAAGUUAAUCAUGAGUUAUUUAUUUCAAAUGAGAACGAGUGCGAUAAAGUACACACUCGACUCCAUUUUCAAAAUCUCAAGUCCACAGGAAUUCAAGUAGUCAUGCACUUGACACUCACCAAGUCAACCAAAGAGAAUUGUUACUUGAAAUUCAAACGUCUACCGUAGGAUCCUCUUGAAGGUUCUCGUGCGAGCCUGAAUAUUUAAUAGUGAACAAUCACUUAUAAACCCCAAUUAUCAAGAAAGAAUGCACGCUUGUACAAUUCUAGAAAAUUUCACUAAAAUGAGCCUAAAUUACUUGCGAAUUAAGGUUCAAAAGUGGGGUUUUAAAGCAUAAGAGAAAUCGAUUUCUCAUCUUUGAAAUCAAGUAUAAAACGGUCAAGUAAUAUCAAAAGAAUAAGGAUAAUUCAAAAAACUCCAUUUCCUUAAGAUUCGAAAAUUUCAGUUUUGAUACGAGAUCUUUGAAAAAUCGUAUCUCACUCUUUACAAGUCCAAAAUUGGAAAACAUGGUACUGUUGGAAACCUCUUAUGAAGUACUAAAAGUUCCUAGAAAACACCUUUCCAGGAUUCUAAAUGGAAGGUAUCCGAAAAUUAGCUCAAAGUUGCUGUUUUGGGGCAUUGAAGACAGGUUUAAGUUGGUUUUUGGCCAACUUUGAAAAUUUGGUAAAAUUCACUUGAUUUGAACUAACCUCUAGAAUUUGGAACUCUAUUAGGGUUGCAAUCCAAGUUUAAAAAAAAAAUAAACGAAAUGAGAAUCGGAGUUUUGAGCACCAAGAUACAAUAGCUCAAAGUUGGUGAAAAAUCGAACUGUUAAGCCAAUUUUCCAGAUUUAAGUUCCAAACUUUGGGACUUUAGUUAGGUAUCGAAACGGACUCGGAACAGUGUCAAAUUUGGUAAGAAUAUACUACCGUAUAAGGGACACUCUUUUGCCAAAUUUCAUAGAAAAAUAUGUUCGAAAAUCGGUUAACAAGACCGUUGAAAUCACAAGAAAUUCUAAGGCUAAGCUGCCUUUGAACUUCCGUUUUACCGUUUCCAAGCAUUUGAUCAAGAAACAUCUCAAACCUGGUCCAUUCUAGUAGGUAAUGUCUAAAAUAUGUCCAAGGUACAUUUGAUAGGUGAUGUACACUAAGAAGCUUCGGAUAACAAGUUCCAAAUCAUUGUUAGUUUCAAAUAUGUCCAAAUGCAUGGUAUUUCUUCACAAUACUAGAUUCGAAUUUUGGUCAUAAAUCACUCAAUUCAACCCGGAAUUGAGCAUGGUUGGUGGCGUUGGAAAACACAUUCAUAGAGCUACAAUUUCUUAGAAGAAAUCAUUUUUAAAAUCUGUCCACAACUAGCCCACAUUUAAGCAUCAAGUUGUAGUUCAUGUUCUGCCUUGUAGUGAACCAACGAAACAGUGCAGCCAAGUUCAAACGGUUGGUGUGGUUCACUCAGGUGGAAUCAGAAUGUGCAUUUUAUACCGUUGGAAAGCUGGGAAUGUCUAGUAUCAGUGCCACAAACAGAACUCGAUUUCAACAUUGGGACAAAGAGUUAUAGUCUAAACAAAAUCACUGCCAGAGUAAUACGGGACACAAUUCCAGUUUUGGCAAAUUUUCUAAAUCUCAACAUGCACUUACCCAAAUCACGUAAAAUUUUGAGAAAACUUUAUACACAACCUAUAUUACACAUUUUCAUCAGAAACAAGUCAAUUGGACUUCAAGAAAGUACACUAAAAUGCACGAAAAUGGCAAGGCAGAAUCGGCACCUUCACAUGCAACCCCUCAUUUGACUUCCUUUUCACUUUUAUCACUUAACUCUACUAAACUAACACUUAAUCAACACAAUUAACAUCCAAUCUUAUCAAAUUAGAUCAUCAAAGUCAUUUUGGGAUUUCAUAGAGCCCACUCACGAAUUUUCUAACAAUUUAAAGCUGCCCAUGAGAAUCCAAGAGCUCAUGAGUGUAAUCUAUCUUUCAUAAAUCAAGAAUUAAGUGGUUGAUCAUUACUUACUUUCUUAGAGAGCCAAGACAGAAAUUUCAGUCACUUUGAGUUGGAGAAAAACUGUGAGAGGCAGCUCCUUUCCUAGUUUAUCUUGAUCACCAAUUGAUUUGAGUGUUGUGUGUAAAAUUUGAAGGUAAUUUGAGCAAGGAAUUGAGGAGAAAGAGUGGAGGAAUUUUCUGGUCUUGUUCUUCCUUUGUUGCUCGGCUGUUUGAGUGUAUGUGAGGAAGGAAAUUCCGAUGUUAUUAGAUUUUAAGGUAGGCUAAAAACUUGUGGCUCAAAUUUUCUCAAAGUUGUACACUAAAAUAAUGCACGUGCGCGUGCGUUUCGUGCUCGAUUCCUCUCGAGUUUAUUGCACUAGUGCACUAAAUCUCUAAUGCACUUACAUUCAUAUUAUUAUUAUUCACUCUUAAUAGUCCCAAAAUAAUGGUCUAAGGCUCCUCAAUUACUCGCGCGCGUAAAAACGCUUAUUUCCAAUUUAAGCGCGAGAUAGAGAAAUUUCUAAGAAGUUCUUAUAACGAUAAUAUAACUAACUAACCUUUGAACACUUAUAUAUAAAAAUACCUAUUUUAGGACUAAUGUAAAAGUCUCCAAUUUUUCAAACUUAUUGUAUUCUCGAAUCGAUUAUUUACUCCAAUCGCGUAUUAACUAUUUUCACUUAACGAGCCUUUAGAAAUUAAAUUUUAAAACGAGUCACUUUAAAAAUAUAACUAAGCUAUAGAUCCAUCUAAUUAGAUCUAAAAAGAUUAGAAAAUAAUAAUCGGAGCAUUUGGCCAAAUAAAUAAUUAAAUAAGUUAGAAUUUUGAGUUUAAAAUAGAUAUAUUUUUUUUGUGAGUCUUUACAUCCUCUCCCCCUUAAGAAAAUUUCAUCCUUGAAAUUUACCUUGAUCUGCGAACAAGCUUGGAUACUUUCCUCGGAUUGCCUCUUCAACUUCCCAGAUCGCUUCCUCUAGUUCGUGGUUUCUCUAGAGAACCUUUAUUAAAGGUAUCUGCUUAUUUCUCAAUUAUUUUACCUUUCUAUCCAGAAGUUUCACCAGUCUCUCCUCAUAGGUCAAAGUCUUAUCAAUCUCAAUACUUUCCGGUUGCAAAAUAUGAGAAGGGUCUGGAUGAUACUUCUUAAGCAUGGACACAUGGAAAACAUUAUGAAUCCGAGACAGACUCGGUGGCUAUUCCAACUUAUAGGUUACAUUUCCUACACGUUGGAUAACCUUGUAAGGUCCUACAAAUCUUGGUUGUAACUUCUUUCCCUUCCCAGACAUUAAACUUGCUUUUAGAGGUGUAAUCUUGAGAAAUACUAGAUCUCCAACUUCAAAUUCCAAAUCCUUUCUCCGAUUAUCUGUAUAACUCUUCUGACGACUUUGUGCAGUUUGGAUUCUCUGACGUACUAACUUUACUUUCUCAUUAGCUUCCUCAAUUCAGGGCACUGUAGUCGGGUCUAAAAUCUUUCGUUCACCUAUUUCGUCCCAACAAAUCGGUGAUCUACACUUUCGACCAUAAAGUGCUUCAUAUGGAGCCAUUUGAAUAGAAGAGUGGAAGCUAUUGUUAUAGGAAAAUUCCACUAGUGUUAAAAAUUUACUCCAACUCUCCCCAAAAUCCAAAACACAAGUGCUCAACAUAUUCUCAAGUGUUUAAAUCGUCUGCUCGGACUGUCCAUCGGUUUGGGGAUGGUAAGUAGUAUUGAAAUUCAAUUUAGUCCCCAACACCUCUUGCAUCUUUUGCCAGAAUCUCGAAACAAAUCUUGGAUGUCUAUCAGAUACAAUACUUACCGGUAUUCCAUGUAACCUGAUAAUCUCAUCCAUGUACAGCUUAGCUAACUUCUCCAAUGGGUAUUUCAUAUUAAUCGGCAGAAAAUGAGCCAAUUUGGUCAAUCUAUCCACUAUUACCCAAAUGGCAUCAUGGCCUCUUUGUGUCCUCGGUAAUCCUGAUACAAAAUCUAUAGUGAUGUUCUCCCAUUUCCACUCAGGUAUUUCCAAAGGUUGCAAAAGUCCUGAUGGUUUCUGAUGUUCGACUUUAACCUAUUAACAAAUUAAACAGGUUUGGACAAAUUGGGCAAUUUUCUUUUUCAUGCUCUCCCACCAGUACAAACUCUUCAAAUCUUGGUACAUUUUAUUCCCUCCAAGAUGUACAGUAAAUUUAGAUCGGUGUGCCUCUUCUAAAAUUUCCUUCUUAAGCCCUUCAUCCUUUGACACUACUAUCCAAUUCUGAAACUUCAAAAUACCAUUUGAUCCCAAAUUAAAAUCCAAUUUUUCUCCCUUUUUGACACUUUCCACCCACUUUUGCACUACAAGGUCUUUUUCCUGAGACUCUUUAAUACGUCCCAUCAAAAUGGAAUUCACUACAAUGUUCUCAAGGAUUAUUUUUCUCGGCUCCAAUCGAGAAUUCCAAGAACUAAUUUUUUCUAACAAGUGAAGCUCCUUAAUCAUCAAUCCGACCACUUGUACUUGACGACUUAGAGCAUCAGCCACUACAUUGGCUUUUUCUGGAUGAUACUUUAUCGUGCAAUCAUAAUCUUUUAGAAAUUCCAUCCAUCUACGUUGCCUUAAAUUCAGCUCCUUCUGAGAAAAUAAGUACUUAAGGCUUUUGUGGUCAGUGAAAACAUUGAACGUCACCCCGUACAAGUGAUGCCUUCAAAUUUUUAAAGCAAAUACCACAGCCGCUAACUCCAAGUCAUGGGUCGGGUAAUUUCCUUCAUGCGGUUUCAAUUUUCUAGAGGUAUAGGCUAUCACUUUGUCAUUUUGCAUUAAAACACAGCCUAAUCCUUCCUUGGAAGCAUCUGUGUAGACCACAAAGCUAUCUUUUCCAUUCGGUAGGGCUAACACUGGCGCCUCAGUCAAACGUCUUUUUAACUCUUGAAAACUUUCUUCACACUUAGGACUCCAUAUAAACUUUUUAUUUUUCUUGGUUAACUCGGUCAUGGGUCCAGUAAUUCUAAAAAAAUCUUGAAUAAAUCUCCGGUAAUACCCGGCUAAUCCAAUAAAGCUUCGGACCUCAGUAGGGUUUUCCGGUCGUUUCCAUUUUGAAACAGUUUCAACUUUGGCCGGGUCUACUUUAAUCCCUUCCUUAAAAUUAUGUGUCCCAAGAAAGUCACUUCUUUUAAUCAAAACUCAUACUUGAUAAACUUAGCAUACAAUUGGUGUUCACUUAGAGUUUGCAAAACAAUCCUCAAGUGCUUCUCAUGAUCCUCCAUAUUCUUAGAAUACACCAAAAUAUCGUCAAUAAAAACCACGACAAAUUGGUCCAAGUAAGGUAAAAACCCUAUGCAUUAAAUCCAUGAAAACAACAGGUGCAUUUGUUAAUCCAAACGGCAUUACGGCAAACUCAAAGUGCCCGUAUCUCGAGUUAAAAGCAGUCUUGGGUAUAUCCUUCUCCAAAAUCUUCAGUUGAUAGUAACCCUGUCUCAAAUUCAACUUCGAGAACACUACCGCCCCUUGCAAUUGGUCGAACAACUCAUCAAUGUGGGGCAGUGGGUACUUAUUCUUAACUGUAACAUCAUUUAAGUCUCGGUAAUCUAUACACAGUCUCAAACUCCUAUCCUUCUUCUUAACAAAUAAAACCGGGGCUCCCCACGGUGAAUCACUUCCCCUUAUAAAAUCCCGUUCCAACAAAUCCUGUAGUUGUAAUUUUAAUUCUUUCAAUUCGGUUGGAGCCAUUCGAUAUGGCGUCUUAGAAAUAGGUGUUACUCCCGAGGUCACAUCAAUCUUAAAAGUUAUAUCCCGUUCUGGAGGCAAAAACUCUAAUUUUUCAGGAAAAAUAUCUAGAAAAUCUUUCACUACAGGCAUGUCCUACAAAUUCACCUUAUCACUAGGGGUGUUAAUAACGAAGGUCAAAUAUCCUUGAGUUCCUUUACUUAACAAUCUUCUAACCCGAAUUCCUGAAAUAAGUGCAGACGAAACCAACUUACCCCUCACAUCCAGUUUCAGGGUUGCCUCCCCUGGAAUACACAAUUCUACAAUGUUUGUCCUACAAUUCAACUGGGCAUUAUAACGGGUUAGCCAAUCCAUCUCUAAAAUCACAUCAUACCCCUUAAUUGCUAAGUCUAUCAAAUCGGCCAAUAAUUUUCGUUCCCCAACACAGAUUUCACAAUCCCUAUACACCAAGUUAGCAAUUAAACUUUUGUCUCCAGUAGGUGUUCUAACCUCCAAGUCAUAUGGUAACUUAAUUGGCUUCAAGUCUAUCACACUCAUAAAGUUAGGGUUUACAAAAGAAUGUGUUGCACCCGGAUCAAUUAAAACCCCAGCUAAACGUUGAAAAAUUGGAAUUGUACCUUCAACCAUCUUAGUCGCCUCAGGGACCUGUUGAUAGUCCAGUGCAUAGACCCUAGCCGAUACUUUCGGUCUACUUCCUCCAGCACUGGUCUGUUUAGAGGUUGACUUUUCUGGCCUCUGAGUGUUACCUCCCAUCUUCGUUUUACUUGGACAGUUCACGAGUUGGUGCUCCGUGCUACCACAAGCCAAAAACUUCCUAGACUUCCUCCAGCAUUCAUUCUCAGAGUGGUUAGAUUUUUCACAGUAUUCACAAGUGACUUGAGGGGUCAUGGCUAAACCACUAGAAGGCGCUCCCCUAUUCUGAACCGGUCCACUACGACCUCCUCUGGAUAAAGCUUCCCUAGGAGGUCCAGUAGUCCUUAAUCCUCUCAUUCCUUUUCCAAUUUUAGAAGGCUGUGAACUCUUACUAGUCUGUCUAGAAGUACGACUAGAAAAGUUCCUCUUCAUAUUGUGAAAGUUUUUAACUUGCAUUCUUGCACUUUCUACCCGUUGCGCUUUCUCUAAAGCCUCAGUAAAUGUGGAGCUUUGAGCUGCAGCUAAGCCCUCCUGGAUUUUUACAUUAAGUCCCUGCACAAACCGCCUUAUCCUUUUCCGCUCAUUGGUUACCAAUUCAGGGGCAUAUUUAGAAAGUUUAGUAAAUUUUCCUUCGUAUUCAGCUACACUAAGGGUCCCUUGUUUCAACUUGAUAAAUUCAUCCUCCCUCUUUUCUUGAAUCAGAGGUGGAAGAAAUUUUUCAUUAAACUCCCUCGUGAAAUUCUCCCAAGUCCAAGGGGUUUGAACUCUCUCCCAUUUUCCUUUUAUCAUGUCCCACCAAGCACGAACCACUCCCUCAAAUUGGAAAGCAGCAAAAUUCACUUGCCUAUUCUCAGCAUAGUCUAAGACGGCGAAUAUAUUGGUCAUUCUUUCCAACCAAUUCUCCGCUACCUUAGGAUCGGGUUCACCAACGAAUUUAGGCGGAUUAAACUUCAAAAAUCUUUCUAAGGCUCGGUCCUCUCCUCUUUCUCGUCCCCCAAGUUAGUUAAGUGAUCCAGGACCUUGCCUAUCAGCUAAGCGUUCUAGGAUGUCAGUCAUCCUAUUGAUGGCAGUAGCCACUUGAUUUUCCUCUAUAUUUUUCUGUCCCUGGGUCAGUCCAGUUGCCGAUCCCUGGUCAUCUCCAUGAGAUUGGGUCUGUCAAAUCCCUCGCCCACGGUCUCGAGCACGGUCUCGACCACUUCUUUGUCCGUCCAUUAUCCUAUAUGUGCCUAGUGCAAGAAAUAAAUCAAUUUCGAGAGAAAAUGCUUAAAACAAGAAUCAAUCACGAAAGCAUUGAAAAUAACAAUAAUUUACAUUCAUUAUCAUUUCAAGUUCAUACAAUUAGCAAGUCAUGGGAAAAUCACAAAAAUAUAGCACGCAAGUGCUACAAGAGUACUUUUAGUCACAGAAGACUAAAGUAAAAGCAAGUGCCACAAAAGUUGGCCACACAGUCAUGCAAAAUACAAUGGCUUCAGCACGUAGCAUCACCCCUGCUAAUCCUAUUUACACCAGUCAAAAGGGUCAAAAGGGUCGAUCACUAGGGACCUAGUCCACAGCAGGACUACCAGGCGGAAUCUCCUCCUCAAGAUCCUCCUCCGGAUCCUCCUCCUGGACCGGGUUCUAAACUAUAUCCGCCACUCCCUCUAUCAUCUCAGUGGCAUCAGCCAAGAUCCUAGAAACUCGAUCACGGACCUCCCCUCUUAAUCUAGUAAGUCGAGCCCUAGUACUCUGGAGCUCCUCAUGAACAACUGCAGCUGUAGCCACCUCGCCCUCUACUACCUCCUCAAGCUCAGCGAUCCUCUCGCCCUGAGCACUAACCAUCUAUCUAAACUCGUCCACCUCGGCCUGUAAGUCUAAGUUGGCAGUAACCAACUAACGACGCUCGUCGUCCAAUGCUAGCACAAUGUGGUUCGGGUAGGCAAAUGUCACCCUACAUGGGCAACGAGGAUAUCUAUCAUAAGGUGUAUAUCGCACGCGAGUUCCUCCACUCAGAACUCGGUAGUAAAUGGGCCUAGGAGGUUCUACGUGACCAUUAGCAUGGCCAUUCCCAUUAGCUGCCGGAGUCUCAUUUUCAUUUUCCAUCCCUGCAAAAUAAUUACACUUUUUAGGUUAGAACCUUAAUCGCUCACUCGCACGGAUGUCACUUACAGUAUGUCUAACUUAGUCACUAGUUCGCCCAAAUAUCACUUAAGGUAUGACUAAGUCGUCCGGUCUCAGGUCUUAAGGGUAGAGUAUCUAGUAUAUCUCCCAUAUAGAUCUCUAACCUAGUGCUCUGAUACCAACUGUGACGCCCCCACUUCUCCCUACGGUGAACCAGAGGGUAUCCGCGGGACGCCUGCCCAACUCUUGCCAGGACUCAAGCAAUUUCUAUUCAAACUUAAUGUAAAACUAUUCAACAAUACUAGAUAAGUAAGAAAGUGCGGAAAACUUCCAAACUUAACAAUAUAUAUAUAACGCUUAUCCAAUCAUUACAUUAAAUUCCUAAAAGCUACAUCAAUAUCCAAAAUAUAUAACAACUAGGUACAUCAAAUAUCCAAAUCAUACAUUAAAUUCUCAAUAGUACAACCAAAAAGAGAUCUAACCCAAAAUAUAUUAGAAACCCUAAGCCAAAAAUACAUCAAAAGAGUUCCUCCAAGUAUCAUUCCAUACCCAAUUCUGUUAAGGAAAACAAAUCUACAGGGAGAGCAAAACGCUCGUGAGGCCAAGGACACACAUGCAAGCACAUAGUCCAAAUAACAAGCCCAAUUAACAAGUCACAUAAUAAAGUACAAGUAAUUGUCAAUUCCAAUGAAAUGUAAACAGAAACAAUUCAAGGAUAUGGUAGCUCUCAUGAGCUAAGUUCCACUUGCUUUGCUAGGGUCAUUCGUAUACCUUCCCGCGAUGACUCUCCGUCAACCGGGUCGGUAUUUUGAAUUCGUAGAUCUCCACUUACUUCUCAUAUCCGUCCACCGUACAUACCACAACCGGGUCCGCACGUUAUUUAUGAGGCGAUACUCAACGAGUAUGCUAAGCAAGAUCUCUCCAACAGAUCAAACUUAUCAUGUGAUUCUCAUGGCUCACCGCGAUUCCCGACCAAACCCAUGUCGGCUCGAGUUUCAAGGUCGGCUUAUGAGUUUGGGUGUCCCCCUUGUGUAUUUGAGUGUCGAGGAGAUUUACUCCAACGACGUAUGCAGCCAUAGCAUAUUAUUUCAGGUCAAGUAAGCAUUUGAUGUAUUCAAGCAUUCAGGUCAUGUCCAGCAGGUCAUUUAUUUCAUGUCAAGCAAGUUAAUCAUGAGUUAUUUAUUUCAAAUGAGAACGAGUGCGAUAAAGUGCACACUCGACUCCAUUUUCAAAAUCUCAAGUCAUGAAUAACAAGUAAACAUGUAUCAAGUCUACAGGAAUUCAAGUAGUCAUGCACUUGACACUCACCAAGUCAACCAAGGAGAAUUGUUACUUGACACCCAUGUCUACAAUUUCCCCCUAGCAUUGGACUAGUGAGAAAAGUCGGAACAAAUGACCACAACUAGCAUUGGACUAGUGUGGAUUCGAGAAAUUGACCACAACUAGCAUUGGACUAGUGUGGUGAAGUCACACAUCGGUUACAAUCAAAUAAAUCAUGUGAGACCUAAUAAAAGCAUGUAAACAUAUAAAUCACACAUAACACAUAACACAUAAGCAUGAUAUCUAAAUCCAAGACCCUAAGAAAGCGGUAACACAUAGCACAUAGACAUGCAAAACACACAUAAGACAAAUAAAGCAAAUAAAGCCCUAACUAUUACAUUCGGGGGAAGCCUACUACAAUCUAAGAGGGGAAACAGAAUAAAAUAAAUAAAAUAAUAACCUAACUAUUACAAUUUUGGCAUUCAAGUGCCUUUCAAAUGAUCGAAAUUGAAAAUAACUAUACAAAACUAAAACAAAUAAUGUGGAUAAAUAAAUAAAUAAAUAAAAUGAAAACAUUCAAAAGGCAUGCAAUUAAGCACAUAAAUCACAUAGACACAUAGGGUCAAAUAAAGUGAAAAUAAGGGAUAGAGUAUACCUUCCUUGCAAUGGUAAUCAAAUGAGGGAAAAAUAGCUUCAAAACAAUAAAAGGGUCAAGACACCAAUUAAAUAGUAAAGUAUAAACAAAAUCACCAAAUCCCUCCCAAUUGCAACUUAAAUGAAAUCAAAUAAUGCAUAAUUUCCAAGAAAAGUAAAUUAUUGAUCAAAUUUCUAAAAUAGAAAAACUACCAAGGACCCAAUUGCAAAUAUUAACUAAUCACUCAAGCCCAAUUAACACAUUUUGAAAAAUUCACGGGUCCAAAAGCAAAGAAGGGGUCAAGUAAUGGUUCAAAUUGCAAUUACUCUAGGACCUAAUUGCAAGAAAUCAAAACAUGAUUGGGCCUUUGUAGCAUUAGAUAGAAAUUGGGGGGCCAAAGUGCAAAUUUUUCAUGCAUACAUAUGAAGCUUUCUUUAUUUAUGCUGGUUUCUUUUAUUUGCAACAGGUUGAGCUUCUCAACAUGCAAUCUCCCAUCCUUCCUAACACAACUAACAUCUCCGCCAGCCAAACAUUCAGAUUAAACAACAAGACAACCAAACUUUCUUUUCAUCUUUAAACACAAAAAUCCAGAGAGCAAGAGCAUGCAAAUCUAGCCAACCAAACUUCUGAGAAAAAGAACGUGAAGCAGGAUAACACACAGAGAAUCAUUUCAACAUUCUGCAAAUCUCAAUGCUUCCCCCCUUACCCAAAGCUGAACCCAAAAUAAGCAAAAGAAAAGAGCCUACAUACACACGAAACUGGUAUUGCCUAUGAACACCAAAUUCUGCAAACCCAUCUUUCGGCCGAACAAAAUCUCAAACAGAUCAAGAAUAACGAUAGCUACAAACAAUGUCAUUGUUGAGACCAACUGUUAUGCUACACUUUGCUGCAAAUAAAUUGCAGCAAACGCAUACAAUGGCAUCGCCAUCCAACAACAAACAGACCCAACAGACAAAAACAAAUCAAAUCAAGGUCUUAAUUCCCAAAGCAACCCGUUUUGCCGACCUCGCUGCAACAAGCCAAAGCUUUGAGGUUGUUGCAGCAAAUUUUAUGUGCAAAAAACAGUUAAGCAACAUUUAAGUUCAGCCAACAAAAUCCUCAAUCAACCUUCCUACUACACAAUCGUAAAACCUUUGGAUUUAAACACAAAAGGAUCGAAGCAUAGGAACUUGCCAAUUUGGAAAUUUGUUUUACAGCUUGUGUAUUCAUUUUCUCAAUUGCGGGCUUCAUUACCAAACACUCGCAUGGUGAAAAUCAAUUCCAAUCCAACCAAACAUGCACACAUUAUACUUAUUACUGCUAAGAAACCAACGCAAGCAAACGAAGAAAAAUGAGACAGCAAUGGACGAAGCAUCAAUGAAAAGAUUUUGCCGACUGUGUGGUAUCCUUCUGGGUUUCGUUCAUCAUAUGCACAACAACCAUGAACCUUAAGCAAGAACCGAUGAUUCAACCUCAUAGAUAACCUAGAUUUCUACCUCAAAAACCCUAAUUCAAACUCAUCAAAUCUUCUACUUCCCCCCCUCCGACCAGAUUCACACAGAAAUAAACAUAAGGAGGAUAACUUCAGUACGUCCCAUAUGCAGUGAGCUAAGAACAAACCCAGUGGAAGAUGUUACCUUUUAUCCCUUUCAAGGGAAAAUCAAGGUCUGGGAUGAUGGAAUAGGGGGUCUUCGUUCAACCGGAGAGUCUAAUCUUCCCGGCUCGCAAGCUGUCCUUCUUUGGCUUCCUCAGCAGAAUACUUGCUCCCUGGUUUUUCUUCUUUUUUUUCUAUCUCACCGUCUUUCAAUCUACUAUGUUUCUUCCUUUCUUAGUUGCUUGCCCUCUAUUCUUUCUUUUCCUUCUAUCUCCAGUCCGCCCCCAGAUUUUUAUCCGCCGCCUCUCUCUUGCUAUUUCUUUCCUCGGGUUUUCUCAUACCCUAGCUCACCUCCAGCCGUCCCCUCUGUUUUCUUUUUUCUAUCCCUCUGCCCUCUGUUUCUCAACCGCUAAUCUUUUCCUCUCCCCAUUUUUUCUCUCCAGCCCCAGACCCCUUUGGCCGUCCACUUAGCUUUCCUUUUAUAUCCUCUCUUUAUAGCUACCAAAACUUCUAAACCUACAUCUAAUGGUGCUGCUGAAAUCAUCUUUUCUUGAUGGUUUAUGAACCCUUAGAUGAGUUUUGUCCAUGAUGAUCUUAGUGUAGGGAUCAAAGCCAAGUGGUUAGGGAGAAAGUGAUCCAAUGGCGAUGAAAAAAAAUGGUGGGAAAAAGAAAAUAGGAUUGUGUUGCAUUUCCUUGUAUUUUCGCUUCAUGUUUCUGCUCAAAAACGAAAUAUGGAGAUAGAGUUCGGAUCACAUGAAGUUCACACAAGCGUGAGCUUGGUCUGACACCUCUUCUCUCUUUUUUAAUUUUUAAUGCUAAAAAUGCCUAACGAGAUAAAGGAUUAAAUAAAAACAAAUAAAGAUAAAUAAAUUACUAUCUAGAAUGCCAAAAUGAAAAAAUAAAAUCAUGAGAUUAAUAAGGUAAAAUAAAUGACAAUUAUCAAUAAAUAAAUAAAAUAAAAUAAAAUAAAAAAUUUGGUGUUUACAUUUUGCCCCUCUUUGUCUGAGUUUCGAAGAAGCUCGAAACAAAGAAGUUGACACCAAAUGCUCACCUGUGGCUAUUCUGCUGCAAAUUAAUCGAACGACUGACAUUCUUGAAAUGAGAACUGACCCCGACAAAAUUUUUUAAAAAUGGAACUGACUCAGAUGAGAAAUUUAAAACGAGACUGACCUCCUGAACAAGAAAUUUAAAAGGGGACUGACCCCGACAAGAAAUUUAAAUCAUGGGAUUGACCUGAACAAGAAAUUUAAAUGGGACUGACCCCAACAAGAAAUUUAAAAGGGGACUGACCCGAACAGGAAAUUUAAAAGGGGACUGACCCCAACAGAAAAUUUAAAUGGGACUGGCCCGAACAGAAAAUUUAAAUGGGACUAGCCCGAAUAGAAAAUUUAAAAUCAUGGGAUUGACCCGAAUAAACUUUAAAUCAUGGGACUGACCCGAACAAAAUUUAAAAUCAUGGGACUGACCCGAACAAACUUUUAAAUCAUGAGACUGACUUGAACAAACUUUAAAAUCAUGGGACUGACCCGAAUAAACUUUAAAUCAUGAGACUGACCCGAAUAAAAAUUUAAUGCUCACUAGUGGGACUAACCCAUGUUCAGUGGCAGUGGAAAUGAAAUGCUCACUGGUGGGACUAACCCAUGUUCAGUGGCAGUGGAAAUGAAAUGCUCACUAGUGGGACUAACCCAUGUUCAGUGGUGAUGAAAAUAAAAUGCACACUAGUGGGACUGACCCAUGUUUAGUGACAAUGAAAAUGAAAUGCACGUUAGUGGGACUGACCCAUGUUUAGUGGCAAUGAAAAUAAAAUGCACGCUAGUGGGACUGACCCAUGUUUAGUGGCAAUGCAAAUGAAGUGCUCACUGGUGGGACUGACCCAUGUUCAGUGGCAAUGAAAACGAAAUGCUCGCUAGUGGGACUGACCCAUGUUUAGCGGCAAUGAAAAUAAAAUGCACACUAGUGGGACUGACCCAUAUUUAGUGGCAAUGAAAAUAAAAUGCACACUAGUGGGACUGACCCAUAUUUAGUGGCAAUGCAAAUGAAGUGCUCACUGGUGGGACUGACCCAUGUUCAGUGGCAGUGAAAACGAAAUGCUCGCUAGUGGGACUGACCCAUGUUUAGCGUCAAUGAAAAUAAAAUGCACACUAGUGGGACUGACCCAUGUUUAGUGGCAGUGAAAACGAAAUGUUCACUGGUGGGACUGACCCAUGUUCAGUGGCAAUGAAAAUGAAAUGCUAGUAUGGAUGCAGAAACUGUAUAAAAUUUACUUGAAAAAUCAUCCAAAAAUUUGCCCCAGUGAUGAAUUGGUCAGUGGGAUUAAACCCGAGCCUGCCGUGAAAAUUGGUCAGUGUGAUUAAACCCAAACCUGCCUUGAGAAGCGGUUAGUGGGAUUAAACCUGAGCCUGCCUUGAUAAUAAGUCAGUGGGAUUACACCCGGGCCUGCCUUUGGCAAAUUGGUCAGUGGGAUUAAACCCAAACCUGCCUUGAAAAUCGGUCAGUGGGAUUAGACCCGAGCCUGCCAUAAGAAUCGGUCAGUGGGAUAGCACCCGAGCCUGCCGUGAAAUUAGCCCCAAAAAUUAAGUGUGAUUGUCAAAAGGGGAAGAUAGAAGGGAGCGCGGCGGACGCUGAGACAUCGCCAACAAGAAUUCAAUUUGAUUUUUCAAGAAAUAAGAAAUUGAAUUUGAUUUUUUUUUAUUUUUGAUUUUUCUGAUUUUUCUGACUUUUGAUUUUUAUUUUUUUUUGGAUUUUCUAAUUUUUUGAUUUUUUUUUGGAUUUUUUCUUUGAUUUUUUUUGGAAUUUUUUUUUGAACUCUUUUUGGAAUUUCUUUUGAAAAAUUUUUGAUAUUUUCGAGAGAAUCUUUUUCAAAAAUAAUUUGCCCCAGUGUAGGGCCCUUCUUUUUUUUCUUUUUCCGGUAUCGGUCUUCCACAUUACUUGAUGUUUCUCCAUCGAUUUCAGCCAUGAAUACCUGCACAGGGGGCUUGUCAAAGUACAACAUGCACUUAAAUUUCUUAUUUUAUUUUAAAAUCAAUGCAACUACUACUCAUGAAAAGAGCAGCGUGUUUGGUUUGACAUCCUCAAAUGUAUUUACAAACAAUUUGCCCUAACGUGGGCUUAUUUUGUGAAAUUUCAAAAAUAAAAAUUUGCCCCAGUGUGGGCCUAUUUAAUUUGCAAAAACUUUGUUUGGAUGACGUUCCAUUUGUUUGAGCAAAGUAAGAAACUAUGUUUCCUAUUAGAAAAUUUCAUGAUGAAUUUCUCGAAAUAAUACCAAAUUACAGAAGAUUUCUUCCUCAUCUUAGUAUCGAUGCUUAGAGUAAUGGGUCCCCAAUUCUUGUUAAAUCGUCUUUCAAGACCAAUCAAGUGAUCUUAUUUCUGAUUUUGAGGUGGCUAAGGAAAAUGAGAAGUCAAGAUUUGUCUUGUUCUUGUGCCCAAAAUUGUAUGUAAUCCAUUCAAUAUCACAUCUUAGUGAAAGCAAAUAGUUUGUCACCCUCAUUUCUUAAGAAAACUUAGUCAACAUAUAAGCUUUUAGGCUUGUAACGUAUGGGCAGAAACGAUAGCUAAACAUGUGAAAACUGGUUAUACCCUUAUAAUUACAAAUGAUUGAUGGAUUUCUUAUGAGUAUAAUCCUCACUUUGGAUUGUCAUGAAGGAUAAGUCAGCGAUGGACUUUAUAAGCUUAUAAUGUGGCUUGAAAACGAUAGUUAAAGAAUAUGACUUCAAGGUCAUUGCACCGAAGAUCGCAUUUUUCCAAAAUUGCCUCUAUUUUGAACUCAAAGAUCUUAGAUUUGGUGACUUUCCUCAUCACUUAACGGGGACUUCACCAUCAAAUCUUUUCAUUUUCUUUGCAUUUAUUUUUGCUUUUUCCAUUUCAUUUCAAAGGUGCCCUGGCGGAUUUUUAGAUGAUGAGUAAUGUUAAUUUCACAGCUAAUCAAUUCAAAAAUACAUCUAAAAAAUUUUCUAACAUCAGAAUAUGCGCAUCACUUGCCAAUUAAUUAGAAAGUUUCUUAACAGAGAUAUUGUAAAAAAAUGGAAGUCAGGACUUUUAGCUUUUGUAAUGGGGUCUGGUGGGGUGCUUAGAAAAGUUAAGACUUGAAAGCGGAUUUUCAAAAGUGGUUUAAAUGAUUUGAGACCGCAUUAUUGCGCCAACCCUAUUUUAGGGUUAAAUCAAAGUUUGCCCCAAUUCAAUCUCCAUUGAGGUUUUUUUCUCUUUCAUUUGUUUCUUUUUCGGCCUUGUGCCAUUCUUUUCCAAAAAUUUGCCCCAGUUUAUGCUCAACAGUGGUUCUCUUUUCUUUUCUUUUCCUUUUGAUUUUGUUGCUUUAUCACUUUUCAUCUCUUGGGACUUUUCUUUCUUUUCAACUCAAACUUGCCCCAGUGUGGGGUUUGCGAUUCUCAGGGGUUGCCAAACGAAGUAAUUUAUUCUGAAGGUUCAAAAGGAAUAACUAGGGAUAGAAUGUCUGAUUGGAAAAGAAGAGGGCCUGACUUUUAUUCCGUUCCUUACAUUAACUCUGAAAGGAAACUUUCAUUAAUGGGAAAUUCUUGCUUGUAUCUGAAUUAACUGACUGAGAAAGACCAUUGUUCAUCCAUAUCUGUGAAACAUAGGUGAUCCGCCGGACAAAACUCUUCCUUUUCUUUUCUCUUCUUCUUUUUUAAAAUUGAAACCCAGGUGGAAUCAAAUUUCCCCAAUUUGCGGUUCCCUCCUUCUUCUUGAAUUUUAGCAUUUUUGCCCUCUUUUUUUUCUUUUUUUUUUCCUCUUUUGAAAAAUCCUCCAAUUUCCUUCCCCGGUGUGGGGUACGAUCAUAAGUGCUUUUGAAAAGAACCAUCUAUUUUAGCUCAAAGGGGGAUGCAAGGGAUAAAUAGUGUUUAGAUUGUAGAAACGAUGGCCAAAGCAUCAUUCUUACAUCUCAUGACAACCAAAGGAACGACAUGCUUAUUGAGAAUCCAUUCCCUUUUGAUAUUUGAAAAUCUUCAAAUGUAAGAUAGUGGUCAUUAAGGCUCUUAUUUGAAACAAAAUUAUUCUUCUUUAUUCUUUAUUCUUUUUUUUUUAAGGCUCAAAUGGGGGAGCAAAUGAUAAAAUCUAUGUAGAUAGAGAAACGAACGCUUGAAGUGUCAUUCCAAAUUUUCAAAACAAACAAGAAUAAUGCACAUUUUUGCUUUCACUGAGAUGUGAAUUGAAUAUAAUUAGACACAGUGGACAUUUUUCAAGCAAAGAUUGCUCCAAUUUGUAAUUUAUCAAUCAAUGUGACUGAUUUUAUUUUGGGAUAAUAGAAGUGGGCAAAAAUAUGAAUUGUACAGUGAAGGAGAAAAGAUAUCUCAUUGGAUUUUUCGAGUGACCUCUUUUAAUUUUGAACACUCUUAUUGUACAGUUCGGAUCACCAAUCUAGUGUACGUAAAGAUUUUAGAAAGCAUACACUUGUGAAUUUUCAGGCUAGAGGUUAAAAAAAAAUCCCUAUUUGGUCUUAUUUCUUAAAAUUCAUCAUGAAACCUCCAAUGAGCAACAAUUAAAGAAUGAAAUGUACAUGAACAUACACAAAACAAUAAGUGUCCAAAAACUUUACUGCUGGAAAAAGUUUAAAACAAAAUUUUUCGUUCAACUAUAAUACAAUAAGAAAAGAAAACUUCUAACAAGCUCCACAUAUAUACACUUUUUGUCUCCCUUUCUUUUGGAACAAAAUGUAUUAACAAAUCAAAUAAAUAGAAUUUUCCCUUGAAAAAACAAUUAUAAAGUCUCUCAGAAACCUUAACCUAGAGCUUUCAGAUGGAUUUUUCAUGUUUUCAUUGUAAGGUCUGCCCAAGAAUCAAGUAAUACUUGUAAUUUUCAAAUUUUAUCAGACAUAGAAAAAUAUUUUCACCUUAUUAAAGCAUUUUUUAUGAAUGCAGGGGAGGGGAAAACAAAAGAAAAAAUACCCCGAGUUAGUAAGCAAGACUAUAAAAUCGGUAUGCAUGUCCUAUUGGGGAACCCUUUUAUGCCAAGGGUAGGCCUAGCAUGAAAAUGCAAUCCUCUAGGGUAUGCACCAUACAAUACCUGAUGAAUCCGAUCCACUGAUUGGGUAAAAAAAUGAUUUGAAAAACUUGGCCAAUUGGAGUGAGAAGAGACGUUUGUCCUAAAAAAUGAGGACGAAGUCCGAAUGGAUUGCUUGUUUUGAUCGACACAUAAAAUGAUGUGAGAAAGAGCCUACUCUUGACAGGAUUGCAAUGUUUAGAUUAGGUCAUUCAGUGAACCUUAGACCAAACCCUAAGAGAGGAAAAUCGGGUCAAAUGGAUAGGAUGAAGUUGAUGAUUUAUUCAAAAUUGACUAGAUUACCUUAAAAAGGGUAAAAUGGUCAAAUGUAUUGAAUUAAAUUUGAUUAUUUAUUCAAAAUUGAAUGGAUAACCCUAAAAAUGAAUUAAACUAAUCAAAUGAAUUGAAUGAAAUCAAUUGAUCAAACAGAUCGAGUGAAAUGAUGAUUUAUUCAAAAUCGAUCGAACUGCCCUAAAACUAGGCAAAUUGGUCAAAUGGAUCGGACGAAAUUGAUGAUUUAUUCAAAAUCGAUAAGAUUGGCCUAAGAAUAGGUAAACUAAUCAAAUGAAUUGAAUGAAAUUAGUGAUCUAUUCAAAAUCGACUAGAUUGCCCCAGAAAUGAACAAAUUGAUAAAAUGGACUGGAUGAAAUUGAUGAAUAAAAUGGUCCAAUGGAUUGAAUGGAAUUGACAGCUUAUUUAAAAAAAAUCAAUCUAUCCAUUGGUAGUUUCAAAAAAUUUAUUGCGAUGCGUUAGUCUAUUAGCCUUCUAAUAUCAAAAUUUGGCCUCAAUUUAUUUACCGUCUCAACAGUGAGGAAAAUAUUGGUGAAUUUCUUCAAGUUAAUGUCCUCUAACCAAGGGAAUUUUACCAAAUAUGUAAAAAUGGCCAACAGAUGAUUGUUAAAUGGCCAUAUCCUAAUGUGCCCAAAGUUGUUGUGUUAUCAGGGAAAAAUUGGAUCCUAUCUUAUCUCGUGCACUACCCCUUUGGAUGGUACAAAAUGUAAACGUGCAAGUCUCCUUGGAUUAAGUAUUCGAGACACGAGGUGGCUUAUUCCUAACAUGGGAUCCCCUAAAUGGCAUUCCCUUUCUAGGGUUUAUGCAUGAUGCCAUUUUAUCAAAGCGCAUAAAUAUGCAGUACACAAAUGAAACGUGACCUAAAGGGAACCUCCUUUAGUAUGCCGGGGUGAGCCUAAAAUAAAAUGUAUUCAUGCUGCAAAUACGAAGCAUUGAAUUUAAACGUGUCAUACCAAAUAAAGUAGGCUCCUAGAGAGUACCAUGCCAGGACUCUUAUUUUCUAGGGCUUAUGAAUGCAAUAAAGACAAAAACCAAGAAAAGUUAGUUCAAUAAAUACACAUAACACAUUGUAGCAAUGCAAUACAAAGAGAUAAAGCAAUAAGAGGGGUUGGAUCCCUCCCCUCGUGAAUAGUGUCCCUAAUAGGGUAAGGCAGACUCUACCCUAGGUAAACUAUCGUGGAUGCAUGAGGUUGGGUUUCACUAAUGCAUCUAGACUCGAUAGGUUUUAGGUCCCCGAGCCUUCAGAUUUGGAAAUCAAGGGUCAUCAAUCCCAAGGUUCUUUGUCGGUGGCUCGAGCGAUUCCCCAGACAUUGCUACGCACACAUCGUGUCACGGCUACAUGUCAUGAGUGAAUCUAUCAAAAAUCCUCGACUUUCGACUAAAAGUUAAAGACUAUCAACCCCAAGCUUAAAAUGGAAGAUUGAAUGACCUCUCAGAUCAUGCUGCGCACAUAUCGUGUCGCGAUCACACGUCCAAGUGGGUCACCUAAUCCUAAUAGGGUGGAGUGACGUGACAAGCCACUAAAAGAAAAAUAAAGGAGGGAUAAAUAAUAAAGCGUAUGCACGUAUGCUAGUGCUCCUUUUUGGAGGGGAGGGAUCGAGAACCAAUGCGAGGCUCUAGGGUAAUGACCCCCCAUCCCAAUGCAAUGCAAAACGCGGGAUAAAAUAAACUAUCCAUUCAUCAAAUCAAACGUAGGCGAAUGGGUGAGGAAAUGAGUUGAUACGCGCGAAAUGCAAAAAUCCUAAAAAGAAAAAAAUGCAAUGCUAAACAUCCAAAUGUAAUAUAUAAGAAGGUUAAAAGAAGAAAAGAAUCGACUAAAUCAAAUGCUCAGACUCUCUAAGUCCCCAGUGGAGUCGCCAGCUGUCGCGCCCCAUUUUUUGAAAACAUAAAUAAAUGGUUUAAAAAGUGAAUUUUGAUUCAAUUUUUGGUUGGAAAAUGAAUUUUUGAAAAAACAUGGGUCUAAAUGGGACAUGAAAAUGCGACGAUUUGACCCAAAAUAUAAUUUAAAAAGGGUUUAUUGAAUGAAAAAUGAAGUCACCACUUGGUAUAGAGUUAAGGUGUACCAAGUCACCUAAAAUGAAAUUUUAAAGAAAAAAUGGAAAAACCCUUUUUAAAUGACUGCAAAUCCACGUAAAUCAAAGAAAAAGAUUCGAGAGUCACAUUCGAAGAAAGGGAAGGCAAGGAUAAAAAUCCGAGGCACCCUUUCGAUCUAACCAAGGAUAGUUGCGUGAUUUAGUUAAGGAUUUUCUUAUUUUAACCAAAAGAUUUAUCACAUAUGGACGUGCUAUAUGAAUGCAACCCUAGACCUAGGAGGGUAUCGGGGGGUCAAAAUUUCUCUUCAAAACUCAAUUGAUGCUAAUCACAUUAAUUGUGAUGCCCAAUGCGGAUUCUUUGGAGAGGUCACGAAUAAUGCAGAAAAUAUGAGACUCUAAGAAAAGAAAUAAAAAAUAAUUAUAGAAAUAUGCAUGUCUUAAAGAAGUGCAUCAUGUCGGGUACGGGGGGCUAAUGUUCGUGAUUCAAUUUUCCCUUUUAGUAGAAGGAAUACGGGCGUGUUAAGGCUAGAAGAGCCAAACUCGUCCAUAUCCCAUAUCCAAGGGGGUAUUCCCUAAUCUAAUCAAGCAAAUGCACUACCCUAAUCCUAAUUUUAAAAUAAAAUGCAAUUCUAAUGUUAUGUUUUCAUACCAAAGGGGUAAGGAAUAUAUAUAUAAGGGAAAAUACGUAAUAAGGGAUAUGAGUAGAAGGGAAUACGGGAUAAAUGAUGUACAUAUAUAAGAAAGUGUCAUGCAACAUGGUAAAACCCUAAAAAGUAAAAACAUGCAUGAGAUGAAGUGAUUUUAUCACACGACCAUGAUCUAACGCUCGAGGGGCUCCUAAGGGUCUAGCGUUGGACUAACCCAUGUCUACAAUUUCCCCAUAGCAUUGGACUAGUGAGAAAAGUCGGAACAAAGGACCACAACUAGCGUUGGACUAGUGUGGAUUCGAGAAAUUGACCACAACUAGCAUUGGACUAGUGUGGUGACGUCACACAUCGGUUACAAUCAAAUAAAUCAUGUGAAACCUAAUAAAAGCAUGUAAACACAUAAAUCACACAUAACACAUAACACAUAAGCAUGAUAUCUAGAUGCAAGACCCUAAGAAAGCGGUAACACCUAGCACAUAGACAUGCAAAACACACAUAAGGCAAAUAAAGCAAAUAAAGCCCUAACUAUUACAUUCGGGGGAAGCCUACUACAAUCUAAGAGGGGAAACGGAAUAAAAUAAAUAAAAUAAUAACUAACUAUUACAACUUUGGCAUUCAAGUGCCUUUCAAAUGAUCGAAAUUGAAAAUAACUAUACAAAACUAAAACAAAUAAUGUGGAUAAAUAAAUAAAUAAAUAAAAUGAAAACAUUCAAAAGGCAUGCAAUUAAGCACAUAAAUCACAUAGACACAUAGGGUCAAAUAAAGUGAAAAUAAGGGAUAGAGUAUACCUUCCUUGCAAUGGUAAUCAAAUGAGGGAAAAAUAGCUUCAAAACAAUAAAAGGGUCAAGGCACCAAUUAAAUAGUAAAGUAUAAACAAAAUCACCAAAUCCCUCCCAAUUGCAACUUAAAUGAAAUCAAAUAAUGCAUAAUUUCCAAGAAAAGUAAAUUAUUGAUCAAAUUUCUAAAAUAGAAAAACUACCAAGGACCCAAUUGCAAAUAUUAACUAAUCACUCAAGCCUAAUUAACACAUUUUGGGAAAUUCACGGGUCCAAGAGCAAAGAAGGGGUCAAGUAAUGGUUCAAAUUGCAAUUACUCUAGGACCUAAUUGCAAGAAAUCAGAACAUGAUUGGGCCUUUGUAGCAUUAGAUAGAAAUUGGGGGGCCAAAGUGCAAAUUUUUCAUGCAUGCAUAUGAAGCUUUCUUUAUUUCUGCUGGUUUCUUUUAUUUGCAACAGGUUGAGCUUCUCAACAUGCAAUCUCCCAUCCUUCCUAACGCAACUAACAUCUCCGCCAACCAAACAUUCAGAUUAAACAACAAGACAACCAAACUUUCUUUUCAUCUUUAAACACAAAAAUCCAGAGAGCAAGAGCAUGCAAAUCUAACCAACCAAACUUCUGAGAAAAAGAACGUGAAGCAGGAUAACACACAGAGAAUCAUUUCAACAUUCUGCAAAUCUCAAUGCUUCCCCCCUUACCCAAAGCUGAACCCAAAAUAAGCAGAAGAAAAGAGCCUACAUACACACGAAACUGGUAUUGCCUAUGAACACCAAAUUCUGCAAACCCAUCUUUCGGCCGAGCAAAAUCUCAAACAGAUCAAGAAUAACGACAGCUACAAAUAAUGUCAUUGUUGAGACCAACUGUUAUGCUACACUUUGCUGCAAAUAAAUUGCAGCAAACGCAUACAAUGGCAUCGCCAUCCAACUACAAACAGACCCAACAGACAAAAACAAAUCAAAUCAGCGUCUUAAUUCCCAAAGCAACCCAUUUUGCUGACCUCGCUGCAACAAGCCAAAGCUUUGAGGUUGUUGCAGCAAAUUUUAUGUGCAAAAAACAGUUAAGCAACAUUUAAGUUCAGCCAACAAAAUCCUCAAUCAACCUUCCUACUACACAAUCGUAAAACCUUUCGAUUUAAACACAAAAGGAUCGAAGCAUAGGAACUUGCCAAUCUGGAAAUUUGUUUUACAGCUUGUGUAUUCAUUUUCUCAAUUGCGGGCUUUAUUACCAAACACUCGCAUGGUGCAAAUCAAUUCCAAUCCAACCAAACAUGCACACAUUAUACUUAUUACUGCUAAGAAACCAACGCAAGCAAACAAAGAAAAAUGAGACAGCAAUGGACGAAGCAUCAAUGAAAAGAUUUUUCCGAAACUGUGUGGUAUCCUUCUGGGUUUCGUUCAUCAUAUGCACAACAACCAUGAACCUUAAGCAAGAACCGAUGAUUCCACCUCAUAGAUAACCUAGAUUUCUACCUCAAAAACCCUAAUUCAAACUCAUCAAAUCUUCUGCUUCCCCCCCUCCGACCAGAUUCACACAGAAAUAAACAUAAGGAGGAUAACUUCAGUACGUCCCAUAUGAAGUGAGCUAAGAACAGACCCAGUGGAAGAUGUUACCUUUUAUCCCUUUCAAGGGAAAAUCAAGGUCUGGGAUGAUGGAAUAGGGGGGUCUUCGUUCAACCGGAGAGUCUAAUCUUCCCGGCUCGCAAGCUGUCCUUCUUUGGCUUCCUCAGCAGAAUACUUGCUCCCUGGUUUUUCUUCUUUUUUUUUCUAGCUCAUCGUCUUUCAAUCUACUAUGUUUCUUCCUUUCUUAGUUGCUUGCCCUCUAUUCUUGCUUUUCCUUCUAUCUCCAGUCCACCCCCAGAUUUUUAUCCGCCGCCUCUCUUGCUAUUUCUUCCCUCGGGUUCUCUCAUACCCUAGCUCACCUCCAGCCGUCCCCUCUGUUUUCUUUUUUCUCUCCCUCUGCCUUCUGUUUCUCAGCCAUUAAUCUUUUCCUCUCCCCCUUUUUUCUCUCCAGCCCCAGACCCCUUUGGCCGUCCACUUAGCUUUCCUUUUAUAUCCUCUCUUUAUAGCUACCAAAACUUCUAAACCUACAUCUAAUGGUGCUGCUGAAAUCAUCUUUCCUUGAUGGUUUAUGAACCCUUAGAUGAGUUUUGUCCAUGAUGAUCUUAGUGUAGGGAUUAAAGCCAAGUGGUUAGGGAGAAAGUGAUCCAAUGGCGAUGAAAAAAAACGGUGGGAAAAAGAAAAUAGGAUUGUGUUGCAUUUCCUUGUAUUUUCGCUUCAUGUUUCUGCUCAAAAACGAAAUAUGGAGAUAGAGCUCGGAUCACAUGAAGCUCACGCAAGCGUGAGCUUGGUCUGACACCUCUUCUCUCUUUUUUAAUUUUUAAUGCUAAAAAUGCCUAACGAGAAAAAGGAUUAAAUAAAAACAAAUAAAGAUAAAUAAAUUAAUAUCUAGAAUGCCAAAAUGAAAAAAUAAAAUCAUGAGAUUAAUAAGGUAAAAUAAAUGACAAUUAACAAUAAAUAAAUAAAUAAAUAAAAUAAAAUAAAUAAAAAUUUGGUGUCUACAAGGAGAAUUCGAAAAACUCCAUUUCCUUAAGAUUCGGAAAUUUCAGUUUUGAUACGAGAUCUUUGAAAAAUCACAUCUCACUCUUUACAAGUCCAAAAUUGGAAAACUUAGUACUGUUGGAAAUCUCUUAGGAAGUACUAAAAGUUCCUAGUAGCCAUCUUUCCAGGAUUCUAAAUGGAAGGUAUCCGAAAAUUAGCUCAAAGUUGCUGUUUUGGGGCAUUGAAGACAGGUUUAAGUUGGUUUUUGGUCAACUUUGAAAAUUUGGCAAAAUUCACUUGAUUUGAACUAACCUCUCGAAUUUGGAAAUUUGUUAGGGUUGCAAUCCACGUUUAAAACAAAAUAAACGGAACGAGAAUCAGAGUUUUGAGCACCAAGAUACAAUAGCUCAAAGUUGGUGAAAAAUCGAAACUGUUAAGCCAAUUUUCCAGAUUUAAGUUCCAAACUUUGGGACUUUAGUUAGGUAUCGAAAUGGACUCGGAAGAGUGCCAAAUUAGGUAUGAAUAUACUACCAUAUAAGGGCCACUCCUUUGCCAAAUUUCAUAGAAAAAUAUGUUCGUAAAUUGGUUAACGAGACCGUUGAAAUCACAAGAAAUUCUAAGGCUAAGCUGCCUUUGAACUUCCGUUUUGCCGUUUCCAAGCAUUUGGUCAAGAAACAUCUCAAACCUGGUCCAUUCCAGUAGGUAAUGUCUAAAAUAUGUCCAAGGUACAUUUGAUAGGUGAUAUACACUAAGAAGUUUCGGAUAACAAGUUCCAAAUCAUUGUUAGUUUCAAAUCUGUCCAAAUGCAUGGUAUUUCUUCACAAUACCAGAUUCCAAUUUUGGUCAUAAAUCACUCAAUUCAACUCGAAAUUGAGCAUGGUUGGUGGCGUUGGAAAACACAUUCAUAGAGAUACAAUUUUUUAGAAGAAACUAUUUUCAAAAUCUGUCCACAACUAGCCCACAUUUAAGCAUCAAGUUGUAGUUCAUGUUCUGCCUUCCAGUGAACCAACGAAACAGUGCAGCCAAGUUCAAAUAGUUGGUGUGGUUCACUCAGGUGGAAUCAGAACGUGCAUUUUAUACCGUUGGAAAGUUGGGAAUAUUUAGUUUCCAGUGCCGCAAAUGGAACUCGAUUUCGACAUCGGGACAAAGAGUUAUAGUCUAAACAAAAUCACUGCCAAAGUAAUACGGGACACAAUUCCAGUUUUGGCAAAUUUUCUAAAUCUCAACAUGCACUCACCCAAAUCACGUAAAAUUUUGAGAAAACUUUUUACACAACAUAUAUUACACAUUUGCAUCAGAAAGAAGUCAAUUGGACUUCAAGAAAGUACACUAAAAUGCACGAAAAUGGCAGGGCAGAAUCGGCACCUUCACAUGCAACCCUUCAUUUGACUUCCUUUUCACUUUUAUCACUUAACUCUACUAAAUUAACACUUAAUCAACACAAUUAACAUCCAAUCUUAUCAAAUCAGAUCAUCAAAGUCAUUGUGGGAUUUCAUAGAGCCCACUCACCAAUUUUCUAACAAUUUAAAGCUGCCCAUGAGAAUCCAAGAGCUCAUGAGUGUAAUCUAUCUUCCAUAAAUCAAGAAUUAAGUGGUUGAUCAUUAUUACUUUCUUAGAGAGCCAAGAUAGAAAUUUUGGUCACUUUGAGCUGGAGAAAAACUGUGAGAGGCAGCUCUUUUCCUAGCUUAUCUUGAUCACCAAGUGAUUUGAGUGUUGUGUGUAAAAUUUGGAGGUAAUUUGAGCAAGGAAUUGAGGAGAAAAAGUGGAGGAAUUUUCUGGUCUUGUUCUUCCUUUGUUGCUCGGCUGUUUGAGUGUAUGUGAGGAAGGAAAUUCUGAUGUUAUUAGCUUCUAAGGUAGGCUUAAAACUGGUGGCUCAAAUUUGCUCAAAGUUGUCCACUAAAAUAAUGCACGUGCGCGUGCGUUUCGUGCUCGAUUCCUCUCGAGUUUAUUGCACUAGUGCACUAAACCUCUAAUGCACUUACAUUCAUAUUAUUAUUAUUCACUCUUAAUAGUCCCAAAAUAAUGGUCUAAAGCUCCUCAAUUACUCGCGCGCGUAAAAACGCAUAUGUCUAAUUUAAGCGCGAGAUAGUGAAAUUUAUAAGAAGUUCUUAUAACAGUAAUAUAACUAACUAACCUUUGAACACUUAUACAUAAAAAUACCUAUUUUAGGACUAAUGUACAAGUCUCCAAUUUUCCAAGUUUAUUGUAUUCUCGAAUCGAUUUCCUCCUGAGGAGCGUUUUUAUUUUCUUUGUUCCAAACCAUCCAUGAUGUUCCGUCGCUCUAGGUGGACUAAAACCAUACAGAGCAAUUCUCCUGAAAAUACAGCCUGUUCCGACAUACAUUGGACCUUGUAAUCCAUCAAAAGCCCUCAUACUCACAUCAAAAAAUACGGUGUUGUGGUUUGCAUACCGAUCAUUUGGAUCAAUCCCCUCGAAUCGUUGAGGGAAUUGUACGUAACAAAUUCUGUCACCACCUCGGUCUAGCAUAAAACACAUUCCCUCCCUCAAUGCCAAGAGUUAUAGAUAUAGUGGUCACAGUCCAAAUUAAGAAUGAAAGGGCCGUUGGACAUAAUUGCCCUGGCACGGACUAGAGCAUUCAUGGCUCUAGCUUUCUUGUUGUGUUCAAAACCACGCCGCUUCUCACGAGAGACAUAAACCAGCAUUGGCAGCCGGAUAUCAACUUCUGCUGUAUCAAUCAAGUUGUCCUUAUCAGCUUCAGUCCCAAAAACUGGCUCUGAAUUAGGCGGCAUCAACAUCAUCUGAAAGAGCGAAACAAGAUAUUAGCAAUGAAGAAUCACAUCAGACUAAAGGAGGAAAAUUGCACCAAAGCCAAGAAGUAAAAAUGCAAUUUACCUGAAUAAUGCCCUCAUGAUCACCUUUUGAAUGACCUUCCUCUCCCGAUGUCCAAGUUCCGGGCCAAUGAGAGCCAUUGAACAUCCAAGUAGCCUUUGGGGCCUUAACGGCUUCUGAAAGAUUGUCCCCAAGUUCAAGCUGUUUCUUCCUAGCCCUUAAGCUCUGCUUGAGCAUUGUAUGCAUUCGAUCUUCUCCUUAUUGACUCCGGCAAGGCAUUUAUCCUGACUUUGAAUUCAUCAUACUCUCUUUUCACUCUUCUCCUGUCCCUCACAAAAUCAAUUUUCACUUUGUUCUUGAGAGGAUCACUCUUCUGACUAAAGUAUGCCUCCGGAUUGCGAGGUACAAUGUUGUGUUUCCUACAGAAGGGAACCCAAGAUUUUGAAAAGCUUGCAGCCUCGGCAAGAGCCUCAAAUGUCACCAGAGAACUUCCAUCAUCAGAUAGAUAACAUGUCACCUUCUCCAUCGGAUAAUCAACUGCAAGUAUAGAAAGAAUAGUGUUUGCAGUAACUAGAGGUGGCUCUUUGUCUGGAUCAGCUGUAGAGACAAAUACAUCAAUCCCUGGAAGGUCAGAUAAUGUUUUGGGAUUGUUGAGGUUUGGAUCGGAUGAUUCAAAUCUCUGCUUCAGAACCGACAGGUCGGUCACCCUUUUCACAGGGCAAAGCUUAGGUAGCUGAUCAAGAAGCCAAGACAGUGCAAACCAAAAUUCACAGACAACAGACAUUAUCCAUAACCACAUUGCUUCAUGAUUAGGAUGUGACACCCUCCAUGUAAGGAAACAGGCAAGUGCAGCAAGACGAAGAGCCAUCAGUAAUCUACACAGCCAAGCCAACAUAAGCUUGCGUCAAUUUGAAUUUUUCGGUAACAAUGUCCUACUAACUAUAUAUAUAUGCACAAGUGGAGGAAUAAAAGGAAUUUGCAUUUCUUAAACUAUUCAAGGUCCUAGAGCGUAGCAAAGAUGAAAAAGUCAGAGCAACAGUGGACUGAAUCUCAUACGACAUAAAUUAGUCAAUGAUCAAUCGCAGAUUAGAGAAACAUAUCCUUGUCCGAUAACAUGCUAGUAAAUUCUUCAAAGUAAGAUCUUUUUCAUCAUGGAAAAACCAAAAAAUGUAUAACAAUUGAGCAGAACAAGUAAACAAGAACUAGAAAACAAAACUCUGGUUGGUUUUGGUUCUGACCUGUAGGGACUGAUUAUUGCAGUAGAAAUUCCAACUUUCCUAGUUAAGGGCUUGUUUCUCCGGUCCGUGAAAUCGGGAGGAUUUUGAUGUCGCUCAGUUCCCAUUCCAGACACGUAUCCAUCUCUAGGCCAAACUGCAUUUCCAUACCCAUAAGUUCCUUUGGUCUCAAACAGCCAUUGUGCAUGAUCAAAAUCAUGGUUUGGAUUCUUGAAAGACUGAACCAAAGAGUAAUUCUCUCCCACUCUGAUUCGCGGUUGGGACCGUGGCUCAUCCUGAAUUUCGUCAUCAAUAACAUCUCCCCUGUAAGGCUCUUUGCAACCGGGGCAUCUUCCGGCUCCAUUUUCAACGCAAUCAAAGAAGCAAUCCCUGUAAAUCCUGAAACCACACUCGCACUGCAUUUUGGAAUUCCUAUCAAGAGCUUUCUCAUCACAGCCCUCGAUUUCACAUACCAGAUUUGAUUUUGUCUUCACAUUUGGUAGCUCAACUUCCUCGGAGCUUUUCCUGACGUGAGCUCGAGUCACCGAAUUGUGUCCUCCGGUAAAAAUGGUAUCUUUGAUGAAGCCUGCACUAGGAAUUCCCCUGCUUUUGCUUCUGUCUAGAGGGCUGUUCUGAGAUCCAGCGAUUAUCCGGUUAUUAGGGGUGGGAGGAAUGUGAACUGUGUAGGCGACAAACUCCUCGGUGCUGUCUUUGGAGAAAGAAAGAUACCUCGCAGUAGUAUUGGAAGAAGAAGCUUUGCCUCCACUGGAAGCCCUCAAUCCUCUUCCACUCAGGGGUGAAUUCGGAUUGUUUGAUAAGGAAUGACGCCGGAUUGGACUAGUCAAGGCGAUUCCAUGGCCCCCACCACCACCUGAGGUAGAGACCGUAAUUGUCAUAGGAGAUGAGGAUGGAGAAUCAACACCCAUUUUCACCAAUUUUUUGUUCUCCUUUUCUUCGGGGAAAACGGGUAUGACAAGAAGGAAACAGAAAUCGGCAGCUGUAUGAGAACAAAGAUCAGAAAUUCAUGGUAAGCAGAGAAAGCUGAUGGGUAUUUUUGGGGGGCAAAAGAAGAAGAAGGAAGGUCUGAACUCUGGGUAGGGAAGCUAUGGUAUAAAUUUGAAAUUUUGUGGGGUUUAGACAGAUAUGGAUUUCCAUGUAACGGUCGACUGAUUAUGGUCGUUGGUUAGGAGAAAUCGGACGGCGCUUCUUUGGACUUAAUAAAAUGCCCGUUUGUGACGCUGAGAUGUCCGAAAGUUUUGAAGAAAGUUAAAAAAAAAAAAAAAAAAAAAAGGUCCUCUGCCCUGCCCACAAUGCAAGGAUCAAAAUGGGCCCGACUUGAAUUUCAACGGCCGGUCCAGUUUUUUUUUUAGUAUAGCAGUCUCAUGAUCGUAAUAAUUUACAAGAGCCUCCGUGAGCUUUGGCAUAUUCGAAACAAGCCCCUCUAGGGUGGGUUUUCUUGCAUUCUGUUCAAUAACAACUUAUGCUUCCUUCAUUUCACUUUGAUAGUUUUGUUUUCCUUUUUCAUCCAUCCUAAAUUAUAGUUCAUUUUUUUCAAUUGAAGAAUAUAGUUAACUUUAAUUUCUCUAAACUACCCUUAUUUAAUAUAGGGUAAAAAAACAAAAAAGCCAUUUUUGGUUAAGUGAACAUACAGAAUAACCCCCGUGAUUUCAAAAUACACAAUCCGACACCUUGUAAUUUGAACUAAAUUGAAAAGGCAAUGGAAAUCGUCAAAACGAAUGUAUUUGAAGCACACACACUUGUGUUUUACAACUAGUGAUACCUGAUAACAGUUUUUUAUGAUUAAUUUUCAUUUAAUAUACCUAUUCUACCCCUUACAGAAAUGCCCCCUGUGGUUAAUUCAACCUAUAGAAAAAGCCCUCCAUAGUUGUGAAACAUAUAAGUUGGAUUUAAUGGAAACUUUCAAAAAAUAUAUUGAAAAGAGAGUAAAGCUUUUUGAGAUAAAUCAACCACCAGUCUUAUGCUUUGGCGUAUUUGAAACAAGCCCUUUGAGGGUGGGUUUUAUACUAUUUUCUUGCAUUUCUUGCAUUCUGUUCAGUAACUUGGACUCCUUUUAUCACACUUUGAUAGUUUUAUUUUAUUUAUUUUUUAUCCGUCUCAAAUUAUAAUCUAUUUUUUUAAUUCAAAAAUAUAGUUAACUUGUAACUUCUCUAAAAUACCCUUGGAUUCAUACCUUGACUAGUACAUUUUUCCAUAGAUUGUUGUUGUAAUUAAGAUAAAGGUAUAGUGAUUAGUCAUACUCCUAAUAUCAAUGUAAGGGUAUUUUAGAAAAAUAAUAGGCUAAAUUUACUCUUCCAACAAGGUUAACUAGUAAUUUUUCCUAAACUGUGUGAAAAAAAAAUCAAAACUAUCAAAAUGAGAUGGAAAGAGUAGAAGAAUUGGAAUAAUGAUUACGAGUUAUAGAACCUUGACAUUAUAUUGAAAUAGAAAUCCAUAAUUGUUGGUAUUUUUGCUCGAUCUGUAUAUGUAUAUAACUACUAGCCUAUUGAUACAUAUCAAUUAACAUGUGUAUAAUGAUAUGUAUAUUUCGAAAAUCAAACAAUUGAACUGAAAAAAAGUAAUGUUGGAUGACAUUUUAUGAUACUGUUGUAACGACAGGACAAGAGAAAACAUGGGAACAAUUUGAGGGCAACUAAAAUUCUGCGAGAUCUAGAUGUCUCCCUCAAGGUUUUUGACAUUCCUACUAUCCUCCCUCGAGGUUUUUAAAAUAUCAGAAAUCUCCCCUAUUAGGUUAUUAAGGCCCAUUCAUUGCAUUACUCAUGGAGAAAUGACUGAAAGAGUUUCCUAUCUCCACCAUUUUUAUUAGCUUACAGUUUUAUCUUCUAAGUCGAUUUGUGGAAUUCUCUGUUUUUAGACCUUAAAAUGGGGAACUUCAUCUUCAUACAUGUUUCGACUUCUUUCUUCUGAUGCCAUGUUCAUCACUCCUGCUGCCUUUCCUGCUAAAGUCAUGUAGAGGGUCGGUGAUAUUUUACUGAUUCCAGCUGUUCUUUUGCUCUGUCAACCUUCCGAUUUUCAACUCUCUACAAUGAUACAUAGACAAGAGCAUUAAGUUCUUCAGACACUUAUCCCAUAAUUCACCAAAUAAUUCACUAGAAUCUGCACCCACAAGGGCCUUAUUAUCAUAAUUAGCAAUUUGUUGCUUGCAAAGCCUGAGCUCCAUCUCAAGUGCACUAAUCCGAGACUCAACAGGUACAUCAUAUUGCUCAACCGUCUGCUUUUGCAUACCUCGAACUACCUCUGGUUGCCAAACUUUCAAUGCAUCUGAUGCUUGUCUGAUGGUAUGCAAGCAUUCCAAUAGCCAGUGCAUGAGCCCAUGGUUCGCCAUAUCGACCGAGUCGUAACUGGAACGGAGGGCCGAAUCACGAAUAUUACCAUAUCCGCGACGACUCGCUCUGAUUCGGCUGAUAUUGAAUGAUUCGAAUCCGUGAUACACGAUAUCGGCCAAUAUAUCCGAGUCAACUCGGAGUCGAUUCGGAUAUUUUUUUACAUUAUGUCUUUUUUGGUAUUUUCUAAUUUUAUUAAUUUUUUCAAAAUUUUUGGAAACUUUCAUGUGUUAUAAUAUGCGUAUCACCCGAUAUUCAUCCGUUAUGCCGCGACGGAUGUGGAACAAUCGAUACCGCGACCGCGACCGCGACCCACGAUGACGAACCAUGCAUGAGCCUAAAAUGUUCCAAUUUCAGAGAAAGCAUUAAACUUUGAAGAUUCUCCACCUUUGAUGUCUAGAACAGAACAGACACAUAUGUCAUUAGAUUGAAGGGCACCAGCAAUGAAAGAAUUUUCGUAAGCAGUCAUAUGGAGAUAUGUUUUGCUACCAGGACACUUACUUGGUUGUAGCCAUGGUUCAAAGACUCGGCCGAGUCGUCACUGGAACGGGGCUUUCCGAUUCGAUACUGGGACGAGAUGACUUUGAAAUAAUGAAUCGUCGAGAACUCGGCCGAGACGUCUCCGAGACGGAUAGAAGCGGCCGAGUCGCGCCCAAAUCAUCUCGAGUCAGCUCGAUAUUUUAUUAUUUUUGCUAAAUUUUUAAUUAUUUUUUUAUCAUAAUUUUUUACAAAUUUUAGAAUAUUAAAUAUUUCAAAAUUUUGUGUCUCGCAGAGACCGUGACGGAUAAGUCGAGACCGAUGUGGAACGGUCCGGAUCGCGACCGCAACCGCAACCAUGACUUUGAACCAUGGUUGUAUCACAUUCUGAACACUCACUGUAGAGGAGAUGGCUAUCUAGCCCUACUACACCUUCAACACCAAUAACCAUCAGAGGCAGCAGCAAACCAUAAAAGCUGCUUCUAAUAUCCAUGUUCCAGGUGCUUGUAAUGUGUCCUACCCUGCUCUUGUCUAAAAAUCUAUCCGAAGUCUCAGAUUGAUCGCAAGUAAUAUAAAAGUCUGUCUGAAUUCCCGGAUUGAUCACCAAGUAAUAUAUAAUUUGGCCAUUGUUCCUUGGUCGUUUCAACUCUAUUCAAUGAAUACGGAGUUAACUAGCUAAACUUAAAGAAGAUCAAAUUUUCAAUACUGAAAGAGUCAGCUUUCGCUAAUAUCUGAAAUGUCACCGUAGUUAACUAACAACCUUGAAGCAGUUUGGAAGCAGUUGCAAUUCAUUUGUUCUAUCAGGCAAACAAUAACACAAUCGUUUUAGGUUGCUUUUCUUUUCUUUUACACCUUUGCAAGUCAUCCCAAAAAACCCAAUUGCUGGAGUUGAAUAAAAGACCAACAACAAACUCAGCACAGGCUUUAAGAUUCUCAAUUUCUCAAGCCCGUAUCAAUCAUGAUUCAUCUCAACUCUAAUGUACGCCUGCCUGCCUGCAGAUGCUAGGGACUGUAGAAAGUAGAAACUGAUUAACCUUCGAGUUUAUCCCUUUAAUUAUGACAGUCCAUUUCAACUUGCAUACGUAUGUCCCUACUUUGUCUAUUAAGUACUUUUAUCAUGUUUGAACUAGUGAUAGACAUGUCCAUCCUGCUAUUCGAAAUCAAAACUAACAUUUCCUACUACCAACCAAUAAGAAGAGUCGCGUGAUCAAGUAUUUCUGGGCUCUUGAAGAGAGGAAUAUCCCAUCGCAUAUGCCUCCCUUUAAAUGAGUGUAUGGAGGGCUGCAGUGAAUUUGAACAACAUUAACACAGCUUUCAUUCAAUAUCACUCAAACUUGAAACUCUAGCAUCUUGGUACCAGUACAGGCGUGAAUGUGUUUGUUGAUGGUCAUCUGACCUUCAUGUAGUCAAGACCAUGAUUCAAAGACUCGGUCGAGCCAUCACCAGAACAGAACUCUUCGUUCCGAUACAGAGGCGAAAUGACUCCGAAAUACAUUAAUCACCGAGAAUUUGGCCGAAAAGUCUCCGACACUGUGUCAACCUGAGUUCAGCAUAUUUUGUCUAUAUUAUUUUGUUUCUUUUGCUAAUUUUUUAUUAUUUUUGUUUAGCAUAUUUUUUUAAUAUUAUUACAAACAACUUUUAGAAUAUUAAAUGGUUCAAAACUUGUGUUUCGUCGAGACGGUAAUCGAUACAUCGAGACCAAUGAUGUAAAACAGUCAGAACCGCGACCGCAACUGCAACCGUAACUUUGAACCAUGGUCAAGACUCAAGACUGAGUUUUGUCCUUGGUCCUUGCCAGAUUCUGGUUAGAUGAUCAUCAACAAACAUAUUCAGAGCAACCUGCAAAUCAGCUUGCUUUGACACUUAAUCCAAAUCAACAAUUUGUUGGAUCAGAUUGCAGCACGAUAAUAAAUUUCUCGUGAUAACCUUAUCUAUCAGCUAUUGCAUGAAUUUGUAAUUCAUCCAUACCGUUUCUUUUUGCAGGCCUGCCAUAUUUUUCUCUAAGUUGGGAUGUAACGCAAGCCCAACAAAUCAUGCUUGUUCAGAUUCAAAUGUGUACCUGCAUACUUCCAGCUCUUGGUUAACAUGCAGUAUAACAAAUCUUAAAGCUUCAAUAUCAUUUUACUAGUGGAUCACUCAAUUACUUGCUAAAUUUUAAUUUCAUGCGGUACCAUCAAGCUCUUACUAAGUUUUCAGUGCAUUUUUUGCAUCUGGAUCAAUUGCUGCUCAGUCGUCCUUUCUUUCACCUUCUCUUGCACAAUUGCUGCUGUUCCUUCUUCGAAACAAGUUUGGCCUAAAGAUCAGGUAUGGAAUUAGUUUCCUAUUCUUUCAUUCUUGGGUUUUCCUUCCAUUGAUUUUGUUCCAUGGAUUUUGCUUAUGAAUAUGUUUUUUUUUUGUGGUCCGAGGGCGAUUUGGCUGCAAAUUUUGAUUCACUGAUACAAUAAUAAACUCAUAACUCUAAGGGUCUGUUUGGUUGGACAGAAAACAUUUUCCAAAGUUUCUACUGUUGAGAUAUGAUUUCUGACGGCAUCUCCAGAAAUCACACCCUUUUCUUUUCACAGUCUGUAACUGAAAAAGACGAUUGAAGACUAUCCAUAAAAGACCAUCGGCAGCGACAUCUCAUCGGCAAACCAAUCCCUUCUUCGCCGACUGCAUCUCCAGCUCCGGCGGAGACCCACUUUCAGAGCUAAGCUACUCCUCCAAUAAGGUUAUUCUUCUUUUAAAAAUCAGCUACAAUUAUUAUCUCUCUCUCUCUCUCAUUUUUUUCCUUUAAAAGCAGCCAAUAUCAAGGCUCAUCCCCACUCUGGGGGCGAUAUCUCAUCCCUGUUCCUGCAACAGCAUCUCCAACAGGGGUGAAGACUCCUUAACUAUUUCUAGAGGUAUGAUGAUCUCUAAUUAGUUUUUUUUCCGCCUUUUUCCUUUGAAAAAUUGUCUAGAAUUUCUGGUGUAGGUUCUUUAAGUUGGAUUGGAAUGAAUUUUUGUGGGUUGCUUUUGUUUUAGUUUGCUCUUACCUGAUUAGGGUUACAUUUGAUUUGAUUGAUGCUAAUGAAUUAAUUUGGCUGCUGAAUUUUGGGCAAUUUAUGAUUCUUGGAAUCUGAUUAUUAAUCUUGGUGCCCUUGUCUCGACCCUCUAACUUGCUCCGAAUCCAGGUAGGGGACGGUAGUGCUUUUCUUACAAUCUGGUGAGAUCAUUUGUAAAAGCUUUAGUGCAUUCAUUGAGUUUGUGAAGCCACGGGCUGAUUCUUGCCAUAGGUGCUUGAUUGAAAAGGGGUUAAUUAAUAAUAUAAGUCAAAACUUUGAAACCAAAAAAAAAAAGAUCUUGCCACCAAGUCUAUCUCAGCAACCUUAAACUUUUCAGUUCCAUUAACUUAAUAUAACCGUGGAAAAACAUAACGCUUUGGAUAUAUUCCCAAAUCAGUGAAUGUUUUGACAUAGCAGCAAGCAAAUCACCAAAUGGCAAUGACGACUCUGUCGUAAAAUGAUCACUGAGGUUUGUCAUCUUGGCAAAUACAGGAAACGACAAAUAAGUACUCUACAGGUUGUUGGUGGCCAUUUUCCAUGGAAGUCUAGAAUUGGGUGCAAUGGGCACAAUAUACGGCCCUCAAUAAAUCCCCACCACAAGCCUUAUUUGAAAAAGAAUCUAAAUGCUAGCCAUAGAUGUCAUUGAGGUUCAGCUUCGUUGAUCUUUCUAUGACCAACCUUUUUGAAAUUUGAAUAGAAUGUUUUCAUGCUGCAGGACAAAGUUGAAGCAAACAGAAGUUGACUACCAGAAUUUUGAUAAUGCCUGAAUCACUUACUUUAAAAAAGAAAGUUUGUACUUGAUUACACUAAAGUUUUACUGAAUUAUAAUAUACAGUAAUUAAGGGGAAUUAUUAAAGUUUUACUUCAAUAUGCAAGUGAGGUAUGUAUAAACAUUGAUAUAUGAGAUAUUCAUUGAAUAAUAAGUUGAGAUUCAUGCAUCCUUGCCCUUUCAACUUACUUGGAUUGCACUCUUUGAAUGACUUCCUUCUAAAAGACUUCUCGUCCUUUUCUGAAAGUAUUUGGCACUAAAAAAGACCUCAAUGAUUGUGCAUUGCACUGCCAUUGAACUUCAACAAAUAUAUUGCCAUCAUGAAUUCAUACACUUACUAGUUCUUUAUUUUUACAUAAAUAAUAUAGUCAAAAGCUACCUUCUUGGAAUCUGAUUAUUAAUUGCAGUGGCUUUUAUCCAUUGGGAACUUGCACUUGCAAUUCUAACUAUCUUUAAAGAUUUGGGGUGGAGAGUUGCUUGACUUAGGCGUUCAGUUUGUUCAUUUGGAGCAGAGUUUGUCCUUUCGGAUAUGGACUAUCCAGGAAGUUGUAAUUGAAUAUGUUUGUUGCUGUUGUUGAUGGAUUAUCAUUUUUUCCUCCUAAGCUUCUUGUGGAUUUCAAUUGUUGGCAUUUGCUGGUGUUCUAGUAUUGUAUACUAGUUUGUUUAGAGCAAUGUCCUUUAAUGAUUUUGCGAAGCUGCACAAUGGACAUGGGAACUUGGACUGUUUCAUUACGCUUACAUUCUUGUUUUUCGUUGUAAUCAGUGAUUAUUGCUUGUAGUAUGAUCAGAUGAACAAGAUGUUGAUUGUGACUAUUUAAAGACACUAAGCAAUUUUCUUUUGGUGGAAACUGACCCUUGGAGAGUGCUCUGUUUCUUUUGUCUAGAGCCAUAGUUGUCAAAAGAAGACAUAGUUGUUAGAAUCAAUGUUGCAGACCUGACUGCAUAAUGUUGGCAAGUUGUGUAUUGAUGUAAAUUCCUAGGAUAAAGGUUUCAGUUGUGAUUAUUUUCUAAUUCAAAGGGUGUAGGUAUUGGUAAUGGUUGUACUGAGGUAUUCUGCUUGGCUUGUUGAUUAAGUUGAUCAUCUGCUUACAACAAAGAACAAUUAUUCUUUCUUCAAUUUUGUGUCUUAAAUGACUGCAUGUUUUGUGGCAUUCUGCUUGGCUUGUUGCUUAAGUUGGUCCUUAAAGAAGAUGAUAAUUAAUUUUAGUUACCUGAUACCAAAUAUCAAGUUGGUUGAUGACCUGGAUGCACAUUUUGUGGCAAAAAUUAUUUAUGGAUUCUAGUUUGUACAGCAUAAAAAAAGGUUGAUUCGGAGAUAAAAUUGCACAGCUUGCUAAGUUUUGGAUUUAGGAGAAGACGGUGCAGCACUUGAAGAACUUAAGUUUUGUAUACUUGGACCAUGAAAGUCGCCUUCUAAAUUUCUUGGAUUAGUCUUUACAUAUCCAGAGAUAAAGCUUUUGAGAAUGGGAAAAUAUUUGCAACAUUGCCAACAAACACUAAAAAAGGAAGUCAGAAAAUAUUUUCACUGACAAACCAAACACCAAAAAAUUAUGAAAAAAGGAAUUUGGAAACUAUUUUCACUAAAUAACCGAACACCGGAAAAUUAUGGAGAAGGAAGUGAUUUUCCAGGAAAAUGACUUCGAUGGAAAAUAUUUAUUUUCCGUCCAACCAAACGGACUCUAAGCUAUCUGAUUUUUCCAUGCUUUACAUAACUCAAACUAAGAGAGAUCAGUUGGCGAUUUUGCUUGUAGACUGUAGCACCAGUUAAAAUUACCUUGAACAACUACAGGUUGACAUCUUAUUUGUUUUCUUUGGUUUUUCUUCUUAAAAUACACUAUGGAAAGAGGAAACAAUUGGGUUAUAGAAAUGGGAAAAAAUCAAAUGUUAGUAAAUAUGUUUCCUCAAGUUGAUAUUUAAUGAGUUGCUAUUACUCUGGAUGUGGAAUUGAUGAACAAAGCAGCCAGGAGGCAUAGAUGCAUAAAAUUGUUGAUGGAUACAAGUCCUUUCAAGUUGCAAUCUCUUCCCCUUUUGUCUUAGCUCUUCUAUAUGGCAAAUUGUUGAUCAAAUCUACUGAAACAAGCAUUCUUUUGCCUUGAACGAUCUGGUUCUAUCAGGAUCAAUCUAUUUAUCCUCUUUGUUUUUUUCCCCUCUAACAAAGCCAGUGUGGUGCCUUGUUCUAUUUGGAUUCUACUUGUGGUUAGAUUGUGCUUAGUUGAAUUCACUUCUAAUUCUUUUUUCAUUUUGGGAUGAUUUAGGUUUUGCUGAAGGUGAAACUAAGUGCAAAAUGCUCUAGAAUGUUCCACAUCAGAUUGUGCAAUCUCCAGCUCGGCUAGGGUUACCAAAUCCAAAUUCACCUUCUCUUCAAAACACUACUCCGGCUAAGUUUGCCUCCCAAGCCCAACAAUCUCAUCCGCCAAAUCAACAGUCAAAUGCAUCAAGCAUUAUUUCAACUUCUUCAACACUGCUUCGUCUCCUUCCCCCUCUGCCAAGAGCUCAGUCUAUUCUUCUGCAAAUGUCCUCACUUGCCUCAAGACUUUUUGAUGUCUCACCUAAUAGGUCGCAUUGGAUUAGCGCAUUUCGAGGUUCCCUACCCUCCUUCUUGUCUUCCCAAUCCCAACCUUUGACAUCAACUGCACCAGAUUCCUACCCUUCUUCCUCCAAAGAAAUUCUCGCUCUUUUCACAAACCUUCAAACUCAGCUAUUUGAAGCUGUUGCAGAGCUCCAAGAAAUUCUUGAUCUUCAAGAUGGAAAACAGAAACUCUCGCACGAAAUCAGGUCAAAAGAUGCUGCAAUUCUUGCACUUGCAAGCAAGCUCAAAGAAGCUGAGCAGGUUCUUGACAACCUUGUGGAUGAUUACUCGGAUUAUCGCCGUUCAAAACGGUCCAAGUCAGAAGAUGUUGCAGAAGAUUCUUCAACCACCACUGUGGCAUCUCAGCUGAAGCUUUCUGAUAUAUUGUCAUAUGCCCAUAGGAUAAGCUACACUACUUUUGCACCACCAGAAUUUGGUGCUGGACAGGCUCCUCUCCGUGGGGCACUCCCCCUGCUCCACAGGAGGAGCAAAUGCGGGGCAUCCCAACUGUACGCUUUUGCUGAUCAUGAUGUUGGUUUACCAAAAACAGAUGAGGAUAAGAAGAAAACUAUAGAGCCAUUGAUCGAAACUCCUGUUGGGCAACCAGCAGAGCCAAAUCCAUUGGCCAAUCUUGCUGGAAUGCAGGGUCUACUUCCACCUAAUAUUGCUGUGCCACCAGGAUGGAAACCUGGAAUGCCCGUGGAGUUGCCCAAUGAUCUACCUAUUCUUCCUCCACCUGGUUGGAAGCCCGGUGAUCCAAUGGCACUGCCCCCAUUGGAUUCUCUUCCUAUACAUCCUGGAAUUGAAGAGCAACAACCUCAGCAUAUCUCCCCUCCAAUGCUUACAAAGACACCCGAGCCUAUACAAGUUCGGCAUGUGCAGCUUGACAUUGACGAUGAUAGUAGUGAUUAUAGCAGUGAUGUUGGUAGCUCUGACAGUGAAGAUUAGUCCUAGACUCCAGUGCUUUUAUGUCGAUGUAAAUUCUGAAAUGCUACGUAGAGCAUCUUUCAAAGAGGAUUGAAGUUGCUAUCUCUAGCCUGUACUUUCUGCUGAUGAAAUUGAAGUUUUACUAGAAUUCUGCAAUUCCUCAAAGAUUGUCUAACUGUGUUUGCAUACCUAGAAUAUUCUUUCAAUUUGCUGAACAUUUCUCGCAAUCCGUUCUAGUACUGGUUUUGAUUCUAAGGUGUUAUUGGAAGCCUAGUUGAGUGAGCAUGAUCUUUUAAAUUUGUGACAAUAUGGACCAGUACACUGAUAUUACACACUUAUGUAAUGUUUUUAUGUAGAUUCUGAGGCAAUAGAUUUUAAUGUUUUACCUUUGACAUACUUUUGUGAUAGUUGAUCAUCUUCUGGACAGUCGUACGUAUAUUGUGUCUUCCGCAAGAUGAGGAACGAAUGAAAGCAGAAAAGCUGUACCUUUUCCUCAGUCAAUACAUCUAAGUACUUCCUAUUUGGGCUGAUAGGUGGGAAUUUACUUAGGUUACUCCAGACAUCCUAACAUAGGAAUAUUGUACUCAGGUUCGUAACACGCUGUAUAAGGGUACCGAUUUGUGUAGCUGUAAACAUAAAAGCAUUUUUCAUCGCAGUCGCUCUAGAAUCUUAAUGCUUGAUGAUUGACAAACGUUUGUUAAAUGAGAUGUAAAGUUAUCAAUGAAUAUGUUGUAAAGAAUUAAAUCAACUGAUGUAAGAAAUGUUGAAGUAGCAGGUGUUGGCAAAAGAGAAAAAAAAAUUGCUUGUUUUAAAGGGAAACUGAAGCAUAAUUCCCUGCAAAGAUCACAGGACAAAUAGGAAAACAAGUUGAGGAGGAAAAAAAUUCACAAAAUUUUCAGAUACUUGUCAGCCCUUGUGAGGUCGCGGACAUUAUAGCAGAAUCAUCUAAGAAAUGAAAAUCCAAGUUACAGAUUGAUGCAGUACAGAAAUUACAGUUUUGGCAAUGGAAAAAAAUUCAAGGGUUGGCUGCAAUAGAAGUUUUCUUCUCUGCCAUGACAAAUUCAUUAGAUUUUAGUAUAGGCAUUGCUCUUCUGGUGUUGGUUGUUGCUUGUGCCCUGAAUGCUCUGAUGUUUCUGACAGCAAGGUUUAUGAAUGAAUGAAUCCCUAUUAUAUGUUGUCAUAGUCAAAUCUUUACGUGACGUGAGAGAAGUACAAAUCCUCUGAUACAUGCAAUCCAAUCCUCACUACUAAUCUGACAUCUAAGCUAAUUUGACUGAAAUAAGAAUGUAUUAUUAAUGAUGAUGAAGAAGAUGAUAUGUACAAUUUUACAUGGCACCGAGCAGCAGCCUAAAGAAAUCUAACUUAAUAAUCGCGAAUAUUACCACAUCCGCAACGACUCGCUCUAUUGAACGAUUCGAAUCCGUGAUGCAUGAUAUCGGCCGAUACAUCCGAGUUAACUUGGAGUCGAUUUGGAUAUUUUUUUAAAUUGUGUCCUUUUUGGUAUUUUCUAAUUUUAUUAAUUUUUUCAAAAUUUUUGGAAACUUUCAUGUGUUAUAAUGUGCGUAUCACCCGAUAUUCAUCCGUUAUGCCGCGAUGGAUGUGGAACAAUCGAUACCGCGAUGCUACCGCGACCCGCGAUGGCGAGCCAUGCAUGAGCCUAAAAUGUUCCAAUUUCAGAGAAAGCAUUAAACUUUGAAGAUUCUCCACCUUUGAUGUCUGGUACAGAACAGACACAUAUGUCUUUAGAUUGAAGGGCACCAGCAAUGAAAGAAUUGUCGUAGGCAAUCAUAUGGAGAUAUGUUUUGCUAAGAGGACACUUACUUGGUUGUAUCCAUGGUUCAAAGACUCGGCCGAGUCGUCACUGGAACGGGGCUUCCCGAUCCGAUAUUGGGACGAGAUGACUCUGAUAUAAUGAAUCGUCGAGAAAUCGGCCGAGACGGAUGGAAACGGCCGAGUCGCGCCCGAAUCAUCCCGAGUCAGCUCGAUAUUUUAUUAUUUUUGCUAAAUUUUUAAUUAUUUUUUUAUCAUAAUUUUUUACAAUUUUUAGAAUAUUAAAUAUUUCAAAAAUUUGUGUCUCGCCGAGACCGUGACGGAUAAGUCGAGACAGAUGUGGAACGGUACGAACCGCGACCGCAACCGCAACCAUGACUUUGAACCAUGGUUGUAUCACAUUCUGAACACUCACUGCAGAGGAGAUGACUCUCUAGCCCUACUACACUUUCAGCACCAAUAACCAUCAGAGGCAGCAACAAACCAUAAAAGCUGCUUCUAAUAUCUAUGUUCCAGGUGCUUGUAAUGUGUCCUACCCUGCUCUUGUCUAAAAUUCUAUCCGAAGUCUCAGAUUGAUCGCAAGUAAUAUAAAAGUCUGUCUGAAUUCCCGGAUUGAUCACCAAGUAAUAUAUAAUUUGGCCAUUGUUCCUUGGUCGUUUCAACUCUAUUCAAUGAAUACGGAGUUAACUAGCUAAACUUAAAGAAGAUCAAAUUUUCAAUACUGAAAGAGUCAGCUUUCGCUAAUAUCUGAAAUGUCACCGUAGUUAACUAACAACCUUGAAGCAGUUUGGAAGCAGUUGCAAUUCAUUUGUUCUAUCAGGCAAACAAUAACACAAUCGUUUUAGGUUGCUUUUCUUUUCUUUUACACCUUUGCAAGUCAUCCCAAAAAACCCAAUUGCUGGAGUUGAAUAAAAGACCAACAACAAACUCAGCACAGGCUUUAAGAUUCUCAAUUUCUCAAGCCCGUAUCAAUCAUGAUUCAUCUCAACUCUAAUGUACGCCUGCCUGCCUGUAGAUGCUAGGGACUGUAGAAAGUAGAAACUGAUUAACCUUCGAGUUUAUCCCUUUAAUUAUGACAGUCCAUUUCAACUUGCAUACGUAUGUCCCUACUUUGUCUAUUAAGUACUUUUAUCAUGUUUGAACUGGUGAUAGACAUGUCCAUCCUGCUAUUUGAAAUCAAAACUAACAUUUCCUGCUACCAACCAAUAAGAAGAGUCGCGUGAUCAAGUAUUUUUGGGCUCUUGAAGAGAGGAAUAUCCCAUCGCAUAUGCCUCCUUUUAAAUGAGUGUAUGGAAGGUUCCAGUGAAUUUGAACAACAUUAACACAGCUUUCAUUCAAUAUCACUCAAACUUGAAACUCUAGCAUCUUGGUACCAGUACAGGCGUGAAUGUGUUUGUUGAUGGUUAUCUGACCUUCAUGUAGUCAAGACCAUGGUUCAAAGACUCGGCCGAGCCAUCACCAGAACGGAACUCUUCGUUCCGAUACAGAGGCGAAAUGACUCCGAAAUACAUUAAUCACCGAGAAUUUGGCCAAGAAGUCUCCGACACCGUGUCAUCCUGAGUUCAGCAUAUUUUGUCUAUAUUAUUUUGUUGCUUUUGCUAAUUUUUUAUUAUUUUUGUUUAGCAUAUUUUUUUAAUAUUAUUACAAACAACUUUUAGAAUAUUAAAUGGUUCAAAAUUUGUGUUUCGUCGACACGGUGAUAUAUAUAUCGAGACCGAUGAUGUGAAACGGUCAGAAUCGCGACCGCAACCACAACUUUGAACCAUGGUCAAGACUCAAGAUUGAGUUUUCUCCUUGGUCCUUGCCAGAUUCUGGUUAGAUGAUCAUCAACAAACAUAUUCAGAGAAACCUGCAAAUCAGCUUGCUUUGACACUUAAUCCAAAUCAACAAUUUGUUGGAUCAGAUUGCAGCAUGAUAAUAAAUUUCUCGUGAUAACCUUAUCUAUCAGCUAUUGCAUGAAUUUGUAAUUCAUCCAUACCGUUUCUUUUUGCAGGCCUGCCAUAUUUUUCUCUAAGCUGGGAUGUAAUGCAAGCCCAACAAAUCAUGCUUGUUCAGAUUCAGCUGUGUACUUGCAUACUUCCUGCUCUUGGUUAACAUGCAGUAUAACAAAUCUUAAGGCUUCAAUAUCAUUUUACUAGUGGAUCACUCUCAAUUACUUGCUAAAUUUUAAUUUCAUGUUGUACCAUCAAGCUCUUACUAAGUUUUCAGUGCACUUUUUGCAUCUGGAUCAAUUGCUGCUCAGUCGUCCCUUCUUUUACCUUCUCCUGCACAAUUGCUGCUGUUCCUUCUUCGAAACAAGUUUGGCCUAAAGAUCAGGUAUGGAAUUAGUUUCCUAUUCUUUCAUUCUUGGGUUUUCCUUACAUUGAUUUUGUUCCAUGGAUUUUGCUUAUGAAUAUGUUUUUUUUUGUGGUCCUAGUGCGAUUUGGCUGCAAAUUUUGAUUCACUGAUACAAUAAUAAACUCAUAACUCUAAGGGUCUGUUCGAUUGGACAGAAAACAUUUUCCAAAGUUUCUACUGUUGAGAUAUGAUUUCUGACGGCAUCUCCAGAAAUCACACCCUUUUCUUUUCACAGUCUGUAACUGAAAAAGAUGAUUGAAGACUAUCCAUAAAAGACCAUCGGCAGCGACAUCUCAUCGGCAAACCAAUCCCUUCUUCGCCGACAGCAUCUCCAGCUCCGGCGGAGACCCACUUUCAGAGGUAAGCUACUCCUCCAAUAAGGUUAUUCUCCUUUUAAAAAUCAGCUACAAUUAUCAUCUCUCUCUCUCUCAUUUUUUUUCUUUAAAAGCAGCCAAUAUCAAGGCUCAUCCCCACUCUGGGGGCGAUAUCUCAUCCCUGUUCCUGCAACAGCAUUUCCAACAGGGGUGAAGACUCCUUAACUAUUUCCAGAGGUAUGAUGAUCUCUUAUUAGUUUUUUUCCGCCAUUUUCCUUUGAAAAAUUGUCUAGAAUUACUGGUGUAGGUUCUUGAAGUUGGAUUGGAAUGAAUUUUUGUGGGUUGCUUUUGUUUUAGUUUGCUCUUACCUGAUUAGGGUUACAUUUGAUUUGAUUGAUGCUAAUGAAUUAAUUUGGCUGCUGAAUUUUGGGCAUUUUAUGAUUCUUGGAAUCUGAUUAUUAAUCUUGGUGCUCUUGUCUCGACUCUCUAACUUGCUCCGAAUCCAGGUAGGGUAGGGUAGUGUUUUUCUUACAAUCUGGUGAGACCAUUUGUAAAAGUUUUAGUGCAUUCAUUGAGUUUGUGAAGCCACGGGCGGAUUCUUGCCAUAGGUGCUUGAUUGAAAAAGGAGUUAUUUAAUAAUAUAAGUCAAAACUUUGAAACCAAAAAAAAAAAAAAAGAUCCUUCCCCCAAGUCUAUCGGAGCAGCCUUAAACUUUUCAGUUCCAUUAACUUAAUAUAACCGUGGAAACACAGAAUGCUUUGGAUAUAUUCCCAAAUCAGUGAAUGUUUUGACAUAGCAACAAGCGAAUCACCCAAUGGCAAUGACGACUCUGUCGUAAAAUGAUCACUGAGGUUUGUCAUCUUGGCAAAUACAAGAAACCACAAAUAAGUAUUCUACUAAAGAAGAUGCGGCCAGAAGUAAAACCGGACUUACACAGGACAUAGUCCAUAGACAUCAUCGGGGAACUGGGGACAAAAUCACUAAAACAGAAAAAGGUACUUGCUGGGUUUAUCUUGUUGGGUUGUUAAGCAAUGCUAGCUUCUAUAAGGGCUGCACAAAUCUUUUAUUUAUAGCAGUACUUAUCAGCGUUUAAUUUCGGAUAGACUCAUGAAUUCCUUUGGUCCUUUUCUCGAGCAACGAAUAUAUUGAUGGAGUUCUUGUUUGUUGGCAAAUUUCAAAGUCUUCAUUCCCUGUCAAGGUUAGACUUCGUAGUUCUCUAAAACGUCAAGAUUAUUUGGAAAUGUUGCAGCAUCUUUCCCUGUUUCUGAUGAUAUCUCUAUCUGCCCUAAAUCAUUUAAUCUUAUCAUUUAUCACAUGUAUUCUGCUUGCUUCAUCACUUGACUUUAUUUCCAAGUGCCAAGUUCCAACUUGUUGAAUAUCAAGAAAAAAACCUUAUUCUGGUCCCAUUUUGGCAUUUUCAAGUUAGAAGCUUUUGUUUUUCUAAGGAGUAAUACUUGUACACAUUUAGCUGAGGUUAUGUCCCUAAUUUUAGAAGCAUGUAAAUCUAAAGUCACAUUGUUUAGACAUUUAAAAUAAUAAGCCUAGAACUUUUAGACCAGGACAAACAAUGAGGGAGAGCACCUGAUUGCCCAUUUUCUUUCAAAUUAAUCUUACAAUUUGGUUCCUCCCAUGUUUAAGAUAUCUGUCAAUUGAAACCCAUGCUUGAGUUAGUGUUUCCCCAGAUUAACAUACUCUCUAGUAAAACGACAACAUCAAAUCUUAGCAUUGUAAAGUUUUUUAUUGGAUGAGCACAAUAUAGCCAGGUGUACCAACAGUCGAAUAAGCCUGUAAUGUACCAACAUUGAUUACUCAAGGAACUUAAAAGAUUCAUGCAUCCUUGCCUUGCCCAGUUUCUACAAGAUGUUAUAGCAACUCUUUAAAGAUGGAGCUAUGUAGCAUUUGUUGAUCUUUUAACAUAUUUAAUGAAGUGCAAAGGAUUGUAAUUUCCUCAAGUUGGUCGUUUACUAGGAUUUCCAAAUAGUAAUGGUUGACAAGGACAGACUAGUAGCAAAGAAGUAAAUUUCAUAACCUUUUUUUUAAUCUCAAUUUCAGAUAUAAAAAUUACUCAUUGGAUGGAUUUUGUGUAAAACCAGACUGGUCAUUGCAUUCUCAAACUUCAGUUGUAUAGGAGUAACAGACUUGUGUACUUCCAUCAAUAUGGCUUUUUCAGCACUUAAAUUCGUAAAUUGCCAAAAAGCUCAAAUCUUCUGCUAUCUAUUUCUUUGUGUUGCAUUAGCCUAAAACUUAUGGAUGAUGGAUUAGGAAAGGAAAUAGACAUUUAAUUUUCAUAUCAAAGUUACAAGUUGUUGGUGGCCAUUUUCCAUGGAAGUCUAGAGUUGGGUGCAAUGGGCACAAUAUACGGCCCUCAAUAAAUCCCCACCACAAGCCUUAUUUGAAAAAGAAUCUAAAUGCUAGCCAUAGAUGUCAUUAAGGUUCAGCUUCGUUGAUCUUUCUAUGACCAACCUUUUUGAAGUUUGAAUAGAAUGUUUUCAUGCUGUAGGACAAAGUUGAAGCAAACAGAAGUUGACUACCAGAAUUUUGAUAAUGCCUGAAUCACUUGCUUUAAAAAAGAAAGUUUGUACUUGAUUACACUAAAGUUUUACUGAAUUAUAAUAUACAGUAAUUAAGGGGAAUUAUUAAAGUUUUACUUCAAUAUGCAAGUGAGGUAUGUAUAAACAUCAAUGGUUUCAAACUCGGCCGGACUGGCCGGUUCGACCGCGACCCGACCAUGUGUCCGGUCCGGUUCAUAGCCUAUGGUGACUUGGUCCAAGAACCGGUCAAACUCGUAAAAACCGUUUAAAUCGGAAUGAACCGUGAACCGCGGUUUUUUAAUUUUUGGCAAAAUUGACUGAAUUUUGACGAGUAAAUUCCCAAAAAGAGGGAUUUUUUAAUCUAACUUCCCAAAGGGUGGCGAUUUUUGAGUCUCUUCUCAAAGGGUGAAAAAUGCAUUCAAGGAAUGCGUUUUUUCAAAUAAAAACGUAAUUUUCAAAUACGUUAUUUUAAUUUUCAUAAAUUUAUUUAAAUAGAAAAAAUUGGUUAAAAACGCAUUAGUGGAAUGCAUUGUUUGAUAGAAAACGCAUUUCGCUAAUGCGCUAUUGUUUAAGAAACCCAUUAGAUGAAUGCGGUUUUCGUUUAUCAAUAUGUACCACUUUUUUCCAUUUCUUUGAUCUUGACUUGGGUUAUGUAAGGUUUUUUUUUUAAAAAAAAUAUUAUCUUAUUAUUUUAUGGAAGUUAUUAUUAAUUUAGCUCACUAACACAAGUCAAGAUAAAAAAAAAAUUUAUUUCAUAGUUGUUAUUAAUUUAUCUGGUAUAGAUUUCAUUUCAAGUUUGCAAAGGCUUAAAGGUUUUUGAACUUUGGAUUUUACAUAUGCAUGCACAUAUUUUGUAUCUUAAAUGUUGGUAAUUUGUCUUAAAAAUCGUAACAAUUUUUCUAAAGAAAAUUUUACGAUUCAUAAAAAGUUAAUCCUAAAUAUUUAGUGUAAAAAUAUGAUGGCCCAAAAUGAGUUAGAAUAAUCACAUAUCUUGAAAACUUUAAUCAAAGGGAAAAUUGCGAAACUCCUCUCAUUUUUCCUCAUUUUCAACUAUUUAUAUCACAUGUUAAGCAAAAACUUGCAUAUUCAAAUAUGUCAUAAGGGGAUAUAAUGUCACAUCUAAUUUUAUAUACUAUGUUUACUUGGUUUUCAAUCCAAAUUUUCUUAUACAAUAAGAAUUCUUAUAACAAGACAAGUACCGGGGAUUAGAAUAGAUUCCUAGAUAUGCUAAAAACUCAUUUAGCAAUCAGUUUUUUUUUAUUAAUAAACGCAUUUCCAAAAUGGGUUUUAGGCCAAAAAAUGCAUUCAUUAAAUGAGACUUUUUAAAACAGCGCAUCCCACUAAUGCAUUUUUUAACUAAUUUUUUCUAUUUAAAUAAAUUUAUGAAAAUUAAAAUAACGUAUUUAAAAAUUACGUUUUUAUUUGAAAAUCAUUCGGGGAGAGACUAAAAAAUUACCGCCCUUUAGGAAGUUAGAUUAAAAAAUCCCUCUUUUUGGGAAUUUACUCGAAUUUUGACCGAUUUAUCUAAACCUAAUCUCCGGUUCACUCUUCAAUCUUCAUUCAGUCUUCUUCUUCGCUGCGCCGCUUCGCCGCUUCGGUCUUCCCACUUCCCCUGCAAUUGCCAAAAUUGCCUGCCGUCCCUAAUCCCUUAUCCAAACUCCAAUCUUUGAUCCAGUGCUAUUUCCACACUUGCUCAUCGAUCAAUACCCAAUUUCUUCCCGUUAGAUUUUCCUCCAGGAAUUUGGGCGAUAACCAGUUCACUGACCUACCUCACUGUCAAAGAAUAGCGGCUUAAAUUUAGUGUAAGCUUGCUCAAACUUUAAUCUCAUCCUCGUUUUGGUUCCAUUAUAUAGAGUUUUCUGUUAGAUGGAUAAACUGCUUGGUUAUAAAAGUUUAGAAACUUUUAGAGGUAAGUUUAGAGGUAAGCAACUUACCUCUGGAUUGCUGCUUGUCACUGGUAAGUUUAGAAAUCUUGCAUUUCUUUACGUGAUUUUGUUUUUGGUUUUUAGUCUUAAUUUAAAAAAAUUUGUGGGGUUCUGAGUCCUUGGUGGUGUUUAAUGAAUUGCCGUAAAAAAGAUUUGAAAGUAAUUUUAAUUGUUUCCUUUGUGUUAAAAUUUCAAGUUUCUUGCUGAUGAUAUAAUGCAGCGAUUGAGUUGUAAACUUGUGGGAUUCUGUGGAAAUAAUUGCAUCUCUAAUUUGAUGCCUUUUCUAAGGUCAAAUGGUUUUUGAUAAACAAUUUGAUGGUUGUCUGAUGAGUAUUAGGUUACAUUAUAUGGAAUUCGUAUGGUUAAAUUUGGGCAGUUGUAGCAUAUCUUCUUAGGUCCAACAGCUACUGAUUGGCUUAGAAUGGAGGUGCUACUGACAAAAUGUUGGAAGGAUGAAGAUAAAACAAUGGUUUUAACUUAAUUAAUGUAGAUGAGAUUUUACUUAACCUAAUGUAGAUGAGUCUGUUUUGUCUUCUGUUGGACGUGAGCUGAGUAUAUGGUUUCAAAGGGCUUCCAUAUUGACGUGCUAAUCCAAAGUCACAGAUCUUCAACUCACCACAAUUAUUUAAAAGUAUAUUUGAUGUCUUUAAAUCUCUGUGCAAAACCCAGUUAUCAUGAAGAUACUUAACACCCUCAAGAAGCUGAAGCAUGAGGCACUUAACUUCACUCUCCCUAAACGGUUGUUUCAUUGUCUCCAUUAACCACUUCAGAUCUUUGGUGACAGUUUCAGUUCCCAAAUACAAAUAGUCUUAAGCAUCAUUGAUUCUACUAAAAUUAUUGCAUUGCAUCAAAAUUUAUAUCUUAUAUUGCAUUGCAUCAUUGGUGACAGUUUCAGUUUUUUUGUUAAUUCUAAUAUUUAGACAAUUGGACAUAUAAGUUGGAUAACUAUGAUAUUGCUCUUAUUUUAAUUGUGGUUUAUCAUUUAUAUCUUAUUUUGUGCAUAGGUGUGUGUGUGUGUCUAUAUAUAUAUAUAUAUAUAUAUAUAUAUAUAUACAUAUAUAUAUUUAUUUAUUUAUUUAUUGAACCGGGGUUGAGCCGGUCCGACCGGUUGAACCUCGACCCUUUCAUUUCACCGGUUCGAUUAACAGUCCGGGUUUUAAAACAUUGAUAAACAUUGAUAUAUGAGAUAUUCAUUGAAUAAUAAGUUGAGAUUCAUGCAUCCUUGCCCUUUCAACUUACUUGGAUUGCACUCUUUGAAUGACUUCCUUCUAAAAGACUUCUCGUCCUUUUCUAAAAGUAUUUGGCCCUAAAAAAGACCUCAAUGAUAGUGCAUUGCACUACCAUUGAACUUCAACAAAUAUAUUGCCAUCACGAAUUCAUACACUUACUAGUUCUUUAUUUUUACAGAAAUAAUAUAGUCAAAAGCUACCUUCUUGGAAUCUGAUUAUUAAUUUCAGUGGCUUUUAUCCAUUGGGAACUUGCACUUGCAAUUCUGACUAUCUUUAAAGAUUUGGGGGUGGAGAGUUGCUUGACUGCUUUUAUCCAUUGGGAACUUGCACUUGCAAUUCUGACUAUCUUUAAAGAUUUGUGGUGGAGAGUUGCUUGACUUAGGCUUUCAGUUUGUUCAUUUGGAGCAGAGUUUGUUCUUUCGGAUAUGGACUAUCCAGGAAGUUGUAAUUGAAUAUGUUUGUUGCUGUUGUUGAUGGAUUAUCAUUUUUUCCUCCUAAGCUUCUUGUCGAUUUCAAUUGUUGGCAUUUGCUGGUGUUCUAGUGUUGUAUACUAGUUUGUUUAGAGCAAUGUCCUUUAAUGAUUUUGUGAAGCUGCACAAUGGACAUGGGAACUUGGACUGUUUCAUUAUGCUUACAUUCUUGUUUUUUGUUGUAAUCAGUGGUUAUUGCUUGUAGUAUGAUCAGAUGAACAAGAUGUUGAUUGUGACUAUUUAAAGACACUAAGCAAUUUUCUUUUGGUGGAAACUGACCCUUGGAGAGUGCUCUGUUUCUUCUGUCUAGAGCCAUAGUUGUCAAAAGAAGACAUAGUUGUUAGAAUCAAUGUUGCAGACCUGACUGCAUAAUGUUGGCAAGUUGUGUAUUGAUGUAAAUUCCUAGGAUAAAGGUUUCAGUUGUGAUUAUUUUCUGAUUCAAAGGGUGUAGGUAUUGGUAAUGGUUGUACUGAGGUAUUCUGCUUGGCUUGUUGCUUAAGUUGAUCAUCUGCUUACAUCAAAGAUGAAUUAUUCUUUCUUCAAUUUUGUGUCUUAAAUGACUGCAUGUUUUGUGGUAUUCUGCUUGGCUUGUUGCUUAAGUUGGUCCUUAAAGAAGAUGAUAAUUAAUUUUAGUUACCUGAUACCAAAUAUCAAGUUGGUUGAUGACCUGGAUGCACAUUUUGUGGCAAAAAUUAUUUAUGGAUUCUAGUUUAUACAGCAUAAAUAAAGGUUGAUUUGGAGAGAAUAUUGCACAGCUUGCUAAGUUUUGGGUUUUGGAGAAGACGGUGCAGCACUUGAAGAACUUAAGUUUUGUAUAAAAUUGUUGAUGGAUACAAGUCCUUUCAAGUUGCAUUCUCUUCCCCUUUUGUCUUAGCUCUUCUAUAUGGCAAAUUGUUGAUCAAAUCAACUGAAACAAGCAUUCUUUUGCCUUGAACGAUCUGGUUCUAUCAGGAUCAAUCUAUUUAUCCUCUUUGUUUUUUUCCCCUCUAACAAAGCGCCAGUGUGGUGCCUUGUUCUAUUUGGAUUCUACUUGUGGUUAGAUUGUGCUUAAUUGAAUUCACUUGUAAAUCUUUUUUCUUUUUGGGAUGAUUUAGGUUUUGCUGAAGGUGAAACUAAGUGCAAAAUGCUCCAGAAUGUUCCACAUCAGAUUGUGCAAUCUCCAGCUAGGCUAGGGUUACCAAAUCCAAAUUCACCUUCUCUUCAAAACACUACUCCGGCUAAGUUUGCCUCCCAAGCCCAGCAAUCUCAUCCACCCAAUCAACAGCCAUAUGCAUCAAGCAUUAUUCCAACUUCUUCAACACUUCUUCCUCUCCUUCCCCCUCUGCCAAGAGCUCAGUCUAUUCUUCUGCAAAUGUCCUCACUUGCCUCAAGACUUUUUGAUGUCUCACCUAAUAGGUCGCAUUGGAUUAGCGCAUUUCGAGGUUCCCUACCCUCCUUCUUGUCUUCCCAAUCCCAACCUUUGACAUCAACUGCACCAGAUUCCUACCCUUCUUCCUCCAAAGAAAUUCUCGCUCUUUUCACAAACCUUCAAACUCAGCUAUUUGAAGCUGUUGCAGAGCUCCAAGAAAUUCUUGAUCUUCAAGAUGGAAAACAGAAACUCUCGCACGAAAUCAGGUCAAAAGAUGCUGCAAUUCUUGCACUUGCAAGCAAGCUCAAAGAAGCUGAGCAGGUUCUUGACAACCUUGUGGAUGAUUACUCGGAUUAUCGCCGUUCAAAACGGUCCAAGUCAGAAGAUGUUGCAGAAGAUUCUUCAACCACCACUGUGGCAUCUCAGCUGAAGCUUUCUGAUAUAUUGUCAUAUGCCCAUAGGAUAAGCUACACUACUUUUGCACCACCAGAAUUUGGUGCUGGACAGGCUCCUCUCCGUGGGGCACUCCCACCUGCUCCACAGGAGGAGCAAAUGCGGGCAUCCCAACUGUACGCUUUUGCUGAUCAUGAUGUUGGUUUACCAAAAACAGAUGAGGAUAAGAAGAAAACUAUAGAGCCAUUGAUCGAAACUCCUGUUGGGCAACCAGCAGAGCCAAAUCCACUGGCCAAUCUUGCUGGAAUGCAGGGUCUACUUCCACCUAAUAUUGCUAUGCCAUCAGGAUGGAAACCUGGAAUGCCCGUGGAGUUGCCCAGUGAUCUACCUAUUCUUCCUCCACCUGGUUGGAAACCUGGUGAUCCAGUGGCACUGCCCCCAUUGGAUUCUCUUCCUAUACCUCCUAGAAUUGAAGAGCAACAACCUCAGCAUAUCCCCCCUCCAAUGCUUACAAAGGCACCCGAGCCUAUACAAGUUCGGCAUGUGCAGCUUGACAUUGACGAUGACAGUAGUGAUUAUAGCAGUGAUGUUGGUAGCUCUGACAGUGAAGAUUAGUCCUAGACUCCAGUGCUUUUAUGUCGAUGUAAAUUCUGAAAUGCUACGUAGAACAUCUUUCAAAGAGGAUUGAAGUUGCUAUCUCUAGCCUGUACUUUCUGCUGAUGAAAUUGAAGUUUUAUUAGAAUUCUGCAAUUCCUCGAAGGCUGUCUAACCUUUCAAUUUGCUGAACAUUUCUCGCAAUCCGUUCUAGUACUGGUUUUGAUUCUAAGGUGUUAUUGGAAGCCUGGUUGAGUGAGCAUGAUCUUUUAAAUUGACAUUACACUGACAUUACACACUUAUGUAAUGUUUUUAUGUAGAUUCUGAUGCAAUAGAUUUUUAUGUUUUACCUUUGACGUACUUUUGUGAUAAUUGAUCAUCUUCUGGACGGUCGUACAUAUAUUGUGUCUUCCGCAAGAUGAGGAACGAAUGAAAGCAGAAAAGCUGCACCUUUUCCUCAGUCAAUACAUCUAAGUACUCCCAGAAAAUCAGCUGAAUCAGUGCCUUCAUAAAAAAGCAUUUCAGUCUUCGCAGCAUCAAGAGGAAAUUGGGAUUGUCACAGGGAAUUGGGGUUGCGGUGCUUUUGGUGGAGAUCCUCAACUUAAAGCUAUUAUUCAGUGGCUUGCUGCUUCUCAGGUGAUGCCUUCUACGGGCUUCAUUUUCAGCUUCUUUAUGUGGUGCAAUGCACCAAGUGUGAUUAACUGAUUCCAUAUUGGACAUUAUGACAUUUUGCUAGUCUGGAAAGAUUUAUUUACUGUGUUCUGUUUUCUGUUCUAAUUCUUCUUUCUCAGUCUUAUAUUCCUAGUAAAUAUUAGAUAUCCAUGUUAAUUGUCAGGUGAACCAUUUCUAUAUGUUAUUUGAUAAUACUGAGAAAGUUGCUGAGCUAUUUUGAGCUAAUGUAUUGCCUUGCGGAAAAAAUGGAUCUGUCAUGAUGUUGUGUUUAGUCCAAAUUUAUUCUGAGAUUGCUUCUUGAUAUAUGCUGCUCUUUACUUACGUCUUCGUUUCUGUCAUCAUGAUUGAAUUCUUGAAAGAAUUGCAAACAUGUGACUUACUAAAUCCUUUCUACUGCUGUUGUAAUGGAAUCUGGUUUAGGAAUGGAUGCUUGGCCCGUAUCCUAUUUGUGUAAUACCAUAAUUAUUUGACAUACAAUAUGGACAUUCUUUCUCUUUCCGAAGACAUCAGUUCAUAGAUUUCGUGCAUUUUGUUAUCAACUGGUUUUAUUUAGUCUUCUCCUUUCAGUUCUUCUAUGAUUUUUCUGAUAUUGUCCUAUGUUCCAGGCAUUAAGACCUUUCAUCUUGUACCACACAUUUGGUUUGGAGACAUUGGAGGUGCUAGAUCAGGUACUUAACUUCUGCCAGCUGUAAAUGAUGUUUAACGUAUUGAUUUGAAUGUAUAUGAGAUUUUUUCUCUUUUUUUUUUAUUGUUUUUCUGCUGAAUAAUGGAUUUCUGUUUUAGGAGCACCAAAAUAAGUAAAGGACAAGUGGUCUUGGUUACUUUGUCAGCUUUAAGUAUGUGGCCUUAAAAAAGGAUGAUCUUUGGAGUAUUUCUUUGUAUUCAGACACUUACCCCCUCCAUCAUAAUUUGUUCUUCACUUCUGGGUCCCAAUUCCUAUUGCACUUACCUGCACAAUUCUCAUGUAUAUCCACAUGCACUUGUAGUCAGCUUCUUCAAGGCCAAGCUAUAAAAAGUACACGAUUGACCACUAUUUGUGCAUUGUUAUUUCGAAAGGGGUUUCCUAAAAGUGAAGAACAAACUGUAUUCUAGUCCUGCAAUCUUCUUUUAGAGAUGUGAUCAAAUGGUCAAAUUGUGACUAAGUGUGGUGUCUCCUCCAAGCAUUUUCUUAAUGCUAAUCUUAAAAGGCAAACUAUCCUUUGGUUGGUUACCUUUGCCAAGGUUUAGUUUGCCCCUUUGACUCAAAUUCAUUUGGUCCAUUUAUUAACUAUAGCUCAAAGAUGGUUGCCAUUAUCUUUUGGAGUUCUUCUGUUAAAUUUAUUAUCAUUUCUUGAACAAGGAACUUCCCUUGUUUUUAAGGUUGUGGCAGACUAAGUUCAAAUUCAAAAAGUAACAAAUCGGUGGUGAAGGAGCACGGUUGAAACUUUACCAAAUUUAGUGCUCGAUGAUGUGGCUGUUGCAUUUCAAAUACUGAAAUAAUUUCUUGUCAAUUGUUUAUGCUGCUGGAUACUGUGUCUCCUGCACUUUGCGAAUUAUAGGUCUAACACGCGGCCUAUUAUUCAUUAGAUUCUUAGAUCUGACUGAUUGAACUUUGGACCACCUUUCAUUAUUUUAUGGAUGGACACUUUCUUUUCAUGCCCAUUGGUUGUUGACAAUUUCUCUUUUAGGUGACUCGCUGGAUUAUAUCCCAUGAGUGGACUGUUGGAGAACUUUGGAAUAUGAUGGUUGAGUACGGAUCCAAGAGAUUAAAAGGUGAAGCCAGAGUUGGCUUUUUCAGUUGGCUCCUUCCCUUGGUAGAUUCCAAUGAUGCAUGAGCUGUUGGGCAUCACCUCAAUCUUCAUGAGAUUUACUGAGCAUUGACCAAAAUUUCUUCUUUGGUGGGCACUUUCUUGGCUUGGUGCGGCUCAUAUUUGAUUCACUAUGGAAGACUAGCAUAGUGUAAAUGCUUUCACUGUUAGUUGCACUGUGGAAAUAUAGAAUACUCGGCAUAAUUUUUCCCUAUAGGGGUGCGUGGUCUGUGUAUCUGAGGGACAUUUUAUUGUUCGUUAGUGACAAAAAAGAAGUGCAUCUGGAGUUGCUCUGCGCCAAUGGUUGAUUUUGUCUGACCCAAGAUCUCCUUUGCAAUUCACCUGUAAGGGAGAAUGGAUGAGCUCAAGGGCAGGUAAAAUGAAGGCAUUCUAGCUAUUCAUUGAACAAGAAAAUGACAGGAGAGGGGGGGUUGCAUGCACGGAGAUGGAGGGUAUUUACUAUCUGCUGCCCACUGCCCCGGAUUUGAAACUGCUGUGGAAGCAUAUGCGAUCAAACUCUGGCUUGCGACAGCAACUCUGCUGCUAUCAGAAUUUGUUGGUUAGAAAGCUUUGUCCAUAACCAACCUAGUUAUGAGGAUCUAACCCGCAUUCAUGUAAUACCUUUCUUUCUUGUUUAGUGAACGGAGGCUCGUAGAAUUCGCUGAAAGAUAGGAUCAGCUGUUUGGUACGUCUCCUUUUGUACCUAUAAUUAAGUCUAUACACGUUAGGAUGAGGUUCAAAAGUUACCAUUCAUACAAGGACCAUUAAUUUGACAUAUCUUUUACUUCCACAAAAUAAAAUAGGGGAAAAAAAUUCUCAUUACUGAAAAUUGGUCUACACAAACUAGGGCUGUUCACGAAUUGGAUUGCGAGCGCCUCGAAUACGAGCUCGACUCGAGCUCGGUCAAUAUCAAGCUCGAGUCGAGCUUGAGCUCAAAAACAUUAAGAUCGUUGGCUCGCGAGUUCGAUUAUAUGUAUGUAUCUUUUAUUUUUUAUUUUAAUAGUAAAAUUACAUAUAUAUUCUUAAUAUUUUAUUAUUUGUUAAGAAAAAUUAUUAUUUUAUUUAUUUUUAAAAUAAAAUAAUUAUUUUUUAUUUUUUAAAAAUAAAAUAAUUAUUUUUAUUUUUUAACCUCGAGCUCGACUCAAAUUUGAGUUCGUUGAGCUCGAGCUCGAGCUCGAGUUCCAGUUUUGUAAAAUUAACUAGAGGUUCGGUUCGAUUAGAUCAAAACUCAAUUCGACUCGAUUCGUUUGCACCCUUAACACAAACACAAGCAUUGGGUAGAGCGGGAUUAAUUUAAUGCAUGUCUAGACUUGUAAGAGGGUGGUGGAUAAACUUGCCCUGAUAAUGACUUUAGGGGAUUAAUUCUUUCUUUGUGCUUGAUGUUUCAUGAUGAACAUCAAUUUUUUUGUUUGGGGUGGUUUUGAGAGUUCGAGUUUGAAAAUAUUUUUUACCGUUCCAAUGAUUAGCUUAUUGUAAUUUUCCCAUUCCAGGGAUUAUUUUACCUACUUAUAUCCUUUUUUUUUCUUUUUCAAUGCUCUUAGUAGGCCAGAUGCUCUCGUGCUAACUAUCCCAUAAUUUGAAAUUAAAAAAAAAAUCUAAUUUGGCAUCUAAAAGAGGAUCCAAUAUUAGGCAUCUUUUUUCCAAUUUAUGCACUUGAUAAAUAAAAGGAACCAAAUAUAAAAAGAUUUUAGUUGAGCUAAAUUUUCUUAUAAUUGUGGUGACAGCAAGAAUCUUAAGGUAUGAAAAAAAAAUGUUUUGUUAAAUUUUGGAAGUUGUUAUUUUUUGUAUGAAUAAUGGAUAUAUUUUAGGGUUAAUUACAUUUACCUCCCCUGAGGUUUGACCAUAUUACCAAUCAAUCCCUGUAAUUUGUCCAAAUAACGGUCUCACCCUUUGAAUGAUCAAACAUUUAACAAAAACCCCCUUAAUGCCGAAAAUGCCCUUAUUGAGGCCAUAUUGCAUUAAAAAAAGAAUAUAUUUUUAUUUAUUAACCUUCAAGUAAUCCAAAAAAAUAGAAAAAGUUUUUGCUUAUUAUUUUAUAAAAAUCACAUCUUUACUUCCAUAAAUAGUUUUGAAUCAAUAAUUAUUUUAAAUCUUAAAAAUGAAUAUUAAAAAUUAUAUAAAUUGAAAGAAAAAUAAAAAAGAAGCAAUUAUUUUAAAUCCUCAAGUAUGGUUCGAAUUUGUGGUUCAAGGCAUGUUGCGGAGAGCACAAGGCAUGUUUUCCUCAAUUUGAACCAUACUCUAGGAAUUAAAAUAAUUUCUUCUUUUUUUAUUUUUCUUUCAAUUUAUCUAAUUUUUAAUAUUCAUUUUUAAGAUUUAAAAUAAUUAUUGAUUCAAAACUAUUUAUGGAAGCAAAGAUAUGGUUUUUAUAAAAUAAUAAGCAAAAACUUUUUUCUAUUUUUUUGGAUUGCUUCAGGGUUAAUAAAAUAAAAAUAUGUUCUUUUUUUAAUGCAACAUGGCCUCAAUAAGGGUAUUUUCGCCAUUAAGGGGGUUUUUGUUAAAUGUUUGAUCAUUCAAAGGGUGAGACCGUUAUUUGGACAAAUUACAAGGAUUGAUUGGUAAUAUGGUCAAACCUCAGGGGAGGUAAAUGUAAUUAACCCUAUAUUUUAUUGACCCUGUAUAGUAAUGGCCCCAUAAGUAAAUUAACAAGUUAGAUCAAAUAUUUAAUGUAACUAGUAUAAUAAUUGAGGGGCAAUUUUGGCAUAAAAAAAUCUUCUCACAUCUGAAAUUAUUUUCUUAUUGUUGCUUUUUUGAAUUGGAUUAAAUUGUUACAAGAAAAUUAGUUUUAAGGGAGGUUAGUAAUAUUUUUAGAACCUCAGGGGAGGGGCAGUGAAACUAUUAGAAACCUCCCCUGUUAUCCCUAUUAUUGUAUCAUCCUUGCUCCGGAAACCUGCCUUUCCACUGCUAGUGCUGGAGUAGAAAACAGUCGCAGGAUACCAAGUUUUCGGGUUAAUUUCACUUUAUCCCCCCAAACUUUGGACGAUUACUCACUUUAGUCCCUAAACUUCAAAAUGGGACACUUAAGUCACUAAAACUUAUAAAUUUGGACACUUAACUCCCUAAACUUAUAAAAUCGGACACUUAAAUCCCUAAACUCUUAUAAAAUGGGACACUUCGACCACCAUGGCAUUCAGGAUUUUGUUAACAAUUUUCCUUAAUUGGGAGGUAUUUAUAAGUUUAGGGAUUUACUUGUCCUAUUCUAAAGUUUAGGGACUAAAGUGAAUAACCGUCCAAAGUUUGGGGGGACAAAGUGGAAUUAACCCCCAAGUUUGCUGUCUUUUGUAGUCCGUAAGAACUAAGAAAGAAUUGAGGAGACCGGUUUCCAUCGGCAAAGCAAAGAACUUCAGCACUCCACCUCUCUAUCUCUCCUUCUCUGGAUUCAAGCUUUUCACAGUACCAAAACAAAAUACUAUUGUAAGUGGUAAGAAGCCCGCAUUCAAAUCCCUUUCUUGGUUACCACUAAACUUUUGUACCUUCUAUGUGAGUCCUUCUGGAGUUAGUAGUAGUACAAAUAUAUGCAAGUCCUCCCUGCUGCAUGUUGCCUUUUUCGUUUUUUUUUUCCCCAAAUCAAAGUUUGAAUCUUUCUCUGUGAUUUCAAUUGAAAAGUGGACAGCAUCUUUUCCACUGGGGAGUGAGGGGUUGUGGGAGUUUUCCUAUGGAGAUAACCUUGAGACAUCUUCUCAUGUAAUUGUAAUUUAAAGCUUCUCUAUUGUUAUCUAUUUGUCCUUUUCUUUUCUUUUAAUCCUUGGAGAAUUGCACAUUUCCAUUUUUCUGCUACAAAGGAAGGGGUUGCUCUAUGGGGCUUUGUUUGUUAAUUCCACAUUUUGAGGCUCUUGGGUUGGCUGUUGAAAUAAGUAGUCUGUAUUUAGCUGGUAUCCCAUUUUUCAGCACUCCACUGCUGUUGGCGUUUGCUAAAUUCUGAUUUUUUUUCAAAAGGAUCUUUUAGUUUCAUGCCCUUUUAUAUAUAUCUAGCAGCAGAAGAGAUGUCUGUGGCGGCUUCGGCUGCUGCUGCUGCUGUUGGGGCUGGGGCGGUCGCCUUGUUCAGACUAAACAGGUUGCCUUCUUCCCCCUCCACCUCCUCCUGCUCUUGUCUUCUUCUCAAAGGACUCCGAGCUUUUGCACCAUUUCCAUACCGAUACCACUUCGCUUCUUAUUCUACUUCUUCUUUGCUUUCACAAGAAGCAGCAGCUGUUGCUUCCCAACUUCCACGCUCACACGCCGCCAAUACCUCCUCCAAUGUGGUGGAAAUUCUUGAACAGAGAGGCCUGCUGGAAUCUCUCACCAGCGAUAGUCUCAGGUCGGUCUGCUCCUCCUCUGCCCCUAACCAAGCACCUCUUCGAGUCUACUGUGGUUUUGACCCCACCGCUGAUAGCCUCCACCUCGGCAAUCUCCUUGGCAUUAUUGUCCUCUCUUGGUUCCUCCGCUGCGGUCAUCGUGCUGUCGCUCUCAUUGGGGGAGCCACCGGCCGCGUAGGCGACCCUUCUGGCAAGAGUUCCGAAAGGCCUGAGCUUGACCUUGAAACCCUCCAUAAGAACAUUUCUGGGAUUUCCGCCACCAUUUGCCACAUUCUUAGCAGGGCUGCUCCUAUCCCUGAUUCUGUUUCUAUCCUGAAUAAUUAUGAGUGGUGGAAAGAUGUUAGGCUGCUGGAUUUCCUCAAGGAUGUUGGGAGGUAUGCGAGGGUGGGCACCAUGAUGUCCAAGGAAAGCGUCCGCAAGAGGCUUGAAUCUGAUCAGGGCAUGAGCUACACUGAGUUCACCUACCAGAUCCUGCAGGGCUACGACUUUGUCCAUCUCUUUCGCCAAGAAGGAGUCUCUGUUCAGAUCGGUGGCAGCGAUCAAUGGGGCAACAUCACUGCCGGGACUGACCUUAUCCGCAGAAUUCUUCGCGUUGAAGGGGCAGCCCAUGGACUCACAUUCCCUCUCCUCCUCAAGAGUGAUGGUACUAAAUUUGGAAAAUCAGAGGAUGGUGCCAUUUGGCUUUCCCCUUCCAAGUUGACCCCUUAUAACUUUUACCAGUAUUUCUUUUCAGUUCCUGAUGAUGAUGUUGUUAGGUUCCUCAAGAUACUUACUUUCUUGAGCUUGGAGGAGAUUGCACGGCUGGAAAGGGACAUGGAUACCCCCGGCUAUGUUCCCAACACUGCCCAGCGUAGGCUGGCUGAGGAGGUUACUCGCUUUGUACAUGGCCAAGAGGGUCUGGACGAGGCUCUCAAGGCCACUGAGGCUCUGAGGCCUGGGGCAGCUACCAAGUUGGAUGCUAAAACCAUUGAGGGGAUUGGAGAGGAUGUUCCUUCUUGUUCGCUGCCUUACGAUCAGGUCCUGAGUCUGUCUCUGUUGGAUCUCUCCGUUUCAAGUGGAUUGCUUGAGAGUAAAUCAACAGCACGGCGUCUACUCAAGCAAGGAGGGCUUUAUCUGAACAACGGUAGGGUUGACAGUGAGGCGAAAAAGAUUGAGGCAAAUGAUAUUAUAGACGGAAAAGUUAUCCUUUUAUCUGCUGGAAAGAAGAAUAAGAUGGUUGUAAGAGUUUCUUGAUUGCCUUUGCCUUGGAUUAUUUUUCAUUUAUUUUACAUCGCAGAACGUUCAUCAUUGCAAGUUUUGGAUUUGUCUAGAUUAAACAUAUGGACUUAGAUUUUGGUGGAGUUAAUGCUAUUUGGAAUAUCUUUUGUUCCUCUUUUCCGUGAUUAUUGUAUUCUAUUAUAGAUAUUACUUAUCAUUUCAGCAGCUUCACUCUGAUCUGAAUUUUUUCACUAUUAAUCAUUUAUAGUGGAAGUACCUUUCGAAGGCAUUCUCAACUACUGAGAUCGCUUAAGUCUCUUGUUUUUGAAAUUCUCAUUUUGUUUGUUAUCUCAAGAAAAUAGAUAUAGAAUCAACAUAGUCUGUAAUUAUGCACUAAGCAUAGCUCAAGAUGAGGAAUGGGAUAAUCCUCAGUGUUAGGUACAUUUUUGUAAAGCGAAAUUUGGGCCGUUGCCCAACAAUUGUACACUUUUACCUGAUCAAUAUAUAUAUAUAUCUUAUCGUUUCUGGAAAAAAAAAUUAUACUUCAUAAUGUAUAAUAUAUCAUCUAUUGUUAAUAAAAUUUGCAACUUUCUGGACUUCUUGGUUCACUACACUAAAUUGUUUAAUUCAGUGGAGACUGAUGUCGAUCACAGAAUACCUCUUUUCUACAGCAAAUAUUCUCAAAGAUAAUAAGAGAUGGAACGAAGCAUGUGCUGGGUAAAGGAGUUAAAAUCUAUAGCCAUGCCUUGCAGUUCUUCAGAAGGGGUGACUUGAUAAUUCAACUUAUACAAACCUAAACUUUCCCAAGCUGCGGAGAAAUUUUUAAUUUGUUUUGGGCUACAUUAGCUUUUGUUGUCAAAGGGAAGUUUUGAUUUUGAAAGCUAUUGAGAAUUUGGGGGUUGUGGGAAGGUAUGGAACUGCUGUAAAUCCCCUUUACCUACCAAUUUGCCCCGCAUAGCAAUGGCUUUGGCUUGUCUUGUUGGUUUGUCUGUUUAAAUGACAUAAAACAAAUAGAAGUUUUCAUUCUUGAUGGUACAAUAUGUGUCAUGUAAUGGUAAACAUUCAAUAUUCUCCACUCCCUUUAAGGACAAAAGAUUGGUGCCCUAUUUUGGCAGCAUCAUUUGGUGGGAACAGAGAAGCAAGUUUCUUUUAGUUAUUAUCUGAAUUUAUGCUCCCGGAUGAUUGUUGAAAUGAUGUGAGUCAGCUGAUUCUCAGUUGAAGGAUAAAAAUUUGUUAUGAAUAUUAGUUGCUAGUUCUUCAAUGGUAAAGGUUCGAAUGCUAAAUUAACAUGCUUCAAAAAAGUUCUUAUAAUUCCUCUGAAGACAUAUUUCCUAGUAUUGAUAGCAAGAAACAAAAAAGCUUAAUGGUCUGAAAUGUUACUACAAAUCUUUCCCGAUAUGUCUACUAUGUCUGGACUUAAGACACCUCAAGCCCCCCCCCCCCUCCUCCCCAAAAAAAAAAAAAAGAAAGUGUGAGGUGGUUUGACUAGGUCUUCCAACGAUGGCUGAUUUGCUCUUGAAUUUGCGGUCCCUUUUGGAGACCAACUAUCAGCAGCAGCAGCAGCAGCUGCUUAAGAGUAUGCCUACUGUUGCCUCUGCUUGUUAGACACUCUCAAGUAAGAAUGUCAACUCUUUAUGGAGUACUAUUAAUACUUACUACUAUUAAUUAUUUGUACCUAGUACUAGUUUAUAAGCACUUAUAGACGGUUUAAUCAAUUAUGUGUGAGAAUACAGCUACUCCAUUUGAUUACAUACUGUUCUUUGACAAUGCAUUGAUUCAUGAAAACUUCUUUUGUUCUGCUCCUGCUUUACCAUUUACAUCUGUUUGUUUGUUUUAUACGACAACAGGAGUUGAUUUCUGCACUGUUUUACAAAACUUGCAUGCAGCAACACACUUAAAAGGGUAAAAUUAGUACUGGUCAAGGUAAAACUUAUCCUGGCAAUUGCCAAACUAUGGAAAAUUGUUGGUACCAAAUUGCAAAUCGUACCCAUGCUCAUUGCUUAGUUGUCCUACUUCGACUAUAGGAGAAAUGCAAGUUUAGUUCUCAAUAUUUAGCAUGUGUGCUAAAUUGGUCCUUAAUAUUUCAACUAAAAAUGAGACCCACUAUCGGCGCCAGCAGCAGCAGCCCCUUGAUAGUAAUACAACUUGCCUCCGCUUGUUGGACUCCCAGCAGCCUGGCCUUGUGCUUCUCUCUCAAGUAAGAAUAAGAAGCAAAUUCCUUCACUCUUUACGGACUUCUUUUUAUGCUUGUUUCUAUUGGCCGUUUGUUCCUACGAUUAGUAUAGCACCAAAUGUUGCUACUUUAACCAAUUAAAUGCCAGAAUGCGUUUAUUCUGUUCAAUUUUGGAUUGAUUGUUCUUUCUCUAGGCAUUUUGAUUCAUGGAAACUUCUUUUCUUCUGCUCCUACUUUACAAUUUGCAUUUCUGGUUAACAUUGAUGGUUGUUGUGCUUGUUUUAUUUCACAACAGGAGUUGAUUGCUGCUCUGCUUUCUUGCGCUUUCUUUUCUUUAUUUCCUGCUGCUAAUAGAGGUGCCACAUAUCUCCCAGCGAUCAACUUUCAUCAUUUAUUUGCGUAUGUUAUCAUUCCAUCAAUCAGCAUCAUCAUCAAUUGUGCAUACCCCUUCAUUAUUAACUACUCUGCUAUUCUUGCACUCUUGCUUGUCCUUGCAAACUGACACCUUUUCCCUGCCAUAUUACCAGCAAUGUUCUAUGGGCCCUUUUUGUUCAUAUCAAGGACCAACCGGCUUGGGCAACCUUAUUGAAAACUGAUGAUUUUUUUUUUUCUUUGAAACUGAUGGUCACAAGGUUCCUAUGGGUCUGAAGUUUCUUUGGGCUGUUUUGUUAACUGUGUCAAGACUUAGUCUUUCUUCAAUUUAGCUUUUCUAUGACAACAUUUUCCUGGUGUAAAGCUGGCCUUUGAGUUUGUAAUUAAGCGUGUAGAUCAGAAAGCAUGAAGGAGAAUACACUUAGUGUACCGCAUGUGUGUGCUUAAUUUAACAUAACAAGGAAGGAUUAUAAUGCAUAAGAAGUUGACGACCUACUACUACUUACAGUUUCAUGUCUCCAUCUCUUAUUUUGAUCUGUGCACUUCAGUCAUCGUGGUCGGAUCACAGUCAAACCUUGAAAGUGUAGGAUAGUGGCAACUUAAAGAGAGAGAGAGAGAGAGAGAGAGAGGGGGGGUUGGAUCUACAAUCUCGAAGCUUGUGGAAGAGAAGCUAUAAACUUUGGGAGUGAUUAUGCAUAUUGUAACUUCAUCAAUCAAAUCUAAUGAGUGCUGUUGAUUCUUAUCUGAAUUUUCAGUUCAGUCGGCAAGUGGAUAUAUCUGAUACUAAUGUUGUUUCAGGUCUCUAUACGGGUGUUAUGAGGAGUACCAGGAAAGCAAAAUAAAGUACAUUGAUUUGAAUGUAUAUGAGAUUUUUUCUCUUUUUUUAUUGUUUUUCUGCUGAAUAAUGGAUUUCUGUUUUUGGAACACAAAAAUAAGUGAAGGACAAGUGGUCUUGGUUACUUUGUCAGCUUUGAGUAUGUGGCCUUAAAAAAGGAUGAUCGUUGGAGUAUUUCUUUGUAUUCAGACACUUGCUCCCUCCAUCAUAAUUUGUUCUUCACUUCUGGGUCCCAAUUCCUAUUGCACUUACCUGCACAAUUCUCAUGUAUAUCCACAUGCACUUGUAGUCAGCUUCUUCAAGGCCAAACUAGAAAAAGUACACGAUUGACUGCUAUUUGUGCAGUGUUAUUUCAAAAGGGGUUUCCUAAAAGUGAAGAACAAACUGUAUUCUAGUCCUGCUAUCUUCUUUUAGAGAUGUGAUCAAAUGGUCGAAUUGUGACUAAGUGUGGUGUCUCCUCCAAGCAUUUUCUUAAUGCUAAUCUAAAAAGGCAAACUAUCCUUUGGUUGGUUACCUUUGCCAAGGUUUAGUUUGCCCCUUUGACUCAAAUUCAUUUGGUCCAUUUAUUAACUAUAGCUCAAAGAUGGUUGCCAUUAUCUUUUGGAGUUCUUCUGUUAAAUUUAUUGUCAUUUUUUGAACACGGAACUUCCCUUGUUUUUAAGGUUGUGGCAGACUAAGUUCAAAGAUAAAACGUAACAAAUCGGUGGUGAAGGAGCACGGUUGAAACUUUACCAAAUUUAGUGCCCGACGAUGUGGCUGCACUUCGCGAAUUAUAGGUCUAACACGCGGCCUAUUAUUCAUUAGAUUCUUAGAUCUGACUGAUUGAACUUUGGACCACCUUUCCUUAUUUUAUGGAUGGACACUUUCUUUUCAUGCCCAUUGGUUGUUGACAAUUUCUGGAGAUGCUCUGCACCAAUUGUUGAUUUUGUCUGACCCAAGAUCUCCUUUGCAAUUCACCUGUAAGGGAGAAUGGAUGAGCUCAAGGGCAGGUAAAAUGGAGGCAUUCUAGCUAUUCAUUGAACAAGAAAAUGACAGGAGAGGGGGGGUUGCAUGCUGGAGGGUAUUUACUGUCUACUGCCCACUGCCCCGGAUUUGAAACUGCUGUGGAAGCAUAUGUGAUCAAACACUGGCUUGCGACGGCAACUUUGCUGCUACCAGAAUUUGGUUAGAAAGCUUUGUCUAUAACCAGCCUAGUUAUGAGGAUCCAACCCACAUUCAUGUAUUCCUCUCUUGCUUGUUUUGUGAACGGAGGCUCGUUGAAUUCGCUGAAAGAUGGGAUCGGAUGUUUGGUCUAAAAUUGUUUUGUCCGCUUCCAUGAGUAUGGCUCUUUUCGUCAAGUUGAUUUCUCAAUCUUUGUGCCUAUAAUUAAGUCUAUAUGCGUAGUAUUAGGUUCAAAAGUUACCGUUCAUACAAGGACCAUUAAUUUGUCAUAUCUUUUACUUCCACAAAAUAGGGAAAAUUUUGUCUCGUUACUGAAAAUUGGUCUACACAAGCAUUGGGUAGAGCGGGAUUAAUUUAUUGCCCGUCUAGACUUGCAAGGGUGGUGGAUAUGCUUGCCCCGAUGAUGACUUCAGGGAUUAAUUCUUUUCUUUGUGCUUGAUGUUUCAUGAUGGGGUUAAAACGAGGGAAAAAAAUUCCCCUCAUCCCGCCCUAUUACUUCCCCCGGGAUGAGCGCGGGUACGCGCCCCUGUUGCCAUCCCUAGAUAUUAUUAUAUGGGAUUAAAUAUAGAAAAUUCUCAUGAACUUUUAUAGCUGUUGCACAAUAUACUCCAAAGUAUGUUUAUAGGCACUUUGCACCCUAAGAAAACUAUCGUUCACAGAUUUCAUGACCAUACAAAGCGCGUGUCUUGCAAGCUCUGUCCAUUGAAAUUUCUUGAUAUAAUUGUCAUCCUUUCAAACAAAUAUAAAUGGCUAUCUCCAGCUAUCGUUACUUGUUCAUUCUACUCAUUUAUUAUCAUUUUCAUCAUAGUUUUUCCCCUUUUAUUUCCUCUUUUUCACAAAUGCUGCACAAUUUCUACAUUGAGCAUAGUCCUAAUAAUUGCAGCUCAAGCGAUGCAUAUGAAGCAACAAACUUCAACUCAAGAUGCAGGUGUGGAAGAAUGGCACCUCUAUGCACUUCAUGGACUAUUCACAAUUCAAGAAGAAAAUUAAUUGGAAUAACUAAUGUAGUAUUUUUUGGGAUGUGAUCUAUGCAAAAAAAAAAAAAAAAAAAAAAAGAUGGUUCGAAAGAUAAAAAGUUGAUUGCAAAUUGUAUUUGUGAUGCAAGUAAAAUAUUAUUCGAAAUAAUUUUGUUAUCCAAAAAGAAAACAAAAAGUACGAAAAUUUUAUCUUCUCAAAUGAGUAAAAAAUUUCUAAAAAAAAGUCAUUAACCAAUAAUAUACUACUACUAAUAUUUUCUUUUUUAUUUUAAUCUUAUUAUUUGUCACUUUACUAUUAAUAAUUAGAUUUAUUAUGGGCUCAUUUGUUUUUGAUGUAUCUAAAUAAUUUGAAUACUAUACAAAAUAUGCUUUGCACAUAACUAACAUAUAUUUGCAAUUAUUAUUACUAGUAAUAACUGAACAUAAAAAAGAGAUGAAAAGAGAAUAAGUUGAAGUUCAUUAAAAAUAAUAGAUAAAUAAUGAUAGUAAAAAAUUGAAAUAACUAGUCACACAAGACAGAAAAGAAUAAGAAAAAUGUAAAAUGGAACAAGGUAAAGAGUAAAGAAAAAAGUACCAAAAAUAAUUGAUAUAUAAAUAAUAUUCCAAACAAUAGUUUUUUUUUACAUACAUCAUAUUCCAAAAUUAUUUAGAUACUUUAUGGACCAUCACAUCCCACUCUAUGCAACACAAUGGCCAAUCGGACAUGAAGGAUGCUUUUAUCUGUUCAAUUAUUAUUUGAGAAUACAGUUAUCAUUUCAGUGAUAAAGUGAACGAUACAUAAAAAUUAGUUACUUUUCAGUGGAUUUUGGAUGCAAAUUACCUAUAAACAUACUUUGAAGUGUGUCGUGCAAGUGCAACAGCUAUAAAAGUUCACACGGGCGGUUUCUGAAAUUAUCCCUAUUAUUGUAUCAUCCCUUGCUCCAGAAAUUCGCCAUGCCACUGCUAGAGUAGAAAACAUUAGCAGGAUACCAAGUUUGCUAUCUUUUGUAGUCCGUAAUACUAAAUACCAGCAAGAAGAACUAAGAAAGAAUUGAGGAGACCGGUUUCCAUCCGCAAAGCAAAGAACUUCAGCACUCCACCUCUGUAUCUCUCCUUCUCUGGAUUCAAGCUUUUCACAGUACCAAAACAAAAUACUAUUGUAAGUGGUAAGAAGCCCGCCUUCAAAUCCCUUUCUUGGUUACUACUAAACUUUUGUACCUUCUAUGCCAUCGGGAGUUAGUAGUAGUACAAAUAUAUGCGAGUCCUCCCUGCUGCAUGUUGCCUUUUUUCGUUUUUUUUUUCCCCAAAUCAAAGUUUGAAUCUUUCUCUGUGAUUUCAAUUGAAAAGUGGACAGCAUCUUUUCCACUGGGGAGUGAGGGGUUGUGGGAGUUUUCCUAUGGAGAUAACGUUGAGACAUCUUCUCAUGUAAUUGUAAUUUAAAGCUUCUCUAUUGUUAUCUAUUUGUCCUUUUCUUUUCUUUUAAUCAUUGGAAAAUUGCACAUUUCCAUUUUUCUGCUACAAAGGAAGGGGUUGCUCUAUGGGGCUUUGUUUGUUAAUUCCACAUUCUGAGGCUGCUGGGUUGGCUGUUGAAUGAGUAGUGUGUAUUUAGCUCGAAUCUCAUUUUUCAGCACUCCACUGCUGUUGGUGUUUGCUAAAUUCUGAUUUUUUUUUUCCGAAGGAUCUUUUAGUGUCCUGCCCUUUCAUAUAUCAUACUUUCUUUAUCUCAUGCUUCUGCCCUGAUGGUUGAGAAGAACGCGAUCGCACAAAGUCAAGUACAGACGAAAAGUUUCGUGAAAUAUAUUCUUAUUUUCGUUUUUUUUCCUGGAAGACUGGAAAGAAGGAAUUGCUAACUGUGUUUCCGUGGAAUAAAGAUAAGAUAGCCUGUUUAACCAUUGACAUUUGCCAUUGUAAUUUAGGAGUAAAGCUUCUACCUUUACGUGGAUAUUGAGAUUGGAUUUGUUUUGGGUUCUUUUCUGCAUUUGUAUUGCACACGCGUCUUUUCUUGUCUAUUGAGGCCACUAUUGCUGCUACUCAAGUUGAAAAAGUUUUCACUGUUAUUUUGCAGCACUGGUUGCAAUUAGAGGACCUUGCAGUAAAGGUUGUUCUUCAGCUACUAAGAUAAAAGGCAGUCGUGGUUACAACAAAUGGAUGCAUUGAGGCUGCAGUCUUGGUUCUCACCUAUUAAAAUAAAAGGCAGAAAAGAUUCUUCUUCAUGCUAUGGUGAUCUCUCUAUGAGGAGAAAGAAACAGAACCAAACUGUUAUAUCAUCAACCUGGAUGUCUAUGAACAGCCUAUCCAGAUCGCCUUCAUGGGUACGUGCAUCUGAUUCUCAUUUCCCUUCCGUGUCUAAUGUCUAUUUCUACUUCAUAAUAUUCAUUUGUGUGUCAAUUCAUAUCAUUGUGGAGGUCUUAGUGGUAGGGGUUUUUGAUCAGGUUCAUGGGUUCAGAGAAUAUAGGUUAAAGACUACUAAAGCAGUGGGUGUAUCAGAGGCGGAGGAUGGGAGGGAGAAAGGAAGCAAAAAAUCUGGUGAAAAUUCUAUACCUGAUGAUGCCUUUGAUAUGGAUGAUGAAGAGAGGCAGGCAUGGAGGAAAAAAAUUAGGGAAGUGAUCAGUACGAACCCUGCCAUUGAUGAAGAGGUAGAUCCUGAUGAAUGUAGAAAAAAGAUGCAAAAGCUUUUGGCGGAUUAUCCUCUUGUUGUUGAGGAAGAUGACCCCGAUUGGCCAGAAGAUGCUGAUGGUUGGGGUUUCAGCUUAGGUCAAUUCUUCAACAAGAUUACCAUUAAAAAUGUCAAGAAGGAUGAUGAUGACAACUAUGAUAGUGAAAAUGAAAUUGUGUGGCAAGAUGAUGAUUAUAUCCGUCCAAUUAAGGACAUAACAUCUGCAGAAUGGGAAGAGGCAGUGUUCAAGGACAUCAGUCCUUUAGUUGUUCUUGUACAUAACCGUUAUAAAAGGUUUGUUUGCUUUACUUUGUUUUUGUCAUUGGCACUCUUUUAGUGCAAGUUAAUUGGUUUUAAUGUCCAUGUUUUUCUUUUUAAAAUGUUGCUGGGAUUAGUUACCUCAAAUUGCCUGUCUUUUAAUAUGAUGCUUAGUGUUGUAGAUUAGUGCUGAUGCCUGACUAUUUGCUGUGCCUGAAUCAUUUUGGGAUAAUUUCUGGCUAUCAAUUUCUUAGCUAGGUGAUCUCUUUGAGUUCUUAUUCUUCUGCUGUGAUAUGUCCCUCCCUGGGUUAAACAUUUAGGAACGUUUGUCCAGAAAUGCUAUUGAUAUUGCAUAUGCAUAGCCUUUGUUGAGUUACUUUGACCUUUAUAGCAGGCUAUUGCCAGCUAAGUGUUUGUCGAUUGAUCUUAAGGUCGCAGUAUUAUGUGACUAUGUCUUAUCAGUUUUUGAACUCUGGCUUGCUUAUAUAUUCUACCUUGCAUCGAAUAACUUGCAAACAUAGAACUGAGGUCCUGGUAAUAUGCCAACAAGAAUUUACUGAUUGCAAUUGGCAUUAUUUGAUUUGAUUCACCUACAUAGGCAUGCUUGGUUGCUUGACUUGGCAAAGUUACUGAACAGCAAAAUUUUGAAAGAAUUGAUAUGAUCCUCUACCUCCCCUCUUGUGCUCUUCCCCUUGCUUGUUGAUCCUAAUUUUCUGGGUUUUGGAUAACUUUGUGGCAUUUGUCUACAUAUAUAUUUGCAGAGCUGUUAUCUGGAAAAAUAUAGUAAUAUGAAAAUGCAGAUGGAAGGCUUUUGCUGACACCCUUUGCAGCUACUUUUUCUGAGCUGGGUUAUAUUGAGCAAAAUAGUCAUUGACAAAACAUUUUUUGGAGCAUUUUGCUAACACGUUUUACAAUGCCCAUUAUAGUUUGCCGACCAUCUUUUCAUCCACGAGAAAGUGCUGAUUUUUCAGAAAAAAUCCUCAAGAAUGCAAUCCAAAGGAAAGAAUUUUAAAAGAUCUAUAAUUGGUUGCUUCUGUAAGGACUUCUUCAUUAUUCCUCAUAGCUUUAUGAUCUAUGCAGACCAAAGGAAAAUGAAAAGAUUAGGAAUGAAUUGGAGAACGCUGUGCAUAUCAUAUGGAACUGCAGGCUACCAUCUCCAAGAGUAAGUGAAGGCUUUGAGUUAUUAGGUUAUUUGGUAGUUUACCAUGUUCGGCAUAUUGAUACGUGUAUUUCAAAAUAGUGUGUAGCAAUUGAUGGUGUUAACGAGCUUGGUUUGGUCUCUGCUCUACAAGUCUCUGUUUUCCCAGAGCUCAUAUUUAUUAAAGCAGGGAAAAUCUUACAUCGCGAGAAAGGUAAAGUUCAUGUGUUAAGAAGUUCAUGAUUGCCUUCAAAAGAAACUAUCAUUGUGAUUUAACUUUAUUUCCUUUUGCUUCUUCAGCAAUUCGAACGGCAGAUGAGUUGCCAAGAAUGAUGGCAUUCUUUUACUUUGGAGCAGCAAUGCCACCCUGUCUUAGUGGCAUUAAGAACUGUUGAAGAUAUGUGAUCUGAUAUUAUGGAAAGAUUUGAUAUUGUAAAUAUUAGGAAAGAUAUGAUUAUAGUAUCAUGUAUUAAUUAGGUAUCAUAUGAUUAUAGUAUCAUAUAUUAAUUAGGUAGUAGAUUGAUUUAGAUUAGCAUGAUUUUAGGAUUCAAAUUAGGUUACACUUGUGUAUAUAUAUAUGUAUAUUGUGUAGUCCAAAGAUAUGUAGAAGAGUAUUUUCUCUCCCUUUGUCUUAGUUUUCAUGGUAUCAGAGCCCUACCAUCAAGGUUAGGGUCUCUGUCCGCUGCCAGAAAAUUCAUUAGUCAUCAUUCGGUUCAUCUGGUUCUGUGUAGGACAUAUCUGUGUUCUAUUCUUCACUCUUGUUUUAAAGAGUUCAGAUCUGUCCUCUUUUGUUUGUUUCUGUUAAUUCUAAACCCAUGGCAGAAACGAAAUCUGUCGUUACGUCUGAUGUGGUUCCUGUGAUGUCCAAGAUCACGGACCACAAACUCAAUAAUUCUAACUAUCUUGAUUGGAGCAAAACAGUUCGUCUUUAUCUGCGAAGCAUUGAUAAAGACAAUCAUCUGACUGAUGAUCCUCCAAAAGAUGGUUCAAGACAAACAUGGCUAAGGGAAGAUGCUAGAUUGUUCCUGCAAAUACGGAAUUCUAUUGACAGUGAGGUAAUUAGCUUAAUUAAUCACUGUGAAUUUGUUAAGGAGUUAAUGGAGUAUUUAGAAUUUUUGUAUUCUGGUAAAGGGAAUAUUUCUCGCAUAUAUGAGGUGUGUCAAGCCUUUUAUCGUGCAGAGAAACAAGAUAAGUCCAUUAUGACUUAUUUUAUGGAUUUUAAGAAAACUUAUGAGGAGUUUAAUCUGUUAUUACCGUUUAGUUCUGAUGUGAAAGUUCAGCAAACUCAACGGGAACAGAUGGCAAUUAUGAGUUUUUUGGCUGGUCUUUCACCUGAAUUUGAAGCUGCUAAAUCUCAGAUUCUUUCCAGUCCUGAGAUCUCAUCCUUGCAAGAUGUGUUUAGUAGGGUGCUUCGCACAGAGAAUACCCAGUCUGUUCAGUCCAGCAGUGCUCUUGUUGGUCUUGGAAAACAGCAAUACAAAGGUGGUGGUAAAGGAAUUGACACUCGGGGACAGAAUGUAGAAGUGGUUGUGUGUUACUAUUGUCAUAAGCCGGGUCAUAUGAAGCGUGAUUGUAAGAAAUUGCAGUACAAGAACCAGAGAACUCAAUCCGCACAUAUUGCUUCUACCAAUGAUGCUAUUAACCAUGAAAAGUCUGUUACGAUCUCUGCAGAUGAAUUUGCUAAAUUUUCUCAGUAUCAAGAAUCAUUAAAGUCUUCAUCUACUCCCGUAACUGCCAUCGCUGAGUCAGGUAAACCAAACACAUGCCUUGUGUCCUCAUCCUCCAAAUGGGUAAUUGAUUCUGGUGUCACAGAUCAUAUGACAGGUAAUUCUAGUUUAUUUUCUACCUUUCAGCCACACACAUCUGCACCUACAGUUACCUUAGCUGAUGGGUCAAAAUCUCGUGUUCUUGGAUCAAGCUCAGUUAACCCCACUCCAUUAAUCUCAUUGUCAUCUGUCUUAAGUUUGCCUGAGUUGUCUUUUAAUCUAAUUUCUGUGAGUAAACUUACUCGUGCCCUCAAUUGUUCUACCCAAUUGCUUGUUUCAGGAUCUUACGACGAAGCAGAUUAUUGGUAAAGGGCAUGAAUCUGGAGGUCUUUACAUUCUUGACACACAGAUACCAAAGUCCAUAGCUUGUUCUGGAAUUGUAACUCCAUUUGAAGCACAUUGUAGGCUGGGUCAUCCUUCUCUCCCGUUGUUAAAGAUACUUUGUCCACAAUUUCAGAGUUUGUCUUUAUUAGAUUGUGAGUCUUGUCAGUUUGCUAAACAUCAUCGUGUUAAUCUGAGUCCUAGAGUCAAUAAACGGGCGGAUGCUCCUUUUGCAUUAGUUCAUUCAGAUGUCUGGGGACCUAGUCCAGUCAUUUCUAAAACUGGAUUCAAGUAUUUUGUUACUUUUGUCGAUGACCAUUCUCGUAUGACUUGGUUAUAUUUGAUGAAAAAUCGGUCAGAGUUGUUUUCUCAUUUUUGUGCUGAGGUUAAGACCCAAUUUAAGCGUUCUGUACAAAUAUUGCGAAGUGACAAUGCCAAAGAAUAUUUAUUCGCACCUUUUCAAUCUUAUAUGGUGCAAAAUGGCAUUAUUCAUCAAACCUCUUGUGUGGAUACGCCAUCCCAAAAUGAGGUCGCAGAACGAAAGAAUAGACAUUUGCUCGAAACUGCAAGAGCCUUAUCAUUUCAAAUGCAUGUUCCUAAACAUUUUUGGGCUGAUGCAGUGUCCACAGCUUGCUUUCUAAUUAACCGUCUGCCUUCAUCUGUUUUGAAUGGUGGGACUCCUUAUAACACUCUUUUUCCAAAUAGACCCUUGUUUCCCAUCGAACCUAAAAUCUUUGGGUGUACAUGUUUAGUUCGCGACUCUCGUCCCCAAGUCACUAAAUUAGACCCCAAAUCAUUGAAAUGUAUUUUUCUUGGUUAUUUCCGUGUCCAAAAAGGAUAUAGAUGUUAUUGUCCUAGUCUCGGCAGGUACAUUGUGUCAGUUGAUGUUACUUUUCUUGAAAAUACACCUUUUACCCCAUCCUCAUCUCAUUCAUGUCAGGAGGAGGAUAAUGAUUUGUUAAUCUAUACUGUCACAUCCUCAAGUUCUUCCCCUGCUAAACCUCCAAUUACUCAGGUAUAUUCUCGACGACAAAAGUCUCCUGAUGCAUGCCCUGAACCGGUUCCUUCGCUACUAGAUCCUGUCUCAAAUGAUGAUCUUCCUAUUGCUCUUCGCAAAGGUAAGCGUCAAUGCACUUAUCCUGUGUCUUCGUGUGUAUCUUAUAAUCAUUUACCCACCUCUUCUUGUUCCUUUAUUACAUCUAUUGAUCCUAUCUCCCUUCCUAAAACUGUUCAUGAAGCCCUAUCCCAUCCCAGAUGGCACAAUGCUAUGAUAGAGGAGAUAAAUGCUCUAGAUGGUAAUGAUACUUGGAACUUAGUAAAUUUACCUGCAGGGAAGAAGGCCAUUGGGAGUAAGUGGAUUUUUGCAGUUAAAUUUAAUCCUGAUGCGUCGGUUGCUUGGUUAAAAGCUCGUCUUGUUGCCAAAGGCUAUGCCCAAAUCUAUGGAGAGGAUUAUUCUGAUACUUUUUCCCCUGUUGCUAAGUUAACAUCUGUCAGGUUAUUCAUUUCUAUGGCAGCCACUCAUAAUUGGCCUUUGCAUCAACUAGAUAUCAAGAAUGCCUUUCUUCAUGGAGACCUCCAAGAGGAAGUUUAUAUGGAGCAACCACCAGGGUUUGUUGCUCAGGGGGAGUCUGGGAAGGUUUGUCAUCUUCGGAAGUCCUUGUAUGGACUGAAACAAAGUCCUCGUGCUUGGUUUGGAAAAUUUAGUCUAGCAGUUGAAAGGUUUGGGAUGCAGAAAAGCAAAUCUGAUCAUUCUGUUUUCUACAAACAGUCUGAAGUUGGUAUUGUUUUGUUGGUAGUAUAUGUGGAUGAUAUUGUUAUCACUGGGAAUGAUGCUGCAGGUAUUUCAUCUCUUAAAACUUUUCUUCAUAGUCAAUUUCAGACAAAGGAUUUGGGGCUGUUAAAGUAUUUUUUGGGUAUUGAGGUAGCAAAGAGUAGGAAGGAGAUAUUCCUGUCCCAAAGGAAAUAUGUUCUUGACUUGCUAUCUGAAACGGGAAAAUUGGGGGCUAAACCAGCUAGUACCCCAAUGAUUCCUAACUUGCAGCUCACAAAAGAAGGUGAAUUGUUAGAAGAUCCUGGGAGGUAUAGAAGAUUGGUUGGAAAGUUGAAUUAUCUUACAGUAACUCGUCCAGAUAUCGCGUAUUCAGUUAGUGUUGUUAGUCAAUAUAUGACUAAUCCUACUGUUAGAAUUGGAAUUGAAUUAGAAUUGAAAUUCUAUAGAAUUUGAAUUCUAUGAAUUAGAAAUCCAAAUCCUUGCAAUUCUUUCGUUUGGAAAAUACAUAGAAUUGAUACGGAAUUUAUUUGGAAUUCCAAAUCUUUUGUUUGGAUGAGAGAAGAAUUUAUUAGGAAUUAGAAUUGUUUUCAUAAAACAUUUGCUUACAUAAAAUUUUUCUUUUUUUUAUAUAAUAAUUUCUUUUUUUUCUUACAUUUAGCUAAUUUUUACUAAAAAUUUAAAGGAAAAAUGCAAAUUACUUUCUUUUUUGGCAAAAUAUCAGCCAAAACCCCGAAAUUUACAGUUGAAGAACGGAAAAGAAAGAAAAUUUUAAAAGAAUCAAGGAAAGUAGUGGUAAAAUGAAUCAACUACUACUAGUAUAGAACUGAAACGUCCAAGUUCCUUUUCCUUUUUCAUCCCCCCAAGACACCCUCCCCAAACGCGUGUCAUUAACUCUCCCAUUUUCCCUUUCUUUGUUUCCUUUUCUCUCUCUCAAUCAACACCACAACCACUUCGUCGAGGCACCACCUUGACCACAACUCCGUCGGCACCUACGCCACCACUGAAAAUUAUGGACUGAAUUCCCAAAACUCCUCACCACCCUUCUUAUAAGACCUAUACAUAAACUCCUACUUAACUGGAAAAUUAAGAUACUAACUAUAAAAGAACAAAAAUCAGUGAGCCAAAACUCAAAAGCCUUGUAUGAUGGCGGAGCUGGCUCAAUCCGCCGACGUCUACGCGCCGAAGACUAUACAAGUUUGGAGAGCACUAUUAAACUGGCUGGCUUUCUUCUUCCAGAUCUUCGUUCAGAUCAUCAGAGGCACGUCGUCGCUGACUCAGGUCCUGUCUUACGUUGGCCUGCGCCACUCCUCUCUUCUCUCUUCUUCAUCGCCUCAGUUCAAGCCUUUAGUGAUGGGUGAAGGCAGCACAAGUGAAGGAGGCGGCGGCAGGAAUGCUCCAACAGAGCAUUAGAUAUGGCGAUUGAUAAUGGAAAGAGAAGAGAGGUUUGAGUUUUUUCCAUCACUUUUAUAGUUGACCCAUUUUUUAGAUUUUGCCCGUACAAGACCCGCGUGUUGACCCGAUUGGGGAGUUCAGUCGUGGAAUUAGAAUUGGAAUUCUUUGGUCCAACCAAAGAAUUGGAACCAUGGAAUUCGAUCGAUUUGGAAUUGCAAUUCGAUUCUAAUUCUACAGAAAAGAUAGUAUCCAAACACAAGAAUUGAAAUUGGAGCUCCAAUUCCAAUUCUACACUCCAAUUCUAUGGGAACCAAACGUACCCUAAGUGUAUUUGGUAGGGAAAAUGAUGAAAAUGUGUAAGUUUAGUCAUGAUUUGAUUUUGAUCUCUUUUUUUUUUUUUUUUGCUUUUGAUUUUGAUUGAUUUUUUCUUUUCAUAAUUUUCUUUUCUUAAAAUAAACCUACAAAAAAAAUGAGAAAAAUAUACAUUAAAAUGAAAGAAAAUAAAUAACUCAUCACAUAAAAAUUUGACAAAAAUUUGAUGUCUACAUACAUUGAGUGGAAAAAUCAAUUUCCACUAGUAUUGCUAUUAAGGAAAUUUUUUAUUCAUAUAUGCAAUUUCCUAAGAUUUUUAUUAAAGCUAAACAAUGGAAUGGAUUUUUCAAUUCUCUGUAGAAGGAAUGUGUGGUUAGAAUUUGUAAAAACUAAAGGUAGAGGUAAGCAAGAUCAUAUUCCAAAGUUGGAAAAUAUUUUCAAAUGUUAAACAAACACCAGAAAAUGAAGUUAGAAAACAUUUUCAAUAGGCUAAUCAAACACCCAAAAAUGAUGAAAAAGAAAUUAUUUUCCUGGAAAAAUACUUCCAUGGAAAAUAUUUUCCCAUGGAAAACAUUUUACUCCCAACCAAACAGACCCUAAAUGAUUCCAAUUCUACAUUGUGGAGAAGGAGAUGGAAAGCACAAUCCCACAAGCCUAAUUAGGCAUCUUAUUUAUUCACCAAUCUAAUUGAACACCAGGGAGCCUGGAAACGGUGUGAAGAACCAAAACAAAAUAAUCAUUAUACCAGUACAGUAGUAAUUGCACUACUUUUAAAUUGAAUAUCUUAGUUUGCCCUGAUUGCAGAAGUCAAAGAAUAAGAGUUGCACAUAACAAUGACUGGAGAAAACUGGGAUCCAUGGUGACCCUAAUGUUUGGGAAGAAGCAAACAAGUUUAAGCCGGAAAAUUUUGAAGGGAUUUAUGAUGAAGGGGGAUGCAAUGAAGGGUACAAUUUCUUCCAUUUGGAAAAGGGAAGAGAGCUUGUUCAGGAGCUGCUUUGGCUAUGAAGUUAGUUGCCUUGUCAUUAAUGGUUUGCCGUCGCGGGUCGCGGUCGUGGUUGUUUCACAUCUGUCACGGCAUAUCGGUUGAAUAGCGGGUGAUAUACACAUUAUAGCACAUAAAAAUUUUCAAAAAAUCUGAAAAAAUUACUAAAAUUAGAAAAAAUAAAAAAAAACACAAUCUAAAAAAAUAUCCGAGUGGAUUCAGAUAUAUUGGCCGAUACCAUGCAUCACGAAUAUAGUAUUAUCCACGAUUCGACAAUCGGUAUCGUAUUAGUCUCCUCCGUUCUGAUUACGACUCGACUAAUUCACAUCGUAAUCGGCCGAUAUUGCUAACCGUGUUGCCAUUGGGCACUUUUAUUUAAUGCUUUGAGUGGGAAAGAGUAGGGCCUGCAAUGAAGGAUUUGGAAGAAAAUCCAGGCUCAACUAGGCCAGGGCCAAGCCUCUGGAGUCAUUAUACAAGCCAUGUGAGUGUAUGAUCAACUUGAUCUCUCGGCUUUGGUUAAGUUAGAGAUCUUUUUUUUUUCAAAACGAUAGGAAUAUAUAUAUAAGUUAGAGAUCGAUGUAGUAUAAUCCGUUCUUCUUUUCACUGAAAAAAAAGAUUAAAAUAUUUCUUUCCAGAAUAUAAAACUGCAAGUGGGGUAAAAAGAAUUAAAUGCUCGAAAGCAACGGUGGAUAAACUAGACGAACAUCCUAUGCUCUGCAGUUCAGGCUUUUCAAUUAGUAGAUACAACAAGCUCAUGGAAUCCCUUCCUAUAUUGACAGUUUCAUGGCUUCUCAUAUCAGUUCUUUGCAGGGACUUGCUAGUGGUCACAUAUUAAAUAUUCUUAGUAUUUAAUGUCGCAUUCAGACAUUCCAAUCUACUAAAGGCUUGUUCUAAAAUUGCUUGAAUUUGAAAAUUAAUAAUGUAUUCCCAGUCAGCUUUAAAUACACACACACACGAGAGAAAAGGAUUGAACAAAUAUUUCUCUGCAGGGACCUGCCAAUGGUCACACAUUGAUUAUUCAUAGUAUUUUCUCUAGCAUUCAUAUAUAUUCCAAUACACUAAGGGCUUGUUCUAAAACUGUUGGGUGGUAGUUUAUAUUAGUUUUUGGUGAAAAACAUCACCUAUUAAAUCCAAAAUUUUUAUGGCGAUUAUUAAGAAAUAAAUUAAUAGUAAAAUUACGAAAGCGUAUCUAGAUUCAUGUUGACAAACUGGCACUUGAAUCCUUGAAGGUAUUUUUGGGAUGGCCUUUCAGGUUAACACGUAUUCGCUGAUUCUUAAGAGAGCACUUUAGUUUCUCUCUGGUAUCUCUCUUGAGGAUGGAAUAUCGAGAAAGGCUAUUUUGUGGUACUAGAAAAUAUGACAAUAAGAUACGUAUGACUUGGGGACCAUAACCCUAUUUAUAGAUAACUUUUCUGUUAUCUUUUAGAUUCCUAUUUCAACCCAUCAUAGAAAUAGAAAACACUCUUAAGUCUCUACACAUUAAAAACUCACAUCCUAUUAGAUAUAUUAAAGUGCAAACCAUAUUUGAUCACUUUAAUUGGAUUUAAUCUUAUUUGACAGUCUGCAACAUAUAAUUAUUCACAUAUAAAUCCAACGUUGGAUUAAAGAUCCAACAAUUUUUAGUUGGACUAUAUGUGUAACCUUAUAAUUAUGUUUUGCUAUUAACUGUAUGAGUUCAACUUUACUUUCAUUAUCAAAAUGCAUCUACAACCAAUUUGAUCUAUCAAUUACACCAACAUAGGAUCAAAACGGCCUUUGUUAUACUUUCAUAACUCGACCCAUCAAUAGUCACAUAUGAUAUGAUCUGGAUCCCCCACUCUAGCCCACAACUCCGUUCAAGUGGUCCAAUCACAAGAACUCGUGCCAAGAAGAUGCGCGAAGCUCCUCAAGCUCUUGUAUGCACUAUCUAAGAGAGAGUUGGAGACAAUUUGAAGAUCAUUGAAGGCUUGAAGAAUGAAAAUUCAACAAUAUACACCUUACUCCAUGUUGAAGAGUCAAAUGAAGAAUAGUCUUACAAAGUGCCUUAAUCAAAGCCGAGGCUUAUUUGUCAUUCUUUUAGUUAUUUAUUGUACAAUAAAUUCGGCCAAACAGCCUUCUACUUGGCCAAAUAUUAGAUAGCCCAUUGUUAGUCCUUAUCACGGCCCAAAGCCCUAACCUAGCCUAAUUUGCUUAAAGUAUUUUUAAUUUAAAUGAAUCCAAUUCACCUUAAAUCUAGUUUAAGUGAAUCCAAUUCACUUUAGGUUGUCCAGUGUAUGGCUAUAUAAAAGCCAAGGCAAGAGACCUUCAUAAUCAGUUUUUGAAUCAAUAAAAUUGUGAGUUUUCACUUUUCUCUUUCCAAGAGAGGUCUUUGAAUAUUUGAUAGUCUUUCUCAAGUUAUUCAAGUAAACUUAUCAAUCAAGUAACUCCUUAGUUGUGGCGUUCCUCUACCUAUAGUUUGGUUCGCUAAUUCGUUAAGUAGUGGGUUGAGAUAGUAUCAAUAUUAUUCGCUAUUUCGGGGAUUAUAUUGGGUCAAAUUUCCGCUGCCAAACCGUUGGUGUUUGUUGUCUAGAUCGCGUGUCAAGUGUAGAUCACAUCAGUUGGUAAUCAGAGUUAGUCGACAACCACCAGGUUAUAUCCUUCUUUUCUUUUGUGUUUGGAGUCACAUACUCUUGUUCCAAAUCAGUUCACGUGUCAAUUCAAAAAAAAAAAAGUACUGUAGUAUCGUACUGUUCAUAGCUACUGUAGCGAUACUAUUCACCGAGUCGUACUGUUCAUCCGAAAUAUUGUAGCGACACUGUUCAUCCGAAAAAAAAUUUUGUUUUGCAUAACUUGUGUUUCUUUCUUGUUUUGGUGUCUUGUUAUAUUGUUCUUGAAGUCCUGUGCUGGUUUAGAGUUAAAAAAAAAAAAAUCUGGUCACUAGUUUUGUUCUUGAAAGCCGAAAUCAAAAGUAGGGUUUUUUUUUUUUUUUUAACAAAGAGGGUUGGGAAUUUUGUCGUGUCUUGCACUAAAAGAGACUGUUAUAUUAUUGCUUGAACCUCUUGACAAAUUUACCUUGUUUCUUGGGAUUCUUGACAUCUAUCUUGAAGUAGUGGUUUGGUUCUUGAAAUUCUUGAAGCCAAGAUUGACCAAAUCAAAACUUAAUUCUUGUUUCUUGAAGUUGGGACUGAUCUUGUGCAAAAAUCACAAACGAAAUUCUUGUUCCUUGUUGUGAUUCGAAUUGACAAAAAAGAAAAAGAAAUCUGAUUGCGUUUAAAAAAAAAAAGGAGAACGCAAGAAAAAAAGAAAGUCGGAUUCAUAAGGAAAAAGAAAACUAACUUGAAUUUGGAAAUCAAGUUGACUUGGGUUUGAAAAACAAAUCCUAGUUGCACUCAAAUUGUCAAAUUCUGAUUGGUCACCUUUGCACACGUGGGAUACCAGAAAAUCAGCACCUAAACUACCCAAAAACAACCCAAAAAACCUUGUUUACAACUCCCAAAAAUACAGCCUAGUGCAAUUGGGUAGAGUCCAUCUAGGGUUCCAAAAAAAAAUUCUGCCAUUCUUACCCUUGUUUGAGUCGAGUUGUGCAAUCUGUCUCAUUUCAAUUUGUCUUUUUUUGAGUCUUUUCCACCUUUAAAUUCGUGUAUAAGGGUUCCACAACAAGUCCAAAUCAGUCUUGACUUGUACCUAGUUACUAGUUUCCAAAUUGAGUCCUUGUCAAAGUCAAAUACUACCAAAGCUUGAGUUACCUUUUGCGGACUAAAAUCAGUAAAUUUCCAGCAUGUUUUCUUGUGUUCUUUGCUACCUUUUGAGUCAUUAUUCAGUUCUAAAUUUCCAGCUAUUCAUACACUACUUUUGGGGAGAACUUGAUUGAAAUUUGGUUGAACUACUUGGAGGAAAUUUCUGAUUUCUUCAAAGGAAGCAAUCAAGGGAUUUGAGAAAUGAGUGGUGAGAACAUUAGAGUGUUUUAAACACUUGAAUGAUACACGAGAGUGAGCGAAACAUGUAAGGGAGUGAGUGAGGCCUUUUCUACUAAUGUUUGUUGAGUUUUGCAGGUAAUAUAAGUAUGAGACAAACGAAUGCUCAACUAGAGAUCCACCAUCUUGUGCCUAAAGGAGUAAAUGUUAUGGCCUUGCGUGAGAUAACUGAGCAAUUGAAAACUGUCAAAGCUCAAAAACAUGGCUGGUUUUAUACUCGUUAUGGUGUCAAAGAUAAAACCUGCAGCUUGGCCAUUGAUAGGAGUUGUGAAGUCAAUCUUGCAAGUGCUAUCAUGGUUGAGACAUUAAAUCUGCUAACCAUUGAUCACCUUCAACCGUACAAGUUGUCGAGUGCUCAUGGUGAUGUUUGGGUUACUAAGCACACACUUGUACUCAUUCAAAUUGGCAAAUAUAUGGAUGAGGUGUUGUGUGAUGUAGUCCCAAUUCAAGUGACACAUGUAUUGUUGGGCAAAGCAUGGAUGUGGAGACGAGAAGUUAAUAUGAUGGACAUACUAAUAAGUAUUCCUUCUUAUUUAAUGGUCGUCGUUCUGCACUUGUAUUACUUACUUAUGACCAGCUUUAUAUUGAUCUAGAAAACAUGAAAAGUGAGCAUGAGCAUUAUAGUAUGAAGAAAGAGCUAGAUGAGGGAAUUGUAACUGACGAGGUAAAAUCUGAGGGAGUUGAAAGUAAUGAGAGGAAAAAGUCAGCUAUUGAGCGUGAGAAAGAGAUUAAAAAGUCUAAGAGUGAGCUGAUUGUGAGAAAAGAUAAGAGAUCUUACGUUUUUUCUAAUGAUCUUAACUCUACUUUAUUUAGUGUUUCUACUUUUAUGCAGGUUAAGUAAGGAAAAAUUGAGUUGAUCUUGGCAUGUUCUAUUUCUAAAUCCAUCGGUCAAUAUCAAACUUUUCAUGGAAUUUGGGUCUUAAGUGUUGUAUGUCUUUGUUAUCCAUUGAUGUUCAAUUUCAACCAUGAGCCUGACUUUCUUGUUGGGAGGAAUAAUGAAGUUUCAAAGGGAGUUUCUAUACUUGAAAAUUGUUGUAAACCUCCUUCUUAUUUCGUUGGUGAUAAUCCUUUUCUCAUUGUUUCAAAUGUUGAUUCCUUACAACCUGAAUGUAUUUUUCAAUUUGAAGGUACAAAAGCUGCCUGUCUGGAUCUUGCUCCAUUUGUGCAAGAUAAGCCAUACCAACAACGACUUGCAACGAAAUUUGUAACUUUACACAAUCAUAUUCGGGACUUUUCUAACCUGAUUGCGUAUCACUAUAAAAAUCCUUAUCUUGUGAAUGUGAAUGGUAAGCUGUCAAGUGAUUUUAUACCUACAAAUGCUAAUUGUGUGAUUUAUUGUGUAGGUCCAAAUUCGACCAUUCAUGACAAAAGGUUGAUUAGAGAGCAUUGGAGUGGAACCUGAAAUUUUCACAAGCUUUAUACAAGAUGUUUCUUGUCUUGGAGAAUGUCUUUGUUCAAAAGCAUCAUAAGGCUGACCAAACGACAUGCAACAUGGCUCGUAGUUAUUCAUCUAUUUCCAACCUUAUUGUCCUUUAAGCGCACUGUCGAUUUGUGGACAAAUCGCUUUCAAGAGGAGGGGAACGAUAUGAUCCGGAUCCCCCACUCUAGCCCACAACUCCGUUCAAGUGGUCCGAUCACAAGAGUUUGUGCCAAGAAGAUGCGCGAAACUCCUCAAACUCUUGUAUGUACUAUCCAAAAGAGAGUUGGAGACAAUUUGAAAAUCAUUGAAGGCUUGGAGAAUGAAAAUUCAACAAUAUACAUCUUACUCCAAGUUGAAGAGUCAAAUGAAGAAUAGUCUUACAAAGUGCCUUAAUCAAACCCGAGGCUUAUUUGUCAUUCUUUUAGUUAUUUAUUGUUCAAUAAAUUCGGCCAAACAGCCUUCUACUUGGCCGAAUAUUAGAUAGUCCAUUGUUAGUCCUUAUCUCGGCCCAAAGGCCUAGCCUAGCCGAAUUUGCUUAAAGUAUUUUUAGUUUAAGUGAAUCCAAUUCACUUUAGGUCUAGUUUAAGUGAAUCCAAUUCACUUUAGAUUUUCCAGUGUAUUAGCCAAGGCAAGAGACCUUCAGAAUCAGUUUUUGAAUCAAUAAAAUUGUGAGUUUUCACUUUUUUCUUUCCAAGAGAGGUUCUUUGAAUAUUUGAUAACCUUUCUCAAGUUAUUCAAGUAAACUUAUCAAUCAAGUAACUCCUUGGUUGUGGCGUUCCUCUACCUAUAGUUUGGUUCGCUAAUUCGUUAAGUAGUGGGUUGAGAUAGUAUCAAUAUUAUUCGCUAUUUCGGGGAUUAUAUUGGGUCAAAUUUCCGCUGCCAAUCCGUUGGUGUUCGUUGUCUAGAUCGCAUGUCAAGUGUAGAUCACAUCAACAUAUAUUGAUACAAUUGAAUGACAUGAAUCAUAAUGUGUAUGUGUAACAUGAAAAUUUCAUGUAAUAUGAUCAUAACAUGCCUAUUUCUAACUGAUCCACCUUAAACAUUCAUGAGAUCAAACCAUACAAAAAUUAGAGUGUAAAUAAAUACAAAUUUUAUUUAUGCAUAAAAUAUUCUUAAAACUUUAAUAAUAAAAAAUAUUGUAAAAACAUUUAAAAUAACAAACUCCCAUUAAAACUGUACAUCACUUAAUAACAUGACAUCCAUACGAGCAGUAUGCUCAUGAAACACUUUGAGUGGCAGUCCCUUAGUAAGCGAAUCUACAACCAUAGAGUUUGUCCCAAUAUACUCUAUCCAUAACUGUCCACUCUGCACUUUUUCUUUAACAGUCAGGAAUUUGAUAUCUAUAUGUUUAGGUUUUGUUGAACUCCUAUUGUUAUUGGAAUAUAAGACUGCUGAUUUAUUGUCACAAAAUAAUUUGAGUGGUCUUUCAAUAUUAUCCACUACACGUAAUUCUAUGACAAAAUUUCGCAGCCAAAUUCUAUGGUUGGAUGUCUCAUAGCAAGUUAUAAAUUCUGCAGCCAUAGUAGAAGAUAUUAUAAGAGACUAUUUAGCAUUCUUUCAAGAUAUGACACCCCCAACUAGCAAUUAGAUAUAGUCUGACAUUGACUUCAUACUAUCUUAGUAUCCAACAUAAUCGAAAUCAGUAUACUCAAUGAUCUCGAGUUUAUCUGACCUCCGAUACAUGAGCAUGUAAUUUUUUAUUUUCUGUAAAUACCUUAAGACCGUUUGGUUGCCUUCCAAUGAUCUAAUCUAGGAUUGUUUUAAUAUUUACUCAACAUCCCAAUAAUGUACGCAAUAUCCGGACACGUACAGACCUGAGUAUAUAUUAGAUUCCCUACUGCUGAUGCAUAGGAAAUCUUUUGUAUUUCCUUUUCUUCAAAAGUAUUUUUAGGACAUUGGUCGAGACUAAACUUAUCUCUUUUAGUUAUAGGAGUGUCACCUGAUUUAUAAUUUUGCAUGCUAUAUCUUUUAAGAAUUUUUUCGAUAUAACACUUUGUGAUAGUUCAAAAAUACCCCGAAAGCGAUCCCGAUGUAUUUGUAUGCCUAGCACAAAAGAUAUAUCAUCAAGAUCUUUUAUCUCAUAGUUCUUAAUUAGAAAUCUCUUGGUUUCAUGCAAUAAAUCUAUAUCGUUGCUGGCAAGUAAAAUGUCAUCAACAUACAACAUCAGAAAAAUAUACUUGCUCCCACAAAACUUAUAAUAUAUACAAUUAUCUAUUAAAUUCAUUUCAAAAUCAAAUGAGAUGAUUACUUGAUGAAAUUUGAAAUACCAUUGUCGAGACGCUUGUUUGAGUCCAUAGAUGAAUUUUUUAAAUUUGUAAACCACAUUUUUUGGAUCUCCCAAUACAAAAUUUUCUGACUGCACCAUAUAAAUCGUCUUAUCAAUAUUACCAUUAAGAAAUGAAGUCUUUACAUCUAUUUAGUAUAAUUCAAGAUUAAAAUGCGCCACUAAUGUUAUAAUAAUUCUAAAAAUCUUUCGAAAAGACAGGAGAGAAUGUUUUUAUAUAAUCGAUAUAUUCUUUUUAUGUAAAUCCCUUACAACAAUACGGAUUUUGUAUUUUUUUUACAUUAUCUUUCGAAUCCCUCUUAAUUUUAAAUAUCCAUUUACAACCAAUGGGUUUCGCUCCUUCUAGUAAUGGGACAAGAUUCUAGACAUCAUUGUCUUUAAUAAAUUUAAUUUCUUCAUUCAUGACAUCGAUUCAUUUUUAAGAAUUUGAAUUUUUCAUGAUUUGAUGGAAGUUAUUUGGAUCAUCUUCCAUCAAUUUAAUGUCAUUCUUAUAUUUUUGGAGAAAAAUAAUGUAAUCGUCUGGCAUUACGUUUCUUUUUUUUCUAGUGGAUCUUUUUAGUGACACUGAUUCUUGAAAAUGUAGAGUUUGCUUUUUUAUAACAGUUUGCUCUUCAAUAUUAUCUUGAUUUGUUGUAUCAUAAUCAAUUUCAGGAAUGAGAUCCUGAACAAGAUCAAUGACACAUGUGAAAAUAUUAAUAUAUUUCUCUUCAAAGACAAGAUUUUUAACUGUAUCUUCUCCCCCAAACUCAACAUCUUCGAAGAAUCGAAUAUUUUGUAUUUUUUUUACAUUAUCUUUCGAAUCCCUCUUAAUUUUAAAUAUCCAUUUACAACCAAUGGAUUUCGCUCCUUCUAGUAAUGGGAUAAGAUUCUAGACAUCAUUGUCUUUAAUAAAUUUAAUUUCUUCAUUCAUGACAUCGAUUCAUUUUUAAGAAUUUGAUUUUUUCAUGAUUUGAUGGAAGUUAUUUGGAUCAUCUUCCAUCAAUUUAAUGUCAUUCUUAGAUUUUUGGAGAAAAAUAAUGUAAUCGUCUGGCAUUACGUUUCUUUUUUUUUCUAGUGGAUCUUUUUAGUGACACUGAUUCUUGAAAAUGUAGAGUUUGCUUUUUUAUAAUAGUUUGCUCUUCAAUAUUAUCUUGAUUUGUUGUAUCAUAAUCAAUUUCAGGAAUGAGAUCCUGAACAAGAUCAAUGACACAUGUGAAAAUAUUAAUAUAUUUCUCUUCAAAGACAAGAUUUUUAAUUGUAUCUUCUCCCCCAAACUCAACAUCUUCGAAGAAUCGAAUAUUUUGUGUCUCGAAAAUCGAUUUAGUAGUGGAAUUAUAAAACUUGUAACCCCUGGAUCUAUCAAAAUAUCCAUAGAAUAAUAAUUAAACGUCUUUGAUUUCAGUUUCUUUUCAUUUGUCCUAUAUGGUCUUGUCUCAAUUGGACAUUCCUAAAUAUGUAAAUGUUUCAAAUUGGUCUUUUUUCCUAUCCAAAUCUCAUAAGAGAUUUUGAUAGUUACUUUAGUUGAAAUUCUGUUAAGAAUAUAUGCGGCAGUUUUAAGUGCUUCUCCCUAGAAUGAUUUUGGUAAGGUAGAAUGACAUAUCAUACUCCUUACCAUGUUUUUAAGCGUUCUAUUUCGUCUUUCAAUUAUACCAUUCAUAGUGGGUGAAUCCGGUGUAAUAUAUUGUGGGAUGAUACCAUAUUCCUUUAGAUAUUUGACAAAUGGUUCUGGACGUUGUUUACCUGAAUCGUCAUAUCUACCAUAGUACUCAUUACCACGGUCAGAUCUGACGCUUUUAAUUCUUUUGUUAAAUUGGUUCUCAACUUCAACCUUAAAAUUUUUGAACACGUUCAGUGAUUGUGAUUUUUUAGAAAUGAGAUAUAUGUAACCAUAUUUUGAAAAAUCGUCUAUGAACGUUAUAAAAUAUUGUUAACAAUUUCAAGCAGAUGUAGGAAAUGACCCACAAAUAUUUGUAUAUAUAAAUUCUAAGACGUCUAAGGACCUAUUGAUUUCAAAUUUCCUCUUAUUGGUUUGUUUUCCUUUUAUACAGUUAACACAAUUACCAAAAACUGUAAAUUCAAGGGGUCGAGAAUUUCAUUUGACAUAAGUCUUUUCAUUCUUCGUUUGAAAAUACGUCCUAAUCUCUUGUACCAUAAUGCAGCCGAAUUCUCAUUGGUUAAUUUUCUCUUUACUCCUCUAGUACUCAAAUACAAAUAUUCAUUAAAUGAGACAAUUGUAUCAAUUAAAUAUAGAUUAUCGUAAUGCAUUAAAGAACAAGAACUAAUCAAUUUUAAAUCAUGAAAUAAUUUAAAAUUUUCAUUUUCAAAUGAACAAAAAUAACCAAAUUUGUUCAAAGCAAAAAUAGAAAUCAAAUUCUGUUGAACAGACGGUACAAUAAAUGUUUCAUUAAGAUCCAAAUAAAAUUCGAUUUUUAACAAUAAUCUAAAAACUCCGAUUAACUCAACUUGAACUAUUUUGCCAUCGUCCACAUAGAUAUAGCUUUCCUUAUCAUUAGGUUUUCGACAAUUCAGACAACCCUGCAUAGACACACUAAUAUGAGUUGUUGCACCUGAAUCUAACCAUCAUGCGUGUCUGAGUAUCGAAGUUAAAUUAAUUUCAGAAUAAACCAAAUUAAGAAGCAUACCUUUCUUAGUACGCUAAGCAUGAUAGUUGGUGCAAUACUUCUUUCUAUGCCCUUUAACUCCACAGAGGAAACAAUUAUUCUUUCUCGGAUCAAUCGAUUUUUUCUGUUAUUUCUUUUGCGGUACCGUACCUAUAGAUUAUUUAUCAUUCUUUCUCUUAAAUUCGUUAUUUUUAUUAUUAGUGGUUGAGACCAGAUAAAUACUCUCUGUCUAGUUUUGUUUCAACCUUUCCUAUUCCUCUAUACAAUAUGAAAUGAGUUCAUUUAGAGAUCAAGCCUUUUUUUGAUAGUUGUAACUCACCUUAAACUGAUUAAACUGUGUGGGAAGAAAUAUUAAAAUCAAAUGCACUAGUAACUCUUCAAAGAGUACCAAUUUAAGUGCAUUUAAUUUCAAAAUAAGAUGAGACAUCUUCAUAAUGUACUCUCUGAUAUUACCUUUACCACUAUAUUUUAUUGAAACUAAGUGUGUCAAGAGUGUACUAAUUUCAGUUUUUUCACUCUUGAUAAACUUUUUUUUAAUGUUUUGAAGGAAUUUCUUAGCGGUAACUAUCAUUUUUGACAUUGUUUCUUUGAAUGCUUCUGAAACGGCCGUUUUAAUGAUCAUCAAACACAAGUGAGUUGAUCUCUCCCACCUUUCCUUAGCUCUCUUUUCAUUAGAGGUACUUUGAUCUGUAAGAGGUGGAAGAGAAUCAACCCUUAACGCAAGGUCGAGAUCCAUUACUCCAAGUACUAUUAAGAGGUUUUUUUUCCAAGACUUGAAAUUUGUGCUAUUCAACAUAGAAAUAUUAUUGAUGUUGGUAAUAAUAUUUGUAAGAUCAUUCGCAAUUGAACAGAAAAACAUAAAAUAAUUAAAACAAUCUCACAUAGAAUAAAAUAAUAAUAAAUUCAAAUAAAGGUAACCCCAUCUCAAGAUACCAAUGUUCCAUUAAUAUUUUAUUUUUGAUCAAAAUAUUAACUUCUAAGUGAUAUCUUGAUGCAAUAAUAAACACCGAUAAUAAUAACAUGUCAAAAAAUAAAUUUUCCUUUAGGUCAAUUUAUAAUUCACAUGUAAAAAGUCGAAUAUUUAUCACAUGUUUAUUACCACAAGUGCACGUGUAAUUUUGUUAAACAUUGAUAUUCCUUUGGGCCAAUCAAUAUUCAUAAAAAUUACAAGUACCCAAUUACUUAUAUUCUAGAAUAAAUUAAUUUUCACAAGAGAGGUCACUUUGGUAGCAUAUUAUUUUAAUUAAUUUAUUCUAAAAUAUAUAUAAUCAUACCAAUAUUCAAAUUUAAAAUUACACAAAUUACACAAAAAUUUUGAUCAAAAUCAACUUUGGUCAAUUCCGAUCAAAACGUGAUCAAACCUGGUCAAACCAGUCAAAUUUGGUCGAACCAAUCAAUUAGAUCAAGACUUAUUGGACCAAAAGUCCAUAUCUAGAGCUUGAUCCAAAUUUAUCAUUUAAGUCCAAAAUUUUUUUAAAGUUCAUAAUGCCUUAUACGACUAUAUAUUUAAUGGGCCAACCUUAUGGAUUUUAUAAGGUUUAAAUGUCUUAUUUAAAUUUAUUAGGGUUCAUUCAAAUUAGAAAAAUCCUAAUUUUCUUAACAUAAAUAUGUGUAUAUUGGCUCUUAAACAAGAAAACAAGUCCAAGAAUUCAACUUAAUAGUCCUAAUUUUAUAACCAAAGGCAUACCCAUAGCUGGAUUGAAGUGAUAUAAACAAAUUAAACAAUUUACUAGGACAAGUAAACUUGAUUCGUGAAACACAUGCUAAUUAGUCAUAGUUUCAAUCAAAGGCAAAUGUUUGAGAUUAGGGCUGCAAAUGAACCGAACCGCUCGCGAGCGGCUCGAGUCAAGUUCGAUUCGAGCUCUUACCGGCAUUUACCUUCUGCCCCGACCAUGAUAUAUAUAUUUAUUUUAAUAGUAAAAUUACAUAUAUAUCCUUAAUAUUUUAUUAUUUAUUAAGAAAAAAAUAUUAUUUUAUUUAUUUUUUAAAAAUAAAAUAAUUAUUUUUUAUUUUUUCGAUCUCGAACUCGGCUCGAAUCAAGUCGAGCUCAAGCUGGAGCUUUAAAUUAUCAGUUCGUCGAGCUCGAACUCGAACUCGAGUUCGAGUUCAAUAAAAUUAAGUCAAGACUUGGCUUGAUAAGGUCAAAAUUCGAAUCGACUUGACUCGUUUGCAGCCCUAUUUGAGAUGCAAAAGUAGACAAUCGGCCAACUAAAAUAGCAUAAGGAAACAAUGGAUCGGCCAAAACAAUAAUCAAUGAAAUCAAAGUGGGUUCCACUGAAUUCAAUGUUAAAACAAUGGAUCGUACAAUUUGUGAAUUGACUACUGUCAUGAAAACUGCAUCAUAACAUAUGCAAACAAUCAUGAUCAGAAUAGUAUUUAACCAGAAUUUUCGUGAAUCAAAACUAGAACCACGGAAUAAUUAUGACCAAAAGACUAGAGACAAAACUAACAAUCAAUUAGGACAAGCCAAUUCACACGACAUAAAUGAGUUUCAAUACAAUUCGUUUCAACCAAAUUCACGCGAUUUCCAAAUUUGAACAAUCGGCCAUUACCAGGAGUAUUCUUGUUUAAGAGCAGGCAACCAUAUAACCAAAAUUGAAUUCGCGAGACAAAAAAAUACAAAUUACAGAAUCCAAUUUAUUUCUUAAUAAUUAACCAUAUCUAGUUCACCACUUAUUGAGUGGUAGUUUAUAUUAGUUUUUGGUGAAAACUAUCACCUAUUAAAUCUAAAAUCUUUAUGGUGAUUAUUAAGAAAUAAAUUAAUAAUAAAAUUGCAGAAGCGUACCUGGAUUCAUGUUGACAAAUUGGCACUUGAAUCCUUAAAGAUUUUUUUGGGGAGGUCUUUCAGGUCAACACGUAUUCGCUAAUCCUUGAGAGAGUUCUUUAAUCUCUCUCUGGUAUCUCUUAUGACGAUGGGAUAUCGGAAAAAACUAUUUUGUGGUACUAGAAAAUACGAUAAUAAUAUAAGUGUAAUUUGGGGACCAUAACCCUAUUUAUAGAUAACUUUUUUGUUAUCUUUUGGAUUUCUAUUUUAACCCAUCAUAGAAAGAUGAAAUACUCUUAAGUCUCUACACAUUAAAUACCCACAUCCUAUUAGAUACAUUAAAGUCCAAAUCAUAUUUGAUCACUUUAAUUGGAUUUAACCUUAUUUGACAGUCUGUAACACAUAAUUAUUCACAUAUAAGUCUAAUGUUAGAUUAAAGAUUCAACAAAAACUGCUUAAAAUUAAAGGUUAAUAAUUACUUCACAGUCGGCUUUAAUUAUUAACAGAAAAUGGAUUGAUCAUACUUUGUCCCCUCAAGGUAUGGAUUAGUCACGCUUUAUCACCCCAACUUCACAACUAUAUAAUUUACCCCUUCUUGACCAGUCAAAAUAUUAAAAAUGCUUAACACUGUUAAGACAAAAUAAAGUGCUGAGGAGAUUAAAGGAUCCGUGAUUUGUUAGUGAAGGUACAAUUGUACUCUUGUAUUGGUGCAUAUGGCCUGCGAAAAAAUAAAAGAAAAGUUAUUGACAAGUGAAAAAAAAAACUGACAAUCGACAACAACUAUGAUAAAAAAACUCUUGAAAAGGCCCUGAUGUACACGGGAGAAGGAGUCAGAGAAUCCGCAAGUUAAGAAAAGCACUGCCCGGUAAGAGAUGGCAUCACCACUUUAAUUCAGCCGGUGAUCACUUUUGAAAAACAUUUAUAGAGAAUGUUGCAACAAGCAACAUGCCUAACAUCUUUCACAGUGACAGGGGAACAUUCAAAUGAAAAUAGAGAUUUUGGGAUGAGAACCACGACUGUACAGCGCUAAAAACUCCUCCCCAGUUGUCUUCGAAUUCAAUAUGGAAAAAAUCUACUGCAAAGCCAUGAGGACCAGGGCCUGUACCUCUUAUCAUUUUAAACAAUGUGCUUUUAUUUUCAUCCUGAUUGACUAGAGCUCUGAACGUCCUCCUAUGACAACUGCUUGAGCUUCAAGGAUCUAAGGGCCAUUUACCGAUCUGUAGAUAUAAAUUCCGUGUCAGCAAACAAAUCCAUAAGAAACAUGAGAGCUUAACUUUGAUUCGUUGAUAGUGAUUCAACCGUGAGCCAUACUAAUAGUACGAAGUCUAUUUCUUUGCAAAGGAAGUUUUCAAUUUGAUUAUAUUUUUUUCUUAACGCUCUUUUCCUAAAUCCUCUUUAAUGCUCCACCUUCUUCCAUGAACUCUAGUGGACUCCAUUCAUGACCUCAAUUAAAAUUUUGCAGGUACUAGGCUUCAAGCAUAUUUUAUCAGAUAAAUAGAAAUAAGUGGGAGCAAUUCAUGCCUGUCAAUGCUGCAUUGUAAGAAUACUUCUCAUGUAGUUGGCUUAUAUUAAAUCUGUAUGCAUUUGGAUACCAUGAGUCUUAAACACAAUAACUUGAUUCAAUCAAAAUCCCCUAUGAUAUGCGGUCUGAAUUUGGAUCCACUACCACCUGGCUGGCGGAAAAAAUGUACUGUUUUGUCAGUUUAAUCUUCUACUCCUACUCCUAUCAAGCUGUGGUUGUUGGCACAACAUUUUCCAUGGCUGUGAUUUUCACCUUUCCUUAAUAGACAUUUUAUCUUGCUGAAUCCAUAAUUAUCAACUGCAUCUAAUCUCUUCUAGAUUUUCCUUUGCAUAUGUCAAAGAGGUACUUCAGGAAAUAUUUAAAGCUAAGAUGGUAGAUAAUAAAUGACUACUUUAAAUUUCAUUAAAAACACAAAUAUUUUUAUUAAAUAUAGCAAUUGUCACAAUAUUUUUUCCACAAGGACAGGAAAGGAAACUAAAUACCAUAUCAUUAGUUCAUGUGAGAAAUGAUACACCAAUGAAUGUGGGUGAUACAUGGUGAUACGAUUACUUAUCACUCUAUUCCCCUAUUUAGAUUUUUUUAACAUAUCCAUAAUGAGCACUCGUUAAUACAUUUAAAUUAUAUUUAACUUAUCAUAUUAAUAUAUACUGUCACACUUACUCUACUCCCAUUAGAUAAUUUCCCAUAUGAGCUACACUUAUACAAUUUUAACACUUGAAUCCCCUCUUAAUGAGUACCCAAUGGGCAUUCGUUAAUCAAACCGCUAAAAAUAUUUUUGAUUUAAUUUUACUUUUGCGAAUGACUUAAUGACUGUCAAUAUGGUAGUUCCUAAAUGACCAAAGUUUGAAAGUUCUCUGACUAAAUACACACAAUGUAGUCUUUACAAAUUUGGAUAUUUCUCCAAUGUAACUUUCAGGAAGGGAAAGUAUUUAUUAGUGGGUCCAAUUAUUCAAUUGCUAGAUAUGGCAAUCCUGACCUAAUGUUUUACUAAUUUAUCUCCGUUCAGCGUGUGAACUAGCACAUUUGCAAAACGUAUUGAAGAUUAUUCUUUAAAGCAAAUUUCUUGGCUUUCUGACUUUUUAUUGUAAAGCAUUUACGUAGACCAAUUCACGACUCACUUGUAAGCGAAGAUUUUGGGAUUUCUCCAAGCCUUUUUGUUGUUUCGGAUGUUAAGAGCAACUAGAAGUCUAGGAUUUUACAUACUUGGACAUUCUUUUUUGUGUAACUGGCUUCAACUUCCAUCCAUCUCUGUUCAUAACUUGUCAAGAUUCUGUUUUUAAGGAUUGGCUUUAUCUCUGUUAUAGUAUCCAAACAUGGAAAAGUCCCAUGUUGUUGUUUCUCUUCUUCUGGUUCUACUGUUUCAUGUUGGCAUAGCCACAGCAGUUAUAACUGAAGAUGGAUCAGAAGCGUGGGGCUAUGUUCCAGUCAGGCCAAGUACUCUAAAUCUUUUCUACAAUCUUUAUCCCAAUUUAGAUAUUUAAAGGGCAGAGAUAUAUGGAUUUAGUUGUCAAUGACGAACUUGAAUUGUUGUGCUUGUGGCAGAGGUUCACAUGUUCUGGUGGUACUACAGAAGUCCAAACAGGAUUCAUGAUCCAAAAAAGCCUUGGCCAAUAAUUCUUUGGUUGCAGGGCGGACCUGUAAGUAUCAGAAUUCUUGUGGGAUUCUCUCUAGUUUCAAUCUUUAUUGCUUGUUCAUACAAUCAACUGUAAUUUGUUUACUGAAGGGUGCUUCAGGAGUUGGACUUGGUAAUUUCGAAGAAUUCGGGCCUCUAGAUGUGUUCCUAAAGCCAAGAAAUUCGACAUGGUUGCAGAAAGCUGAUCUUCUGUUUGUGGUAGGUACAAGGUUGCAUAACGUUGGUGAAUAAUCACAUCAGCAUCAAUACUGUUUUACAAAAUAAAAUGGGAAUUCCCUGCAGGGUUUUUCUUGUAUCUGCUUAUCUAAAUUCAUUUUUGCCCGUUUCCAAUGUAUAUAGGAUUAUCCAGUUGGGACUGGUUACAGUUUUGUGGAAGACGUUAAAAACACCACAUUGUUUGUGAAGAGUGAUAUGGAGGCUGCAAAGGAUGGAACUAAAUUCUUGACUGAGUUUUUCAACAGGAAUCAUACUCUCCAAAAGAGUCCUCUGUAUAUUGUAGCAGAGUCUUAUGGAGGCAAAUUUGCUGUUACUCUGGCAUUAUCUGCUUUAAAAGCUAUUGAGGCUGGAAAGCUGAAGCUAAAUAUUGGAGGUAACAAUUGCUUUUUCAUUCUCAAAAUUAAAAUUUUAUUCUCUCUCUUCAAUCCUGAAGUCUUGAGCUUGCUGUUACCUUUUCUGCAUAGGAGUUGCAUUGGGGGAUAGUUGGAUUUCACCAGAAGAUUUUACCGUAUGUAGUUUCUGUUCUUCAUUCGUCUCAUGAUUACUUAGUUGGAACAGCUGAAUUGAGUUCUGGUGAUCAAAAUACAGUCUUCAUGGGCUCCUCUUUUGAAAGACGUCUCAUUGCUUGACAGCAAUGGUUUCCAGAUAUCAAACAGGUAUUAAGUUAUUAUACUUGAAAGAUGGCACUAUCCUGAAUCCACGCCUCAAAUGCGUCGAUGCUGUGUUUUUUUAGUAUUGAAACUUGCGUGAAUUUAGCAUUUCUGUCUAACCUAAUCAAGCUCGACAAUUUUAAGCUGUCUAAUAAGCCUAUUGUUCAAUGCAGGGUUGCUAAUCAAAUUAAGAAGCAAAUUGCAGCAGGUAAGUUUGCGGAGGCCACAGACACAUGGAAUGAAUUGGAAGAUCUAAUUACCAAGUACAGUAACAAUGUGGUAUGAAUUUGAAGAAUUUAUGUUUAAUCACAACAAAUUGGUAAGUUUGUGCUUGACGAUUCCUUUUGUGGAUAAAUACAGGACUUCUACAAUUUCCUCUCAUUUGCAGAGGACGACCCUUCAUCGCUGUCAGCUGCUUCAGAGCUAAAACAACGUAUUGCAGUAAAAAGGUCCUGUCCUGGAGGUGAUGGAGAUCUUUAUAGCUUGAUGAAUGGAGAUAUUAAAAAGAAGUUGAAGAUUAUACCACCAAAUGUUACGUAAGUUUUCUCCUUAGAAAAUUUUCAGACUUUUUCAGAGUUCAUUACUUAUUUGUUAUUAAAGGAUUAGUAUGGUAUCAACAGAUGGGGAGGGCAGUCCAAUAGUGUUUUUGAAGCCCUGAAAGGUGAUUUCAUGAGACCCAGGAUUAGUGAGGUAACUAAAUCAGCUGCAUUUUUUUUUGGUUAGGAAUUAAUCACAAAGUUUAGGAACUUUCGUUUUUAGUUUGAGCUACACCAAGAAUGUUUUUUGAAUUUCUGGAUCAGCAUUCUUUGACACAUCUCAAUUGCGAUAAGAGCAGUUACCCAAUUAUAUGCAGUAAAUUCUAAAGCAUUUGAUCAACUACUUUUGGCAGGUUGAUGAGCUUUUAGCAAAAGGAAUAAAUGUGUCUAUCUACAAUGGACAAGUAAGAUUCUGUAAUGCUUUAUGUUGUUUCUCACAAUAUUCUCCAAAGAGGAAUGGAAAAAUAGUGUAUUAACAUUUCUGGAAGAAUGGGAUUUAUACAGAAGCAGUCGAUAGAUAUUCAAGGAAAAACUUGAUUUGACUUUCUGGUUGUACUAUGAUUCCACUGCAUAGCAUUUGUUUUCAAAAAUUGGCAAUAAGAUAAUAUGGCAAUAAUGGAACAUAAUAAUGGUAAUCAGGUAAAGGAUGAUAUUUUGGAGUAAUCGUACUUGUAAUUUGAUAUUUGCUCACAAUAAAUUGUGAAUUCCAGUGGAUAAACUUGAUCAGGGCAGCUUUAAUAUCCAUGCUACAAAUUUCACUGUUUUUUUUUUUUUAUAUUUUUGUUUUUGGCUAAGUAGUUCAAUUUAAAUGUUGUUUUGUUGUUGCUUGUAGUUCGAUCUAAUCUGUGCAACCAAGGGAACCAACGCAUGGGUUGAAAAGCUCAAGUAAGAAAAAAAAAAUCCCAUAAGUAAAUAAGCACCAAAAUUUCUUCCCCUGAUCAGUAAUUUUUUUGCCUAUUUUCACAGGUGGCAUGGGAUAAAAAAUUUCUUGAACAAGGAUAGAACGCCUCUCUAUUGUGGAGGUGACAAGAGUAUUAAGGGUUUCACCAAAUCGUACAGAAAUCUUCAUUUCUACUGGAUUCUCAAUGCUGGCCACUUUGUAAGUCAACAAACCAUUGUCAUAUUUCUGCUGCAUUUGUUUGUUAGUUUAAAAUUACUGUUACUUUUGCCUACUUGACAAGGUUGAGAACACAACACACACACUUGUCUCAAUAGCUUUAGUAUGUCAUAGCCAAUCUCCACAUUUGAGAAAUGCUAAAGUUUGCAUAAUAUAUUGUCUUUGUCCAAGAAACCAUCAAAGGUAGAAAAAAAAGUAAUACUCCCUCCGUUCUAUUGAAACGUUCACUUCUCAUCUUUGCAUGUGCCAAAAUACUUGUCAUGUCCAAAAGCUAAACAUAAUUUUCGCUCUCAUUUCAAAUACUCUUGUUCAUUGUCAUUUUGGGGAAGACAUUUCAAACAAUUGAGAUUUUACUCUGGGAGCAUGAAGCUGAGAAAGCUUAAAUAAUUAUCAGUAUCAGUUCCAUUGAAAGGUGGAUUGCCAAAAAGUGGCAAAACUAUGGGAUUGAAAGUAGUAAUUGCCAGACUUAUAAUGAAACUUUAGAUUAUUGAGACAAAGAUGAAACUGUGUGUGUAUGUGUGUGUCUGAAAGAAGAAUUGAAUGAAUUUGACAAGCAACAUCACACUGUAUCUACUUGAGGACAAUGAAACUGGUUCUGCUGCCACGCAAUAACUACCAUUUAAGUUAGGGUAGAUUGGACUUAUACCAAUAUGUCUGGCAUUUAUUGGUGGUAAAUCUACCAAACCCUGUGGGAAUAUCCGAAUAUGAGAUGAUUAAGAACAAAAGAACAUUAUGGAACAUCUUUGUGAGAGAAAUUUUCCAUAGAAAUUAUUUGUUGAAGCUGUUUAUUGGUUAUAGACAUGAGAAGGGCAAGCAGAAUGGACAUUAAGAUUUGCGGCAAAUAUGUUCUCGCUAAGUAAAUACUAUAUUUGGUAGAUUUGUAAGAAAAUUUAUUUCCCCUUUUCGAUUUCUCUAUAGGUCCCUGUUGACCAGCCCUGUGUAGCAUUAAAGAUGAUAGGAAGCAUCACACAGUCACCUGCUGCUUCAGGGUUGGUGUCGCUUUCCAACUUAGCCAAUACAGAAGACAGAUACUGAAGAAAUAUGAACCGAAGAAUAACAUAGAAUUCUCUUUUGAUUCUGAAAAAACCAUCACAGGAAUGAGAAUUAUUUCAGAGGAAAUUGGAAAUUAUUUUUUAGUAUUUUCGUCUUGUGGAGUCUUUAUGACAUUUUUUUUAGGGCAAGUUUUACUUUAUCCCCCUGUGAUUUAGCGUUUUUUUUUUAAAUAACCCCCCUAUGGUUUCAAAAGUUAUAUAUAACCCCCUCAUGGUUUGGAUUAAAGUGUCAAAGUGACAGGAAUGAUCAUUCAUAACGGAGUCACCUAAAAUGCCAAAAUUACCCUUAUAUAAAGUUGAAAAUUAGGAUUAAUCACAUUUAAUCCCGUUAAGGUAUACCCUAUUUCUUAGUUUACCCCCUAACCUUUUAUUUUGCUCACUUAACCCCCUAUAGGAUAAAAUUGCCCUUGCAUAAUUUUGACUUUUCAUUUAUCUUGUUUUCCUUUCUUUUAUUUCUGUUUCUCUUUCUUCUUUAUUUAAUUCUUCCUCUUUCUCACAAAAAUCUUCACCUUAAUGAUUGAAAUUGAAAAAGAGGAAUUGCAGAGAUCUAUCUUCUCCUUAAAUGAUUAAAAAAAUAUUCAAAUCACUUUCCUAAAAUACAAUUUUUUUAGCCUUUCAAUUCUUUUAAUUUUGGAUUUUCCUCUUUCCUUUCUAGUUUCUCAUUUUAUUCCCAAGAAAAUAUCUUAAGAUGAAAUUGUGACUUGAUUAAUAAUCAUCAAUUGAAAUUUGUGACACGUGGCAUCAUAAAAAAAAUCAAAAUUAGUUUUUGAUGCCUUUUAAAUCUUCACCCAAAAAUAUGCAAUUACAAACUCAAAACAAAAAUUUUCGUUGAAAUGGAAUUUUCUAUUGGGAAUGAUGAAAGAGAGAAGAAAAAGAAAAAGAAAUAAAAGAAAGGAAAACAAUUUCAUCUUUUGAUAUUUUCUUGAGAAUAAAAUGAGAAACUAGAAAGGAAAGAGGAAAACUCAAAAUUAAAAGAAUUGAAAGGCUAAAAAAAUUGUAUUUUAAGAAAGUGAUUUGAAUAUUUUUUUAAUCAUUUAAGAACUGCAAUUCCUCUUUUUUAAUUUCAAUCAUUAAGGUGAAGAUUUUUGUGGGAAAGAGAAAGAAUUAAAUAAAGAAGAAAGAGAAAAAGAAAUAAAAGAAAGGAAAACAAGGUAAAUAAAAAAUGAAAAUAAUGCAAGGGCAAUUUUGUCCUAUAGGGGGUUAAGUGAGCAAAAUUAAAGGCUAGAGGGUAGACUGAGAAAUGGGGUGUACCUUAAGGGGAUUAAAUGUGAUUAACCCUUUAUUUAUUUAUUAACCAAGGGAGGGUUAUGUGUAUAUUUUGAAAACCAUAAGGGGAUUAUAUGGUAAAGUAUUAAACCAUAAGGGGGUUAUAUAGUAAAAUAUAAAAAUCAUACGGGAUUAGUGUGUCAUGUAUUUAUAAGGGUAAUUACGACAUUUCUAGAAGUUCCGUUACAAAUGACUAUUUCCGUCACUUUGACACUUUAAUCCAAACCAUGAGGGGGUUAUGUAUAGUUUUUGAAACCAUAGGGGAGUUAUGUAAAAAAUGCUAAACCACAGGGGGUAAAAUGUAAUUUACCCUUUUUUUAUAUAGAAAAAAUAGAAUUUCAUUACUGAAUUUGCUAAAAAUCAUCCAGCAGAUUUUGUUUAAGAAAGUUAGGAGGUCCAUUUUAUAGAUAUCCAUCAAGUUACUGGACUUGACACGAUUUAAUUUGCAUGUCCUUAUAGUUGGUGAAUAAUUCGAGACUUGAUAUUUGACAAGCUAGUGAUGCCUGACGUCGAGAGAUACAAACCACAGGUGCUCAAACCGUUUCAUUAGGUUUGCAAUUUAACCAGAAUCAAAAGCUGCAAAGAUAAUACUUUACAUUCAAUUUGCCACAACAUAUAGGCGGAUGCAUCCUAGACACUCAAGCUAGUUCCUACGGUUAAGAUUUGAGGAAAAAAAAUUGCAGAAAAAAGUAGCCUACAAUUUUGUGCUACAUGUCCGAGAAAAAAAAGAAAAAAGAAAAAAGAAAAAAAUAUAUAUAUAACUCCUAAAAUUCACCUAAAAUGCCUUAGAUUCAACAGGGUAAUUUUUGUACCUUAAAACAUCCAAAUUGAAUUUUAAACAUGAAAAAAUAGCAUUUUGGGAAACUAUGAAUAUUGGAAAUUGAGUUAACUAUACUAAUCCAAAUUCUAGGGACCAAAAUGCAAAAUUAAAAUUUUUUGCUAAUGUAAAUUUGAUUUCGACUAUUUGUCAAGUUUUCCUUCUGUCUAAAAGAAGAAAAUUUUAGUACCACAUUUAUUUUGCGUGAGACUUUAGAAAUUAAUUUUGCUCAUAAACCAAACAUUAGGAAUCAAAAGUGCAUUUCUCCAUUUCUCAGAAAAGGAAAGUAAAACUUCCUUUGCCAAUUUGAUGAAAAUGCUCGGCAAUUUUUUCAUGCCUUCAACCAAUUUGAAUUCUAUUUUAGUAAAUCAUUCUAGUAUAAUUUCAUGAGUUUUGUCAUAAUAACAAAAACUGCCUUGCCUUUCUUUUUGUUCAAGGAUAAAUUCUAAACUAGUAAAAAGAGGGAUUCAGAGUCGAAUGAAGGGAUCUGACGGUUCCCUGACUAAUGUCCUUGCCAACUAGUUUGGGUCUUGAGACAAUAUAGAGAGACUUAUUGUGUAAAACCUAUUUUCUAUGCAUUUGAAAUCAAAUGCAAAAAGUAAAUAAAUCAGUAAAGUGUUAUCGCCACUGUGCAAUUUAUGGUGGGUUAGUUCAAUUUACUCUUUUUACCUACUUUUAAACAGCCUAACCACUACAUGGAUAUUUAAAAAAAUUAAACUAAUCGAUUUAUUGAAAAAAAAAACCUACAAUUAGUUAAUAGUAGCAUGAAAUUGGACUCAAAAAUAAAUAAUUGAUUAGCAAUGCCUAGGCCUCAAUUUCACAGCCAAUGUGGAUUGAUCCUUGCUUGGUCAUUGGUUAUUCGAUUACUAGAGUUCCGUUAAUAUUUGGUUAUUUUCAAAUAAAUUAAAAAACCAGAUCCAAUACCAAACCAAAAUUUACUUCGGUUAGCGGAUAAUCGAUAUUGCUAUUAUCAGUCACUAGUUUAACCGGUUAACAAAUCUUAAAUGCCUUUUAGUUUUAGGGAGGGGGAGAAAGACAUCUCAAAUACUCGAACAAUAAUCCAUCCACAAUGCAAUAAAAUGUGUGCCUCUAAAAUAUAAUCAAAAAAUAAAUAAGAAGUUAAAUUUUCACUAGCCUUGUUAAAAUAUCAUAAUAUCAUUUGUCCCUAUAGAAACACCUUCCAUUAUUAUCUCUCUCUCUCUAGAACUCAAUUUCUCUUUCUUCUCUGCAAUUUCUUCCAACCAAAACCUCAUUUGACUCUUCUUUGGGAAAGAGAUUAGAUAAUUUGGUCUUUUCUCAUGGGAUGUAACUUUUCUCUAAUUUUAUUUCUUUAUUUGAAUAAAUUCACUUUUAAGUUUUCUAGUGAAAGAUUAUUCUCUUCUAGGGUUUCCUUGUAUGAAAAUCUUCUAUCCUAGAUUUUUAUGAUAAGAGUUUUAUUUUCUCUUAAAAUAUUCUUAUGAGAGUGUGUUUUUUUUUUUUUUAAUGGGUGAGAAUAGAGAUUUGGUAGAUCUCAAAAACCAAAUCAAAAAAUCAAUUCUAAAUUAUUUUCUUUGGACUUGAAGUAGUUUUUAUCAAAUUUGACUAUUUAAAGACAUGCUUAAAGAUAUAUUGGAUUGCAAUGAUAUUCAUCUAAUAGAAAAUACUCUUGGAUUGCAAUAUUAUGAUCAAGUUUAUUGCUUUUUAUAUUUGUUGUGUCAAUUGAUUUUCAAAUUUGUAUGUUUACAUCAUAUUUGAUGUACUUGCUAUCAUGAAUGUAGAUAUUACAUUGAAAUUAUCCUUUUUAUCCAAAAAAAAAAAGGUAUCAUUUGUUCCAUCUAGCAUGAUGAAGCCAACUAAUAGCCAACAAUAGGCCAGGGGGGCUCUUGGAGGGAAGGAAGGAUUGAGGUUCGCCGGAUUGUGAUGAGAUGUGAUAAAAAAGGCUGUUCGGUUGUGAAACUCGAAAAAAAAAACAAUUGGGCUUAACUUUGAAAUGUGUGAUUAACUUUGGGCUUAAUUCAGAUAGUCAAUAUGCUAGUAGGAUACCACUGGUAAAAGACUAGUACUAUUUUGGUCGGCCGGCUAUUAAUCAAUAACCAAAUAAAAAGUUCAUUCAACUAUUCGAAUAUUAAAUUUCGGAGUCUAAUUUGGUAUUAUUUAAUCCAAUUCUUGAGAUUCACUUUAGAAUAGACAAUCCUAAUAAAUUUCCAAUAACUAAGGGUGUGUUUUGAAAACUAAAAUUUGAAAUUUAAAUCUAUUAAGUUAUUGAAUUAUUAAAUAUUAAAUCUAAUACAUUUGAAUAUAUACCACAUUUAGUGAUGAGUGAAUAGUUUAUCACUUAUUUUUUGGAGCAAAUUUUGCUUAGUAAAUUAAUCCAGAUGUUCAAUUUUUGGUUAUCAAACGCAUCUAAAUAUAUUAAAAUCUGAAUCUAUUAAAUUUAAGUGCAGAAUUACAUUAUCAAACAGUUGAUAAUGGUGCAGUCGGUUUUUUUUUGGUUUAUUCAAACUGCCCUCCAGAUGUGUCGUUCUUAUCUUCGAAAAUGUAUUACAUUGUCAAAAAAAAAAAAAAUUUUACUUUGGAACUCUGGGGUUGCUUUCUUCCAGUUAGAGAAUGUGGAAAAUCAUGAAGAAGAAAGGGAGGACAGAAACAACUAUUUUUUAUAAUAAAAUAUUUCUUAAAAUUGCUUCGAAGUUGUAUACACAUAAAGUAUGUUAUAAUCAGUAGUAUUUGCUUACGAGAAGAAAGAUGGUUAAAAUUAAAUGUCAAUUUGCUACUGUAUUGGAUAACCUUGAAACUCUAGUCAUUGGAUGUUUCAAUGUUGCACGAAUAAUAUUUGGGUCUUUCUUAACAAGACAUUUGGUGUUUCAUGAAUAGAUGAAUUGAUAUCUAUUAUUCUGCGAUUAGUAUAUGCAAGUUCACUUAACAAUCAUUUUCUAGGUAUAAAACUAGCAAAACAUGAAGGAAACACAAACAAGAACCAAGUUUGUAUUAUAACUAAACAUUAUAAUUAACACAAGAAAUAAAGUAAUAGGAGAAAUGUCACCAUUUUCACAUGAGUUUCGAAACCUCUAUCUUCAUCCUCAACUUCAUCUAGGCUUAGUUACAUACAAGGCUUGAAUGAAACAAACUAUACUAAUCUACACUACCAAACUAAUGAACUAAGAAAACUAAUGAAGAUUACAUUUUUUGUGGUAUUUCUAGCCUUCAAAAGUUGUUCAAAUAAGCUCUCCAAAGGCAUAUAUUUAUAGAGAAUUCAAUAUCCAAAUGAGUUGUUAAAGUUGAUGUAGAUUGCAUCUUGAAAUCAUCAAAAGUUACUUCUUGAAGUCUCUAUGCUUGCUUGCUCAUAUCCAGCUGAAUUUCUUAUAGAAAAAUUGGUCAAAAAACUUGUGUAAACAGAGACACAAGUUGUAGAACAAGUUGCAGCCGCAAUUAAAGAAAAUGCAGGCUCAGAAAAUGUGGGCUGAGGUCACAUAUUUAUCCCAUGUUUUCCUCUUUUGUGGGUUUUCUCAUUUUUGGUCAGUCUUCAACUUUGCUCUAUUUUUGUAUCAAAUUCAACUGAUAUUUUCUAGAUCAUAGAACCUGAACUAACUCUUGCACGAAACAUGAAAGUUGUAGUCCUUUGAAUGAGCUUUCCAAUGCUUCAAGAAUCAUUCAAUUUAGAGCUCUGUGUACUGAGAAAUGACCAAAAUACCCUUAAUUAAUCAAUUCCCUAUUUCAGCUUUCAACAACAAAAAUGAAUAGAGAAUUUUAAAAAUUUUAAAAAAUGAGUGUAAAGGAAUCUAAAAAAUAUUCAAUUUAACACUAGAGAUAAAGCAUGUGUUGUGGAUGCACUCUAUUUAUUUGUUUUGAAUACUGUUUUAACAAAAAAAUUAAGCAUUAUAAUUUGUACAUGCACUUUUAUAUACUAUUAUGUACAAAUUAUGAAUUCUUAUACCUACCAAGUGUUUUAUUUGAUCAAAAGUGAAUAUCUUAUACUUAUUUUAUAGAGUUAGCAAAUUUUUUGUCAAUUUUUCUAGAACGUUUCUAUAAUUUUUAUAGAACUUUUGUAUAAUUUUAUCAUAUGAUAAUAAAUUUUAUAGAUUGUACAAAGCACUAAGACCCAAUAUGGUCAAUUAAUAUAUUUUAGGGGCUACCUUUUUUCAGAUUGAAAAUUAAGGCACUAAUUUGAUCAAAAUUGAAUACGUUAAAGACUACUUUUCUUUUGUCUAAAACUAUGAAAACUAAUUUAGUCUAACCCAUAAACUUUGAGAACUAAAAUUGCAUUAUAAGACAAAAGAGUUGAUGCAUUUGGAAAAGUGUAAGGGUCUAUUUGUUUGGACUGAAAUUGUUUUCCAAAAAAUGUUUUCUGAAAUUUCUGGUGUUUGGCUGUCAAAAAGGUCGCAAAAAUUUUUUCUCGUAUAAAAUGUUUUGCACAUGCAAGUGUAAAAUACUCCCUCAUCUAAUUAAACGUAUCAUACUUUCAAUUUUGAUUUGUCCCAAAAUUAAUGUCACUUAUCACAAUUAGCAAUGAAACUUUUCACCCAUUUCCAUCUCAUGAAACGUGUCAUACUUUCAAUUUUGAUUUGUCCCAAAAUUAAUAUCAUUUAUCACAAUUGGCAAUGAAAAUUUUCACCCAUUUCCAUCUCAUACCCUUAAAUAUACCACAUUCUUUUAAUCUUUUGAUGGGCCCCAAAAAAUUAAAAGAAUUAUGCUUGGUACACGUGUGUCCCACAGCAAGUGCAACCAAUGGUUGUGCAGGAUACUUUCCCAAGUGCAACCAAUGGUUAGGAGACAUUCUCAAUGCUUGGAUCCCAGAGUCUUGUCACCACUACUUUAUCUUUCUAAACAUCCAACAAGUUUUAAUGCAUAGAAACUACAGAAGGUAUUGCUAGAAGUUAGACCAGAAUCAUUUGAAGUCUUAGCACUAUUGAAAAUAAGUUCUGAGUCUUGAGUGCGACAAAUAUUUUAGGACAGAGUAACUUAGGGUCUGUUUGAUAAUAUAAAAAAGUGCUAAAAUUGAAUCUUUUCAAAUAUUCGGAUAUUUUAAAUAUUUGAUAAAUAAAAAUCUAUCUGCUGAACUUGUGUCUAUUCUUUUCAGCGCUAGAAUUCUAAUUGAAUGUUUAAUUCUGAUAAGAAUCAAUAAAAUUAUUUUAACUAUCUUAUCUUAUCUAAUUCUUAUCUUAUCUUAUCUUUUCUACCUAACCUACCAUUGUUUAUUAAUUAUGUUCAAAAUUCUUAUAUGAUUAAACAACCUAAUAUUCUCUAUCUAACAGUUUUCCAUUUCUCUUUUCUCCCUUUUUAAUGACUUUCAUAUCUUCGCCAAACUCCUCAUAUAAUAUACUUCAUUUUUUGUAUUAAUUUGAUUUAAAAAUAUAUAUUAUCAUUUUCAUACCUAACAAUUUUAAAUUAAUUAAAUCAUAGGUUCUAUUUUUUUUGUUGAAAAGAUAUAAGGGCAAAAUUGUCAAAUUUUACUUAUUCAAUAUUCAGUUAUAAAUGUUUAUCAAAUAAUAUUAAUAGGUUUAGUAUUAAAAUUCAGACAUUCAUAUAUUUCUUUUUAGUGUUUAAAAUUCAGCAAAUUAAUUGUUUCAGUAUUCAGAUUUUAGAAUUCAGACUUCAGAAUUCAGAUUCAAUUUUAUCAAACGGAAUCUUAUCCAAGGAAUGUACUGUGGUACUGAAGUUAUUUUCCCUUGAACAAUAAAACUGUCGGAGCUAAUCAUCUCACUAUCCCUUUAAAUAUCAAAAUUGUACGCAUGACAAAACAUCCCUCAUGAAACUUGCUGAAUAUCCACUGCCAGCGACCUCCCCUCUUCCUCACAGUUCUCGCUUAACCUACACUCGCAGCCGCAGGCACCACCUGCUAGAGAAAUUUCUAAGUUUGUGAUGAAAUUUAAAAAAAUUCUACAAAAAGGGCGAUUUCGGUGAGGUAUUCCGUAGGGGGGUCUUCGCAUUUCAGGAAUGCGAGCUCUGAUGAGCUCGCAUUCCUGGAAUGCGAGCUCAGCAGAAUUGUUUUAUUUUUUUUUUCGGAGAGCUCGCAUUCCGCGAAUGCGAGCUCUCCCAAAUUUAAAUUUUUUCGCAUUUGCAGCAAAGGAAUGGACUAGUGCAUACGCAACUGGUGCAUGACAAAGAAGGCAGGAUAUCGUGGUUAAAAAGGAUUUUGGCAACUCUUGUUGUAUGUUUAAUUGACAGGCAAGUUUGUCGUUUGAGUAAUAGAUGAAUUAGUCUUUCAAACUAUGUGCCAUUGGUGUCCCUAAAACUUCCGCAUUCAGCUGUAUUUUACUAUUUUCCGGUUUAGAAGGCUUGCUUUAAAUAUGUACAGCUGCCGUGCUAUAUUUUGUUAUAAAUUUGCUUGUCAUACAUUUUAAGGAUAAUUAUAGAAACUUCCCUUAAGAUUUUUGAUAAUUUCACUGGGCUCCCAUAAGGUUUGCAAGACUACACCUGCCUACCUUGAUUUGAUUUAACUAAACAUUAAAAUAACAUUGACUUAGGUCAAAGUUUUAAAUGAGUAACCUAAAAUGCUGAUUUAUUAUAGUGAUAGGAUAUUUUUUUAUGGUGUUUAUUAGGGAUUGAUUGAGAAAUUGUUGAAAUAAUUCUUUUAAAGUUCGUAAAUUUUUUGAGUGAUAGAAUUACCAUAAUUUGGUAGUUGGGUCAUAUCUUUUAGAUUUAUUAUAAGUAUGACUUUCAGAAAAUUAAAUUCAAACUUGCUAGGAAAAAAAUUUAAAAUGAAAUUUACGAGCUCCCAAAAAAAUGUAAAAUUAACUGUAAAUGUUGUUUGUUUUGUAGAAUUUGUCUUUACUAAAAUGCUGUCGGUAAUAAAAUCUUAUUUUAAAAUCUGUACUAAAAUCUUAAAUUUCGGAGAAAUGUUAGAGAAAUGUUAUUUAAAAAUCUGUAAUUAGCAUAGGAAUAAAUUUUAUUUAUUUUAAAACUUGCACGUGCCUAAAGUCAUCAAAUAUGUGCUCUAAAAAAAAUCAUAUUUCUUUUAUAUUAAAAAAAAUUGGCCCAAGUUCCGUCAAUGCUCCGGCUCCAAGAGAAGAACAACCGGGACCUGCAAAGAGCUUGGAAUGCCUAGCACUUGAUAAACUAAUUAAAUUUCGUAAGAAACAAAGUUAAACUGGCAACAUUUAGCAACAGUACCUCCAUUGAGCCACAGGAUAUAUCACUGAGCAGGACAUAUCACUGAGCUCGCAGACAUAUCACUGAGCUCGCAUUCGCAAUGCCUCCUGAGCUCGCAUUCUGCGAAUGCGAGCUCCAAUGCGAGCUCGCAUUCCCGGAAUGCGAAGACCCCCAUUUGCAGAAUGCACUCCAAAAACCGCCCUCGUUGUAGAAUUCUUUUUUUUUCCAUCAUAAACUAAGAAUUCACCCCCACCUGCUAUCCUCCUCUUACUCACCUUUCUCAUACUAAUCCAUUCCUUUCAUACUAAUAUACAACUAUAUGCGUGGGAUAGAGAAACUCCACUUCUAAGGUGGGUUUUGUCUUGACAAGUUUUUUGGAAGAAAAACCGGGAAAAACGAAAGAGAUGCUAUUGGAUGAAGAUCUGUUAAAGAAUUUAUACGCAUCAAAUUCGAAGCACUAAUUUUGCAUAUGAUGGUUAGAGUAAUCAAAUUUGAAACGAUUUUAAUUGACAUAUCAGUAUAUAACUAGUAUGAUAUGUAAUUGGUUUGAGAUAUUAUGAAUUCCCUUUCAUGGAGUUUGAUCUGAUUUUUGGGAAGUCGAAGGAUUUGCAUUUGGAUGGUCAAUCAACGUUGAAUCGGGUGGUGUCAUGCUGGCAGUUGGCAGUAGGGAAGGGAAUGGAUUGGGUACCUGCCCUAGGCAUCAUUUCGCUAACCCGAUCUGUACCUUACGCAUCAGCAAUUUUUUGUUCCUUACCCGCUCCACAUAUCAGCGGGUAUCUGCUGAGAUAGGAUCGAGUCAACGGGUAUCCAUCUCACCCCGCUUAUCAUUUAAUUUUUGGGAAAAUGACCUGUUUCAUCCCUCACAUUUCGUAAAAAUAUUCUUUUCGUCCCUCACUUUUAAAAUGAAGCAAAUUCGUCUCUGACAUUUAAAAAUUAAAUCUAUUACAUCCCUGAACCUAAUUUUCAAUCUGAAUUAAAUCAUCUAAUAACUCAGUAAUAAAUUUCGAAAAUAGAAUUGAUAGAUCAUUUGGUCAACUUCAUCGUAUUCACAUGACAUUUAUUAAACCAAAAAAAUAAAAAUUAUAACAUAAAAGGUCAUUCUUUGUCUUGGAAUAGUAGAGUUUUUUUUUUAUAAAUCUUUUCAUGCACCAUUAGUAUAUCCGCUUGCAAAUCUAGAUGUGUAUCAUAAAUAUAAAAUUUGGUGUUUAAAUUUAAAUUAAAAUGAUAUGGCGGUACAUAAAACUGUCAGUGUAUACAAUAAUAAUGUAGAAAAGAUUAAUCUUUCUUUUUUAUAUUAUAAUUUUUUCUUUUUUCUUUUUAGGUUCAUUAAAUUUUACAUGAAUAUCAAGUUGAGUUAACCAAGUGAUCUACCAAUUACACCCCCAAAAUUUGUAAUCAGGUUGAUUGGUGGUUUGAUUCAGAUUAAAAUUUGGGUUCAGGGAUGUAAUAAUUUUAGUUUUUAAAUGUCAAGGACGAAAUUGUUUCAUUUUAAAAGUGAGGGACGAAAAGAAUAUUUUUGUGAAAUGUGAAGGAUGAAACCGAUCAUUUUCCCUUAAUUUUUUUUAAAAAAAAUUAAGUUAUAUUAAUUAGUUUUGUAUUUUACAUAUUCUUCUAAAAUUUAAUAAAGAUUUUUUUUCUCAACAAAAAGUUUUAGAAACAAAAAUGCUAAGAGAGUACAAGAAAAAGAAAAAAAUUCAAAGAAUUCAAAGUAAAAAAAUUGAAAUAAGUAGCACCUAUAUGUUUCACAUUAAUUAAAAUCUUUUUAAAAAAAUAUAAGAUCAUGACCUCUACAAAUGAAUCUUGUAAACAAACUAUAAUCUCCCAUAUUUAUAAUGCAAUUUGUUCAAUGAAAUUGCUUACUUAUCUCUAAAAAUAUUGUUUUAUUAUAUGUGCACAAAAAUAAAAAUUAUAUAUAUAUAUAAUGUAUAUAAGCCGGUAUCCGAUCCUCUUUUGAUCUAAUCAAAUAAUACAGAUUGAGUAUCUUAAUUUUCGGAUUGGAUAGGAUCGGAUAUGAUCGAUUUUCGAGUUAACAGGUAUUUUUACCCACCCCUAAUUGGCAGACGUAAACAGAGGAAUCUGAGGGGAAUAUUCUUGUUUUGAUUUUGGGGACAGUGCACCAAAUACAUGAGAAUCGAAGAACUUCCUUGAAUAAAAUUAUUUUCAUCCAAAAUCUUUUCUUCGGGAAAAAGUUUUACACUCUGACUAACGGACCCUAAGUGUUCCUCUAAUUAUGCAACGCAAAUAUGGCAAUUUGAAGAGAUCUGAAUGCUCUCUCCAUUGACUUGAUUGUGUAACAUCAUUGUCUAUUUUCACUCCUUGCCCUUUUUCAAUACCUCAGGGUGGCUUAGCAUAAGAGGCAUAACCGACUCCAAUGCAUGUAUAGUCAAACAGAACAAAAAGCCCAAGCAAAACAAGAGCACAACGUUAUGGCCGACUACAAUGCAUGUAUGGUCAAACAGAACAAAAUGCUCGAGCAAAACAAGCGUGCAACGUUAUGGCCGACUCCAAUGCAUGUACGGUCAAACAUAAAAAAUGCCCAAGAAAAAGCAAAAGGAGAGCACACAUUAUGGUGAACGGCAAAAGAUGUUUAACAAGAUUUUGUAUUGAUUGAGGAAUAAUGCUUUAUAAUUGCUGCAACUGACAGUAUAUUUUUAUGGAUGCUACCAAAGAAAACCAAACGAUUUUUUGUGAAUAAAAGUUUCUUGUCAGAUUCCAUAAUGUAAUAGAGGCUACUCUUGUCUGCUUUAGCAUUUCCAAAAUUUCUCUCUGGAGAGAUUCUUCAAAACAACCGUUGUUUAGAGAUUUAAAGCCUACUUUGGUUUUAAAAGUUGUAAACAGCAAUCGGUAUUUGAAAAAGAACCUUAAAAUUAAAUUUCACAAAAUAAAUUUUUUCUCUACAAUGAUUUACAAGGAGAAGACAAAAUCAAGGAAGGAAACAGUUAAGACAAAGUUUCUAAGUUUUGGCCCAAAAAAAGAAAAAGAAAAAGAGAAAACUAGCUGAUUUUAAGGAAAACAAUACAAUAGCAAUCGAAAAUGCAAGUUCUUGAUUUGUUAAAAUGUUUAAAUUGGGACCCUUGUCUUAGAUCUUUUAUUUAUUUGGCGACCUAUUAUGAUAUAAAAAAAGGAUAAUUUUAUAAACUUUCCUUAAGCUUUCUACAAAUUUUGCUUCGCCCCUUACAGAUUUCACUAUUAUAUAUAAUGCCCUUAUUUUUCAAAUUCAAUGUAACAAUGGCACUCCAUGCAUAUCAAAUGUUAUAAAAGCUUUCGAUUAAAAAAUUAUCCUUCCAUGGCCUUUAGAAAAUUAAUAUAAUAAAUUCAACUAAAAAUCACGAAAAUGCUUCAAAUAAAAUCAAAGAAAUUCAUAAAAAGUAUGAUAGUCCACAAAGAAUUAAAAUGAGGUAUAAAAAUAAUUGAUAGAAUAAAUAUCUAAAGCUAAUCCUUGAAAGUACUUAGGGUCACAAGAAAUUGAAAUAACAAACUUAAAUUCUAAAAAGGGUUUGAAAUUGCAAAAUAAAAACCGGAGAGAAAAUUCCUUCAUUAACAAUAGUUUAAUAGGCUACUUGAUCACAUAUACCAAUUUCUAAAAAUGAACUCUUUAAUUAUCCCAAGCAACACUAGUAUUUUCUUAAGUGUUCCUAAGCAUCAGAGUUUAGGUUUUUAAUUCUCUAUAUGGCUUUGUUAUGAUUUACCUUAUUAGAUUUUCAUGAUUUUUUUCAAAACAAAAAUAAUAAAAUCAACUUAUCUCAUUUUCAUUUCAUUUUCAAAGUCCUUUGUUGGAGUUUAAUUGAAUGUAUGACUUUUAACAUUUUAUGUGAUUUUUUUGGAUAAAUGGCCGACUUUGUUGCAUUGAAAUUGAAAAUAAGGAAGCCAGGGAGGUAAGCGUAAUAUUUCUAGCUUCCCCCACCCCCCCAGCCCCAAGGGAGGGAGCCAAGGUGAAGUUUUACUUAUCCCUCAAAAAAAGUGCUAAGUGCUUGUGGAAUGGGGUUUAUAUUUCUAGCUUCCCCCACCCCUUCCCCCCCAAAAAAAGCCCUUAUAAUUAUUUAGAUAUUUUCUCACAUUUUUUCCCCUUCCCUGAAGUAGACAGCUAAUGAAUCCAGCUCCUUUCCAUUACUUAUUUUCUCCGAUUAUCCUCAAUAUAGCAAUAUGAGUUUGACAUGUGUCCAAUUUGAAGUCAAUGUCCAGGAUUUCUUUUGCUCAUAACCAGCAUCUUAACCUUGGUUAAGCACAAUUUAACAUACCAUGUUUACCAUAAUUUGGAGUAUUUGAAAAAAAAAAACCACCUUUUCCAGCCAAAUUUUAUAUGGGAAAAGUAAAAUAAAGAAAAGUCAAAUCAUGGAAUUUCAUGGGAAAAGAAAAGGAAAGAAAAGUCAAAUCAUGGAAUUUAAGUUACAGGUAUAUCGUGCCCAAAUCAUGAUCUUGCGUCUUUUUCUCAAACUUUCAGUGAAUUGGUAAUGUUUUUCUCACUUGAAACGGAUUUUUUGUUUUGGGAAUCUCGAAAUUGUUCUCAAAGUAAAUAUUCAGAUUAAUGUUAAGAUCCAAACGCGGAACACACAACUAUUGAGAUAUUAAGUAUACAACAAUUCAUGAAAAACAAGUCACAAGUAUGAAAGAUAAACGACAUUCAAUAUUUAAUGUGGUUUAGCUCCACCAUUAAGUUUACGUGCAUAGAGAUAAACCUGUUCUUUAUUAUGAAAGGAAAAUCCUAUACAAGAAUACAACUUAAACCCAAAUCCAACCCUUGUAUACCAUCUCUUAUCUCUCAAGAACCCUAUCUGACUCCAUGGAUAAGGCUACAUGUUGCCUCUUGUGUGCCCCCUUGUGUGUCUCUUUAUAGUAUGCCAGCCUAUUUAUUUACAGGGAACAUUAUUUGGUCAAAACCCAAAUAACAAUAGGAAACCAAUUCUAAUUCUUAGACUUAUACAGAAUAGGAAAUAACUUCUAAUCUUAAACAAAAUACGAAAUUUCUUGGCUACUACUUCAAGUAACUAAAACCAAUUAGAAAACUAGUUACUUCCACACAAAACAAGAAACUUGCCUAAAAGAAAUUAAGUCAAUUUCUUAACAAAUCUCCACCUUGGCGAAAAUUUCUUUUAACAACCAUUUGUUUUUAACUACUAAAUAAUAUGGUACCGAACUACACACCCGAAUCAAUACAGUCCUUGCACCAAAUUGAUUCAAUCAGCAAAUGAACAUGUGUAGUUAUUCCAAAUCUACCUUCCAGUUGACUCGUGAGAAAGUGCCUCAAUUCACCAUCUCCGUUUGCAGGAUUUCUUCUCACCACUACUUAUAAUCCGAGAUCUCCUUCUGUGAGUUUUAACCCUGAUCAUUGAGGCAAUCAAGUGAUAAAAUUAUCAUAUUUCUUUUCAUCCUCAGGACUGUCUCGCCACGUGUGAUUUUCAAGACUUCGUAAAAAACGAAAAAAUCGUAACUGUCAAAGUCUUCUGGGACGUACCACACCACACCACACAAAGAACUGUCAGAGACUUCUUUGUUUCUCUGGGACAUACCACACCACACAAAGAACAUAACCAAAAUCUAAAAUCCACUGGAACGCAGUUUUAACCUUUGGAGGUGUGAGAAAGUCUCUACCGAUUCACGUCCAAAAUCAAAAUUGGACUCUACCUUUUUCCUUACCCUUGAAUCACUUGGCUAGAUUCACCGUUAAGCGCCUCCAUGCUUUUCGACUUCCUAUCCUUCACCAUCAAUUUUUUUUGUCAAGCAAUUGAAACAAGGAUAUCACUCAUUAAAUUGUCCAAUUAGUAACAGCUACAAAUUCACUUGAUCUCAAUAGUUAACCAAGAUUCAACCUUGAACAACCAAACUUUUGAUUCAACCAUUCAGUUUGUUGGAAUCUAAGUGCUUGUGAGCAAUCCAAUCUCACAACCAAACUCUGAUACCACUUAUUAGGAUUCAAGCGCGGAAUACACAACUAUUGAAACAUCAAGUAUACAAUAAUUUAACGACAAAUAAGUCACAAGCAUGAAAGAUAAAUGACACACAAUAUUUAACAUGGUUUGACUCCACCAUUGAGCCUACGUCCACAGAGAGAAACUUGUUCUUUAUUAUAAGAGGAAAACCCUACAUAAGAUUACAACUUGAACCCAAAUCCAACCCUUGCAUACCAUCUCUCAUCUUUCAAGAACCCUCUCACACCCCAUGUAUAAGACUAUAUGUUGCCUCUUGUGUGCUCCUUGUGUGUCUCUUUGAAGUAUGCCAACCCACCUAUUUAUAGGGAAUAUUAUUUGGCCAAAACCCAAAUAACAACAGGAAACCAAUUCUAAUACCUGGACUUAUACAGAAUAAGAAAUAAUUUCUAAUUCUAAACAAAAUAGAAAAUUUCUUGGCUACUAUUUCAAGUAAUUAAAAUCAAUUGGGAAACUAGUUACUUCCACACAAAACAAGAAACUUGCCUAAAAGAAAUUAAACCAAUUUUCUAACAAUUAAUCAUAUCAUUCUCAUCUUUUUAUCUUAUUUCAUCGUCGAUUUUCUUGCUUAUGUAAUCGAUUUAUGAUUUUAGAACUUGAGUCACUAGAAUAAGUUCCAAAAGGACAAGAUAUUCUAAUUAUAUAGUUGCCUAAUGCAUAUUAACUUUUUCUUGAAGCACAACAUAUGCUAAUUGGACAUAUAAAAAUUUUUACAUCUUCAAAAGCGAGGUAGUGAAACUGAAUUUUACUAUUCAGUUUUAGAAUUUGGAAGAACUGAUAAUGUUUAGGGAUCUUCUACAGUGGAACGGUAAAAUGAAGAAGCUGAUUAGAUGAAUACAGAAAUGAAGGCCUAGAAUUUUGCUUCUACUAAUUGGAUGUAUUGAAGUCCGUUAACUAAUGUUAAGUAAAUAAAUCUUAUCCCUCUAAAUAUUGUAAGGACAAGUGUCAGAAUAUCCAAAAGCAUAUUUAGGGAAAUGGAAAAGGUAUUGGGUGGGUGUGUGUGUGUGUGUGAUGGAGAGGAGCCAAAUCCAAUGGGUAACUAGGCGUCUAGGACAAAUCACCCAUGUAAUAUAUCUAAUCGAACUUUCUAAGUCUUCGACUUUCUUCAAUCCUUGCAUACAAAUUUGCAAAGUCUGUUUGUCAGGAUCAAUUUUAUCUAUCUUUUGUGUCCGAAAUGGAAAGGUCAGACAUUGUUUCUCUUCUUAUGGUUCUAUUUCAGGUGGGAAUAGCCAUAGUAGUUGGAAGUCAAGAUGGAUCAGAAGCGUGGAGAUAUGUUCAAGUCAGACCAAGUAUGUUUCUGAUGUUUUAAAUGCCAAUUAAAAGGAUCACUUGUCAAUGCUGAUAUUGAGUUCUUGUGUUUGUUUCAGAGGCUCACAUGUUCUGGUGGUACUCAUGGUUCGCCAUAUCAGCCGAUACUAAUACAUAUCAGCCGAGUCGUAACCGGAACGGAGGGGACCGAUACGAUACCAAUCCACGAAUCGCGGAUAUUACCAUAUCCAUGACGACUUGCUCUGACUCGGUCAAUAUUGGUCUAUUCGAAUCCGUGAUGCAUGAUAUCGGCCAAUAUAUCCGAGAUAACUCGGAGUCAACUGGAAUAUUUUUUUAAAUUAUGCCUUUUUGAUAUUUUCUAAUUUUAGUAAUUUUUUUGAAAUUUUGGAAAACUUUCUUGUACUAUAAUGUGCAUAACACCCGAUAUUCAACUGAUAUGUCGCGACGGAUGUGGAACAACCGAGACCGUAACCCGUGAUGGCGAACCAUGGUGGUACUACAGAAGUCCAAAUAGGAUUCAAGAUCUAGAAAAGCCUUGGCCAAUUAUUCUUUGCCUGCAAGGCGGACCGUGAGUAUCAGAAUUCUCGUGGGAUUUUUUCAAGUUUCAAUCUUUGUUGCUUGUUCAUACAAUCAACUGUAUUUUGUUUAUGAAGGGUGCUUUAGGAGUUGGAUUUGGUAAUUUUGAAGAAUUUGGACCUCUAGACAUGUUUCUAAAGCCAAAAAAAUUUGACAUGGUUGCAGAAAGCUGAUCUUUUGUUUGUGGUUGGUACUAGGUUGCAUAAUGUUGGUGAAUAAUCACAUCAGCAUCCAUGCUGUUUUUCAAACUGAAAUGGGAUUUUCCUACAGGUUUUUUCUUGUAUCUCCUUAUCUAAAUUUAUUUUGCCUGUUUGCAAUCUAAAUAGGAUUAUCCAGUUGAAACAUGUUACAGUUUUGUGAAAAACGUUAAAAACACCACAUUAUUUGUGAAGACUAAUGUGGAGGCUGCAAAGGAUGGAACUAAAUUCUUGAUUGAAUUUUUCAAUAGGAAUGAGACCCUCCAAAAGAGUCCUCUAUAUAUUGUGGCUGAGUCUUAUGGAGGCAAAUUUGCCAUUACUCUGGCUUUAUCUGCUUUAAAAUUAAGCUAUUGAGGCUGGGAAGCUAAAGCUGAAUCUCGGAGGUAACAAUUCGUUUUUCAUUCUUAAAACUAAAAUCUUAGUUUCUCUUCAAUCCUAAACUCUUGAGCUAGCUCUUACCUUUUUUGUAUAGGAGUUGCAUCGGGGUAUAGUUGGAUUUCACCAGAGAUUUUACCAUAUGUAGUUUCUGUUCUUCAUUCAUCUCAUGAUUACUUAGUUAGAAGAGGUGAAUUGAGUUCUGGUGACCAAAAUACAGUUUUCAUGGGCUCCUUUUUUGAAAGACAUCUCGUUUCUUGACAGCAAUGGUUUCCAGAACUCAAUCAGGUAUCAAGUUUUACACCUAAAGAUGGUACCAUCCUAAAUCCAAGCCUUAAAUGCAUCAAUGAAAUAUGUUUUUUACUAUUGAAACUUGUGUGAAUUUAGCAACCCCACAUGUCUGACCUAAUCGAGCUCAAAAAUUUUAAGUUGCCUAAGAAGCUUGUAUUGUUUAAUGCAGGGUGGCUAAUCAAAUUAAGAAGCAAAUUGCAGCAGGUACGUUUGCAGAGGCCACAGACACUUGGAACGAAUUGGAAGAUCUAAUUACCAAUUACAGUAACAAUAUGGUAUGAAUUUUCGCAUAGUCUAAUUGAACUUAUGUUAAUCACAACAAAUCGGUGCAUUUGUGUGACAGCCCCACCUCCCCCUAGGGCGUACCCAAGGAUUUGGCGGAUCGCUUGCCCAACUCUCGCCAGGACUCAGUCACAAUUCAUGAAAAUUUACAAAUAGAACCUCAAAAUACAAUGAUCUUAAUUACAGCCAUCAAUAUAGAUACAUUCAUGGACCUCUAAUGUUCAUACAGUCUAUAAUACAGCCAAAGAGUCGAACUUGCUAAAAAUCAAACCAAACAAGUCGGCUAGACACCUAUGCAGUGCUUACACGAGCAACUAACAAAUUUGGAAGAAAUCGAGACCUUCCUCAAUUCAAUCUCUCAAGUUCUCAUCCCUGUAAGGAAAACAAAUGCCGUGGAAUGAGCUAAAAAUCUAGUGAGAUUUCAAGUAAUUAAACAGGUAAAAUACAAGACAAGAUAGCAUAUCCAGACAUCGAGAAACAAGUCAAACACGAAUGGAUCAUGACUCAGUAUAUAGCUAAACAAGUAGCCAGAUAAAACAUGCAAAAGGGUACAGUAAGAAACACAUUCAUGUCAAGGAUACAAGUUGCCCUCUGGAGCAAGUUCUACAGUAGCUUGAUCAAGGUCCGUUGACUCUCCGUUAACCAUGGAAGUAUAACGUCCGUAGAUCUUCACUUUACACCAAUUCCGUCCACCUAUCAACCACCUUACCUGGCCCGAACACCAUAGGAGUACCCAAGGUUCGUCAAUCUCAUCGACCAAGCCCUUGCUGGCUCGAUUCGACCAACUAGCCCUAUGUUGGACUUAUAGUCCCAGAUAUUCAGAUUGGAGACGUUAGUUGUCACUUACGCUCCAUAUUCAGAAAUAAACAGAGAUGGUAUUACUCUAGCAUACCAAUAGUCGAGGAGAUAACACUCCACUCGACAAAACAGAACAGAGGUACGUACGGCCGCUCAGCACUUACAGGUAAAGCACAAGCAUAAACACAAGUACAUGUCAUCUACAAAUCAAGUUACUUGUUCAUGUAUGAAGGGGAUAUCAAGUGUUUAGUCACAUCAAGUUAAUUGAGUGUAUAUAAGAGCAUCCUCGCCUACACAAGUUUAAAUCACAAAUAAGUUCAGCAUAUCAUGUUUCCAAGCAUUUCAAAUAUUUCAAAUCCAAACAAUUGAAAUCAGGUGAUUAAGAACCCUGUUCAAACAAGAAAACUUGAAGGAAGAUACAGAAAUAAAAAAUUCUCUCAGCGAAUCUGGCCACCAAUCCGGCCAGGUUUUGGCCGGAUUUUCAGGGGAAAACUUAAAAACUUUGAAGCUCACUGCCUCAAAUCCGGCUGGCAAUCCGGCUGAAAAUCCGGCCUGAAAGUGACCGGAUUCUGGCCACUUUUCAGUUGUAACAAAACGGCUAACACAUGUUUUAACAAAAUAUCACAAGUUCAAUUGAGCUAGGUCAAGUGCGAUAAAGUACACACUUACUUAUGAGACGAGAAAUCAAGUACCUAGAAUUGUCUAACAACAAUGAGCAUGUAACACGUAAGUCAAGGGAAUAACCACUCGAGUGACCAACAAGUCAAGUGCAAGCAAAGCAAUUCAUUUCCUAUCAAUAUCACGAAGUGAACUGCAUAGGAUCGAGUAUGAUAAAGUACAUCCUCAUCCCAAAGAUUAUCAGUUCAAGAACAACUACUUAAACCAAGUAAACAUGUCAUUCAAUCAAGCAGACAUUCCACGUAAAUAUUUUCAUGUACUUGGAACACUCACCAAUCAAAUGCAACCCUUCACUUUAUCCCUAGUUCGUCCUCUUGAACUCUCUCAAGUCCUGUGGUUAUAUACUAACGUGCAAUAUAAAGCCAAAAUACAUGAAAAAAUUAAAGUUUCUAAGACUUCAUUUCCUUUCUCUUAAACCUCAAUUCCACUCAUAAACCAUACCCAAAAUGAUUGACCAACUCCAAACUUAAAGUGGAAAAUAAAAGUACAAAUGGUUCUAAGAGAACAAAAUUUCUCAGCUUUGCACAACACAAUUUUGAAAAAUCAUAUCUUACGCUUCUUAAGUUCAAAAUUGAUAAAAUUUAUAUCGUCGGAAAAUAGACUUAAAGGGCUACAAUUUUUCAGAAUGCACUUUUGUAAGAUUCAGACCACAAGUCAGUCAAAUUCAAGCCACAAAUUGCUGCUUCAUUCAGUAAAAGACAGAACAGGGAUGCAAUUUCGGUCAACUUUGAAAAAACAUAGAUAUUCAUAGGAAUUGAGAAAAAGGAUGAAAUUUUCUUAGUUGAUACUAGUUUCAAAUGCAAUAAACAGAACUCAAUUCCAAUUUUUCUACAACAAGAUAUAGUAGAUUUGCUAAGGCUGUCCACGGGUUCCUAAGGACAAAAUUUUCAGCAGCACCCCCUUUGUGUUUACUACUUUUUCCAGCCAAUUCAAGGCUUCAUUCUUACCACAAAACAGCCUCAACUCAAUCAUAUACAUACCAAGCCAAAAACUCACUAAAUCAAGCAUGUAACUAUCACCUACUCAAGCUAGAAAAUGAAACCCUAAGCUGAAAUUUAUGCAUACAUGCUGAAAUUUCCUUUAGGCAAGUUAAACUAACACAUAAAAGCUAGCUAUUUCACAUAGCAAAGCUACCAAACCAUGGCCAACACUUAACCAUCGUGUGUGGGCAGAUAAUUCACCAUAAAAACUGAAUUUUUCCAGAACAUCACUUCAAAUCAUAAUAUUUCUCAUAAAACUACCAAAGUUGAAACCCUAAACCACUAAUUGACAAAUAUUUGAAGUAGAGAGAGUUUCUUGCCAUAAAUACCUUGUAACUCCAAGAUAGAUGGAAGCUUAGUGCUUUUCCUCCAAAAAUCUCUCCACUCAAGCCCUUAAUCUUCCCUAGCGAACCACUUUUAUGGAGUAUUUUGCAAGCCUGUGGAUUGAAACUCAAGAUUCAAGCUAGCAGUUGAAGUGGAAGAUGAACUUUUCUCUUGGUUUCUCCCUCUCAAAAUUUCGGCAAAGCUAGUGCAAAAUGAAGACAAUUUUUGGUCAAAUUUGAUUUUAAGAAAGUUAAGAAGACAUGGUCAAAGUCCAACAUCCAAUGGUUUCGCGACACUUGGCUCUUUAGGGUUUUGAUCUCAUCCUCUUGUCUUCCAAUGGUUAGUCUAUCUAGCUGACCUCUAAUUAUCCCCUAACACCUUGUAAACUAAUGUUCCUUUAUGCAAGAUUUCACCUAGUAGUCAAAAAUUUACCGCACUAACCGUACUAGCAAGUCCCACGUCCAUAAUGCACUUCAAAUUUAACGUGUACUAAUUUAUACCAAGAAAAUGAUUUUAAAACUUCACUCACUUAUAAAAAUAUCAAGGAAAUUAAGGCAAUAAUUUAAAGUAAAGAAAAUGCACUCAAAGAAAUAAAUAAAUAUAACCUAAUUUUCCAGGGUCUCAUAGUUUGUGCUUGAUGAUUUCUUUUGUGGAUAAAUACAGGACUUCGAACAAUUUCCUCUCGUUUGCAAUGGACGACCCUUUAUCGUUGUUAGCUGCUUCAGAACUAAAACAACGUAUUGCAGUAAAAAGGUCCUCUCCUAGAGGUGACGGUGAUCUUUAUGCAUUUAUGAAUGGUGAAAUUAAAAAGAAGUUGAAGAUUAUACAACCAAAUAUUAUGUAAGUUUUUCUUCUUAGAAAAAUUUCAGACUUCUUCUGAGUUCAUCACUUAAUUGUCAUUCAACGACUAAUAAUGGAAUCAACAGAUGGGGAGGGCAAUCCGGUCCUAUUUUUGAAGGCCUGAAAGGUGAUUUCAUGAGGGCAAGGAUUAGUGAGGUAACUAAAUCAGCUUUUUUUUGUUAGUAGUUAAUUAUAAAAGUUUAAGAACUUCAGACGUUUUGGUUUGAACUAUACCAAGAAUGUUUAUUGACUUUCUGGAUUAGCAUUUUUUUACACAUCUCAAUUGAGAUGAGACUAGCUUAUCCAAUUAUAUGCAGUCAAUUCUAAAGCAUUUUUUCAACUACUUUUUUACAGGUAGAUGAACUUCUAACAAAAGGAGUAAAUGUGACUAUCUACAAUGGACAAGUAAGAUUAUGCAACUCUAAGCAAAAGAAAUCUAAAUCUUUAUGCUUAGAAUGUUCUCCAAAAAAAUUUGAAAAAAAAUACUAUUUUAAGAUUCAUGGAAGAAUGGAUAUUUGUAGAUAUCCAAGAAAAACUUCAUAGGACAUCGUAGAUUAUUGGCUGCAAUACAACAGCGUGAAUAAUGGAACAAAAUAAUGGUAGUCAAGUUGGAUGGGAUUUUGAAGCAGUCGUAAUUAGUAUAAAUUUGAUACACUGACAUGGUCUUAAUCAAGUUGAAACAUUUUUUUUGUGGUCACAAAAAAUUGUGACUUCUAGUAGAUAAACUUGACCUGGGAUUUUUUAUUAUCCACGCUAUGAAUUUCACUCUCUCCUUGUAUUUUCUUUUUGGCUAAAUAGUUCAAUCAAAGUGUUAUUUUACUAUUGCUUGUAGUUUGAUCUCAUGUGUGCAACCAAGAGAACAAACGCAUGGCUCGAAAAGCUCAAGUAAGAAAAAAGAAUCCCACAAGUAAAUAAGCACCUAAAUCACCUCCUAAGAAGAAAAAUGUACAAAAUAAAAACACCCUAUUACCCUAAUCAAUAAUCUUUUGCCUAUUUUAAUAGGUGGAAUAGGAUCAAAGAUUUCUUGAACAAGGAUAGAACGCCUCUCUAUUGUGAAGGUGAUAGGAGUGUAAAGGCUUUCACCAAAUCAUACAGAAAUUUACAUUUCUGCUGGAUUCUUAAUGACGGCACUACAACAAAAAUGGCUUUUCUUGACACGUGUAUAAGGACACUUGUUGGUUUGUGUCAUUAUAGCACUUCUAUCAUGACAUUUGUUAUCAAAUCAAUAAAAAAUACUUUAAUUUUUUUUAUUUUAUCUGAUAUAAAAAUAAUAAUGUGUCUUUAGAUUCCCUAUCAUGACACUUGAGAAAAUGUGAGAUACACCAAAAAAAUUAAAACAUAAAACGAUGUCGUUUGAUUUUGGCGGAAGAUUCCUUUGCCAAAACACUUAGUGAAAUCUCAAAAUUUCAUUUUGCCGGCCAGCAAAAUUUUGGCUCUUCUCAUCUCUCUCGGCAAACUAUCUCUCAAAGCUCUCUGCCAAAAUUUUCCUUUCCCCACAAAGUUUUUUCUGCUGAAUCUCUCUGCAAUCAAACUACCUUUGCUUCCCUAUUGAAGGUAUGUAAUUGCAUGGUUACUUUUUGCCCUAAAUUGUACAAUUUUCUGAUUUCCUGCUCCUGCUCUGUAAACCAAUUGAUGUGAAAAUAAUUAACUCCUGUAAGCUGCAAUAAGAUUCUGUGGUAUGCUAGUUCAAGUUCGAUACUGAUUUUUCUUCUAAAAGUUGCUUCAUUCUCAAUCUUGUUUUCAUGAUUUUCUGUUUCGGCUGACAGGUAAGAACUAUAUAUUAGUUGGCAUGGUUCACAAGCCCAAUUAAUUAUAAUAGAUGUAGAGCUAAUCAAAGAAUUACUAACCAACAGAGAAGGCGCUUACCAGAAAAUGGAUAUGGAAGGCAUUGCAAAGAAAUUAUCAAAUUAAUAGGUGAGCCGCUUAUAACAAAUGAGGGGAAAAAAUGGGCAAAAGUACACAAACUGGCUAACCACUCAUUCCUUGCAGAGAGCCUAAAGGUAAGCCUUCUUCUAUGUUAAUCACAUCACGAGUCAAGAAUAAGAAAGUUCGUUGUCCCAUAUAUGAAAAUGGGAAGUGAAUUUGGCAUAUAAUAUUGCUCGAGUAAUUCCCUAUACAUGAUUUGCUUCUCAUAAGAAUAACCUUUUGCACAGAGCAAGGUACCAGAAAUGAUUGCUAGUGUCGAGGCGUUGCUGGAAAGCAAAGGUAUCAGCUCUCGUCUUAUGCCAAAAAAGCUCCUCUUGCCCCCUGCCCUGUACCCCGGCUUCUCCCACAUAAGUGACCACUACCCUUUAUACUGGAUUUGUCGUCCAUAACCUGUUCGAUAAAAUGUCAACCUUCUUUCCUUUGGUACUGAUAUUAAUUUACUCAAUAAUAUAUAAACUAAUAGAAUUAUUGUAAUUAAGAUGCUUUAUCCUCUUUCAUAUCUGUGAGCGCAUUUGAUGUGUUUCUGUUGCUUUGACAUAUGCUUGUUUAUUGCUGAUCUCUUUCUUCAGUCUGUAAUUAAGAAGAAGUAUGGCCAAGAUGCAACAAAUGUUGGUGAUGAGGGUGACAUUGCUCUAAUAUCCAGGUUAGUUCAUGGCAUUUUGCUAAUAUGCUUCCUGUUCAUUGUUCAAUUCGGUUGUCAUAUGUUUUACAACUUUGUGACUUUGACAUUUCAGGAGAACAAGGAAGGUCUUGAAUUGCUUAAAACAGCUAUUGCUAAAGCUGGUUACACUGGUAAAGUAAGUAUUGGAAUGGAUGUUUAUACUGGUUACACUGUUCUUGAAUGCUAUGGGUAUAUGUUUUGCUGGUGAAAAUGGAGCAGAUGUCAAAGGCGGAUGUUUGUAUGGAAGCAGGCUGCAUCUAAGCUUAGGGGUGUACAAGUUUUUACUUACACAGAGCUUGAGAUUGCAACAAACAAAUUUAGUGCAGCAAAUGUGAUAGGAAAUGGAGGGUAUGGGGUAGUGUAUAGAGGGAUUUUGAGUGAUGGCACUGUGGCUGCAAUUAAGAUGUUGCACAGAGAAGGGAAACAAUGAGGAACGUGCCUUUCGGUUAGAGGUUAGUGGACUUCAUUUAUUGCUAGUUUUCAUAUUAUCCAAUUUUUUAAGCUACAUAAGCUUGUCAAUUAAACUCAUCUGUACACUCAAUUGAAGAUUUUUUUUUAUUUUUUGGUAUUUUCCCCUCUUUGGCUAAAUACAUUGGGGAAUAAAGGGAAGUGGUGAGUGAGAAUGGAAGUGAGAUAUUUGCCUAAAAAAUUAAUGGUACUUCUGGCAUUGGUCCAGCCAUUGCUUUCUUGAACAUCCUAAUUGAACUUAUUUGAUGGGUGCUUGUCUGUGGUAUGGUUUAUUUCAACAAGUCUGUAUUGAAAUCAGUUUGAAGAGUUUGAAAUUGCUGCAGGUUGUGAUUGGGAUGGAUGUGGCUGCUUCUGAGUUUUAUGGUAAAGACAAGACUUAUGAUCUAAACUUCAAAGAAGAGGUAUUGCUUUUUCACAUUUUCUCCCCAGAUUGUUAUGUCAAACGUUCGAAUUCAUUGCUAAGCCAAAGGAUAAAAUUACAUCUAGAUUCAUAAAUUCUAGUCUUCUAAAGGGCGGUAAUUUCAAUCAUGACAUCUAUCUUUUUGGUCAUUCUUCUUCUUUAUUUAGUAUGUUUGCUGCUUUAGUAGUAUGUUUGGUGAUAGCAAGUAGAAAUUUCAGUGCAAUGAUGGCAACUGGAUCAGUGUGUUAUUCCAAAACCUUUUGAUAUACAAGAAAAUAUAACUUGUGUUAUCACCUUUGCUUUUGCCAGUUAAGUUUUGCAAACCUGCUUGGUACCAAAAUUUGGCUAUUCAGCAAUCAACUUUAUUUCGAAUGAAAUGAAUCCUGUUUGGUAUCGUUACUUUACAUUAGAACGUAAUUGCUAGGUGCUGAUAUCUUUAAUUUAUUUUUUUAUUUCUGGUCUUUCUUUGCAGAAUAAUGAUGGCUCACAAAAGAUAUCAGGUUAUGACUGAAGGCUCUCAUUUCAUUGGAAAGUUUGGAAGCUACUGCAAGUUCUUUCUACUUGCUAGGGAUGAGAAUAUUUUAGUUUGUGCACAAGAGAAUCUUUUAAGUUUGUGCACAUGAGAAUCUUUCAAGUUUGUAUUUGUUAGGGAUUUGUUAUGUUAGUACUUGUUACUGACUUUUAGUUCAACAAAUUAUAUUUGAGUAUUGACUUUUGCUUUAAGAUUACUAUAUGCAUUCUGUUCUUUGGGAUAAUUUUACAAGUCCUUUGGGUUUCUGAUUGACGGAAUGUAUAGCAGGGAGCACUACCUGCAGGUUGCUUCUAUAUAAAAAAAAAAAAGAAAAAAAAACUCCUGGCAGUUAAAAGUGUCAGCAUAGCUCAGUUAAAAAAACUCCUACUUGUUACUGACUAUAACUAUCCUGACACUUUCGAUUAUCAAGAAAAUGGAAUUUUGUUGGCAGAUGGGUUGCUAUAACAGCAUAGUUUUCCUGACACUUUGAAUGCUACGAGCCUAUCCCCACAUUGGAAGGGACGACACUCGUCCGAGAUGUGAGGAAAGGUAAAGUGUCAGGUUAGAUUAUUUAUACUGACACUUUUAAAUGCCGUUAAAGGUCAUUUUUGUUGUAGUGUUCUAAUGAAAAUUCUUUUACAAUGUCCUCAGUUCUAAGUUGAUUUGCUUUUUCCUUGGGUAUAAAGGGAUCCAAAUUGGUUGCUUGAGCCACCAAUUUUUCUUUCCCUUUGAGGAUGGCUAUAUAACAUGUCCUAACCACCUCAAGAUCUCCAUGAACCUCUGCUGUCCCACUGGAAGUCAGAAACUUCAUGCUCAAAUGUAAAGUUGAGGUAUUGGCUUUUAAAGAGUUAUGAGUAGAUUAGCCAAGGAACAUAUUGUAUGAUGAAGGUCCUUUAGCAACCACGAAAUUGACUGGAACAAUUCGAUAUCUAGGGACUUUUCCAUUAGUUACCAUUAGAGUAAUCAUCUUUCAGGUUUUAUAGGAGGGCUAAAAUAUCCUACCUAUGGCCUCCUUACUAGAGUAAAUUGCCUAUCUUUUAACUUAAGGUUCUUGAAAGUUUUGUAAUAUGAUACAUCUACUAUGCUUCCUGGAUCUAUAAACACUUAUCUGAAAUUAUUAGUGAUCACAUCUAGAUAAUUGGCUCUUGAUGGCUUGAUGCCAAUGAGACAAAAUCCUCAGGUCCAUUUAUGAUUUCUCAUAUAUGUUCAAUUCAUUGGGUAGAAUUAUCCUCUUCUAGUAGAGUUUGGUUAUUUUUUUGGGUUGAAUGACUAUUCUCACUAGUAGGUCCUCUAGCUAUUGCAUUGAUGACUCGAACUAGAUUUUGUGAAUCAAGGUCAAGUGAACGAUCUCGAGGUGAUCUCUGUUGAUCUCGUUUGUCGUUUUCUCCUUUAUCAUUUUGAUUGUUCGGACUAUAAUCUUUUCUUUCUCCCUAGGAAGCUUGGUUAUUUUGAACGUACUCUUUCAAGUUUCUCAUUUGAUCAACUCCUCUAUUUCUUUUUUUUAAUCCUUGCAUUUCUCAAUGUCGUGACUGAUAUCCCUAUGAAAGUACAAUAAAGGAUUUUAUUCCUUUAUUUUUGGAACCAGACAUCCUAGGAGACCUUCUUUCAAUAUCUUUUGCUUCCAUUACUGCCAAGAUUUGAGAUCUUGGUAUUGAUAAGGGCGUGAAAUUCUUUUCCUGAGAUGGACUCUUCCUUUUAGAAAGUUGGUCAAAAAUGUUCCUCUUGAUCUGCCCAACUUUAAGGUCAAUGGUUCCAUUCUUUCUUCAUCUGUCUUCAAAGUCUUUCUCAGAUUCUUGUUUAAGACGAGUAGCCUUCUCGGCAGUUCCAUCUACGUGAGCUCUAUUCAAUAGUUCUUCCAAUGUCAUAGGUGGUUUCUUGGCAAAUUUAUAAUAUAACUCAUUACUUCUCAAGCCAUUUAUAAAUGCUACCAUCAUCACCUUAUCAUCUUUAUCUCAGGUUUGGAGACUCAUUAUUAAAAUUAGUCAUAUAAUUCCUAAUAGAUUUAUCAUGCCUUUGUUUUAUCACCAUUAAUGUGCUGCAUUCUUGUAGUAAACUUUGGAAGAGACGAAUUGUGCUACAAAUUGCCUAGCUAGUUCAAGGAAAGACUUGACUAAUCUUAGUGGUAAUAGUGGAACCAAAGCUGAGCCCUUUCCUUCAAGAACAUAGGAAAGGUCUUGCAAUGAUUCUCAUCUAUAGUGCUUUGCAGUCAUAUAUGAGUAAGAAACACAAACAGGUGAUCCUCUAGAUUUGUAGAUGCAUCAUACAUAUCCAUGAAUUUUAAAUCUUUUUGGUGGAGGAUAUUCUUCAAUUUCCUUGACAAAGGGAGAAAACUAUGUAAAAAGAUCUGCAUAUUGAUUUGGCUGCAGGAUUAGAUCGAGUUCAUCCUGAAUUGGAUCCUUAGGCAUAUGGUAUUCCAAAUAACUUUUAUUAACCGAGGAUGAGAGCAAUGAGAGUAGUGCUUACUAGUUUUUGAGAUAAAAAUAUGCUUCCUAAAGGGAGAAUAAACCCAUUUCCUCUUAGGGGGAUGAUCAUCAUCAGAGCUAUUUUAGGACGACAAAGCUUGCCUUUCUAUCAUCUUUAUCAGAGCUUUUGAAUUUUACACCUCUUCUGCCUUAUUUUUCCUUUCACCAGGCUGACAAUAUCAUCAAAUAAAGGGAAAUUAUUUGGUACAAAAUUCAUAAUUUUCUCUUUCUUCUCCUCUAAAAUCUAAUAGUCAUUGUUACCCUAAGUUUGCCCAGGGAUGUCAUGAGGUUCUUUGGGGUAACUUUAAUUGGUAUUGCCUAUAGAUUACUUGGAGGCUGUCUUUGUCAUAAGGAAGUUAUAUUACUCCACUUCCCAUAGAGAGCGCAAAUUGUUGAAGCAGUAUUUCCUUCCACUGAGUUGGACUAGACAGGUAAGAAGGGAGCUCAAUCGCAUAAAGGUAGAACUCUCUAAGAAACAUACAAGGAAAGUACCAAUUCAUGAAGAUCCUCGGGGUCAAGUCUCUAAGGUCACUCUGAUUCUCAAGUCAUUUUUUGACUUGAGGAGAAGAAUAUCCUCCUAAUUAGGUGUUAGGUAUCCCUAUAUAUAGGUUUUCGUACAAGAGAGUGAUAAGAGAUUAAGACUAACAAGAUAAAGAGACAAAGAUUACCUCUUUUUGAUUAGUUGAAUAGACAUUAGUUCAUAUGAUGAUUUUCUUAAGAUUAGGAUAGUUAUUAUCACUAACCAACUCAGAUCACCCUUAUUUUAGGAAGUCAAAAACUUAUCCUACCCCUAAAGUCUUCAGUGUCUGAAAUGGAAAAGUCAGACGUUGUUGUUUCUCUUCUUAUGAUUCUACUAUUUCAUGUGGGAAUAGCAAUAGCUGCUGGAAGUCAAGAUGGAUCAGAAGCGUGAGGAUAUGUUCAAAUCAGGCCAAGUAUGUUUCUGAUGUUUUAAGUGCCCAUUACAUGUAUUACUUGUCAAUGUUGAUAUUGAGUUCUUGUGUAUGUUUCAAAGGCUCACAUGCUCUGGUGGUACUAUAGAAGUCCAAACAUGAUUCAAGAUCUCGAAAAGCCUUGGCCAAUUAUUCUUUGGCUGUAGAUAGGGCUACAAAUGAGCUAAAUCGAGUCAAAUGUUGAUUUAAUUUUAGCAAGUUCGAGGUUGAAUUCGAGUUCGACGAGCUCUCAAUGUAAAGGUCGAAGUCAAACUUGACCUCAAAUUUGAACCAAGUCGAGCUCGAUCUCGAGUUUAAAAAAUAAAAAAAAAAUUAUCUUAUUUUUAAAAGAAUGAAUAAAAUAAUAAUUUUUCUUAAUAAAUAACAAAAUAUUAUGGAUAUAUACAUGUAAUUUUAUUAUGUAAAUAAUAUAUAUAUAUAAUUGAGUCAACUCACGAGUUAACAAGUUGAUUAUCUUUGUAUUCAAGCUUGACUUAGUCAGUUCAAACUCGACUCAAGUUCAGUGUUGCCCGACCUCGAGUUGAAUAUUGAUUCGAGUUACUCGUGAUCAGUCAUGAGUGGCUCUACUUGUAUGCAGCCUUAGCUGCAAAGUAGACCUGUGAGUAUCAGAAUUCCCAUAGGGUUCCCUCAAAUUUCAAUCUUGAUUAUUUUUAUGAUAAAACAAUCUGUUUUUGUAGUGAAGGGAGCUUCAGGUGUGGGAAUUGGUAACUUUGAGGAGAUUGGGCCUCUAGAUGUUUUCCUAAAGCGAGGAAAUUCAACAUGGUUGCAGAAAGUUGAUCUCCUGUUUGUGUAGGUAAUGGUUGGUACAUUAAUGUUAGUGAAUUAUCUCAUUAAUAUGCAGCUUUUUCAAAAAUCAAUAUGAGAUUUUCCUGGAGGGGUUUUUUGUAUUUUCUUACCUGAUUUUGUUUUCUAGUAAUUGUGCAUAGAAUUAUCUAGUUGGGAUGGCCAUAGUUUUGUGGAAGACACGGAAGACACCACAUUGUUUGUGAAAAGUGAUUUUGAGGCAACAACUGACGAAACUACAUUCUUGAUCGAAUUUUUCAAAGGGAAUGAGAUCCUUUAGAAGAGUCCUCUGUACAUUAUAGAAGAGUUUUAUGGAGGCAAAUUUGCUAUUAAGGCUUUAUCUGCUUUAAAGGCUAUUAAAGCUAGAAAAUUGAAGCUAAAUCUUGGACUUAAAAAUUGAAUUUAGAGCCCUAAAAUUGAAUAUGGAGUACCUUUUUUCUUAAAUCCCAAAGUAUUGAGCUAUUACCUUUAUAAAUAUAAGUUGCAUUAAGGGAUAGUUGGAUCUCACUAGAAGAUUCUUCAGUUUGUAGUCAGUAUUUUUUUUCUUUACUUGUUCACUAGUGUCAUGAUUAGGGCAGCUGAAUUGAGUCUUAUAUUGAAAUGCAGUCUUCAUGGGUCCUCUUAUAAAAGAUGUCUCGUUGCUUGACAGCAAUGAUUUGAAGAAAUCAAACAGGUCUUCAAUGUUUAUGCUUUAAACUAGUAGUACAUAUUAGCAUAAUUCUCUAAUCUAAUCAAGCUCAAAGAUUUUGGUUCUCUAAUAAGUCUAUAUUUAAUGUAGGGUAGUUCUUCAAAUUAAGAAGCAAAUUGCAGCAGGUAAGUUUGCAGAGGCCACAGAAACAUGGAAGGAAUUGAUAGCAGUCAUUAGCCAUUAUAGUAAUAAUAUGGUAUGAAUUCUUUUGACUUUUUUCCUAGCCUAUCUAAACUUAAAGGUAAUCACAAUAAAUUGGUAAAUUUAUGCUUGCCGAUUUCAUUUGUGUAUAAAUAGAGUAUUUCUACAAUUUCCUCUCAAUUUUACAUGAGGAUGAGCCUUUAUCAUUAUCAGCUGAAUCCAAACUAAAACACAAAAUUGCAGUAAGAAGGUACUCAGUAUACCCUCAAAGAUUGAGGUGCCCUUCCGAAGGUGAUGGUAAUGAUGAUAAUGUUACCUAGAUGAAUGGUUAUAUUAGAAAGAAGUUAAGGACUAUAUCACUGAAUGUCACGUGAGUUUUUCUCCUUAGAAAAUUUUUUACUUCUCAGAGUUGGAGAAGUAAUAAUGGCUAGAACAGAUGGGAAUUUUCAACUUGUUGCUAGAGCCAUCCAAGGUGAUUUCAUUAGGACAUGGAUUAGGGAGGCAAAUAUAUCAGCUUUUGUGUUUUAGUUGAGAACGAAAAGUCGGGAAGUUUUCAGGAACUAUAUCAGUUUGUAAUUUUGAAUUAUACCAAAAAUGAUUUUUUUUCCUCAUUUGAUCAGCAUUCUUCAAUCACAUCUCAAUUGAGAUAAGACCAGCUUAUCCAAUUACAUGCAGUAAAUUCUCAAGCAUUUGUUCAACUACUUUUUGCAGGUCGAUGAACUUUGAGCAAAUGGAGUAAAUGUUAAUAUCUAAAAUGGACAAGCACAAUUCUGCAAUGGUUUAAGAAAUAUAGAGCAGGAAUGAUGCUUUAUUUUCCAUGCUAUCAAUUUGACUUUCUUUAGUUUGAUUAGAAUGUUAUUUAUUGUUGCUGAUAGCUUCAUCUCAUCUGUCCAACCAACGUAUCCAAUGCCCACAUGGGUUGAAAAGCUCAAGUAGGAAUUAAUUAAUCCCACAAGUAAUUGAGAACCCAAAUCCCUCUUUCUAAGAAAAACACUCUCUUAUCAAAAUCAGUAACUUUUUUCCUAUUUCAUUGGUGGGAUGGGAUCACAUUUUUCUUGAACAUGGAUAGAACUCCUGCGUAUUUUGAAGAUGACAAAGAGUAUAAAGGGUUUCACCAAAUCAUACAGAAAUUUACAUUUCUACUGGAUUCUUAAUGCUGGCCACUUUGUAGGUCAACUAACUAUUGUCAUAUUUCUGCUGUAUUUGUCUCUGUUGGUCUAAAAUUACUAUGACUCUUGCCUACUAGAGGCAAGGUUGAGAAGACAACACAUCCAAUAGUUUUAGUACGUCAUAGCCAAUCUCCUAAUUUUGGAAGGCUAAAGUUUUGCACAAUUUUAUCAUGAAUGUUGAAGAAAAUGUAAGGUUUGCUUGGCAUCCAUGCUUUUUGCUAGUUUAUUUUGGACAAAUUUUUUCCCCAACUUUAAGUUACACUUUUAAAAAUAGGGUUAUUAUCACUUUAAUGGAGUUUGUUAAUUCAAUUAAAAAGACAUGUUUAGCCCUUAAAAUUAUUAUCAUUUUCCUUUCAUAAACUAUAGCUUUAUUAUCAAUUUACCCCCUAGAAUUAUUUUUUAGACAAUUUAUCCCACAAUUAAACCAAUUUAGUGAGUUAAAAAACUUUAGAAAAAAAGUAUUCUCCUCUUUAAAUAAUAAAAAUAAUAAAAAAUUUAGAGUGGUUGUUCUCUUUUUUAGUAUCAAGAGAAAAAGUCAAAGUAUUAAUCUCUUUCUUCUUGGUAAUCUUAUUAAUACUAAAAAAAAUAGAAAGGUUGGGAAAAGAGAGAGAGAGAGAGAGAGAGAGAGAGAGAGAGAAAGAGCUCAAUUCUUAUUUUAAAAAAAUACAAAUAAGAAAGAAUUCAAUAUUUUUAUUUUUUUUAAAGUUACUUUACUUUUUUGUUUACUAUCCAAUUCUAAUCCUAAUCUCGGUGAUGUUAAAGUAAUACGAUAAUAUUAGAUUCUUUCUUAUUUUUUUCUUUGCAAAAUCUAAUUUUUUCUGUCUCCUUUUCUCCUAUCUCUUUUUCUUUUCUUAGUAUUAAUAAGUAUGAAAAAAGAAAUUUGAAAAAAAUCAUUUUUUAUGUUUUUGGAACUCUUAGAGUGAGAAAAAAAGGACGAAUAAUCAUUCCAAUUUUUUUUUAAUUAUAUAUAGAAAGAAUAGAUACAUUAAUAUUUUUUUGAACAUACUAUUGUGGCUAAUAAUGGAGUAAAAUGCCUAGAAAAUAUUGUUAGGAAGUAAAGUGAUUGUAUCACUGUAAUUUAAAGGGGUGAAAUGAUAAUGAUAAUGUAGUAAUGCUAAUAAAUAAAAGGGUAUUUUUAUCCAAAAUUUGUUAACAUGUUGAGUUGAACUACUUAUGGGGGUGGAAUGAUUAAAAGAUAAUGUUAGAAAAUAAAUUGAUAGUAGUGAUAUAGUUUAAGGGAGUAAAGUGAUAAUAAUCCUUAAAAAUACUCCAAAGUUUUUAAAAUAUACACCCAAAAUACCCCAAAGCAUACAAAAAAGUCUUUUCCUUCUUUCCUUUCUUCCCCCCACCUCAACCUGCUAUCACCACCAUCGACCACCUCAGCCUCUCCUUUUUUUUUAAUUCUCUCAUUCUCUCUCCCUCACCUCCUCCCCCUCACUUGUCCUCUCCUAGUCUCGGGAAGGGGGGAGGGGGAUGGGGUCAGGGAGAGGAGGGAGAGAGAGUGGCAGGGGAAAGGGAGAGGGAAGGUGAGGGUGGCGGUUGCACUAGGGAGGGUGGGAGAAGGAGAGCGAUGGUGGUGUGGGGAAGGAAGAAGAAAGAGAAACAAAAGGAAAAAAAAAAGAAAGAAAAGGAAAAGAAAAAAAAGAAAGUUUUUAAUUUUUCAAACUCUCAAAUAUACAAAGUUUUUUUACGAGUUCUACAUUAAGUUUUAUGAUAAAAUUUUAUAUAGACACCACAAAAUACACCAUCCAGGUGAACCCAUUGUUUUUCUUGAUCCUUCCCAUUGAAAUGGUUAUUCUCAUUUUUGUGCAUCUAAAUAUAUUUGUCAUAUUCAAAAAGUAAGAACAUAAUGUUUACUCUUUUUAUGCUCCAAAUCAUUGUCUUUUUGUGGAAGACAUGCAUGUCGUUCCAUUCAGAUGUUCAAUUCGAGAGCAUAAACUUCGAAAAAGUUUAGCUAAUUGUCUCUACCAAAAAGCAACAAAACACUAGCACGAAGUAAUUGAUGGGCUUGUAUGGAUGGAAUUUAUAUAUGAAGAUAGCAAGAUGUGUAACAUGUGCAUCUAAUACAAGAAUUAAAUGAAUUUAAGAGGUAAUAAGACACCACAUCACUACUACUGGAUAGUCAAACUGGUUUUGCUUUACCACGCACUAACAGAUGUCUGCCAUUUACUGGUAAAUUUACUAAUCAAGAAUGGAACAUGAAUUUUAAAGAAGAAAGAAAGCUAUGGAAGUCAAAAUUUCACGCACCAUUUAUUUAUUGAAGUUAUUGACAGAUAUCAGCAGUUUCGAUCAAAGGAAAUUAAGAUCAUAUGCUGAACGAAUUCUUGCAAAAUUAAUGUAUGUUAGGUCUUGUCCUAGAAAAUUGAACAAGAAGAACAAAAAGACUCUUGACAACCCAACAAAGGCAACUGCACAACAAAUAAAUCAAACAGAGAGAUAUCAAAAUUUAAGUGGUUCAAUAGAAUUGGCCUACAUCCACGGGUGAAAGAGAAACAUAAUAUUACUACAAACUAGAGAGUACAAAAGAGAGAAAGUACAAAAUCAUAGAAAAUCAUUCUAAAAUCUAAAGGCACCUAAAACUAAAAAUACAAAAGAGACUAAAUAGCACAAAAAAGUUUAAUGGUCCAAAGGUUCACUAACUUGCUCUUUUAGUUUGACGCAUAAACAAAAUCUCUCUCGACUUGGGGCAUGAGACCCCAAAAAACUUCUCUUGAAUGGAGCCUUGAAACUUGGAUUGGUACGCUUAAUAUAUUUUAACUCAUUAAGUCCAUUGUAUUUAGAACCACCAAGAGAGAGAUUUCUUUGUAAAUUUUUUGAUAAGGGAUACAAAGAUAAACUCAACAAAUCUCCACCUUGGCAUGUAUCCAACAUCAACAAAUGACAGACAAGUGGCAAAUAUGCUACACUUCCCCACAAAAGUUCCUACAGAACCCAAUGAGUCACAAAAAUCCCAAAAGAUCCCAACGCACCAUCAAAAAAUCAAAAUACAAAAGACUCAACGGAUUCCAACUGGCAAAACACGCAAAGGAUUCAACAGAUCCCAAAGGGUUAAAAACAUGAAUAUGAUAAUUUUGCUUUUCAAGUUCACUAUGUAGGACGACUCCCAAAUUGUCCUCUCUCGUGCUCAGGAAAGACCAAUUUUUUUUUUAUCAUAGAAAAAAAGUGGGAAUAUGAUAUGGUGACAAUUGAGAUGGCAUCUAGUAGGGCUCGUGGUCAAUUUGGUGGUGGAAGUGCAUCACCAAACUCGAAAAGUUGCUUUCAUUCUUGCUGAAUAACUGAACAUCAAUCUUUCCAAGAUUAGAAACUCAAUUUCCUCACGUUUGCUGCUACUGGAAUUUUAAUUUUCUUUGCAUUUGUUGCUGCUGAAAAUUGGGCUUCGCCAAACUUUAGUCGUUGGUGUUUGAAUUCAUUAGUGUAGCCUUGCACCUCAAUUGUUUGUCAAUUUGCCUCAACGAAUUUUAUGCCAAAAUAGACAUCAGCUCUACGUCCCUACUUGCCGGAGAUGGCGGCCUGUGGGCCGUCUGACAAGCUUCCGGACAGUGGGACUUCAGUUUUGAGGUCCUUUGCAUCAGUACUAGCAGAUGGUACGAAACAAACUGAUGCCUUAGCCUUGGGAGAGGUCUCAACCUUUAGAGGAGAGCCAGCCUUGCGCAUCUCUCGCAGGGAAAUAGAGCAGCUUUCUGUUCCAUUUCAGAACUCUUUGGUGGGGCGCUUCUUGUUCAACAGACCACCCAUGGAAGUUAUUAGGAAAUUCUUUCUUUCGCUGGGUUUACGAGGUGCUGUAAGGUUGGGCUCCUUGACCAGAAACAUGUUCUGAUCCGUCCGGUGUUGGAGGAAGACUACACCCGUCUUUUUGCACGUAGAAUCUGGUAUGUUAGCAGCUCGCCAAUGUCAAUUUCCAAGUGGUCGCUACAUAAGCUUGUCAAUUAAACUCAUCUGUACACUCAAUUGAAGAUUUUUUUUUGUUUUUUGGUAUUUUCCCCUCUUUGGCUAAAUACAUUGGGGAAUAAAGGGAAGUGGUGAGUGAGAAUGGAAGUGAGAUAUUUGCCUAAAAAAUUAAUGGUACUUCUGGCAUUGGUCCAGCCAUUGCUUUCUUGAACAUCCUAAUUGAACUUAUUUGAUGGGUGCUUGUCUGUGGUAUGGUUUAUUUCAACAAGUCUGUAUUGAAAUCAGUUUGAAGAGUUUGAAAUUGCUGCAGGUUGUGAUUGGGAUGGAUGUGGCUGCUUCUGAGUUUUCUGGUAAAGACAAGACUUAUGAUCUAAACUUCAAAGAAGAGGUAUUGUUUUUUCACAUUUUCUCUCCAGAUUGUUAUGUCAAACGUUCGAAUUCAUUGCUAAGCCAAAGGAUAAAAUUACAUCUAGAUUCAUAAAUUCUAGUCUUCUAAAGGGGGGUAAUUUCAAUCAUGACAUCUAUCUUUUUGGUCAUUCUUCUUCUUUAUUUAGUAUGUUUGCUGCUUUAGUAGUAUGUUUGGUGAUAGCAAGUAGAAAUUUCAGUGCAAUGAUGGCAACUGGAUCAGUGUGUUAUUCCAAAACCUUUUGAUAUACAAGAAAAUAUAACUUGCGUUAUCACCUUUGCUUUUGCCAGUUAAGUUUUGCAAACCUGCUUGGUACCAAAAUUUGGCUAUUCAGCAAUCAACUUUAUUUCGAAUGAAAUGAAUCCUGUUUGGUAUCGUUACUUUACAUUAGAACAUAAUUACUAGGUGCUGAUAUCUUUAAUUUAUUUUUUUAUUUCUGGUCUUUCUUUGCAGAAUAAUGAUGGCUCACAAAAGAUAUCAGGUUAUGACUGAAGGCUCUCAUUUCAUUGGAAAGUUUGGAAGCUACUGCAAGUUCUUUCUACUUGCUAGGGAUGAGAAUAUUUUAGUUUGUGCACAAGAGAAUCUUUUAAGUUUGUGCACAUGAGAAUCUUUCAAGUUUGUAUUUGUUAGGGAUUUGUUAUGUUAGUACUUGUUACUGACUUUUAGUUCAACAAAUUAUAUUUGAGUAUUGACUUUUGCUUUUAGAUUACUAUAUGGAUUCUGUUCUUUGGGAUAAUUUUACAAGUCCUUUGGGUUUCUGAUUGACGGAAUGUAUUGCAGGGAGCACUACCUGCAGGUUGCUUCUAUAUAAAAAAAAAAGAACAAAAAACUCCUGGCAGUUAAAAGUGUCAGCAUAGAAUUCGAUAUUCUAAUGUUGUACUAUACCUAUCCUGACACUUUCAAUUAUCAAGAAAAGGGAUUUUUGUUGGCAGAUGGGAUGUUAUAAUAGCAUAGUUUUCCUGACAUGUUGAAUAGUAUGAGUCAAUCCCCACAUUGGAAGGGACAACACUCGCCCUAGGUGUGAGGAUAGAUAAAGUGUCAGGUUAGAUUAUCUAUACUGACGCUUUUAAAUGCCGUUAAAGGCCAUUUUUGUUGUAGUGCGGCCACUUUGUAAGCCAACUAACUAUUGUCAUAUUCUGCUGUAUUUCUUUUAUUGGUCUAAAUUACUGUCACUCUUGCCUACUUGGCAAGAUUAAGAAGACAAGGCACACUAUUAUCCCAGAAUUGGAAUAGAUAUGAUUGAGUUACGUCACAGUUAGGCAUGGUUAUUGUACUUUUUUCAUAAUUUAGUGUAUAUUUAUUGACAUGAUUAUAUUUAUGUGUUGAAUUGAUGUAUAUGAAUAAAUUUUGAAUACAACAAAGUUAUAUAAAAGUAUACCAUAUUAUGGAGAAAGUACAAAAUCGGACAAUUGCACCAAAAUUUCAAUAGCACUUGUCCCUGGUCCCUAUUAUCCCAAUAGUUUUCACAAUUUGAUCGAUGUCUAAGAAACCACCCAUGUAAAAGAAAAAAUAAUACUUCCUUCAUUCUAUUGGAAAUGUCACUUCCCAUUUUUUUCACAGCCCAAAAUAUUUGUCAAGUCCAAAAAGUUAAAACAUAAUUUUUGCUUUUUUUUUCUACUUUUAUUCAUUAUCUUUUUGUGGAAGAUGUUGCCAAUUCAGGUUUUACUUCGGGAGAAUAAAGUUGAGAAAGUUUAAACAAUUAUCAGUAUCAGACCACUUUUAUUGAAAGUUGGAUUGCCAAAAAGUGACAAAAGUAGUAAUUGCCAGACUUAUAUUGGAACUUUAUAUGAUGAUACAAAGAUGAAAUUGGUCCUGCUGCCAAAGCAAUAACUGCCAAGCUAUUUUUCAAAAAAAAAAAACACCAAACUAUGGUAGAUUACGCCUGGCAUUUAUUGGUAAAUCUACCAGACCCUUAUGGAAUACUAGACGUUUAAGAACAAAAGAAAAUUAUGGGACAUCUUUGUGAUAGAAAUUUUCCGCAUGAAUUAUUUCUUGAAAUUAUUUAUUGGUUACAGACAUGAGAAUGGCUACCAAAAUGGACAUUGAGAUUUACUUUGAAUAUGUUCUUGCUAAAUGAAUAUAAAUAUAUAUAUAUGUUGGAUUUGUGGGCCAGCUUAUUUAUGGGACAAACUACAAAAACAAACCUUAGGAUUCCAUUCUUGUGAAGAAGGAAAAAAGUCAGCCAUCACUUUUGCCUUUGGAGGAAAAACGAAGAGAGAGAAAGUGUGAAGAAGCUAGAGAAAGAGAAACUUCAAAGUCUUGAUUGGAGGGUGAUUCAAAAUCCAAUUGAGAUGAAAUUUUACACACGCGAUCCUCUCAUCAAGCCCUACUCAUCUACCUAUUCAGAUUUUGGAUUUUCUCUUUGUUUGGUAAUACUUUUUCAAACUCACUUCUUUGACAAUUGUAGUUUUUGGGAGUGAUUUUGUAGCGAUUUGACUUGAUUGAUAUUGGCAAUAUUAUUGUCAUCUAGAUGUUUCAAAUAGACCUGUGUAUUCCCAUUAUUAUGAUAGUGAAGAUUUUUGACUGGAUUAGGUCCCGUGAUUUUUUUCAAUUUGAAUUUUUCACGUAAAAAUCUUGGUGUUCUGUGUCUUUUAUUUUUCUUGCAUUCUAUUUUUACUGUUGGCAUCGUUGCUUGGUGAUUUGAUUUAUUCCUAUUUUAAUUGGUACUUGGGAAAAGAAAAAUUUAUUCUACGCUAAUUCUAAUAUUGUGUGCCUGUACCGGUACUCCUUUCCCAAAAAAGAGUAUCAGAGCAGUCAGGUUAGGUUGCUUUUUCAUACUAGUUAAAAAUGGAUGAUUCAAAUAGUGGUUGCAUGACAAAAUUGGAUUCUAAUAAUUAUUCGAUUUGAAAGUCUAGAAUGAAAAGCUACCUGUAUUGAAGAGAUUUGUUUGAAUCUGUUUUAUGGUAUAAGGGUAGACCAAGUGAUAUGAGUGAUAAAAAAUGGGAUGUUAUGCACAGAAAAAUUGUUGGUAAUAUUAGAAAAUGAAUUAGUCAGAGUAUAUGCUAAUGACACCAGAACUGAUAUAUUAUGAAAAAAGCUUGAGAGUAUGUAUGAACGGAAGACCAGUUUGAACAAGGCUAGUUGUCUGAAGCAGAUUACUCGGAUGAGAUAUAAAGAUGGGAAAUAUAUGACUGAAUAUCUGAAUAAUUUUCAGGAAUUGAUAAACCAGACAACUACGUUAAAUUCGAAUUUGGAUGAUGAAGUGUAGGCUCUAUUAUUAUUCAGUUCACUAUCGAAUAGUUGAAAAAUCAUGGUGGUCUCUAACAGCAAUUCAGUUCCGAAUGAUGUGUUGACCAUGGCUAUUGCAAAGGAGGCCAUGAUGAAUGAAGUGUUCAGGAGGAAGGAACGAGAAAUUAUCUAUGAGUCACAGGCCCUGAUGACAGAAAAAAAAGGAAAGAAGAGGGAGGAGCAAAAGUAGAGGACUCUACAAUAGGAAUGACAAAUCCAGAUGCAAGUUUGAGUCACGAAAAAAUUUGCAUGCAAAUAUUGUAAAAAAAAUGGGCAUUAUAUGAAGGAAUGCAAAAUUUUAAAAUGGGAACAAGAUGAGAAAAAGGGUAAGAGGAAAGAAAAAGGUGAUAAAGAGACUACAACAGUUGUGGUAGCUCAUAAUGAUAUGUUUGUAUUCUGUGAUGAUGGUCAGGUGAAUAUUAUUCAUUAUGAUAGUGAUAGGGUAGUUGAUUCGAGUGCAUCCUACCAUAUUACUGCUCAUAGGCAUUUCUUCUCAAUUUACACCGAAGAAGAUUUUGGAUACAUUAGGAUAGGAAAUGAGGUCUCAUUCAAAGUUAUUGACACGGAAAACAUAUAUUUGGAUACAGAUGUCGGGUGUCAGCUGAUAUUAAGAAAUGCUUGACAUGUCUAUGAUAUUCGUCUUAAUCUUAUUUCUACAAGAAAACUUGACGAUGAGGGUUAUCAUAACUUGCAAGGUGGAUGCAAAUGAAAACUCAACAAAGAAAAUCUUGUUAUUGCUAGAGGAAAGAAGCAGAGUACCCUCUACUUGAUGCAAGCCAAGUUGGGGAAGGGAGAAGUGAAUGCAAUUCGUGAUUCAUCAAUUGACCUUUGGCAUAGGCGACUUGGACACAUUGGUGAAAAGGAAAUUCAGACACUUGUUCGCAAAUAGUUUCUACUUGAAGUUACAGGUAAUGUACUUAAACCUUGUGUUGAUUGCAUUUAUGGAAAACAACACAGAGUUGCAUUUUAAAAUUUUUCUCGAAGUAGAAAACUGAAUCCGUUAGAAUUGGUGCACACUGAUAUUUACUAUAUGAAAGAUAAGUCUCUUGAUGGUGUUGUUUAUUUUAUAAGUUUUAUUGAUAACUUUGCUAGAAAGGUUUGGUGUUUUGUUUUGAAAUCUAAAAAUCAGGUUUUGGAUGUAUUUAAAGAUUUUCAUAACAAAAUUGAAAGAGAAACUAGUAAGCAGUUAAAGUGUGUGCGUACUGAUAAUGGUGGUGAGUACAGAGGACCAUUUGAAAUCUAUCACAAGUUCCGUGAGAUUAGAUUAGAGAAAACUAUACCAAAAACUCCUCAAGAGAAUGGAGUAGCAGAGAGGAUGAAUAGAUCCAUUACUGAGCGGAUUAGAUGUAUGCUCUCUAAUUCUAAGUUGCCAAAAUCCUUUUGGAGUGAGGCAAUGAGGACUGCAGUUGAUUUGAUUAAUCUUUCUCCAUUAGUUUCUCUAGAUGAUGAUAUCCCAGAGAAAAUAUGGACGGGAAAAGAUAUAUCCUUCAAGCAUUUGAGAGUUUUUGGUUGCAGGACAUUUGUUCAUAUUCCUAAAAAUGAGAGGUCAAAACUUGGUGUAAAAUCAAAGUAGUGUAUUUUUUUGAGUUAUGGACAUGAAGAUUUUGGCUAUAGGUUGUAUAAUCUUGAUAAGAAGGUGAUUAGGAGCAAAGAUAUUGUUUUCUUUAAAGAUCAAACUAUUGAAGACAUUGAUAAAGGUGACAAUCCAAAAUCCUCAUAUGACAUUCCUGCUAGUUCAAAUCUAGAUCCAAAUCUAGUUCUAGUACCUACUGAUUUUAAUCAAUGGGGAGUUGAGACAGAGUAGAAAGAGGAUGUUGAUGAUGGUAAAAUCCUGCUGCUAAUGAACCUGAGCAUGAGGCGCCACCUACUCCACCACCUCCACCACAAGAUGAGUUUAGGAGAUCUACUAGAGAGAGGAGACCUUCUAACAGAUAUAAUCCCCAUGAAUAUGUGUUAUUGACAGAUAGAGGAGAGCCAAAGUCCUACUGUGAGGCUCUAGAGCAUGAGAACAAAGAAGAUUGGUUGCGAGUCAUGCAAGAGGAGAUGGUGUCCCUGCAUGAGAAUCACACUUAUAAGUUAGUGAUACUGCCUAAGGACAAGAGAGUUCUGAAAAACAAAUAGAUCUACAAGUUGACGAUUCAAGAGUAUAGCUCACAAGCAAAGUACAAAGAAAUAUUGGUUGUGAAGGGAUUUAGUCAAAAAAAGGGUAUAGAUUUUGAAAAAACUUUCUCUCCUGUUGUAAAGAUGUCAUCAAUUCAAAUUGUUCUGGGUAUUGCAGCCAAUUUAAAUUUAGAGAUUGAAUAAUUUGAUGUAAAGACAGCCUUCCUGCAUGGUGAUUUGGAAGAGGAAAUCUACAUGGAACAGCCAGAGGUGUUUAAAGAAAGUGGAAAGGAAAAUCUUAUAUGUCGUCUCAAGAACAGCUUGUAUAGUCUAUAACAGACACGAGACAAUGAUACAAGAAGUUUGAUUCCUUCAUGAUAGACCACAAGUACCACAGGACUACAUUUGAUCACUGUAUUUAUGUGAAAAAUUUUUCAGAUAGUGAUUUUAUUAUUCUCUUGUUGUAUGUUGAUGACAUGUUGAUUGUUGGCCAUGAUACUAUAAAAAUUGAUAGGUUGAAAAAGGAGUUAAGUAAAUCCUUUGAAAUGAAGGAUUUGGGUCCGGUUAGACAGAUAUUGGAGAUGAAAAUCUCACGAGAUGGGCAAAAUGAAAAGUUUUGGUUGUCUCAAGAAAAUACAUUGAGAAAGUAUUCAACAAAUUUAACAUGAACAAGGCUAAGUAAGGCUCAACUCCACUUGCGGGUCAUUUUAAUUUGAACAUCAAGCAGUUGCUCAUGCAGUUGGAAUAGUCAGUCGGUAUCUCUCUAAUCCUAGUAAGGAGCAUUGGAAUGCUAUCAAAUAGAUUCUCAGAUAUCUCAAGAGAACUUCCAAAUUGUGUUUGUAUUUCAACAAUGGUAAAAUUAUGCUAGAUGGGUACAUCGAUGCAGAUGUGGCAAGUGAUAUUGAUAAUAGAAAAUCCACAUUUGGGUACUUGAUGAUUUUUGUAAGGGGAACAAUGUCAUGGCAAAAUAAAUUACAGAAAUGUAUUGCUCUUUCCAGUAUAGAGGCAAAGUAUAUCGCAACCACUAAAGUAUGCAAGAAGAAUUUUUGAUUGCAAAAAUUCCUUCAAGAGUUAGGUAUAAAACAAGAGAAGUAUAGUCUUUACUGUAACAGUAAGAGCGCUAUUCAUUUGUAUAAAAACUCUACAUUUCACUCUUGGUACAAACACAUUGAUGUGAGAUAUCAUUGGAUUCAGAAAAUAAUGGAUAACAAGUUGUUGACACUUGAGAAGAUUCAUACAAAUGAUAAUGGUGCUGACAUGUUGACCAAGGUAUUGCCUAAGGAGAAAAUCUUGUUUUUUAGAUAGGAAGUAGGUUUGACUAUACCCUCAAAUGAGUUGGAGAGGGAAAUUGUUGAAUUUUUGGGCCAAACCACAAAAACAAAUCGUAGGUUUUCAUUCUUGUGAAGAAAGAAAAAAGUUUACCGUCACUUUUGUCUUUGGAGAAAAAAUGAAGAGAGAAAGGGUGAAGAAACUAGAGAGAGAGAAACUUCAAGGUUUUGAUUGGAGGGUGAUUCAAAACCCAGUUGAGGUGAAAUUUUACACACAUGAUCCUCUCAUUAAACACUACUUAUCUACCUAUUCAGAUUUUAGAUUUCCUUUUCAUUUAGUAGCAUUUUUCCAAACCCACUUCUUUGACAGUUGUAGUUUUUGGGGGUGAUUUUGUAGUGAUUUGACUUUGUUGAUAUUGGUAAUAUUAUUAUCAUCUGAAUGUUUUAGAUAGACUUGUUUUUUUCCAUUAUUGUAAUAGUGGAGAUUUUUAAUUGGACUAGGUCGCCUGAUUUUUCCCAAUUUGAGUUUUUCACGUAAAAAUCUUGGUGUCCUGUGCCUUUUAUUUUUCUUGCAUUCUAUUAUUACUAUUGGCAUCGUUGUUUAGUGAUUUGGUUUAUUCCUCUUUUAACUGGUACUUGGAAAAAGAGAAAUUUGUUCUGGACUAAUUCUAAUAUUGUGUGUCUGUACCGGUACCCCUUUCCUAACAAUAUAUAAUAGAUUUGUAAGAAAAUUUUCUUAUAGUUAUGUCAUGUAAUUUUAUUUGCCCUUUUCGAUUUCUUUAUAGGUCUUUGUUGAUCAUCCCUGUGUGGCAUUAAAGAUGAUAGGAAGCAUCAUGCAGUCACCUGCUGCUUCAGAAUAGGGGUGGCUUUCCAAUUUAGCCAAUAUAAAAGACCAACGCUGAAGAUACAUGAACAGAAGAAUAACAUAGAAGUCUCUUUUGAUUGUGAAAGAACUAUCACAGGAAUGUGAAUUAUUAAGAGAAAAUUGAAAAUUAAUCUUUAGUAUAUUCGUCUUGUGGUGUCAUUAUGACAUUUUCUUUUAUAGAAAAAAGAGAAUUUUCAUUACUAAAUUUGCUAAAAUCAUCCAGCACAAUUUAUUUAAUAAAGUUAGGAGGUCAAUUGUUAUUGGACUUAACAUGAUUUAAUUUGCAUGUCCUUAUAUUUGAUGGAUUAUUCGAGACUUGAUAUUUGAUUAGCUAGUGAUGCAUCAGGUCAAGGGAUACAAACUAGAGGUACUCAAACCAUUUCAUUAGCAGGGUUAAGUUAGGUGAUAGGAUGAGAGGAAUUGUAAAUAUAAGAUAUUGGGUACAAGACCUCCCACUUAAGAAAAAACGUUUCCAUUACUGUUGCGAUUGAAGCAGAAUCAAAAGCCUCAAAAUAACUCUUUACAUUCAAUUUGCCAUAACACAUGUAACUGGAUGCAUCCUAAACACUUGGGCUAAUUCCUAUGAUUAAGAUUUGAGGGAAAAAAUUACAGAAAAAAGUAGUAUUGUAAAACUAAUUAACCAUACCAUCCAAAUUCUACACGUUAGGGACAAAAUAUAAAAUUAAAUUUUUUACUAAUGUAAAUUUGAUUUCGACUAUUUGCCAAGCUUUUCUUCUAUCUAAACAAGAAAAUUUUAUUGCCACAUUUGUUUUGCAUGAAACUUUAGAAAUUAAUUUUGCUCAUAGUCCAAACAUUAGGAACCAAAAAUACAUUUCUCCAUUUUCUAGAAAAGGAAAGCAAAACUUCCUUCCGUUCAAUUUUAUGAACUUGUACUGGUGGACUUUGGUUGAAUUGAAUGUUGGUUUCUGGUUGGACAUUUGAGACAGUUUGGUCAGUUUCAUUAUGGUUGUAUAAUUGUCUUUUGGAAUGAAAACUUCAUUUGUUGUUUUAAAUUCAUUGUUGGAUUGAGGAUUUCUUAAAUUAGGUUGCAAAUAUUGUGUGUUGGUAAUAGGGUUUUGAAUGGGAUUAAACAUAGGUUUAAAUUUUAGACUAGCAGUACCAGUUUGAAAACUAGAAAAAUGAGUUAAACCAAACUCGAGUUGGUUUGUCGAACUCACACAAAUUGAACUUCAUUGAGCCAAGCUCAAGCAUAGGAAUUUUUUUGCUGAAUCAAACUCGAGCCUCAUUUUUCUUGGCUCAGCAAGUUCAAGUUUGAGCUUGACCGCACACAAAAUAAUGUCAAGUUUGGCUCGAUUAACAAAAUGUUUGAUUUGAUGUGGAUCAUUUGCACCCCUAUGUAUGAUUAUGCAAGGGUAAUUUGGAAAGAAAAUCAUUUUAGCAUUUUAUGUGAAUUUUUUUGGAUAUAUGGCCGAUUUUGUUGCAUUGAAAUUCAAGAUAAGGAAGCUAAGGAGUUAAGCAUAAUAUUCCCAACCCCAGGGGAGCCAAGUGAAAUUUUUAGAAGCUGAAGGAGGUUUUUGUAUUUAUCUCUGAAAAGAAGUACUGAGGAAAUGAAGAAUGGGGUUUAUAUUUAGGAUUAACUAUUUAUGCACUACCAUUGUAGUGAUUUUUUCACAUUAGUAGUUAUGGAUGUCUGCUAUAUGUUCAUGAUUUGAAUUUCAAAUUUGAAUUCAUGUUAUGUGAUAAUUUAAACAUGCUAGUGUAAAAAAAAAAGUACAAUGAUAGUAUAAAAAAAACUUAUCUUAUAUCUAAGGGCAAAUUACAUAUAACCUUCCUAUAGUUUUGCAUAAUUCUAGAUGACCCCUCUAAAAUUUUAAAAUAGUCAUAUAACCUCCUGUAAUUUUAUGUAAAGCGAACAAUGGAUGGAAUGCAUAAUCAAUUAUAACAAUUAAACCACACACACUCUAGAAGUGCAUGUCAUGAAAUCAUAAUAUCCAUUUACGCUAUGAUUUGUAUAAAUAUCCACUUUAUUCUCCUGUAAUUAUUACAUUUAUCCACAUAAUUCUCUUAUGGCUUUAUACAAGGUAGUAUAAGUCAUCAUUUGAUUUAGCAUUUAAAUAAGGGCACUGUUGGUAUUUCAAAUAAUAACAUUAUAUAGGUUAUUUUCAAUUAAAAUUUUAGUUUACUAAAAUCAUAAGGGGUAAAGUGAAUAUUUUGAAAUUUUAUGGGAGUUAUGUGGCAAUAAAUAAAAUCAUAAAGGGUUAUUACUAGUUUACCCUAUAUUUAAUAGGUGACAACUUAACCAAAAAAAGACCCUUAUAAUUAUUUAGAUAAUUUAUCACAUUUCCUUCGUCCAUUCUUGAAGUAGCUAGCUAACUAGGAUGUAUAAUCGAACUUUCCUAGCCUUUGACUUUAAUUAAUCCCUGCUCACAAAUUCUUAAAGUCUGUUUGUUAGGAACAUGUUUAUCUAUCUUUUGCUUCUGUUGAAGUGGUAUUUCCUUCCAACGAGCUAAACUAGAUAAGUAAGGCGAGAGCUCAAUCACAUAAAGGCAGAACUCUCUAAAAAACCUAUAAGGAAUGGACCAAUUUAUGAGGAGUCUCGAGGUCAACCCCUCAAGGUCAUUCCACAUUCAAGUUAGUUUUUGACUUGAGGAGAAGGAUAUCCUUCUCGGUGGGUGUUAGGUAUUUCUAUAUAUAGGUUUUCGUACAAGAGAGUGAUAAAGAAAUUAAGAGAUACUGAGAUAAAGAGAUAAAGAUUACCUCUUUUUGUUUGGUACGAUAGACAUUAGUUCAAAUGAUGAUAUUUCAUCAUUUUUAAGAUAAAGAUAGUCACUAUCAUUAACCAACUAAGAUCAACCGUAUCUUCAGGUAGUCAAAAUCUUAUCCUAUCCCCAAGGUUCGAGUUCAAGAUCAACUCGAUCUAUCACUACAAGAAAAUUGGUCAUCAGUGACAACUUUUCUCUGUGACGAAAAAAAGUUGUCACAAAAGUGGAUCCUUUAUUGACGACUUUCUAACUCGUCACAAACCUCUAAUGGGAGCCAACUCAUUUGUGACGACUUUUCUAAGUCGUCACUAGUAAAUUCCCGCCAAGUUUUAGCAAGAGCGCGGGAGUGUUUAGAACACACAAUAGUGACGACAUUAAGAACAUCAUCACUAUUGCUUGGCCUAUUUACGGACGACUUUUUGUUGUCGUCACUGAUCACUAAAAAAAAAAUUUAUUAGUGACAACAUUUUUUAGUGAUGACAAUAAGUCGUCACAAAAGGAGCUUCUUUAGUCGCGACACCUAAAGUUGUCAUAAUUGCAUCAAAGCAACUAAAUGUUUAGUGACGACCCGUUAUUUUCGUCACAAACUACACUGCAAGAAAUAUGGUCAUUAGUGACAACAUUUUUUAGUGACGACAAAAUUCGUCACAAAACGUGAUUGUUUAGUGACGACAAGGAAAGUUGUCAUAAUUGCUCAAAGCAACUAAGUGUUCAGUGACGACCUUGAAAAAGUUGUCACUAAAAUGAUCUAUAUAGUGACAACUUCUAAUAUCGUCACUGUCACUCUACCGAUUUGGAUUUAGUGACAAGAAUUAAUCGUCACUGUUUAAAGUACUUAUUUCUAAGUCACUUUCUGUAAUUCUACUGUGCCACCCUAACUUUUGCGAUUUAGCCCCAAAUGUUGUAAAAAAUUCCAUUAAUUCGAUUAUGAUACCUUAACUUUUACAAUUUAGCCCCAUAUGUAGUGCACCGAUUUCUUUAAUUCUAUUAUUACUCCCUAAUUUUUGUAAUUUAGCCCCAUAUGUAAUUCACCAAUUUUAUUAAUUCUAUUAUGGCACUCUAACUUUUGCAAUUUAACCCCCAUAUGUAAUAUACCAAUUUUAUUAUUUCUAUUAUGGCACCCUAGCUUUUACAAUUUAGCCCCUAUUUUUUUAUUAGGAAAUUGCGAAUGGUAUCUUGAUAAACUAUGCAUAAAUAUUUUAUAAUUUUCUCAAACUUAAGUAAUAAUUUGUUAUAAACUCUAUAGAUAUAUCUUUCAUUACAAUAGUUAUAAGGUAGGCAGGUCUUUUUAUCAAUGGAAUAAGAAAUUUAUGCCAGAUUUAUCCUUUGUACUACAUGCCAAGUAGUAUUAGCAAAGGAAUAACAAAGUACUACAAAGUAAUUAACAAAAUAGCCUUUAGGGAGUGUUGUUUAUGGGCAAAUGAGCAUUAUCUAUUUAAAGUACCAACUUUUUAUGGGCAUUUUACUCUCAAACAUAUAAUUUAUGAUAAAUUUAUAAAUGUUUGUAAGUAAAAUUCAAAAAGUAUUACACUGAUUUCUUACAAAACGAAAACUGGCAGGUUAUCUUUUCAACAUAAAUUAAAUUUUUUUAAAAAAAGAAAUGGCCCAUAAAGUACCAACUCUUUGUGGGUUUCCUCCAUUACAUGAAUAAAUAUUCUGCUAUUUAUGGGCAUUUCACUCUGAAUCAUUUAAUUUACGUUAAAUACAUAAAUGUUUGUAAGUAAAAUUCAAAAAGUGUUGCACUAAUAUUUUUAUGAAAGGGAAACUGGUAGGUUUUGUAUUUAACAUAAAUUAAAUAUGUGAAAGCAAAAAAAAAAAAUUACCCAUAAAUCUAUGUCUUGCAAAUCUAUACUAGUAAAAUAGUUUCAAACAAAAUUAAAUAUUAAAAUAAACUGUAAUUUAUACACAAAAUAUCUGUAAUUUAUACACAUUUUGCAACUACUACUUUGUGUUUUCUCUGUAAUGAAUUUUUUAACUAUUGAGAACUUAAGUUUUGUUUUGCAAAUCUAUACUAGUACAAUAGUUUUAAACAAAAUUAAACAUUAAAAUAAAUGUUUGAAAAAGAACAAAAGUACAUUUAUCACUUGCAGUAAUGUAACAAAAAUUUCUCAACCAUUAUCAAUAUUUUCACAAAAGUAUUAAAAACUAGCAAUUGACAAUAUUAAAAACUAGCAAUUUAAUUAGUGACGACUUUUCUUGUCAUUAUAAUCUUGAAUAAAUCAGUGAUAACAUUAUGUCAUCACUAAAUUUUCUUUGAUUUUGACUUAACAAUAAUGUCUUAUUAAUAGCAUUUGAUUAUUUUUAAUGAAAGUCUGUUAUAACCAUAGAAUUUGACUUUCGUUAUUUUCAAUUAAUGAUGUACUUUAGUGCUGCAAUUAUAAAAAAUUGCAGGGCUAAAAUAUUUGCAAAUUAUAAAAGUAUAUUUUCACUUAUAUGUAAUUAACAAAUUUUGCCACCUAUAUUGAUGAAAAUUUGUGUUUUUGUACUAAAAAAUAAAGAAUAAUACUAUAGCAAUAAAAUCUAUGCUUCAAACCAAAUUAAAAAUAAAAAAAAGCAUGAUGAUUGGUCUCAAAUGUUGGGAAAAUGAUUAUUUUUAUUGAAACUAUGUUAUAACCAUAUAAUUUGAGUUUAAUUAUUUUCAAUUACAUGAUGUUCUUUAGUGCUGCAAUUAUAAGAAAUUAGUAUAAAAUAUUAGCAAAUUAUAAAAGUACAUUUUCAAUUAUAUGAAAUUAACAAAUUUUGCCACCUAUGUUGAUGAAAAUUUUUACUUUUUUGCUAAAAAAUAAAGAAUAAUACUAUAGCAUUAAAAUCUAUGGUUCAAACCAUAUUACAAAUCCAGAAAAAAACAUGAUUUUUGGUAUCAAAUGGAGGGAAAAUGAGCGAAGUCAAAAUUUUGAUCAAAUCACAGUGGAAGUGCCGCGCAACAAAAACAAUAUCCAAAGCAAAGCAAAGACCAAAGCAGCGGAACACAUUCUGAAAAGAAAAGCAACGGAACACUUGGUCUGAGUUAAAGCAACGGAACACUUGAGCAACACAAACUUUCACCGAGCUGAAACAAACAAGCUUCUGCACUGAGCACAAAACAGAGCUUCCGCACGGCACCUGAUACCUUCACCCACACAACAAAUCCGUUCUCUGGCUUCUCACUAGCAUCACCAUGGCUGUCCAGCAUUAAAGGGCAAGGUUUUCAUUGGAAAGGUUCAUUUUUCUCUCUCCUAUACAUUUUCCCCAAUUUUUCCAAAUCCCUAAUAUUCUACAAUAUUUUUUGCAAAUUUCUGCCCAAAAUCUUUUAGCUGUCAAGGAAGAAAAGGGGUCGUCGGCAGGGGAACGAAGGAAAAGACUAAAGUUUCAUUUGGGGGCUGGUGAUUGAGGAAGUGAAACCAGAAACAGAGAAAGGUCUUGGCCUAGAGGGGACACAAAGAAAAUACAGAGCAACAGCCGCUCAUCGGCCAUCACAGCGCGCAAUCUCCAUAGCUGCCGUCACUCUGCUCUCAUCCAAUUUCCGCCGCCUUCAAGUUCCGCCACGGCACCUCCAUUUCGUGCGCCGCCUAGCUGCCUGACGCAUCUCCCCUUCCCGCACGGCCUUUCUCUCUCACUGUCGCUCCUCGAUUUCAUGUUGCCACCCACCACUGGCGCCCAGCUCCAGCGCGGCUACCAUGGCAGCUACAGCCGCCUGAUCAUUCGCACCUUCCUUCGACCAUCACCAUCGCCUGCAGACUUCGCCAAGCAAACGCUGUAAGCCGUCUGCCUUCUUUGAAUUUUAGUUUUCCAUUUUUAGUAUGAACAUUGAAAAGUCUCAAAGCAUGUUUGCCGUGCGUUUGUUCAGUGCCAACUUCAUGUUGAUUGCUAACGAUUUUAGAUUGUAUGCUAUUGUAUGUUGUUUGGACUGAAAUCUCUUGUGUUUUGACAAAUUUUGGGGGGCUAAUUACAGUCCCAAUUGAGCAAAAAUUGCUGGAUCCUUCUAUGCCCAUGUACUGUUUGUUAAAAUGCCCGAGUGAAGGUCUAAAUAGAAGAUUGAUGCGUAAUCUGCUUGGGGAAGACGAUCGUUUGCUUAAAUUUGCAAUUCUGGUCAUUCCAUUUUCUUUUUUGUAAUUUAGCCCCAGAGUUCCUGAACUAAUUUUAGGAUUCCCAGUUUUGGAGGAUGAAGUAUGAGAAGACUUGUAUGCAAAACAAAGGUCUCGUUCUUUCUUUAUCUUACAUCUAUUCAUAUUCAAAUAUUUAUAACCCAUUGAUAUGCACAUAACACGCUCAUAAAAAUAUAGCUGGUUAGAUGCUCUGAAUUUCAUUAGCCAUAAUGUUGACCGUCUGCCUGAUGCAUUGGAUUGUAAAUAUUGUGAAGUGAAAAAAUUCUACUUAGAGACAGCGAACUUUUACUAUUCUGAUGGCAAGGUGGUGCUCAAUGAAAAUAAGCUGCCUGAUUAUUCGAUUCAGUGACUGUCUGCCUGAUUAUUGUUUUUGCCUGUUAAUGUGCUAGAUUAUCACUGUAUAGGCAGAAACUCUGGUAAAACAAGAUUACACAUCUGAUAUUAUGCCUGUUGAUGUUACAACAAAAAAAGCUCUCAUAAUUUCUUGAUAUUAUGUCUGUUGAUAGUCAAACAACUAUAGCUCAUUGAUCAGCAUUGGCCUAAUUUUCAAUGAUAGAAGAACACAUUUUUUUUACUAGCCAUUGAUGUCUAUUUUCAUUGUUUUUGUGCUAUUAUUUUUUCUAUUUCAUUUUCAUAAAUGAAAUUUUUUUUAUCUGUAAAUUGGUUGGAAAUGAUUCAAAUUAGUUCUCUCCAAUUAAGCCAAAAAGUAUAUCAAUUCGAAAUGAGCCAAAAAACAAAGAGUUAUUAUCUGCCACGCCCUCCUCACGUAGCAAGUGACUAAAGAUUUUUAGAAUAACUAUUAUAGGAUCUUCUUUAAACUAACUCAGUUCGCUAAUUUGAUAGGUACUAUUUGAUACUUUCAAAGCCAUUUUUUAGCAAGGAAGGAUUGGGAAGGAAGAAAAAAGGGAGAUGGGAAAAAAAACCAUUAACCACUAGGCUAUCUAUCAGAUUGUUCUUCGCAGUUCAUAUCCUUCUUCUGUUCCUGCACUGUUUGUUAGUUUGAUACUUGAUGUUCAUUUCAUUUUCUUGAAAUUAAAUGAGUUCUUAUUUUUUCCACUUGUUCUUGGGAUGGUCACCACAAUGUUUGAGCAAGCUGACGGGAUUUUUUUUAUCAAUGCAAGUUUAAUUCCGAUUUUACACCCGUUGGACUGCAAGUAUACAGGUCGCAAUUGUAGUACAAGAUGUGUAUCGGGUCGAUCCCACGAGGAGCAAUUAAAACAAUUAUUAGAUACUAAUUUACUCUAUUAUUUAGACUUACAAUUAAUUUGAGCAGAAACUUCAGAUUUUAAUUCAACUACAAAAAUUUUUAAAUAGAUAAAUGCAAUUUCACAAUAGGAGUAGAAUUCACUAAAUAUUAAGAUCUAGGGAUGUAGAUUCCACUUAUGACUCAAAAGAUCUAAAAUGAAUUAAUUCAACACUUGUUACUGCUCUUGUUUAACCAAGGAUUCAUUUCCAGAAAUACCAAAAUCACAUUCUCAUGAUAAUAAUGGGUUAAAACAGAUUAGUUUUUCCUAAUCUCUUGGUAAAUACUAAAUCUGUUCUUAUUCACACAUGAAAUGCAGAUUUCAUCCACUUGAAUGUAUUUCUAUUCUCAUGAAUAUACUACUCAAGCUCUAUUUAUGUCAUUCCAUUAUUUUUACCAUUUCUCAAUGAGUAAAAACAACUAUAAACCUGCUAUUGGUGAUCAAGCAACAACAAGUAAUCCAACAUACACAAGUAGAUAAGUUAAUACAAGACAUAACAAGCAUAAAUCACAAUCACUUCAUAUCAUUUGGCCAUAAGCUUCAUCUACUCCCUAGAUAAAGGAAAUUAGCUACUCAUGAAUGAUGAAACACUCAUAACUUCAUUAAUGUAAAUCAUCAUGAAUUACAAAUACAAACAGAGUAAAGAAAGUCUUAGCCAAGAUAUGGUGAAACCUUCCAAAAAUCUCCUUUGUCUUGAACUUAGAUGAUUACAAGAUGAAACCUCAAUUGUCCUUUGCAAGUACCUAGCUAGAGAGACUAUGUUUUUCUGUCAGAAACUAAGCUACGAAUGGUCCUCAGAUCUCUCCCCAUAUCUCUGCAUAAAAAACACUCAAAUGCUCCAUUUUUCCAAGUCAAAUUCUAUCCUUUGAUUCCCAAAUCUCCACUUUGUUAGCAUAGUCAAAAACCAAUAUUUUUGACUUGAAAAUAAGCCACUUUUCUUGCCCUUUUGUCUUCUGAAGCAUGUGCACCGAAUUCCCUUGCAUCUUAUAGCUGGAAAGUGGUAUGAACACAAGAGAAUUGGCUGAGUCAAAUUGCAGAAUUUCGGCUAUAAAACGCGCCUACACAAAACGCGGUUACAAGUCACGUUUUGUGUACUCGCGUAUUCACUUUAGCCUUACUUCAUCUGCGAUUUUCCCUAUCAUAAAGGCCGAACUAGAUUUUGUGCAAAACACAAAAGUUGUAGCCCUUUGAGUUAGCUUUCCAAUGCUUCAAGAAUCAUCCAAAUCGGAGCUUUGUAGCCUGAGAUAUGAUCGAAAUACUGUCACCUGUUCAAACCUCUGUUUUAACUUCCGACCACAGGGUGCAGCUUCUGUAUUCCAACGUUUUGCCCAUGAAGAUGGCAGAAAUGGAUUUCGAUGUCUUCAUACGAAUUGUAGGUCUCUUUCUUAGCUUUAAAAUGGUAUAAAAAUCACCUCAAUCCGAUAAGUGUAGCUCCAGAUAUGGUCAAAAUACUGAAAAGUGUCAAAACUGACUUGUAUUGCAUUUCCUCACUUGAACGUUUUUCACUUCAUUCUUCUUGUUGCCACUUAAAUUCAUCACCAAAUCUCUAUUUUUCACCUCAAUUGACCUCCUUUGGUGAUUGAUUCAUUAUUCCUGCAUAAAAAUGAAGUUUUUACUAUUAAAAUCAAUAGAAAUGCAAUAUUAUCCACUUUUACCAAAAACCUCUUUAUUUUAAUUAUAAAACUAAAUAAUCAACUCAAAAUUAACUAAUAAAAUGCACUUAAAAAUACGUAAAAUAAACUCUUAUCAAAUACCCCCACACUUGAAUCAUUGCUUGUCCUCAAGCAAUAUAAAAUUCCAACCAUCAAUGAUCCAAAAAUUUAAAAUAAACAUAUGUAGUAUUUCAACUCCAUUUCCUUGAAUCAAGGUAAAUAACCCUUAUGUGAUCUUUCCAUUAAGUUCAAGUACUCAUAAUAUCAAGCAAAGAAGAGCCAAGUAUACCAUAAUUUUACCAAUUCAACUCAACUUCUUAUUUUUAUCUAAUUUCGCAAGCAAGCAACUCCUAUAGUCAAUAAAGAUGCUAACUAAUCUCAUGAUCAACUUCUUAUUUUUCUUAAAGAGGGAUUUAAUUUACUUCUUUUUUUUUUUUUUUUGAUAUUUUAAGGGUUAAAUAUUGCUUAAGUUGUGAAAAAUGCCUUUUGACGCGAAGAUCAACAUUUUUAGAUGCAGAUCCCCGGUUACUCAACAUUUCACAUACUCAAGUUGCUUUGCAUACUCUUAAUUCAAGUACCUUUUUACGCGAAUGUCGACAUUUGUAGAUGCCAACCCCCGGUUACUCGGUACGAGAAUCAUUGGAGUAGAAUAACCAUUUUUUUUUUUAUUUUUUUUAACAAUAUAUAAUAAAAUUCCCUCUAAGAGUAAUCAUGAGAAGAGUAUGACACUUAUUAACCAUAUUAAUUUCUUAUCUUAUAAAAUUAGAUAAAAAGAAGAAUUUUCAUCAAAUAUACAAAAUGUAGGCAUAAUUUUCUCCACUUUACUAGAUAUACUUUCCUAUAGAUGUAAAAAUUAUAAUCACAUAAAAAUCAUUUCCAAAUUUCAUGAGAAAAGAAUUAUCAAAACCGCAUAUAUUUAUUUCAAAAGGAUAAGUGACAAAAUUUUAUUUAUUUAUUAUAGUUAAUAACAUAUAUAUGUAUAAGGUUUUGGAAAAAUUUUGACAGAGUCUCCCCUUAAAAGUGGACUAAAUCUCCCUGCCAGCAACCACAAGAAACACCAUUUAAGCACAAGAAUUAUAUCAAACACAACUAAAAUCACAAGUACCACACAUUUCUUCCCCCACACUUAGAAUACACAUUGUCCUCAAUGUGUAGGGAAAGAAAAGAAAAGAAACAGAAGAAAGGAACAAGUGACUCCCCAAGUGAGAUGACUGCGGUCCAGUGAAGCCUUGAAUCAUGAGUCAUCGACCGCUCAACCAUCCACAGUCAACGAUCUACUAGUUACUGCCACAAGUUCCAAUAUUCAAAAUAAGGAAUGUAAGUUAACAUUUUUCAAACAAAAGAUAAAAAUAACAAGCAAACAAGCAAACAAAAGAAAAGCCAGCCAAAGGGGCAGCCUCAAUCAUCCCCUUCAUCGUCAUCUUCAUCAUCAUUGACAGGAGGUGGAUGUACGCCCAGAUGAUGUUCAAUGUGGUCUAGGCGAGUAUCCAGUCGGGCUAAAUGAUGGUCGAUGUCGUCCAAGCGACCGAAAAGCCGCUGCCAGUUGGUCUGUGGCGGAGGAGGAGGUGGUGCUGCAGUAGAUGGUCCAGCUCCAUCGCGACCAUGUCUAGCCUUUUGUCUCCGCUCCUGAACAGGGCGUGGAAUGUCUCCCGUGCCAAUACCAAGGCGGCGAAGAGUAGUGAUAGUCAUCUCAGCACGUGGUGGAACAUACUCCCGCCUCAUUCCUUCCAACUGAACCUCAAAACGGGGAAAGAUUAAAGUCAGUAGACGAGGAAAUGAUAGUUUGAAGGAAGUCGUCUUACGCCUCGCCGUAGACCGAAUGUGGCUAAUGAUGAUAUUAGGCAGCGAAAUACGAGCAUAUGGAGAUGUCCGGUUAUGGAACAUGUAAUCCAAGAAGUAGAUAUCGCUCUUGCGAACCUCCGUGUGCCCCGUCUUCUUUGGGAUGACAUUGUGAGCCAUCAUGUAAAUGAUAAGCCGAUGACGAGGUUCGAAGACAUUCGCCAAAAUGGUCUCCUUCCUUGUAGAGCGAAAGGGUUGGUACUCGAGACCAAACCUAGCCAUGGCCAAUGAUGGAUCCCACCUCCUAUUCGGGGGAACAAACUCCUUCUUCAAAUCUACUGGACGUCCAUCAUCCAUACACCCCAAAAUAGCAGCCAAAUCUUGCCGUGACAAGAUGAUUCGUCUUCCACGCACCCAGGACUCAACUAUUUCUCCACUAUGGCGCGCCUUACUUUCAAUGUUGGCGUAAAACUCGCGCACCAGGUCUGGGUAGUAAUGAUUUGGAAGGGUGAGAAUCGGAGCCCAUCCAAGUUGAGCAAAAGCGUCCGAGAUAUUAUACAUCAUUUCAACUGUCGGAUUCACGUGCAUCUCAAACAGGAAUUCCAAAUUAGCACGCGCCUCAUGCCACUCCUGAUUCCUGCGAGUGUUGAACCGAGCACUGUCAAAUACAGACAUUCCCGCUCCACGAGAAGUGCCCUCACCAGGUUGACGACUCACUGGCGGAGGAGAAGGUGAACUCUCCUCUUCAGAUACUUCCAUUUGUUCAUUUUCCUCCCUCUCCUCACUGCUAGAGGACGAGGUUAUUACACGUCUUCCCCUUGGCAUAGUACCUAUUGGAAAAUAUUGCAAUUAAACUCAUGUAAUUGGACACAAUUAAAAAUUUAGCCAUGAAUAUCCGAAAAUGAUCCAAAUAAUCUCUAAUUGAUUCCUUCAAGUGAUAACACGUCCAAUAACUAAUAUAUAGGACCAAAUAAGAGAACAAAAAUUUAUGCCCAAAAAUUACUCAAAAUCACCAAUUGAAACAAGAUAUGCAAUAAUUAUAACCCAAUCGGUGAAAUUAGCAACAAUUAUGAUUAUAACUAUUGAGAAUUAACAAUAAUAAUAUGCUUUUAGUUAUAAUCAUGCUUAGGCAAAAAUUAAGCCAAUGAACUCACCAAAUCAACCAAAUUACUCACUAUACACAAUGCACAUGCUUAAACAUCAUCAACUAACCCUUUUUAACCAUAAUUUAACAUCACCAAUGGCUCAAAAAUAUCCUAGUUCCUUUUUCCAAUUUCAUCUAAAUAUAGCAAUUGUGAAUUUUAAAGUACUUGAAAACCAAUAAAUUGCUACAUUUAAACAUUUAAACAUGCUUAAACAAUCAUAAUAAUCAUGAAUAAAAUCAAAAAUAGCCAUGAACCUCAUCAAAUUUUCGAAAUUAAAAGAUGUCAGAUAGCUCAGGAUAAAAAAUAUGAACUUCUAAAAUCAAAAGAUUUGAUGAAGAAACUUACCUCAAUCACGUAGAAGGAUGUUUGGUGAUGCUAAAAAUGCAAAAAGCCCUAUGAAACAACCUCCAAUUGACCUCCAAUUGAAGAAAUUAGAGUUUAAGAACCCUAACCUUCAAUCCCUCAAAAACCAGAUUUUAGGUGUUUUUCUUGGAUUUUAAUCGGUUAAAAAGGUUGUAUGAAGCUCAAAAGGUGUUGGGGUGAUGAUUUCUAGCAAGAUUAUGGAGUAUAAAUGAAAAUUUGUGAGUUGGGUAGAAGGAAGAGGGAAAAACGCGGCUGGAAAAAUUGGAGAAGUGAAGAAGAAAGGCUGAAAUCGCGUUUCUGAAGGCUAUAUUCAGAUACGGAAAACGCGACUAAAAACACGCCUUCAACUCGCGUUUUUGAAGUCGCGUUUCCUGCACAAAUCUUGCAGGAAUGAAAACGCGACUGUGAUGGAAAACGCGACUUCAAGUCGCGUUUCUUAAGUCGCGUUUUUGAGUCUUGAUCCAGGCUUGAAAACGCGACUUCCAUUAAAACGCGACUUUGGGUCGCGUUUUUAAGGCGCGUUUUCUUUUCUGCAGUUGCAGAAUUGAAAACGCGAUUCUGAGAAACGCGACUUGUAGUCGCGUUUUCUUUGAAAACGCGUUUUCUGCUUCGAUUUUUAGCAGAAUUUCAACUUUUGAAAAAUUACAAAAGGUACCCCAAUGACUCAAAAUGCAUCAUAGAUCAUUUGUUUGCCAAUUUUAAUGACUGGAACAAAUGUAAAACAUUAAAAACAUGCAUUUUACCCCUUUAUAAUGAAUCAAAAACACCUUUAACGCAAAUCGAGGGGUUGAGUUGUUUGAUCAAAGUUCGCCUUUUUUGUACUCAAUUGGUCAUCCUUGCCUUCAAUUGCCAACCCUACAUUACAAAAACAACUAUUUAGCUAAAACAUUGAUUCAAACCACAAAAUCACACCAAGUUAACAAAUAUAACCUAAAUAUUGGGUUGCCUCCCAAUUAGCGCUUUUGUUUAUAGUCGUUGGCUCGACUGAAAAAGUUGAAUCACUUUAGAGCAUUAGAGAGAGAUUUUCUCCCCAUGGGUCGAAACUCCCGAACCAAUCCACCAUGUGGUGAACCAUGCAUUGAUCUUCAUAGUCCAAUUUCCUCAAAUGCCAAGGAGGAAUAUUAGACUUGUCAUAGAGAGGCUCAACUUCACCUUGGAGUGGAUUUUGCUUGUCUUUUCUGAAUUGGCUCAACUUUUCACCAUUUUCUUCAUGGAAUGGAGAAUUUAUUAAGCCAACUUCCAUCCUUAUCUUCUCCUCCUUUGUUCCUACACCAUGAAAGUUAGUACCAAGGACAUUUAUAAAUUUAACUUCUUCGGUCCUUUCUUGGUUGACCUUUUCAUCAUAUGGCAUAUUAGAAACAAGAGCAGUAGGCUCUAUAUUCCCUUCUUUAUUUUCCAAAUUGAAUUCCAAUUCCUCACCAUUAACCCGUAAUAUAAGCUUACCUUUUUCUACAUCAAUUAUAGUUCGUGCAGUGGCUAAAAACGGUCGUCCUAGAAUAAUUGGCAUUCUCACAUCUUCUUCAAUAUCUAAGACAACAAAAUCCACAGGUAUUAUAGAUUGUCUUACCUUUAUGAGCACAUUUUCCAAAAUACCCGUGGGACGUGUGAUUGACCGAUCCGCCAAUUGCAAUGUAAUAUUGGUAGCUUUUAGCUCUUGAAGUCCCAAUCUCCGGGCAACCGAUAACGGCAUAAGUGACACACUUGCACCUAAAUCACAUAAAGCAUUAGAAAAAUGCAAUUGACCAAUAGUGCAAGGAAUAGAAAAGCUUCCCGGAUCUUUCAAUUUAGGAGGGAGUUUAUUCUUAAUCAAUGCACUACACUCUUCCGUUAAUGCUAUCAUCUCAUUAUCUACAAUUUUCCUCUUCUUUGACAUGAUGUCUUUCAAGAAACGUGCAUAAGAGGGAAUCUGUGUUAUAGCAUCAAUGAAAGGAAUGUUAAUGUGCAAUUGUUUAAACAUUUUGAAGAACUUUUCAAACUCCCGAUCCUGUCCAUCUUUCUUCAACCUGUGAGGAAAAGGUAUCACAUUAGAAUUUAAAUGAGAAUUUAAUUUGGGAUGAAGUGCAUCAAUAUCAAUGAUAACAUGAUCAUUUUGACUUUCUUGCUCCCCUUCAAUUGCUUGCUUCUUGUCUUUUUCACCACCUGAAUUUUCAAAAUCGAAUCCCUCAACCGUUUUACCGCUUCUAAGAAUGAUUGCAUUGACAUGCUCUCUCGGAUUCACUUCGGUUUUACUUGGUAAUUCACCAGGGUUUCUAUUGUUAAUCACAUUGGCAAUUUGACCAAUUUGAACCUCCACAUUCCUGUACAUUGUAGUGAGUUGAUCCAGUUUCCCUUCUACUCGUUCAAAUCUGUCCGAAGUCACCUUAGCAAGUUUUUCCACCGCGAUCUCCCAACUUGGUUUAGUUUCAGCCUGUGGUUGCCUUGGUUGAAAUCCCGGCGGAUUGGUUGGCCUUUGUUGAUUGCCUUGAUCUUUCCAUCCAAAGUUUGGAUGAUUUCUCCACCCCGGAUUGUAAGUAUUCGAGUAGGGAUUAUUUGGAGCAUUUCGGUUGUAAUUAUUGACAAAUUGUACCUGCUCAGAAUCAACACACUCAUUAAUAUCAUGUUCACCUCCACAGAAAGAACAACAAGCUACGUGAGCAUUAGAUGAACUUGGGCUAACUCCACCUUGUCUACUCAAUAACUUCAUCACGUUAUUCAUUUGGGCACUCAACAUAUUGAGAGUGUCCAUUUCGAUCAUACCUGCGUGACGUCUCGUAUUACCUCUUUCAUUGGCCCAUUGGUAGUUAUUUGCGGCCAUUUCUUCUAUCAAAUUUUGAGCUUCUUGGGGUGAUUUACCCAUUAAAGCUCCACCUGCGGCUGCAUCAAUAAUAGUUUUAGUGGAGAAAGAUAAACCAUUAUAAAAGGUUUGUAUAAUCAGCCAUUCGGGUAGUCCAUGGUGUGGACAUUUCCGUAACAAAUCUCUAAACCUUUCCCAUGCUUCAUAUAAUGAUUCUCCUUCCAUUUGACUAAAACCAGUGAUAUCCAUUCUUAGCUUAGCAGUCUUACCAGGUGGAAAAUACUUAUUCAAAAAUGCUCUUGAUAGUUCAUCCCAUCCAGUGAAAGUAUUAGGAGCAUGAGAGUGUAGCCAAAGUUUGGCCUUAUCUCUCAAUGAAAAUGGGAACAAUCUUAACCUUAUAGCAUCAUCACUAACUCCAUUCAUUUUAAUUGUAUCACAUAUUUCUAAGAAUGUAGCUAAGUGUGUAUUAGGAUCUUCUGCUGCAUUACCUCCAAAUUGAGACUGUUGAACCAUUUGGAUAAGUGAUGGUUUAAUCUCAAAGUUGUUAGCAUUUACCGUAGGCCUUGCUAUGCUCGUUUGAGAUCCUUGUGUUCCUGGUAGAGCAAAAUCUCGUAGAACUCGCCUAUUUGCUUCAUUUUCAGCCAUUUCUUCUUCAAAUGGUAGUUCUAUCAAAAUUUCCUCUAUAGGUUGCCAAAUCUCUUGUUCCUCUUGCUGUGGUGGAUGCCUCCUUUGUCUACGUAGUGUCCUCUCAAUUUCUGAAUCGAAAGGUGCGACUUCUCGAGACUCCCGGUGCAUACACUACAAACAGAAAUAAGGGAUAUUAUGCAACUUCAAUGGUAAAAAAAAACUGAUUACAAUAUAAAAUAAAGCUGUCUAAAUUAAUAAAGAUGAUUAGGCUCUAAUAUUGCCGCUCCCCGGCAACGGCGCCAAAAACUUGACGGGAUUUUUUUUAUCAAUGCAAGUUUAAUUCCGAUUUUACACCCGUUGGACUGCAAGUAUACAGGUCGUAAUUGUAGUACAAGAUGUGUAUCGGGUCGAUCCCACGAGGAGCAAUUAAAACAAUUAUUAGAUACUAAUUUACUCUAUUAUUUAGACUUACAAUUAAUUUGAGCAGAAAUUUCAGAAUGUAAUUCAACUACAAAAAUUCUUAACUAGAUAAAUGCAAUUUCACAAAAGGAAUAGAAUUCACUAAAUAUUAAGAUCUAGGGAUGUAGAUUCCACUUAUGAUUCAAAAGAUCUAAAAUGAAUUAAUUCAACACUUGUUACUGCUCUUGUUUAACCAAGAAUUCAUUUCCAGAAAUACCAAAAUCACAUUCUCAUGAUGAUAAUGGGUUAAAACAGAUUAGUUUUUCCUAAUCUCUUGGUAAAUACUAAAUCUGUUCUUAUUCACACAUGAAAUGCAGAUUUCAUCCACUUGAAUGUAUUUCUAUUCUCAUGAAUAUACUACUCAAGCUCUACUUAUGUCAUUCCAUUAUUUUUACCAUUUCUCAAUGAGUAAAAACAACUAUAAACCUGCUAUUGGUGAUCAAGCAACAAGUAAUCCAACAUACACAAGUAGAUAAGUUAAUACAAGACAUAACAAGCAUAAAUCACAAUCACUUCAUAUCAUUUGGCCAUAAGCUUCAUCUACUCCCUAGAUAAAGGAAAUUAGCUACUCAUGAAUGAUGAAACACUCAUAACUUCAUUAAUGCAAAUCAUCAUAAAUUUACAAAUACAAAAAAGUAAAGAAAGUCUUAGCCAAGAUAUGGUGAAGCCUUCCAAAAAUCUCCUUGUCUUGAACUUAGAUGAUUACAAGAUGAAACCUCAAUUGUCCCUUGCAAGUACCUAGCUAGAGAGACUAUGUUUUUCUGUCAGAAACUAAGCUACGAAUGGUGUUUUUUUUUAUCUCUCCCCAUAUCUCUGCAUAAAAAACACUCAAAUGCUCCAUUUUUCCAAGUCAAAUUCUAUCCUUUGAUUCCCAAAUCUCCACUUUGUUAGCAUAGUCAAAAACCAAUAUUUUUGACUUGAAAAUAAGCCACUUUUCUUGCCCUUUUGUCUUCUGAAGCAUGUGCACCGAAUUCCCUUGCAUCUUAUAGCUGGAAAGUGGUAUGAACACAAGAGAAUUGGCUGAGUCAAAUUGCAGAAUUUCGGCUAUAAAACGCGCCUACACAAAACGCGGUUACAAGUCACGUUUUGUGUACUCGCGUAUUCACUUUGGCCUUAUUUCAUCUGCGAUUUUCUCUAUCAUAAAGGCCGAACUAGCUUUUGUGCAAAACACAAAAGUUGUAGCCCUUUGAGUUAGCUUUCCAAUGCUUCAAGAAUCAUCCAAAUCGGAGCUUUGUAGCCUGAGAUAUGAUCGAAAUACUGUCACCUGUUCAAACCUCUGUUUUAACUUCCGACCACAGGGUGCAGCUUCUGUAUUCCAACGUUUUGCCCAUGAAGAUGGCAGAAAUGGAUUUCGAUGUCUUCAUACGAAUUGUAGGUCUCUUUCUUAGCUUUAAAAUGGUAUAAAAAUCACCUCAAUCCGAUAAGUGUAGCUCCAGAUAUGGUCAAAAUACUGAAAAGUGUCAAAACUGACUUGUAUUGCAUUUCCUCACUUGAACGUUUUUCACUUCAUUCUUCUUGUUGCCACUUAAAUUCAUCACCAAAUCUCUAUUUUUCACCUCAAUUGACCUCCUUUGGUGAUUGAUUCAUUAUUCCUGCAUAAAAAUGAAGUUUUUACUAUUAAAAUCAAUAGAAAUGCAAUAUUAUCCACUUUUACCAAAAAUAUAUAAUUUUACCAAAAACCUCUUUAUUUUAAUUAUAAAACUAAAUAAUCAACUCAAAAUUAACUAAUAAAAUGCACUUAAAAAUACGUAAAAUAAACUCUUAUCACAAGCUCUUCAAACUCUUCAAUCCCACGGUUGCUCGAGUAAUUGUGGAUUUCAUCAUGAGUGUGGAAUUGCUUCAUCCUGCAGUGUUUUAGUUUUUUUCUCUCAAAAACUAUACAUAAGAGUUUUACUUUUUCCAAUAAUAUUUUUCGGUGCAAAAGGCUGUCUAUCUACAAUUUCCAUCACCAAAGAAUAAGCUGUAAAAUUGGGAAUAGUCAUUGGAAUAGAUCUUGGAACUACCUAUUCAUGUGCUCAUAUUUACAAAAAUGGUCAUGUUGAAAUCACAGCAAAUGACCAAGGAAUCGUAUUAAGCCAUCAUGGAUUGCAUUUGCUGGUAGCGAAAGACUGAUUCGAUGUUAAUGUUGAAAGAACUAUCUUUGAUGUCAAGAGACUUAUUGGAUGAAAGUAAGGCACACUCGUGUAUUUAUCAUUUUUGCCGGAACAUUUUGGUGUGUAUACAUAUGCUCACUGAAGUCUUAACUGUUAUAUAACAGGAUUGAGACUAAUGAAGUUUAGACGUUCCUUGUAAGAUUGUGAACAAGGAUGGAAAACCUUAUAUCUAGGUGAAAAUUAAGGAUAGUAAGGUUAAAGUCUUCAGUCUUGAGGAAAUUAGUGUAAUGGUUUUAACUAAGAUGAAAGAAGCAGCUGAAGCUUUCCUUGCAAAGAAAAUUAAGGAUGUUGUGGUAACUGUUCCCGGUAUAGUUCAAUUUCUAGAGUUAUUCGUUGAAUCAUAUUUUACUUCAAUGAUGCCCAGAGGCAGGCAACAAAGAAUGCAGGUAUUAUUGCUGGGCUGAAUGUUGCUAGGACUAUCAAUGAACCCAGAGCAGCAGCAGUUGCCUGUCUAACUACGAAUUAAAAAAGUUUAUCUAACUACACUAAUUAACUGUUGAUUUUGCAAAAUAUUGAACAAUGAUUAAAGCAACCAAUUUCUUGUAUAAGUUUUAUUAGUUACAUUUCUUAUAAAAAGCUUUCAUAUGGUUCUAAUUGCUCUAUUUUAUUGUAGGCAAAGGCUUUCAUCAAAGGAUUAUAGAAUAUUUCAUCAAGUUGAUUAACAAGAAACAUGGAAAGAACAUCAGCAACCACAAUAGACCACUUGGAAAACUGAGGGAAGCUGAACGUGCCAAAAGAGCUUUAAGCAGCCAGCAGCAAGUUAGGACUCAUGCUUGAUUUGACGAGUUGAACAAUGACCUCUUUAGCAAAAACAUGGGACUUGUCAAGAAGGCUAUGGGGGAUGCUGGUUUGGAGAACCACCAGAUGCAUGAAAUUGUUCCUGUUAGUGGGGCUACCAGGAUCCCAAAAGUCCAAUAACUUCUCAAGGACUACUUUGAUGGAAAGGAACCCAACAAGAGUGUAAAACCAGGUGAAGCAGUGGCUUAUGGGGGUGGUGUUCCAGGAGGUAUUCUAAGCCGGAAAGGUGGUGAUGAAAGCAAAGGUACUUUUUAAAAUUUUUAAUGGACAUGUAAAACUUGAUAUUUUGCAAACUUAAGAUGCAACUUGAUUGUCUCAAGAAAGUUGAAACUGUUGGUAUUGAAACUGUUGCUGUGGUAAUGACCAAGUGAUUGGUACUUGUGAAUUUAUUUUGCUGCUUCAUAAUUUAUAAAUUCAUUCCUUGUGAACCCAGAACAAAAAAAAAAUUUGCAUGUGACCAAGUUGUAGCAAUAUCUUGCUACUUCCAUUAACUGUUACUGCAGUAAUGACCAAGUGAUUGGUACUUGUGAAUUUAUUUCAUUGUCAUCUGAGUUGUUGUUACAUGUUAAUGGAAUGUAUUUGAAUGUCAAAGGAGCCUCUUUCUUUUGAAUCAUCUAUACUAAAUUACUGCUGUAUAUGUAAAUAUCAUGCUUUCCUUUUUCUUGUGAAUCAUCAUUACUGCAUUGGCUGUAUCCUUUGUAUUAGUACAUGACUACUCUUUGAACUAAUAUAUUUUUGACUAAUACUCCUUUUCACUCCCAGCCCAAGUUCACGAUACACACCACAUCACUCUUUUCAUCAUCUAAAAUAUUAAAAAUAUUACAAUAACAAAUACAACCUUACUAACAGGUCUAAAGUUCCCACGCCUUGCGUGGGAAGCAAUCACCUAGUUUUAAUAUAUAAACAACCAAAAGCAUAAACAUUAAACAAUAAUUACUGUGGGAGUCCAAUUUAAUUGUUCAAUAAGUUGAGCUAUUUAAAGAAGAAGAAAGAAAAUUAAAAAAAACUGUUUUAGAGAGCUCUUUAGUUGAGCUUAUGCAGUGUUGUAUUUGUAUAGAUUGGACUGUGAUUUCUAACUUCUUGCUGGUGUUGUAAUAUGUGGGCCCAAAUUAUAUGAGCUUCUUAAUGAAUUGUAAUUUUUGUCUUAAUAAUCUAAGUCUCAUUACUUGUUCUUUAUUAUUGUACUCCUCCCCUUACCUACUUCUUUUACUCUUUUAUGACAGAUAAAUGCUAUUCAUACUAGCUUUUGGAAGAUAUCUAUGGUUAUGGUUGAAGAAUGUUGAAGACAAAAUUGCCUUUUACUCAUGGAGUGGUUCAUUUAGAUGUUCUUCAAUUUCUUAAACUGUGAUUGCUUUUGUAAAUGUACCUUAUGUACAAGUGAUAUUUUGGACAAAUGUUAUUUUUGUAGGCAUUAGUUGGGCAAUGUACACUUGAAUUUGGCAUUUGAGAAUGCUAUAUUAUUACCAUGUAAUCUAAUGCAAAUACUUUUGGUUAUCAAUCGUUUAUGUUUAUUUGUAUGGUUUGUUCAAAAUCAAUGAUUUAGCAAUGAUUACAGGCCAAAUUAUGACUAUUAAGCUAUUAUGAAAUUAUCUAAUGACAAAAAAAAGUUGUCACAAAAUAGAAAAUAAAAACUCCUUGUCACAACAGAGACUGUCACUAAAUCUAAGUUACAUUUGUGACGACAAUUGUUGUCAGUAAAAUAGUUAUAUACAAUGGCUUUCGGUGCUUUUUAGUGACGACUUUAAGUAGAGCAUUUUUGACAAAAGGUCAAUUCGUCAAUAAAACACUUCCAGAUUGUCGUCACUAAUGACAACUAUUUAGUGACGACCAAAUAGUUGUCACUAAAUAGUUGUCAUUAGUGACGACAAUCUGGAAGUGUUUUAUUGACGAAUUGAUCUUUUGUAAAAAAUGCUCUACUUAAAGUCGUCACUAAUGAGAACUAUUUAGUGACGACAUUUUAGGUCGUCACUGUUUACUUUUAUCGACGGGGAUUUAGUGACGACUUUGUGACGAUCAAAAAGUCGUCAAUAAAAGGUAUUUGUGACGAUAUUUGUAUGUUCUGUGAUGACUUUGUGUUGUCACUGAUGAACAAUUUUCUUGUAGUGUAUACCAAGUUGGGAUAGUUUGGGUGGCCACAUGGCAUACAUGCAAUGCAUAGCCCUGAAGUCAAAUUUUAUUCUUAUCUGAAUAAAUCUUACCUUUAAUGAACUAGAUACGUAGCAAUCUAUCAUUAGCCAAGCUAGAUCACCAUUAUUUCCUCGAUGCCUGAAUCGACAUUCCAACCACCACUUCGCUAAGAAAUUGUGUCCACCAAUCAUGUCAUCCCUAGAAAUUCAUAAUCCUUUUCAAAUUUUACAUGCAACUACCUUUAUUGAAUUUUCAAAAGUCCAGAAAAGUCCAUAUUCUUCCCCCAUCUUCGUUCUAUAAAUAGAAGACUUCUCAUAUCUAUUUUACUCUUUUUUGCUUCCAAUAUUCUUCUUCCAGUUUUAGGUUUUCAAUUUCGAAAAACCAUCUAUCUAGGAAAUUUUGUCUUUUCUCCUCCAGUGAAUACUCCCUUCUAUAAUUUUUUUAGGCAAUCUUAUUUCUGCAUCUUAAUCAGUAAGUCUCUCUUCCGAUUUAUUUAUCGCUGAUCACUCCAAUAUCUCUAUAUCUUUAUUGAAGCAUAGGUAGAUUCCUGUGAUUAUUAGAGUAGAAAUCGUUUCUUCUUCUUCCUCUUCUUCAUCGUCGCCCUUUUCUUCAUUUGGUCAAAAUUUUGGUCCUAAGUAUCUCCCAGAACUAUUGGAACCCAUAGAAGUUAUGAGUUCUCAUACUUCUUCUAGAACCCCAUCUACUAACCUUCGAGUAGAUCCUGUAGAGCAGGCUAACCCUUCCGAGUAGCUCCCUAUUGUAUAACAUGCUUCUUCAGAAAAGUUUGGUACCAAGUAAGGAGAAGGUGAGGUCAGUGUUAGUGACCAAUGUCACCACCCAUAUGCUCAGGUUUACCUACCUGACCAUGGCUUCAGUGACUUUAGCUACAUCCCCAAUUUCUCCUUUACUCUUUCUCAAGGGGACAUGGACGAGUUAGCUACCACUUAUUCCAUCUCAGAAUCCUUUGAAGCCCAAGCAGCUAGCCUUAACAAAAGGGUCAAUUGACUUUCUCCUAACUAUGUUGCCAUUUAUAGGGAACAGGUUCUCUCGGGUAUAAGACUUCCUACUUCUAUGGCCCUUUUCAACAUCUUGGCCUACAAGAGGAUUAGGAUUAUUUUACUUUAACUCCAUUAAAACCACUAUAGGCUUCCUAAUCUACUGUAGUCUUUGUGUAAUUUCUUAUUCUCUUUCCUUAUUCUGAGCAUACCAUAUGCGUAAGACUUCUCAGCUUGGGUGGUUCUACUUUGCUAGGCGUUCCUCUAGUAAAGAUAGUAAGGGCACCCGUGAUAUUUCAAUUGAGUUCUUUAUUUCAUUAAAAGGUGAAAGAAUGAAUUCUUUUUUGUAAAAAUCGACUUCUCUCCUCCUAAUUUUUGGAAGGUAGGGGAAGUCAAAACUGAUCCAUAUCAUGUCGAUCUAGACAUGGAUGCCUUUUGACUUACUCUUGAGACCUAUAGCCAAAUUACUUACCAAGAAUUUCUCCUCUAGUCAAAUUGCAACAGUCGGACUAGUCAAUCCUCUAUCCAGUGACUAGGAUUGGGAUUUACACUAAGAGGAAUACAAGAAUUGUAAUUUUUCCUUUCUCUUCCUUCCUCUCUCUCUCUUUACGUAGAGCUCUAACCCUUAUUUUUCUUCUUUAUAGUGAGAUAAUUCUCUCAACUCUUAUCCUUUGAGACUUCUGCUCAACUCUUCAGAGGCUAGUAGUAGGGUGGUUCUCUUACUCAAUAGGUCAGCUCUCCUCCUACCUAGACCCCUACGGACACCAAGCAAAGUAAAGGGGCAAAUUAAGGGCAAAAAGGCGGCACCUAAGAGGGAUCGUUGUGCGAAGUUCUGAUGCAAGGGAGACAGUCCAUUGUGGGCUUAAUUCGGCUGAGCAGCAGGCAGACCAUGUAUCACCACUAUUAACAUGGAAUUUCAGAUAUGCAGUGCCACUGAAACCUAGCCAAUAUCACACUAUCCAUGACCCCUAUUACUUUUAUUCAUAAUAGGGUCUUUUCAUCAAUGAUCAAGCUCAGUAUCCAUAUGUUGUCCACGAGUUGACCCGCAGUUCACUGUUGCCAAGGGAUAAGAGAUUCAUGGAGUUGGCUUCCAACUUCAAGUUGUUAGACGUCUUUUAUUCUUUCUAAGCUCAGGUAGGAAGCCAAAGCCUUUGAACCUCAUCUUUUUUUUUUAAGCAAGUUUCCCUUUAAGAAGAGUGUUUUCUUUUUUUACUAAUUUAAUCACCAUGUUUCUCUUCUAAGGAAAAUGAAUCAGGUAUGGAGGUGGCCUACCACUUUGAAAAGCUAAUGCUUGAUCUAGAGAAGGCAACCAAGAGGAAUCAGACCCUUGAAAAGUAGCUCAACACUGCAUAAAAAGAGCUUGAUUCUCUUUAGGCUCAGCUCCAGAAAGCACAGGAUUGGCUACUUAAGUUGCCUUGCUUCAAAUUAGCUUGCAAGAGAUUCAAAAGAGUCAUGCCAAACUAGAAGGGAAACACAAUGUCAAGUUGAUUAAGUCUUUCCAAAAAGGGGAGAGUAAAGCCGUCAGAGAGUUCAUUUGCUCCCCCAAAUUUGAGGAAAACUUAGUCACACUCAGUAGACCAACCUUCCAGUAUGGCUAUUCUAGCGCUUUACCUAAAGUCGAGGCAAUGAACCUCCUUGGAAUCAACUUGUCAAAAUUUUUGGUUUACGAUAUCAAGGCUAAUAAACAGAUCAACAAGUUGGUUGAUGGUUACAUCAAAAGCUACAAACUGGAGGAGGUUAUUGCCAACCUUGAGCUAGAGCUAGUUGAGCAACCGGAGCAUAAUUCAGAGAAAUAAGCUGACCAGGACAGCACUAUCUCCAAGAAAGAGAUUACUAACAACGCUAAUAACAAACAAACUAUAGUCUAGGGCCUUCUUCCUUUGUACUCAACAGUUUUUUGUAUAAAAUAUUUCACAUUUUAAUGAAAAUCUUUCAAUGAAUUCCUCACAUUGCUGUCUUCUUUCAAUGAAUUCCUCAUAUUGCUAGCUUUUUUCAAUGAAUUUGUCAUAUUUUUGUAAUAUGUCUUGAUAUAUCUUGCCCCCUAAUGUACUUAGAAAAUUUUUUAAAGUAUACUAAGUUAAAAGCAUAGCGUCACCUAUUUAUUGGAUAAUUAAAAAUUAUCCAAUUUAAAUGACGAGUGUUCAAAUACAAUAAGAAUUUAGGCCAAAAAAAUAUUUUUAUUUCAAACACAUAGAAAGUACAAAAUCAAAGUUCCGAUUACUUAUUACUGGAUAAAGAGUUUCAAAUUAGUUGUGUGCCAGGGGUGCGGGAUCUCUUCUCUACUGAGAUGAGAUAGUUUAUAAUAUCCAACUUGUCUAGCCUCUAUAAUUGUGUACGGACCAUCCUAAUUAAGAUCUAAUUUAUUAGUUGCAUGUGCGUGGCUAAUUAAAUUUUUUUCUUAGGACAAGACCUCUUACCUUAAAUCUCCUUUGCAGAACUUUAAUGCUAUAGUACUGAGCUACUUGUUCUUUAUAUUUUGCCAUUCUUAUUGUGGCUUACUCCCUCUUUUUGCUCUAUCAUAUCCAAGUUAUAUUUUAUUUCUUUAUUAUUGACUUCUGAAAUAAAAUUCUGAGUCCUAGAUAAGGGGACACCCACUUUUGUUGGUAUAACUGGUCUUACCCCGAAAGUCUGUGCAAAUGGAGUUCCCUGAGUUGUUGUCCUUUGAGUAGUUGUUUGAUAGGCCCAUAGGAUGUUAGGCAAUUCAUCCAAUCAUUCCGAUUGUACUUGCUUCAUCUUGGUUUUCAACUUGUGCAAAACCGCCAUAUUCAUAUUUUUCACCUGCCCAUUAACUUACGGAUGUUCUACUAAAGUGAAAUGCUAUUUUACUUUCAACUCUUCAUACCACUUCUUAAAGGGAUUUUUCACAAACUACUUUCCAUUAUCCGAUAUCAGUACAUAUGGUAUCCUAAAGCGACACAUGUGAGAACUCGAGAAUUUAUAGUUAUACCUUGAAUUUAUUUUUUUAUUUUGUUUUUAGAAAUAAUACAUAUAUUAUACAAUUGAUUAAAUUAAGUGUUUAAUUGAUUUCUUAUAAAUUGAAAAUAAAAAAAAUCCCAGAAUGGUGUAGAAAAAAUUCUUAUAGGGGUAUGUAAAUUGGAACAAACUAAAGUUUGGGGCAAUAUUUGAAGUUGAUAGAAUAACAAAUUCUUAACUAGUAAAUAAACCAAAGCUAAAAGACCAAUUUAACCCUAAAACUUCAGCAAUCAACCGUGUAACCAAGAGGACCACCUUCUGGAAUAGAACCGAAAGAAAAAUGAUAGGUUCUGCCAAUGCAUUUGGGCGGUGAAUUGAGAUAGCUGCCAGGAAGGAAAUGUUACUAAGCCAGCUGAGUAAGCAAUAACCAAAUAGAGAGCAGCUUAAAAGAAACAAAAACUGGGCGGUGGCCGAAAGGAAACAAUCUAAUCUCCUUAAUCAAUAAGGCCGAGAGAGUUGAGAAGAAAAGUUGUCUUCCUUUCUUGCUUCUUCCUAAAGCAGACUCGAGUGAGUGAGAUGGAGUGUGAGGGAAAAGAAAGUGUAAGCUUCACCAACAGCUAACUAUGCGAACGAAAACAGAAGGGAGGUCGAGUGAGGAGUUGUGAUAGCAAACUUGAGCAGCCUGCAACAUCGAACUUUAAGGGAACAGGUAAGAGCUAUAACCACUCUCUGUUUAGUUGAUUUAAUCCAUUAAACAUAAGCCUUAUACGUUGAAUUUAGCUAGAGGCUUAGUUCUGGUUCAAGAAAAUGUUAUGCAGAAUUUGUAACUAAGAGCAGAAAUGAGGUAUGGUUUUGUUUAGUUCUUGAAUUUAGUCUAACAUUUGUUAAGGACAACCUGUAACCGAAGAGAUGUUCCCUGCAUGCUAACUGGAACCUGAGAUUGAAGGGGGAUCCUAAGGAACUAACAAAUGAUACCUUGUUGCUAUACGCAUGUGAAAGCAUUCAAAUCUGAUGCAUGCUGCAAUGCACCAGAUUUGCAGCUAGCUGCAGAAACGAAGCAGAACUCAGUCUUUUUUCCUUUGAACCCUGGUCAUGAACGACCUUGUUUAGCUUAGAGUAACCCGCAGUAGGUUAAGUGUCCUCUGCAUAAAUGAUUGAGACCAAAACUCAGGAAGCUUAACUAGUUGAUGCAACCUGCUGUGAAUCCGAGAGGGAGGAAAUUAACCUUGGAAAGAAAAGCUGCAAACCCUUAAACUUCUAAACUAACUUACAGAGUUGAACCUGUUAUAAUGCCUCUAAAUCUCCACCAGAAAGACAGAAAUGAGUAGGAACUAAACUGAUUGUUGAAGGCAGAAUAAGUUUAGUGAUGGCAGGUAACUUGUCCGAGAGAAUGAAGCAGAAUGUGCUUCUGAUCGGCUAUUUUUUACCCUGAAAAUGUGAGAACUGGGUGUCGAUGCCACCAUAAGAAAUGUAGGUUCAUGUCUUAGUUUCGAAACAUUAUAAAAUUUACCUCAAUCCGAUAAGUAUAGCUCCAGUUAUGAUCAAAACACCAGAGGUUGGCAAAGCUGCCUUUCUCGUUGCCUUUCUCUUGUUUUUCCGAAUGCAUUCUACUUGAUGCUGGCCGUGAAGAAACUUAUUUUUUUAACAGCAUUUCAUCUAAUUCCCAACCCUGUAAGCAUUCAUAAAUGAUAGUUAAGGUUGCUCUGAGAUUUAACGACUAUAUCUAGUUCACGAGUAGAGUUAAAUUAAAGCAAAUGAGAGGAAAACUCAUGAUAGUUAUAUACCUAAAUUGGCUUCUAAUCACUUAAUAUUGUCUUUACAAAUAUGUUAAAAACUAUAAAAUUUGAGGGACGAGUGUAGUGGAAUAAAAUUUAAUUUACAAAUAACUUGGAGUUUAACUAAUUUAAAAAGGGGACCAAUGGAAUAUUCCUAAGCUUUAAACUUAGAAUCUUGAGUAGAAAAUGAUUAAUCCUAAUGUAAACAUUUUAUAAAUUAUUAACUUGAAAAGUAUGUAUAAUUCGUGAUUUAAGAUAAUAAAGUCAAUAAGUCUCGAAAUAAAUUGGGGAAUAAAUAUUGCGUAUAUUUUAUAUUUUAAAGUCAAACCUAAUUCGAAUAAUUUAAGUAAUAAGUGAACAUAUACAAAUUAUAAAUUUAUCAUGAAAUUAUAUAUUUAUCUCAGGAAGUAGCUGUGAGCCAGGAAACAAACCCGAGACUCGAGAGUAAAUUAUUUGGAUAAUUGGUGAGUGUUUUCCGAAUUUAUGUGUUUAACUGUUUAUGUGUAUCUAAGUGAAAUUAUGUGACAAAUGUGCUUAUCAUGAAUUAUUACUAAAUGAUUCCUUGUGAAGUGUAUCUCAAUUGUCCCUCACCUUCUAAGUCGAGAGUGUACUUUAUCACACUCGGCUUAGUUGAGUUUGAGGUCAAUAAUUGGCUGAAUGUUAUUGUAAGUGUGCAUGAAUGUAAGUCGUAUAUGUGCCUCACCGCAUCGGCUGAACUGGGCCCCAAAACUCUCUGUUCAACGGACUAUUCGGGCCAGCAAAGGGCUUGGUUGGGUAGGACCGUAGUUUUGAGUAAAUGUUUCGGUAUACUCGAGUAUUACCAUGAGGUUGGGAGUUAUUGAACUAAUUAUUGAAUAUAGGGGAUUGUUUGUUGUAUUGGAGGACAUAAGGAGGUGAAUCAGCGGAAUGUGCAAUGAUAUUGAAAUGAAUGUACAAUGAUGGUGAAAUAAGUGUCUCUUGAUACUGAAAUGAAUGCUCAAUGACCUUGAAGUGGCUCUAAUGCGAGCACCGUAUCCUGUUGAAAGUGAUUGUUUAGUGAAGUGUUUUUUCGAUUGCUUAAUGAAAGUGAUUGUAUAAUAAAAUGUGCACUACUUGCUUAAUUGUACUGAUUUAAGUGUUUAUUAAAUGUUGCCUACUAGGCAAACCUCACUGAGGUUUAGCUCAACCCUUUAGUUUUGUUUUCCUUAUAGGAGCUGGUGGUAGGGGAACGAACGAGGGAUCUUAGGGAGUUAACGUGAAGAUUUUUGUGAUUGUAAAUCCUUUAGUUUCAUAUUAUGGUUGAAACUUUUGUAUUGAACUUGGUAUUGUAAAAGAUUUGAGCGUUUGGUUUUGGUUAUCAAAAUGUUAUUUCUGAAGUUAAUGUAAGUGAGUGCGCCCUGGCGAGAGCCAGGCAGGCGAUCCGCUAACUUUUAGGGUAUGCCCUAGAAGAAGGUGAGGCCGUCACAACACAUGAUAUUCUUUCAAAAAAAAUUUGAAUUGUUCUCCCUGUUAUAGAACUCAAGGGUUUGGUCUCUAUCCAAUUAGUAAAAUAAUUUAUGGUUACCACCAAGUAUUCAUAAUCUCAAGAGCUCUAGGAAAGGAUCUAAGUAGAUCUAUUCUCUAUGGAGCAAAAGGCCAACAGCUUUGAAUAAGGAUUAUAUCCUAAGUAGGCUAAUGAUGAAUUGAUGUAUGUAUUUGGUAAGCUCUUCAUUUCAACACCAGUUCAGAAGCAUCUUUGAAGAUUGUGGGCCUAUAAUAACCCAUUAGCAUACAUUUCUUUGCUAACAUUCUUGACCCAAUGCGAUUUUCACAUAUCCCUUCAUAAUUUUCUUGGAGUACAUGCAUAAUCUCCUUCUUUUGGGGUGAUACACCUUAAUUGUGAAAAUAAAUAAGACUUCCUAUAAAGAGUUUCUCGAAAGCAGACAUACCUAGUAGUUCGGAGUUUUAUUUAUAUGCUUUCUACUUAUUUCUGGUAGCAUUCUCGAGUUGAGGUAUUCAAUUAUGGGUGACAACCAUGAAUCCGAGUUAUAAAUCGCUUGAACCUCUUGCUAUUCAAAACUAUGCUAUUUGACCACUUUUACUAAGAUUUCUUUAUUGAGAUGUAUAGAGGAUGAAAAAGUUAAUUUAGAUAGAGCAUUUGCCCUCUUGUUCUAGGAACGCAGAAUUUGCUCCAUCUCUACUUUCUCAAACAUCAUUACCAUUUUCCAAACUCUUGCCGGGUACUUCUUGAUCAGAUCUUCCUUAGCCUCAUAGUUCCCUUUUACUUGAUUGACUAUGAGUUGAGAAUCACCAUGAAUCUUUAAGGAAAUCACUCCUACUUGCCAAACUAACUUCAUUCCAAGCAUUAAUGCCUCAUACCCUACUUCAUUAUUGGAUGCUUUAAAGUCAAACCUUAAAGCAUAUAUCAGCUCUUCUCCUGUUGGACUGAUCAACAGUAGCCCUGCUUUACAUCAUUUCUUACUAGAGGACUCAUCCAUGAAUAAAAUUCAUGCUGAUCUAGUUUUAUCCAAGCCAUUUACUUCAAUUUGAGAUAUAACUACUCCUUCAGUUAUGAAAUCGGCUAAAACUAGUGCUUUUAUCGCUGUUCUUAACUUAUAAGAGAUAUCAUGCUUAGCUAAUUCAAUAGCCCAUUUUGUCAUCCUUCCUGAUACCUUUGAUUUUGUGAGUAUUUGCUUAAGUGGUUGAUCUGUUAUGACUAUUAUACUGUGAGAUUGAAAAUAAGGUUUGAGUUUUUUAGUUGCAUGAACAAGAUCCAAGACAAGCUUAUCUACGGAUAUGUAUACCACAUCUUGACUCCAUGAAAUGUUGUAUAACAUAAUAUACUGGUUUUUGAAUACCUUGACUUUCUUGAACUAAGACAACAUUGGUGGCUUCUUUGCACAAAUAUAAGUAGACGAGCAGGAUUUCUCCCUGUUUUAGUGAGAUAAGAGUGGGCAGGUCAACCAAAUACCUUUUCAGCACUUCAAAGGCCUUCUGGCUGUCCUUAAUCCAUUCAAAAUUGAUACUUAUUUUGAGUAUUUUGAAGAAGGGAAGCUUUUUGGUAUUCAUAAUUGAUACCUAGAUAGAGACUAUUCAAUGCUACCAUCCUUCCCAUGCACUUCUUUGACAUUUUUUGAAAGAGUCAUUUUGAUGAUAGCAUUGAGUUUAUUCGAAUUAACUCAUAUUCCAUCUUUGGAUACCAUGUAUCCUAGGAAUUUUCUAGACUUCACCGCAAAUAUACAGUUUUUUGGGAUUAAAUGCAUCCUGCUAUCAUGCAAGAUCUCAAAAACAUUCCUUAAGUCAGGAAUGAGCUGUUAAGUAGUUCAACUCUUUACGAAUAUAUCGCCUACAUAGACCUCCAUGUUCUUGAUGAUCUGCUUUUGAAACAACUUGUUUACUAGCCUUUGUAGGUAGAUCCAACAUUUUUUAAUCUAAACAGCUAUAACAAUAUAUACCUCCUUCUUUAAUAAAAGAGGUCUUUUCCUUAUCGCUUUUCUUCAUUUCUAUCUGGUGAUAGCUCUUAAAAGUAUUCAGAAAAAUAAUAUCACAUCCAAUAAUAUAAUCUACUGGCCUGUCCACCUGAGAAAGUGGGUAACAAUUCUUUAGAAAUGCCUUAUCCAGAUUGGUGAAGUCUACACACAUUCUCUAGGAUUUGUCUUCUUUUUUCACCAAUACUGGAUUAGCUAGCCAGUUCGGAUAGCAUACCUCAGUUAUGAUCCGAGAUUCUAAAAGUUUUUCCACCUCCUAAUUAAUGAUCUCAUUUCUUUCCAAGGCAAAAUUUUGCUUCUUCAACUUUACUGGUUUAGCACUUAGGUCUGCAUUUGGUUUAUGGACAACCAGCUCUACUAGUAUUCCCUAAACAGCUCCUUCAACUAUUCCUUCUCACGCUAGAGUAGAGAAAACCCAAUUUUAAUCACCUGAACUUGUAUUUUCUCUUCCACUACAACAAAAAUGGCUUUUCUUGACACAUGUAUAAGGACACUUGUUGGUUUGUAUCAUUAUAGCACUUCUAUCAUGACAUUUGUUAUCAAAUCAAUAAUAUAUACUUUAAUUUUUUUUUAUUUUAUCUGAUAUAAAAAUAAUAAUGUGUCUUUAGAUUUCCUAUCAUGACACUUGAGAAAAUGUGAGAUACACCAAAAAAAUUAAAACAUAAAACGAUGUCGUUUGAUUUUGGCGGAAGAUUCCUUUGCCAAAACACUUAUAGUGAAAUCUCAAAAUUUCAUUUUGCCGGCCAGCAAAAUUUUGGCUCUUCUCAUCUCUCUCGGCAAACUAUCUCUCAAAGCUCUCUGCCAAAAUUUUCCUUUCCCCACAAAGUUUUUUCUGCUGAAUCUCUCCGCAAUCAAACUACUUUUGCUUCCCUAUUGAAGGUAUGUAAUUGCAUGGUUACUUUUUGCCCUAAAUUGUACAAUUUUCUGAUUUCCUGCUCCUGCUCUGUAAACCAACUGAUGUGAAAAUAAUUAACUCCUGUAAGCUGCAAUAAGAUUCUGUGGUAUGCUAGUUCAAGUUCGAUACUGAUUUUUCUUCUAAAAGUUGCUUCAUUCUCAAUCUUGUUUUCAUGAUUUUCUGUUUCGGCUGACAGGUAAGAACUAUAUAUUAGUUGGCAUGGUUCACAAGCCCAAUUAAUUAUAAUAGAUGCAGAGCUAAUCAAAGAAUUACUAACCAACAGAGAAGGCGCUUACCAGAAAAUGGAUAUGGAAGGCAUUGCAAAGAAAUUAUCAAAUUAAUAGGUGAGCCGCUUAUAACAAAUGAGGGUAAAAAAUGGGCAAAAGUACACAAACUGGCUAACCACUCAUUCCUUGCAGAGAGCCUAAAGGUAAGCCUUCUUCUAUGUUAAUCACAUCACGAGUCAAGAAUAAGAAAGUUCGUUGUCCCAUAUAUGAAAAUGGGAAGUGAAUUUGGCAUAUAAUAUUGCUCGAGUAAUUCCCUAUACAUGAUUUGCUUCUCAUAAGAAUAACCUUUUGCAUAGAGCAAGGUACCAGAAAUGAUUGCUAGUGUCGAGGCGUUGCUGGAAAGCAAAGGUAUCAGCCCUCGUCUUAUGCCAAAAAAUCUCCUCUUGCCCCCUGCCCUGUACCCCGGCUUCUCCCACAUAAGUGACCACUACCCUUUAUACUGGAUUUGUUGUCCAUAACCUGUUCGAUAAAAUGUCAACCUUCUUUCCUUUGGUACUGAUAUUAAUUUACUCAAUAAUAUAUAAACUAAUAGAAUUAUUGUAAUUAAGAUGCUUUAUCCUCUUUCAUAUCUGUGAGCGCAUUUGAUGUGUUUCUGUUGCUUUGACAUAUGCUUGUUUAUUGCUGAUCUCUUUCUUCAGUCUGUAAUUAAGAAGAAGUAUGGCCAAGAUGCAACAAAUGUUGGUGAUGAGGGUGACAUUGCUCUAAUAUCCAGGUUAGUUCAUGGCAUUUUGCUAAUAUGCUUCCUGUUCAUUGUUCAAUUCGGUUGUCAUAUAUUUUACAACUUUGUGACUUUGACAUUUCAGGAGAACAAGGAAGGUCUUGAAUUGCUUAAAACAGCUAUUGCUAAAGCUGGUUACACUGGUAAAGUAAGUAUUGGAAUGGAUGUUUAUACUGGUUACACUGUUCUUGAAUGCUAUGGGUAUAUGUUUUGCUGGUGAAAAUGGAGCAGAUGUCAAAGGCGGAUGUUUGUAUGGAAGCAGGCUGCAUCCAAGCUUAGGGGUGUACAAGUUUUUACUUACACAGAGCUUGAGAUUGCAACAAACAAAUUUAGUGCAGCAAAUGUGAUAGGAAAUGGAGGGUAUGGGGUAGUGUAUAGAGGGAUUUUGAGUGAUGGCACUGUGGCUGCAAUUAAGAUGUUGCACAGAGAAGGGAAACAAUGAGGAACGUGCCUUUCGGUUAGAGGUUAGUGGACUUCAUUUAUUGCUAGUUUUCAUAUUAUCCAAUUUUUUAAGCUACAUAAGCUUGUCAAUUAAACUCAUCUGUACACUCAAUUGAAGAUUUUUUUUUUGUUUUUUGGUAUUUUCCCCUCUUUGGCUAAAUACAUUGGGGAAUAAAGGGAAGUGGUGAGUGAGAAUGGAAGUGAGAUAUUUGCCUAAAAAAUUAAUGGUACUUCUGGCAUUGGUCCAGCCAUUGCUUUCUUGAACAUCCUAAUUGAACUUAUUUGAUGGGUGCUUGUCUGUGGUAUGGUUUAUUUCAACAAGUCUGUAUUGAAAUCAGUUUGAAGAGUUUGAAAUUGCUGCAGGUUGUGAUUGGGAUGGAUGUGGCUGCUUCUGAGUUUUAUGGUAAAGACAAGACUUAUGAUCUAAACUUCAAAGAAGAGGUAUUGCUUUUUCACAUUUUCUCCCCAGAUUGUUAUGUCAAACGUUCGAAUUCAUUGCUAAGCCAAAGGAUAAAAUUACAUCUAGAUUCAUAAAUUCUAGUCUUCUAAAGGGGGGUAAUUUCAAUCAUGACAUCUAUCUUUUUGGUCAUUCUUCUUCUUUAUUUAGUAUGUUUGCUGCUUUAGUAGUAUGUUUGGUGAUAGCAAGUAGAAAUUUCAGUGCAAUGAUGGCAACUGGAUCAGUGUGUUAUUCCAAAACCUUUUGAUAUACAAGAAAAUAUAACUUGCGUUAUCACCUUUGCUUUUGCCAGUUAAGUUUUGCAAACCUGCUUGGUACCAAAAUUUGGCUAUUCAGCAAUCAACUUUAUUUCGAAUGAAAUGAAUCCUGUUUGGUAUCGUUACUUUACAUUAGAACGUAAUUGCUAGGUGCUGAUAUCUUUAAUUUAUUUUUUUAUUUCUGGUCUUUCUUUGCAGAAUAAUGAUGGCUCACAAAAGAUAUCAGGUUAUGACUGAAGGCUCUCAUUUCAUUGGAAAGUUUGGAAGCUACUGCAAGUUCUUUCUACUUGCUAGGGAUGAGAAUAUUUUAGUUUGUGCACAAGAGAAUCUUUUAAGUUUGUGCACAUGAGAAUCUUUCAAGUUUGUAUUUGUUAGGGAUUUGUUAUGUUAGUACUUGUUACUGACUUUUAGUUCAACAAAUUAUAUUUGAGUAUUGACUUUUGCUUUAAGAUUACUAUAUGCAUUCUGUUCUUUGGGAUAAUUUUACAAGUCCUUUGGGUUUCUGAUUGACGGAAUGUAUAGCAGGGAGCACUACCUGCAGGUUGCUUCUAUAUAAAAAAAAAAAAGAAAAAAAAAACUCCUGGCAGUUAAAAGUGUCAGCAUAGCUCAGUUAAAAAAACUCCUACUUGUUACUGACUAUAACUAUCCUGACACUUUCGAUUAUCAAGAAAAUGGAAUUUUGUUGGCAGAUGGGAUGCUAUAACAGCAUAGUUUUCCUGACACUUUGAAUGCUACGAGCCUAUCCCCACAUUGGAAGGGACGACACUCGUCCGAGAUGUGAGGAAAGGUAAAGUGUCAGGUUAGAUUAUUUAUACUGACACUUUUAAAUGCCGUUAAAAGUCAUUUUUGUUGUAGUGUUCUAAUGAAAAUUCUUUUACAAUGUCCUCAGUUCUGAGUUGAUUUGCUUUUUCCUUGGGUAUAAAGGGAUCCAAAUUGGUUGCUUGAGCCACCAAUUUUUCUUUCCCUUUGAGGAUGGCUAUAUAACAUGUCCUAACCACCUCAAGAUCUCCAUGAACCUCUGCUGUCCCACUGGAAGUCAGAAACUUCAUGCUCAAAUGUAAAGUUGAGGUAUUGGCUUUUAAAGAGUUAUGAGUAGAUUAGCCAAGGAACAUAUUGUAUGAUGAAGGUCCUUUAGCAACCACGAAAUUGACUGGAACAAUUCGAUAUCUAGGGACUUUUCCAUUAGUUACCAUUAGAGUAAUCAUCUUUCAGGUUUUAUAGGAGGGCUAAAAUAUCCUACCUAUGGCCUCCUUACUAGAGUAAAUUGCCUAUCUUUUAACUUAAGGUUCUUGAAAGUUUUGUAAUAUGAUACAUCUACUAUGCUUCCUGGAUCUAUAAACACUUAUCUGAAAUUAUUAGUGAUCACAUCUAGAUAAUUGGCUCUUGAUGGCUUGAUGCCAAUGAGACAAAAUCCUCAGGUCCAUUUAUGAUUUCUCAUAUAUGUUCAAUUCAUUGGGUAGAAUUAUCCUCUUCUAGUAGAGUUUGGUUAUUUUUUUGGGUUGAAUGACUAUUCUCACUAGUAGGUCCUCUAGCUAUUGCAUUGAUGACUCGAACUAGAUUUUGUGAAUCAAGGUCAAGUGAACGAUCUCGAGGUGAUCUCUGUUGAUCUCGUUUGUCGUUUUCUCCUUUAUCAUUUUGAUUGUUCGGACUAUAAUCUUUUCUUUCUCCCUAGGAAGCUUGGUUAUUUUGAACGUACUCUUUCAAGUUUCUCAUUUGAUCAACUCCUCUAUUUCUUUUUUUUAAUCCUUGCAUUUCUCAAUGUCGUGACUGAUAUCCCUAUGAAAGUACAAUAAAGGAUUUUAUUCCUUUAUUUUUGGAACCAGACAUCCUAGGAGACCUUCUUUCAAUAUCUUUUGCUUCCAUUACUGCCAAGAUUUGAGAUCUUGGUAUUGAUAAGGGCGUGAAAUUCUUUUCCUGAGAUGGACUCUUCCUUUUAGAAAGUUGGUCAAAAAUGUUCCUCUUGAUCUGCCCAACUUUAAGGUCAAUGGUUCCAUUCUUUCUUCAUCUGUCUUCAAAGUCUUUCUCAGAUUCUUGUUUAAGACGAGUAGCCUUCUCGGCAGUUCCAUCUACGUGAGCUCUAUUCAAUAGUUCUUCCAAUGUCAUAGGUGGUUUCUUGGCAAAUUUAUAAUAUAACUCGUUACUUCUCAAGCCAUUUAUAAAUGCUACCAUCAUCACCUUAUCAUCUUUAUCUCAGGUUUGGAGACUCAUUAUUAAAAUUAGUCAUAUAAUUCCUAAUAGAUUUAUCAUGCCUUUGUUUUAUCACCAUUAAUGUGCUGCAUUCUUGUAGUAAACUUUGGAAGAGACGAAUUGUGCUACAAAUUGCCUAGCUAGUUCAAGGAAAGACUUGACUAAUCUUAGUGGUAAUAGUGGAACCAAAGCUGAGCCCUUUCCUUCAAGAACAUAGGAAAGGUCUUGCAAUGAUUCUCAUCUAUAGUGCUUUGCAGUCAUAUAUGAGUAAGAAACACAAACAGGUGAUCCUCUAGAUUUGUAGAUGCAUCAUACAUAUCCAUGAAUUUUAAAUCUUUUUGGUGGAGGAUAUUCUUCAAUUUCCUUGACAAAGGGAGAAAACUAUGUAAAGAUCUGCAUAUUGAUUUGGCUGCAGGAUUAGAUCGAGUUCAUCCUGAAUUGGAUCCUUAGGCAUAUGGUAUUCCAAAUAACUUUUAUUAACCGAGGAUGAGAGCAAUGAGAGUAGUGCUUACUAGUUUUUGAGAUAAAAAUAUGCUUCCUAAAGGGAGAAUAAACCCAUUUCCUCUUAGGGGGAUGAUCAUCAUCAGAGCUAUUUUAGGACGACAAAGCUUGCCUUUCUAUCAUCUUUAUCAGAGCUUUUGAAUUUUACACCUCUUCUGCCUUAUUUUUCCUUUCACCAGGCUGACAAUAUCAUCAAAUAAAGGGAAAUUAUUUGGUACAAAAUUCAUAAUUUUCUCUUUCUUCUCCUCUAAAAUCUAAUAGUCAUUGUUACCCUAAGUUUGCCCAGGGAUGUCAUGAGGUUCUUUGGGGUAACUUUAAUUGGUAUUGCCUAUAGAUUACUUGGAGGCUGUCUUUGUCAUAAGGAAGUUAUAUUACUCCACUUCCCAUAGAGAGCGCAAAUUGUUGAAGCAGUAUUUCCUUCCACUGAGUUGGACUAGACAGGUAAGAAGGGAGCUCAAUCGCAUAAAGGUAGAACUCUCUAAGAAACAUACAAGGAAAGUACCAAUUCAUGAAGAUCCUCGGGGUCAAGUCUCUAAGGUCACUCUGAUUCUCAAGUCAUUUUUUGACUUGAGGAGAAGAAUAUCCUCCUAAUUAGGUGUUAGGUAUCCCUAUAUAUAGGUUUUCGUACAAGAGAGUGAUAAGAGAUUAAGACUAACAAGAUAAAGAGACAAAGAUUACCUCUUUUUGAUUAGUUGAAUAGACAUUAGUUCAUAUGAUGAUUUUCUUAAGAUUAGGAUAGUUAUUAUCACUAACCAACUCAGAUCACCCUUAUUUUAGGAAGUCAAAAACUUAUCCUACCCCUAAAGUCUUCAGUGUCUGAAAUGGAAAAGUCAGACGUUGUUGUUUCUCUUCUUAUGAUUCUACUAUUUCAUGUGGGAAUAGCAAUAGCUGCUGGAAGUCAAGAUGGAUCAGAAGCGUGAGGAUAUGUUCAAAUCAGGCCAAGUAUGUUUCUGAUGUUUUAAGUGCCCAUUACAUGUAUUACUUGUCAAUGUUGAUAUUGAGUUCUUGUGUAUGUUUCAAAGGCUCACAUGCUCUGGUGGUACUAUAGAAGUCCAAACAUGAUUCAAGAUCUCGAAAAGCCUUGGCCAAUUAUUCUUUGGCUGUAGAUAGGGCUACAAAUGAGCUAAAUCGAGUCAAAUGUUGAUUUAAUUUUAGCAAGUUCGAGGUUGAAUUCGAGUUCGACGAGCUCUCAAUGUAAAGGUCGAAGUCAAACUUGACCUCAAAUUUGAACCAAGUCGAGCUCGAUCUCGAGUUUAAAAAAUAAAAAAAAAAUUAUCUUAUUUUUAAAAGAAUGAAUAAAAUAAUAAUUUUUCUUAAUAAAUAACAAAAUAUUAUGGAUAUAUACAUGUAAUUUUAUUAUGUAAAUAAUAUAUAUAUAUAAUUGAGUCAACUCACGAGUUAACAAGUUGAUUAUCUUUGUAUUCAAGCUUGACUUAGUCAGUUCAAACUCGACUCAAGUUCAGUGUUGCCCGACCUCGAGUUGAAUAUUGAUUCGAGUUACUCGUGAUCAGUCAUGAGUGGCUCUACUUGUAUGCAGCCUUAGCUGCAAAGUAGACCUGUGAGUAUCAGAAUUCCCAUAGGGUUCCCUCAAAUUUCAAUCUUGAUUAUUUUUAUGAUAAAACAAUCUGUUUUUGUAGUGAAGGGAGCUUCAGGUGUGGGAAUUGGUAACUUUGAGGAGAUUGGGCCUCUAGAUGUUUUCCUAAAGCGAGGAAAUUCAACAUGGUUGCAGAAAGUUGAUCUCCUGUUUGUGUAGGUAAUGGUUGGUACAUUAAUGUUAGUGAAUUAUCUCAUUAAUAUGCAGCUUUUUCAAAAAUCAAUAUGAGAUUUUCCUGGAGGGGUUUUUUGUAUUUUCUUACCUGAUUUUGUUUUCUAGUAAUUGUGCAUAGAAUUAUCUAGUUGGGAUGGUCAUAGUUUUGUGGAAGACACGGAAGACACCACAUUGUUUGUGAAAAGUGAUUUUGAGGCAACAACUGACGAAACUACAUUCUUGAUCGAAUUUUUCAAAGGGAAUGAGAUCCUUUAGAAGAGUCCUCUGUACAUUAUAGAAGAGUUUUAUGGAGGCAAAUUUGCUAUUAAGGCUUUAUCUGCUUUAAAGGCUAUUAAAGCUAGAAAAUUGAAGCUAAAUCUUGGACUUAAAAAUUGAAUUUAGAGCCCUAAAAUUGAAUAUGGAGUACCUUUUUUCUUAAAUCCCAAAGUAUUGAGCUAUUACCUUUAUAAAUAUAAGUUGCAUUAAGGGAUAGUUGGAUCUCACUAGAAGAUUCUUCAGUUUGUAGUCAGUAUUUUUUUUCUUUACUUGUUCACUAGUGUCAUGAUUAGGGCAGCUGAAUUGAGUCUUAUAUUGAAAUGCAGUCUUCAUGGGUCCUCUUAUAAAAGAUGUCUCGUUGCUUGACAGCAAUGAUUUGAAGAAAUCAAACAGGUCUUCAAUGUUUAUGCUUUAAACUAGUAGUACAUAUUAGCAUAAUUCUCUAAUCUAAUCAAGCUCAAAGAUUUUGGUUCUCUAAUAAGUCUAUAUUUAAUGUAGGGUAGUUCUUCAAAUUAAGAAGCAAAUUGCAGCAGGUAAGUUUGCAGAGGCCACAGAAACAUGGAAGGAAUUGAUAGCAGUCAUUAGCCAUUAUAGUAAUAAUAUGGUAUGAAUUCUUUUGACUUUUUUCCUAGCCUAUCUAAACUUAAAGGUAAUCACAAUAAAUUGGUAAAUUUAUGCUUGCCGAUUUCAUUUGUGUAUAAAUAGAGUAUUUCUACAAUUUCCUCUCAAUUUUACAUGAGGAUGAGCCUUUAUCAUUAUCAGCUGAAUCCAAACUAAAACACAAAAUUGCAGUAAGAAGGUACUCAGUAUACCCUCAAAGAUUGAGGUGCCCUUCCGAAGGUGAUGGUAAUGAUGAUAAUGUUACCUAGAUGAAUGGUUAUAUUAGAAAGAAGUUAAGGACUAUAUCACUGAAUGUCACGUGAGUUUUUCUCCUUAGAAAAUUUUUUACUUCUCAGAGUUGGAGAAGUAAUAAUGGCUAGAACAGAUGGGAAUUUUCAACUUGUUGCUAGAGCCAUCCAAGGUGAUUUCAUUAGGACAUGGAUUAGGGAGGCAAAUAUAUCAGCUUUUGUGUUUUAGUUGAGAACGAAAAGUCGGGAAGUUUUCAGGAACUAUAUCAGUUUGUAAUUUUGAAUUAUACCAAAAAUGAUUUUUUUUCCUCAUUUGAUCAGCAUUCUUCAAUCACAUCUCAAUUGAGAUAAGACCAGCUUAUCCAAUUACAUGCAGUAAAUUCUCAAGCAUUUGUUCAACUACUUUUUGCAGGUCGAUGAACUUUGAGCAAAUGGAGUAAAUGUUAAUAUCUAAAAUGGACAAGCACAAUUCUGCAAUGGUUUAAGAAAUAUAGAGCAGGAAUGAUGCUUUAUUUUCCAUGCUAUCAAUUUGACUUUCUUUAGUUUGAUUAGAAUGUUAUUUAUUGUUGCUGAUAGCUUCAUCUCAUCUGUCCAACCAACGUAUCCAAUGCCCACAUGGGUUGAAAAGCUCAAGUAGGAAUUAAUUAAUCCCACAAGUAAUUGAGAACCCAAAUCCCUCUUUCUAAGAAAAACACUCUCUUAUCAAAAUCAGUAACUUUUUUCCUAUUUCAUUGGUGGGAUGGGAUCACAUUUUUCUUGAACAUGGAUAGAACUCCUGCGUAUUUUGAAGAUGACAAAGAGUAUAAAGGGUUUCACCAAAUCAUACAGAAAUUUACAUUUCUACUGGAUUCUUAAUGCUGGCCACUUUGUAGGUCAACUAACUAUUGUCAUAUUUCUGCUGUAUUUGUCUCUGUUGGUCUAAAAUUACUAUGACUCUUGCCUACUAGAGGCAAGGUUGAGAAGACAACACAUCCAAUAGUUUUAGUACGUCAUAGCCAAUCUCCUAAUUUUGGAAGGCUAAAGUUUUGCACAAUUUUAUCAUGAAUGUUGAAGAAAAUGUAAGGUUUGCUUGGCAUCCAUGCUUUUUGCUAGUUUAUUUUGGACAAAUUUUUUCCCCAACUUUAAGUUACACUUUUAAAAAUAGGGUUAUUAUCACUUUAAUGGAGUUUGUUAAUUCAAUUAAAAAGACAUGUUUAGCCCUUAAAAUUAUUAUCAUUUUCCUUUCAUAAACUAUAGCUUUAUUAUCAAUUUACCCCCUAGAAUUAUUUUUUAGACAAUUUAUCCCACAAUUAAACCAAUUUAGUGAGUUAAAAAACUUUAGAAAAAAAGUAUUCUCCUCUUUAAAUAAUAAAAAUAAUAAAAAAUUUAGAGUGGUUGUUCUCUUUUUUAGUAUCAAGAGAAAAAGUCAAAGUAUUAAUCUCUUUCUUCUUGGUAAUCUUAUUAAUACUAAAAAAAAUAGAAAGGUUGGGAAAAGAGAGAGAGAGAGAGAGAGAGAGAGAGAGAGAGAAAGAGCUCAAUUCUUAUUUUAAAAAAAUACAAAUAAGAAAGAAUUCAAUAUUUUUAUUUUUUUUAAAGUUACUUUACUUUUUUGUUUACUAUCCAAUUCUAAUCCUAAUCUCGGUGAUGUUAAAGUAAUACGAUAAUAUUAGAUUCUUUCUUAUUUUUUUCUUUGCAAAAUCUAAUUUUUUCUGUCUCCUUUUCUCCUAUCUAUUUUUCUUUUCUUAGUAUUAAUAAGUAUGAAAAAAGAAAUUUGAAAAAAAUCAUUUUUUAUGUUUUUGGAACUCUUAGAGUGAGAAAAAAAGGACGAAUAAUCAUUCCAAUUUUUUUUUAAUUAUAUAUAGAAAGAAUAGAUACAUUAAUAUUUUUUUGAACAUACUAUUGUGGCUAAUAAUGGAGUAAAAUGCCUAGAAAAUAUUGUUAGGAAGUAAAGUGAUUGUAUCACUGUAAUUUAAAGGGGUGAAAUGAUAAUGAUAAUGUAGUAAUGCUAAUAAAUAAAAGGGUAUUUUUAUCCAAAAUUUGUUAACAUGUUGAGUUGAACUACUUAUGGGGGUGGAAUGAUUAAAAGAUAAUGUUAGAAAAUAAAUUGAUAGUAGUGAUAUAGUUUAAGAGAGUAAAGUGAUAAUAAUCCUUAAAAAUACUCCAAAGUUUUUAAAAUAUACACCCAAAAUACCCCAAAGCAUACAAAAAAGUCUUUUCCUUCUUUCCUUUCUUCCCCCCACCUCAACCUGCUAUCACCACCAUCGACCACCUCAGCCUCUCCUUUUUUUUUAAUUCUCUCAUUCUCUCUCCCUCACCUCCUCCCCCUCACUUGUCCUCUCCUAGUCUCGGGAAGGGGGGAGGGGGAUGGGGUCAGGGAGAGGAGGGAGAGAGAGUGGCAGGGGAAAGGGAGAGGGAAGGUGAGGGUGGCGGUUGCACUAGGGAGGGUGGGAGAAGGAGAGCGAUGGUGGUGUGGGGAAGGAAGAAGAAAGAGAAACAAAAGGAAAAAAAAAAGAAAGAAAAGGAAAAGAAAAAAAAGAAAGUUUUUAAUUUUUCAAACUCUCAAAUAUACAAAGUUUUUUUACGAGUUCUACAUUAAGUUUUAUGAUAAAAUUUUAUAUAGACACCACAAAAUACACCAUCCAGGUGAACCCAUUGUUUUUCUUGAUCCUUCCCAUUGAAAUGGUUAUUCUCAUUUUUGUGCAUCUAAAUAUAUUUGUCAUAUUCAAAAAGUAAGAACAUAAUGUUUACUCUUUUUAUGCUCCAAAUCAUUGUCUUUUUGUGGAAGACAUGCAUGUCGUUCCAUUCAGAUGUUCAAUUCGAGAGCAUAAACUUCGAAAAAGUUUAGCUAAUUGUCUCUACCAAAAAGCAACAAAACACUAGCACGAAGUAAUUGAUGGGCUUGUAUGGAUGGAAUUUAUAUAUGAAGAUAGCAAGAUGUGUAACAUGUGCAUCUAAUACAAGAAUUAAAUGAAUUUAAGAGGUAAUAAGACACCACAUCACUACUACUGGAUAGUCAAACUGGUUUUGCUUUACCACGCACUAACAGAUGUCUGCCAUUUACUGGUAAAUUUACUAAUCAAGAAUGGAACAUGAAUUUUAAAGAAGAAAGAAAGCUAUGGAAGUCAAAAUUUCACGCACCAUUUAUUUAUUGAAGUUAUUGACAGAUAUCAGCAGUUUCGAUCAAAGGAAAUUAAGAUCAUAUGCUGAACGAAUUCUUGCAAAAUUAAUGUAUGUUAGGUCUUGUCCUAGAAAAUUGAACAAGAAGAACAAAAAGACUCUUGACAACCCAACAAAGGCAACUGCACAACAAAUAAAUCAAACAGAGAGAUAUCAAAAUUUAAGUGGUUCAAUAGAAUUGGCCUACAUCCACGGGUGAAAGAGAAACAUAAUAUUACUACAAACUAGAGAGUACAAAAGAGAGACAGUACAAAAUCAUAGAAAAUCAUUCUAAAAUCUAAAGGCACCUAAAACUAAAAAUACAAAAGAGACUAAAUAGCACAAAAAAGUUUAAUGGUCCAAAGGUUCACUAACUUGCUCUUUUAGUUUGACGCAUAAACAAAAUCUCUCUCGACUUGGGGCAUGAGACCCCAAAAAACUUCUCUUGAAUGGAGCCUUGAAACUUGGAUUGGUACGCUUAAUAUAUUUUAACUCAUUAAGUCCAUUGUAUUUAGAACCACCAAGAGAGAGAUUUCUUUGUAAAUUUUUUGAUAAGGGAUACAAAGAUAAACUCAACAAAUCUCCACCUUGGCAUGUAUCCAACAUCAACAAAUGACAGACAAGUGGCAAAUAUGCUACACUUCCCCACAAAAGUUCCUACAGAACCCAAUGAGUCACAAAAAUCCCAAAAGAUCCCAACGCACCAUCAAAAAAUCAAAAUACAAAAGACUCAACGGAUUCCAACUGGCAAAACACGCAAAGGAUUCAACAGAUCCCAAAGGGUUAAAAACAUGAAUAUGAUAAUUUUGCUUUUCAAGUUCACUAUGUAGGACGACUCCCAAAUUGUCCUCUCUCGUGCUCAGGAAAGACCAAUUUUUUUUUUAUCAUAGAAAAAAAGUGGGAAUAUGAUAUGGUGACAAUUGAGAUGGCAUCUAGUAGGGCUCGUGGUCAAUUUGGUGGUGGAAGUGCAUCACCAAACUCGAAAAGUUGCUUUCAUUCUUGCUGAAUAACUGAACAUCAAUCUUUCCAAGAUUAGAAACUCAAUUUCCUCACGUUUGCUGCUACUGGAAUUUUAAUUUUCUUUGCAUUUGUUGCUGCUGAAAAUUGGGCUUCGCCAAACUUUAGUCGUUGGUGUUUGAAUUCAUUAGUGUAGCCUUGCACCUCAAUUGUUUGUCAAUUUGCCUCAACGAAUUUUAUGCCAAAAUAGACAUCAGCUCUACGUCCCUACUUGCCGGAGAUGGCGGCCUGUGGGCCGUCUGACAAGCUUCCGGACAGUGGGACUUCAGUUUUGAGGUCCUUUGCAUCAGUACUAGCAGAUGGUACGAAACAAACUGAUGCCUUAGCCUUGGGAGAGGUCUCAACCUUUAGAGGAGAGCCAGCCUUGCGCAUCUCUCGCAGGGAAAUAGAGCAGCUUUCUGUUCCAUUUCAGAACUCUUUGGUGGGGCGCUUCUUGUUCAACAGACCACCCAUGGAAGUUAUUAGGAAAUUCUUUCUUUCGCUGGGUUUACGAGGUGCUGUAAGGUUGGGCUCCUUGACCAGAAACAUGUUCUGAUCCGUCCGGUGUUGGAGGAAGACUACACCCGUCUUUUUGCACGUAGAAUCUGGUAUGUUAGCAGCUCGCCAAUGUCAAUUUCCAAGUGGUCGCUAGAGUUCAAGGCAGACCAGGAAUUAUCGAUAGCUCCAAUUUGGGUUUGUUUCCCAGAGUUGCCAAUUCCAUUUUUUCAGCAGACCCAAUUAUUCAAGCUUGCGUCUACUUUGGGAAGGCCUCUUAAGAUUGAUGCAUCAACUAGUGACAUGCGUCGUCCUUCUGUAGCCAGAGUUUUGGUGGAGCUUAACUUUGCAUCUAAUCCUGUGCGGCGUAUUUGGAUAGGUGAUGAGAACUUCGGGUUCUGGCAGCCUGUUGAGAUGGAAACGUGGCCAUCUUACUAUGGGUUUUCCAGUAGGUUUGGCCCUGCAGAGGAGCAAUGCUUUCAUAAAAAUCCUUUCUUGCGAUCUGAUCCGCCAAUUCACAAAGUCCCUUCUAAAACACAGAAACAGCGCCAAAUCUAUGUUCCAAAAGUAGUGAAUGAGAAGGAGAAGGAGUUGGAGGUGACGACAGUCCAGAGCAAACCGGCCGCAGAUGUCAACAAGGAACAAGGAAUGUCUGCUGCUCAUGCUCAGACAAUUCCGGAGGCUGCCACUUUAGGGAAUAAUUCGCAGUUUGUUUUGGAUAGUAUUAAUCCUGAUGAUUUUCAAUUGAAUAUUGGGCAAAAUCAUAAGGGUAAGGAAAAGAUGUCUGAUGUUCAAUCUUUGGUUUUACCAAACCUGCAAAUGAAUAAGCCGUUGGUUAUACGGGAGCCUCAAGAGUCUGGUGUGGAUUGAAAUUUGAGUGGGGUUGUAUCUCGGAUAGGAAAAGCUGCAAAGUCUGUUAUUGUCACAGAUCGGGUUGUGGUGCCGGAGCAUGGAACAGAUGUUGGGCUGCAGACUUCGACUUCGAAUCCACUUGAGGAUGGGGAAUUCACUGAUCCGGAGUCUGAGAAUGACCAUUCCAUUCAACCAGCUAAUGGCGCAUUCACAGAGGCUGCUUCGGAAGAGAAGGCGAUGGAGGUUGGCGACUCCUCAUAGCAAGGUAAUGGAAUUACGCCUGAUGUGGCUAACGAUGCGCUCGUGAAGGUAGACCAACUUCAUGACCCACGUGAUAUGGUGUCAGUUGGAGACACACCCCUUGUGGGUACAAGUACAAGUACAAGAACAGACACGAAAUCCUCUAUGCCUCAAAAUCCAUGGUUUAAAAAUGUGCCACAAUUUAAAGAUGUGUUCGAAGAGCUUAAAUGGAAGAAAUUACAUGGUAGGAUCCCCCUCGUUGAUAGGUUGCAAUUUUAUUAUUAAUUUUCCCUAUUACCUGACUCGAUGUGGAUUAAUUGUUGGAUUCUACUCACUUUUAAUAUUUUGCAUUUAUUUCAGGGAGUAGAACAAAAAUAUGAUAACAAGUGCCGAUUUGACAGAAGAGGAAUCCAAAUAAUAGAACUUAUCCCAGGGGCAUUUUUGGAAAAGAAAAACUUAUCCCCAUUUUGGUAAUUACUGCAAAGGCAAGGAUGAAGGCAGGGCUUCCUUUUUGCUGAUGGGGAGCCGCCGCACAAUAGUUAGGCAUUAGAUAGGAUUGCAAUUAGAUAGGAAUAAAUAGAAAAUGGGAGCAGAGGGUUUUCUCUCCUUUACCUUUAGUUUAUAGCUUUGACUUUUCUUUUGGUUCUUAGUAGCUUAGCUCUCGUAUGUCAGAGGCAAAUAAGAGCAAUUGAAUGAUUCCUUGUAGUUUUUUUUCUUUUGACUUUUCCUUGUGGUCUGUGGUGGAUUCCUCCUGCCGCAUGAUGGCCGCGACUAUUGCUUCAGCUUUACAUGGGUUUUUUGCAACGAAUAUGAACUAAUUUCCUUACUCUAGCCAAGGAGCAACGGAGGCCUUGGUUCGCCUAAGAAUUGUGAGAUCGAUUUAAUUUAAUCUUUUCCUUUUAUUUAUUGGUAUUCGCAUAUUUCUUGAUUGCUAAGCUUAUGCUUAUUUAAUUAAUUGAUUGUCUUGGAUCCGGAUAAUUAGUUAAUUUGGUAAUCUAUUGUCAAUUAGGGCAUUUAAAUCCGUAAUUGUUUAAUUGCCUUGAAUUAGUGACAAUUGGCACGAUUGGAUUCGUGUCAGGGGGAUACGCGGGCUAAUCUAAAAUAACCCUGGUAGUGCGUUAUUUGGUUAGAAUAGGGCUCCUCUAAUACGUAAGGCAAUUGGGGAAUUAAAUCUUACGGGCGUACCUAGGAUUAUUUCUCAAUUAGAGCAGUGAUUAAUGGGCGUACCUUAAUCACCGACACAGUAAGGAGGGGUUGACUGUCAUCGCUUGUUUGGCAGUUAUAACCUAUUUAUUAAUAAAUAAUUGAAAUCGCUUGUGCAUCGAUGAUCAAUUAGGUGAAUCAUUGCCGAAGUUAUUUCUUGGUUAGAUCCUUAAUUAUCACCCAUUUGACUUUAGUAAUUUGUUAUUUAAUUUUUAGUAGUUUUUUAGAUUUUAUUUGAAUUUCUUUGAUUGUCACCUUCUGCACAAAAACACCCCCUUUGUUACUGUGAAUUUGAGAAGAAACAGUUACACCCAGUCCCUGUGGAUUCGACCCUACUUACCACUAUCUAUAGAAAUUAACUUUAGUUGAGCAGGUUUUUGUUAUUGCACAGGCUGACAACCUGGCACUCGUAUAUCAAAAGCCUUUUCUUCAUUCAAAUACAACAUGCAAUGGUGACAAAAUUGAAGAAGAAGAAGAUGAUUCACAACGCGAUAAAGACAAAGACCAAGACCAGAAACUAGUUCACGAGCAAUUUACCCAAGUGAUUUCAAAGAAAGCGAGGAAGCAGCUUUCAAAAAAAGGUAAAACAAUGCAAACACGUCAAGAUGUUAAAUCAAAUUCCCAUGCUCACUCACAAUCCCACAAAUGUGGGGCACCAUCAUGUGGAUGAUUCGUUCGAUUCAUCUGUUAUGUAUUUAGAUUCGCAGAUUUUUUCAUAUGUGCGUAUUAUUGUUGAUCCUUAGCUGUCCCUUUUACUUUAACAGAGGUCAGGUUUGGCCCCCCUCUAAUUCGUUGUACUCUUUUCGGAUAUAAAUAAAUUAAGGGAUGGAUCUCUAUUUAAAAAAAAAAAAAGUUCACUAUGUAGGAAAGUUGUCUUAACAUCAAGCUGUUCCAACUCCAAAUCAUAUAUGACAACUAAAGUAAGUAAAAUACGAAUAUAGCUAUGCUUAACAACAAACGAAAAUACAUAAUUGAAAUCAACAAUUUGUACCCAACUGUAAUCCUUUGCAAUCAAUUGUACUUUGUACAUUGCAUUUUCAACUACUGAAACACCUUCAUUCUUCUUGAAUACUCAUUUGCAUUCAACUUCUUAUCUAAAGAUAAUUUUACAAGAACCCAAGUUCCAUUUUGGUAGAGACUCAAUUUCUUCAUUUAUUGCAAUAUAUCACUAAGUAGAAUCAUCACAAUAAACUAACAUCUAAAUAGGUAAAAGACUUGUAAACUCCAUCAUUCUGUUUUGUAAUAGACAAAGCAUAUGCAAUCAAAUUUACAUAUCCUUGAGGUAGUCGAAGAUCCCUCCUUGAACUAUUUUUGGCUAUUGAAUAUUGCUUCUCUUCUGGAUUAUUUUCAUUAGUAGAUUCAAGUGCAUCUACUAGCAUUUGCUGAAUAGAAGAACUAGACUAAGAAAGAACAAAACUGCCAAUUUCAAUUUUCACCUAUUUCUACAUACUAUCAUCUGUACCACAAGAACUGGAAGACUCCUUGGAAGACAGUAUAGAGAAUAUAUCGGAAAUAACAUCUCUACUGAUCAUAAAUUUUGGGAAUUUCAGAUGAAGAAAACACAAUAUAUGCACUUUUACCCCAAAAGCAUACCCAAGAAAAGUACUUUUUUUUGCCCAAAACUUCAAUUUUUCAUUAUUCACAUGCAUGUGUGUUGUACACCCAAAAGCUAUUAAAUUAGAGUAGUUAGCAGUAGUGCACAACCAAACUUCCUCAAGAGUUUGAAAAUCAAGAGAUGUAGAAGGAACGCGAUUGACAAUAUAACAAGCCAUAUAGAUAGCCUCUGCCCAAAAAUCCUUUAUCAACUGUGCAUUAAAGAUCAUACAUCUAUCUCUUUUCAAAAGCGUUCUAUUUAUGUGUUCUACCAUACCAUUUUAUUGAGAUGUCAUUCUAACAAUGCGGUCUUGAAUAAUUCCUUCAUUCUUGUAUAAUUCAUCAAAUUCACCUUCACAGAAUUUCAUGUCAUUAUCUAUUUUAAGCCCUUAAUGUGUUUAUCUAUCUGUUUCUCAAUCAAAACUUCUAUUGUUUGAAAGUUAGGCAAACAUGAUUCUUAUGUUUAAGAAAAUAAACUCAAAUUUUCCUUAAAUAAUCAUCAAUGAAAGUCAAUAUAUAGCUUGCACCACCCUUAGAUGAAACACGAAUUGAACCCUAUAGAUCUAAAUAAAUAUAAUCAAGACCUUUAGUCUUGUGAAUUGUUGAUGAAUUGAAACUGACCUUUUUUCGUUUUUCGAAGACACAGUGUUCAUAGAAUUCCAAUGACUCAAUACUUUGUCCACAAAGAAGUCCCCUUUUGUUUAGUAUGUCCAAGUCUUUCUCACUUGCAUUUUAAAUGCAUAUGCUACAAUUUGAUGAUGUCAAAAUCAAAUAAAGAUGAUAGUAGAUCCUGUGCUAAUAGAUCCUUGCAAAAUAUACAAAUGACUAGACUUGCAAGUUUUUAUAACAACAAAAACAUCUCUAGAAACCUUCAAAAUGCCAUUUUCAGCUGUGUAUUUGAAUCCAAGGGCCUCCUAGAUUCGUCAAGAGAUGAAAUUCUUUUCUAAAUCAAGAACAUGUCUAACAUUAGUGAGUGUUCUCACAAUACAUCAUGCAUUUUAAUUCAGACUGUACUCUUACGAAUAAUAUCAUAAAUGGCAUUAUUGCCCAUUAAAACAAAUCCACCAUUACCAGGCUCAUAAGUAGAAAGCAAAUCCCUAUUGAGACACAUGUGAUAAGAACACCUUGAAUCUAAAAUUCUUUCUUUUUUAGACCUUGUUCUAUCAUUAGUCACAAAGAAAAUAUUUCUAUCACUCUCAUUAGCUGCAACACAAGUUUCAACAAUGUCAAUAUAUUCCUUACAAUGUUUUCCCUUUUUCUUUAGUUUAUUUUUCAAUAUAAAGCAAUUAGCCAUAAUAUGCCACAUUUUGUGACAAUAAUUACACUCCAAAUUUCUAUGUCUGGAUUUAGAUCUAAAUUUAGACCUACUACUAGCAGAUUCUUUUUUAUCAAUUCUGCCACUAAGGCCUUUUGCCUGACCCCCCAUUAAUUUUUCUAAUGAUAUCUCUGUCUAUCUACUCCUUAGUUUUUAAUGCAGAUUUAAGUUUUCAAUAUGAAACUGUUUCUUUUCCAUAAACCAUAUUAUUGUGAAAUACUUAAACGAUUGGGGAAGGGAACACAACAAUAAUAGGAUCUAAUCUUCAUUAUCAAUUUUCGAAUAAAUAUUCUCCAAAUCCAUAAUAAUGAUGUACCUUCAGUCAUCUAAAAUAUAUAUAGACUUUGCCUUAGAUAAACUUGAUUCUCAACUAUCUUCUUCGUAUACAAAACUUUAAUCUUGUCCCAAAUGGCCUUAGUUGAAGUCUUAGCGGCUAUCUCCCAUAAAAUCUCGUCAUAGAGAUUUAAAAUAAUACUUGAUCUUGUCUUCUUAUCCAUUUUAGCAAAAUUCGCAUAUGUCAUAUUCUUUAAUUUUUUUCAACUUCCUGUAUCACUAGAUCAACUCCGUGUCGAACCAAGGUCGCCUCCAUCUUAAGCUGCCACAAUCCGAAGUUGACACUCCUGUAUAAUUUUUCGACUACCGUCUUUAUUAUUGUCAUUGUCGCCACAUAAUCUAGAGAGAAAUUUUGAUACUAGUUCCUCAGGUCUAAUCCCAUGAAAUUGACCAACAAAAAUAAUAGUACUCUUGGCAAUCUAACAAAGAGAAUAACAUAGCAAAUAAAUCAAAUAGAGAGAUAUCAAAAUUUAUGUGGCUCAGUCAAAUUGACUUACAUCCAUGAGCGAAGGAGUAAUAUAAUAUUACUAUGAGUAAGAGAGUACAAAAGAAAAAGUACAAAACCGUAAAAAAUAAUUCUAAGGUCCAAAGGUACCUAAAACUGAAAAUACAAAAAAGACUAAAACUGAAAGUAUAAAAGAGUCUAAAUAGUAUAAUAGACUUAAUGGUUCAAAGGCCCACUAAUUUGUCCUUUUCAUUUGAUAUUUAACCAAAAUUUCUCUUAACAUAGUACAUUUAAACUCAUUUAAAUCCAUUGUAAUUAAAACCACUAAGAGAAGAGAUCUCUUUAUAAAAUUCUCAAUAUGGGAUAUAGAAACAAAUUCAACAAUAUAUAUGUGCUGAAUCUAUGGCCCCAUUUGGUAAGUGAGUUUUUUAGCUAUUUGUCUAAAACUUUACUGUAGAAGUUGUAAAAAAAAAAUUUUAAAUGUGUCAAUUUUUGGAUAUUUUGAAGUGUAUAGUUUAAAAAUUUUAAGAAAUUUUUUGAGAUUAUUUAGUUAAAGUUGUUAAAAAACUUGUAGCAGACAAACUUUGCCAAAAACUUGCCUGCCAAACAAGGUAUAUUAAAAUUUCUUCUAUUUGUCCCACUAUUUUAUUUUCCCUUCUUGUUUUCUUUGUAGGUUCUUAUUGACCAGCCGUGCGUAGCAUUGAAGAUGAUAGGAAGCAUCACAAAUCACUUGCAGCUUUAGAGUAGACAUUGGCUUUCCAAUUUAACCCCACACGAGACAGACUCUGAAGAAAUAAGAAGAGAAGAGAUGACCUAUAGAUAGCCUGCUCAGGGAGGGGAAAAGAAUAACAGAAAAGAAGUCCAUUGAUUGCCAAAGAAAAAUAUCACAAGAAUGAGAAUCAUUUCAGAAGAAAAAGGAGAUUAAUCGGGACCUUGUUUUUCACAUUAUUGUGUCACAGUAGUUUUUUCAGUUUAUGACGUGAUUUUAAUUUGCUUGUGCUGAUAGAGAUUAACUCUGAGGCGUUAUAUUUGACCAGCUGGUGAAUGACAUUGGGUUCGGUGCACAAAUGCACAUUAGGGGUAUUAAUACCUUUUCAUUGUUGGGCAAAAAAAAAAAACAUUUCAUUAGGGUUGCAACUCAAUAAAAAUUAAAAAAGAAAUGCACAGAUGCUUCCUAGCGUUUCACGCAAUUAUAUGCCUAAAAUCAUAUGCUGAAACAAGUUCUAUUUUUAAGAUUUGGAGAUUAAGUUGCAGCAAAAAGUAGCCUCAAUUUCUGUCUUAAGAGAAAAAACAUAGAAUUCUUUGAAAUCCAAAAUAACUGUAAAGCUUCUAAAAUUCACCCAGAGAAUGAAUAUUUGUACAUAAUUGAACACCACAUAUCUAAUUUUAAUCAUAAACGGAAAGUAUUUUGCCAAACUCAGACUCUUUGAAAUAUUUAGAGUCAACUAAACCAUACUCCAAACUUUGGGAGUUAUGAUGUAAAGUCAAAACGUUGACUAACAUCAAUUCAAUUUCAUUGUAAGCCAUUGUUAAAUUUCUGUCGAUUAUACCUAAAAUUAAAGAUUUUAAGAAUCAUAUUUAUUACCCUCGAAAGAUUAUAAACGAGUUUUGCUUAUAAGGCAAACGUUGCAAACUACAAUUGCAUUUUUCCCUUCUCCAAAAAGGAAAAAUGAAAAAAAAAUCCCCCCAGUCAGUCCAGGUGAAUAAUCUAAGGUGUUUUCUCUUGCAUUCAACUUCUCUAAAUUCUAAUUCACGCUUACUGCUAAUCCUCGAUUCAUGUCAGUUGAAGACCCAUCGCAAUAUUUUGACUGAACCAUAAUUUUCUUAUAAUUCCUCGAGUUUUAGCAAUGAGUUCUAAAAUUUGAACUAACCUUGUUUAACAUGAAGAGACAUUUCACAUAAUUAUCUGUUGCUUUUGACUUUGAAACUAAAUGAUAAAAAUUAACCAAUUGAAUAAUUUGUUAGAAGCACAGUACAAUUUUAUUUUAAAAAUUGUCGUAGAUUAUCAAUUCAACUUAUCCUUGUCCUGUUCUCCAACUUCUAAAAUGCCUAUUUUUUUGAUACAAAGAAAAUAAAUAGGCUUUUUUUGUUCUAAAAAGCCUAUUUAUGAAACGGGUAUAAAAAAUUUGAAGCAAUUUGUAAUAAGUAUAUGAAACGGUGACUCAAUAACGCUUAUUUGAUUUAUUUCAUUUAAUAACAAUAAUUUUCUGGUUUAUUUGAAUUGUGAACCUCCCCACUGUCCUCAAAAAAAUAUUGACUAACAAUACGAUAUGAAACAAUUUACCUGGGUCCGUGAUGGACUAGAGUCCUAAACAAGUUUAAUAUGCUUCAAGCUUUUUACAUUUUAGAAGGAUACAAAAGAUUUAUUUUACAAAGACUUGCCAGAGUAAAGAAGAAGUGGGGAACAAGCACACUUGGAGAGCGCAAUACAACAGAGAGUUGUAUGCUGCGUUCGGGAAGGAUGAAUUACUCCCGAAAAGGAAUCUAUUAAUUCGUUAUUAUCACUUUACUCCUAUAAUAACGUCUUGUUUAACUAUCAUUAUUCCCUUUAUUAUUAUUUUCUAGUUAUUUUACUCUCAAGACUAAUGGCAAAUGUAAUAAAGUUUAUUGACUCAAGUGAAAGAUAUGUUUAGCUUUAUGAUUAUCAAUUUACUCUGUUAAACUAUAACAUUAUUAUCAAUUUACCCCAUAAUAUUAUUUUUAGACACUUUACCCUAUCAUUAACUAACUCAGCAAGUUAAACAAAUUUAGAUGAAAGUGUGUUCGUUACUUGCAUAGUUAAAAAAUAAAGGAAAAAAUAUAGAAAAGCCCCUUGAGGUUAAUUGAACAUAAACUUUAGUACCUCGUGAUUUAAACUAAUUUAAAAUAGCUACAAAAAUUGUUUGAAUUAACGGGUUUGAAAUACAUGCGUUUUUUUUUUUUGCAAGUAUUUGUAGUGGAAACAAACAAAAUUUCAGUUGAUAUAUCUAUUAUACCCUUAGAGUUAUAAUACAGAAAAGUUUCAUGUGGUUAAGCAAACCUACACAAAAAGGCCCUUGUAGUUUCAAAUCAUGUAAUCUAGUACCUCAUGGUUUGAACUAAUAUAAAAAUCAACAAAAAUAAUUUAAAUUAACAAGUUUGAGGUUGCUUGAUGUGAAAAAUAAUUUUUUUAAAUCAAAUUUUUAGCUAAUGUAGAACUUUCAAAAACAACCCAAAACUCCCAAAUACAACUCACCUUAUUUCUAUACAUAAAAUAAAUAAAUAAAAAUUCCUAAAUAAAGCUCACCUUAUUUCUAUACACAAAUUAAAUAAAUAAAAACUUUCAAAUACAACUUACCUUAUUCCUAUGCACAAAAUAAAUAAAUAAAUAAAAAUAACAUGUAACCAUAUGGGCUUUUUCAUUGGCUUAAUCAUAGAGGAUUUUUCCAUGAGUUUGCCUAAUAGGAUGAUUGCUAGAAGGUCUUUUAUUACUUAUAUAUAUUAGGAUAAUUGUAUCAUUUCACCUGUCUUUGUUAGUUUUGAUGAUUUCCAUUACUAUUUCAAAUUAGUUCAAACAUGUUGAGCCGAAAUGUACGAUUUGAAACCAAAAAGGGCUUUAUUGUAAGUUAGCUUAACCACCGGGGACUUUCUUGUAUUUUAUUGAUAGGGUGUUAAUUGUUAGUAAUUUUAUUGUUAAUUUCCCCUUUUAUUCUUGCCAAAUAUUGUUUUAAUUAUUAAUAUUUACUUAUAUUUGGUAUUGGGGUUUAAUUUCAGGAACAAAGCAGAAAAUUACCAAAAAGGAGGGACUUUUAUGGGAAAAUGGAGACUUCUAAGGACCUUGGACUCUUGAAUUGGUGGGGACCACAAGCUAGUGCAAGGCAUUUAGUCAUGUGGGCUUUUCAAAGAAAGUUACGUAAGAGACUUGGAGCAAGAAGUACUUUGGAGGUUUUGUCCACAUGUGCGGGGACCACGGAUAAGAAACAUGAGUCAUUUGGACUCUAGGAAAAGAAACGUACAAGACUUUGAAUUUGGUGUGGGGACCACUAGAGAUAGCAUUAGACUUCCUUUUGGCUUUAAAAAGGGAGAAACGUACGAGAGAUGGGGAAUCAAUAGUUCUUAGUUUAGUUUUAGUUUUCUUUUCUGGGCUCUUUCGCAUGGUUGUUCUCCAUUAAUGGAGAACUAACCUCUUAAUUCUAGUCAAGGGGACAACUGAAGAUUUGGUUCAACAAUUACUGUGAGAUCGAAUUUAUUUUAAUUGUUUCCUCCAUUUAUUGGUAUUCAUAUGUUUCCUGCUUUUAACUGUUAUAGCUCUUGUGUAUGAUUGAUUAGUGCGCAAUAAUUAAUUAUUCAUAUGGACUAUUUUGCUAAAUAGGGGUAAUUGAAUCCGUAAUUGUUCGUUAUCUCUACCUCAGUAGCAACUGGCGUAAUCGGGUUUAUGUCAGGGGAGCAUAUGAUCUAGCUUAAACAAACCCUCGUAGCGUGUUUGUUGGUUAGGAUUGGGCCUUUCUAAUUAUUAAUGCAAUCUAGAAAUUAAAUUCCACGGUCGUACCUGGGGUUAUUUUUGGGUUAGAGAAAUAGCUAACGGUCGUACCUUAGCUAUCGAGAAAUUAAGGAAGGGUUGGUUGUUUAUCGCGUACAUGACAACUAUAACUAAUCUAUUACUAAAUGUUGGAAUUAUCUGUGAAUCAAUGAUCAGUGCCCGAACCAUUUCUGAAGUAUACCCUUGGCUAGAGCUAUCUUAAUUAUUUCUUUUACUUAUUUUCUGCAGUUAAUUUAUUUAGUUAGCAUUUAAUCCAAAACCCCCCAUAUCUUGAACUCUAGAAGAAACGAAUUAUCCCCAGUCCCUGUGGAUUCGACCCUACUCACCGCUAUAUACAAAAUCUGUAUUUUUCUUGAGUAGGUAUUUAUUAUUGUACAGGUUCGGCACCUGUCAAUUUUUGGCGCCGUUGCCGGGGACUGGCGCUAGUUAUUUGUUUCUUUUUAAGUUCAUCUUGUUUUCUUUCUUUUUUUUUUUUUAUAGUUUAUGGCUGCUAGCAUUCCAUAUUUUGAUGAUAGACCGGACUUUGUUCCUGAAUGGGGUUAUGAGACUCAUGUUCUUCCUAAUGAUCAAUGGGCUGUUGCAAAUUGUGGAACUUAUUUUGACUCAGGUUAUUCAACUGACACAUGCCCCGCAUUUCAAGACAAUCUAAGUGCUCCAAUUGAUACUUUCGGAGAUUUUCCACCCCAAUAUCAAAUGCAGUAUGACCCUUAUUCAAACGGGUAUGAUCAAGGAUGGUGGGAUAAUUCCAGUUUUGAUUAUGCGACCGGGCCAAUGGAUUUUCAACAGCAAGAGUCUCAACAACCAUCGUCCCUGUCAGGGUACCAGCAGCAAUACCAACCCCGACCACCUCCGCCCCCAAGCUCUGGUCCAUCUUUGGAGGAGAUGAUAAAACAAGUGAUGACAAACAUGGCGCAAAAUCAGCAAAGGACGGAGGCAAUUCUUAUGCAAAAUCAACAAAGGACGGACUCCGAAAUGCAGGAUAUAAGGAAUCAGAUAAGUCAAAUGGCUACAACAAUCAAUCGUUUGGAUUCCCAGAACCAAGGUGAAUUGCCAUCUCAACCUGAGUUGAACCCGAAGAAUGUCAGCGCCAUGACCUUGAGGAGUGGCAAAGAGGUUCAAGGGCCUGAGCUUGUAAUCCCUAAGGACAAGGAUGAGGAGAUGCAAGAAUGUCAAAAUGAGAAAUCUACAGAUGCAGUUGAAAAAGAAGCCGAAAAUGAAGAAAUGGAACCCCAACCGCAACCCAUUGAAGUGAAAGAAUCCAGUGAAGAAUCAUCAAAUGUGGUGACACCACCUCCAUUCCCUAACCCGCAUUUUCUUAACUUUUAUUCCAUGAUUUCUGUUAAUGAGAUUGAUUUUGUUAUACCGGAAGUUUUUGAGUCUCAUGGCAGAAAUAAGUUAAGAGUAGCUAUGGUCAAAUAUCUUGAACCGUUGAGUGCUCUUGAUGGAGGGGUGGAGGAAAAAUUGAGAUCACUGCUUGAUUAUUUGGCACCAUCAACUAAUCCAUGGAAGACCGUAGCUCGUGUGCUCAAAGAUUACUCCAUCUAUGAGGGUUACCAGGAUCAUAUAGAGGAUGAAGCAUUAAGACGAGCUACACGAUUUUAUCCUCCAUGAACAAAACAUGAUAAUGUCUAGCCAAAGACAUUAAAGAAAGGCGCUCAUUGGGAGACAACCCAAUUUCUUUUAGUUGUUUGUUUGAUUUUAUUUGUUAGUUUAAAUCUGUCUUCCUUGAAUUUGAUUGAUUUUGGGUGUUAAUUUUCGUUUUUUGCUGAUUUGUAGGUGAUCUUCAAUCAUGACGCGCCCGUGUGGUGAUGUGCAGGACGCUCACGAUCAGAAAAUUCUGAAACUUCUGGGAGCUCUCUUACCCUCAUGACGCGCCCGCGUCACGUUCGCGGGAAAGGUAAGGAUUCAAAAAAAAAAAAAAAAAUCUUUUAACCGUAGCUACCUCUUUUCUUUUUUGUUACAAAAGAAAAAAAAAUAAAAAAUAAAAUAAAAAAAUAAAAAUAAAAAAUUUUGAAAAAAUAAAAAAAAAAAAAAGAAAAAAGGAAAAAAAAGAGGAAGUAAUACGGAAUCAAAAGGAAAAAAUUUUUCUUUCUCCUUAACCGUAGCUAGUUCUUGACUUGUCAACGUAAAAACAAAAAAAAAUAAAAAAUAAAAAAAAAUCCUUUCUUUUUCUUUCUUCUUUCUUUCUUUUCUUUCUUUCUUUCUUCUUCUUUCUUUUUCUUUCUUUCUUUCUUCUACUCUGUUCUCCUGCUGGUCCGUCGCUCCUGCUACACGCGCACCUCCAGCUCAGUGCCGCCCUCAGCCCUCUCUCCACCACCAAAUCUGCCCCCACCGCUCGUCACUGCCGACGCGAGAGUGACGCGGCCGCACGCUGCCGGCUCCAACUACACGGCUCUCCUCCAUCUCCCUCCAGCUCCUCUGAGCUCUGUUGCUCACCCGGCGUCGACCACCACCACAAGCCGUCCCUCGCAGCAGCUUCCUCUUUCUGUCCGCUGCUUCUUCCUCUCGCUCGAUUGGACCCAUCGAGCGCCGCCGCUGCUGAAGCUUGCCAGCCGCCCCCUUCGCUGUCCGCGCGCCAAGUUCAGCCACGCGACGCAGGCCACGGACAGGGCCCGUACGCCACUUCGCGAAGGCCCAGCUCAUCUGAGUUCCGCCGCCCGCAGCUCCACCUCCGACCGCUGCUGUUCACGACACCAAACGCUGCACCUCCUCUCUCUUCGCCGCACGCCACCCGCUGCUGUCCCCUUUCAUUUGGUUGUCAUCCAAGGUGGAGGUAAUUGGAACUUGUCCCCCAUUCUCUUAAUAACUAAUUGGUGCUGCCUGGGUUGCUCAAUAGUUAAUGUUGUUGACGAUUGAAGUUUAUUUUCUCAAUUGGUGAAUUCCACCAGUGGUACUGGUCGGACUAUUUUCGCUUGGAAUUGCUAUUUCUUUUGGGUUGGGUGAAAUUGUGCAAUUAAUUGGCCAACUGGAGCCAUUUGUUGGGACUUUGGGUGAGCUGAAAUAUUGCAGUUGUUUGUUAAAUUGGGAGGCCUCUGUACCAUUUACAUUGCUUAUUCCAGUUCAGUGCAUCUAGUUGAAAUGCUGGGGUUCAUUAUUAGAUUUGACUGAGAAUCCUGUGGAUACAUUGCUUGUUGUGUGAAUUGAGCUACAUUAUUUGGGGGAUCUCACUAGUGUGGGUUAGUAGCCGUUGAACUUGUUUCAUCCAUUGUUUGGGUAUUUUGGCUUCGCUGGGUCACUUCUACUCUUUUGGCUGACUGUUGGAGGCUGGGCACUUGGAGUUACUCUGCUACUGUCGAAUUUAUGAGUUAUUAUUGAUUGCAUUGUUAUUUCUUGGGGCUGUUGCUACAAUUUCAGUUGAUUGAGUUGUGCAUUUCAUUUUCCGCCAGUUGUACUAGUUGGAGUGUUUUCCCCCGAAUGUGUUUCCUCUAGCUGGUUAGAUAUUCGAUCAAACUGCCAGGAUCUUGUGGUUGUGUUGCUCUUGAUAAACUUUAGGGUUGCUAUUGCUAGAUUUAGCAUAUUACUGGGGUAUUCGUUAAAAUUUUAGAGUGCAUUUGUUGAGAUUAUGAAUGGCCAAGUUUGCUUGUUGACUGACUGAAUUAGGUAGUCCCUGUGCUUAUUGACGUGACUUUGCUAGUUCCCAGUUAUUGAUAAUAGUUUCUGGUUGUUGAUUUUGGAGUGCAACUAUUGCUUUAUUGACCAUAUUUGGGCUUGAGUGGCCCGUGUUUGCUUUUGCAUUUGACUAUUGAGUUGGGGAACACCAGUGACUAUGGAUUUGCAUUUGUUGGUUGCUAUCUUUGUUGGAUAUUCUGUCUUUUGUUAUUUGGGGUGAUAAUUGGCGUCAAUGGUGAGUGGCGCCACUUACAAGUACAGGUUCACAACGGAGAUGAGCGAAUGACGAAUAUCACCCGCCAAGUGGCAAGGAUGUCUCAGAACUCGGCUUCCCUCCACUGUUCCCUCCUAUCCCUUAGCUGUUCAACAGGGAAGUUUCAUUGUUCUCUUCGUUUUCAUUACUUUAUUACCUCCAUUGAGGACAAUGUAGGAUUUAGGUGUGGGGGGAGCAGUUAUGGUGCUAGUGUCUUUCAUUCAUUUUUUUUUCUUUUUAGUGAUUGGCUCGUAAGUGCAUGCCAAGGUUUGAUGUUGGAUUAUUACCUCUAUUUCUACUAUUGCCAAUUUUAAUAAUAAAAGGGUAUCAAGUUAAUGUGGUUGAAUCCAAAAACAUCUCUUUGGUGAAUAUCGAUGAUUGUUUUACUCUUAUAAUUUUUGGUUAACUUUCCUAGGCAUAGGGAAUGAUUAUUGGCAUUUUCAUGUGAAUUGGUCCGGUUAUUAACUUUAGUUCUCCAUGUUUGAAAAUGAGGCUAGCUGAUGCAAGUUUUCUUUUGGUUCUUGUAUUAUAUUGAGUUUUUGUGAUUUUUAGCUAUGAAUAAACUUGACUGUACUCCGCUAUUAGUUACUACUGAGUAACCGGGGAUCUGCACCUAAAAGUGUUGAUUCUCGCGUCAAAAGGUAGUAAUUGCUAUGAGUACGUGGUCACGUGGCGAUAGAAGCUGAGUAACCGGGCUCCUUCAUAUGGCCAAUGUUGGAGUUCGCGUCAAAAGGCUCAAAUGGCUAGCGACUAAGUCUUUUGUUACUAUUGAAAAAAAAAAAAAAAAAAAAAAAAAAAAAUAGAAAAACGAAAAAAAAAAAAGUGAAGGUUGUGUUAGUGUGUAAUAAAAAUCAGCUUGCCGAAUUAUGGAUUUAAUGUUGAGAUUUUGGUUAAUAGUUGGACCAUUUGCUGAUAAAUGUGAGCAACCAUUCCUUUUUCUUAGAUUAGUUUGCUUUAAAUUGGAGGAGUUGGUAGUUCAGAUGCUAACCGGGGUGAUUUUUCUUGGAUCUUGACCUGUGUCGCUUGAUAUAUGAUUUUCUCGGUGUCCUGGCAAUAUGGUAGUUGGAGUAACAGCCAUGGUCAAAUUUUGGUAUUCAAUUGUUGUUCCCAUGCUUGAGGGCAAGCAUGAUUUAGGUGCGGGGGGAAUUGAUAGGGUGUUAAUUGUUAGUAAUUUUAUUGUUAAUUUCCCCUUUUAUUCUUGCCAAAUAUUGUUUUAAUUAUUAAUAUUUACUUAUAUUUGGUAUUGGGGUUUAAUUUCAGGAACAAAGCAGAAAAUUACCAAAAAGGAGGGACUUUUAUGGGAAAAUGGAGACUUCUAAGGACCUUGGACUCUUGAAUUGGUGGGGACCACAAGCUAGUGCAAGGCAUUUAGUCAUGUGGGCUUUUCAAAGAAAGUUACGUAAGAGACUUGGAGCAAGAAGUACUUUGGAGGUUUUGUCCACAUGUGCGGGGACCACGGAUAAGAAGCAUGAGUCAUUUGGACUCUAGGAAAAGAAACGUACAAGACUUUGAAUUUGGUGUGGGGACCACUAGAGAUAGCAUUAGACUUCCUUUUGGCUUUAAAAAGGGAGAAACGUACGAGAGAUGGGGAAUCAAUAGUUCUUAGUUUAGUUUUAGUUUUCUUUUCUGGGCUCUUUCGCAUGGUUGUUCUCCAUUAAUGGAGAACUAACCUCUUAAUUCUAGUCAAGGGGACAACUGAAGAUUUGGUUCAACAAUUACUGUGAGAUCGAAUUUAUUUUAAUUGUUUCCUCCAUUUAUUGGUAUUCAUAUGUUUCCUGCUUUUAACUGUUAUAGCUCUUGUGUAUGAUUGAUUAGUGCGCAAUAAUUAAUUAUUCAUAUGGACUAUUUUGCUAAAUAGGGGUAAUUGAAUCCGUAAUUGUUCGUUAUCUCUACCUUAUUUUCUUACUUUUUAAAAUUGAGUUUUCUAGCUCCCUCUCCUUCUACUUUUAUUUUCUUGAUGUUAAUAAGAGUGAAAAAAAAAUAACGGAAAAACUGUUUUGCUUUUAUUUUCUUUGUACAUUUAGAGUGGAAAAAAGAGAGGAGAAUAGCCGUUUCAAUCUUUUAUUAUUUUUACUUAUAUAUGAGAGAAGGGUAUUUCCUUCACAAAAAUUUCAACGCGCUAAGUUUAACUGUGUAAUAAAAUGCAUAAUGCUUGGGAAUAAAUCGGCUUAGGGGUGCAGAUAAAGUAAUGAAAAAAAUAACAUUGGGGUAAAGUGAAAAUAGUACUAUGGGGAUAAAGUAAUAAUAAUUCAGAUAAAUGAUUAAAGUUUUGGUAGAAGUGGACCGGAAGUAGACAACAAUUUCCCAUGUAAGGCGGUGGCUUCUAAUUCAUUACUCCAAUAAUUUGUCUCCGCGGAUAAAUUUUGGUUUUCGUUUAAUAUUUAAAAGUCGCCUUUAUAUGAUUUGCUAUAAGUAAUAAAACUUGAGUGUACAAGAUGGUUAAACAAUUAAGGUGGGAUUUAAAAUGGGCUUCUUUGUACUUAAAAUAUAGGCUUGAUUGCAAAGUGCACCCUUAAACUAUUACCGGUUUGUACAUUGCACCCCUAACUAUGAACUGUAGCAAUAUACUACCUUUAUCUUUGAAUUUUUAGCACAUUACUCAAUUAUCAUUAAUUUGGUGGGAUACAGGUUAGUGAAAAGACUUCAACAACCUUGCAAAAUAUACGGUGCCAAAUUUGAUCUUUUACUACUCCUACAAUUGCGGCCACAAUCAUAUUUACAACUAAUUAAUGGCAACAAGCAAUUUUAGAAGGUCACAUGCAAGGAUUUUAUUUUCUCUUCUUAUCUACUAUUUUUCCAUUUUUUUCACAGCAAAAGCAAGGAAAAAUCUCUUCACCUAUGCUUUUGUCUUGGUAAUUAGAAUGUUUAAUCUCUUAUUUACUAAUACAAAAUUAGUUUCCAUCAAAUUCCACUUCAGAUUCCCUAUCAGCAAUAUAGAUCAAAACUAAUUAUCACCAAACUCAUAACCACAGCAAACACAUGGCAAACCAACCAAAUUAGAAAAACCAAAACAAGCCACCAAGAUAAACCCAUCAUUAAUGAAACCAAAACCAUAGACCUAAAAACAACUCGUACCCUAAUUCAUUUGGAUGGAGGAAUUGAGAUAAUAGAUAGGCGUUAUCUUUGAGAUUAGGAUAGAAAGACGAAGGUUAGUGGGGUUUUAGAGGAACUGCAAUUGAUUCAUAUGUUUUACAAGAGUGGAAAGGAGAAUUCGAGACCUGCUUGAGAACAAAGAAUCAGAGGGGUGAGGGAGUUUAAAAAAUGGAUAAGGGAUUUGUUUGAGGACAAAUAAUCAGUGAAGAAAAGGAAAUGGAAAUGGAUUGGGGUUGUUCCAGAGAUUAGAGAGUGGAGUGUAUCCCAUAUGGAGAGGCAAAAGAAUGUGAGCAUAGGAAAUGGUCACCAUAGGGAUUUUGGUUACUCAGAAUGGGGCAAAAUAGUCAUCAAAGUUUUUUCUUGACUUAUUUAUAAUCGAUUGAGGUAAGGUGCUAAAAAUAAAUAGAUGAAGGUAUUAUAGUGCUACAAUUCAUAGUUUAAGAUGCAACCUAUAAUCCAAAGAUAGUUUGAGGGUGCAUUUUGUUAUUAACCCUAAAAUAUAUGGAACUGGGCAAAGAAUUGGGUUGGAUGGCAAGAUAGCACAAAAUAAGAGGUGUAUCUGGUGCUAUUUUGUAUAAAAAAAAAGAUUUAAAUUUAUGAUGCUAAAUAUGUAUCUGUAACGCUAAAAUAUGCAAUUAAUGGAUAUUGAUAAUGUUAGAAUUUUGUAAUAGGCUCAUUCUCUCUUUUUGGUUGAUUAUCCUGUGCCCUUUGGGGCAAAAAAUAGGAAGCGUCAAAUUAAAAUAACAUAAAAAGCAAGUAUAGUCAAGAUCUGGAAUUGGUCGAUGAAAUGGCUGGUGCCUGGUGUCAUCUUGAUAUGAUUUGUUUAUCAUAUAUACACGCUUUCUCAAUCUGACAAGCUAAGAUACACCAUUUCACUAACAAAUAAGAAGAAAAUUUAAUCCCCUUGAUAUAUGUGUGUGUAUAUAUAUAUAUCAAGUCAGCUGCUUAGAAGAUCUUAGUGAUUAUUUUAUAGACAUAUAAUUGCAUUUAUUUUUUCUUAAAAAGUAGUAUUCAAUAAUGUCGUGUAUUUGCUACAUAUGUGAAGAACUUGAUUUUCGACGAAUGGCAAUAACUUUGGUCAUGCGGCGUAGCCAAGAACUCGUUUUGAUUGAAUUUUUUAGGAGUUUUUGGAAAUUUUUUUAUAAAAAUAAUUAUACUAUAAUAUUUUUUGAAAUAUGGUAUAUCAGUUAAAAAAUAGUUGAAAAAUGUGUCCAGAGAGUGUUUAAAUAAAGGUAAGAUAUUUAGACUAAGAUUCAAGCGCCAAUUUUCUUACAUAUUCUUCCAGUUCUGUUUCUUUUAACUUAGGAAUGGAAUAAAUACCCAAAUAAUUAAAGUAUUGGGUAAAAAACAAAAAGUCUCUUGUGGUAAAUCUAAUAUACAGAAAACCCCCUAUAGUUUCAAAAUGUAUAAAACGAUACCUUACGCUUUGAAUUAAAUUGUAAAGGUGACAGAAUCCGUUAAAAUUAACGAAAAUGACUUAUUGGAACCUAAAAAAUUUUUUUUAUGCCUAAUUUUUAACAAAUAUACCUACUCUACCCUUAGCCCCCAAUUAUCUCUCUCCAAAGAAUGAAACAAAUGAUUUUGUUGAGCUAUCCUUUGCUUAGUUAUAUCAGGGCAUUUUUAUCAUUUCAUCUAUCCCCGUUAAGUUUAACAGAUUCCAUCAUCUUUACAAUUUAGUUCAAAAUAUGAGGUAUCGUUUUAUACGUUUUGAAACUAUCUGGAGUUUUUCUGUAUAUUAGAUUUAUCACAGGGGAUUUUUUUUAUUUUUUAUUUGUUGCAUCGAUGAAAUGUUAUUUGCACUCUAUAUUUUGUUUUUUGCAUUCCUACCAUUUGUUUUAUCAUAAGUCUAAUAAAUGAAAAUUAUAUGAUUAAAAUAAUAGUGGGAGUGUAAUUAACAAAAAUUAAAGUGUGAAUAACAUUUCUCCAAGUUUUUUGUUUAAAAAUAAAUAUUGAAAAGACUUGUAUUUUCCAAAACAAUUUUGAUUCCAAAAAUCCAAAAUUAUACAAAUGGUGCCCAAACAAAAAUUCCAAAACUAUUAAUUGCCUAGUACCUUUCUUCUUCUUUUUUUUUUUUUAAUCAGAUGGCGAAGGUCGAAUAAGAUCUAGAGAAACAUAGAGAUACUACGCACCCUUAUCAAUUUAGAAGAAAUCAUAUAUAAUGACACGUUGACGAAAGGAAAAGUUUGAAUGGUUGACCUUCCGUCGCACCAAAAUUUAAAAGUCUUUGGGAGUGGUUUUGGGUUGUUGGUUAAUUGCCUGGUACUUUUCGCUUCAUAAAAGUACACAUAAUGCUAAAAAGCUGCUAUUACUUUCCAAAAUAAUUUCUACAUAGAAAGCAGGACCGUAGACUUCACACUGCAGCUUCUCUCCGACUGUACCUCUCAACUUUCCAUAACUUUGUCUUCAAGAAAACGCCGAAAAAAAUGAAAAUGAAAACUUUCCAAAUUUCUUAGUAUUAACUAAUCAGCGUAACGGUAGCAUAUAUAUAUAUAUAUAUAUAUUCUCAGGGCCCAGACAUCAGUCUAAAUUAGUCCCAAGCUCUUUAGUUCUCAAAUCAUCAGGUAGUAUUAAAACUCCGGAUUUUCUUCAAUUUUUGCAAGAAUGGCAAUUUUGAGUUCUCAGAAGAGAGAAGAGAUGAGAAGAAAUGAAAGUUUUCGCCGACGCCCUCGAAAGAGCAGCAAGCCCUGUAGAGCUAGUACCAAUUCUGUUGCAGAUCAGUUUCGUUUUUGGCCCUUUUUGGUUGAAAAAACCGAAGCACCAACCCAGAAAUCUUGUGUAAAUAAGGGCAAGAAAAUGAUCGGAUUAGCACUGCCUAAUCUUGAUCAAGAACUGCCCUCCAAGAAAUCUUGUGGAAAGCUACGUGCUGAAGCUAAAACUAGCCAAGAAAGCCGAAAAAUCGAGAUCAUUUUCAAGAAAAAAUUAGUGAAAGCCAAAGCUCAAGUUUUUCCACCUCCAUCGCACAACUUCCAACUGACUUCAAGAAUUACAUGAGCAGGAAACUGGGGCGACGGGGGACCCUGUUUUGGUGAUUGAGAAGAGUUUGUUUCCAUCAGAUGUUUCAGCCAAGCUUCACAGAUUGUCGAUACCAGUCAAGCAAGUUGCCAAUCACGAGUUCUUGACAGAAGAAGAGAGGAAAAGAUUCAACAAUGGGAACAAACAAGAAAAAAUUGAUGCCAUCUGGUUGAGCCAUCACUUUCUGAAUCGAAAAUCAGGUUCAAGAAAUGGUACAUCCAUGAUUCUGGAAUGUAUAUUUUGACUAGUGGUUGGAAUGAUGUUGUGGAGAGGAAUGGAUUGAAACAAGGAACAUUAGUGCAGCUAUGGUCAUUCCGGAAAGAAUCCCAAUUGUACUUUGCUCUGAUUAGGCUCUAAUUACACGGUUAAAACUUUUGUGUAAUUAAUUGCAAGCUAAUCAAUUAAAUGAAGUUCUGAAGUUGAUUUUCUUUUGUCGUUUUGGAAGUUGGAACUUGGAAGGGUGGAAACUAUUACAUAGCUAUAAAUUAUAUCUUAAUUUGCUCAAAAAGAUUAUUAAUAAUUUAAUUUAAUUUUAAUUUGUACUUGUUUAUAGGGAUAAUUUCAGUAACCUCCCUUGAGGUUUUUGACAAUUUCACUCGGCUCCCCUAGGUUUAAGAAAUCACACUUACCUCUCUUGAUAUAGUAAAAUACCUAUAAUGCCCUUCACUCAAUAGGCAAUUUUAAAUUUAAAAUAAUAAAUUUAAAAAUCUAAAAAAAAAUCUAUUUUGCCGUCUCUUGUCUAUUUUCUAGUUUAUAUAACAUCUUUUUAUUAUUUUCAAUUUUGUGGAUAUUAGCAAAUUGAAAUUACAAAAUCUACAAAGGGACCAGAUUAUGUGUCAAAUUAGAAGGAAAUGAAGAGACUCACAAUGAUAGAAAAAUAAAUAAUGAAAUUGAUGAUUGAAAUAGGAAAAAUAACUAAAGAUGUGGAAUUUGUCAUAUUUUGUUUGUUGUUAAGAAAAUUUUUUAUAAAAUAUCAAUAAUUACAUAAUGCUUUCUUCCAUUGGAUUAGAAAUUUUUUAUUAUGAUUUUAUUGUGAAGGUAGAAUUUAUAAUAUUUUGUUUGUUGUUAAGAAAACCUUUUAUAAAAUGUCAAUAAUUACAUAAUGUUUUUUUUCAUUGGAUUAGAAAUUUUUUAUUAUGAUUUUAUUGUGGAGGUAGAAUUUUUGCUCUAUUUUUGAGAUAUGAAUAUUUUUAAGGCUAUUGGGGAUUUAUAAUGGUGAUUCUAGAUCAAAUUAGUUUGUAUUUGAGUAUUGAUAUUUAAUUUGGGGUAUAACAUUAGUUGUCAAUAGGAUUUUGUGUGUGUAUGUGUAUUUUGUGGUAAGUAUAGAUACUGUGUAUGUAAUUUGGGAUCUUUUGGAUAGCUAUUUGAUUUUAGAACUUAUAUUUGGAUGGUUCAUAGGGAUUUAACUUAUUAAUAUAUGUAAAGUGUGAAAGAAAAUGAUUGAAUAUAUUAUAUUUUUCUUUCUUAGUUUUGUACAAAAGGACAAUUUAGGAAUUUUGAAAGAAAAUCUAAAUUCUUGGACCUGUAUUAUUAUUAAACAGUAAAAGUAGGGGAGGUAUAUAUAAUUUUUAAAACCAGAGGACAGCUCUUUGUAAUUGUGAGAAACCUCAAGGGAGGUUUGUGAAAUUAUCCCUUGUUUAUAUGCUAUAGCUGUAGUGGAAUGAUCAAUUCUCGCUGUCAAGCCAACCCAAUGGUGGGAUUGUGGGGUUCUGCUUUUACUGUUUUUCUUUUUACUUAUUUAAUUUAAACUUGGGGAGCAAGAUUUAGACCUUGCACUGACUAGCCGCGUUGACCAAGAAGGUCUGAAUCUUUUGCAGGGUUAAGAAAUGCAAGAUGACUUAUUAUAAUGGGUCUCGGAGUUUACUUGUAUUACAUUGUAGCCCCUCAAUAGUGUAUGUUGAAAAAACACAUGAUUUAUUUUGAGUGCUUUCUUGUAUACUAAAUUGUAAAAUUUUGCCCUGUUAUUUUUACUUUCACGGAAUGCAUGUUUUUGUGCUAAGAUUACAUUGAACAGGUGCAAAAAAAAAAAAAAGGUAUAAUUGAUGUGAUCAAAAAGAUUUGAGUAAUGUGCAAAUUGGAUAAAUGUUGGAGGUAAAUUUUCAAUAUUAACUGUAAAAGAAAUCAAUAAAUUGGUUGGAUAGACUAGUAAUGACUUUAAUUUCAUAAAGGGCCCGUUUGGCAAGUGAGUUUUUUGGAUGCUUAUCUAAAAUUUUACUGUAUCUUUCUGUAGAUGUUGUAGAAAAAAAUUUUGAAGUGUAUAUCUGGAUAUUUUGAAGUGUAUAGUUUAAAAAUUUUGAAAAUUUUUUGAGAUUACUCUAGCUAAAAUUAUUAAAAAAACUUGUAGCAGACAAACUUGGCAAAAAACUUGCUUGCUAAACAAGGAAGGCUAGCUAAAUUUUUUUAUAAAAGUAAUAUUAAUAUGACUUUAAUUUAAUAAAGGCUGGCUAAAUUUUUUUUUGGUAAAAGUAUUAUUAAUUUGAUAAAGUCUAUAAAUGCAAGGGUGUAAUAACUAUGAUUUUAGGUCUUUGCAUGGCAUGUGAAGUAGAAAGCCAAGUAGUAAAAUUUGAUUAUCUCAUAUUGUUGAAUGUUACAUUGAUGCCCACAUUGCACCUUGCCCAAAGAUUAAAUUAUCACCCAGGAUAAGAUCCAUGCGGUAGUUUAAUUGGAAGAUAUUUUGGAGUUUGAGGGUACAAUCUUUGUUAAUUUUUCUAAUAUAUUAUAUCUCAUUUAGUUUUAGAUAUGUUGGAAUCUAUUGUAAGUUUGAUGUAAUUUAUGCCAUUAGUAUAAAGCGCAUAAAAUUGGGUGCUCUAACUGGUUUGAAUUUUGUAGUUUAAUAAAAAAAAAAAUAGCUUUUAUAGGUUAAUUGAUUAGCACGUGAGUUAUUAUUCCUUAAUCUUGCUGUUUAAAAUUAGGUGCUACUUUAUUUUUGCUUUUUAAAUUUAAUUUAACAGACAUAUAACUGUACGUGACUCUUAUCAAUAAUUAAACAAACUCUUCAGAUAUCUUAAAUUUGCUUUGAAUUAGAUACAACAGGGACUAGAUUUGUUUUUACCAAAAUAUCAAGGACUAAAAUUGCACAAGUACUAAAUAGCCAAAAUUACAUUUUUCCCCAAAUCCUAGUACUUGUAAUAAACAAUAAACUCCUAUUAUUUAGCGGCCACUCACGUCCAACACUAAAACAAAUUUUAUAUUUUUACUAUUAUAAUCUAAAGAGAUUCAGGGCUUUCAAUUUUAAAUUUGCUUAUGGAAUUUAUUAAAAAAAAAAAAAAGAGCAUAAUCCUCAAUGAUCGGAAACCAUUUUUAUCAAUAAAAAAAAUCCCAGCAACCAAAAAAGGAAACUUUCCUAAACAUUACUUCCGCAAACUAACACAACGGUAAUAUGACCUUCCCGAAUCCGAAUAGAAUUCAGGAUUAAGAGGUUUCCGGGUUUCAGUUUUAAAUUUGCUCUUGGAGAAAAUGGAAUGAAAAAUGGUUACAUUUUCUAAAUAUAGUUCUCAAAAUAUUAAUACGGGCAACAAAUUACCUUUAGGCAUUGAACAUCAAGUACUAUUACUAAAAUCCCAGAAUCCCAGAACCAGAAAGCAAAAAAGGAAACUUCCAAAACUAUUACUCCCACAAACUAACAUAACGGUAAUAUGCCCCACCUGAGUCCUAAUAGGAUUCAGAUACCAACUUAAACUAUCCAACACAAAUAGCUGUAUAAAUUCUGAAUCCUCACAUUGCCGCAGAAUUUCUUCGUAGGAGUCCUUAAACCUAGUUUUUUUCAACAUCAGCAGCAGUUGUUCUUGAGAAGAAGACGAGAGACAGAGAUUUCUGAUCACUGGGCUUCAUCAUUCCAGUCCGUUUUAGGUUUUCUUCAAUUAUUUCUUUUCAUUGUUAGUUUUAAGUAAUCAUUAAUAGGAAGAAAUCGUAGUUCUAGCAUCUAAGUUGGUGGAAGGGAAGAUCAAGAAAAUUUCCGCCGACGCCCUCGAUAGAGCAAGUAUCCUCAAAGAUCAAAGUUCGAUUCNNNNNNNNNNNNNNNNNNNNNNNNNNNNNNNNNNNNNNNNNNNNNNNNNNNNNNNNNNNNNNNNNNNNNNNNNNNNNNNNNNNNNNNNNNNNNNNNNNNNNNNNNNNNNNNNNNNNNNNNNNNNNNNNNNNNNNNNNNNNNNNNNNNNNNNNNNNNNNNNNNNNNNNNNNNNNNNNNNNNNNNNNNNNNNNNNNNNNNNNNNNNNNNNNNNNNNNNNNNNNNNNNNNNNNNNNNNNNNNNNNNNNNNNNNNNNNNNNNNNNNNNNNNNNNNNNNNNNNNNNNNNNNNNNNNNNNNNNNNNNNNNNNNNNNNNNNNNNNNNNNNNNNNNNNNNNNNNNNNNNNNNNNNNNNNNNNNNNNNNNNNNNNNNNNNNNNNNNNNNNNNNNNNNNNNNNNNNNNNNNNNNNNNNNNNNNNNNNNNNNNNNNNNNNNNNNNNNNNNNNNNNNNNNNNNNNNNNNNNNNNNNNNNNNNNNNNNNNNNNNNNNNNNNNNNNNNNNNNNNNNNNNNNNNNNNNNNNNNNNNNNNNNNNNNNNNNNNNNNNNNNNNNNNNNNNNNNNNNNNNNNNNNNNNNNNNNNNNNNNNNNNNNNNNNNNNNNNNNNNNNNNNNNNNNNNNNNNNNNNNNNNNNNNNNNNNNNNNNNNNNNNNNNNNNNNNNNNNNNNNNNNNNNNNNNNNNNNNNNNNNNNNNNNNNNNNNNNNNNNNNNNNNNNNNNNNNNNNNNNNNNNNNNNNNNNNNNNNNNNNNNNNNNNNNNNNNNNNNNNNNNNNNNNNNNNNNNNNNNNNNNNNNNNNNNNNNNNNNNNNNNNNNNNNNNNNNNNNNNNNNNNNNNNNNNNNNNNNNNNNNNNNNNNNNNNNNNNNNNNNNNNNNNNNNNNNNNNNNNNNNNNNNNNNNNNNNNNNNNNNNNNNNNNNNNNNNNNNNNNNNNNNNNNNNNNNNNNNNNNNNNNNNNNNNNNNNNNNNNNNNNNNNNNNNNNNNNNNNNNNNNNNNNNNNNNNNNNNNNNNNNNNNNNNNNNNNNNNNNNNNNNNNNNNNNNNNNNNNNNNNNNNNNNNNNNNNNNNNNNNNNNNNNNNNNNNNNNNNNNNNNNNNNNNNNNNNNNNNNNNNNNNNNNNNNNNNNNNNNNNNNNNNNNNNNNNNNNNNNNNNNNNNNNNNNNNNNNNNNNNNNNNNNNNNNNNNNNNNNNNNNNNNNNNNNNNNNNNNNNNNNNNNNNNNNNNNNNNNNNNNNNNNNNNNNNNNNNNNNNNNNNNNNNNNNNNNNNNNNNNNNNNNNNNNNNNNNNNNNNNNNNNNNNNNNNNNNNNNNNNNNNNNNNNNNNNNNNNNNNNNNNNNNNNNNNNNNNNNNNNNNNNNNNNNNNNNNNNNNNNNNNNNNNNNNNNNNNNNNNNNNNNNNNNNNNNNNNNNNNNNNNNNNNNNNNNNNNNNNNNNNNNNNNNNNNNNNNNNNNNNNNNNNNNNNNNNNNNNNNNNNNNNNNNNNNNNNNNNNNNNNNNNNNNNNNNNNNNNNNNNNNNNNNNNNNNNNNNNNNNNNNNNNNNNNNNNNNNNNNNNNNNNNNNNNNNNNNNNNNNNNNNNNNNNNNNNNNNNNNNNNNNNNNNNNNNNNNNNNNNNNNNNNNNNNNNNNNNNNNNNNNNNNNNNNNNNNNNNNNNNNNNNNNNNNNNNNNNNNNNNNNNNNNNNNNNNNNNNNNNNNNNNNNNNNNNNNNNNNNNNNNNNNNNNNNNNNNNNNNNNNNNNNNNNNNNNNNNNNNNNNNNNNNNNNNNNNNNNNNNNNNNNNNNNNNNNNNNNNNNNNNNNNNNNNNNNNNNNNNNNNNNNNNNNNNNNNNNNNNNNNNNNNNNNNNNNNNNNNNNNNNNNNNNNNNNNNNNNNNNNNNNNNNNNNNNNNNNNNNNNNNNNNNNNNNNNNNNNNNNNNNNNNNNNNNNNNNNNNNNNNNNNNNNNNNNNNNNNNNNNNNNNNNNNNNNNNNNNNNNNNNNNNNNNNNNNNNNNNNNNNNNNNNNNNNNNNNNNNNNNNNNNNNNNNNNNNNNNNNNNNNNNNNNNNNNNNNNNNNNNNNNNNNNNNNNNNNNNNNNNNNNNNNNNNNNNNNNNNNNNNNNNNNNNNNNNNNNNNNNNNNNNNNNNNNNNNNNNNNNNNNNNNNNNNNNNNNNNNNNNNNNNNNNNNNNNNNNNNNNNNNNNNNNNNNNNNNNNNNNNNNNNNNNNNNNNNNNNNNNNNNNNNNNNNNNNNNNNNNNNNNNNNNNNNNNNNNNNNNNNNNNNNNNNNNNNNNNNNNNNNNNNNNNNNNNNNNNNNNNNNNNNNNNNNNNNNNNNNNNNNNNNNNNNNNNNNNNNNNNNNNNNNNNNNNNNNNNNNNNNNNNNNNNNNNNNNNNNNNNNNNNNNNNNNNNNNNNNNNNNNNNNNNNNNNNNNNNNNNNNNNNNNNNNNNNNNNNNNNNNNNNNNNNNNNNNNNNNNNNNNNNNNNNNNNNNNNNNNNNNNNNNNNNNNNNNNNNNNNNNNNNNNNNNNNNNNNNNNNNNNNNNNNNNNNNNNNNNNNNNNNNNNNNNNNNNNNNNNNNNNNNNNNNNNNNNNNNNNNNNNNNNNNNNNNNNNNNNNNNNNNNNNNNNNNNNNNNNNNNNNNNNNNNNNNNNNNNNNNNNNNNNNNNNNNNNNNNNNNNNNNNNNNNNNNNNNNNNNNNNNNNNNNNNNNNNNNNNNNNNNNNNNNNNNNNNNNNNNNNNNNNNNNNNNNNNNNNNNNNNNNNNNNNNNNNNNNNNNNNNNNNNNNNNNNNNNNNNNNNNNNNNNNNNNNNNNNNNNNNNNNNNNNNNNNNNNNNNNNNNNNNNNNNNNNNNNNNNNNNNNNNNNNNNNNNNNNNNNNNNNNNNNNNNNNNNNNNNNNNNNNNNNNNNNNNNNNNNNNNNNNNNNNNNNNNNNNNNNNNNNNNNNNNNNNNNNNNNNNNNNNNNNNNNNNNNNNNNNNNNNNNNNNNNNNNNNNNNNNNNNNNNNNNNNNNNNNNNNNNNNNNNNNNNNNNNNNNNNNNNNNNNNNNNNNNNNNNNNNNNNNNNNNNNNNNNNNNNNNNNNNNNNNNNNNNNNNNNNNNNNNNNNNNNNNNNNNNNNNNNNNNNNNNNNNNNNNNNNNNNNNNNNNNNNNNNNNNNNNNNNNNNNNNNNNNNNNNNNNNNNNNNNNNNNNNNNNNNNNNNNNNNNNNNNNNNNNNNNNNNNNNNNNNNNNNNNNNNNNNNNNNNNNNNNNNNNNNNNNNNNNNNNNNNNNNNNNNNNNNNNNNNNNNNNNNNNNNNNNNNNNNNNNNNNNNNNNNNNNNNNNNNNNNNNNNNNNNNNNNNNNNNNNNNNNNNNNNNNNNNNNNNNNNNNNNNNNNNNNNNNNNNNNNNNNNNNNNNNNNNNNNNNNNNNNNNNNNNNNNNNNNNNNNNNNNNNNNNNNNNNNNNNNNNNNNNNNNNNNNNNNNNNNNNNNNNNNNNNNNNNNNNNNNNNNNNNNNNNNNNNNNNNNNNNNNNNNNNNNNNNNNNNNNNNNNNNNNNNNNNNNNNNNNNNNNNNNNNNNNNNNNNNNNNNNNNNNNNNNNNNNNNNNNNNNNNNNNNNNNNNNNNNNNNNNNNNNNNNNNNNNNNNNNNNNNNNNNNNNNNNNNNNNNNNNNNNNNNNNNNNNNNNNNNNNNNNNNNNNNNNNNNNNNNNNNNNNNNNNNNNNNNNNNNNNNNNNNNNNNNNNNNNNNNNNNNNNNNNNNNNNNNNNNNNNNNNNNNNNNNNNNNNNNNNNNNNNNNNNNNNNNNNNNNNNNNNNNNNNNNNNNNNNNNNNNNNNNNNNNNNNNNNNNNNNNNNNNNNNNNNNNNNNNNNNNNNNNNNNNNNNNNNNNNNNNNNNNNNNNNNNNNNNNNNNNNNNNNNNNNNNNNNNNNNNNNNNNNNNNNNNNNNNNNNNNNNNNNNNNNNNNNNNNNNNNNNNNNNNNNNNNNNNNNNNNNNNNNNNNNNNNNNNNNNNNNNNNNNNNNNNNNNNNNNNNNNNNNNNNNNNNNNNNNNNNNNNNNNNNNNNNNNNNNNNNNNNNNNNNNNNNNNNNNNNNNNNNNNNNNNNNNNNNNNNNNNNNNNNNNNNNNNNNNNNNNNNNNNNNNNNNNNNNNNNNNNNNNNNNNNNNNNNNNNNNNNNNNNNNNNNNNNNNNNNNNNNNNNNNNNNNNNNNNNNNNNNNNNNNNNNNNNNNNNNNNNNNNNNNNNNNNNNNNNNNNNNNNNNNNNNNNNNNNNNNNNNNNNNNNNNNNNNNNNNNNNNNNNNNNNNNNNNNNNNNNNNNNNNNNNNNNNNNNNNNNNNNNNNNNNNNNNNNNNNNNNNNNNNNNNNNNNNNNNNNNNNNNNNNNNNNNNNNNNNNNNNNNNNNNNNNNNNNNNNNNNNNNNNNNNNNNNNNNNNNNNNNNNNNNNNNNNNNNNNNNNNNNNNNNNNNNNNNNNNNNNNNNNNNNNNNNNNNNNNNNNNNNNNNNNNNNNNNNNNNNNNNNNNNNNNNNNNNNNNNNNNNNNNNNNNNNNNNNNNNNNNNNNNNNNNNNNNNNNNNNNNNNNNNNNNNNNNNNNNNNNNNNNNNNNNNNNNNNNNNNNNNNNNNNNNNNNNNNNNNNNNNNNNNNNNNNNNNNNNNNNNNNNNNNNNNNNNNNNNNNNNNNNNNNNNNNNNNNNNNNNNNNNNNNNNNNNNNNNNNNNNNNNNNNNNNNNNNNNNNNNNNNNNNNNNNNNNNNNNNNNNNNNNNNNNNNNNNNNNNNNNNNNNNNNNNNNNNNNNNNNNNNNNNNNNNNNNNNNNNNNNNNNNNNNNNNNNNNNNNNNNNNNNNNNNNNNNNNNNNNNNNNNNNNNNNNNNNNNNNNNNNNNNNNNNNNNNNNNNNNNNNNNNNNNNNNNNNNNNNNNNNNNNNNNNNNNNNNNNNNNNNNNNNNNNNNNNNNNNNNNNNNNNNNNNNNNNNNNNNNNNNNNNNNNNNNNNNNNNNNNNNNNNNNNNNNNNNNNNNNNNNNNNNNNNNNNNNNNNNNNNNNNNNNNNNNNNNNNNNNNNNNNNNNNNNNNNNNNNNNNNNNNNNNNNNNNNNNNNNNNNNNNNNNNNNNNNNNNNNNNNNNNNNNNNNNNNNNNNNNNNNNNNNNNNNNNNNNNNNNNNNNNNNNNNNNNNNNNNNNNNNNNNNNNNNNNNNNNNNNNNNNNNNNNNNNNNNNNNNNNNNNNNNNNNNNNNNNNNNNNNNNNNNNNNNNNNNNNNNNNNNNNNNNNNNNNNNNNNNNNNNNNNNNNNNNNNNNNNNNNNNNNNNNNNNNNNNNNNNNNNNNNNNNNNNNNNNNNNNNNNNNNNNNNNNNNNNNNNNNNNNNNNNNNNNNNNNNNNNNNNNNNNNNNNNNNNNNNNNNNNNNNNNNNNNNNNNNNNNNNNNNNNNNNNNNNNNNNNNNNNNNNNNNNNNNNNNNNNNNNNNNNNNNNNNNNNNNNNNNNNNNNNNNNNNNNNNNNNNNNNNNNNNNNNNNNNNNNNNNNNNNNNNNNNNNNNNNNNNNNNNNNNNNNNNNNNNNNNNNNNNNNNNNNNNNNNNNNNNNNNNNNNNNNNNNNNNNNNNNNNNNNNNNNNNNNNNNNNNNNNNNNNNNNNNNNNNNNNNNNNNNNNNNNNNNNNNNNNNNNNNNNNNNNNNNNNNNNNNNNNNNNNNNNNNNNNNNNNNNNNNNNNNNNNNNNNNNNNNNNNNNNNNNNNNNNNNNNNNNNNNNNNNNNNNNNNNNNNNNNNNNNNNNNNNNNNNNNNNNNNNNNNNNNNNNNNNNNNNNNNNNNNNNNNNNNNNNNNNNNNNNNNNNNNNNNNNNNNNNNNNNNNNNNNNNNNNNNNNNNNNNNNNNNNNNNNNNNNNNNNNNNNNNNNNNNNNNNNNNNNNNNNNNNNNNNNNNNNNNNNNNNNNNNNNNNNNNNNNNNNNNNNNNNNNNNNNNNNNNNNNNNNNNNNNNNNNNNNNNNNNNNNNNNNNNNNNNNNNNNNNNNNNNNNNNNNNNNNNNNNNNNNNNNNNNNNNNNNNNNNNNNNNNNNNNNNNNNNNNNNNNNNNNNNNNNNNNNNNNNNNNNNNNNNNNNNNNNNNNNNNNNNNNNNNNNNNNNNNNNNNNNNNNNNNNNNNNNNNNNNNNNNNNNNNNNNNNNNNNNNNNNNNNNNNNNNNNNNNNNNNNNNNNNNNNNNNNNNNNNNNNNNNNNNNNNNNNNNNNNNNNNNNNNNNNNNNNNNNNNNNNNNNNNNNNNNNNNNNNNNNNNNNNNNNNNNNNNNNNNNNNNNNNNNNNNNNNNNNNNNNNNNNNNNNNNNNNNNNNNNNNNNNNNNNNNNNNNNNNNNNNNNNNNNNNNNNNNNNNNNNNNNNNNNNNNNNNNNNNNNNNNNNNNNNNNNNNNNNNNNNNNNNNNNNNNNNNNNNNNNNNNNNNNNNNNNNNNNNNNNNNNNNNNNNNNNNNNNNNNNNNNNNNNNNNNNNNNNNNNNNNNNNNNNNNNNNNNNNNNNNNNNNNNNNNNNNNNNNNNNNNNNNNNNNNNNNNNNNNNNNNNNNNNNNNNNNNNNNNNNNNNNNNNNNNNNNNNNNNNNNNNNNNNNNNNNNNNNNNNNNNNNNNNNNNNNNNNNNNNNNNNNNNNNNNNNNNNNNNNNNNNNNNNNNNNNNNNNNNNNNNNNNNNNNNNNNNNNNNNNNNNNNNNNNNNNNNNNNNNNNNNNNNNNNNNNNNNNNNNNNNNNNNNNNNNNNNNNNNNNNNNNNNNNNNNNNNNNNNNNNNNNNNNNNNNNNNNNNNNNNNNNNNNNNNNNNNNNNNNNNNNNNNNNNNNNNNNNNNNNNNNNNNNNNNNNNNNNNNNNNNNNNNNNNNNNNNNNNNNNNNNNNNNNNNNNNNNNNNNNNNNNNNNNNNNNNNNNNNNNNNNNNNNNNNNNNNNNNNNNNNNNNNNNNNNNNNNNNNNNNNNNNNNNNNNNNNNNNNNNNNNNNNNNNNNNNNNNNNNNNNNNNUGGUGGAGAACCUUCCAAGGUACUGCUCACAUUGUUUCCGCCAAGGUCACGAUGUGGAGACUUGUCAUGUUUUAAAGCCCGAGUUGCGAGGAGCAUCUGGUCACCAUACCAAGACUACUGGAACAACACAACUACGGUUGGCAGAGACGUCGAAUACAGACAUGCCUGAUGGCCCUUUGGAGGGUAAUGGAGAAAGGCCAUCGGUAUUGAUACAAGAUGCGGCAGUAAUUGAUGGGGCAAAGGGAGAAGUUAAUGAGACUGUGACUGGCAAAGCGCUAGUUGCUCACGAUCAGUUAAUAGGUGGUACGCCUCACGAAGCUGAGCAAGGUGACCAGGUGCAGCAGUCCUGUGCUACUAUACCAGCGCAGCAGGAGAGGAAAAUGGAGGAGAAUUAUGGGACGGUGGCGGUAGAAGGUAUCGAGGUGGUGCUGCCACAUGACAAAGGAGAGGAACGUUCUGAGGAUGUGGGGAGUGGGUUGCCCGCGAGGGUGGUCGUACGUUCUGCUGAGGGGCAAGUUGAAGACAUACAAGAUACUCAACGAAGGGACGGUACCCUCUCCCCUAGGGGCAAGGAUCUUAUCCGACAAGAAGAGUCAUCACUAGAGACCGGGCAUAUAGACACGGGGGGUACCCUGGAACUAGAAGAAGUUGUUCGUAAGGAGCGAAUGGAUGCAAGGUCGCGUGGUCUCCGGGUUGGUCUCCCGUCAGAUAGAACACUACGCUCCAUGGUUAGUUCUUCAACAAAUUCUUUUUCUGUCCUUUCUGAUGAUUAAGUUACUUUUUUGGAAUAUAAGAGGGGUAGCUCGUGCUCCUAAUUUAAGGCGGUUAAGGAAACUUAUUAAAUUGUAUGAUCUUCAAUUGGUGGUUGUUGUUGAACCUAAGUUGAGGGUGGAGUCAAUUACUGAUAUUAGAAUUAAAUUGGGGAUGGAUUGUUGCAUGUUCAAUCAUUGGGGUUCUGUUUGGAUUUUCUACCGGUCAUUGUUUACGUGUCAGAUUACAGGGGAGUCUCCCCAACAUAUAACUAUUAGAGUACAAUCUCAUCUUUUCCAAGACUCCAUUAUUUUGUCUUGUAUACACGCGAAGUGUACGCAGCAGGACAGAGAGGAUUUGUGGAAUGCACUUUUGCAGGAUAAACCCGCCUUCAAUCCUUGGUUUUUGGUGGGGGAUUUCAAUGUGGUCACAAAUACAGAGGAGAAGAGGGGUGGAUUGCCAUUUAGACCGUCGGAGGGAUCAGACUUUCUGAAUUUUAUGGCGCUAGCUGGUGUCAGUGAUGCGGGAUUCUCUGGGUCAAGGUUUACAUGGUGUAAUAAUCGUUCGGGAACGGCGCGGAUCUGGAAGCGUCUGGAUCGCUUACUUCUGUGUGGGAGUGCAAUGGAGCUACCGUACCAAUUCAUGGUGCAACAUUUAGGCCGUGACCCGUCGGAUCAUGCUCCCUUGUUGCUAUCGGUGGAUACGAGGCUAGACAAUAAACCCAAGCCGUUUCGUUUCUUAAACAUCUGGACCACUCAUCCUGAUUUUCUGGGGGUUAUCAAGGACUGUUGGGUUCAUCCAGUCAAUGGCUCUCCUUUGCAAGUAUUGGCAUCGAAGUUGAGGAAUGUUAAAAAUGCCCUCAAGCAGUGGUCUAGGACGACAUUCGGGGAUAUUUUUGAAGGGGUACGUAGUGCAGAGCGUGUGGUAACCGAGUCUGAGACAGCAUACGACCUCGAUCCUACUGAGCAGCGACGGAGCGAGUUACAUCAUGCUCGGGCUCGAUUGCGCCGAGCGCUUGUAGUUGAGGAGGGUUUUUGGAGACAAAAGGCGCGGGUUAAGUGGCUUUCGGACGGAGAUAGGAACACCAAAUAUUUCCACUCCUUGGUUUCGGAAAGGAGACGUAGGGCAGUAAUUCAUCGAGUCAGGGGUACUGCUGGAGAAUGGAUCGAGGGGGAAUGCCAAAUUGGGGAGGCAGCGGUGGGUUUCUUUAAGGAACUUUUCACGGCAGAGGGGGAUCUUCCCUCCCUUACCGGUCUGGAGAUCAUACCUAAACUGAUAACAGACCAGGAAAACUCACGGUUAACGGACAUUCCAUCUCUUACAGAAGUUAAAGACAUAGUCUUUGCUAUGGAUGGAGAGAGCGCAGCCGGCCCGGACGGGUUUACAGGGAAAUUCUUUACCUUUGCUUGGGAGGUAGUGGCAUCGGAUUUAUACCGGGCGGUUGUCAGCUUUUUCUGCGGUGCUGAACUACCUAGGAGUAUCACGGCUACCUCAAUUGUGUUGCUGCCAAAAGUGGAGAACCCCCAAGAUUUUAAGCAUUUUCGUCCAAUCAGUCUGUGCAACUUUACUAACAAAAUCAUCUCCAAGCUGUUAUCGGCAAGGUUGGCGAUGAUAUUACCCCGGAUUAUAUCUCCACAGCAAAGCGGGUUUGUCCAAGGGAGGCAGAUUACAGAUAAUUUCUUGUUAGCUCAGGAGUUAGUAGCCGAUAUCGGGAAAUCAAAUCGGGGUGGCAAUGUGGUCAUCAAGUUAGACAUGAUGAAGGCUUAUGAUAAAGUCUCAUGGCCCUUUCUCCUACAGGUGCUACGAUAUUUCGGAUUCAGUGAGACCUGGAUAGACAUGAUUUGGCGAUUAAUAUCGAAUGUGUGGUUCUCGGUACUUGUUAAUGGUGGUUCAAACGGCUUUUUCAGAUCUUCACGGGGUUUACGGCAAGGGGAUCCAAUUUCACCAGCCUUAUUCGUUAUCGGAGCUGAGGUGCUGUCUAGAACCCUCAACACGCUACCCACACAAAGAGGAUUUACUCCGUUCAAAGUUCCUCCUCAUUGUUCUAUAAUUACGCAUUUGGCAUUCGCCGAUGACGUGAUUAUCUUUUCCAGUGGGGCCAAGUCAUCCCUACGUCUGAUUACACGGGUUUUGGAUGAUUAUAAUGAGGCAUCAGGUCAGCGAAUCAACCCUCAGAAGAGUUGUUUCCUUACUCAUCCACGGGCACCAUCUCAGAGGGCAGCGGUUGUUAACCAGAUACUAGGGUAUAAUAAACGCGACUUUCCAAUACGGUACCUUGGUUGUCCCUUGUAUACCGGAAGGAGCAAGAAGGUUUACUAUACGGAUAUAUACAAUGCGGUGGCGAAUCGGAUUUUGAGUUGGAAAAACCAGAUUUUAUCGCUAGGAGGCAGGGUGGUGUUGAUUCAGAGCGUGUUAUCCUCUAUGCCAAUUCACUUGCUGGCAGCCGCGUCCCCUCCAAAAGGGAUGUUGAUGGUCAUAGAGAAAUUGUUCGCCAAGUUCUUGUGGGGAUCUUCGAAUUUCGGGGAUAAAUUCCAUUGGAUACGUUGGGCAGAUUUGUGUCGGCCGAAGGAUGAAGGGGGUGUAGGCCUGCGGGGUUUGAAACAGGUCUACGACUCAUUUUCCAUUAAACUCUGGUGGAAAUUUCGACAACAACAAUCAUUAUGGGCAAAGUUUAUGUCCCAGAAGUAUUGUGCAGGUCAUCACCCUUGUCUUGCUGAUAUUGGGCAUCCGGGAUCCCAAGUUUGGCAGAGGAUGGUCACAAUGCAGCGUUUUGGGGAGGAUAAUAUUAGCUGGGUAGUUCGGGAGGGGGCUUUGGACUUUUGGCAUGAUAAUUGGAUGGGGUCAGGUGCGCUUUGUGACAAGGUUGAGGUCUUCCAUGAUCAUUCGGUGGUUGAUUUUGUAGAUCGGCGGGCUUGGAAUGUGGACAUGCUCCAUCAAUUCUUGGAUGGAGAAUUGGUUACGCAGGUUUUGGAGAUUGACCCUCCUACCGAUAGGGGAAAUGAUACAAUGGUAUGGGCAUUGACGAACUCGGGUGUUUUUUCCACUGCAUCGGCUUACUCAUUGAUCCGUCAAUCCAAUGACAAUUCUUGGCUUUUUGGUCGUAUAUGGCAGCAGGGUCUUCCAGUCAAGGUUUCUUUCUUUAUGCUGCGACUACUACAGGGGAGGCUCCCUCUUAUGGAUCGCCUAAAGAGGUUUGGGGUUUGUGGCCCAUCUAGAUGCUUGUGUUGUCAGAAUCCCCAGGAGGAGGAUUUGAAUCAUGUGUUUUGCUCAGGAGAAGGGGCACGAUUGGUCUGGCGACACUUCGAGAGUACUGCUGGUGAGUUUAGUGGGGUGCAUACGGUGCGUCAUAUGGUGUGGUCUUGUUGGUUAAGGAGGGGGACUAAUGAUCGUGUAAAGUUUUUGCAUAAUAUACUUCCUUCGGUGGUAUGCUGGGUUUUAUGGAAGGCUAGGAAUGAAGGGGUGUUUGAAGGUCGGAAGAUGAGGAUCAGGCCUACGGUGAAUCGGAUUGUUCAGUUUCUGCAUGAUUUCCUUCAGUCACGGUUCCCGGGGGUGCAGCCUUCUGCCCCUACAUGGGAAGGGUUGCUUCUCGAAUUAGGUAGUCAUCAAAGGCGGAUGGUUAUUAGGCCAGUUUACUGGGUAACUCCACGUAGAGGCUAUAAGUUGAAUUCAGAUGGAUGUUCUCGGGGGAACCCAGGAAGGAGUGGGGGGGGUGGGCUUGUGCGGGAUAGUCGAGGAAAUUUUGUAUUCGGCUACGCGGAGCCCUUCGGGGUGAUAACCAGCAUGCAGGCGGAACUUCGAGCGUUGCUAUGGGGCGUUAGACAUUGUGUGAUUCGAGGGUGCUUGGAGUUACACUUAGAGGCGGAUUCUCUCACCCUGGUUCACAUUGUUCAAGGGACUAGUGCUUGUCCUUGGCGUUUACAGAGAGAUCUGGAUGAGUUGAUGAUGUUCAAGCAAUAUUUCACAUCGAUCACACACUGCUACAGGGAAGCAAACGCACCUGCAGAUCGUUUGGCAAAUUUUGGUGCUGAUUCUAGUACAGGUCAUGUGUUUAAUACAUUCUCAGAAUUGCCGCAAUUGGUUAGGGGGGCUAUUAGAUUAGAUCGAUUAGGAUUUCCUACGUUUCGUACACGGUGUCUGGCAUGAAUUGGAAUAAGAAGCAGAAAAGGCCAAUGAAGGUGAAAAUGGCGGUUAGAAGGACAUCAAGGGAGGAAGAUUGACUGCUAAAAUCUUCAAAGAUCAUCCUUCAGAUUCACUGGAAGACAUCCUGAUAUGGAAAAAUGAAGAUUUAAUCUUAAUUUCAGUUUUUAAAUGCUUAAACUUUCACUAGCUUGUAAAUUUAUUGUCAAAUUGUGGUUUGAUGGCAGGGAGUUUCGUCCUUUUUUAAGGGGAAACUCUGCCGAAAUUUUUAUAAAAUAAUAAAAUUUCAAUUAAAAAAAAAAGUAUAUAUUUGUUGGUAGUGAAAGUAGAGAGAAAUUUAUACUUUUAUUCACUAGUUUGUUUGGAGUUCACAAGAUUGCAAAUGAGGUUGGAAUAACAUCUAUUUUUACGGAAAGCAGAAUGAAUAAUACAUUAACUAACUUUAAUACUUAUACAUGGAAUAGUACAUCAAGAUGAUAAAAUUGAGUUGUUUCAUGAGAAGAUAAGUGUAUCACAUUAAUCUAGGGGGAAAAUACAUGUAUUAAUCCUCUAGGGGAAUUGAAUGGACAUCCACAUCUAUUUGUAUUUGUUUCAUAACAAGUUUGGUGUUUUUGCCAUUUUUGUUUUGGGUAAUCAUGAAAAGUUUUAAGUCUCACAAAAAAUGAUAACUCUUUUUGUUUUAAUCCGUCGAGACAUUGGUUUACACUAUUAUCUCGCUGCAACAUAGUUUCAACAUAUUUCUCAAAAUAUUUUCAUCUAACUUUGAAUUCAUGUAUAUUCCUGUUUGGUUAAGUUACACUAAAUUUCUUUAACAAUUAUCAUUCAAUUCAAUAUACUUUAAAAUAAGUUAAAUUAAAAGAACCGUUUUCUCUUAGUCUUAAAAAGAAUUAAGUUAGUAAUAUUCAUAUUUGAGAACAACACGUUACCCACACUAAGUCUAGAAAAGAAUUACUGAUGUAUCAGAAUUAUCGUUUUCGAAAAAAAAGAUGUACCUGUUUAUUCAAAAAAAAAAAAUCAUUGUUUCACUAAUUUAGAUAAAAAAAAUCAACAAAAUUGAGAUGAUGUACAGAUUAUUGAAAAGGGGCCAAUUUUGUCAAGACUUCAUGUUUUCUCACCAAAGCUAUUGAGCACCAAUCUCAAAAAAGUCAUAAAGAGCCAAGCCAAAGCAAAAAAAAAAAUCAAUAAGGAAGGCAACAAACUGGCCUGUACGGUGACCUUAUCCUUUUGGAUUCAUUUCAGCGGAUAAUGAUUCAUUUACACUUGAUAGUGAUGUAAAUCUGCAUCCAUCUUCAAAAGCAAAAAAUACCUCCCUUGUUUCCUGUUAAUGAUCAUGGAAGUCAUCUAUAGCAUCCUAGUUCUCAGUUUCUUGGUAGUCUUAGUUGCUAUAAAACAUCUUCAAGAAAACAAGAGAACACUAAAGCCUCCAAGUCCACCAGCUCUCCCAAUUCUAGGCCAUCUGCACCUCCUGAAAGCUGCCCCUCACCGUGCUCUUCAACUUCUCUCCAUCAAAUACGGCCCCCUGAUUUCCCUUCGAUUUGGGAUUCGUCCUAUACUUGUUGUUUCCUCACCAUCUCUUGCAGAGGAAUGCUUCACUAAGACUAAUGAUGUUAUCUUUGCUAACCGACCAGGGUCCAUUUCUGGCAAAAUCCUUGGCUACAACAACAGUACUAUCGGAUUCUCUCCUUAUGGAGACCACUGGCGAAAUCUCCGCCGUGUUACCACCAUCCAUAUUUUUUCUUCCGCUAGUCUCCACAACUUUUCCUCAAUCUGGACAGAGGAAAUCCGUUUCAGUGUCAGGAAAUUGUUCUCAAUGAACUCUGAUGACAAAGUGUGGAAAGAUGUAAACAUGAACUCUGUGUUCUUGGAUUUGGUAUUCAAUGUGAUCAUGAAAAUGCUUGCAGGAAAAAAAUGGCCAUCUGAUAAAACAGCUGAUUUGUUUUCGCUGAUCUCCUUCAUGGGUAUUUGUGAUUAUGUCCCUGUCUUGAGAUGGAUUGGAUUUCGAGGGUUGGAGAAAAAUUUGAGCAAUUUACAGCAAAAGAGGGACAAAUUAUUCAGGGAUCUCAUUGAUCAAACUAGGAAAAAGGAAGGUGAAGGUGGCUCAUGCUCGACUGAGCAGAGAAGAACUGUUAUCCAAGCAUUGCUGUCCCUUCAAGAUGCUGAACCUGAAUUCUUAACUGAUGAAACUGUCAAAGGGAUCAUACUAGUAAGCCAACUUGCCAUUUCUCUUUUCUCCUUAACAUAAUAUUUUUUGCUUUGGUAAUUAUUGCUCUUUAUAUCCGGUUUCUAUUUUCAUAUUUCAUUUUUUUUUAAUGCAAAUCAACCUUUUCUCCAAUUAGUCAGUGAACUCCUCUUCUAGCUGGUAAUCUCUUAUGUUGGGCUUUACAUUCAUUUUGACAAUACAUGCCUUGUUGUUCUUCUAGAUUAUGUUCACUGCUGGAGUACACACUUCAGCUCUGACCAUGGAGUGGGCUAUGUCCCUUAUGCUAAACCACCCCCAGGUAUUGAAGAAGGCAAGGAGUGAAAUAGACAACAACGUUACACAAUCAGGGCAAUUGAUUGAGGAUUCAGAUCUCUCCAAAUUGCCAUAUUUGCGUUGCAUAAUCAAAGAAACACUUAGACUUUUUCCUGCAGCACCAACUCUUUUGCCUCAUUAUUCAUCUGAGGAUUGCACCAUAGGAGGCUUCAAAGUUCCUAAAGGCACAACUUUGUUAGUAAAUGCUUGGGCUAUUCACAGAGAUCCGAAGGUUUGGGAAGAGCCAGCCAAGUUUAAGCCAGAAAGGUUUGAGGGAAUUAAUGAAGGGGCUUGCGAUGAAGGGUUCAAAUUUAUUCCAUUUGGAAAAGGUAGGAGGGCUUGUCCAGGUGCUGCCUUAGGCAUGAGAUUUAUUAGCCUGACGUUGGGAACAAUGCUACAAUGUUUUGAUUGGGAAAGAGUAGGGCCUCAAUUGGUGGAUUUAGAAGAAAAAUCUGGUAUAACUUUGGACAAGGCCAAGCCUUUGGAAGCAUUGUUCAGGCCACGCUCAUCCAUGAUUGAAUUGGUUUCUCAGCUUUGACUAAAGAACAUGACUGGUGGCUUUUGAAGAUUGUAUCAUAAUACUAUCUGAAAUACUUAAAGCUCAAACUACAAAGGUGCACCUAUUGCAAAGUGUGAAAAAAAGUGAAAAUAAGAGGAAGGAGAAUAUAAGCAUGAAAAUCUUUCAGUCUAUGCAGUUAUUAAAUAUUAAAUAGGCUUUGAACUAAACCGUGUUUGGCUUUUUCUUUUUGCUUUUAAUAUUGGUCUUUUCAAUUCACUGUAAGUGCAUCUACUCGAGGUCUUUGGUUUUCCACAUUUGUAAUUAUAGAAAAUCUUCAACCUUAACUGCGUUUCUUUGUUGUUACAUAAAGUGGUUUUGGGGCUUCAACAAAACAAGCAAAAAGAAUGUCUUAUGAGUAGAGAUGUCAAUCAAAAUCCAAUUAUAUUGGUUCGUCCAAAUCCGCCCACCAAUGAUCGGCUCAAACUCACCCACUAAUUUUGAAUAAAUUUAAAUGAGUACCCAAUUAAAUUCAUUUAAUUAGUGAAUAGUGAGUUGACUCGAUUCAUCCAUUUGUAUCCAUUUAAAAAUAAUUAGACACUUAAACUCAAUUUUUAAUUAGUGUUAAGCAAAUAAAUUUGAAUUUCUAAUCAAUUUAAUAACAAUAAAUACCGUUAUUUCUUAUCAAAUAGCAUGCAAAAAAAAGUAGAAUUGUAAGUGACUCAUAAAUAGAUAAUUGGGUAUAUCUAUACUCAUUUAUUAAAUGGGUAUAAAUGAAUUGACUUAAUUAUACCAACUACUUAAUUAUGACCACCCAAAUCACUCAUUUUAGCACAUCUACUCAUGAGUAGCGAGGUUACCGAGCUAACUCGAACCCAAUUAUGGGUAACUCGAGCUAGACUUCAAAGAAAAUUAGCUAAGCUCAAAUUCAAGUUUAAGUUCGACAGUGAAUUUCCUUUCUAUGUCAUAACUCAGUGUAUCACCAUCUUCAAUUUAUCCACCAAAACCGUUGCUAAGUUAGCUUAAGAACUCUUUUAUUGGUAUCAGUCUCUUUUAUUUCACAUUCACUCAAAACUUUUACAUGUUUAACUUCCUUUGGCAUACUUUUUUCUUUGUCAAAUUUUUGUUGGCGGUGUAUAAAGCUUUCAAGUUUUUCAUAUAUCUGUUUGAUGUAUUAGAUAUGCAUAAUUUUGAUGUUGCAAGUAAAUUUAUGAAGAUACAACUCUUUUCGUGAGUUACAGGUACACAUUCACCACUUCGAAUCCCAGAUUAUUAGAUUUUUUUUUUGUUUUGCAUUUUUUUGAAUUUUCAAUUUAUUUGUGAACUUUUCAAAUUUUUGCAAAAAUUUGUUCUUUUAGAAUGAUGACAGGUAUUUUAGAAGAUGUCUGUAGGUAAUUAUAAGUUCAAUUUAUCCACAGUCUCGUGUAGGGAUGGCAAUGGGGGCGGGUGCCCGCGAGGGGCUCUCGGGGCGGGGGGUGGGGCGGGGGCGGGAGGGAAUUUUUUCCCCCCGCUUAGAAACGGGGCGGGGGACGGGGGAGUAUACCCCCGUCCCGCCCCCCCGCCACCGCAAAAAAAAAUAAAUAUAUAUAUAAUUAUAUAUAAUAUGUAAGUUAAUUAGUUAUAAACUUAUGAUAAUGAUAUUAUUAGUUAGAUGUAUUAUAUAAUGUAUAUUAGUUUAUGUAAUAUAAUUGAUAUUAUCAAUUAUAUGAAUAAUUAUACAUGUCUACUAAUAAAAUUUAUUAAUUAGUUAUACUAAAUUUACUAAUACAUUUAUACUAAAUUUCUAAUUACACUUAAUAGAAUAACACUUUUUUCUCAAAAAAAAGCACAAACACAAUAAUGAAUUAGUGAUUGCAUUUGUACUAAAAGUGAAAACUUGACUAUUUUAGUUAUAUUUAUUUCAUCAUAUUGGAUUGUAUUCAAAUAACUUUUGUUUGAUUGUUUUUAUGAGUUUCAAUUGUAAAAUUACAAUGAAUAAUAAUUUGGUGAUGUGUUCAUAUUUUAGUACUUGAUUAUUUAUUAAAAUUUAAUUAUAAUAAAAUUAUAUAAUAAAAUUUUAUUAACCCCGCGGGGGAAGCAGGGCAAGGCGGGGCGGGGGCGGGGGACGGGGGAGGGUCUCCCGCCCCAACCCCGCCCCGUUGCCAUCCCUAAUUUCGUGAACGUUGAAGGACCAAUACCUAUUAAGAUCGCAAAACUAAUUUUGGAGUCUCCAGAACACAUAAUUCUUAAAGAAUAUUCAAGCCAUUUUUUUUUUCAGGGUUCGUUUUCACACUCUAAUUUUUUAACUCUACAUCAGUUAAUCAAAUGACUUCAAUUUAUUAGUGCCACUAAUUUCAAGGUCAAAUUUGCUUAAAUUUUCAGUUUUGCAAGUCCCUGGAAACUUUUAUCAUCUUCAUCUCAAGUAUCCCUGUAUUCUUGCUUUUAUUAUUCACCCAUGUAAACUUGAUUCUAAAUGCACAUAUGCCUCGUUGCUAAAGUUUUUAUUCAAUGUUACUUGAUAACAACUCAUAAGUAUGCCCUUAUGAAACAGCAACAAGGAAGAUCUUGAAUGCGCCUAUUCGCAACCCAGGAAUAAAUUAACCUAAGUACAUCCCAGUAACAUGGAGAAUCAAAUCAUGGUUUCACAUAAAAUAUGAUGGACCAAACCUUUUUUCACAUAUCAAAAUAAAGAAAUAUAACUUGAAGCAACUUGACAUAAGUUACCCUGGAAUGAUAAUGCAAUAAUAUCUACUAUAGGGGGAGGGUUGGGUUGGGUGGUACGGGGGAAGGAGUGUAAGCAAGAGGCCUCGGGUUCGAAUCCUACUGUUUACACUAAAAAAAACAAUAAUAUCUGCUACAUAAACUUCUCAAUUAUGUCUGUUUUUUUUUUAACUUCUCAUUUAUGUCUAACUGCUUCUAAAAAAUGUCAGUGUCAAUAUAAUCAUUAAGAAGAAAAAUAUUGGACUGCAAAAGUGGACUUUAAGAGAAGGUUCAAGAAAAAAGGAGACUGUGCAAUUAAAUGGCAAACAUCACUUUGAUAACAAUACAUAUUUACUUAAGAAGAAUUGUAUAAAAGAAUAAACGCAAAGACUAAGAUUGUAAUUUUUUUUUAUUUUUUUUAAAUAUAAGAAUCACCUAUUAAGCUCUAUAAUUAAUAUUAAAUCUAAAAAGUCAAUUAUUUGGCCUUUAAAACUGUGUUCACAAACUUUUUAUCUCUUCAUACUCAGAUUUUAUAUAAUGUUUUAGUAAAAUCAAUAAGAACACAUGAGAAAACUAUCUCUAAAAGGCUAAGGCCGUAAAAUAAAGAGAAUGACCAAGGCAAACAAAGAGCAAAAAUGAGCAAAAUAUGACAUGAAAUAUUUGUCUCUAAAAAAGGACAAGCUCAGUGCUAAGAAAGAUAUAAAAGCUUCUUAGAAAAAGAAGCUUAGAACCAUACAAUUUUAACUAACCUAUAUUACAUUUGAAGUUUGAAUAAUUAAAAGUUCAAUGGACCGAACUAUUGUCUUGAAAUAAUAUGAGUUUUGCAAUUCUACGGUAGAUUCAUAAAAGUGCUUAAGAAACACGUGGGAUAACACUGUUGAGAAUGAUGUGUUCACUGAAUAACGAAAUUGACGGGAUUUUUAUAUAUCAAUGCAAGUUUAAUUCCGAUUUUACACCCGUUGGACUGCAAGUAUACAGGUCGCAAUUGUAGUACAAGAUGUGUAUCGGGUCGAUCCCACGAGGAGCUAUUAAAACAAUUAUUAGACACUAAUUUACUCUAUUAUUUAGACUCACAAUAAAUUUGAGCAGAAAAAUUCAGAAUUUAAUUCAACUACAAAAAUUCUUAACUAGAUAAAUGCAAUUUCACAAAAGGAAUAGAAUUCACUAAAUAUUAAGAUCUAGGGAUGUAGAUUCCACUUAUGACUCAAAAGAUCUAAAAUGAAUUAAUUCAACACUUGUUAUUGCUCUUGUUUAACCAAGGAUUCAUUUCCAGAAAUACCAAAAUCACAUUCUCAUGAUAAUAAUGGGUUAAAACAGAUUAGUUUUUCCUAAUCUCUUGGUAAAUACUAAAUCUGUUCUUAUUCACACAUGAAAUGCAGAUUUCAUCCACUUGAAUGUAUUUCUAUUCUCAUGAAUAUACAACUCAAGUUCUACUUGUGUCAUUCCAUUAUUUUUACCAUUUCUUAAUGAAUAAAAACAACUAUAAACCUGUUAUUGGUGAUCAAACAACAACAAGUAAUCAAGCAUACACAAGUAGAUAAGUUAAUACAAGAUAUAACAAGUAUAAAUCACAAUCACUUCAUAUCACUUGGCCAUAAGCUUCAUCUACUCCCUAGAUAAAGGAAAUUAGCUACUCAUGAAUGAUGAAACACUCAUAAUUUCAUUAAUGCAAAUCAUCAUGAAUUUACAAAUACAAAAAGAGUAAAGAAAGUCUUAGCCAAGAUAUGGUGAAGCCUUCCAAAAAUCUCCUUGUCUUGAAUUUAGAUGAUUACAAGAUGAAACCUCAAUUGUCCCUUUGCAAGUACCUAGCUAGAGAGAAUAUGUUUUUCUGUAAGAAACUAAGCUACGUAUGGCUCUCCCAGACCUCUCUCAAUGUCUUAGCAUAAAAACUACUCAAAGGCUCUAUUUUUCCAAGUCAAAUUCUAACCUUUGAUUCCCCAAAUCUGCACUUUGUUAGCAUAGUCAAAAACCAAUAUUUUUGACUUGAAAAUAAGCCAUCUUUAUUGCCCUUUUGUCUUCUGAGGCAUGUGCACCGAAUUCUCUUGCAGAUUGUAGCUGGAAAGUAGUUUGAACAUAAGAGAAUUGACUGAGCAAAUUGCAGAAUUACGGCCAGAAAACGCGCCUACACAAAACGCGGUUACAAGUCACGUUUUGUGUACUCGCGUAUUCACUUUGGCCUUACUUCAUCUGCGAUUUUCUCUAUCAUAAAGGCCGAACUGGCUUUUGUGCAAAACACCAAAGUUGUAGCUCUUUGAGUUAGCUUUCCAAUGCUAUAAAAAUCAUCCAAAUCGGAGUUGUGCAGCCUGAGAUAUGGUCGAAAUAGUCUCACCUGGUCAAACCUCUGUUUCCAGUUUCGACCACAGAGUGCAGCUUCUGUAUUCCGACUUUUUUUCCAUGAAAUGGGCAGAAUUGGAUUUCGAUGUCUUCAUACGAAUUGUAGGUCUCUUUCUUAGCUUUAAAAUGGUAUAAAUAUCACCUUAAUCCGAUAAGUGUAGCUCCAGAUAUGAUCAAAAUACUGAAGAGUGUUAAAACUGAUUUGUAUUGCAUUUCCUCACUUGAACGUUUUUCACUUCAUUCUUCUUGUUACCACUUGAAUUCAUCACCAACUUUCUAUUUUUCAUCUCAUUUGACAUCCUUUGGUGAUUGAAUCAUCAUUCCUGCAUAAAAAUGAAGUUUUUAUCAUUAAAAUCACUAAAAAUGCAAUAUUAUCCACUUUUACCAACAAUAUAUAAUUUUACCAAAAACCUCUUUAUUUUAUUUAUAAAACUAGAUAAUCAACUCAAAAUUAACUAAUAAAAUGCACUUAAAAAUACGUAAAAUAAACUCUUAUCAGAAAUAUGAUUUCAUCACAACUCCAAAUAUUAUCAUAGAAAUUUAUAAGUAAGAUAAUUAAGUAGUAUUAUCUUAAAACUAAAGGGAGAAAUUUUGUUUCAAUGUCGACAAAUGCAACGUGCAUUUUCUUAGUCUAUUAUUAAAAACUUGUCCAAGGAUUCUUCCAUUUUUAUAAUAGGUGUUAUCUCAUUUUAUAUGCUAAAAUUACUAAAUUAAUUUUGAGAGGUCGUUAAGUCUAUUCUAUAUCUAAAGUACCCCUUCAGAUGAUAAACUAUUUAGGGGGAAAAAACUGUGAAUUUGAACAUGCCUAAAAGAAUUAAGAAAUAAAUUUACAAUAAGGAAAGAUAGACUUAUUAUCAUUAGUGGUGACUGAAAGCAUUUUUUGUUUGAGUGAGAAUGGCCCCUAUUUUUUAUUAGAUAAAAAAUUUAAAGAAUUAAAGAUGCUCAUAAAAUAAGAUGAAACAAUAAGGGAAGGAAAUAAAUCAAUCCAUUAAGGCUGUAGGCGAGGAGCUUUAAAACUUCCUACAAAGAUAUUCUAGAAUAAGUCUGAAAAUAAUAGUAACAAAGUUGGUUUACAUUAAUAGCUUGAACAACACAAGAAAAUUAUUAAAAAAUUUUUAGUAGUUUGCCAUAGAACACAAACCACCUUAUGAAUUAUACUUGUUUGACAAUAUCAAAACUCUUUCCACAAAGCACUUAAACACCACAUACAUCAUCACACUUGAGCUCGAAUCUAGCUCAAAUCUCGGAUCGUUUACACCUAAUACAUGAGUGGUUGAGUGAUCUAGAAGUGGGCCGGAAUUUUUAAACUGAAAAAAAAUCUUUUUAUAUUUGUAAUGAUUUGACUAUUUAGAUUGAAUCAUAUAAUAAGUCCAGAUUUGGAUGUAUUGGAUGGUACCGGAGAAGCGAACGUAGAACAAGAUUUUAAAAGAAAAGGUCCUUAGUUAAACUGCAAAUUAACUCAUGUGAUUAGCUCGUGAUUGUCCACACGGCGGAUCGAAAGUGGUAAGAGAUGACACUAAAGUAUCAAAUAUAUGUUGUCCCGUACUAUUUGGAUUUCAGUGAGGUUUAUGGAGUAAUGUGAAAUCUCAGCGUGCAAAAAGGGGCCGCAAUCAAGAAUAUUUUGACUGAUCAAGCGCCUGCAUUUUGUCUUCUUCCUAUUAUUUGUUUCUAAAAUGCCAUCCUAAGGUGCAUUACUAAAUAAAGGCUCAUUUGGUAAAUAAAUUUUUUAGGUGUUUGUUUAAAAUUUUACUGUAAUUUACUGUAAGAGUUGUAGAAAAUAUUUUUGAAGUGUGUAAAUUUUUGGAUAUUUUGAUGUGCAUAGUUUUAAAGUUUUAAGAAAUUUUUUGAGAUUAAUAUAGUUAAAAUAAUUUAAAAACUUGUAACAGACAAAUUUGACAAAAAACUUGCUUGCCAAACAUGCCCAAAAUUUGCUUUUGACCACUUUGCAGAUCAAAAUAGUCUUCGGAUUAGUAAACAUUAUUAGUUUAAAGAAUUACUCUAGAGUGCAAUUUAGAAAUCCAUUGUAAACGAGAGCAAGCCAUGUAACAAGAUGUCAAACAAACUGUAAGGAUUCAAAUACGGAAUAAACAACUAUUGAGAUAUCAAAUGUAUAACAAUUUAAUGAAAAACAAGCCACAAGUAUGAAAGAUAAACGACACACAACAUUUAACGUGGUUUGACUCCACCAUUGAGCCUACAUCCACGGAGAGAAACUUGUUCUUUAUUAUGAGAGAAAAAUCUUAUACAAGAAUACAACUUGAACCCAAAUCCAACCCUUGUAUACCAUCUCUCAUGUCCCAAAAACCCUCUCUCACACCCCAUGUAUAAGGUUACAUAAUACCCCUUGUGUUUGCUUGUGUAUCUUUGUAGUAUGCCAAUCUACCUAUUUAUAGAGAACAUUACUGUCAAAAAAUCAAAUAACAAUUGGAAACCAAUACUAUUUUCUAAACUCAUAUAAAGUAGAAAAUAGUAUCUAAUUCUAGCUAAAUAGGGCUUUACUUGACUACUAUUUCAAGUAACUAAAUCCAAUUAGAAAACUAGUUACUUCCCACACCAAAUAGGAAUCUUGACUAAAAGAAAUUAAGCCAAUUUCCUAACAAAUCUCUACCUUGGCGAAUAUUUCUUUUAGCAAACACAGCAAACCAUCCAAAAACUCCAUUUGCCUUUAACUAGCAAAUAAUAUGGUACCAAAUUACACACCCGAAUCAAUACAGUCCUGCCACCAAAUUGAUUCAAUCGGCAAAUGAACAUGUGUAGUUACCAUGAGUCCAACCUGCAGUUGACUCGUGAGAAGGUGCCUCAAUUCACCAUCUCCCUUUGCAGGAUUUCUUCUCACCACCACUUGCAAUCUGGGAUCCCCUUCUGUGAGCUCUAACCCUAACCAUUGAGGCAAUUAAGUGGUAAAGUCGCCAUACUUCUUCCCAUCCUCAGGACUGUCUCGCCACAUAUAAUUUCCAAGACUCCACCUAAAACAAAAAACUCGUAUCUGUCAGAGUCUUCUGGCGUAUAGAAAUUAGAUCUCCUUGUUUCUUUGGGACACGUGCCACACCAUCCAAAAAACAUAACCAAAAUUUAAAAUCCACCGGGAUGAAGUAUCAACCGUUGGAGGUGUGAAAAGUCUCCACCAAUUCACGUCUAAAAUCAAUAUUGGAUUCCAUCUUUUCCUUGACCCUUGAAUCACCUGCCUAGAUUCACCGUCAAGCAUCUCCAUAUUUUUCGACUUUUCAUCCUUUACCAUCAAUGCUUUUUGUCAAGCUAUUGAAACAAGGAUACUACCUAUUAAAUUGUUCAAUUGAUGACAGCUACCAAUCCACUUGAUCUCAAUAGUUAACUAGGAUCCAACUACGAAUCUUGAGCAGCCCAGUCUCGCAACCAAGCUCUGAUACCACUUGUUAGGAUUCAGGCGUGGAAUAAACAACUAUUGAGAUAUUAAGUGCAUAACAAUUUAAUGAGAAACAAGCCACAAGUAUGAAAGAUAAAUGACACACAACAUUUAACGUGGUUCGACUCCACCAUUGAGCCUACGUCCACGAAGAGAAACCUGUCUUUAUUAUGAGAGGAAAAUCCUAUACAAGAAUACAACUUGAAUCCAAGUCCAACCCUUGUAUACCAUCUCUCAUCUUCCAAGAACCCUCUUUCACAACCCAUGUAUAAGGCUACAUGAUGCCCCUUGUGUCUCCUUGUGUAUCUUUGUAGUAUGUCAAUCUACCUAUUUAUAGAGAACAUUACUGCCAAAAAACCAAAUAACAAUUGGAAACCAAUACUAUUUUCUAAACUCAUAUAGAGUAGAAAAUAGUAUCUAAUUCUAGCUAAAUAGGGCUUUACUUGACUACUACUUCAAGUAACUAAAUCCAAUUAGGAAACUAGUUACUUUCCAUACCAAAUAGGAAUCUUGACUAAAAGAAAUUAAGCCAAUUUCCUAACACAAACUAAGAAGAAUUUUUUUCAACAACAGUCCUUUAUUCAACCUUUAAAAUAUCCUUUUCAUUUGUUCCAGUUGAAAAGAAUUACUCCACGAUCAAUUUUUUACAAAAGUCCUUUUGAAUAUCUGUUGGUGCAUACAAAAUUUAAAGUUGUAUUGUUAUGUUAGGCUUUACUUUCAUUUUGACAAUAAAUGCCUUGUUGUUUUGAGUGAUUAUGUUUACUGCAGGAAUACACACUUCAACUCUAACCAUGGAGUGGUUUAUGUCCCUUAUGCUAAACCACCUUGAGGUAUUGGAGAAGGUAAGAAAUGAAAUAGACAACAAUGCCACACAAUCAGGGCAACUGAUUGAGGAUUCAGAUCUCUCCAAAUUGCCGUAUUUAUGUUGAAUAAUUAAAGAAACAGUCGGACUUUUUCCGGCAGCACCAACGCUUGUGCCUCAUUAUUCAUUUGGGGAUUGCAGUAUAGGAGGCUUUAAAAUUCCUAAAAGGCAAACUUCAUUAGUAAAUACUUGGGUUAUUCAUAGAGACCCUAAUGUCUGGGAAGAACCAAACAAGUUUAAGCCAGAAAGCCAGAAAUUCGAGAGAAUGAAGAGGUAUGUGAAGAAGGGUUCAAAUUUCUUCCAUUUGGAAAAGAUAGGAGGGCUUGUCCAGGGACAGCCUUGAGCAUGAGAUUGAUUAACCUGUCAUUGGGAACAAUGCUACAAAGUUUUGAUUGGGAAAGAUUGGGUCCUCGGUUGGUGGAUUUGGAAGAAAAACUAGUUUUGACUUUGGGCAAGGCCAAGUCUUUGGAAGCAUUGUGCACAAGUCAUGCUCAUCCAUGAUUGAUAAUCAUUCCGCAGCUCUGAGUUAGCUUCCAAGGUAACUAAAGAAAUAUUUAUUUAGGGGCUGCUUGUUUCACAGAUUGGAAUCGGAAAUGGAAAUGAAAUCAUAGACUCUGGUUUUGGAAUUAAAACUUUUCAUUCCAAUAUCUUGCUUGGUUCACACAUUGGAAUUAGCAUUGUUCCAAUUCCUGAUGCUGGUUUGAUGAGUGUUUCGGAAUUAAAUGCAAUUAAAUUCCAAAAUUACCCCUGAUAUAACAAUUCUUCUAAAACAAAAGAAUUACACAUACGACAAAUUAACAUCUUCAUAAUUGUAACUACAAUAGUUAUUAACUUUUUGAUAAAACAUAAGAAAAUCAUAAAUAAUAAAAAAAUUAAUACCAGAAAAUAAAUAUAGUGGCUGCAUUAACAAGGAGUAAAUUCCCAGAAAAAGGAGUUUUUAAACAAUCAUCCAAAAGGUGACAAUUUUUGAGUCUCUUCCCAAAGGGUGAAAAAUGCAUCCAAGGAAUGUGUUCUUCCAAAUAAAAACGCAUCUUUCAAAUACGUUAUUUUAUGUUUUGGAAAUUUGUUUAAAUAUGAAAAAUUGGUUAAAUAGCCCAUAAGAUACCAGCUCUUUAUGAGAAAUUGGCAGGUUUUGUAAUAUGUUUUGUACCAGUUUUAUGAGAAACAUACAUUUAUGGGAAAAAUUGAUUAAAUAGUGCCCAAAGGAAAACUAGUAUGUUUUGUAUUUAAUAUAAAUUAAAUAUGUGAAAGUUAAAAAAAAAAAAAAGAAAUUGCCCAUAAGAUACCAGCUCUUUAAGGGAAACUGGCAGGUUUUAUAGUAUGUUUUGUAGCAACUCUUUAUGGGAAACAUACCAGCUCUUUAUGGGAAAAAUUGGUUAAAUAGCGUCCAAAGGAAUACUAGUAUGUUUUGUAUUUAACAUAAAUUAAAUAUGUGAAAGUUAAAAAAAAAAAAGGAAAUUACCCAUAAGAUACCAGCUCUUUAUGGAAAAUUAGCAGGUUUUGUAUUUAAUACGCUAUUUAACCAAUUUUUUAUAUUUAAACAAAUUUACGAAAAUUAAAAUAAUGUAUUUGAAAGUUGCAUUUUUAUUUGGAAGAACGCAUUUCUUGAAUGUGUUUUUCACCCUUUGGGAAGAGACUCAAAAAUUGUCACCCUUUAGGAAGUUAGUUUAAAAACUCUUUCUUUUUGGAAAUUUACUCUAUUAACAAGUCGUUUGUAGUUCCUAAAUUAGAUAAUGAUAUGAAAUAGAUCUCUCCUUACAUAUAUGAAUAAAAGAAGGAGACUCAAAUCACAAAAGCUAACCAUACCAAAUACAAAUCAAUUGUCUAAUCCAGUCGAGAGUGCCAGUCAAUGUCCACAAUCUCCAAAAGACUAAUCAUAUCACCAUAACAAAAAGAAAUUGCCAUCAAAUCAUCACUUUCCAGCUAACAAUAAUUUUACUUCAGCGAGUAGAUGGAGGACAAAGGAGGUUAAUUACAUAUUGUCAUUUCAUUUCUGCAGGAAGAUUGUAGAACACAUGAAGCUUGGAAAUCUGCUCCGAAAGUAUGUCGGCUGCAUUCAUUACAUCUCCACUCGGUAAAGCAAGUUUCAUUAACUCAGCAACAACUUGAUCUCUUCUAUCGGAGACCAAUUGCUCACGUUUAUCGUCAUUUGACAUGGCUGCUGCCAUAGUUGUGAAAUUAGCUUGAAUUCUCUCCACGAAAUCUCCAAAUUUGCUGGUGAGAAGUUGCAAUGAUGCAUCAAGAUCACCCCUUGUUGUUGAUGCAGAUUUUAUUUUUUUUGACACAUUUGCAAUGGGAGGUGAUUGUUUCUUUUGUUUCUUGGAAUUUCUUGUGCCUGUUGAGCUUGGUUGAGUUGAUUGCUCCAUGGAAUUUACUUCAUCUUCUUCUACCUUAUCAUUAUCCGAGUUUGACAUAGCAUCAAACCCUUCAUCUCCUUCCUCCAAAUUUUGGACAUCUUCCAUAUCUUGGACAGCUUGUGCAAAAUCUUCAGCAACAUUUCCAGUGACUCUGUCUCUUCCAUAUACAAUUUCAAGAUCUCCUAAAUAUGAAAAUUUGACAUCCCAAAAGCCCUUCGCAUCCUUAUGAGUCUAGGGGUAAGAUAAAUGAUAAUCCUAAUAAAAGGUUGAAAAAGAACAUAUCAGAAUGUAAAAAGUAAUCAAUUUCUUACCUUGCACCAAUCAUCAUACCACUGUUUUUCACAAGAAAUCUUUUUCUUAGCAUCAUUCCAACUACAACCACUUUCUUUGCACAUUUCAACAAUUGCAUGGAACCUAUUUUUGAUUCAAUAUGUGGGCUGACUUGUUUGGUACAAGUAGGUUGCUUACUCAAGAUAAUUUUAAGCAAUUCGCUCAUAUAAUUAUUUUUAAAUCCUCCAUCUGAUUUUCACAUUGGAUCACAAGCCAACUCUUGCAAUGCUUCUAUGAGCACUUUUACCUCUUCACCAGUCCAAAAACAUUUAUUUUUCCAUCUUCCACGUACAAUUUCAUCAUUCUCCAUCCUAUCAUUUAGAAGUCAACCCAUAUAUAUCAAUUAAUUUUGAUACACAAUAGCAUAUAAACUGAAAUUUAUAAUAUAACAAAACACAUAAAAGAACAUACAAUUAAAAGUCAAUCCAAAUUUAAAAGAACAUACAUCAAGUGUCAAUCUAAUUCACAAAUCCACUACAAGAGUACAUCAAAUGUCAAUCCAAAUUUAAUGAGUCUAAGAGCUAAACAUCCAUUCAUAGCUAAAUACUAAGUCUAGCCCUUCAAUUGUCAAACAUUUCAUGUGCUAAAUUAUUUCUAGAAUUUGCCCAUUGAUCACUUGGCAAAAUAGUGGAUAUGUACUCUACUUCUUCAUCACUGUCUUCAUCUUCACUUUCAUUUUCUUCACUUUGUAGUAAUUCUUGUGGAUCAAAAGUCAUGAACUUCCUUAUCAAGUUGUGCAGUAGACAACAUGCCAUAAUUAUUCGCACUUGUGUUUGAAUUGGAAAAAAUGAAGGGGAUGCUAGAAUCUUCCACCUUCCUUUUAGCAAUCCAAAACAUCUUUCUAUGAUAUUUCUAGCUUUAGAAUGUUUCAUGUUGAAAUAUUCCUCUGGUCUUUGUGGUCGAUAACCAUUGAAUUCAUUAAGGUAAUAUCUUUGCCCUCGAUAAGGGGCAAGAAAUCCAUCAGCAUUACAAUAUCAAGCAUCCACCAAGUAAUAACAACCUUCAAAAUUCAAUCAUGCACAAAUUAAUACUAGACUACCUUAUUUUCGAAAAAAAAUUGAUUGAAUGGUAUUGAAUACUGCAAUAUAUGUUUACCUUGUGGGACUCUAAGACCAUUUGGUCUAGAGAUAGCAUUUCGAAGCACACGACCAUCAUGUGCCGAACCUUCCCAACCAGGCAAGACAUAGAUAAAUUGCAUAUUAGGAGAACAAACCCCUAAUACAUUCGUUGCAAUACUUCCUUUUCUCGUUCGAUAUCUUGAUUUUUGUUCGGUGGGUGGUGUCACAUCUAUUAAUGUCCCAUCUAAGGCACCUAAACAAUUCUAUUUUAAGAAAAAUAAAAAAUAUAACAGAGUUAAAAUGUCUAUAUUGGAUAGUUUAGAUGAAAAUAUAUAUUUUAUUAAAUGAUUGUAUUUUAAUGUUUGAAUUACCUUAAAACAUUUCCAUCUCUCAUCUGUGCAAUCUUCGGUAAUAGGCUCAGGCUUCUUAAGUAAUAUAGUAUGCAAUUUCAAAACUGCUAGGAGGCAAAGAUUAAAUUGACGACUCAUCGUUUCUCUCCUUCUCCAAAAUAGACCACAAAUUGUUCUACUUUUCUUGUGGUGAGCCAAAACAUAUACAAACAUGGCAACAAUUUCUUCUAUUGACAUGUUUCUUGUAGCUUUCAAACCUCCAGUGUCUCUAAUCAUUUCACAUAAUAUCCCAAAUGUUCGUCUAUCCAUACGAAGUUCGCUAAUACAAUAAGCAUCACUCUCCCUAGUCAAAUUGAAUAAGUGUUGCAUGCGCUCAGUGACUUUUUCUUCUUUUGAUUUUAUUUGGCGUCUUCUACUUUUGAGAUGAAUAAAUAUUAACUGGUACCACAUCAUAAACAGUGCAAUAACAACCAUUAUCAUUCCUGAUAAAAUCUGGCUUUGCCCUUGAUAUUUUUUGCUUCUUCUGUUUUCAAUAGGCAAACGUGGCAUCUUUGUCUACAUAACAAUAUGACAACCAAACGUAAGUAUUCACAAUAAGACAGGUUUGACGUUGUUUGGCGGAAUGAACACAACUGAAGCUACACUUAUUGGAUUAAGGUGUAAUUUACACCGUUUCGAAGCUAAGAUAAAGGGCUACAACUUUGAUGAGAACCACUCAGUCCAGUUCAUAGUGUAGCAAGGUCAAAUUUCAAGAUACCAAACCAGAAUUGCACAAACAGGUUAGCUACCGUAUUAUGGUUAAACGACCAUAACUUAGGCUACCAAGGUCCAAUCGGGGCGUUUCCAGUGCUGUUAGAAAGCUAAGACACCGCACUAAAACUUUUGUGUUUUGGCCAAAUUCUAAUUCGGUAAGGAUCAGGGUGAAAAGUCUCGGUCAGAUUGGGUGAAGUGUCAACUCUGUCCACCGAACUCUACCUAGGGCAAUCUGGGGGUAUUUCUGUCUUUUUACAGGCUACGGAGCUUAGAUUGGGCUGAAAAUUUACAGAAAACUAUAAAACAUCAUUUUCUACAACUUUUAUGUUUUAACCUAAGGCUGAUUUGGCCUCCAACCUAGCCGAAUAGAACCGGGCAGAAUAGGGGUUAAUUGAGACCCUAAUCUGGAAAUUUCAGUACAAAGCGGAAAUUUUCCGCAAAUAGCUACAAUUUACGCAUCAAAGCUUCAUUCUAGACCAUUCCAACCCAUCAUAUAUGGCCAACCAACAUUAAACAUAUAAAAUAGAAAAAUCAUAGAUAAAAAUAAAAAUUUCACCAAUCUCUACCAAAAGUCAAGAAAUCUUCCACAAAAUCACAUCUUUAACCAACACAAGUCAUUAAUUUGACAUUAUCAAGACCAAAGAAAGAAUUCCCUAGCUACUCACCUUGCAACCUCAAGAAAGGAAGCAACUUAGCACCAAUUUCUUCCAAACCACUUCACCCACUACCUCAAAACCACCUAGCUAAGGGUUUUUAUGGAAAGAUUUGAGGUUUAAACGGUUAAAUUGCAAGAUUAAGCAAGGUUAGUUGAAGAAGAUUGAAGGGUUUUCUUUUCUUUUCUCCCUUGUGAGAGUCGGCCAAGAGAUGUAUGAAGAAGGUGAAUUUUUGGGUCAAUUUCUUGGUUAUUUAGUAAAGUUGGUAAAAUGGUCAAAGUCCAACUUUAAGUCACCAAGUGACACUUGUCACCUUUUUAGUGCAACUCUAUCCUUUUGUCUCUCCAAUGAUAAUCCAUCUAGGUAAUCUCUAAUUAUCUCUUAACACUUGAUAAAUUAAAUCCGGUAUACCCAACUAAACCUAAUUGGCCGAAUUUUACCGAACUUACCGCACUAGUGGGUCCCAUAUCCGGUAUAUACUCUUAAAACCUCAUGAACUAACUUAUACUAGAAAAAUAAUUUAAAAACCAUAUUUGCUCAUAAAAAUUAAUUUAAAAAUUUUUCGAAUAAAGAAAAUGUGAAAAGCGUGCAAUUAGAAUAAAAUAAAAUCUAAAAAUUAAGAAAAUUACGGGUUCUCACAGAUGUCAUGCCAAGAAUUUCACUUUUACAUUAUAUAUUUGGGAGUAGCCACAGUAUCCCAAAUAUUUGAUGUGAAAAGUUUUUCAUCAUAUACAGUUUGGUGAUUGAAAUUAUGGAUUUUUAGUCAACAUAUUGGCUAGUUGACAAUUUUUCUUAUAACGCCAUAUACAUAGGAGUAGCCAUAGCAUCUUAAGUAUAUUAGUGUCUGGAGAAAUUUUGUAUUUUUUUCACAUAUUGUUGAGUGAGUAAAGAAAUUAAAAAAAAGGAAUCUAUAUAAAGUUGCAAUUAAUUCACUAAGAUAGUUAUUCGGCCCCACAAGGAGGUAAUUAUUUUGCUGAGAUUAAUUGACAUGAGAUGGUAAAUUAGAAAGUAAAUUAAGAGAUAUUUCUAUGCCCACAGGUACUAAUUAUUUCUUGAAUUUAUUGUUUUAGAUUACUAGUCUUAUGAUUAAGGAAAGUAAAUUAUAUGCAUUUUUCAACCUUUGGCCAUAGGAAGGUUUGAAAUUACUAUUUGAAUUGACAUAAGGUUGAUUAAAAUCAAGGUACAAACUUCAUAGCAUUUUUAUAAUAUAGUUUUUGAUUGUUAAUUUAGUGUUUCAUUCCAAUGAUUUUAUGGUUCUUAUUAGGUUGACUUUAAAUUCGUUCUCCUUUGUUUUGGGUGCAAGUUUUAAAUUAGCACUUUUAUGAGAAUGAACAAACCAUUCUCAUAAUAUGGAUAUACUUGCUAAUAUAGAGGUUGAGUAUGAGAAUUAGAAGCAAUUUAGUAGUUUGCUCAUUCUGUCUCAUAUUCACAUAAAAUAGGGUUCAAAUCCUAAUUAUUUAUAGUUAAAUCUUGCAUGAAAGUCAUAAAGAAAUUAUUGCAAGUUUUAACUAGCACCAUUAGAAGGCUUUCUUUUGUGACACUUAAAUAUUAAAGUGUAUUUUGAAAAGAUGAGAAUUUUGCUAUAUCGUGAAUUAAAGUCCCAUCAAGUUGAGAUUGAGUUAUUUCUGUUGCAUUUCAUUCUUGAUUCUUUCAUAAAUAAUUUCUUAGCCAUUCAAACCUUUAUAAUACACAUAAAGAUAUAUGGUUAAUCACUUGUUUAACCAUGUGUAUUAAAAAAGAAUAAAGAGGUUAAGAAAUAAGAGAAACUUAACCUUCAUGAAGAAGAAAUGUAAAAAAAGAUAAUUUUGUUCUCAGUAAGUCAAACAACAAUAAAGACCAAUAUUAUUUGUAAGAGAGUGAUACUUGAUGCUUUACCUUGAGAGAAAGUAACUCAAAAGAAAAUCUCAAUUGUUGAGUGUUAUAACUUGUGAUAUAUUCGUGAAUUGGCUAAAGUUGUGAAUUUGCAUUGCUAGUAUAAUAAGUUUCUGAUUAUAUGCAAAGUGAACAAAAGUUUCUUUAUAGAAACUAAAAAUAUUCACAUAAAGUGAUGUAUUAUUGCUCAUUUCAAGAAAAUUUAUUUUUCUAAAACAUUAUUUUCUUAUUACUUUAAAAUUUUUAUUUUCAAAUUAAUUACUAUCGGGUAUGAUUACGAACCUCAUUAUCCAGUAGUAGAUUUUGAAAAUAGUGAAGUUAUUAAUUCUAAAGUUUCCAGUACCAUCUUUUGAAUUGAGCAAAAUCAUACACUUGACCACAAUAAUUAUAUUGGCAGCAAAUAUGUUUAUCACUAGGGGAAACUCCUUAAAUUUUGGCAUAGGAAAUUGAGAUAUAUCUCAAUAAAAAAUAAAGAGUUGAUAAAUCAUAAAUUUUUAAAGAUUUUAGAUUUAUUAACUAUGAUAUUUUAAGUAGACUACAUAAGUAAAGAGACUACUCAACCUGGAUGCCAUAAGAGUUUCAUUAUAACACUAAAAUUUUGUGAAUUAUUUGCUACCCUUUUUUAUUGGUGAGGGAUAUUUAUCUCAUUAUUAGAUAACUAUUCAUCAAAUACAAAGCUCCUUUCUUAUUUGAUAAAGAAUUAAUAUUUGAUACCUAUGCAAGUAUUCAAACGAGAAAGGAAAUUUGAAAUUUGAAGGAUAGAAAAUAAAAUGAAGGCACACCAAAAAAAAGGGCUAUCCUAUUUGUGCUCAUUAAAUAGGAAACAUUGCUAAUGAGUAAAAGCAAUGCUUGAUUGGUUUCAUCCAAUGGUGUACUUUAAGGAAAUAAUGAGAUACUUGUGGAUAUAGCAUAUUGGCAAUAUUUAUAUCUUGUGCGUAAUGCCUUGAAAUUGAAGUAUAUUCUUAAACAAUUUCUUCCAAAAUUAUUUAAACACCACUUUGAUUAUGAUAUGGAUGAAAAUCAAGUUUAAGAUAUUAUGUUUAGUUUUGUGAGGGUGAUCAACCUACACAUAAAGAAACUAUACAAAAGAAACAAGACUAUCUUGCUCCAAGAAAUUUAGAUUCUUUUACACUUCAAAAAUUAUUAGAACUGAAGAUUUAAAUUUCUUAAGAGCAUGAAGUAAGUGGGAGUGUUUUGACUCUAGAAUGGAGUAUUGAAAAGCUAAGGAUUCAUAUUUGACUCCUUUGAAUAUGGAAAAUUGAUAGCUUUUCUCAAAAUUAUUAUUUAAUUAUUUUAGAUAAGCAAUCGAAUGAAAAAUUCCUUGUCAAAUAAACACAUGAAGUAAAUCUACAUUGAACCCACUGGUUGAGUUAUCUUAUAGACAGCGGGAGGAAAAAUGUUCUCUAUAAAAAAUUGAAGUUCUUUAAUUACUAUGUUAUAUAUCUACAAGAGUUUAAGGAUGAAUUGUGUAAUGUUUUCAUGAGGUGCAAAUGGAGAAAUCUCCACGUUCAAGAAUAGUGUCACAAAUUACCACAAAAUCUCUACCAAAUUUGAGAGAUUAUAUUUGGGGUAAUUAUGGCACUAGUAACUCACUAUUAGAAGAACAUUAGAUAAAUAUGAAAAUGAAUGUCCUUAAUGCAAUUCUUGAUAAUCAGGCAUAUACAUGUGUCACCAUGGUAGAGAAUGUAAUUUAAACCAAAUUAUUGCUCCUCAAUAGUAUAUUAAUUUGUUCUUCAUUUGAUCUUAGAAGAAUUUUUCUAGUAAAUUAAUAUACAUUAAGGUUAGUGGGAGUAAUACUAUGAGAGUUUUUCUCAAUCAUGAUAUUUGUGAAACCCUUCUAUCAUUAAUAUUCACAAAAUAGAAUGUAAAAGAUAGUUAAUCUGUCUUAGAACCUUCAUGCAAGAGUUCCUUGAUAAUAAAGAACAAAUAUUGCUUUUAAAUAAUAAUAGUGAACAAUUGCAUAAUGUUCACAUCAUGCAUUGGAAUGAAUAUAAAUUCACCAAGAACGCUAUGAAGUUGUACUACAGGUAUCUAUUAUUUGGCCUAAAGUUUGUCGAUAUUGUAUUUUGGCUAAUAUAGAUAUUUGAUUUGAUUAUACCCUUUCAUUAUGUAUACAUAAAAGAGUGGGAGUCAAGACAUUCAGGUCGACACAAGGUAUUCAAUAGUUAUUUAGAAAGUAAAAUGUAGCUAUUGAGUACACAGCAAGGACUUAUUAUUGUUGAUCAACAAUUAAAGGUUGCCGGGUAAGUUGUUAAUGAUCAAAUAACUCAUAUAGAACUCACUAGGUCAUUUAGUAUUUUGCUAUCAUUCUAAAACUAUUGUUGUUGUCUAGACACUCAAAAUACUUAUGUUACAUGAUUUUGUGCACAUUAUUGUUUAUGUAUAAAGUAAAGAUCAUGUGAUCCAUAAAGUUGAAUCCUGAAUAACUUAUAUGAAGUUAUUCAUAAAAUUUUUUUAAAGCACUUGAUUAGAAAGUAUAAUAUAUUGUAAUACAUAGAAGGAAGUGUUUGUCAUGAGAACAUAAUCGCCAUGAUUCAUGUAUUAUUAUUUUCUGAUUAAGCGACUAUUACAUAAUUGUUGAAUUUGGUGAGUGACAAACAAAACUUAUGGCCAUUUUAAGUAUCUAGUCACUCAUAUGUUAACUGACUAUUUCAUGUGGGUCAAGUGGAAGAAAGUAAAACUUGCCUCUUUUAGAGGCAAUUGUGACCCAUAUGAUUGAUUCUAAAUUGAUUGAUAUCCUAAUUAAUUGAUUGAUAUUUUCAAUAAUUAAUUUUUUUGAUGGAAGGAAACCCUAGAGAUUUUGAUAAUUGCUAGUAAGGGUUCCUGGCCUAACCUAUAAAUAGCCUAUGGUAUCCCAUCAACACUACACUCUCUGAUUAGGUAUAGACUAGAAACUCCUUACUCUAACUUUUUCUUCUAUAUAUAUAUAUAUAUAUAUAUAUAUUGGAAUAGACAAGAAAGAGUCAAAGAGAUGAGGAGAGACCAAUUUGUACUUAAUAAUGAUGGUUAGAGGUAAGUCUAUUUAGAUUUUCGCUGCAUAGUACAUUCAUAUGUACAUAAUUAGUAUAGCAAGCUCAACCCUAUUGACAAUUCUAUUUUGUAUGUAUAUAUUCUUGCUGUGACGACUCUCAAUAGUUCACAAGUACCGCGUUUACUCUUGUCAAACUGUGUCUGCAAUUAGAUUGAUUUUGAUUACAGAGCUCAGGGGACAAUGCGAAAGAAAUGCUGUGUAAGGGACCUCUGUAUUUUCUCAGUGCAAAAUUCAUCCAAAAUGAGCUCGUGCUAGGCUCCUGCUUGAUAGGAUCUUGGUUUUGAGCUGAAAUUUAACUCAAUUAGUUGGUAAGGCUAGCUGGAAUCAGUUAGAGCCAUUUAUUGGGUAAGCAAAGCUCAGAGUUUUCUAACCAAGACAUAAAAAGCAUGAUAAUGCAGCAGAGGACGAUGUGUGCUGGCCUCCUUUUGAUAAAAUCCAACUUUGGUGGGGUAGGAGGUUGGCUAAAAUGUAAGUUGAAAUUUUGGAAAAUGAGAAUAUAGGAACAUUCAAAUUUCAUAGGGAUAAUUUUAGAAACCUCCCCUAAGGUUUCUGAUAGUUUCACUGUCUUCCCCUAAAGUUUUAAAUAUAUCACUAACCUCUCUUAAAACUAAAUUUUCUUGUAACAAAUUAGCGCAAUUCAAAAAAAUUAAUAAUAAAAAAAUGAUUUCAAGAGUGAGAAAAAUAUUUCAUACAAAAGUGCCCCUCAACUAAUUACUAGUUGGUUGACUUAGAAUCAAAAGGGAUUAUUAGUUAAGAAUAGAAAAUAAAAACCAUAGUUAGAAUGUGUCAGUGUAAGUAAGGCAAAUUACAAUACUAGCAUGAGCCCACUAGAAUUCAAUAACAAUGGCUCGCAAAAUCAAAGAAUUGGAAGGAAAUUUUAUUAAUUUAGAAUCAAUAUUUACACAUUGAAUUCCUCAAUUCUUAGUGGUGAAAUUUGGAAGAUUUUGAGUAAGAAUUAAAUAAGACUAAGUAUGACCUUUUCAAGAAAAAUGCCACAUUAAAUAAAAAAUAUAAAAUAUGAUCAAAUAUUGUUUUGAAUUAUUUCUUUUACUUACAAGGUCCAUUAUUUCACAUGAUUACUAAGAAAUUUCUAUCAUUUGUAACAAAAAAAACAACUCUCAGGCAAUGUUUGCAUGAAUAGAAUGGAAAUGACUUUAAUGGAAAAUAAGUAAAUCAAAGUGGAGAAAAUCAUUUUAAACAAUCUUUUUGGAAUUAUGUAUACAAAGAAAAAGAAAAAAAAUUGAAAAUAGGGAGAGAAUAGAUUAUGUGCAGUUACACUUUAUCUAAACUUAAUAAAAUUUAUUUGUAAACAUAUUUUAACAAUUUAUCCUUUUUGUGCAUUUUUGUAUUCAUCUUGUUAUUUUUAUAAAAAAAACUUAUGAAAUAAUAAUCUCUCAAUAUAAAUUUUAAUCUUUUUUGGGGGAAGAAAUUACAAGAACUACUAAAAUUAGAAAAAGAAUUUAAAAUGUUAACAAUUAUUGUUAUAAAAUUUGGUAUUCAAGAUUUUCAAGCUUUUUUACAUUCCAAAUUAUGGGAGUACAAGUGGCUCAACUAUCUCUCCAUACAACUAUGUAAAAUUUCCCAAGUUGCAGGGUAAUAAAGUCAUUUGACCAUUGAUGUGGUAAGCAUUGAAUUCCAAUUGGUUGACCGGGGGAGGGUAAGUGAUAUUUUAAGAAUCUUGGGGGAGGGCAGUAAAAUUGUCAUUGAAAUUAUCCCAAUUUCAUAAGUAGGGCGAAACUUUUAUUAAGUUUGUGGAUGGGGUAUGGGUUACUACUAUUCACCAAACGAACAGAUUUUUGGCUAAGUAAUUAAAUCACACUUGUAACAAUGUACACUUUGUCAAGAGCAAAAAAAUUCUUUUUUGAAAUGUGCAUCUUAUCGAACAAUAAUAUGCACCUAAAUGAUAAAAAUAUGUAGUUUGGUAAAAUGUACAUAAAUCCAAAUAUGCACAUCUAAAUUGAUACAGCUGUGUAUAGGUAUAAUCAAAUUACACACAUACAAGUCGCAAUAUGUGCACAUAAGGGUAAUUUUCUUAUUAUACUUACAAUAUUUCUUUUAAUAGUUCAUGACCAUUAACUCGCACCUCAUGCAAGGGGUAGGGAUGGAUUGGAUGUUAGAAGGAAGGGAAUGUAAGUGAAAUGUCCUGGAAUCGAGACAUCCCGCCUAUAUUAAAAAAAAAGAAAAAAAAACUCAAACGUCAUUCAUAAAUUUUCCAAAACUUACACCUUCUUUUAAAUUUUAAAUCUUUCUAUUCCCUUUCUCCCAAUUAUCCCAAAAUUUAAAUUGGCUGGUGGGAACAUGAAAAAAUAACUACGGUAGUAGGUUUUAACAAUUUAUCCUUUUUGUGCAUUUUUGUAUUCAUCUUGUUAUUUUUAUAAAAAAACUUAUGAAAUAAUAAUCUCUCAAUAUAAAUUUUAAUCUUUUUUGGGGGAAGAAAUUACAAGAACUACUAAAAUUAGAAAAAGAAUUUAAAAUGUUAACAAUUAUUGUUAUAAAAUUUGGUAUUCAAGAUUUUCAAGCUUUUUUACAUUCCAAAUUAUGGGAGUACAAGUGGCUCAACUAUCUCUCCAUACAACUAUGUAAAAUUUCCCAAGUUGCAGGGUAAUAAAGUCAUUUGACCAUUGAUGUGGUAAGCAUUGGAUUCCAAUUGGUUGACCGGGGAGGGUAAGUGAUAUUUUAAGAAUCUUGGGGGAGGGCAGUAAAAUUGUCAUUGAAAUUAUCCCAAUUUCAUAAGUACGGCGAAACUUUUAUUAAGUUUGUGGAUGGGGUAUGGGUUACUACUAUUCACCAAACGAACAGAUUUUUGGCUAAGUAAUUAAAUCACACUUGUAACAAUGUACACUUUGUCAAGAGCAAAAAAAUUCUUUUUUGAAAUGUGCAUCUUAUCGAACAAUAAUAUGCACCUAAAUGAUAAAAAUAUGUAGUUUGGUAAAAUGUACAUAAAUCCAAAUAUGCACAUCUAAAUUGAUACAGCUGUGUAUAGGUAUAAUCAAAUUACACACAUACAAGUCGCAAUAUGUGCACAUAAGGGUAAUUUUCUUAUUAUACUUACAAUAUUUCUUUUAAUAGUUCAUGACCAUUAACUCGCACCUCAUUCAAGGGGUAGGGAUGGGUUGGAUGUUAGAAGGAAGGGAAUGUAAGUGAAAUGCUAUUGAGCACCAAUCUCAAAAAAGUCAUAAAGAGCCAAGCCAAAGCAAAAAAAAAAAUCAAUAAGGAAGGCAACAAACUGGCCUGUACGGUGACCUUAUCCUUUUGGAUUCAUUUCAGCGGAUAAUGAUUCAUUUACACUUGAUAGUGAUGUAAAUCUGCAUCCAUCUUCAAAAGCAAAAAAUACCUCCCUUGUUUCCUGUUAAUGAUCAUGGAAGUCAUCUAUAGCAUCCUAGUUCUCAGUUUCUUGGUAGUCUUAGUUGCUAUAAAACAUCUUCAAGAAAACAAGAGAACACUAAAGCCUCCAAGUCCACCAGCUCUCCCAAUUCUAGGCCAUCUGCACCUCCUGAAAGCUGCCCCUCACCGUGCUCUUCAACUUCUCUCCAUCAAAUACGGCCCCCUGAUUUCCCUUCGAUUUGGGAUUCGUCCUAUACUUGUUGUUUCCUCACCAUCUCUUGCAGAGGAAUGCUUCACUAAGACUAAUGAUGUUAUCUUUGCUAACCGACCAGGGUCCAUUUCUGGCAAAAUCCUUGGCUACAACAACAGUACUAUCGGAUUCUCUCCUUAUGGAGACCACUGGCGAAAUCUCCGCCGUGUUACCACCAUCCAUAUUUUUUCUUCCGCUAGUCUCCACAACUUUUCCUCAAUCUGGACAGAGGAAAUCCGUUUCAGUGUCAGGAAAUUGUUCUCAAUGAACUCUGAUGACAAAGUGUGGAAAGAUGUAAACAUGAACUCUGUGUUCUUGGAUUUGGUAUUCAAUGUGAUCAUGAAAAUGCUUGCAGGAAAAAAAUGGCCAUCUGAUAAAACAGCUGAUUUGUUUUCGCUGAUCUCCUUCAUGGGUAUUUGUGAUUAUGUCCCUGUCUUGAGAUGGAUUGGAUUUCGAGGGUUGGAGAAAAAUUUGAGCAAUUUACAGCAAAAGAGGGACAAAUUAUUCAGGGAUCUCAUUGAUCAAACUAGGAAAAAGGAAGGUGAAGGUGGCUCAUGCUCGACUGAGCAGAGAAGAACUGUUAUCCAAGCAUUGCUGUCCCUUCAAGAUGCUGAACCUGAAUUCUUAACUGAUGAAACUGUCAAAGGGAUCAUACUAGUAAGCCAACUUGCCAUUUCUCUUUUCUCCUUAACAUAAUAUUUUUUGCUUUGGUAAUUAUUGCUCUUUAUAUCCGGUUUCUAUUUUCAUAUUUCAUUUUUUUUUAAUGCAAAUCAACCUUUUCUCCAAUUAGUCAGUGAACUCCUCUUCUAGCUGGUAAUCUCUUAUGUUAGGCUUUACAUUCAUUUUGACAAUACAUGCCUUGUUGUUCUUCUAGAUUAUGUUCACUGCUGGAGUACACACUUCAGCUCUGACCAUGGAGUGGGCUAUGUCCCUUAUGCUAAACCACCCCCAGGUAUUGAAGAAGGCAAGGAGUGAAAUAGACAACAACGUUACACAAUCAGGGCAAUUGAUUGAGGAUUCAGAUCUCUCCAAAUUGCCAUAUUUGCGUUGCAUAAUCAAAGAAACACUUAGACUUUUUCCUGCAGCACCAACUCUUUUGCCUCAUUAUUCAUCUGAGGAUUGCACCAUAGGAGGCUUCAAAGUUCCUAAAGGCACAACUUUGUUAGUAAAUGCUUGGGCUAUUCACAGAGAUCCGAAGGUUUGGGAAGAGCCAGCCAAGUUUAAGCCAGAAAGGUUUGAGGGAAUUAAUGAAGGGGCUUGCGAUGAAGGGUUCAAAUUUAUUCCAUUUGGAAAAGGUAGGAGGGCUUGUCCAGGUGCUGCCUUAGGCAUGAGAUUUAUUAGCCUGACGUUGGGAACAAUGCUACAAUGUUUUGAUUGGGAAAGAGUAGGGCCUCAAUUGGUGGAUUUAGAAGAAAAAUCUGGUAUAACUUUGGACAAGGCCAAGCCUUUGGAAGCAUUGUUCAGGCCACGCUCAUCCAUGAUUGAAUUGGUUUCUCAGCUUUGACUAAAGAACAUGACUGGUGGCUUUUGAAGAUUGUAUCAUAAUACUAUCUGAAAUACUUAAAGCUCAAACUACAAAGGUGCACCUAUUGCAAAGUGUGAAAAAAAGUGAAAAUAAGAGGAAGGAGAAUAUAAGCAUGAAAAUCUUUCAGUCUAUGCAGUUAUUAAAGAUUAAAUAGGCUUUGAACUAAACCGUGUUUGGCUUUUUCUUUUUGUUUUUUAAUAUUGGUCUUUUCAAUUCACUGUAAGUGCAUCUACUGGAGGUCUUUGGUUUUCCACAUUUGUAAUUAUAGAAAAUCUUCAACCUUAACUGCGUUUCUUUAUUGUUACAUAAAGUGGUUUUGGGGCUUCAACAAAACAAGCAAAAAGAAUGUCUUAUGACUAGAGAUGCCAAUCACAAUCCAAUUAUAUUGAUUCGUCCAAAUCCGCCCACCAAUGAUCGGCUCAAACUCACCCCAUUUGUACCCCAUUUAAUUAGUGAAUACUGACUCUUGAUUAAUCCAUUUGUAUCCAUUUAAAAAUAAUUAGACAUUUAUACUCAACUAAGCAAAUAAAUUUGAAUUUCUUAUCAAUUUAAUAACAAUAAAUACCGUUAUUUCUUAUCAAAUAGCAUGCAAAAAAAGUAGAAUUGUAAGUGACUCAUAAAUAGAUAAUUGGGUAUAUCUAUACUCAUAAAUGAAUUGACUUAAUUAUACCAACUACUUAAUUAUGACCGUAGCACAUCUACUCAUGAGUAGCGAGGUUACCGAGCUAACUCGAACCCAAUUAUGGGUAACUCGAGCAUCAAAGAAAAUUAGCUAAGCUCAAAUUCAAGUUUAAGUUCGACAAAAUGUCAUAACUCAGUGCAUGACCAUCUUAAAUUUAUCCACCAAAACCGUUGCUAAGUUAGCUUAAGAACUCUUUUAUUGGUAUCAGUGUCUUUUAUUUCACAUUCACUCAAAACUUUUACAUGUUUAACUUCCUUUGGCAUACUUUUUUCUUUGUCAAAUUUUUGUUGGCGGUGUAUAAAGCUUUCAUGUUUUUCAUAUAUCUGUUUGAUGUAUUAGACAUGCAUAAUUUUGAUGUUGCAACUAAGUUUAUGAAGAUAUAACUCUUUUCGCGAGUUAUAGGUACAUAUUCACCAUUUCGAAUCCCAGAUUAUUAGAUUUUUUUUUUUUUGGUUUUGCAUUUUUUUGAAUUUUCAAUUUAUUUGUGAACUUUUCAAAUUAAAAUUUGUUCUAUUAGAAUGAUGACAGGUAUUUUAGAAGAUGUCUGUAGCUAAUUAUAAGUUCAAUUUAUCCGCAGUCUGGUGAACGUUGAAGGACCAAUACCUGUUAAGAUCGCAAAACUAAUUUUGGAGUCUCCAGAACACAUAAUUCUUAAAGAAUAUUCAAGCCAUUUUUUUUUUUCAGGGUUCGUUUUCACACUCUAAUUUUUUAACUCUACAUCAGUUAAUCAAAUGACUUCAAAAUUUUUUCACAUAUCAAAAUAAAGAAAUAUAACUUGAAGCAACUUGACAUAAAUUACCCUGGAAUGAUAAUGCAAUAAUAUCUGCUACAUAAACUUCUCAUUUAUGUCCCUUUUUUUUUUUUUUUUUAACUUCUCAGUUAUGUCUAACUGCUUCUAAAAAAUGUCAGUGUCAAUAUAAUCAUUAAGAAGAAUAAUGUUGGACUGCAAAAGUGGACUUUAAGAGUAGGUUCAAGAAAAAAGGAGACUGUGCAAUUAAAUGGCAAACAACACUUUGAUAACAAUACAUAUUUACUUAAGAAGAAUUGUAUAAAAGAAUAAACGCAAAGACUAAGAUUGUAAAUUUUUUUUAUUUUUUUUAAAUAUAAGAAUCACCUAUUAAGCUCUAUAAUUAAUAUUAAAUCUAAAAAGUCAAUUAUUUGGCCUUUAAAACUGUGUUCACAAACUUUUUAUCUCUUCAUAUUCAGAUUUUAUAUAAUGUUUUAGCAAAAUCAAUACGAACACAUGAGAAAACUAUCUCUAAAAGGCUAAGGCCGUAAAAUAAAGAGAAUGACCAAGGCAAACAAAGAGCAAAAAUGAGCAAAAUAUGACAUGAAAUAUUUGUCUCUAAAAAAGGACAAGCUCAGUGCUAAGAAAGGUAUAAAAGUUUCCUAGAAAAAGAAGCUUAGAACCAUACAAUUUUAACUAACCUAUUUCACAUUUGAAGUUAGAAUAAUUAAAAAUUCAAUGGACCGAACUAUUGUCUUGAAAUAAUAUGAUGAGUUUUGCAAUUCUACGGUAGAUUCAUAAAAGUGCAUAAGAAACACGUGGGAUAACACUGUUGAGAAUGAUUGUUCACUGACUAACGAAAUAUGAUUUCAUCACAACUCCAAAUAUUAUCAUAUAAAUUUAUAAGUAAGAUAAUUAAGUAGUAUUAUCUUAAAACUAAAGGGAGAAAUUUUGUUUCAAUGUCGACAAAUGCAACGUGCAUUUUCUUAGUGUAUUAUUAAAAACUUGUCCAAGGAUUCUUCCAUUUUUAUAAUAGGUGUUAUCUCAUUUUAUAUGCUAAAAUUACUAAAUUAAUUUUGAGAGGUCGUUAAGUCUAUUCUAUAUCCAAAGUACCCCUUCAGAUGAUAAACUAUUUAGGGGGAAAAAACUGUGAAUUUGAACAUGCCUAAAAGAAUUAAGAAAUAAAUUUACAAUAAGGAAAGAUAGACUUAUUAUCAUUAGUGGUGACUGAAAGCAUUUUUUGUUUGAGUGAGAAUGGCCCCUAUUUUUUAUUAGAUAAAAAAUUUAAAGAACUAAAGAUGCUCAUAAAAUAAGAUGAAACAAUAAGGGAAGGAAAUAAAUCAAUCCAUUAAGGCUGUAGGCGAGGAACUUUAAAACUUCCUACAAAGAUAUUCUAGAAUAAGUCUGAAAAUAAUAGUAACAAAGUUGGUUUACAUUAAUAGCUUGAACAACACAAGAAAAUUAUUAAAAAUUUUUAGUAUUUUGCCAUAGAACACAAGCCACCUUAUGAAUUAUACUUGUUUGACAAUAUCAAAACUCUUUCCACAAAGCACUUAAACACCACAUACAUUCUCACACUCGAGCUCGAAUCUAGCUCAAAUCUAGGAUCGUUUACACCCAAUACAUGAGUGGUUGAGUGAUCCAGAAAUGGGCUGGAUUUUUUAAACUGAAAAAAAAAAUCUUUUUAUAUUUGUAAUGAUUUGACAAUUUAGAUUUAAUCAUUUAAUAAGUCCAGAUUUAGGGGGGAGGGUUGGGUUGGGUGGUACGGGGGGAGGGAGUGUAAGCAAGAGGUCUCGGGUUCGAGUCCUCCCGCUUACACAAAAAAAAAAAAAAAAAAUUCCAGAUUUGGAUGUAUUGGAUGGUAACGGAGAAGCGAACGUAGAACAAGAUUUUAAAAGAAAAGGUCCUUAGUUAAACUGCAAAUUAACUCAUGUGAUUAGCUCGUGAUUGUCCACACGGCGGAUCGAAAGUGGUAAGAGAUGACACUAAAGUAUCAAAUAUAUGUUGUCCCGUACUAUUUGGAUUUCAGUGAGGUUUAUGGAGUAAUGUGAAAUCUCAGCGUGCAAAAAGGGGCCGCAAUCAAGAAUAUUUUGACUGAUCAAGCGCCUGCAUUUUGUCUUCUUCCUAUUAUUUGUUUCUAAAAUGCCAUCCUAAGGUGCAUUACUAAAUAAAGGCCCAUUUGGUAAAUAAGUUUUUUGGGUGUUUGUUUAAAAUUUUACUGUAAUUUACUGUAAGAGUUGUAGGAAAUAUUUUUGAAGUGUGUAAAUUUUUGGAUAUUUUGAUGUGCAUAGUUUUAAAGUUUUAAGAAAUUUUUUGAGAUUAAUAUAGUUAAAAUAAUUUAAAAACUUGUAACAGACAAAUUUGACAAAAAGCUUGCUUGCCAAACAUGCCCAAAAUUUGCUUUUGACCACUUUGCAGAUCAAAAUAGCCUUCGGAUUUGUAAACAUUAUUAGUUUAAAGAAUUACUCUAGAGUGCAAUUUAGAAAUCCAUUGUAAACGAGAACAAGCCAUAUAACAAGAUGUCAAACAAACUGUAAGGAUUCAAACGCGGAAUAAACAACUAUUGAGAUAUCAAAUGUAUAACAAUUUAAUGAAAAACAAACCACAAGUAUGAAAGAUAAACGACACACAACAUUUAACGUGGUUUGACUCCACCAUUGAGCCUACAUCUACGGAGAGAAACUUGUUCUUUAUUAUGAGAGAAAAAUCUUAUACAAGAAUACAACUUGAACCCAAAACCCAACCCUUGUAUACCAUCUCUCAUGUCCCAAAAACCCUCUCUCACACCCCAUGUAUAAGGUUACAUAAUACCCCUUGUGUUUGCUUGUGUAUCUUUGUAGUAUGCCAAUCUACCUAUUUAUAGAGAACAUUACUGUCAAAAAAUCAAAUAACAAUUGGAAACCAAUACUAUUUUCUAAACUCAUAUAAAGUAGAAAAUAGUAUCUAAUUCUAGUUAAAUAGGGCUUUACUUGACUACUACUUCAAGUAACUAAUUCCAAUUAGGAAACUAGCUACUUCCCACACCAAAUAGGAAUCUUGACUAAAAGAAAUUAAGCCAAUUUCCUAACAAAUCUCUACCUUGGCGAAUAUUUCUUUUAGCAAACCAUCCAAAAACUCCAUUUGCCUUUAACUAUCAAAUAAUAUGGUACCAAACUACACACCCGAAUCAAUACAGUCCUGCCACCAAAUUGAUUCAAUCGGCAAAUGAACAUGUGUAGUUACCAUGAGUCCAACCUGCAGUUGACUCGUGAGAAGGUGCCUCAAUUCACCAUCUCCCUUUGCAGGAUUUCUUCUCACCACCACUUGCAAUCUAGGAUGCCCUUCUGUGAGCUCUAACCCUAACCAUUGAGGCAAUUAAGUGGUAAAGUCGCCAUACUUCUUCCCAUCUUCAGGACUGUCUCGCCACAUAUAGUUUCCAAGACUCCACCUAAAACAAAAAACUCGUAUCUGUCAGAGUCUUUUGGCGCAUAGAAAUUAGAUCUCCUUGUUUCUUUGGGACACGUGCCAUACUAUCCAAAAAACAUAACAAAAAUCUAAAAUCCACCGGGAUGAAGUAUCAACCAUUGGAGGUGUGAGAAAGUCUCCACCGAUUCACGUCCAAAAUCAACAUUGGAAUUCACCUUUUCCUUGACCCUUGAAUCACCUGCCUAGAUUCACCGUCAAGCAUCUCCAUAUUUUUUGACUUUUCAUCCUUUACCAUCAAUGCUUUUUGUCAAGCUAUUGAAACAAGGAUACUACCUAUUAAAUUGUUCAAUUGGUGACAGCUACCAAUCCACUUGAUCUCAAUAGUUAACUAGGAUCCAACUACGAAUCUUGAGCAGUCCAAUCUCGCAACCAACCUCUGAUACCACUUGUUAGGAUUCAGGUGCGGAAUAAGCAACUAUUGAGAUAUCAAGUGCAUAACAAUUUAAUGAGAAACAAGCCACAAGUAUGAAAGAUAAAUGACACACAACAUUUAACGUGGUUCGACUCCACCAUUGAGCCUACGUCUACGAAGAGAAACCCGUCUUUAUUAUGAGGGGAAAAUCCUAUACAAUAAUACAACUUGAAUCCAAACCCAACCCUUGUAUACCAUCUCUCAUCUCCCAAGAACCCUCUUUCACAACCCAUGUAUAAGGCUACAUGAUGCCCCUUGUGUCUCCUUAUGUAUCUUUGUAGUAUGUCAAUCUAUUUAUUUAUAGAGAACAUUACUGCCAAAAAAUCAAAUAACAAUUGGAAACCAAUACUAUUUUCUAAACUCAUAUAGAGUAGAAAAUAGUAUCUAAUUCUAGCUAAAUAGGGCUUUACUUGACUACUACUUCAAGUAACUAAAUCCAAUUAGGAAAUUAGUUACUUUCCAUACCAAAUAGGAAUCUUGACUAAAAGAAAUUAAGUCAAUAUCCUAACACAAACUAAGAAGAAUUUUUUUCAACAACAGUCCUUUAUUCAACCUUUAAAAUAUCCUUUUCAUUUGUUCCAGUUGAAAAGAAUUACUCAACGAUCAAUUUUUUACAAAAGUCCUUUUGAAUAUCUGUUGGCGCAUACAAAAUUUAAAAUUGUAUUGUUAUGUUAGGCUUUACUUUCAUUUUGACAAUAAAUGCCUUGUUAUUUUGAGUGAUUAUGUUUACUGCAGGAAUACACACUUCAACUCUGACCAUGGAGUGGUUUAUGUCCCUUAUGCUAAACCACCUUGAGGUAUUGGAGAAGGUAAGAAAUGAAAUAGACAACAAUGCCACACAAUCAGGGCAACUGAUUGAGGAUUCAGAUCUCUCCAAAUUGCCGUAUUUAUGUUGAAUAAUUAAAGAAACAGUCGGACUUUUUCCGGCAGCACCAACGCUUGUGCCUCAUUAUUCAUUUGGGGAUUGCAGUAUAGGAGGCUUUAAAAUUCCUAAAAGGCAAACUUCAUUAGUAAAUACUUGGGUUAUUCAUAGAGACCCUAAUGUCUGGGAAGAACCAAACAAGUUUAAGCCAGAAAUUCGAGAGAAUGAAGAGGUAUGUGAAGAAGGGUUCAAAUUUCUUCCAUUUGGAAAAGAUAGGAGGGCUUGUCCAGGGACAGCCUUGAGCAUGAGAUUGAUUAACCUGUCAUUGGGAACAAUGCUACAAAGUUUUGAUUGGGAAAGAUUGGGUCCUCGGUUGGUGGAUUUGGAAGAAAAACUGGUUUUGACUUUGGGCAAGGCCAAGUCUUUGGAAGCAUUGUGCACAAGUCACGCUCAUCCAUGAUUGAUAAUCAUUCCGCAGCUCUGAGUUAGCUUCCAAGGUAACUAAAGAAACAUUUAUUUAGGGGCUGCUUGUUUCACAGAUUGGAAUCGGAAAUGGAAAUGAAAUCAUAGACUUUGGUUUUGGAAUUAAAACUUUUCAUUCCAAUAUCUAACUUGGUUCGCACAUUGGAAUUAGUAUUGUUCCAAUUCCUGAUGCUGGUUUGAUGAGUGUUUCGGAAUUAAAUGCAAUUAAAUUCCAAAAUUACCCCUGAUAUAACAAUUCUUCUAAAACAAAAGAAUUACACAUACGACAAAUUAACAUCUUCAUAAUUGUAACUACAAUAGUUAUUAACUUUUUGAUAAAACAUAAGAAAAUCAUAAAUAAUAAAAAAAUUAAUACCAGAAAAUAAAUAUAGUGGCUACAUUAACAAGGAGUAAAUUCCCAAAAAAAGGAGUUUUUAAACAAUCAUCCAAAAGGUGACGAUUUUUGAGUCUCUUCCCAAAGGGUGAAAAAUGCAUCCAAGGAAUGUGUUUUUCCAAAUAAAAACGCAACUUUCAAAUACGUUAUUUUAUGUUUUGGAAAUUUGUUUAAAUAUGAAAAAUUGGUUAAAUAGCCCAUAAGAUACCAGCUCUUUAUGGGAAAUUGGCAGGUUUUGUAAUAUGUUUUGUACCAGUUUUAUGAGAAACAUACCAGUUAUUUAUGGGAAAAAUUGAUUAAAUAGUGCUCAAAGGAAAACUAGUAUGUUUUGUAUUUAAUAUAAAUUAAAUAUGUGAAAGUUAAAAAAAAAAGAAAUUGCCUAUAAGAUACCAGCUCUUUAAGGGAAACUGGCAGGUUUUGUUGUAUGUUUUGUAGCAACUCUUUAUGGGAAACAUACCAGCUCUUUAUGGGAAAAAUUGGUUAAAUAGCGUCCAAAGGAAUACUAGUAUGUUUUGUAUUUAACAUAAAUUAAAUAUGUGAAAGUUAAAAAAAAAAAGAAAUUACCCAUAAGAUACCAGCUCUUUAUGGGAAAUUAGCAGGUUUUGUAUUUAAUACGCUAUUUAACCAAUUUUUUGUAUUUAAACAAAUUUACGAAAAUUAAAAUAAUGUAUUUGAAAGUUACAUUUUUAUUUGGAAGAACGCAUUUCUUGAAUGUGUUUUUUCCCUUUGGGAAGAGACUCAAAAAUUGCCACCCUUUAGGAAGUUAGUUUAAAAACUCUUUCUUUUUGGAAAUUUACUCCAUUAACAAGUCGUUUGUGGUUCCUACAUUAGAUAAUUGUGAGGACUCGAAAAUCUAUUAUUUUUAAAAUCCCUAAUUUUGGCUUAAUUAAUUAUUUAUUUGGAUUUGUGCCACGAAUAAUAUUUUCUAGUCUUAUUAGACCUAAGUACAUGAUUUUAUAGUUUCGUUAUAUUUUUAAAGCGUCUCAUUUCAAGAAUUUUUUUUUCUUAAAAGCUUGAUUAGUGAAAAGUGAAAACGUGUCUAAAAAACUUUAGCUAAUUGGGAGUACAAUAAACUCAAAAAUUUGAGACAUAUACAAUGGUCCUAAAAUAGGCAAUUUUAGGUUUAAAAACUCAAGUGAUAGUUAGUAGUACGAUCGUUAUAAGAAUUUCUUGAAGGUUUCAUUUUUUCGCGCCUAAAUUGGAAAUACGUGUUUUCACGUACGCUCUUAAUUGAGGGACUUUGGACCAUUAUUUUGGAACAAUUAAGAAUGAAUAAUAUUUAUAUGAAUAUAGGUGCCCUAGAGGUUUAGUGCACUAGUGCAACAAACUUAAGAGAAAUCGAGCACAAAACGCGCGCGUAGGCGCACUAUUUGCAAUUGAUUCUUUUCCGCACUUAAACUAUUAGACGAUUAGCAUUCCUUAUACGCCAAAGGGUCAGACCCAUCAAGUCAUUUCUCCAACCUCCAUGGUCGGCUAGCAGCUGCAGAGAAACAACUGAAAACUUUUCCAACAUUACCUCUACAAAACUCACUAAAAUCACCACCAAACCUUCAUAGAUUCACACCAAACUUCACAUACACUUAGCUCUUCACUUGGACAACACUUUGAGCUUCAAAAGGGAGGAGCUUUCAUGGUUUCUUGGAGCUUCAAGGAGGGCCGAAAUUCUGGUCUUAAGCACCAAGGAGGUAUAUAGUGAUCUAACAUUCUAAACUUAGUUUAUAAGAGUAGGAUUACACUUAUGAGCUUAAAUUUGCAUAUGGGUUGUGGUUGUUGUUGGAAAAAUUGGAAAAGUGGGCUCUAUGAACUUCCACUCUUGAGUUGUUGCUGAUUUUAUGCUUGAUGAUGUUUAUAAUGUUGGAUUAGUGUUUAAAUUAGUGGUUUGUUGAUGGAAAAUUGAUGCAAACUCACGUUGGGUGCAAAGGCCAAAUCUGACCAUUUUGCCCCUGCUUUGUUCAGCCACUUUAAUGCAGAUAUUUGAGGAUUUAAUGGCUUGAUUGUGUUGUUUACAUGUUGUAGUAGUUGUGUAAAAAUUUUCAUUGAAAAAUGUUGAGUUUUGGUUGGUCAAAUGAAUUUAUUCCCAAAGCUAGUAAUCUGGAAGCUGUUCACGUCAUGGCCAGACCAGUAUUCGUAUUUCGUCCAUAACUCCAUGUUCCGACGUCAAAAUCAAGUGCCGUUAGUGGCAUUUGAAAAUAGACAUCCCCUUAUUUCCAACGGUAUAAAAUGCACAUUUUGGUUCCAUGUGUGUGAACUGCACCACUCUUCUGAAUUCAGCUAUUCUGUCUCUCUGUUCUGCUAGAAUGAAAUACAGAAGCUGUGACUUGAAGCUAGAUUUCGAGCUAGUUGUGUACCAAAAUUCAAAAUGAUUUCUUCUGUGAAAUUAUAUCCCUAUGAAUUUAUUUUCCAACACUAUCAACCAUUUCCAAUUCCGAGUUCAAUUGAGUGAGUUAUGAUCAAAAUACGGCGACUGCCUCGUUUUCGAAAACUCUUAGAUUUGGACAGAUUAGAUGUGAGACUUGUUAUGGUCUUACUAAAUGAAUUUCUUGGUGCUAAACACCUACCAGAUGUACCAUGUAGGUUCCUUGGACUUUUAUUGCACAAAUGAACCAUGUUUGGAGGUUUUCUUAGCCGAAUGUUUGGAAACGGGGAGAAAUAGAGCUAAAGGCAGUUUUGCCUUAGUAAUUUCAAAACUUUGGUUGAUUGGUUAACUACCUUUCCGAAAGUAUCUUUCCACGAAAUUUGAUAGAGAGAUACCCUUCAUAUAGGAGUACUAUACUGCAAAAUUUGGUACUAAUCCAAAUCCGUUCCGACACUUAACUAAAGGUCCAAAGUCGGAAAUCCAAAUCUGAAAAAUUGUUUAACAGUCUUGAAUUUUUCCCAACUUUGAGAUACCAUAUCUUGGUGCUCGAAACUCCGAUUCUUGAUUCGCUUGUUCUAUCCUAAACCUUACUUGCACCUCUAAUUGAGUUAUAAAAUUCGAGGGCUGGUUUGCAACGGGUGAAUUCUGCCGAAUUUCCAAAGUUAGCGAAAAACCAACCCCGACUCAAUCCUGGGUGAUCUGGAACAGCAACUUUAAGCUCAUUUUUGAAUAUGUUCCAUUUAGAUUCAUGGAACAGUGUCUUCUAAGAACAUUUAGUACUUUCAAAGACGAUUCCAACGGUACCAAGUUUAUAAAUUUUUGACUAGUAGAAAAGAAGUUAUGAUUUUUCAAAAAUUUUACUAAAAAUCGAAAAUUCUGGAAUUUCAAAAGAAAUCCACGCGGGAAGCAUUUUUCUAGAAUCCGGCCUUGAAUCCGGCCAGUUUCUGGCCAGAUAGGCGGCCGGAUUGUAGUUGGAAUUUGAAAAAAAUGAGGAUGGCUACUGCCUCCAAUCCAGCCAGGUUCCGGCCGAAUUGUGACGUGGCCAGCCCACUUACGAUUUCGAUCGUUCGUUUUCCAAUCAUUUCGCUUGUACUCGUUUCCAACCAAUGAUUCUAAGGAUAAUAAUCCGAUUUUUCUCGAGUCUUGCACCUUUUUGCGAAUCCAACUUCAAAGACAAACUCAAACGAAAUUUUCUAAAAUAUUUCCGAACCCUACUCGUGUUCAAUCUUUCUCGCCACUUGGGGACUUAUAGAAAUUGUCUACUAUUCGAUGUUUAGGCACGCACGAGAACCUCCAAGAGGACCCUACCGUGGAAGUUUGAACACUCAAUCCAACCUGCUUGCUUGCUUAACUUGGUGAGUGUCAAGUGUUUGACUACUUGAACUCUAUGGACUUGAUUACAUGCUUAGCCUACUUGAUUUUUUGAAAAUGGAGUCGAGUGUGUACUUUAUUGCACUCGUUCUCAUUUGAAAACAAAUGACUCAUGCUUAACAUGAUUUACCUGGUUUACAUGACUUGAAAUACCUGCUUAGAUCUGUCAAAUGUUUGAAUACAUGACAUGAUAUGCUAUGGCUGCAUACGUCGUUGGAGUGAAUCUCCUCGACACUUACAUGAUACAUGGGGGACGCCCAAACUCAUAGGGGCGAUCUUGGAACUCGAGCCGGCAUGGGCUUGGUCGGGAACCUCGGUGAGCCAUGAGAUUCACAUGAUAAGCUUGAUCUAUUGAGAGAUCUCGCUUGGCAUACUCGUGAAGUAUCGCCCUAUAAAUGUCGUGCGGGCCCGAAGCGGUGUAUGGUGGAUGGAUGAGGAGUAAGUGGUGAACUACGGAUAUGAAAUAUCAACCCGGUUGACGGAGAGUCAUCGUGGGGAGGUAUACGAAUGACAUCGGUAAAAUGUGAAAAUUAGCUCCUGAGAGCUACCAUAUCCUUGAAUUGUUCUUUUGUUACAUUUUGUUGGCAUUAUUAAUUACUUGCAAUUUAUUACUUGAAUUGUUACUUGGGCUUGUUACCCGAGCUAUGUGCCUGCAUGUGUGUUCUUGGCUUCACGAGAGUUUUGCUCACCCUGUAGAUUUGUUUUCCUUAACAGGAUUGAACUUGGCGAGGUAUCGAAGAAACCUUCCUGAUACACUUUUGUUUAGGGUUUCUAUUACUUUUGACUAUGUCUUGGCUUUUGGGUUGUAUUUUGGAAUCCGAAUGUAACUUUUAGGGCAUGAUGUAUAUUUGGGAUUUAUGAUGGUUGUUGAACACCCGAUGUAUGGAUCGGAUAAUGGAUGACUAUUAUUAAACUUGAACGCUUCCGCAUUUAUUGUAUCUAAGUUAUUGGCUUGUAUUGUGUGGUCCGGCAAUAAGUUUAAAUGGAAUUGCUUGAGUCCUGGCGAGAGUUAAGCAAGCGUCCCGCGGAUACCCUUUGGUUCGCCUUAGGGAGAAGUGGGGGUGUCACAAUAAUGAUAUGAAAUAGAUCUGUCCUUACAUAUAUGAAUAAAAGAAUGAGACUCAAAUCACAAAAGCUAACCAUACCAAAUACAAAUCAAUUAUCUAAUCCAGUCGAGAGUGCCACUCAAUGUCCACAAUCUCCAAAAGACUAAUCAUAUCACCAUAACAAAAAGAAAUUGCCAUCAAAUCAUCACUUUCCAGCUAACAAUAAUUUUACUUCAGCGAGUAGAUGGAGGACAAAGGAGGUUAAUUACAUAUUGUCGUUUCAUUUCUACAGGAAGAUUGUAGAACACAUGAAGCUUGGAAAUCUGCUCCGAAAGUAUGUCGGCUGCAUUCAUUACAUCUCCACUCGGUAAAGCAAGUUUCAUUAACUCAGCAACAACUUGAUCUCUUCUAUCGGAGACCAAUUGCUCACGUUUAUCCUCAUUUGACAUGGCUGCUGCCAUAGUUGUGAAAUUAGCUUGAAUUCCCUCCAUGAAAUCUCCAAAUUUGCUGGUGAGAAGUUGCAAUGAUGCAUCAAGAUCACCCCUUGUUGUUGAUGCAGAUUUCAUUUUUUUUUGACACAUUUGCAAUGGGAGGUGAUUGUUUCUUUUGUUUCUUGGAAUUUCUUGUGCUUGUUGAGCUUGGUUGAGUUGAUUGCUCCAUGGAAUUUACUUCAUCUUCUUCUACCUUAUCAUUAUCCGAGUUUGACAUAGCAUCAAACCCUUCAUCUCCUUCCUCCAAAUUUUGGACAUCUUCCAUAUCUUGGACAGCUUGUGCAAAAUCUUCAGCAACAUUUCUAGUGGCUCUGUCUCUUCCAUAUACAAUUUCAAGAUCUCCUAAAUAUGGAAAUUUGACAUCCCAAAAGCCCUUCGCAUCCUUAUGAGUCUAGAGAUAGAAUAGAAAGACAAAUGAUAAUCUUAAUAAAAGGUUGAAAAAGAACAUAUCAGAAUGUAAAAAGUAACCAAUUUCUUACCUUGCACCAAUCAUCAUACCACUGUUUUUCACAAGAAAUCUUUUUCUCAGCAUCAUUCCAACUACAACCACUUUCUUUGCACAUUUCAACAAUUGCAUGGAACCUAUUUUUCAGCCACUUAACUUUUGAUUCAAUAUGUGGGCUGACUUGUUUGGUAAAAGUAGGUUGCUUACUCAAGAUAAUUUUAAGCAAUUCGCUCAUAUAAUUAUAUUUUUAAAUCCUCCAUCUGAUUUUCACAUUGGAUCACAAGCCAACUCUUGCAAUGCUUCUAUGAGCACAUUUACCUCUUCACCAGUCCAAAAACAUUUAUUUUUCCAUCUUCCACGUACAAUUUCAUCAUUCUCCAUCCUAUCAUUUAGAAGUCAACCCAUAUAUAUCAAUUAAUUUUGAUACACAAUAGAAUAUAACUGAAAUUUAUAAUAUAACAAAACACAUAAAAGAACAUACAAUUAAAAGUCAAUCCAAAUUUAAAAGAACAUACAUCAAGUGUCAAUCUAAUUCACAAAUCCACUACAAGAGUACAUCAAAUGUCAAUCCAAAUUUAAUGAGUCUAAGAGCUAAACAUCCAUUCAUAGCUAAAUACUAAGUCCAGCCCUCCAAUUGUCAAACAUUUCAUGUGCUAAAUUAUUUCUAAAAUUUGCCCAUUGAUCACUUGGCAAAAUAGUGGAUAUGUACUCUACUUCUUCAUCACUGUCUUCAUCUUCACUUUCAUUUUCUUCACUUUGUAGUAAUUCUUGUGGAUCAAAAGUCAUGAACUUCCUUAUCAAGUUGUGCAGCAGACAACAUGCCAUAAUUAUUCGCACUUGUGUUUGAAUUGGAAAAAAUGAAGGGGAUGCUAGAAUCUUCCACCUUCCUUUUAGCAAUCCAAAACAUCUUUCUAUGAUAUUUCUAGCUUUAGAAUGUUUCAUGUUGAAAUAUUCCUCUGGUCUUUGUGGUCGAUAACCAUUGAAUUCAUUAAGGUGAUAUCUUUGCCCUCGAUAAGGGGCAAGAAAUCCAUCAGCAUUACAAUAUCCAGCAUCCACCAAGUAAUAACAACCUUCAAAAUUCAAUCAUGUACAAAUUAAUACUAGACUACCUUAUUUUCGAAAAAAAAUUGAUUGAAUGGUAUUGAAUACUGCAAUAUAUGUUUACCUUGUGGGACUCUAAGACCAUUUGGUCUAGAGAUAGCAUUUCGAAGCACACGACCAUCAUGUGCCGAACCUUCCCAACCAGGCAAGACAUAGAUAAAUUGCAUAUUAGGAGAACAAACCCCUAAUACAUUCGUUGCAAUACUUCCUUUUCUCGUUCGAUAUCUUGAUUUUUGUUCGGUGGGUGGUGUCACAUCUAUUAAUGUCCCAUCUAAGGCACCUAAACAAUUCUAUUUUAAGAAAAAUAAAAAAUAUAACAGAGUUAAAAUGUCUAUAUUGGAUAGUUUAGAUGAAAAUAUAUAUUUUAUUAAAUGAUUGUAUUUUAAUGUUUGAAUUACCUUAAAACAUUUCCAUCUCUCAUCUGUGCAAUCUUCGGUAAUAGGCUCAGGCUUCUUAAGUAAUAUAGUAUGCAAUUUCAAAACUGCUAGGAGGCAAAGAUUAAAUUGACGACUCAUCGUUUCUCUCCUUCUCCAAAAUAGACCACAAAUUGUUCUACUUUUCUUGUGGUGAGCCAAAACAUAUACAAACAUGGCAACAAUUUCUUCUAUUGACAUGUUUCUUGUAGCUUUCAAACCUCCAGUGUCUCUAAUCAUUUCACAUAAUAUCCCAAAUGUUCGUCUAUCCAUACGAAGUUCGCUAAUACAAUAAGCAUCACUCUCCCUAGUCAAAUUGAAUAAGUGUUGCAUGCGCUCAGUGACUUUUUCUUCUUUUGAUUUUAUUUGGCGUCUUCUACUUUUGAGAUGAAUAAAUAUUAACUGGUACCACAUCAUAAACAGUGCAAUAACAACCAUUAUCAUUCCUGAUAAAAUCUGGCUUUGCCCUUGAUAUUUUUUGCUUCUUCUGUUUUCAAUAGGCAAACGUGGCAUCUUUGUCUACAUAACAAUAUGACAACCAAACGUAAGUAUUCACAAUAAGACAGGUUUGACGUUGUUUGGCGGAAUGAACACAACUGAAGCUACACUUAUUGGAUUAAGGUGUAAUUUACACCGUUUCGAAGCUAAGAUAAAGGGCUACAACUUUGAUGAGAACCACUCAGUCCAGUUCAUAGUGUAGCAAGGUCAAAUUUCAAGAUACCAAACCAGAAUUGCACAAACAGGUUAGCUACCGUAUUAUGGUUAAACGACCAUAACUUAGGCUACCAAGGUCCAAUCGGGGCGUUUCCAGUGCUGUUAGAAAGCUAAGACACCGCACUAAAACUUUUGUGUUUUGGCCAAAUUCUAAUUCGGUAAGGAUCAGGGUGAAAAGUCUCGGUCAGAUUGGGUGAAGUGUCAACUCUGUCCACCGAACUCUACCUAGGGCAAUCUGGGGGUAUUUCUGUCUUUUUACAGGCUACGGAGCUUAGAUUGGGCUGAAAAUUUACAGAAAACUAUAAAACAUCAUUUUCUACAACUUUUAUGUUUUAACCUAAGGCUGAUUUGGCCUCCAACCUAGCCGAAUAGAACCGGGCAGAAUAGGGGUUAAUUGAGACCCUAAUCUGGAAAUUUCAGUACAAAGCGGAAAUUUUCCGCAAAUAGCUACAAUUUACGCAUCAAAGCUUCAUUCUAGACCAUUCCAACCCAUCAUAUAUGGCCAACCAACAUUAAACAUAUAAAAUAGAAAAAUCAUAGAUAAAAAUAAAAAUUUCACCAAUCUCUACCAAAAGUCAAGAAAUCUUCCACAAAAUCACAUCUUUAACCAACACAAGUCAUUAAUUUGACAUUAUCAAGACCAAAGAAAGAAUUCCCUAGCUACUCACCUUGCAACCUCAAGAAAGGAAGCAACUUAGCACCAAUUUCUUCCAAACCACUUCACCCACUACCUCAAAACCACCUAGCUAAGGGUUUUUAUGGAAAGAUUUGAGGUUUAAACGGUUAAAUUGCAAGAUUAAGCAAGGUUAGUUGAAGAAGAUUGAAGGGUUUUCUUUUCUUUUCUCCCUUGUGAGAGUCGGCCAAGAGAUGUAUGAAGAAGGUGAAUUUUUGGGUCAAUUUCUUGGUUAUUUAGUAAAGUUGGUAAAAUGGUCAAAGUCCAACUUUAAGUCACCAAGUGACACUUGUCACCUUUUUAGUGCAACUCUAUCCUUUUGUCUCUCCAAUGAUAAUCCAUCUAGGUAAUCUCUAAUUAUCUCUUAACACUUGAUAAAUUAAAUCCGGUAUACCCAACUAAACCUAAUUGGCCGAAUUUUACCGAACUUACCGCACUAGUGGGUCCCAUAUCCGGUAUAUACUCUUAAAACCUCAUGAACUAACUUAUACUAGAAAAAUAAUUUAAAAACCAUAUUUGCUCAUAAAAAUUAAUUUAAAAAUUUUUCGAAUAAAGAAAAUGUGAAAAGCGUGCAAUUAGAAUAAAAUAAAAUCUAAAAAUUAAGAAAAUUACGGGUUCUCACAGAUGUCAUGCCAAGAAUUUCACUUUUACAUUAUAUAUUUGGGAGUAGCCACAGUAUCCCAAAUAUUUGAUGUGAAAAGUUUUUCAUCAUAUACAGUUUGGUGAUUGAAAUUAUGGAUUUUUAGUCAACAUAUUGGCUAGUUGACAAUUUUUCUUAUAACGCCAUAUACAUAGGAGUAGCCAUAGCAUCUUAAGUAUAUUAGUGUCUGGAGAAAUUUUGUAUUUUUUUCACAUAUUGUUGAGUGAGUAAAGAAAUUAAAAAAAAGGAAUCUAUAUAAAGUUGCAAUUAAUUCACUAAGAUAGUUAUUCGGCCCCACAAGGAGGUAAUUAUUUUGCUGAGAUUAAUUGACAUGAGAUGGUAAAUUAGAAAGUAAAUUAAGAGAUAUUUCUAUGCCCACAGGUACUAAUUAUUUCUUGAAUUUAUUGUUUUAGAUUACUAGUCUUAUGAUGAAGGAAAGUAAAUUAUAUGCAUUUUUCAACCUUUGGCCAUAGGAAGGUUUGAAAUUACUAUUUGAAUUGACAUGAGGUUGAUUAAAAUCAAGGUACAAACUUCAUAGCAUUUUUAUAAUAUAGUUUUUGAUUGUUAAUUUAGUGUUUCAUUCCAAUGAUUUUAUGGUUCUUAUUAGGUUGACUUUAAAUUCGUUCUCCUUUGUUUUGGGUGCAAGUUUUAAAUUAGCACUUUUAUGAGAAUGAACAAACCAUUCUCAUAAUAUGGAUAUACUUGCUAAUAUAGAGGUUGAGUAUGAGAAUUAGAAGCAAUUUAGUAGUUUGCUCAUUCUGUCUCAUAUUCACAUAAAAUAGGGUUCAAAUCCUAAUUAUUUAUAGUUAAAUCUUGCAUGAAAGUCAUAAAGAAAUUAUUGCAAGUUUUAACUAGCACCAUUAGAAGGCUUUCUUUUGUGACACUUAAAUAUUAAAGUGUAUUUUGAAAAGAUGAGAAUUUUGCUAUAUCGUGAAUUAAAGUCCCAUCAAGUUGAGAUUGAGUUAUUUCUGUUGCAUUUCAUUCUUGAUUCUUUCAUAAAUAAUUUCUUAGCCAUUCAAACCUUUAUAAUACACAUAAAGAUAUAUGGUUAAUCACUUGUUUAACCAUGUGUAUUAAAAAAGAAUAAAGAGGUUAAGAAAUAAGAGAAACUUAACCUUCAUGAAGAAGAAAUGUAAAAAACGUAAUUUUGUUCUUAGUAAGUCAAACAACAAUAAAGACCAAUAUUAUUUGUAAGAGAGUAAUACUUGAUGCUUUACCUUGAGAGAAAGUAACUCAAAAGAAAAUCUCAAUUGUUGAGUGUUAUAACUUGUGAUAUAUUCGUGAAUUGGCUAAAGUUUGUGAAUUUGCAUUGCUAGUAUAAUAAGUUUCUGAUUAUAUGCAAAGUGAACAAAAGUUUCUUUAUAGAAACUAAAAAUAUUCACAUAAAGUGAUGUAUUCUCAUUUCAAGAAAAUUUAUUUUUCUAAUACAUUAUUUUCUUAUUACUUUAAACUUUUUAUUUUCAAAUUAAUUACUAGCGGGUAUGAUUACGAACCUCAUUAUCCAGUAGUAGAUUUUGAAAAUAGUGAAGUUAUUAAUUCUAAAGUUUCCAGUACCAUCUUUUGAAUUGAGCAAAAUGCUACACUUGACCACAAUAAUUAUAUUGGCAGCAAAUAUGUUUAUCACUAGGGGAAACUCCAUAAAUUUUGGCAUAGGAAAUUGACAUAUAUCUCAAUAAAAAAUAAAGAGUUGAUAAAUCAUAAAUUUUUAAAGAUUUUAGAUUUAUUAACUAUGAUAUUUUAAGUAGACUGCAUAAGUAAAGAGACUACUCAACCAUUAUGGAUGCCAUAAGAGUUUCAUUAUAACACUAAAAUUUUGUGAAUUAUUUGCUAUCCUUUUUUAUUGGUGAGGGAUAUUUAUCUCAUUAUUAGAUAACUAUUCAUCAAAUACAAACUCCUUUCUUAUUUGAUAAAGAAUUAAUAUUUGAUACCUAUGCAAGUAUUCAAACGAGAAAGGAAAUUUGAAAUUUGAAGGUGUGACGCCCCCCCCACUUCUCCCAAGGGCGAACCCAAGGGUAUCCGCGAGACGCCUGCCCAACUCUCGCCAGGACUCAAGACAAAUCAAAUCGAACUUAACGAUACAUACCAAAUACUACGAGUCAAAAUAAAGAAAAGUCGCUUCCUUAACUAAAUAUUUAAAUCUUACAUCAUGUUCACAAAAGAUACAUCAAGUUCCAAAAUGCAACCAUUAAAAGUCGACUACACAUUUACAGCUCCGAUUCCAAUCAAAAGUAUAAUCUAGUCGGCUUUACCAAAAUCUUCCAAUCCAACCUGUUAAGGAAAACAAACUAAUAGGAUGAGCCAAUACUCAGUGAGGCCAAGAAAACACACAUGCAAACACAUAAUCCAAGUAGCGACAACAAUUACAUUGUAGGUAAGGCUAUCAAAUUCGAAUAAUUCACAUUUCGAAUAGGAUAAAUAAACAGAAACAAUUCAAGGAUACUGUAGCUCUCAGGAGCUAAAUUCCACGUAGUCGAGUCGAAAUCUUGAUCACAUCUCACGUUGACACUCCGUCAACCACAUAAGUAUCAAAUCCGUAGAUACACCACUUUUUUUCGAAUCCCGUCACCGUUACACCCCCUUACCGGGCCCGCUCAUCAAAGUUUUUGAUAAUACUCGAGUAUCUCAUGGCAAUAUUGCACGAGUAAUGCCGAGCAAGAUCUCUCCAAUAGAUCAUGCUCUACGAAUAUCUCAUGGUUUGCUAAGCUUAUCGACCAAGCCCAUGCUGGCUCGAUUCGCAAAGUUAACCAACGAGUUUUGGGCGUCCCCCGAAUAUGAAUACGAAUACGAAUAUAAGUCGAUGAGCAACGCUCAAAUCGACGAUUCCAAAUAGGAAUCACAAAUACGGAUCACAUAUACGAAUCACAAGUACAAAUCACAUUACCAUGUACAAGUUGGAUACGAAUUCACAUAGCAAAAUUCGAAUAUAAUUUCAUUUGAAAGAGAACGAGUGCGAUAAAUUACACACUCGUCUCAAAAUUUCAAAUUUACAUAACGGAUAAGAAACAGAUAACCACUUAACAACAAGUUCAUGCACUUGACACACACAGUGAUUCAAGUAGCGAGUUCAAAUGAUGGUUUAGGCGUCUCCCGUGAGAUCCUCUGGAAGGUCCUCUUGAGCGCCUGAGCAUUUAAUAGUGAAUUAUCAUUCACACAUCCCAAUUAUCAAGGAAGAUUGUGCACUAGUACAAUCUGGGGAAAUUUCAUGAAAAUGAACCUCAAUUACUAGUAAAUCGAGGUUCAAGUGGAGUUUCUUAAUGUACAAGAGCAAUCGAGUUUUGUUAUCUUGGAAAUCAAGCAUAAACGUUCAAGUAUUAUCGAAGGAAUAAGGAAUACUUGAAAAACUCCAUUUCUUUGAAAUUCCGAAAAUUUCAGUUUUGAUACGAUAUUUUGAAAAAAUCGUAUCUCAGAUUCCACAUUCGAAAAUUGGAAAAUUUGGUACCGUUGGAAACCUCUUCCAAAGUACUAAAAGUUCUUAGAAGACACUUUUCCAUGAAUCUAAGUGGAAGGUGUUCAAAAAUGAGCUUAAAGUUGCUGUUCCAAAUCACCCAGGAUUGAGCCGGGGUUGGUUUUUCGCUAACUUUGAAAAUUCAGCAGAAUUCACUCGUUGCAAACCAGCCCUUGAAAUUUGUAGCUCAAUUAGAGGUGCAAGUAAGGUUUAGGACAGAACAAGCGGAUCAAGAAUCGGAGUUUCGAGCACCAAGAUAUGGUAGCUCAAAGUUGGGUAAAUUUCAAGACUGUUAACAAAUUUCCAGAUUUGGUUCCGACUUUGGACCUUUAGUUAAGUGUCGAAACGGACUUGGAUUGAUACCAAAUUUUGUAGUAUAAUACUCCUAUAUGAAGGGUAUCUCUCUAUCAAAUUUCAUGGAAAAAUACCUUCGGAAAGGUGGUUAACCAAUCAACCAAAGUUUGGAAAAAUCCUUAAGGCAAUCUGUCCAAAUCUAAGGUUUCAAAAACGAGGCAGUCGCCGUAUUUUGAUCAUAACUCCCUCAAUUUAAUUCAGAAUUGGGAAUGGUUGAUAGUGUUAGAAAAUACAUUCACAGGGCUAAAAUUUCACAGAAGAAAUAGUUUCAAGUUUCAGCAUGCAACUAGCUCGAAAUUAAGCCUAAAGUUGCAGCAUCAUCAAAUCAUUUCGGCAGAACGGAGAAACAGGACAGCCGACUUCAGAUGAAUGGUGUGGCUCACACACAUGAAACCAGAAUGUGCAUUAUACACCGUUGGAAACAUGGGAACGUCUAGUUUCAAAUGCCACUAACGGCACUUGAUUUCGACAUCGGAGUACGGAGUUAUGGAUGAAAUACAAACACUGGUCUGGUUACGACGAAACCGUUUUCCAGAUUACUAGUUUUUGAAAUAAAUUCGUUUGACCCACCAAAACUCAGUAUUUUUCAAUGAAAAUUUUUACACAACUACUACAACAUAUAAACAACACAAUCAAGCCAUUAAAUCCUCAAAUUUCUGCAUUAAAGUGACCGAACAGAGCAGGGGUAAAAUGGGAACUUUUUGCUUCAAGAGUUCAAUAACGUUUCUGGCAACAAUGCACCUUUAAUCUACUUCCUUAAGCUCUAAUUCAGCAACAAAACCAUCAUCAAACAUCAUCACAGCCAUCAACCCAAAGUGGGAGUUCAUAGAGCCCACGUUUAACAAUUUUCCCAACAAUACAAGCUACUAAAGUGACGAUUCUAGCUCAAAUGCAUAAAUCAAACUCCAAAAGACAAGUUUAAGGUGAUGGAUUACUACCUACUUUGAUGGCUGGUUAGGACAGAAGUUUCGGCCCCUUUGAAGCUUGAAGAACCGUGAAAGCUCCUCCCUUUUCCAGCUAAAUGUGUUGUCCAAGACUUAGAGCUAAGUGGUAUGUGAAGUUUUGGUUGAAUCUAUGGAGGUUUGGUUGUGAUUUUUGUGAGAUUGUUAGAAGGAAAUGGUGAAGAGCUGCGGCUGUGCUAUCCGUCCAUUGCAGUAGCAGAAAUGAAAUGUGAUUCGGAUCCUUUGCGUACAAAAGACGCUUGACGUCUAAUAUUUUAAAUACGUAAAAUUUUAAUUGCAACUAGUGCCCUACGCGCGCGUUUUGUGUUCGAUUUCUCUCACGUUUGUUGCACUAGUGCACUAAACCUCUAGGGCACUUACAUUCAUAUAAAUAUUAUUCAUUCUUAAUUGUCCCAAAAUAAUGGUCCAAAAUCCCUCAAUUAAGCGCGCACGUGAAAACGCGUAUUUCUAAUUUAGGCGCAAUAAAAUUGAAACCUUUGAGAAAAUCUUAUAACGAUCGUACCACUAACUAUCACUUCAAUAUUUAAACCUAAAAUUGCCUAUUUUAGGACCAUUGUAUAUGUCUUAAAUUUUUGAGCUUAUUGUACUCCUAAUUGGCUAAAGUUUUCAGACACGUUUUCACUUUUUCACUAAACAAACUUCUAAGAAAAUAAUUUUUUUUGAAACGAGACACUUUAAAAAUAUAACGAAGCUAUAAAACCAUAUAUUUAGGUCUAAUAAGCAUAGAAAAUAAUAUUCGGGCAAAAAUCCAAAUAGAUAAUUAAUUGAGCCAAAAUUAGGGGUUUAAAAAUAAUAAUUUUACGAGUCCUCACGUGAAUUGAGUAUUAAUUCCUCAAUUAUCCUUUCUUAAUCUAUUAUUGAUCGUUCUUAAUUCUCCAAUAUUAAUACACUCUCGAUUCAAAUAUAGUCUCGAAAAACGUGCACUCGUUGUUUCGAACUAAACGAGUUUUCGAAGAGUGAAUUUUUCCAACAAAACUCUUUUAAAAAUAUAAAAGAGGCGUCGUUCCAUAUAAAUGGAUUUUAAAUGAUGGAAAUAAAUAAUUUGGAGAAAAAUGAGUAAAUAAAUAUUUAAACAAACUACUAAUAUUCGAUAAAAUAAAAUAAAAAAUUUCGGGUCCUCACAGAAGGAUAGAAAAUAAAAUGAAGGCACACCAAAAAAAAAGGGCUAUCCUAUUUGUGCUCAUUAAAUAGGAAACAUUGCUAAUGAGUAAAAGCAAUGCUUGAUUGGUUUCAUCCAAUGGUGUACUUUAAGGAAAUAAUGAGAUACUUGUGGAUAUAGCAUAUUGGCAAUAUUUAUAUCUUGUGCGUAAUGCCUUGAAAUUGAAGUAUAUUCUUAAACAAUUUCUUCCAAAAUUAUUUAAACGCCACUUUGAUUAUGAUAUGGAUGAAAAUCAAGUUUAAGAUAUUAUGUUUAGUUUUGUGAGGGUGAUCAACCUACACAUAAAGAAACUAUACAAAAGAAACAAGACUAUCUUGCUCCAAGAAAUUUAGAUUCUUUUACACUUCAAAAAUUAUUAGAACUGAAGAUUUAAAUUUCUUAAGAGCAUGAAGUAAGUGGGAGUGUUUUGACUCUGGAAUGGAGUAUUGAAAAGGUAAGGAUUCAUAUUUGACUCCUUUGAAUAUGGAAAAUUGAUAGCUUUUCUCAAAAUUAUUAUUUAAUUAUUUUAGAUAAGCAAUCGAAUGAAAAAUUCCUUGUCAAAUAAACACAUGAAGUAAAUCUACAUUGAACCCACUGGUUGAGUUAUCUUAUAGACAGCGGGAGGAAAAAUGUUCUCUAUAAAAAAUUGAAGUUCUUUAAUUACUAUGUUGUAUAUCUACAAGAGUUUAAGGAUGAAUUGUGUAAUGUUUUCAUGAGGUGCAAAUGGAGAAAUCUCCGUGUUUCAAGAAUAGUGUCACAAAUUACCACAAAAUCUCUACCAAAUUUGAGAGAUUAUAUUUGGGGUAAUUAUGGCACUAGUAACUCACUAUUAGAGAUACAUUAGAUAAAUAUGAAAAUGAAUGUCCUUAACGCAAUUCUUGAUAAUUAGGCAUAUACAUGUGUCACCAUGGUAGAGAAUGUAAUUUAAACCAAAUUAUUGCUCCUCAAUAGUAUAUUAAUUUGUUCUUCAUUUGAUCUUAGAAGAAUUUUUCUAGUAAAUUAAUAUACAUUAAGGUUAGUGGGAGUAAUACUAUGAGAGUUUUUCUCAAUCAUGAUAUUUGUGAAACCCUUCUAUCAUUAAUAUUCACAAAAUAGAAUGUAAAAGAUAGUUAAUCUGUCUUAGAACCUUCAUGCAAGAGUUCCUUGGUAAUAAAGAACAAAUAUUACUUUUAAAUAAUAAUAGUGAACAAUUGCAUAAUGUUCACAUCAUGCAUUGGAAUGAAUAUAAAUUCACCAAGAACGCUAUGAAGUUGUACUACAGGCAUCUAUUGUUUGGCCUAAAGUUUGUCGAUAUUGUAUUUUGGCUAAUAUAGAUAUUUGAUUUGAUUAUACCCUUUCAUUAUGUAUACAUAAAAGAGUGGAAGUCAAGACAUUCAGGUCGACACAAGGUAUUCAAUAGUUAUUUAGAAAGUAAAAUGUAGCUAUUGAGUACACAUCAAGGUGUUAUUAUUGUUGAUCAACAAUUAAAGGUUGCCGGGUAAGUUGUUAAUGAUCAAAUAACUCAUAUAGAACUCACUAGGUCAUUUAGUAUUUUGCUAUCAUUCUAAAACUAUUGUUGUUGUCUAGACACUCAAAAUACUUAUGUUUACAUGAUUUUGUGCACAUUAUUGUUCAUGUAUAAAGUAAAGAUCAUGUGAUCCAUAAAGUUGAAUCCUGAAUAACUUAUAUGAAGUUAUUCAUAAAAUUUUUUUAAAGCACUUGAUUAGAAAGUAUAAUAUAUUGUAAUACAUAGAAGGAAGUGUUUGUCAUGAGAACAUAAUCGCCAUGAUUCAUGUAUUAUUAUUUUCUGAUUAAGCGACUAUUACAUAAUUGUUGAAUUUGGUGAGUGACAAACAAAACUUAUGGCCAUUUUAAGUAUCUAAUCACUCAUAUGUUAACUGACUAUUUCAUGUGGGUCAAGUGGAAGAAAGUAAAACUUGCCUCUUUUAGAGGCAAUUGUGACCCAUAUGAUUGAUUCUAAAUUAAUUGAUAUCCUAAUUAAUUGAUUGAUAUUUUCAAUAAUUAAUUAGUAUUUUCCAUUUGUUAAUGAUUGAUUGAUAUCUUUUGCUAAUUGAUAUAUGAUUCAAUCAAUUAACCAACCAAAUCAAUCAAUUAGUCAGAAAAGAUUAUGGAUUAUGACAAGAUUUUUUUGAUGGAAGGAAACCCUAGAGAUUUUGAUAAUUGCUAGUAAGGGUUCCUGGCCUAACCUAUAAAUAGCCUAUGGUAUCCCAUCAACACUACACUCUCUGAUUAGGUAUAGACUAGAAACUCCUUACUCUAACUUUUUCUUCUAUAUAUAUAUAUAUAUAUAUAUAUUGGAAUAGACAAGAAAGAGUCAAAGAGAUGAGGAGAGACCAAUUUGUACUUAAUAAUGAUGGUUAGAGGUAAGUCUAUUUAGAUUUUCGCUGCAUAGUACAUUCAUAUGUACAUAAUUAGUAUAGCAAGCUCAACCCUAUUGACAAUUCUAUUUUGUAUGUAUAUAUUCUUGCUGUGACGACUCUCAAUAGUGCACAAGUACCGCGUUUACUCUUGUCAAACUGUGUCUGCAAUUAGAUUGAUUUUGAUUACAGAGCUCAGGGGACAAUGCGAAAGAAAUGCUGUGUAAGGGACCUCUGUAUUUUCUCAGUGCAAAAUUCAUCCAAAAUGAGCUCGUGCUAGGCUCCUGCUUGAUAGGAUCUUGGUUUUGAGCUGAAAUUUAACUCAAUUAGUUGGUAAGGCUAGCUGGAAUCAGUUAGAGCCAUUUAUUGGGUAAGCAAAGCUCAGAGUUUUCUAACCAAGACAUAAAAAGCAUGAUAAUGCAGCAGAGGACGAUGUGUCCUGGCCUCCUUUUGAUAAAAUCCAACUUUGGUGGGGUAGGAGGUUGGCUAAAAUGUAAGUUGAAAUUUUGGAAAAUGAGAAUAUAGGAACAUUCAAAUUUCAUAGGGAUAAUUUUAGAAACCUCCCCUAAGGUUUCUGAUAGUUUCACUGUCUUCCCCUAAAGUUUUAAAUAUAUCACUAACCUCCCUUAAAACUAAAUUUUCUUGUAACAAAUUAGCGCAAUUCAAAAAAAUUAAUAAUAAAAAAAUGAUUUCAAGAGUGAGAAAAAUAUUUCAUACAAAAGUGCCCCUCAACUAAUUACUAGUUGGUUGACUUAGAAUCAAAAGGGAUUAUUAGUUAAGAAUAGAAAAUAAAAACCAUAGUUAGAAUGUGUCAGUGUAAGUAAGGCAAAUUACAAUACUAGCAUGAGCCCACUAGAAUUCAAUAACAAUGGCUCGCAAAAUCAAAGAAUUGGAAGGAAAUUUUAUUAAUUUAGAAUCAAUAUUUACACAUUGAAUUCCUCAAUUCUUAGUGGUGAAAUUUGGAAGAUUUUGAGUAAGAAUUAAAUAAGACUAAGUAUGACCUUUUCAAGAAAAAUGCCACAUUAAAUAAAAAAUAUAAAAUAUGAUCAAAUAUUGUUUUGAAUUAUUUCUUUUACUUACAAGGUCCAUUAUUUCACAUGAUUACUAAGAAAUUUCUAUCAUUUGUAACAAAAAAAACAACUCUCAGGCAAUGUUUGCAUGAAUAGAAUGGAAAUGACUUUAAUGGAAAAUAAGUAAAUCAAAGUGGAGAAAAUCAUUUUAAACAAUCUUUUUGGAAUUAUGUAUACAAAGAAAAAGAAAAAAAAUUGAAAAUAGGGAGAGAAUAGAUUAUGUGCAGUUACACUUUAUCUAAACUUAAUAAAAUUUAUUUGUAAACAUAUUUUAACAAUUUAUCCUUUUUGUGCAUUUUUGUAUUCAUCUUGUUAUUUUUAUAAAAAAAACUUAUGAAAUAAUAAUCUCUCAAUAUAAAUUUUAAUCUUUUUUGGGGGAAGAAAUUACAAGAACUACUAAAAUUAGAAAAAGAAUUUAAAAUGUUAACAAUUAUUGUUAUAAAAUUUGGUAUUCAAGAUUUUCAAGCUUUUUUACAUUCCAAAUUAUGGGAGUACAAGUGGCUCAACUAUCUCUCCAUACAACUAUGUAAAAUUUCCCAAGUUGCAGGGUAAUAAAGUCAUUUGACCAUUGAUGUGGUAAGCAUUGAAUUCCAAUUGGUUGACCGGGGGAGGGUAAGUGAUAUUUUAAGAAUCUUGGGGGAGGGCAGUAAAAUUGUCAUUGAAAUUAUCCCAAUUUCAUAAGUAGGGCGAAACUUUUAUUAAGUUUGUGGAUGGGGUAUGGGUUACUACUAUUCACCAAACGAACAGAUUUUUGGCUAAGUAAUUAAAUCACACUUGUAACAAUGUACACUUUGUCAAGAGCAAAAAAAUUCUUUUUUGAAAUGUGCAUCUUAUCGAACAAUAAUAUGCACCUAAAUGAUAAAAAUAUGUAGUUUGGUAAAAUGUACAUAAAUCCAAAUAUGCACAUCUAAAUUGAUACAGCUGUGUAUAGGUAUAAUCAAAUUACACACAUACAAGUCGCAAUAUGUGCACAUAAGGGUAAUUUUCUUAUUAUACUUACAAUAUUUCUUUUAAUAGUUCAUGACCAUUAACUCGCACCUCAUGCAAGGGGUAGGGAUGGAUUGGAUGUUAGAAGGAAGGGAAUGUAAGUGAAAUGUCCUGGAAUCGAGACAUCCCGCCUAUAUUAAAAAAAAAGAAAAAAAAACUCAAACGUCAUUCAUAAAUUUUCCAAAACUUACACCUUCUUUUAAAUUUUAAAUCUUUCUAUUCCCUUUCUCCCAAUUAUCCCAAAAUUUAAAUUGGCUGGUGGGAACAUGAAAAAAUAACUACGGUAGUAGGGAUCUAGACUCCUUCACUUGAAUGGGCCAAAUUUGAGUGAUGUUAUUUUCAGCAGCACGAAAGACACCGUAACUUCUAAAAUUAUAAACAAACACAAAACUCCCUCAGUCAUUGAAAGUUAUAAACAUAUAUAAAGGUCCCUUGGUCGUUACAUGUAUUGUUCGGGAUUUUAAAUAUUCGUGAAAGUGUAUAAAAAUCACAAGUCAAAUAUCUAAGCUAUAGGGUUAACGAUAUAGGAUGACGAUUGAGAAAAAUUACAGUUAAAGAGUUUUUUGUGGCUUUCAAAAUUACAAUGGUUUUUCGCAUUCCUAUUUUCCUUUUAUUAUACACUUAAAUCGAUGUUGUUUGCCAGGAUAAAUAUAAACGUGGCCCAAAAAGAGUAGGAACUAUCUCGUGCACCAGCAUACGUAGUUUUAUUGUAUAACUGAUACUAAUACGUAUAUAUUUGUUGGUAUCCAUUCCGGUUCAAUAGAAAAAAGUUCUACAUUCUUUAAGGAUUUGGUGCUAAGGUUUCCAAGGCGCGGCUUGGGUAGUGGUGCGGCAGUCCAUGGCUGCCAUCUGCCCACCUGAUGGAGGGCAGCCUGCCCCUCCUACCUUUCAACGCAAAUCCUUUUCAGAGUUGUUCACGAAGAAUUCACAGCAGCCGACGCUAUCCUUUGCGGCACAGGAGGCUACACACAAAGGGGAACCUGCGUUGAUUUUCCCACAGGCAGCGGUCGAAGCUCUAGCCAGUCCAUUUCGUUUCGCAUUGAUUGGGAAAUUCUCUAGACGUAGACCGAAGUUGGAGGAGGUGAGGAAGUUCAUUGCAUCGCUGGAUUUACGUGAGAACCCGGUGGUGGGCUUGUUGGACGUAAGACAUGUGUUAAUUCAGUUGAACAAUGAAACUGAUUUCCAUCGUGUAUGGUUUAGGAGGAUCUGGUAUGUGUCUUCCUUCCCCAUGAGAGUAUUCAAAUGGACCACGGACUUCCAUGUUGACAGGGAGUCGUCGGUGGUUCCGCUCUGGCUUCAAUUACCAAAACUCCCGCUGCACUUUUUCAAUAAGGAGGUGAUUUUCCAGAUUGCGUCUAUGGUAGGUAACCCUUUGCUAGUUGAUGCGGCUACCCUUGCAGUGUCACGGCCAAGUGUUGCACGGGUGUGUGUUGAGAUGGAUUUGUUGCGUUCGACACCGUCGCGGGUUUGGAUUGGCAAUGGAAAUCACGCUGGUUUUUGGCAAGAGCUGGUGGUGGAGAACCUUCCAAGGUACUGCUCACAUUGUUUCCGCCAAGGUCACGAUGUGGAGACUUGUCAUGUUUUAAAGCCCGAGUUGCGAGGAGCAUCUGGUCACCAUACCAAGACUACUGGAACAACACAACUACGGUUGGCAGAGACGUCGAAUACAGACAUGCCUGAUGGCCCUUUGGAGGGUAAUGGAGAAAGGCCAUCGGUAUUGAUACAAGAUGCGGCAGUAAUUGAUGGGGCAAAGGGAGAAGUUAAUGAGACUGUGACUGGCAAAGCGCUAGUUGCUCACGAUCAGUUAAUAGGUGGUACGCCUCACGAAGCUGAGCAAGGUGACCAGGUGCAGCAGUCCUGUGCUACUAUACCAGCGCAGCAGGAGAGGAAAAUGGAGGAGAAUUAUGGGACGGUGGCGGUAGAAGGUAUCGAGGUGGUGCUGCCACAUGACAAAGGAGAGGAACGUUCUGAGGAUGUGGGGAGUGGGUUGCCCGCGAGGGUGGUCGUACGUUCUGCUGAGGGGCAAGUUGAAGACAUACAAGAUACUCAACGAAGGGACGGUACCCUCUCCCCUAGGGGCAAGGAUCUUAUCCGACAAGAAGAGUCAUCACUAGAGACCGGGCAUAUAGACACGGGGGGUACCCUGGAACUAGAAGAAGUUGUUCGUAAGGAGCGAAUGGAUGCAAGGUCGCGUGGUCUCCGGGUUGGUCUCCCGUCAGAUAGAACACUACGCUCCAUGGUUAGUUCUUCAACAAAUUCUUUUUCUGUCCUUUCUGAUGAUUAAGUUACUUUUUUGGAAUAUAAGAGGGGUAGCUCGUGCUCCUAAUUUAAGGCGGUUAAGGAAACUUAUUAAAUUGUAUGAUCUUCAAUUGGUGGUUGUUGUUGAACCUAAGUUGAGGGUGGAGUCAAUUACUGAUAUUAGAAUUAAAUUGGGGAUGGAUUGUUGCAUGUUCAAUCAUUGGGGUUCUGUUUGGAUUUUCUACCGGUCAUUGUUUACGUGUCAGAUUACAGGGGAGUCUCCCCAACAUAUAACUAUUAGAGUACAAUCUCAUCUUUUCCAAGACUCCAUUAUUUUGUCUUGUAUACACGCGAAGUGUACGCAGCAGGACAGAGAGGAUUUGUGGAAUGCACUUUUGCAGGAUAAACCCGCCUUCAAUCCUUGGUUUUUGGUGGGGGAUUUCAAUGUGGUCACAAAUACAGAGGAGAAGAGGGGUGGAUUGCCAUUUAGACCGUCGGAGGGAUCAGACUUUCUGAAUUUUAUGGCGCUAGCUGGUGUCAGUGAUGCGGGAUUCUCUGGGUCAAGGUUUACAUGGUGUAAUAAUCGUUCGGGAACGGCGCGGAUCUGGAAGCGUCUGGAUCGCUUACUUCUGUGUGGGAGUGCAAUGGAGCUACCGUACCAAUUCAUGGUGCAACAUUUAGGCCGUGACCCGUCGGAUCAUGCUCCCUUGUUGCUAUCGGUGGAUACGAGGCUAGACAAUAAACCCAAGCCGUUUCGUUUCUUAAACAUCUGGACCACUCAUCCUGAUUUUCUGGGGGUUAUCAAGGACUGUUGGGUUCAUCCAGUCAAUGGCUCUCCUUUGCAAGUAUUGGCAUCGAAGUUGAGGAAUGUUAAAAAUGCCCUCAAGCAGUGGUCUAGGACGACAUUCGGGGAUAUUUUUGAAGGGGUACGUAGUGCAGAGCGUGUGGUAACCGAGUCUGAGACAGCAUACGACCUCGAUCCUACUGAGCAGCGACGGAGCGAGUUACAUCAUGCUCGGGCUCGAUUGCGCCGAGCGCUUGUAGUUGAGGAGGGUUUUUGGAGACAAAAGGCGCGGGUUAAGUGGCUUUCGGACGGAGAUAGGAACACCAAAUAUUUCCACUCCUUGGUUUCGGAAAGGAGACGUAGGGCAGUAAUUCAUCGAGUCAGGGGUACUGCUGGAGAAUGGAUCGAGGGGGAAUGCCAAAUUGGGGAGGCAGCGGUGGGUUUCUUUAAGGAACUUUUCACGGCAGAGGGGGAUCUUCCCUCCCUUACCGGUCUGGAGAUCAUACCUAAACUGAUAACAGACCAGGAAAACUCACGGUUAACGGACAUUCCAUCUCUUACAGAAGUUAAAGACAUAGUCUUUGCUAUGGAUGGAGAGAGCGCAGCCGGCCCGGACGGGUUUACAGGGAAAUUCUUUACCUUUGCUUGGGAGGUAGUGGCAUCGGAUUUAUACCGGGCGGUUGUCAGCUUUUUCUGCGGUGCUGAACUACCUAGGAGUAUCACGGCUACCUCAAUUGUGUUGCUGCCAAAAGUGGAGAACCCCCAAGAUUUUAAGCAUUUUCGUCCAAUCAGUCUGUGCAACUUUACUAACAAAAUCAUCUCCAAGCUGUUAUCGGCAAGGUUGGCGAUGAUAUUACCCCGGAUUAUAUCUCCACAGCAAAGCGGGUUUGUCCAAGGGAGGCAGAUUACAGAUAAUUUCUUGUUAGCUCAGGAGUUAGUAGCCGAUAUCGGGAAAUCAAAUCGGGGUGGCAAUGUGGUCAUCAAGUUAGACAUGAUGAAGGCUUAUGAUAAAGUCUCAUGGCCCUUUCUCCUACAGGUGCUACGAUAUUUCGGAUUCAGUGAGACCUGGAUAGACAUGAUUUGGCGAUUAAUAUCGAAUGUGUGGUUCUCGGUACUUGUUAAUGGUGGUUCAAACGGCUUUUUCAGAUCUUCACGGGGUUUACGGCAAGGGGAUCCAAUUUCACCAGCCUUAUUCGUUAUCGGAGCUGAGGUGCUGUCUAGAACCCUCAACACGCUACCCACACAAAGAGGAUUUACUCCGUUCAAAGUUCCUCCUCAUUGUUCUAUAAUUACGCAUUUGGCAUUCGCCGAUGACGUGAUUAUCUUUUCCAGUGGGGCCAAGUCAUCCCUACGUCUGAUUACACGGGUUUUGGAUGAUUAUAAUGAGGCAUCAGGUCAGCGAAUCAACCCUCAGAAGAGUUGUUUCCUUACUCAUCCACGGGCACCAUCUCAGAGGGCAGCGGUUGUUAACCAGAUACUAGGGUAUAAUAAACGCGACUUUCCAAUACGGUACCUUGGUUGUCCCUUGUAUACCGGAAGGAGCAAGAAGGUUUACUAUACGGAUAUAUACAAUGCGGUGGCGAAUCGGAUUUUGAGUUGGAAAAACCAGAUUUUAUCGCUAGGAGGCAGGGUGGUGUUGAUUCAGAGCGUGUUAUCCUCUAUGCCAAUUCACUUGCUGGCAGCCGCGUCCCCUCCAAAAGGGAUGUUGAUGGUCAUAGAGAAAUUGUUCGCCAAGUUCUUGUGGGGAUCUUCGAAUUUCGGGGAUAAAUUCCAUUGGAUACGUUGGGCAGAUUUGUGUCGGCCGAAGGAUGAAGGGGGUGUAGGCCUGCGGGGUUUGAAACAGGUCUACGACUCAUUUUCCAUUAAACUCUGGUGGAAAUUUCGACAACAACAAUCAUUAUGGGCAAAGUUUAUGUCCCAGAAGUAUUGUGCAGGUCAUCACCCUUGUCUUGCUGAUAUUGGGCAUCCGGGAUCCCAAGUUUGGCAGAGGAUGGUCACAAUGCAGCGUUUUGGGGAGGAUAAUAUUAGCUGGGUAGUUCGGGAGGGGGCUUUGGACUUUUGGCAUGAUAAUUGGAUGGGGUCAGGUGCGCUUUGUGACAAGGUUGAGGUCUUCCAUGAUCAUUCGGUGGUUGAUUUUGUAGAUCGGCGGGCUUGGAAUGUGGACAUGCUCCAUCAAUUCUUGGAUGGAGAAUUGGUUACGCAGGUUUUGGAGAUUGACCCUCCUACCGAUAGGGGAAAUGAUACAAUGGUAUGGGCAUUGACGAACUCGGGUGUUUUUUCCACUGCAUCGGCUUACUCAUUGAUCCGUCAAUCCAAUGACAAUUCUUGGCUUUUUGGUCGUAUAUGGCAGCAGGGUCUUCCAGUCAAGGUUUCUUUCUUUAUGCUGCGACUACUACAGGGGAGGCUCCCUCUUAUGGAUCGCCUAAAGAGGUUUGGGGUUUGUGGCCCAUCUAGAUGCUUGUGUUGUCAGAAUCCCCAGGAGGAGGAUUUGAAUCAUGUGUUUUGCUCAGGAGAAGGGGCACGAUUGGUCUGGCGACACUUCGAGAGUACUGCUGGUGAGUUUAGUGGGGUGCAUACGGUGCGUCAUAUGGUGUGGUCUUGUUGGUUAAGGAGGGGGACUAAUGAUCGUGUAAAGUUUUUGCAUAAUAUACUUCCUUCGGUGGUAUGCUGGGUUUUAUGGAAGGCUAGGAAUGAAGGGGUGUUUGAAGGUCGGAAGAUGAGGAUCAGGCCUACGGUGAAUCGGAUUGUUCAGUUUCUGCAUGAUUUCCUUCAGUCACGGUUCCCGGGGGUGCAGCCUUCUGCCCCUACAUGGGAAGGGUUGCUUCUCGAAUUAGGUAGUCAUCAAAGGCGGAUGGUUAUUAGGCCAGUUUACUGGGUAACUCCACGUAGAGGCUAUAAGUUGAAUUCAGAUGGAUGUUCUCGGGGGAACCCAGGAAGGAGUGGGGGGGGUGGGCUUGUGCGGGAUAGUCGAGGAAAUUUUGUAUUCGGCUACGCGGAGCCCUUCGGGGUGAUAACCAGCAUGCAGGCGGAACUUCGAGCGUUGCUAUGGGGCGUUAGACAUUGUGUGAUUCGAGGGUGCUUGGAGUUACACUUAGAGGCGGAUUCUCUCACCCUGGUUCACAUUGUUCAAGGGACUAGUGCUUGUCCUUGGCGUUUACAGAGAGAUCUGGAUGAGUUGAUGAUGUUCAAGCAAUAUUUCACAUCGAUCACACACUGCUACAGGGAAGCAAACGCACCUGCAGAUCGUUUGGCAAAUUUUGGUGCUGAUUCUAGUACAGGUCAUGUGUUUAAUACAUUCUCAGAAUUGCCGCAAUUGGUUAGGGGGGCUAUUAGAUUAGAUCGAUUAGGAUUUCCUACGUUUCGUACACGGUGUCUGGCAUGAAUUGGAAUAAGAAGCAGAAAAGGCCAAUGAAGGUGAAAAUGGCGGUUAGAAGGACAUCAAGGGAGGAAGAUUGACUGCUAAAAUCUUCAAAGAUCAUCCUUCAGAUUCACUGGAAGACAUCCUGAUAUGGAAAAAUGAAGAUUUAAUCUUAAUUUCAGUUUUUAAAUGCUUAAACUUUCACUAGCUUGUAAAUUUAUUGUCAAAUUGUGGUUUGAUGGCAGGGAGUUUCGUCCUUUUUUAAGGGGAAACUCUGCCGAAAUUUUUAUAAAAUAAUAAAAUUUCAAUUAAAAAAAAAAGUAUAUAUUUGUUGGUAGUGAAAGUAGAGAGAAAUUUAUACUUUUAUUCACUAGUUUGUUUGGAGUUCACAAGAUUGCAAAUGAGGUUGGAAUAACAUCUAUUUUUACGGAAAGCAGAAUGAAUAAUACAUUAACUAACUUUAAUACUUAUACAUGGAAUAGUACAUCAAGAUGAUAAAAUUGAGUUGUUUCAUGAGAAGAUAAGUGUAUCACAUUAAUCUAGGGGGAAAAUACAUGUAUUAAUCCUCUAGGGGAAUUGAAUGGACAUCCACAUCUAUUUGUAUUUGUUUCAUAACAAGUUUGGUGUUUUUGCCAUUUUUGUUUUGGGUAAUCAUGAAAAGUUUUAAGUCUCACAAAAAAUGAUAACUCUUUUUGUUUUAAUCCGUCGAGACAUUGGUUUACACUAUUAUCUCGCUGCAACAUAGUUUCAACAUAUUUCUCAAAAUAUUUUCAUCUAACUUUGAAUUCAUGUAUAUUCCUGUUUGGUUAAGUUACACUAAAUUUCUUUAACAAUUAUCAUUCAAUUCAAUAUACUUUAAAAUAAGUUAAAUUAAAAGAACCGUUUUCUCUUAGUCUUAAAAAGAAUUAAGUUAGUAAUAUUCAUAUUUGAGAACAACACGUUACCCACACUAAGUCUAGAAAAGAAUUACUGAUGUAUCAGAAUUAUCGUUUUCGAAAAAAAAGAUGUACCUGUUUAUUCAAAAAAAAAAAAUCAUUGUUUCACUAAUUUAGAUAAAAAAAAUCAACAAAAUUGAGAUGAUGUACAGAUUAUUGAAAAGGGGCCAAUUUUGUCAAGACUUCAUGUUUUCUCACCAAAGCUAUUGAGCACCAAUCUCAAAAAAGUCAUAAAGAGCCAAGCCAAAGCAAAAAAAAAAAUCAAUAAGGAAGGCAACAAACUGGCCUGUACGGUGACCUUAUCCUUUUGGAUUCAUUUCAGCGGAUAAUGAUUCAUUUACACUUGAUAGUGAUGUAAAUCUGCAUCCAUCUUCAAAAGCAAAAAAUACCUCCCUUGUUUCCUGUUAAUGAUCAUGGAAGUCAUCUAUAGCAUCCUAGUUCUCAGUUUCUUGGUAGUCUUAGUUGCUAUAAAACAUCUUCAAGAAAACAAGAGAACACUAAAGCCUCCAAGUCCACCAGCUCUCCCAAUUCUAGGCCAUCUGCACCUCCUGAAAGCUGCCCCUCACCGUGCUCUUCAACUUCUCUCCAUCAAAUACGGCCCCCUGAUUUCCCUUCGAUUUGGGAUUCGUCCUAUACUUGUUGUUUCCUCACCAUCUCUUGCAGAGGAAUGCUUCACUAAGACUAAUGAUGUUAUCUUUGCUAACCGACCAGGGUCCAUUUCUGGCAAAAUCCUUGGCUACAACAACAGUACUAUCGGAUUCUCUCCUUAUGGAGACCACUGGCGAAAUCUCCGCCGUGUUACCACCAUCCAUAUUUUUUCUUCCGCUAGUCUCCACAACUUUUCCUCAAUCUGGACAGAGGAAAUCCGUUUCAGUGUCAGGAAAUUGUUCUCAAUGAACUCUGAUGACAAAGUGUGGAAAGAUGUAAACAUGAACUCUGUGUUCUUGGAUUUGGUAUUCAAUGUGAUCAUGAAAAUGCUUGCAGGAAAAAAAUGGCCAUCUGAUAAAACAGCUGAUUUGUUUUCGCUGAUCUCCUUCAUGGGUAUUUGUGAUUAUGUCCCUGUCUUGAGAUGGAUUGGAUUUCGAGGGUUGGAGAAAAAUUUGAGCAAUUUACAGCAAAAGAGGGACAAAUUAUUCAGGGAUCUCAUUGAUCAAACUAGGAAAAAGGAAGGUGAAGGUGGCUCAUGCUCGACUGAGCAGAGAAGAACUGUUAUCCAAGCAUUGCUGUCCCUUCAAGAUGCUGAACCUGAAUUCUUAACUGAUGAAACUGUCAAAGGGAUCAUACUAGUAAGCCAACUUGCCAUUUCUCUUUUCUCCUUAACAUAAUAUUUUUUGCUUUGGUAAUUAUUGCUCUUUAUAUCCGGUUUCUAUUUUCAUAUUUCAUUUUUUUUUAAUGCAAAUCAACCUUUUCUCCAAUUAGUCAGUGAACUCCUCUUCUAGCUGGUAAUCUCUUAUGUUGGGCUUUACAUUCAUUUUGACAAUACAUGCCUUGUUGUUCUUCUAGAUUAUGUUCACUGCUGGAGUACACACUUCAGCUCUGACCAUGGAGUGGGCUAUGUCCCUUAUGCUAAACCACCCCCAGGUAUUGAAGAAGGCAAGGAGUGAAAUAGACAACAACGUUACACAAUCAGGGCAAUUGAUUGAGGAUUCAGAUCUCUCCAAAUUGCCAUAUUUGCGUUGCAUAAUCAAAGAAACACUUAGACUUUUUCCUGCAGCACCAACUCUUUUGCCUCAUUAUUCAUCUGAGGAUUGCACCAUAGGAGGCUUCAAAGUUCCUAAAGGCACAACUUUGUUAGUAAAUGCUUGGGCUAUUCACAGAGAUCCGAAGGUUUGGGAAGAGCCAGCCAAGUUUAAGCCAGAAAGGUUUGAGGGAAUUAAUGAAGGGGCUUGCGAUGAAGGGUUCAAAUUUAUUCCAUUUGGAAAAGGUAGGAGGGCUUGUCCAGGUGCUGCCUUAGGCAUGAGAUUUAUUAGCCUGACGUUGGGAACAAUGCUACAAUGUUUUGAUUGGGAAAGAGUAGGGCCUCAAUUGGUGGAUUUAGAAGAAAAAUCUGGUAUAACUUUGGACAAGGCCAAGCCUUUGGAAGCAUUGUUCAGGCCACGCUCAUCCAUGAUUGAAUUGGUUUCUCAGCUUUGACUAAAGAACAUGACUGGUGGCUUUUGAAGAUUGUAUCAUAAUACUAUCUGAAAUACUUAAAGCUCAAACUACAAAGGUGCACCUAUUGCAAAGUGUGAAAAAAAGUGAAAAUAAGAGGAAGGAGAAUAUAAGCAUGAAAAUCUUUCAGUCUAUGCAGUUAUUAAAUAUUAAAUAGGCUUUGAACUAAACCGUGUUUGGCUUUUUCUUUUUGCUUUUAAUAUUGGUCUUUUCAAUUCACUGUAAGUGCAUCUACUCGAGGUCUUUGGUUUUCCACAUUUGUAAUUAUAGAAAAUCUUCAACCUUAACUGCGUUUCUUUGUUGUUACAUAAAGUGGUUUUGGGGCUUCAACAAAACAAGCAAAAAGAAUGUCUUAUGAGUAGAGAUGUCAAUCAAAAUCCAAUUAUAUUGGUUCGUCCAAAUCCGCCCACCAAUGAUCGGCUCAAACUCACCCACUAAUUUUGAAUAAAUUUAAAUGAGUACCCAAUUAAAUUCAUUUAAUUAGUGAAUAGUGAGUUGACUCGAUUCAUCCAUUUGUAUCCAUUUAAAAAUAAUUAGACACUUAAACUCAAUUUUUAAUUAGUGUUAAGCAAAUAAAUUUGAAUUUCUAAUCAAUUUAAUAACAAUAAAUACCGUUAUUUCUUAUCAAAUAGCAUGCAAAAAAAAGUAGAAUUGUAAGUGACUCAUAAAUAGAUAAUUGGGUAUAUCUAUACUCAUUUAUUAAAUGGGUAUAAAUGAAUUGACUUAAUUAUACCAACUACUUAAUUAUGACCACCCAAAUCACUCAUUUUAGCACAUCUACUCAUGAGUAGCGAGGUUACCGAGCUAACUCGAACCCAAUUAUGGGUAACUCGAGCUAGACUUCAAAGAAAAUUAGCUAAGCUCAAAUUCAAGUUUAAGUUCGACAGUGAAUUUCCUUUCUAUGUCAUAACUCAGUGUAUCACCAUCUUCAAUUUAUCCACCAAAACCGUUGCUAAGUUAGCUUAAGAACUCUUUUAUUGGUAUCAGUCUCUUUUAUUUCACAUUCACUCAAAACUUUUACAUGUUUAACUUCCUUUGGCAUACUUUUUUCUUUGUCAAAUUUUUGUUGGCGGUGUAUAAAGCUUUCAAGUUUUUCAUAUAUCUGUUUGAUGUAUUAGAUAUGCAUAAUUUUGAUGUUGCAAGUAAAUUUAUGAAGAUACAACUCUUUUCGUGAGUUACAGGUACACAUUCACCACUUCGAAUCCCAGAUUAUUAGAUUUUUUUUUUGUUUUGCAUUUUUUUGAAUUUUCAAUUUAUUUGUGAACUUUUCAAAUUUUUGCAAAAAUUUGUUCUUUUAGAAUGAUGACAGGUAUUUUAGAAGAUGUCUGUAGGUAAUUAUAAGUUCAAUUUAUCCACAGUCUCGUGUAGGGAUGGCAAUGGGGGCGGGUGCCCGCGAGGGGCUCUCGGGGCGGGGGGUGGGGCGGGGGCGGGAGGGAAUUUUUUCCCCCCGCUUAGAAACGGGGCGGGGGACGGGGGAGUAUACCCCCGUCCCGCCCCCCCGCCACCGCAAAAAAAAAUAAAUAUAUAUAUAAUUAUAUAUAAUAUGUAAGUUAAUUAGUUAUAAACUUAUGAUAAUGAUAUUAUUAGUUAGAUGUAUUAUAUAAUGUAUAUUAGUUUAUGUAAUAUAAUUGAUAUUAUCAAUUAUAUGAAUAAUUAUACAUGUCUACUAAUAAAAUUUAUUAAUUAGUUAUACUAAAUUUACUAAUACAUUUAUACUAAAUUUCUAAUUACACUUAAUAGAAUAACACUUUUUUCUCAAAAAAAAGCACAAACACAAUAAUGAAUUAGUGAUUGCAUUUGUACUAAAAGUGAAAACUUGACUAUUUUAGUUAUAUUUAUUUCAUCAUAUUGGAUUGUAUUCAAAUAACUUUUGUUUGAUUGUUUUUAUGAGUUUCAAUUGUAAAAUUACAAUGAAUAAUAAUUUGGUGAUGUGUUCAUAUUUUAGUACUUGAUUAUUUAUUAAAAUUUAAUUAUAAUAAAAUUAUAUAAUAAAAUUUUAUUAACCCCGCGGGGGAAGCAGGGCAAGGCGGGGCGGGGGCGGGGGACGGGGGAGGGUCUCCCGCCCCAACCCCGCCCCGUUGCCAUCCCUAAUUUCGUGAACGUUGAAGGACCAAUACCUAUUAAGAUCGCAAAACUAAUUUUGGAGUCUCCAGAACACAUAAUUCUUAAAGAAUAUUCAAGCCAUUUUUUUUUUCAGGGUUCGUUUUCACACUCUAAUUUUUUAACUCUACAUCAGUUAAUCAAAUGACUUCAAUUUAUUAGUGCCACUAAUUUCAAGGUCAAAUUUGCUUAAAUUUUCAGUUUUGCAAGUCCCUGGAAACUUUUAUCAUCUUCAUCUCAAGUAUCCCUGUAUUCUUGCUUUUAUUAUUCACCCAUGUAAACUUGAUUCUAAAUGCACAUAUGCCUCGUUGCUAAAGUUUUUAUUCAAUGUUACUUGAUAACAACUCAUAAGUAUGCCCUUAUGAAACAGCAACAAGGAAGAUCUUGAAUGCGCCUAUUCGCAACCCAGGAAUAAAUUAACCUAAGUACAUCCCAGUAACAUGGAGAAUCAAAUCAUGGUUUCACAUAAAAUAUGAUGGACCAAACCUUUUUUCACAUAUCAAAAUAAAGAAAUAUAACUUGAAGCAACUUGACAUAAGUUACCCUGGAAUGAUAAUGCAAUAAUAUCUACUAUAGGGGGAGGGUUGGGUUGGGUGGUACGGGGGAAGGAGUGUAAGCAAGAGGCCUCGGGUUCGAAUCCUACUGUUUACACUAAAAAAAACAAUAAUAUCUGCUACAUAAACUUCUCAAUUAUGUCUGUUUUUUUUUUAACUUCUCAUUUAUGUCUAACUGCUUCUAAAAAAUGUCAGUGUCAAUAUAAUCAUUAAGAAGAAAAAUAUUGGACUGCAAAAGUGGACUUUAAGAGAAGGUUCAAGAAAAAAGGAGACUGUGCAAUUAAAUGGCAAACAUCACUUUGAUAACAAUACAUAUUUACUUAAGAAGAAUUGUAUAAAAGAAUAAACGCAAAGACUAAGAUUGUAAUUUUUUUUUAUUUUUUUUAAAUAUAAGAAUCACCUAUUAAGCUCUAUAAUUAAUAUUAAAUCUAAAAAGUCAAUUAUUUGGCCUUUAAAACUGUGUUCACAAACUUUUUAUCUCUUCAUACUCAGAUUUUAUAUAAUGUUUUAGUAAAAUCAAUAAGAACACAUGAGAAAACUAUCUCUAAAAGGCUAAGGCCGUAAAAUAAAGAGAAUGACCAAGGCAAACAAAGAGCAAAAAUGAGCAAAAUAUGACAUGAAAUAUUUGUCUCUAAAAAAGGACAAGCUCAGUGCUAAGAAAGAUAUAAAAGCUUCUUAGAAAAAGAAGCUUAGAACCAUACAAUUUUAACUAACCUAUAUUACAUUUGAAGUUUGAAUAAUUAAAAGUUCAAUGGACCGAACUAUUGUCUUGAAAUAAUAUGAGUUUUGCAAUUCUACGGUAGAUUCAUAAAAGUGCUUAAGAAACACGUGGGAUAACACUGUUGAGAAUGAUGUGUUCACUGAAUAACGAAAUUGACGGGAUUUUUAUAUAUCAAUGCAAGUUUAAUUCCGAUUUUACACCCGUUGGACUGCAAGUAUACAGGUCGCAAUUGUAGUACAAGAUGUGUAUCGGGUCGAUCCCACGAGGAGCUAUUAAAACAAUUAUUAGACACUAAUUUACUCUAUUAUUUAGACUCACAAUAAAUUUGAGCAGAAAAAUUCAGAAUUUAAUUCAACUACAAAAAUUCUUAACUAGAUAAAUGCAAUUUCACAAAAGGAAUAGAAUUCACUAAAUAUUAAGAUCUAGGGAUGUAGAUUCCACUUAUGACUCAAAAGAUCUAAAAUGAAUUAAUUCAACACUUGUUAUUGCUCUUGUUUAACCAAGGAUUCAUUUCCAGAAAUACCAAAAUCACAUUCUCAUGAUAAUAAUGGGUUAAAACAGAUUAGUUUUUCCUAAUCUCUUGGUAAAUACUAAAUCUGUUCUUAUUCACACAUGAAAUGCAGAUUUCAUCCACUUGAAUGUAUUUCUAUUCUCAUGAAUAUACAACUCAAGUUCUACUUGUGUCAUUCCAUUAUUUUUACCAUUUCUUAAUGAAUAAAAACAACUAUAAACCUGUUAUUGGUGAUCAAACAACAACAAGUAAUCAAGCAUACACAAGUAGAUAAGUUAAUACAAGAUAUAACAAGUAUAAAUCACAAUCACUUCAUAUCACUUGGCCAUAAGCUUCAUCUACUCCCUAGAUAAAGGAAAUUAGCUACUCAUGAAUGAUGAAACACUCAUAAUUUCAUUAAUGCAAAUCAUCAUGAAUUUACAAAUACAAAAAGAGUAAAGAAAGUCUUAGCCAAGAUAUGGUGAAGCCUUCCAAAAAUCUCCUUGUCUUGAAUUUAGAUGAUUACAAGAUGAAACCUCAAUUGUCCCUUUGCAAGUACCUAGCUAGAGAGAAUAUGUUUUUCUGUAAGAAACUAAGCUACGUAUGGCUCUCCCAGACCUCUCUCAAUGUCUUAGCAUAAAAACUACUCAAAGGCUCUAUUUUUCCAAGUCAAAUUCUAACCUUUGAUUCCCCAAAUCUGCACUUUGUUAGCAUAGUCAAAAACCAAUAUUUUUGACUUGAAAAUAAGCCAUCUUUAUUGCCCUUUUGUCUUCUGAGGCAUGUGCACCGAAUUCUCUUGCAGAUUGUAGCUGGAAAGUAGUUUGAACAUAAGAGAAUUGACUGAGCAAAUUGCAGAAUUACGGCCAGAAAACGCGCCUACACAAAACGCGGUUACAAGUCACGUUUUGUGUACUCGCGUAUUCACUUUGGCCUUACUUCAUCUGCGAUUUUCUCUAUCAUAAAGGCCGAACUGGCUUUUGUGCAAAACACCAAAGUUGUAGCUCUUUGAGUUAGCUUUCCAAUGCUAUAAAAAUCAUCCAAAUCGGAGUUGUGCAGCCUGAGAUAUGGUCGAAAUAGUCUCACCUGGUCAAACCUCUGUUUCCAGUUUCGACCACAGAGUGCAGCUUCUGUAUUCCGACUUUUUUUCCAUGAAAUGGGCAGAAUUGGAUUUCGAUGUCUUCAUACGAAUUGUAGGUCUCUUUCUUAGCUUUAAAAUGGUAUAAAUAUCACCUUAAUCCGAUAAGUGUAGCUCCAGAUAUGAUCAAAAUACUGAAGAGUGUUAAAACUGAUUUGUAUUGCAUUUCCUCACUUGAACGUUUUUCACUUCAUUCUUCUUGUUACCACUUGAAUUCAUCACCAACUUUCUAUUUUUCAUCUCAUUUGACAUCCUUUGGUGAUUGAAUCAUCAUUCCUGCAUAAAAAUGAAGUUUUUAUCAUUAAAAUCACUAAAAAUGCAAUAUUAUCCACUUUUACCAACAAUAUAUAAUUUUACCAAAAACCUCUUUAUUUUAUUUAUAAAACUAGAUAAUCAACUCAAAAUUAACUAAUAAAAUGCACUUAAAAAUACGUAAAAUAAACUCUUAUCAGAAAUAUGAUUUCAUCACAACUCCAAAUAUUAUCAUAGAAAUUUAUAAGUAAGAUAAUUAAGUAGUAUUAUCUUAAAACUAAAGGGAGAAAUUUUGUUUCAAUGUCGACAAAUGCAACGUGCAUUUUCUUAGUCUAUUAUUAAAAACUUGUCCAAGGAUUCUUCCAUUUUUAUAAUAGGUGUUAUCUCAUUUUAUAUGCUAAAAUUACUAAAUUAAUUUUGAGAGGUCGUUAAGUCUAUUCUAUAUCUAAAGUACCCCUUCAGAUGAUAAACUAUUUAGGGGGAAAAAACUGUGAAUUUGAACAUGCCUAAAAGAAUUAAGAAAUAAAUUUACAAUAAGGAAAGAUAGACUUAUUAUCAUUAGUGGUGACUGAAAGCAUUUUUUGUUUGAGUGAGAAUGGCCCCUAUUUUUUAUUAGAUAAAAAAUUUAAAGAAUUAAAGAUGCUCAUAAAAUAAGAUGAAACAAUAAGGGAAGGAAAUAAAUCAAUCCAUUAAGGCUGUAGGCGAGGAGCUUUAAAACUUCCUACAAAGAUAUUCUAGAAUAAGUCUGAAAAUAAUAGUAACAAAGUUGGUUUACAUUAAUAGCUUGAACAACACAAGAAAAUUAUUAAAAAAUUUUUAGUAGUUUGCCAUAGAACACAAACCACCUUAUGAAUUAUACUUGUUUGACAAUAUCAAAACUCUUUCCACAAAGCACUUAAACACCACAUACAUCAUCACACUUGAGCUCGAAUCUAGCUCAAAUCUCGGAUCGUUUACACCUAAUACAUGAGUGGUUGAGUGAUCUAGAAGUGGGCCGGAAUUUUUAAACUGAAAAAAAAUCUUUUUAUAUUUGUAAUGAUUUGACUAUUUAGAUUGAAUCAUAUAAUAAGUCCAGAUUUGGAUGUAUUGGAUGGUACCGGAGAAGCGAACGUAGAACAAGAUUUUAAAAGAAAAGGUCCUUAGUUAAACUGCAAAUUAACUCAUGUGAUUAGCUCGUGAUUGUCCACACGGCGGAUCGAAAGUGGUAAGAGAUGACACUAAAGUAUCAAAUAUAUGUUGUCCCGUACUAUUUGGAUUUCAGUGAGGUUUAUGGAGUAAUGUGAAAUCUCAGCGUGCAAAAAGGGGCCGCAAUCAAGAAUAUUUUGACUGAUCAAGCGCCUGCAUUUUGUCUUCUUCCUAUUAUUUGUUUCUAAAAUGCCAUCCUAAGGUGCAUUACUAAAUAAAGGCUCAUUUGGUAAAUAAAUUUUUUAGGUGUUUGUUUAAAAUUUUACUGUAAUUUACUGUAAGAGUUGUAGAAAAUAUUUUUGAAGUGUGUAAAUUUUUGGAUAUUUUGAUGUGCAUAGUUUUAAAGUUUUAAGAAAUUUUUUGAGAUUAAUAUAGUUAAAAUAAUUUAAAAACUUGUAACAGACAAAUUUGACAAAAAACUUGCUUGCCAAACAUGCCCAAAAUUUGCUUUUGACCACUUUGCAGAUCAAAAUAGUCUUCGGAUUAGUAAACAUUAUUAGUUUAAAGAAUUACUCUAGAGUGCAAUUUAGAAAUCCAUUGUAAACGAGAGCAAGCCAUGUAACAAGAUGUCAAACAAACUGUAAGGAUUCAAAUACGGAAUAAACAACUAUUGAGAUAUCAAAUGUAUAACAAUUUAAUGAAAAACAAGCCACAAGUAUGAAAGAUAAACGACACACAACAUUUAACGUGGUUUGACUCCACCAUUGAGCCUACAUCCACGGAGAGAAACUUGUUCUUUAUUAUGAGAGAAAAAUCUUAUACAAGAAUACAACUUGAACCCAAAUCCAACCCUUGUAUACCAUCUCUCAUGUCCCAAAAACCCUCUCUCACACCCCAUGUAUAAGGUUACAUAAUACCCCUUGUGUUUGCUUGUGUAUCUUUGUAGUAUGCCAAUCUACCUAUUUAUAGAGAACAUUACUGUCAAAAAAUCAAAUAACAAUUGGAAACCAAUACUAUUUUCUAAACUCAUAUAAAGUAGAAAAUAGUAUCUAAUUCUAGCUAAAUAGGGCUUUACUUGACUACUAUUUCAAGUAACUAAAUCCAAUUAGAAAACUAGUUACUUCCCACACCAAAUAGGAAUCUUGACUAAAAGAAAUUAAGCCAAUUUCCUAACAAAUCUCUACCUUGGCGAAUAUUUCUUUUAGCAAACACAGCAAACCAUCCAAAAACUCCAUUUGCCUUUAACUAGCAAAUAAUAUGGUACCAAAUUACACACCCGAAUCAAUACAGUCCUGCCACCAAAUUGAUUCAAUCGGCAAAUGAACAUGUGUAGUUACCAUGAGUCCAACCUGCAGUUGACUCGUGAGAAGGUGCCUCAAUUCACCAUCUCCCUUUGCAGGAUUUCUUCUCACCACCACUUGCAAUCUGGGAUCCCCUUCUGUGAGCUCUAACCCUAACCAUUGAGGCAAUUAAGUGGUAAAGUCGCCAUACUUCUUCCCAUCCUCAGGACUGUCUCGCCACAUAUAAUUUCCAAGACUCCACCUAAAACAAAAAACUCGUAUCUGUCAGAGUCUUCUGGCGUAUAGAAAUUAGAUCUCCUUGUUUCUUUGGGACACGUGCCACACCAUCCAAAAAACAUAACCAAAAUUUAAAAUCCACCGGGAUGAAGUAUCAACCGUUGGAGGUGUGAAAAGUCUCCACCAAUUCACGUCUAAAAUCAAUAUUGGAUUCCAUCUUUUCCUUGACCCUUGAAUCACCUGCCUAGAUUCACCGUCAAGCAUCUCCAUAUUUUUCGACUUUUCAUCCUUUACCAUCAAUGCUUUUUGUCAAGCUAUUGAAACAAGGAUACUACCUAUUAAAUUGUUCAAUUGAUGACAGCUACCAAUCCACUUGAUCUCAAUAGUUAACUAGGAUCCAACUACGAAUCUUGAGCAGCCCAGUCUCGCAACCAAGCUCUGAUACCACUUGUUAGGAUUCAGGCGUGGAAUAAACAACUAUUGAGAUAUUAAGUGCAUAACAAUUUAAUGAGAAACAAGCCACAAGUAUGAAAGAUAAAUGACACACAACAUUUAACGUGGUUCGACUCCACCAUUGAGCCUACGUCCACGAAGAGAAACCUGUCUUUAUUAUGAGAGGAAAAUCCUAUACAAGAAUACAACUUGAAUCCAAGUCCAACCCUUGUAUACCAUCUCUCAUCUUCCAAGAACCCUCUUUCACAACCCAUGUAUAAGGCUACAUGAUGCCCCUUGUGUCUCCUUGUGUAUCUUUGUAGUAUGUCAAUCUACCUAUUUAUAGAGAACAUUACUGCCAAAAAACCAAAUAACAAUUGGAAACCAAUACUAUUUUCUAAACUCAUAUAGAGUAGAAAAUAGUAUCUAAUUCUAGCUAAAUAGGGCUUUACUUGACUACUACUUCAAGUAACUAAAUCCAAUUAGGAAACUAGUUACUUUCCAUACCAAAUAGGAAUCUUGACUAAAAGAAAUUAAGCCAAUUUCCUAACACAAACUAAGAAGAAUUUUUUUCAACAACAGUCCUUUAUUCAACCUUUAAAAUAUCCUUUUCAUUUGUUCCAGUUGAAAAGAAUUACUCCACGAUCAAUUUUUUACAAAAGUCCUUUUGAAUAUCUGUUGGUGCAUACAAAAUUUAAAGUUGUAUUGUUAUGUUAGGCUUUACUUUCAUUUUGACAAUAAAUGCCUUGUUGUUUUGAGUGAUUAUGUUUACUGCAGGAAUACACACUUCAACUCUAACCAUGGAGUGGUUUAUGUCCCUUAUGCUAAACCACCUUGAGGUAUUGGAGAAGGUAAGAAAUGAAAUAGACAACAAUGCCACACAAUCAGGGCAACUGAUUGAGGAUUCAGAUCUCUCCAAAUUGCCGUAUUUAUGUUGAAUAAUUAAAGAAACAGUCGGACUUUUUCCGGCAGCACCAACGCUUGUGCCUCAUUAUUCAUUUGGGGAUUGCAGUAUAGGAGGCUUUAAAAUUCCUAAAAGGCAAACUUCAUUAGUAAAUACUUGGGUUAUUCAUAGAGACCCUAAUGUCUGGGAAGAACCAAACAAGUUUAAGCCAGAAAGCCAGAAAUUCGAGAGAAUGAAGAGGUAUGUGAAGAAGGGUUCAAAUUUCUUCCAUUUGGAAAAGAUAGGAGGGCUUGUCCAGGGACAGCCUUGAGCAUGAGAUUGAUUAACCUGUCAUUGGGAACAAUGCUACAAAGUUUUGAUUGGGAAAGAUUGGGUCCUCGGUUGGUGGAUUUGGAAGAAAAACUAGUUUUGACUUUGGGCAAGGCCAAGUCUUUGGAAGCAUUGUGCACAAGUCAUGCUCAUCCAUGAUUGAUAAUCAUUCCGCAGCUCUGAGUUAGCUUCCAAGGUAACUAAAGAAAUAUUUAUUUAGGGGCUGCUUGUUUCACAGAUUGGAAUCGGAAAUGGAAAUGAAAUCAUAGACUCUGGUUUUGGAAUUAAAACUUUUCAUUCCAAUAUCUUGCUUGGUUCACACAUUGGAAUUAGCAUUGUUCCAAUUCCUGAUGCUGGUUUGAUGAGUGUUUCGGAAUUAAAUGCAAUUAAAUUCCAAAAUUACCCCUGAUAUAACAAUUCUUCUAAAACAAAAGAAUUACACAUACGACAAAUUAACAUCUUCAUAAUUGUAACUACAAUAGUUAUUAACUUUUUGAUAAAACAUAAGAAAAUCAUAAAUAAUAAAAAAAUUAAUACCAGAAAAUAAAUAUAGUGGCUGCAUUAACAAGGAGUAAAUUCCCAGAAAAAGGAGUUUUUAAACAAUCAUCCAAAAGGUGACAAUUUUUGAGUCUCUUCCCAAAGGGUGAAAAAUGCAUCCAAGGAAUGUGUUCUUCCAAAUAAAAACGCAUCUUUCAAAUACGUUAUUUUAUGUUUUGGAAAUUUGUUUAAAUAUGAAAAAUUGGUUAAAUAGCCCAUAAGAUACCAGCUCUUUAUGAGAAAUUGGCAGGUUUUGUAAUAUGUUUUGUACCAGUUUUAUGAGAAACAUACAUUUAUGGGAAAAAUUGAUUAAAUAGUGCCCAAAGGAAAACUAGUAUGUUUUGUAUUUAAUAUAAAUUAAAUAUGUGAAAGUUAAAAAAAAAAAAAAGAAAUUGCCCAUAAGAUACCAGCUCUUUAAGGGAAACUGGCAGGUUUUAUAGUAUGUUUUGUAGCAACUCUUUAUGGGAAACAUACCAGCUCUUUAUGGGAAAAAUUGGUUAAAUAGCGUCCAAAGGAAUACUAGUAUGUUUUGUAUUUAACAUAAAUUAAAUAUGUGAAAGUUAAAAAAAAAAAAGGAAAUUACCCAUAAGAUACCAGCUCUUUAUGGAAAAUUAGCAGGUUUUGUAUUUAAUACGCUAUUUAACCAAUUUUUUAUAUUUAAACAAAUUUACGAAAAUUAAAAUAAUGUAUUUGAAAGUUGCAUUUUUAUUUGGAAGAACGCAUUUCUUGAAUGUGUUUUUCACCCUUUGGGAAGAGACUCAAAAAUUGUCACCCUUUAGGAAGUUAGUUUAAAAACUCUUUCUUUUUGGAAAUUUACUCUAUUAACAAGUCGUUUGUAGUUCCUAAAUUAGAUAAUGAUAUGAAAUAGAUCUCUCCUUACAUAUAUGAAUAAAAGAAGGAGACUCAAAUCACAAAAGCUAACCAUACCAAAUACAAAUCAAUUGUCUAAUCCAGUCGAGAGUGCCAGUCAAUGUCCACAAUCUCCAAAAGACUAAUCAUAUCACCAUAACAAAAAGAAAUUGCCAUCAAAUCAUCACUUUCCAGCUAACAAUAAUUUUACUUCAGCGAGUAGAUGGAGGACAAAGGAGGUUAAUUACAUAUUGUCAUUUCAUUUCUGCAGGAAGAUUGUAGAACACAUGAAGCUUGGAAAUCUGCUCCGAAAGUAUGUCGGCUGCAUUCAUUACAUCUCCACUCGGUAAAGCAAGUUUCAUUAACUCAGCAACAACUUGAUCUCUUCUAUCGGAGACCAAUUGCUCACGUUUAUCGUCAUUUGACAUGGCUGCUGCCAUAGUUGUGAAAUUAGCUUGAAUUCUCUCCACGAAAUCUCCAAAUUUGCUGGUGAGAAGUUGCAAUGAUGCAUCAAGAUCACCCCUUGUUGUUGAUGCAGAUUUUAUUUUUUUUGACACAUUUGCAAUGGGAGGUGAUUGUUUCUUUUGUUUCUUGGAAUUUCUUGUGCCUGUUGAGCUUGGUUGAGUUGAUUGCUCCAUGGAAUUUACUUCAUCUUCUUCUACCUUAUCAUUAUCCGAGUUUGACAUAGCAUCAAACCCUUCAUCUCCUUCCUCCAAAUUUUGGACAUCUUCCAUAUCUUGGACAGCUUGUGCAAAAUCUUCAGCAACAUUUCCAGUGACUCUGUCUCUUCCAUAUACAAUUUCAAGAUCUCCUAAAUAUGAAAAUUUGACAUCCCAAAAGCCCUUCGCAUCCUUAUGAGUCUAGGGGUAAGAUAAAUGAUAAUCCUAAUAAAAGGUUGAAAAAGAACAUAUCAGAAUGUAAAAAGUAAUCAAUUUCUUACCUUGCACCAAUCAUCAUACCACUGUUUUUCACAAGAAAUCUUUUUCUUAGCAUCAUUCCAACUACAACCACUUUCUUUGCACAUUUCAACAAUUGCAUGGAACCUAUUUUUGAUUCAAUAUGUGGGCUGACUUGUUUGGUACAAGUAGGUUGCUUACUCAAGAUAAUUUUAAGCAAUUCGCUCAUAUAAUUAUUUUUAAAUCCUCCAUCUGAUUUUCACAUUGGAUCACAAGCCAACUCUUGCAAUGCUUCUAUGAGCACUUUUACCUCUUCACCAGUCCAAAAACAUUUAUUUUUCCAUCUUCCACGUACAAUUUCAUCAUUCUCCAUCCUAUCAUUUAGAAGUCAACCCAUAUAUAUCAAUUAAUUUUGAUACACAAUAGCAUAUAAACUGAAAUUUAUAAUAUAACAAAACACAUAAAAGAACAUACAAUUAAAAGUCAAUCCAAAUUUAAAAGAACAUACAUCAAGUGUCAAUCUAAUUCACAAAUCCACUACAAGAGUACAUCAAAUGUCAAUCCAAAUUUAAUGAGUCUAAGAGCUAAACAUCCAUUCAUAGCUAAAUACUAAGUCUAGCCCUUCAAUUGUCAAACAUUUCAUGUGCUAAAUUAUUUCUAGAAUUUGCCCAUUGAUCACUUGGCAAAAUAGUGGAUAUGUACUCUACUUCUUCAUCACUGUCUUCAUCUUCACUUUCAUUUUCUUCACUUUGUAGUAAUUCUUGUGGAUCAAAAGUCAUGAACUUCCUUAUCAAGUUGUGCAGUAGACAACAUGCCAUAAUUAUUCGCACUUGUGUUUGAAUUGGAAAAAAUGAAGGGGAUGCUAGAAUCUUCCACCUUCCUUUUAGCAAUCCAAAACAUCUUUCUAUGAUAUUUCUAGCUUUAGAAUGUUUCAUGUUGAAAUAUUCCUCUGGUCUUUGUGGUCGAUAACCAUUGAAUUCAUUAAGGUAAUAUCUUUGCCCUCGAUAAGGGGCAAGAAAUCCAUCAGCAUUACAAUAUCAAGCAUCCACCAAGUAAUAACAACCUUCAAAAUUCAAUCAUGCACAAAUUAAUACUAGACUACCUUAUUUUCGAAAAAAAAUUGAUUGAAUGGUAUUGAAUACUGCAAUAUAUGUUUACCUUGUGGGACUCUAAGACCAUUUGGUCUAGAGAUAGCAUUUCGAAGCACACGACCAUCAUGUGCCGAACCUUCCCAACCAGGCAAGACAUAGAUAAAUUGCAUAUUAGGAGAACAAACCCCUAAUACAUUCGUUGCAAUACUUCCUUUUCUCGUUCGAUAUCUUGAUUUUUGUUCGGUGGGUGGUGUCACAUCUAUUAAUGUCCCAUCUAAGGCACCUAAACAAUUCUAUUUUAAGAAAAAUAAAAAAUAUAACAGAGUUAAAAUGUCUAUAUUGGAUAGUUUAGAUGAAAAUAUAUAUUUUAUUAAAUGAUUGUAUUUUAAUGUUUGAAUUACCUUAAAACAUUUCCAUCUCUCAUCUGUGCAAUCUUCGGUAAUAGGCUCAGGCUUCUUAAGUAAUAUAGUAUGCAAUUUCAAAACUGCUAGGAGGCAAAGAUUAAAUUGACGACUCAUCGUUUCUCUCCUUCUCCAAAAUAGACCACAAAUUGUUCUACUUUUCUUGUGGUGAGCCAAAACAUAUACAAACAUGGCAACAAUUUCUUCUAUUGACAUGUUUCUUGUAGCUUUCAAACCUCCAGUGUCUCUAAUCAUUUCACAUAAUAUCCCAAAUGUUCGUCUAUCCAUACGAAGUUCGCUAAUACAAUAAGCAUCACUCUCCCUAGUCAAAUUGAAUAAGUGUUGCAUGCGCUCAGUGACUUUUUCUUCUUUUGAUUUUAUUUGGCGUCUUCUACUUUUGAGAUGAAUAAAUAUUAACUGGUACCACAUCAUAAACAGUGCAAUAACAACCAUUAUCAUUCCUGAUAAAAUCUGGCUUUGCCCUUGAUAUUUUUUGCUUCUUCUGUUUUCAAUAGGCAAACGUGGCAUCUUUGUCUACAUAACAAUAUGACAACCAAACGUAAGUAUUCACAAUAAGACAGGUUUGACGUUGUUUGGCGGAAUGAACACAACUGAAGCUACACUUAUUGGAUUAAGGUGUAAUUUACACCGUUUCGAAGCUAAGAUAAAGGGCUACAACUUUGAUGAGAACCACUCAGUCCAGUUCAUAGUGUAGCAAGGUCAAAUUUCAAGAUACCAAACCAGAAUUGCACAAACAGGUUAGCUACCGUAUUAUGGUUAAACGACCAUAACUUAGGCUACCAAGGUCCAAUCGGGGCGUUUCCAGUGCUGUUAGAAAGCUAAGACACCGCACUAAAACUUUUGUGUUUUGGCCAAAUUCUAAUUCGGUAAGGAUCAGGGUGAAAAGUCUCGGUCAGAUUGGGUGAAGUGUCAACUCUGUCCACCGAACUCUACCUAGGGCAAUCUGGGGGUAUUUCUGUCUUUUUACAGGCUACGGAGCUUAGAUUGGGCUGAAAAUUUACAGAAAACUAUAAAACAUCAUUUUCUACAACUUUUAUGUUUUAACCUAAGGCUGAUUUGGCCUCCAACCUAGCCGAAUAGAACCGGGCAGAAUAGGGGUUAAUUGAGACCCUAAUCUGGAAAUUUCAGUACAAAGCGGAAAUUUUCCGCAAAUAGCUACAAUUUACGCAUCAAAGCUUCAUUCUAGACCAUUCCAACCCAUCAUAUAUGGCCAACCAACAUUAAACAUAUAAAAUAGAAAAAUCAUAGAUAAAAAUAAAAAUUUCACCAAUCUCUACCAAAAGUCAAGAAAUCUUCCACAAAAUCACAUCUUUAACCAACACAAGUCAUUAAUUUGACAUUAUCAAGACCAAAGAAAGAAUUCCCUAGCUACUCACCUUGCAACCUCAAGAAAGGAAGCAACUUAGCACCAAUUUCUUCCAAACCACUUCACCCACUACCUCAAAACCACCUAGCUAAGGGUUUUUAUGGAAAGAUUUGAGGUUUAAACGGUUAAAUUGCAAGAUUAAGCAAGGUUAGUUGAAGAAGAUUGAAGGGUUUUCUUUUCUUUUCUCCCUUGUGAGAGUCGGCCAAGAGAUGUAUGAAGAAGGUGAAUUUUUGGGUCAAUUUCUUGGUUAUUUAGUAAAGUUGGUAAAAUGGUCAAAGUCCAACUUUAAGUCACCAAGUGACACUUGUCACCUUUUUAGUGCAACUCUAUCCUUUUGUCUCUCCAAUGAUAAUCCAUCUAGGUAAUCUCUAAUUAUCUCUUAACACUUGAUAAAUUAAAUCCGGUAUACCCAACUAAACCUAAUUGGCCGAAUUUUACCGAACUUACCGCACUAGUGGGUCCCAUAUCCGGUAUAUACUCUUAAAACCUCAUGAACUAACUUAUACUAGAAAAAUAAUUUAAAAACCAUAUUUGCUCAUAAAAAUUAAUUUAAAAAUUUUUCGAAUAAAGAAAAUGUGAAAAGCGUGCAAUUAGAAUAAAAUAAAAUCUAAAAAUUAAGAAAAUUACGGGUUCUCACAGAUGUCAUGCCAAGAAUUUCACUUUUACAUUAUAUAUUUGGGAGUAGCCACAGUAUCCCAAAUAUUUGAUGUGAAAAGUUUUUCAUCAUAUACAGUUUGGUGAUUGAAAUUAUGGAUUUUUAGUCAACAUAUUGGCUAGUUGACAAUUUUUCUUAUAACGCCAUAUACAUAGGAGUAGCCAUAGCAUCUUAAGUAUAUUAGUGUCUGGAGAAAUUUUGUAUUUUUUUCACAUAUUGUUGAGUGAGUAAAGAAAUUAAAAAAAAGGAAUCUAUAUAAAGUUGCAAUUAAUUCACUAAGAUAGUUAUUCGGCCCCACAAGGAGGUAAUUAUUUUGCUGAGAUUAAUUGACAUGAGAUGGUAAAUUAGAAAGUAAAUUAAGAGAUAUUUCUAUGCCCACAGGUACUAAUUAUUUCUUGAAUUUAUUGUUUUAGAUUACUAGUCUUAUGAUUAAGGAAAGUAAAUUAUAUGCAUUUUUCAACCUUUGGCCAUAGGAAGGUUUGAAAUUACUAUUUGAAUUGACAUAAGGUUGAUUAAAAUCAAGGUACAAACUUCAUAGCAUUUUUAUAAUAUAGUUUUUGAUUGUUAAUUUAGUGUUUCAUUCCAAUGAUUUUAUGGUUCUUAUUAGGUUGACUUUAAAUUCGUUCUCCUUUGUUUUGGGUGCAAGUUUUAAAUUAGCACUUUUAUGAGAAUGAACAAACCAUUCUCAUAAUAUGGAUAUACUUGCUAAUAUAGAGGUUGAGUAUGAGAAUUAGAAGCAAUUUAGUAGUUUGCUCAUUCUGUCUCAUAUUCACAUAAAAUAGGGUUCAAAUCCUAAUUAUUUAUAGUUAAAUCUUGCAUGAAAGUCAUAAAGAAAUUAUUGCAAGUUUUAACUAGCACCAUUAGAAGGCUUUCUUUUGUGACACUUAAAUAUUAAAGUGUAUUUUGAAAAGAUGAGAAUUUUGCUAUAUCGUGAAUUAAAGUCCCAUCAAGUUGAGAUUGAGUUAUUUCUGUUGCAUUUCAUUCUUGAUUCUUUCAUAAAUAAUUUCUUAGCCAUUCAAACCUUUAUAAUACACAUAAAGAUAUAUGGUUAAUCACUUGUUUAACCAUGUGUAUUAAAAAAGAAUAAAGAGGUUAAGAAAUAAGAGAAACUUAACCUUCAUGAAGAAGAAAUGUAAAAAAAGAUAAUUUUGUUCUCAGUAAGUCAAACAACAAUAAAGACCAAUAUUAUUUGUAAGAGAGUGAUACUUGAUGCUUUACCUUGAGAGAAAGUAACUCAAAAGAAAAUCUCAAUUGUUGAGUGUUAUAACUUGUGAUAUAUUCGUGAAUUGGCUAAAGUUGUGAAUUUGCAUUGCUAGUAUAAUAAGUUUCUGAUUAUAUGCAAAGUGAACAAAAGUUUCUUUAUAGAAACUAAAAAUAUUCACAUAAAGUGAUGUAUUAUUGCUCAUUUCAAGAAAAUUUAUUUUUCUAAAACAUUAUUUUCUUAUUACUUUAAAAUUUUUAUUUUCAAAUUAAUUACUAUCGGGUAUGAUUACGAACCUCAUUAUCCAGUAGUAGAUUUUGAAAAUAGUGAAGUUAUUAAUUCUAAAGUUUCCAGUACCAUCUUUUGAAUUGAGCAAAAUCAUACACUUGACCACAAUAAUUAUAUUGGCAGCAAAUAUGUUUAUCACUAGGGGAAACUCCUUAAAUUUUGGCAUAGGAAAUUGAGAUAUAUCUCAAUAAAAAAUAAAGAGUUGAUAAAUCAUAAAUUUUUAAAGAUUUUAGAUUUAUUAACUAUGAUAUUUUAAGUAGACUACAUAAGUAAAGAGACUACUCAACCUGGAUGCCAUAAGAGUUUCAUUAUAACACUAAAAUUUUGUGAAUUAUUUGCUACCCUUUUUUAUUGGUGAGGGAUAUUUAUCUCAUUAUUAGAUAACUAUUCAUCAAAUACAAAGCUCCUUUCUUAUUUGAUAAAGAAUUAAUAUUUGAUACCUAUGCAAGUAUUCAAACGAGAAAGGAAAUUUGAAAUUUGAAGGAUAGAAAAUAAAAUGAAGGCACACCAAAAAAAAGGGCUAUCCUAUUUGUGCUCAUUAAAUAGGAAACAUUGCUAAUGAGUAAAAGCAAUGCUUGAUUGGUUUCAUCCAAUGGUGUACUUUAAGGAAAUAAUGAGAUACUUGUGGAUAUAGCAUAUUGGCAAUAUUUAUAUCUUGUGCGUAAUGCCUUGAAAUUGAAGUAUAUUCUUAAACAAUUUCUUCCAAAAUUAUUUAAACACCACUUUGAUUAUGAUAUGGAUGAAAAUCAAGUUUAAGAUAUUAUGUUUAGUUUUGUGAGGGUGAUCAACCUACACAUAAAGAAACUAUACAAAAGAAACAAGACUAUCUUGCUCCAAGAAAUUUAGAUUCUUUUACACUUCAAAAAUUAUUAGAACUGAAGAUUUAAAUUUCUUAAGAGCAUGAAGUAAGUGGGAGUGUUUUGACUCUAGAAUGGAGUAUUGAAAAGCUAAGGAUUCAUAUUUGACUCCUUUGAAUAUGGAAAAUUGAUAGCUUUUCUCAAAAUUAUUAUUUAAUUAUUUUAGAUAAGCAAUCGAAUGAAAAAUUCCUUGUCAAAUAAACACAUGAAGUAAAUCUACAUUGAACCCACUGGUUGAGUUAUCUUAUAGACAGCGGGAGGAAAAAUGUUCUCUAUAAAAAAUUGAAGUUCUUUAAUUACUAUGUUAUAUAUCUACAAGAGUUUAAGGAUGAAUUGUGUAAUGUUUUCAUGAGGUGCAAAUGGAGAAAUCUCCACGUUCAAGAAUAGUGUCACAAAUUACCACAAAAUCUCUACCAAAUUUGAGAGAUUAUAUUUGGGGUAAUUAUGGCACUAGUAACUCACUAUUAGAAGAACAUUAGAUAAAUAUGAAAAUGAAUGUCCUUAAUGCAAUUCUUGAUAAUCAGGCAUAUACAUGUGUCACCAUGGUAGAGAAUGUAAUUUAAACCAAAUUAUUGCUCCUCAAUAGUAUAUUAAUUUGUUCUUCAUUUGAUCUUAGAAGAAUUUUUCUAGUAAAUUAAUAUACAUUAAGGUUAGUGGGAGUAAUACUAUGAGAGUUUUUCUCAAUCAUGAUAUUUGUGAAACCCUUCUAUCAUUAAUAUUCACAAAAUAGAAUGUAAAAGAUAGUUAAUCUGUCUUAGAACCUUCAUGCAAGAGUUCCUUGAUAAUAAAGAACAAAUAUUGCUUUUAAAUAAUAAUAGUGAACAAUUGCAUAAUGUUCACAUCAUGCAUUGGAAUGAAUAUAAAUUCACCAAGAACGCUAUGAAGUUGUACUACAGGUAUCUAUUAUUUGGCCUAAAGUUUGUCGAUAUUGUAUUUUGGCUAAUAUAGAUAUUUGAUUUGAUUAUACCCUUUCAUUAUGUAUACAUAAAAGAGUGGGAGUCAAGACAUUCAGGUCGACACAAGGUAUUCAAUAGUUAUUUAGAAAGUAAAAUGUAGCUAUUGAGUACACAGCAAGGACUUAUUAUUGUUGAUCAACAAUUAAAGGUUGCCGGGUAAGUUGUUAAUGAUCAAAUAACUCAUAUAGAACUCACUAGGUCAUUUAGUAUUUUGCUAUCAUUCUAAAACUAUUGUUGUUGUCUAGACACUCAAAAUACUUAUGUUACAUGAUUUUGUGCACAUUAUUGUUUAUGUAUAAAGUAAAGAUCAUGUGAUCCAUAAAGUUGAAUCCUGAAUAACUUAUAUGAAGUUAUUCAUAAAAUUUUUUUAAAGCACUUGAUUAGAAAGUAUAAUAUAUUGUAAUACAUAGAAGGAAGUGUUUGUCAUGAGAACAUAAUCGCCAUGAUUCAUGUAUUAUUAUUUUCUGAUUAAGCGACUAUUACAUAAUUGUUGAAUUUGGUGAGUGACAAACAAAACUUAUGGCCAUUUUAAGUAUCUAGUCACUCAUAUGUUAACUGACUAUUUCAUGUGGGUCAAGUGGAAGAAAGUAAAACUUGCCUCUUUUAGAGGCAAUUGUGACCCAUAUGAUUGAUUCUAAAUUGAUUGAUAUCCUAAUUAAUUGAUUGAUAUUUUCAAUAAUUAAUUUUUUUGAUGGAAGGAAACCCUAGAGAUUUUGAUAAUUGCUAGUAAGGGUUCCUGGCCUAACCUAUAAAUAGCCUAUGGUAUCCCAUCAACACUACACUCUCUGAUUAGGUAUAGACUAGAAACUCCUUACUCUAACUUUUUCUUCUAUAUAUAUAUAUAUAUAUAUAUAUAUUGGAAUAGACAAGAAAGAGUCAAAGAGAUGAGGAGAGACCAAUUUGUACUUAAUAAUGAUGGUUAGAGGUAAGUCUAUUUAGAUUUUCGCUGCAUAGUACAUUCAUAUGUACAUAAUUAGUAUAGCAAGCUCAACCCUAUUGACAAUUCUAUUUUGUAUGUAUAUAUUCUUGCUGUGACGACUCUCAAUAGUUCACAAGUACCGCGUUUACUCUUGUCAAACUGUGUCUGCAAUUAGAUUGAUUUUGAUUACAGAGCUCAGGGGACAAUGCGAAAGAAAUGCUGUGUAAGGGACCUCUGUAUUUUCUCAGUGCAAAAUUCAUCCAAAAUGAGCUCGUGCUAGGCUCCUGCUUGAUAGGAUCUUGGUUUUGAGCUGAAAUUUAACUCAAUUAGUUGGUAAGGCUAGCUGGAAUCAGUUAGAGCCAUUUAUUGGGUAAGCAAAGCUCAGAGUUUUCUAACCAAGACAUAAAAAGCAUGAUAAUGCAGCAGAGGACGAUGUGUGCUGGCCUCCUUUUGAUAAAAUCCAACUUUGGUGGGGUAGGAGGUUGGCUAAAAUGUAAGUUGAAAUUUUGGAAAAUGAGAAUAUAGGAACAUUCAAAUUUCAUAGGGAUAAUUUUAGAAACCUCCCCUAAGGUUUCUGAUAGUUUCACUGUCUUCCCCUAAAGUUUUAAAUAUAUCACUAACCUCUCUUAAAACUAAAUUUUCUUGUAACAAAUUAGCGCAAUUCAAAAAAAUUAAUAAUAAAAAAAUGAUUUCAAGAGUGAGAAAAAUAUUUCAUACAAAAGUGCCCCUCAACUAAUUACUAGUUGGUUGACUUAGAAUCAAAAGGGAUUAUUAGUUAAGAAUAGAAAAUAAAAACCAUAGUUAGAAUGUGUCAGUGUAAGUAAGGCAAAUUACAAUACUAGCAUGAGCCCACUAGAAUUCAAUAACAAUGGCUCGCAAAAUCAAAGAAUUGGAAGGAAAUUUUAUUAAUUUAGAAUCAAUAUUUACACAUUGAAUUCCUCAAUUCUUAGUGGUGAAAUUUGGAAGAUUUUGAGUAAGAAUUAAAUAAGACUAAGUAUGACCUUUUCAAGAAAAAUGCCACAUUAAAUAAAAAAUAUAAAAUAUGAUCAAAUAUUGUUUUGAAUUAUUUCUUUUACUUACAAGGUCCAUUAUUUCACAUGAUUACUAAGAAAUUUCUAUCAUUUGUAACAAAAAAAACAACUCUCAGGCAAUGUUUGCAUGAAUAGAAUGGAAAUGACUUUAAUGGAAAAUAAGUAAAUCAAAGUGGAGAAAAUCAUUUUAAACAAUCUUUUUGGAAUUAUGUAUACAAAGAAAAAGAAAAAAAAUUGAAAAUAGGGAGAGAAUAGAUUAUGUGCAGUUACACUUUAUCUAAACUUAAUAAAAUUUAUUUGUAAACAUAUUUUAACAAUUUAUCCUUUUUGUGCAUUUUUGUAUUCAUCUUGUUAUUUUUAUAAAAAAAACUUAUGAAAUAAUAAUCUCUCAAUAUAAAUUUUAAUCUUUUUUGGGGGAAGAAAUUACAAGAACUACUAAAAUUAGAAAAAGAAUUUAAAAUGUUAACAAUUAUUGUUAUAAAAUUUGGUAUUCAAGAUUUUCAAGCUUUUUUACAUUCCAAAUUAUGGGAGUACAAGUGGCUCAACUAUCUCUCCAUACAACUAUGUAAAAUUUCCCAAGUUGCAGGGUAAUAAAGUCAUUUGACCAUUGAUGUGGUAAGCAUUGAAUUCCAAUUGGUUGACCGGGGGAGGGUAAGUGAUAUUUUAAGAAUCUUGGGGGAGGGCAGUAAAAUUGUCAUUGAAAUUAUCCCAAUUUCAUAAGUAGGGCGAAACUUUUAUUAAGUUUGUGGAUGGGGUAUGGGUUACUACUAUUCACCAAACGAACAGAUUUUUGGCUAAGUAAUUAAAUCACACUUGUAACAAUGUACACUUUGUCAAGAGCAAAAAAAUUCUUUUUUGAAAUGUGCAUCUUAUCGAACAAUAAUAUGCACCUAAAUGAUAAAAAUAUGUAGUUUGGUAAAAUGUACAUAAAUCCAAAUAUGCACAUCUAAAUUGAUACAGCUGUGUAUAGGUAUAAUCAAAUUACACACAUACAAGUCGCAAUAUGUGCACAUAAGGGUAAUUUUCUUAUUAUACUUACAAUAUUUCUUUUAAUAGUUCAUGACCAUUAACUCGCACCUCAUGCAAGGGGUAGGGAUGGAUUGGAUGUUAGAAGGAAGGGAAUGUAAGUGAAAUGUCCUGGAAUCGAGACAUCCCGCCUAUAUUAAAAAAAAAGAAAAAAAAACUCAAACGUCAUUCAUAAAUUUUCCAAAACUUACACCUUCUUUUAAAUUUUAAAUCUUUCUAUUCCCUUUCUCCCAAUUAUCCCAAAAUUUAAAUUGGCUGGUGGGAACAUGAAAAAAUAACUACGGUAGUAGGGAUCUAGACUCCUUCACUUGAAUGGGCCAAAUUUGAGUGAUGUUAUUUUCAGCAGCACGAAAGACACCGUAACUUCUAAAAUUAUAAACAAACACAAAACUCCCUCAGUCAUUGAAAGUUAUAAACAUAUAUAAAGGUCCCUUGGUCGUUACAUGUAUUGUUCGGGAUUUUAAAUAUUCGUGAAAGUGUAUAAAAAUCACAAGUCAAAUAUCUAAGCUAUAGGGUUAACGAUAUAGGAUGACGAUUGAGAAAAAUUACAGUUAAAGAGUUUUUUGUGGCUUUCAAAAUUACAAUGGUUUUUCGCAUUCCUAUUUUCCUUUUAUUAUACACUUAAAUCGAUGUUGUUUGCCAGGAUAAAUAUAAACGUGGCCCAAAAAGAGUAGGAACUAUCUCGUGCACCAGCAUACGUAGUUUUAUUGUAUAACUGAUACUAAUACGUAUAUAUUUGUUGGUAGUGAAAGUAGAGAGAAAUUUAUACUUUUAUUCACUAGUUUGUUUGGAGUUCACAAGAUUGCAAAUGAGGUUGGAAUAACAUCUAGUUUUACGGAAAGCAGAAUGAAUAAUACAUUAACUAACUUUAAUACUUAUACAUGGAAUAGUACAUCAAGAUGAUAAAAUUGAGUUGUUUCAUGAGAAGAUAAGUGUAUCACAUUAAUCUAGGGGGAAAAUACAUGUAUUAAUCCUCUAGGGGAAUUGAAUGGACAUCCACAUCUAUUGAGCACCAAUCUCAAAAAAGUCAUAAAGAGCCAAGCCAAAGCAAAAAAAAAAAUCAAUAAGGAAGGCAACAAACUGGCCUGUACGGUGACCUUAUCCUUUUGGAUUCAUUUCAGCGGAUAAUGAUUCAUUUACACUUGAUAGUGAUGUAAAUCUGCAUCCAUCUUCAAAAGCAAAAAAUACCUCCCUUGUUUCCUGUUAAUGAUCAUGGAAGUCAUCUAUAGCAUCCUAGUUCUCAGUUUCUUGGUAGUCUUAGUUGCUAUAAAACACCUUCAAGAAAACAAGAGAACUCUAAAGCCUCCAAGUCCACCAGCUCUCCCAAUUCUAGGCCAUCUGCACCUCCUGAAAGCUGCCCCUCACCGUGCUCUUCAACUUCUCUCCAUCAAAUACGGCCCCCUGAUUUCCCUUCGAUUUGGGAUUCGUCCUAUACUUAUUGUUUCCUCACCAUCUCUUGCAGAGGAAUGCUUCAGUAAGACUAAUGAUGUUAUCUUUGCUAACCGACCAGGGUCCAUUUCUGGCAAAAUCCUUGGCUACAACAACAGUACUAUCGGAUUCUCUCCUUAUGGAGACCACUGGCGAAAUCUCCGCCGUGUUACCACCAUCCAUAUUUUUUCUUCCGCUAGUCUCCACAACUUUUCCUCAAUCUGGACAGAGGAAAUCCGUUUCAGUGUCAGGAAAUUGUUCUCAAUGAACUCUGAUGACAAAGUGUGGAAAGAUGUAAACAUGAACUCUGUGUUCUUGGAUUUGGUAUUCAAUGUGAUCAUGAAAAUGCUUGCAGGAAAAAAAUGGCCAUCUGAUAAAACAGCUGAUUUGUUUUCGCUGAUCUCCUUCAUGGGUAUUUGUGAUUAUGUCCCUGUCUUGAGAUGGAUUGGAUUUCGAGGGUUGGAGAAAAAUUUGAGCAAUUUACAGCAAAAGAGGGACAAAUUAUUCAGGGAUCUCAUUGAUCAAACUAGGAAAAAGGAAGGUGAAGGUGGCUCAUGCUCGACUGAGCAGAGAAGAACUGUUAUCCAAGCAUUGCUGUCCCUUCAAGAUGCUGAACCUGAAUUCUUAACUGAUGAAACUGUCAAAGGGAUCAUACUAGUAAGCCAACUUGCCAUUUCUCUUUUCUCCUUAACAUAAUAUUUUUUGCUUUGGUAAUUAUUGCUCUUUAUAUCCGGUUUCUAUUUUCAUAUUUCAUAUUUUUUAAUGCAAAUCAACCUUUUCUCCAAUUAGUCAGUGAACUCCUCUUCUAGCUGGUAAUCUCUUAUGUUAGGCUUUACAUUCAUUUUGACAAUACAUGCCUUGUUGUUCUUCUAGAUUAUGUUCACUGCUGGAGUACACACUUCAGCUCUGACCAUGGAGUGGGCUAUGUCCCUUAUGCUAAACCACCCCCAGGUAUUGAAGAAGGCAAGGAGUGAAAUAGACAACAACGUUACACAAUCAGGGCAAUUGAUUGAGGAUUCAGAUCUCUCCAAAUUGCCAUAUUUGCGUUGCAUAAUCAAAGAAACACUUAGACUUUUUCCUGCAGCACCAACUCUUUUGCCUCAUUAUUCAUCUGAGGAUUGCACCAUAGGAGGCUUCAAAGUUCCUAAAGGCACAACUUUGUUAGUAAAUGCUUGGGCUAUUCACAGAGAUCCGAAGGUUUGGGAAGAGCCAGCCAAGUUUAAGCCAGAAAGGUUUGAGGGAAUUAAUGAAGGGGCUUGCGAUGAAGGGUUCAAAUUUAUUCCAUUUGGAAAAGGUAGGAGGGCUUGUCCAGGUGCUGCCUUAGGCAUGAGAUUUAUUAGCCUGACGUUGGGAACAAUGCUACAAUGUUUUGAUUGGGAAAGAGUAGGGCCUCAAUUGGUGGAUUUAGAAGAAAAAUCUGGUAUAACUUUGGACAAGGCCAAGCCUUUGGAAGCAUUGUUCAGGCCACGCUCAUCCAUGAUUGAAUUGGUUUCUCAGCUUUGACUAAAGAACAUGACUGGUGGCUUUUGAAGAUUGUAUCAUAAUACUAUCUGAAAUACUUAAAGCUCAAACUACAAAGGUGCACCUAUUGCAAAGUGUGAAAAAAAGUGAAAAUAAGAGGAAGGAGAAUAUAAGCAUGAAAAUCUUUCAGUCUAUGCAGUUAUUAAAUAUUAAAUAGGCUUUGAACUAAACCGUGUUUGGCUUUUUCUUUUUGCUUUUAAUAUUGGUCUUUUCAAUUCACUGUAAGUGCAUCUACUCGAGGUCUUUGGUUUUCCACAUUUGUAAUUAUAGAAAAUCUUCAACCUUAACUGCGUUUCUUUGUUGUUACAUAAAGUGGUUUUGGGGCUUCAACAAAACAAGCAAAAAGAAUGUCUUAUGAGUAGAGAUGUCAAUCAAAAUCCAAUUAUAUUGGUUCGUCCAAAUCCGCCCACCAAUGAUCGGCUCAAACUCACCCACUAAUUUUGAAUAAAUUUAAAUGAGUACCCAAUUAAAUUCAUUUAAUUAGUGAAUAGUGAGUUGACUCGAUUCAUCCAUUUGUAUCCAUUUAAAAAUAAUUAGACACUUAAACUCAAUUUUUAAUUAGUGUUAAGCAAAUAAAUUUGAAUUUCUAAUCAAUUUAAUAACAAUAAAUACCGUUAUUUCUUAUCAAAUAGCAUGCAAAAAAAAGUAGAAUUGUAAGUGACUCAUAAAUAGAUAAUUGGGUAUAUCUAUACUCAUUUAUUAAAUGGGUAUAAAUGAAUUGACUUAAUUAUACCAACUACUUAAUUAUGACCCGCCCAAACCACCCAAAUAACUCAUUUUAGCACAUCUACUCAUGAGUAGCGAGGUUAUCGAGCUAACUCGAACCCAAUUGUGGGUAACUCGAGCUAGACUUCAAAGAAAAUUAGCUAAGCUCAAAUUCAAGUUUAAGUUCGACAGUGAAUUUCCUUUCUAUGUCAUAACUCAGUGUAUCACCAUCUUCAAUUUAUCCACCAAAACCGUUGCUAAGUUAGCUUAAGAACUCUUUUAUUGGUAUCAGUCUCUUUUAUUUCACAUUCACUCAAAACUUUUACAUGUUUAACUUCCUUUGGCAUACUUUUUUCUUUGUCAAAUUUUUGUUGGCGGUGUAUAAAGCUUUCAAGUUUUUCAUAUAUCUGUUUGAUGUAUUAGAUAUGCAUAAUCUUGAUGUUGCAAGUAAAUUUAUGAAGAUACAACUCUUUUCGUGAGUUACAGGUACACAUUCACCAUUUCGAAUCCCAGAUUAUUAGAUUUUUUUUUGUUUUGCAUUUUUUUGAAUUUUCAAUUUAUUUGUGAACUUUUCAAAUUUUUGCAAAAAUUUGUUCUUUUAGAAUGAUGACAGGUAUUUUAGAAGAUGUCUGUAGGUAAUUAUAAGUUCAAUUUAUCCACAGUCUCGUGUAGGGAUGGCAAUGGGGGCGGGUGCCCGCGGGGGCUCUCGGGGCGGGGGGUGGGGCGGGGGCGGGGGUGAAUUUUUUCCCCCCGCUUAGAAACGGGGCGGGGGACGGGGGAGUAUACCCCCGCCCCGCCACCCGCAAAAAAAAAAUAAUAUAUAUAUAUAUAUAUAUAAUUAUAUAUAAUAUGUAAGUUAAUUAGUUAUAAACUUAUGAUAAUGAUAUUAUUAGUUAGAUGUAUUAUAUAAUGUAUAGUAGUUUAUGUAAUAUAAUUGAUAUUAUCAAUUAUAUGAAUAAUUAUACAUGUCUACUAAUAAAAUUUAUUAAUUAGUUAUACUAAAUUUACUAAUACAUUUAUACUAAAUUUCUAAUUACACUUAAUAGAAUAACACUUUUUUCUCAAAAAAAAGCACAAACACAAUAAUGAAUUAGUGAUUGCAUUUGUACUAAAAGUGAAAACUUGACUAUUUUAGUUAUAUUUAUUUCAUCAUAUUGGAUUGUAUUCAAAUAACUUUUGUUUGAUUGUUUUUAUGAGUUUCAAUUGUAAAAUUACAAUGAAUAAUAAUUUGGUGAUGUGUUCAUAUUUUAGUACUUGAUUAUUUAUUAAAAUUUAAUUAUAAUAAAAUUAUAUAAUAAAAUUUUAUUAACCCCGCGGGGGAAGCAGGGCAAGGCGGGGCGGGGGCGGGGGACGGGGGAGGGUCUCCCGCCCCAACCCCGCCCCGUUGCCAUCCCUAAUUUCGUGAACGUUGAAGGACCAAUACCUAUUAAGAUCGCAAAACUAAUUUUGGAGUCUCCAGAACACAUAAUUCUUAAAGAAUAUUCAAGCCAUUUUUUUUUUCAGGGUUCGUUUUCACACUCUAAUUUUUUAACUCUACAUCAGUUAAUCAAAUGACUUCAAUUUAUUAGUGCCACUAAUUUCAAGGUCAAAUUUGCUUAAAUUUUCAGUUUUGCAAGUCCCUGGAAACUUUUAUCAUCUUCAUCUCAAGUAUCCCUGUAUUCUUGCUUUUAUUAUUCACCCAUGUAAUCUUGAUUCUAAAUGCACAUAUGCCUCAUUGCUAAAGUUUUUAUUCAAUGUUACUUGAUAACAACUCAUAAGUAUGCCCUUAUGAAACAGCAACAAGGAAGAUCUUGAAUGCGCCUAUUCGCAACCCAGGAAUAAAUUAACCUAAGUACAUCCCAGUAACAUGGAGAAUCAAAUCAUGGUUUCACAUAAAAUAUGAUGGACCAAACCUUUUUUCACAUAUCAAAAUAAAGAAAUAUAACUUGACAUAAGUUACCCUGGAAUGAUAAUGCAAUAAUAUCUACUAUAGGGGGAGGGUUGGGUUGGGUGGUACGGGGGAAGGAGUGUAAGCAAGAGGCCUCGGGUUCGAAUCCUACUGUUUACACUAAAAAAAAACAAUAAUAUCUGCUACAUAAACUUCUCAAUUAUGUCUGUUUUUUUUUUUAACUUCUCAUUUAUGUCUAACUGCUUCUAAAAAAUGUCAGUGUCAAUAUAAUCAUUAAGAAGAAAAAUAUUGGACUGCAAAAGUGGACUUUAAGAGAAGGUUCAAGAAAAAAGGAGACUGUGCAAUUAAAUGGCAAACAUCACUUUGAUAACAAUACAUAUUUACUUAAGACGAAUUGUAUAAAAGAAUAAACGCAAAGACUAAGAUUGUAAUUUUUUUUAUUUUUUUUAAAUAUAAGAAUCACCUAUUAAGCUCUAUAAUUAAUAUUAAAUCUAAAAAGUCAAUUAUUUGGCCUUUAAAACUGUGUUCACAAACUUUUUAUCUCUUCAUACUCAGAUUUUAUAUAAUGUUUUAGCAAAAUCAAUAAGAACACAUGAGAAAACUAUCUCUAAAAGGCUAAGGCCGUAAAAUAAAGAGAAUGACCAAGGCAAACAAAGAGCAAAAAUGAGCAAAAUAUGACAUGAAAUAUUUGUCUCUAAAAAAGGACAAGCUCAGUGCUAAGAAAGAUAUAAAAGCUUCUUAGAAAAAGAAGCUUAGAACCAUACAAUUUUAACUAACCUAUAUCACAUUUGAAGUUUGAAUAAUUAAAAGUUCAAUGGACCGAACUAUUGUCUUGAAAUAAUAUGAGUUUUGCAAUUCUACGGUAGAUUCAUAAAAGUGCUUAAGAAACACGUGGGAUAACACUGUUGAGAAUGAUGUGUUCACUGAAUAACGAAAUAUGAUUUCAUCACAACUCCAAAUAUUAUCAUAGAAAUUUAUAAGUAAGAUAAUUAAGUAGUAUUAUCUUAAAACUAAAGGGAGAAAUUUUGUUUCAAUGUCGACAAAUGCAACGUGCAUUUUCUUAGUCUAUUAUUAAAAACUUGUCCAAGGAUUCUUCCAUUUUUAUAAUAGGUGUUAUCUCAUUUUAUAUGCUAAAAUUACUAAAUUAAUUUUGAGAGGUCGUUAAGUCUAUUCUAUAUCUAAAGUACCCCUUCAGAUGAUAAACUAUUUAGGGGGAAAAAACUGUGAAUUUGAACAUGCCUAAAAGAAUUAAGAAAUAAAUUUACAAUAAGGAAAGAUAGACUUAUUAUCAUUAGUGGUGACUGAAAGCAUUUUUUGUUUGAGUGAGAAUGACCCCUAUUUUUUAUUAGAUAAAAAAUUUAAAGAAUUAAAGAUGCUCAUAAAAUAAGAUGAAACAAUAAGGGAAGGAAAUAAAUCAAUCCAUUAAGGCUGUAGGCGAGGAACUUUAAAACUUCCUACAAAGAUAUUCUAGAAUAAGUCUGAAAAUAAUAGUAACAAAGUUGGUUUACAUUAAUAGCUUGAACAACACAAGAAAAUUAUUAAAAAAUAUUUAGUAGUUUGCCAUAGAACACAAACCACCUUAUGAAUUAUACUUGUUUGACAAUAUCAAAACUCUUUCCACAAAGCACUUAAACACCACAUACAUCAUCACACUUGAGCUCGAAUCUAGCUCAAAUCUCGGAUCGUUUACACCCAAUACAUGAGUGGUUGAGUGAUCUAGAAAUGCGCUGGAUUUUUGAAACUGAAAAAAAAUAUCUUUUUAUAUUUGUAAUGAUUUGACAAUUUAGAUUGAAUCAUAUAAUAAGUCCAGAUUUGAAUGUAUUGGAUGGUACCGGAGAAGCGAACGUAAAACAAGAUGGUAAAAGAAAAGGUCCUUAGUUAAACUGCAAAUUAACUCAUGUGAUUAGCUCGUGAUUGUCCACACGGCGGAUCGAAAGUGGUAAGAGAUGAAACUAAAGUAUCAAAUUUUUGUUGUCCCAUACUAUUUGGAUUUCAGUGAGGUUUAUGGAGUAAUGUGAAAUCUCAGCGUACAAAAAGGGGCCGCAAUCAAGAAUAUUUUGACUGAUCAAGCGCUUGCAUUUUGUCUUCUUCCUAUUAUUUGUUUCUAAAAUGCCAUCCUAAGGUGCAUUACUAAAUAAAGGCCCACUUGGCAAAUAAGUUUUUUGGGUAUUUGUUUAAAAUUUUACUGUAAUUUACUGUAAAAGUUGUAGGGAAUAUUUUUGAAGUGUGUAAAUUUUUCAAUAUUUUGAUGUGUAUAGUUUAAAAGUUUUAAAAAAAUUUUUGAGAUUAAUAUAGUUAAAAUAAUUUAAAAAUUUGUAACAGACAAAUUUGACAAAAAACUUGCUUGUCAAACAUGCCCAAAAUUUGCUUUUGACCACUUUGCAGAUCAAAAUAGUCUUCAGAUUUGUAAACAUUAUUAGUUUAAAGAAUUACUCUAGAGUGCAAUUUAGAAAUCCAUUGUAAACGAGAACAAGCCAUGUAACAAGAUGUCAAACAAACUAAGAAGAAUUUUUUUCAACAAAAGUCCUUUAUUCAACCUUUAAAAUAUCUUUUUCAUUUGUUCCAGUUGAAAAGAAUUACUCCACGAUCAAUUUUUUACAAAAGUCCUUUUGAAUAUCUGUUGGCGCAUACAAAAUUUAAAAUUGUAUUGUUAUGGUAGGCUUUACUUUCAUUUUGACAAUAAAUGCCUUGUUGUUUUGCCUGAUUAUGUUUACUGCAGGAAUACACACUUCAGCUCUGACCAUGGAGUGGUUUAUGUCCCUUGUGCUAAACCACCUUGAGGUAUUGGAGAAGGUAAGAAAUGAAAUAGACAACAAUGCCACACAAUCAGGGCAACUGAUUGAGGAUUCAGAUCUCUCCAAAUUGCCGUAUUUAUGUUGAAUAAUUAAAGAAACAUUUGGACUUUUUCCGGCAGCACCAACGCUUGUGCCUCAUUUUUCAUUUGGGGAUUGCAGUAUAGGAGGCUUUAAAAUUCCUAAAAGGCAAACUUCGUUAGUAAAUACUUGGGUUAUUCAUAGAGACCCUAAUGUCUGGGAAGAACCAAACAAGUUUAAGCCAGAAAGCCAGAAAUUCGAGGGAAUGAAGAGGUAUGUGAAGAAGGGUUCAAAUUUCUUCCAUUUGGGAAAGAUAGGAGGGCUUGUCCAGGGACAGCCCCGAGCAUGAGAUUGAUUAACCUGUCAUUGGGAACAAUGCUACAAAGUUUUGAUUGGUAAAGACUGGGUCCACGGUUGGUGGAUUUGGAAGAAAAAUCUGGUUUUGACUUUGGGCAAGGCCAAGUCUUUGGAAGGGAAACCUUUAUGGUAGGAAGGCGUUCUACCGUAGGUAGAGGAGCAGAGCAUGACACGUGUAUUUGGAAAUAAAGGUGCUAACGGACCGGUUAUGUUGUAGUCCUAAUGCGCGUGGAGAAUGUCAGCCAUAUAGAAACAUUGUAUGUGAUUUGGUAUAUUUUAAUACUGUAUCAUUUUCAAGACAUUGAUCAAACAUGAUCAGUUCAAUUUCUUUCAUUUUCUCCAAAAACUCUCAUUUUUUUCUUCUCGUAUCUUUUUCGUUUUCAAUAGAUCAGUUUGGACCAAAAAAAUAAAAUAAAAUUGAAACUAUGUAAAAGAUUCAUAAAUUAAUUGAAAAACACUUAAUAGACUACCCAAAACAUUAUCUUUGUAACUUGCAAAAACUUCAAAUAAACAUUCAAGUACUAACUAUUGGUAUUUAAAAAAUGCACUAUAUUUUAUCGAAUCAGAAUAAAUCCUUAUACUUUUUUAUUUUUAUUUGUUUUUAAUAUACUCAAGUUUUGGUAAUAAAAAGUAAGACAACAAAAGGGUAAAUUUGGAAUUACAUAAUUUAAUGUACUCAAAAUGAAUUUUUUAAAUAUUAUAUUUUAAAAUGAGCUGUAAAUAAACAAAUAGUUUAAAGUAAGGGAGGCAAGUGAGUUUCACACCCAAAAAAAAAAAAAGAGAGGCAAGCGAGAUUUUUUAAAAUUUGUGAGUGCCAAGUAAAAUUGUUAGAAACCUCCGGGGAGGUCUAUGAAAUUAUCCCAAACAAAAAUUUAGAAUGAAUAAGUUGCUUUUUAUAACGGUUCUAAAGGUUGCUUGAGACUUUAUAAAUUAGGUGUCUUGAGUUUGCAAAAACAAUUUCUUGCAUAUCUAUAGCUAGUGGAAACGGAGUUUAAACUUGCUAUAGGUUAGUUUCUUUCUUUCCAUUGUAUCCUAAAGGGUAAUUUGCCAUUCAACCUAAUUUUAUUCUGAUUUUAUCCAACUAAUAAAUUAGCUUAUGGAAAAAUGGGUAAAUGGAUAAUUUAUGGAGGAAAACCAUAAAGAGCUGGUGUUUUAUUGGAAAACGGGUUUUUUUUAUUUUAUCCGAUAAAUAAAUUUGUUUAUGAAAAAAUAGGUACUCUGUUCCUAUAAUGGAGGAAAUCCAUAAAGAGUUGGUGUUUUAUUGGAAAACGGAUUUAUUUUUAUUUUAUCCGAUAAAUAAAUUUGUGUAUGGGAAAAUGGGUAUUCUGUUUUUAUAAUAGAGGAAAGCCAUAAAGAGUUGGUGUUUUAUUGGAAACGGGUUUAUUUUUAUUUUAUCUAAUAAAUAAAUUUGUUUAUGGGAACAUAGGUACUCUGUUCUUAUAGUGGAGGAAAGCCAUAAAGAACUGAUAUUUGAUGGGAAAAUGAUAUUUUAGGAUACCAAUAGAUAACAGUUAAAACACAUUCACAGAUUUGGUAUUUUAAAUAAUGAGAUUGUUUUUAGAGGUGUUUUUAUGGUUGUAUUUUGGGAUAUUUUUAGAAUUUAAGAAUUCUUUGACAUAUUUUAUAAAAAUUUCAACCACCCACUACCACACAUUGGGACCACGGGCUAGCGAUUUUGUACAUUUUGCACACCGACCCAUAAAGAGCGGGUGCUUUGUUCAUAUGUUGGAGGAGUGCCAUAAAGAGCUGGUAUAUUAUGGGUAAAUGGGCACUUCAUGCAGCAAAACUGUAAAUUGGUAGCAUUUCUAUAAAGAAUAAAUGAAAAACGGGUAUAAUUGGCAAUUUGCUCUGAUUUUAUCUAAUAAAUAAAUUAUUAAUCCUAUGAUACCCUGCAUAAUUAAUAAAAAAUUUAUGAAAAAAUAGGUAUAACAUGUUAAACCCACAUAUUCGCCAUUUACUCUGACUGUAUUUGAUAAAUAAAUUAUUAAUCCUUCGGUACCCUAGACUUAUGAAAUGGACACUGGUGGGUUAUGCAUGCAACAUGAAUUAAAUAAAUAAUUCAUGGAGGAGUGGUAUAAAGAGCUGGUAAUUCAUUGAAAAAAGGGGAAAAUAAGCACUUUAUGGAGGAAAGCCAAAAAUAAAUAGUAAUUAAUGGGAACAUGGGUAUUACAUAUUAAACCCAUUUAUUCACUAGAAAUUUUACUUUGAUUUUAUCCUGUGAAUAAAUUAGCAUUUUUGGAAUUUAUACAUAAUUAAUUUUUUCUUUUGCAUUUCUAUAAAAAAUUAAUCGAAAAUUUUUUUUUGAGAGCACAAAAAUUCACAAGUCAAAAGUUUGGUCUAAAAGGGAAAGAAACAACUGAAUAUCAUUGUUUUAAGUACUAAAUAAAUAGAUGUAAAAUACUCGUUAAAAGUUGGUACUUUGAUCAUAUAAUGAAGGAAAGCUAUAAAGAGCAGGCCAUUUACGGGAAAAGUUUUCAUUAAUAAAAAUACGUAACGUGAGGGGGAGAGGAGGCCAAUUAGGGUGAGAGUGGCAGUAGCAGUGUGUGGUGGGUGGUGACAGGGGUGGUGGUGGGAGAGAGAAGAAAAGGGAGGAAGGAGAGGGAGAAGAGAGGAGAGUGAAAGAGGAAGAAGAGAGAGAGAGAGAGAGAGAGAGAGAGAGAGAGAGGGAGGAGAAGGGGGGUGGCAGUGGGUGGGAUGAGGGGCAGGAGUGGUCAUCAGAUGGACCGCUCUUGAGCUGUUCACGGGCCAAGGUUUGGCCCAAAAAAAUUGUACGGUUCAGAUCACUUCUUGUACCUCGUUUUUAACGAAGUGUGUGGGGCCCACAAAAAUUUGUUCUAAAGUUAUGCGUUGUGUAAAUAAAGCUACAUUGUGUGCAAAUAAAAUUACGCGGUGUGCAAAAUAUACAAAAUCGCUAGCCCGUAGUCCCAGUGGGUGGUGGUGGGUGGUUGAAAUUUUUAUAAACUAUCUCAAAUAAUUCUUAAAUUCUAAAAAUAUCCCAAAAUACAACCAAAAAAACACCCCUAAAAACAAUCUCAUUAUUUAAAAUACCAAAUCUGUGAAUGUGUUUUAACUGUUAUCCAUUGGUAUCCUAAAGUAUCAUUUUUUCCUCAAAUAUCAGCUCUUUAUGGCUUUCUUCCAUUAUAAGAAUAGAGUACCUAUGUUCCUAUAAACAAAUUUAUUUAUCAGAUAAAAUAAAAAUAAACCCGUUUCCAAUAAAAUACCAGUUCUUUAUGGCUUUCCUCUAUUAUAAGAACAGAAUACACAUUUUCCCAUGCACAAAUUUAUUUAUCGGAUAAAAUAAAAAUAAAUCCGUUUUCCAAUAAAACACCAGCUCUUUAUGGCUUUCCUCCAUUAUAAGAACAGAGUACCCAUUUUUUCAUAAACAAAUUUAUUUAUCGGAUAAAAUAAAAAUAAACCCGUUUUCCAAUAAAACACUAGCUCUUUAUGGCCUUCCCCCAUAAAUUAUCCAUUUUUCCAUAAGCUAAUUUAUUAGUUGGAUAAAAUUAGAAUAAAAUUAGGUUGAAUGGCAAAUUAUCCUUUGGGAUACAAUGGAAAACAAGAAACUAACCUAUAGCAAGUUUAAACUCCGUUUCCACUAGGUAUAGAUAUGCAAGAAAUUGUUUUUGCAAACUCAACACACCUAAUUUAUAAAGUCUCAAGCAACCUUUAGAACCGUUAUAAAAAGCAACUUAUUCAUUCUAAAUUUUUGUUUGGGAUAAUUUCAUAAACCUCCCCGGAGGUUUCUAACAAUUUUACUUGACACUCACAAAUAUUGAAAAAUCUCACUUGCCUCCCUUACUUUAAACUAUUUGUUUAUUUACAGCUCAUUUUAAAAUAUAAUAUUUAAAAAAAUCAUUUUGAGUACAUUAAAAAAUGUAAUUCUAAAUUUACCCUUUUAUUGUCUUAAAAAAUGUAAUUCUAAAUUUACCCUUUUGUUGUCUUAUUUUUAUUACCAAAACUUGAGUAUAUUAAAAACAAAUAAAAAUAAAAAAGUAUAGUGCAUUUUUAAAAUACCAAUAGUUAGAAUUUGAAUGUUUAUUUGAAGUUUUUGCAAGUUACAAAGAUAAUGUUUUGGGUAGUCUAUAAAGUGUUUUUCAGUUAAUUUAUGAAUCUUUUACAUAUUUUCAAUUUUAUUUUAUUUUUUUGGGUCCAAAUUGAUGUAUUGAAAAUGAAAAAGAUACAAGAAGAAAAAAUGAGAGUUUUUGGAGAAAAUGAAAGAAAUUGAACUGAUCAUGUUUGAUCAAUGUCUUGAAAAUGGUAGAGUAUUAAAAUAUACCAAAUCACAUACAAUGCUUCUAUAUGGCUGACAUUCUCCAUGUGCGUUAGGACUAUAACAUAACCGGUCUGUUAGUACCUUUAUUUCCAAAUACAUGUGUCAUGCUUGCUCCUCAACCUACGGUAGGACGGUCAAUGCCCUUCCUACCAUAAAGGUAUCCUCUUUGGAAGCAUUGUGCACAAGUCACACUCAUCCAUGAUUGAUAAUCAUUUCGCAGCUCUGAGUUAGGCUCCCAAGGUAACUAAAGAAACAUUUAUUUAGUUGUUUAUGAAGAUUGUAUCACGAUAAGAUCGAAAAUCGAUGCGCUCAAUCAUUCAACAAAAAAAAUAAAAUAAAAUAAAAAUAGAUGCGCUCAAACGAAAAAGGUGCACCCAAUGCUAAGCGUGUGCAACCGUCAAAAUGAGAGCAAAGAAAUAUUUAUGGAUUAAAUAAAAACAUUAUAGAUAAAUAGGCUUUGAAUAAAACUAUAUCUGGUUUUCUUUCAUUUUUUAUUUUUUCGGCCUUCUGAAAUUACUGCAAAUAUCAUCUAUUAGUUCUUUGGUUUCCAAAUUUGUGAUUGUAGAACUCCCAUAGUUCAAUAACCUUAAAUGAUUUUCUGUUGGUAGUCAUAAAUUGGUUUUGGGGCGUUUUACAACUCAAGCAACUGAAAAUACAUAUCUCAUGUGUAGGAUGCUAUCAAGUUGAGUCAAACCCAUAUGUACAAGGUUCUCGAGUUCGAGUUCAAAAAAAAAUUAGUUAAACUUGAAUUUGAACUCGAGUUCAACAAAUAUCAUAUAUUAGUGCUCAAUCUUGAUUAAAGAAAAAUAUGAGGAGCUCAAUUAGCUUGUUUAAGCAAAUUGAGCUCGGCAAAAUAAAAUUGUAAUUUGUCCUAAAAAAACUAUUAUGUAGAUAAUUUUACAUUUAUAUUAAAAACAUGUACACAGACACACAGAUUCACACAUAUUUAUUCAACAAGCUUGAUGAAAUUUUGAGUAGUAUUAUGUGGAGAUCUUGAUGUGUUAAGUUCAUGAGUAAAGAAUUGUAUCUCACCUUGAUUUCAACGAAAGAGAAAGAGUCCUUAAUAUGUUAGUAAGGGUUCAGAAUCUAAUAGUUUAAGUUUUUGGGUUAGCAUUGGAUUUCUGACUUAUAUUAUUGGGUAUCUUUGGUGAGCUCUCACGAGUGUUUCUCCCUAAUAAGUUGUAUCAGAGUUUCUAGUUACGGAACUGGACUACUUAUAGGCAAGUCGACUCUUCUCGGAUUUGGACCAGUGAAAUUCUCAUCUUGGUGGUGGAUCAAAGUGCUAAGGAAUUUGAUUGAUGUUAGACCAGAUGCACUAGGAGUUUGGUAAGGAUCUAGUUGGUGUUAGAUCAAGGAGUUAAGGGUUGGUAGGGUCUAAGAUCCGAUUUGGAUGUUGAAGAAGAGUCGGUCCAUGAGUUGAGAAGAGGUGACCUUGAGUGUUAAGGUGCAAGGUCCACUAAGAGUUUGGUAGGGGAUCCAGUUGUUGUUAGGCCAAGAUGGUAAGGGUUGGUAGAGUUCGAUAUUCGAUUUGGAUGUUGAAGAAGUGUAGGUCCAUGAAUUGAGAAGAAGUGAACUUGAGUGUUAAGGUGAGUUUUUAUUGAGUAUUAAAGUGAACUCAGUAGAACUUCUAAACUUGGAUUCAAUAUAAGUGCCAAGGGAUUUGAUUGGUGCUGGACCAAGUGCAUCAAGAGUUUGGAAGGGAGUUCAGUUGGUAUUAGACUAAGUAGGUAAGGGUUGGCAGGGGGUCCAAGAUCCAGUUUGGAUGUUAAAAAAGAGUGGGUCCAAGAGUUGAAAAGAUGUGAUUUUGAAUGUUCAAAUGAGUUUGCACUGAGUGUUAAACCAAGGAGCUAAGGAUUGAUUGGGGUUGGAGAUCUAGUUUAGAUGUUGAAGAAGAAUGAGUCCACGAGUUGAAAAGAGGUGACCUUGAAUGUUAACAUGAGCUUAUAUUGUGUAUUAAAGUGGAAUCAAAAUAGAUCUUGUAAACAUGGAUUCAAUGUGAGUAUCAAGGAAUUUGGUUGGUGUUGGACCAAGUUUAGGGGAGGUUCGAGAUCCGUUGUAAAAGAGUAGAUCCAUGUGUUGAGAAGAGGUCACCUUGAUUGUUAAGGUGAGUGUACAUUGAGUACUAAAAUGGGUCAAAGAAGAGUUUGUAAAUUUGGGUCCAAUGUAAGGAGCUACACAUGAAGGGGAAAAUUAUUAGGUUCACGAGUAAAGAAUUUUGUUUGACAUUGGUUUGAAAGAUGGAGAAAGAGUUCUUAAUUUAAGUUCAUGAGUAAAGAAUUGUGUUUAAUAUUGGUUGAAAGAUGGAAAAAAAGUCCUUAAUAUAUAAGUAAGAGCCCAAAAUCUAGUAGAUUAAACUUUUAGGUUAAUCCCAAAAUCUAGUAGAUUAAACUUUUAGGUUAUCGUUAGAUUCCUAACUUGUAUAUUAGGUCUCUUUGAUGAGGUCUCGAUUUAUGGAUCAACUUGAAGUACUUGAAUUCGACUUGACUUUUGAAUUUCACUGAACACUUUUGAGUCUUUGACUGAGCUGCCUGAUCUAUUGCCUUUUUUUUUUUUUUUUAAAUCCUAGCAAAAAGUCAAGAUCUCUAAUUUCUGGGCCCUCAAUUUUAACCACUACACUAAACCAAGGCAUCUUUGACCUUUUUUUUCUAAUUAUUUUCGUAACAAAGGAAGGGUAGAAUUUAAGAAACGAGAAAGAAGCAAGUGACUAGAAUUUAGAACCUCUAACUCUUGGGGCCUCAACCCACUGCCUACUUGCGAAAAAUGAAAAAUGUGAUAGAGGCAUGUAAAUUAUUCCCAAUAAAGAUAUAAAAAUUGGUCAAAAAAAUAUAUAAAAAUUUUAGAAAAUAUUAUUUACACUUGUGUUGGUGUUAGCGGUACUCUUUUUUUUUUCUUCCAUGUGCUUUUGCAAAGAUUUGAAACAAAAUGGACCGUCAAUCGUCAUUAACAAUAAUUGGACAAUUCGUCAAUAAAAUUAGCCAAAUAUUAAUUCCUUUCAUUGAUGAAUUGGACUGAAGUGUUCAUUGAAUUGUUACUUUGAAGCUGUAUAUUGUCUUCUACCUAGACGCAAUGAGGUAAGACUACUUACUCCUUCCGCAAAAGAUUUGCAGCAAUCUUAAAAAUGUCAAAAGAGACAAAGGUAAAAACAAUAAAUUUAAAAGAACAAAAUUGCCCUGCGUAUUGCACUUAUCAGUUAAGUCUUCUUGUAACUUUUAUAACCACAUCAUUUACUAUUGAUUGAGACAGAUAUUAAUCCAUCCGGUCAUACACAAUCUAUAUCUAUAUGUAUUCACGAAGGGGUUUUUAGCAGAAACCCUCUCAAUGGCUUCUAAACUUCUCAUUAUUUUUUCUAGAUUUUUGUAUUUAUUUUAAUCAUAAAAGUAGUGGAUUAUAACCCACCUUAUCACCAAUCAAAUUUAAAUUUGAAAUAUUCCCACUAUCCUCCAAUUUAAAAAUUUCACUCCAAUUAAAACUCCUCCAAACAUAGCAUCCUCCAUCAAUUUAAAUAAUUAAUUAAUAUGUUAUUCAAUAUUUAUAGAUAUUUGAUAUACACCUCUGAUUUAUCUGGACCUUCAAAGAUGUACAUGGAAUAUAAAGGUUAGAUUAUUUAGAUUAAUUGAUAUGACGAUAUCUGGAGUGUUUUAGCGUUCAAGGUGCAUCAAAAUGAUUUUUAUUAAUGAUCAGGUAAUCAUUCAAAUCAUAUCUUAUUUAUUAUGUUGAGUUUUAAUAUUUACUAACUUUUUAAAAAAAUUAUCAGAAAUUUGACAUGCAAGGAAUAAUAAGAGGGAGUAGUAUGCUUAGUAUUUUCGGACAACACCUCCGUGAAGGUAAGAUAUAUUUGUUUCAGAAUAUACAUGUAAUCCCAGCAGAUGCCAAGUACCGGAUUGCACCACAUCAGUUCCAGUUAUCAUUUGAGAAUGAUACAAAAAUAGUGAAGAUUUUAGAUAAUUGUGCAACCAUCCCCCGUUUCAAGUUUAAUUUGGUCAAAUUGAGACGUAUAGAACAGUACAUGGAUAAUGAUAUGCAAUUGAUAGGUACGUCCUCACAAUUAAUAUCAUUUUUAUUAUAUUUCUGCAAAUCACUUGCUAUUAAUUAAAAUUUUUUUAUUUAUUACAGAUGUAAUUGGUUUAGUUGUAUCUGUUGGUUCAUACUAUCAGAUAUCUACUAAUAACAAAAUUGGUCGGGAGAUACUAUUGGUUGACAAAAGGUUAGUUAACAAAUCUCGACAUCUUUAAAACUUUUUAUUUUUAGAGAAUUUAGAUUUGCACUUAUCAAAAUUUUGUUAACACAGUUUGACAGUAGCUCGAUUCAUAUUGUGGGAUAAAUUUGCUAAUGAUAAUGGUGAAUAGUUAUAUCAAUCUGCUACAAAAAAUAAUAUUUUACUAGCAUGUGGUAUUUGCGUAUGAAAUUUCAGAGAUAAAUCAAUUGCUUUUAGUUAUAUUCUAUAUAUUUUGAAUAGCUUUUGAGCGAACAUAAUCAUACUAUGCAGGACCAUCACUGUGCACAAUUGGAGCUAGCAAAUUGUAUAUUAAUCACAAUUUAAAUUUUGCUCGAUACCUGCGCAGUUAGUGAGUUCCUUAGUAACACUAUAUCAAACUAUUAAUAUUGUUUCGUACUCUUAUUGACAUGUAUUUCAAAAAAAUUGCAGGUUUGAAAAUAAUACAUUUGCUUGCAAGUUAGUUACGUGGUUGAGAUCAAGCAAUUUCACAACACCACAAGCACUGUUGAUAGCAAAUUUAAAGAGAAUAUGGAUAUCUGAAUAUACAAUCAUGCCUACGGUAAGUUUACUCAAUUUUAAUUAAUUACUGAACGAUUUUUUUAAAUUUAUAAUCAUAACCUAUAUCUUCUUUCAUUCUUAUUAGGUUAAAUAUUUUCGAAUACUUGAUUAUAUUCAGAGCAUUAACAUAGAAAAUAUGUUCAACGAGCUAUGCAAAAAUUGUGGACAACUAUGUGAAGAUCAUUUUUCAAAGACAGUGUGUAUGCAUUGUAAUGACGUGGUUGAUACUGUUAUUAGGUAAUUAAUUUCAUGUAUAUUUAACUUCAAUAUAUUUUUCUGUAUUGCAUAUAAUAUUUUAUUUGUCAAACAGGUACAAUGUUAACAUAUAACUUAGAGAUUCCAGUGGUAACAUACAUAUUAAUCUACAAGACAGACAUGCACGAUUUGUAUUUUGUUGUGAUGCUUUUUAUCUCAGAGAAUUACAAAGGAAGGUAGAAUUUCUUAAUAUAUAUUUAUUUUUUAUAAUACUAUUUAUAAACUAUGUAAAAAAUAUACUAAUUUUGUACGUUCUUAAUUAUCAGGAAAAUGGUGAUAGGUUGUUCGGCCAAUGAAUUAAUUCAUGCAAAAAUCGUGUAUUUUCAUUUGUAGUACGCACUCCACAAAAUUGAACAGAAUUAAUUAAAUCACCAAUUUUGGAAUUUGUAAUAAAAGUGGAUUGGUGUGAAGAGUGUUCACACCUUCAAGCAAGAUUAUCAAAUCGAAUGCUUAGUAUUUGUAAGUAUUUCAUUUUAACAACAUUCAAUUACAUUCAUUUGUAGAAAUAUAUCAUUCCCUUUUUUAAUAUAAAUUUUUUUUUCAGGAUCCAUCUUCCGAAAAAAGACAGUUCUUGAAUGAUAUACACAUUCGAUUAUAUUUCAAACUAUUAUUAAACAGAUAUUACAUUUUGAUUUUGUUGGUACAAUUUUUUCACCUUUAUUUGUUCACCAUUUUAUUUUUAUUAUUUUCAAUAAUGUUAGCACCGUGCGUAGCACGGGUGUUCACACUAGUGUAAGAGUAUUGAAGUGAAUAAUCAACACCAAAAUUUCCCUCUUGCUUCUUGAUCAAGGAGGUUCUCUUCAGCAUUCUACUUUUGAGCUUCGCCAUGUUCUUGACUCUGAAGCAUUCCCUGGAGCAAAAGAAGAACAAACAGCCUCCAAGUCCACCAGCCCUUCCAAUUGUAGGUCAUAUACACCUCAUGAGAAAUACUGCUCCUCGCUUGGCAUUCCAUAAGCUCUCCAUCAAAUACGGCCCCUUGAUUUCCCUUUAUUUUGGGACCCGCCGCAUCCUUGUCGUGUCAUCUCCAUCACUUGCAAAGGAAUGCUUCACCAAGAAUAACGAUAUUGCCUUUUGUAAACCGGCCUGAUUCCAUUUCCGCUCAGCACCUUGGCUAUAACUACACUAGCCUUGCGUUUUCUCCAUAUGGAGAUCACUGGCGUAAUCUCUGCCGUCUAACGGCCAUCCAUAUAUUUUCUUUACUUACUCUCCAACAAUAUUCAUCAAUCUGGAGAGAUGAACUACGUUUUGUUGUCAAAAAACUGUUCUCAAGUAGCUCUGAUGAGAAAACAUGGAAAGUUGCAGACCUGAACUCUUUGUUCUUGGAAUUGCUUUUCAAUGUGGUAAUGAAAAUGGUUGCAGGAAAAAGAUGGCCAUCCGAACAAUCAGGGGAUAUAUUUACACCAAGAUCGUUCUUGGAAAUUUGUGUGCGUUCCAAUUUUAAGGUGGAUCAGUUUUGGAUGGCCGGAGAAGAGUAUGAUUUACUUGCACAGGAAAAGAGACAGAGUUCCACAGGGUCUGAUUGAUAAAAUGCGAAAAAAAGGAAGGUAAAGAUGUUGCAUGUUCAACCAAGAGAAAAGAUAUUAUUCAAGCAUUGAUGUCUCUGCAAGAAGCUGAUCCUGAAUACUACACCGAUGUAUGAAUGUAAGCCCCUUUUCAUUUCAAAAAUUUCAAUUAGAAUUUCCCUCAGUUAUGUUUUUUAAGCAAGAUGAUUCACGGAGUGAUAAACCUUGUGCCUUGUAACCACAUCCAAGGUCAUAUAUCACUUUCCAGCCUGUACUGUCUGUCAUUGCAGUUGCAGGUUCAACCGCAGAGAGCAAUUUCUGGUUUCAAUCAGUAGCUAAUGUGGCCGGACAUAGGCUGCUGAUCCCAAAUGUUCUUUUAUUUCAUUUGCUAAAUUAGAUUUGAUAAUCAAGCAAACAUUUUGAUGGGGCCGGUGAUUAACUUUCACAGUUGCACCUAGUAAGGAUCACAUUCACUGUGUUGAAAUUUGGGGGCAUGACGUUAAAAUCAUUGAGUUUUACAAAAUUUCAUCUGCAUUAACGGACAAAUCCUCGUUGUUAGGUGUUGCUAAUGGUCACUAGCUCAGCUUUGAACAACUAUGUUUCCUAUAUACCAUUUUAUAAUUCAUGAUUUCUGUUUCUGCAUGUCUCAAAUUUUUUUUUGGUGGCUCAAAAGGGAAACAGAAAAAUACUAAUAUCCUUGUUUUUACCCUUAUAAAAUUUUUAACAAAGAACAUUAAAAUCAUGUUUCAACAAUAAAUACUCCAAUAAACCACUUCAGACUUUAACACUCCAAAUAUAACUACAAAAUCUUUUAGAUACAAAUUGAGGGACAAUCAGGAAAAAAAGUAAAUUGCAACUCGUCAAACAUCAAUUUCUUGAACUGUGAGCAAAAUUAAGUAUAACUAACGAAAAGGAAAGGAAAAAUUAUCCGUAACCUUGGUCGCGUAAAAAGAGUCAAGACUUCAACUGCUGAGGUUCCAGAUUGAUAUGACUUGAUGAAAGAUCUCAAAAACUAGGCAGAUGAAAGCGUCCAGAAAAGAGCUUCUGAAUUCUUAGUUCCAGAUUGAUGUGUGCUGAUGAAAAGGGUAAAAAGAGUCAAGACUUCAACUGCUGAGGUUCCAGAUUGAUAUGACUUGAUGAAAGAUCUCAAAAACUAGGCAGUUGAAAGCGUCCAGAAAAGAGCUUCUGAAUUAUUAGUUCCAGAUUGAUAUGUGCUGAUGAAAGCUCUCAAAAUCUGGGCAGUUGAAUUGAAAGUGUCUAGAAAAGAGCUUUGAAGCAUAAGGAGUCGAUUAAUUUGGUGCACUAAAGAAUUUUUUUUUUAAGUGGUGACAUGUAUAAGCAUCUAUAUUAUAGUUUAACUGUUAAAAUGGAUAGAUUUUUUUUUCUUUUUUUUUUACGCAAAAAAUAUCGUAAAGAUCUUAAUCAUAGUUUUCACAAGAGGAGACCAUCAAAUACAUCAUAGGAAUUAAAAACAUGGAUAGUUGAGAGAAAUUUCCAAAAUUAUGAUGAUUUUUAAAAAAUUUCUGUAAAAGGGGCAUUUUGAGUAUGCAAUUCCAUCCAAAGAGUCUUCGCAUUCAGCGAAUGUGAGCCAUGGAGCUCACAUUUGCUGAACGCGAAGUCACUCUGAAUUUUUAGACCCACAAAGUCCAAAAAAAAAAAAAAAAAAAAAACAGAAAACCAGACCUCGCAUUCAAAAAAUGCGAGGUCUGGCACCUCGCAACAAAUUGAAAGCUUUGGUAUUUGCUGAAACGAACUCGUGUUAAGAAGUAGAACCGCUAAAAUUUUAUUGGCAUUGACCUCUCAGUUUGUUUUCUCCUCAUUUGCUGUGUUUUAUGUUCUUUGUGGGAAUUCUUUGCUAACAUUAGUAGUUCCUCUAGAGAACGUCCACUUUUGAAACCAGUUAGGAGAUUCUAAAAAUUGACCAUUACUACAAUUGGUGCAAGCCAUUUUGCUAAACGUGAGAUCUAAAUUUUUUUUUUUUAUGUUAGAGCUAUCAUGAUAUGAAAAAUAUAUGUUCUGUCAGAGAAAAUAAAUAUUUUUUAAAUAUUUAUUGUAACUGUGAUCAUUUUGCUCUUUUUGACGACUUUGCAUAUUGUCAUUUACUAAAUGCAAGCUCCUAAAAAAAUUAAAUUUAAAUAAUAUUUGUUUUCUUCUAGCGAGCUUCUACAAAAUUAAAUUUAAAAAAGAUUUGUUCUCUUAACGGUACUUAAUGCGAGCUCCUAGCGAAUUAAAUUUAAAAAAUAUUUGUUUUGCAGAUCUCUCAUUUACUAAAUGCAAUCUUUAAUAAAAUCUUAUUUUUUUUUUAAAAAUAAUUGCUUAUGCAUUCAUUGAGUGCAAGGAGUAAAUAUUUUGGAUCUCGCAUUCGAUAAAUACGAAUUCAUAGAAAAUUCCUUUCAAAAAUUGGGGUACCAAAUAAAUGCAAAUUCGAUAAAUGAUUUAGGAUGUAUUUUGAGUAAUUGGGGGUACCAAAUGUGAUUUUCAAAAGUUAACAUUUCUGCAAAAAUUCGCAUAAGAAAACGCAGUUUGCAGCAAUACGUGACUUCUAGUCGCGUAUUACAGAAAGUGCAUUUUCAAUUCUGGAAGCUUAAGGCAUAAAACGCGACUUGAAUACGCAACUUGAAGGUGCGUAUUCAUGAUGGCGCAUUUUCAAUUCUGCAAAUACAACAGAAUACGCAGCUUGAAAACGCGACUUUAAGUUGCGUAUUCUUGAAGUCAUGUUUUGACUUCUACAAGGAACAUGAAGAAAACGUGACUUAGCAAUAUGUGACUUGAAUGCGUGUUUUGUGAAGUCGUGUAUUGUCUCACUUGUACAAAGCUUUAAAACGCGAAUUCUCUCUCAGUUUUCUUCUUCAUCUCUUUCUUCCAGCCGCGUUUUCUCUCUACUCUUCACACACAAUUCACCAAUUCUAUUUUUGCUCCAUAUCUUGGUUAAAAAUCAUUAAGCCAACACCUUUUGAGCAUUAUAUAGUCUUUCUAAUAUAUUAAAAUCCAAUAAAAACACCUCAAAAUCGGUUUUAAGGAGAUUGAAAGCUAGGGUUUCUAGUUUUAAAUUUCUUCAAUUGGAGGUCAAUUGGAGGGCGUUUCAUAGGGCUUUUUACACAGUCAUCAUCUCCAAAUAUCCUUCUGCAUAAUUGAGGUAAGUUUCUUCAUCAAAUUUACGUAUUUUAGAAGUUGAUAUUUUUCAAUUUCCUGAGCUUUUUGACAUGUUUUAAUUUCGAAAGUUUGAUGAUGUUUAUAGAUGUUUUUGGCCUCUAUUAUGCUUGUUGAUGGUAAUUAAGUAUGUUUACAAAUUCAAAUGUAGAAAAUUGAUGAUUACUAGUUCUUUAAAUUUUUAAGUUGCUAUAUUUGGCUAAAAUUGGAAAGUUGGUUUGGAAUGUUGUUGAGCCAUUGGUGAUCAAUGAUUAUGGUAUAAAAUGGUUAGUUGAUGAUGUUUUAACAUGUGCAUUGUGUAGAGAGAGUGAUUUGAUGAAUUUUGUGAGUUAUUAGAAUACAUCUUGCUUAAUCAUGUUUAUAGCUAAAUGUGUAUUAUUGUUGCUAAAAUUUGGCUGCUAUUAUCUUGAUUAGUGCUAAUUUCACUGAUUUUGAUAUAUUUGUGGCCUAUUUUGAUAGAUUGAUGAUUUUAGUAAUUUUUGACAUUUUGACUAUGUCAUUUCUCUUAUGUCAUAAUAAUGAUUGUUUAACUAUAUGUAUUUGAUUUCUUAUGACAUGGAGGGAUGUAUUUGUGGUCAUUUGAAUCAAUUCAUGUUAUUUAUUGUCAAAAAUAUGAAAUAUGUCUUAGUACAUGUGAAUAAUUGAAUCCUUCUUAUUAGGUACUAUGGCUAGGGGAAGACAGGUUGUAUAUUCAUCCUCUAGUAGUGAUGAUAUGGAUGUUAGUGAGGAGGUCGAAGUAAGUGAGGAGGAGAGGUCACCUUCUCCUCAACUGGUUAGAGGACGACCAGGUGAGGGUACUUCUCGUGGUGCCGAAGCGUCUGUCUUUGAUAGUGCUAGGUUUUCUACCCUGAGGAAUCAAGAGUGGCAUGAGGCGCACGCUAAUUUGGAGUUCCUUUUUGAGAUGCACGUGAGUCCAGGAGUUGAAAUAGUUUAUCGCAUCUCGGAGGCUUCAAUCAACUUGGUUGGGCGUCAAUUCUCACCUUGCCGAUUCACUACUACCUUGACUUGGUGCACGAGUUCUGCGGCAACAUUGAUUAUAAAGCGCGCCACAGUGGUGAGAUGGUGGAGUCAUGGGUGUGUGGGAGACAUGUUGUCUUGUCGAGGGAGCGCCUAGCUACCAUUUUGGAUUGUAACAACCAGGAUCGAGCUAUCGACUUGCAAAAGGGAUUCGUCACACUAAAUAGGCGGUGGGAUCCAUCACAUGACAUGACUAGGUUUGGUCUUGAUUACCAACCUUUUCGAUCCUCGAGGAAGGAGACAAUGUUGGCGAGUAUUUUUGAAUCCCGCCAUCAUCUCAUUAUCUAUAUGAUGGCCCACAACGUCAUACCCAAGAAGACGGGGCAUACGAAGUCCGCAAAAAUUACAUCUACUUUCUCGACUACAUGUUUCAUAAUCGGGACUCCUCCUACGCUCGAAUUCCCUUGCCGAACAUCAUUAUUAGCCACAUAAGGUCUACAGUGAGGUGGAGAAUGACGCCAUUCAAAUUGGCAUUUCCUCGUUUGCUUUCCUUGGUGUUCGAGAAUUUUGAGGUUAAUUUGCAAGGUAUACAGCAGGAAUUUGUUACACCUAAAACCAAAUUGUAGGUUUCUUCCCUUUGUCGUCUCAGUAUUGGCACGGAGAACAUUCCUCGACCUAUUCGAGAAAGUGGACAAAAGGCAAGACAUGCCCGAGAGGAAGUCGGACCUUCUACUACGGAACCUCCUCCUCCACCGUCACAAUCGAAUUGGCAGCGACUCUUCACUCGCUUGGACGAUAUCGAGUAUCGGUUGGGACGGAUGGACACUUGCCUGGAGCGGAUCGAGUAUUUAGGCAUUCCUCCACCUCGUGAUGGUGAUGAAGAUGAAGAUGACGACUGAAGCUGCACCUUUAGGAUGGCUAUUUUGUUGCUUCAGGAUUUAAUUGUCAUUUUGUUUUUAAUUUGUUGGAUGUAGAGUGUUUAACUUGACCUUUUCUGUUUUCAAGUUUUCUGUUGGAAUAUGAAUUGCAUUCAAAUGUUGUUAAUCUUGAGUCUGCUGGCAGGGUAUUUAGUCCAGUUUUAAGGGGAAAUUCUAUCAAAAAUAUUUCAAAAUCUUGUCCAAAAUUACAAAAUUGCCCUAAAAGGUUUCAAAUUUUUUCGAUUUUAUCCAAAGGGCAACAAGUUCCCUACAAGUAGUAACUCAAAUUCAUUCUACUUUUGAGAUAAAUAUAUGUGACUUUAGAACUUCCUCAUCUGUACCCCAACUGUAAUAGAGAGUCACUAAUAUCGCACUAAAAUCAAUUGUGCAAAUGAUUACAAAUGAGUUCUGAAGAAAAUUUUAUCUACUACUAAUCCUUUGUAUAUAAAUUACAAAAAAGUUAUAUUUCUUCUAUAUUAAAAGAUUUGAUAAUUAUACGGUUGGAAACACUUAAUUUUAUUAUUAAAUAAUUUUGUAAAGAAAUAACUAUACAUGUAUAAUUCUUUAUUUUCACAGGUCAAUAUAAAAUACAAUAAAAUUGUUAAUAUGUUAAGUCUUAACUUUUGAUGAAUAAAAUUCUCUUUUUUUAUACUUCUCAUACGCAAGCAUCAAAAUUUUUUGUCAUAUGUUUAAUAGAAGAAAUUUUUUCUCAUACAAGAGCAUCAAAAUUGUUCGUGGGAAAAGAGAAUUUCUUUGUAAUUUUAUGAAAGUUUCUAGUUUUGUAAAAAAGGAUCGAUAAGAUAUACGUGAUUAAGUUUUUCUGCUAAUAUUCGGGAAAGUAAAAAAUAUAAACAGGAAAUGACACAAUAAAGUAUGUCAGCCAUAAUUAGUUAGUUUAUACAAUAGCUACACAAUCAGGACAUCAUCAAUGAUGUCCAAAUUUUUCAUGAGUACUACAUCCUCUGGGUUUGCGUACUCUUUAUGUUCGACGUGACUAGUUUUGCAUUACUAUAUCGACUUGAGUAAUCUCUGACUCAAGUGUAAUAUCAUGAUAUUGGGUACUUUGACCUUCAUCUAUACCUCCUGCAUAUUGUGCAGAAGUGCCAUGAUGUAAGUCUGUAUAGGGCGUAAACUGUAAAAAAGUCACUAGAGACCUAGAAUGGCCAAUGGAUGCACUGUGCAGUUGCAUGACUUCAGUCUGAGGUAUGACUAAAGAAGAUGCGUCAACAUGGUGCUCAGUAGCCUGUGACCCUUCAUCGAAUCCAGUUUGGAUAGUGGGUUCUGGUGAUCAGAGUCUACGAUGUCGUCCACCGCCAUGCUGACCUCCGUGAAUAUUCCUAGGAGCUUGUUGAACACGACUUGCAUCUGCGUGUUGUGGAAUGUCCUAUGGUACUUGUGGACGGCGAAUGCAAGUCAGGAUGACUCCCCGACAUGAUGCAAUGUUAUUGAUGCAAAGUCCUUCAUUGUAUUAAAAUAAUUCCUGUGCUGUUCGUCACUAUGUGCUAGAGAGUCCUCAGCCAUAUAAUAUACCUGAGACAUAGCAUUCAUCUGGAGUGCAAAUAUUGGAAUGAAUAAGUAUUAAUAACGUUAAACCUUAAAAAAUUCACUACUACAAAAAUAUCCUUUUAUGAAAUUUGAAAGCUCAUUAUAGCUCCAUGUUAUGACGUUUUAACUAUAAUGACGCUCUGUCAGAAGUGUCAUCCAUUCUAACGUCACUAUAAGUUUUAUGACAGUUUCUAUGCGUCCUAAUUUGUAGUUCUUCUGGCACUUAUAAAUGUCAUUAGUUAUCGCUAUUAUGACACUUUGAAAUGACAAGAAAUGCCAGGGCACAGUUGAUGUUAUAUAAACUUAAGUGAUGCACAUAAUUAUCAUAUUUUGAAACUAUCUUGACACUUCUGCCAUGCAAGUAUAAUAAGAUAUUAUAAUACACUCACAUAAGUAGAAUAAAGUAUUAUGACACUUUUUGGUGUAACUAGAUUAAGUUAUUAUGACACUUUUUAACAUGAAAUUUUGUGAAUAUUAUGUAUAAUAAAAGUCGAAGUGAUGACCUUUUAAGUGUUAGAACUGCAUGUUGCAUUACAGCGGGCUCUAUUAAAGCAAGAGGGUCUGUGAAGUCUGCUGACGAAGAAGAAAUCGGAUUCCGUUGAUGAAGAGUUGAUGAGUCUGGAGGAAAAGGCUCACUCGACAAUCAUGAUGUGCCUGUCAGAUGAUGUCAUCACUGAGGUCGCCGGUGAAGAAACUGCUGCGGGUUUGUGGGCUAAACUUGAAAGUCUCUAUAUGACAAAGUCUUUAACCAACAAGUUGCUCCUAAAGCAACAUCUAUUCGGUCUGCGUAUGCAGGAAGGUACUCCUUUUCGAGAAAUUUAAAUCAAUUAAAUACAAUUCUUCUUGAGUUACGUAAUAUUGAUGUUAAAAUUGAGGGUGAGGAUGCCGCGUUGAUUCUGUUAGUGUCUCUAUCGUUAUCGUAUGAGAAUUUCGUUCAGUCGUUUAUUGGCGGCAAAGAUACUGUGACUCUAGAAGAAAUAAGAUCAGCACUGCAUACUAGAGUGUUGCACCAUAAGGCGGUUGGUAAUGUUACAGAUAAUCAGGUUGCUGGGUUAGUGGUCACCAGUGGUAAAGGAAAAUUUGGAAAAAAGAAGCCUGGAAAUAAGAAGCAGUUCUCUAAAGGUCCCAAGCCGGAUGAUAUCUGUAACUACUGCAAGAAAAAGGGUUAUUGGAAAUCAGAUUGCCCUAAGAAGAAGAAGCAGCAGGAAAAACAACAUGCUUCAGUUUCAGUUUCAGAAAAAGAAGCGAUAAAUUCAGAUAAAAAUCUAGCCCUAAUUGCAAACGAACCAACACAUCACUCUGAUGUGUGGGUUCUUGAUUCUGGGGCAUCCUAUCACAUAUGUCCAAAUAGGGAAUGAUUUACAAAAUAUGAGCAGAUAGAUGGCGAAAAUGUCGUGAUGGCUAAUAGCGCUAUCUGCAAGGCUUUGGGAUUGGUUCUAUCAAGAUCAGAACACAUGCUGAAAAAGUUGCCACACUGAACGAAAUUAGGCACCUUCCCAAAAUGACGAAGAAUCUGAUAUCACUUAAUACUCUUGACAGUAAGGGUUUUAGGUUCAGCGGAGGAAGUGGAGAUUUGUGCAUCAGUAAAGAUUCAUUAGUGGUUCUCAAAGGAAUUAAGCAUGGCAUCCUGUACAUCUUACAGGGUUCAACGCUAACAGGUUCUGCCACUGCUGCUGUUGCAUCUUUUGAAGAUCGUAGGUCUAAUAUGACCAAGCUGUGGCAGAUUAGGCUUGGUCAUAUGAGCGAAAUGGGGAUGCAGAUUCUGUCUAAACGUGAUCUUCUAAAAGACCACAAGGUCACCGAUCUUGGAUUCUGUGAACAUUGUACUUUCGGUAUACCACAUCGCAGAAAGUUUGGGAAGGCAAUUCACAGGACAAAAGGCACACUUGAUUACAUCCAUUCUUACUGUUGAGGUCCUUCACGAGUUGAGUUUUUGGGAAGCUAUCAAUAUUUUUUUAUCCAUGAUUGAUGAUUAUUCAAGGAUGACUUGGGUAAUCGUUAUGAAGAAAAAAGGUGAAACUUUCAAGAACUUCAAGCAGUGGAAGGCCUUAAUGGAGAAUCAAACUGGAAAGAAGAUCAAAAGGCUGAGAACUGAUUAUGGUCUAGAAUUCUAUUCAAAGGAGUUUGAUAAGUUCUGUAAAAAUGAAAGAAUUACUCGGUAUCACACAGUUCGACACACACCACAACAAAAUGGUGUAGCAGAACGCAUGAAUCAGACACUUCUAGAGAGAGCACGGUGUAUGCUCUUCAAUGCUGAGUUGCCAAGGAGGUUCUGGCCGGAAGCAGUGAGCACAGCCUGCUUCUUAAUCAAUCGUACACCUUAUACAGGUAUAAAUUACAAGAUACCUUAUGAAGUGUGGUCUGGUAUGUUCCCUACUUACUCAAAUCUGAAGGUUUUUGGUUGUACUGCAUAUUAUCAUGUCAGUGAGGGCAAACUAGAACCAAGGGCUAAAAAAGGAGUGUUUCUGGGAUAUGGAGACGGGGUUAAAGGGUAUAGAAUCUGGUCACCCUCAGAAAAGAAAGUUAUACUUAACAGAAGUGUAAUUUUUGAUGAAAACUCGAUAUUUAACCACCCCUAUGAAGACUGUUGUUGAAGAAAGUGCAAGUGUUGAUAAACAGGUAGAGCUACAAAUCAUUCAAAAUGAUUUUGAAUCACAGCAGAAAUUUGAUGAUCAUCAACAACUAUCCUUUGAAACUGAACCUCCUGCAGAAGUAGAGUCUCCAGAACCUACAUCAGCAGAAAGGUUGGCACCUAUAUCCCAUACUGUGUCAGUAACUCAGCAACACGAUAUUGGUUAUGAUCAUGCGGGGAGAGUGGGAGUACGACUUCCCAGCAGGUAUCGAGAUUUUGUAGGUUAUGCAUUUCAGGUUGUUGAGGAGGUGGAUUCCCCUGAACCCUCUACCUAUAGAGAAUCUAUUUCAGGCAGUGAGUCAGCUCAAUGGCUUGCUGCAAUGGAUGAUGAAAUGGAGUCGUUACACAAGAACGGCACUUGAGAAUUGGUCAAACGGCCAGCAGAGAGAAAGGUUGCGACUUGCAAAUGGGUCUUUAAAAGGAAGGAAGGUAUUUCUCCAGCUGAGAGCAUCAAGUAUAAAGCACGUUUUGUUGCAAGAGGGUUCACUCGAAGAGAAGGAGUAGACUACAAUGAGAUUUUCUCACCAGUGAUCAGACACACUUCUAUCAGGGUGCUACUAGCAAUGGUUGCACAUCAGAACUUAGAACUUGAGCAGUUAGACGUGAAGACAGCUUUCCUACAUGGAGAGUUAGAUAAAGAGAUUUAUAUGACUCAACCAGAUGGAUUCCAUGUUCCGGAAAAAGAAGAUUAUGUAUGCAAGUUGAAGAAAUCCUUGUAUGGAUUAAAGCAGUCCCUAAGAUAGUGGUACAAAAGGUUUGACGGCUACAUGAUUGAGCUCGGCUACAACAGAAGUCAGUGCGAUUGUUAUGUAUAUCACAACAAACUUGAAGAUGGUUCGAUGAUCUACUUGAUUCUGUAUGUAGAUAAUAUGCUUAUAGUUGUGAGGAACAAAGCUGAUAUACAGAAGUUGAAAAGUUUUCUCAGUGCAGAAUUUGAGAUGAAAGACUUGUGUGCAGCACAGAAAAUUCUGGGAAUGGAGAUUUUUAGGGAUAGAAGUCAGAAGAAGCUUUUUUUAUCACAGAAGAGUUAUAUUGAGAAUGUACUAUCCAGAUUUGGCAUGUCUACAGCAAAUCCUUGAAUACUUCGAGUGCAGUGAAUGGUCAACUAUCAAUUACACUCGCACCACAGUCAGAAGCAGAGAUAGAGUAUAUGGCUAAGGUUCCCUAUUCUAGUGCAGUGGGUAGUUUGAUAUAUGUCAUGGUCUGCAUUAGACCUGAUCUGGCACAUGCAGUCAGUGUUGUUAGCAGAUUUAUGGCUAAUCCUGGGAAGGAGCGCUGGCUGGCCGUGAAGCGAAUUUUUCGUUACCUGAGGGAUGCGUCUGAUGUUGGUCUCAUCUAUGGAGGUGAUAUAGAGUGUUUGAUUACAGGCUAUUCAGAUUCUGAUUAUACUGGAGAUAUUGAUAGUAGAAGGUCGAUGGCUGGUUAUGUUUUCACUUUUGGGCAUUCUGUAGCUAGUUGGAAAGCAACUCUACAACCUACAGUGACUCUGUCCACUAUUGAGGCAGAGUAUAUGGCACUGACGGUGGCUACUAAAGAGGGAAUUUGGUUAAGGGGACUGGUUGGAGAUCUUGGCCUACAUUAGGAUCAGGCUAAUAUAUAUUGUAAUAGUCUCAGUGCAAUAUGUCUAGCCAAGGAUCAAGUUCAUCAUGAGAGGACUAAACACAUUGAUGUUCGAUAUCACUUCUUGAGAUCCGAGACAAGGAUCAAGGUGAAGAAAAUUGGCACUGCUGACAGUCCUGCUGACAUGUUCACCAAGCCGGUUCCUCAUAAUAAGUUCAAACAUUGUUUGGACUUGCUAAAUGUCCUAAGUUUUUUAUAACCCUUAUGGGCAUUCUGAUGGUACUUAGAGACAAUUCUGAUAGUAAAAGAAGACUCUGAGUACGUCUGGCACUUCAUCAGUGCUUCUGUUACAUUUGUUUCUGAGAAGAUUCAAGUCAAAGUGGAGAUUUGUUGAAAUGUCUUGAAUCAGAUUUUCGACCUCCACUGAGUUGUUCAAAGGUCUUGAUUUUUGGGCCUAAUUUUUGGGUCCAGUCCGUUUUGAUUAUUUGGUUGUAUAUAUAUAUAUAUAUCUUAUAUCCAUUCUAUACAAAAAUAUUUGAUACAUUCCGAACCCUAAUAGAAAAAUCUGAUUUUUUCCAAAUUUGUUCUUGUUUGUUCUUCCGUUCCGCUGCAUCUGUUUUAACACCAUCCGUGUUUUAUACUUAUAAGCAGAAAUCACAUUUCAUCCUGCCUGCAUAUUGUAAAUCCUAAUUUUUGGAAUGAUAAAGUAGUUAGUCCCAUCAUAUAAAGGAAAACCAAAGUUAUUUACAUCUUCAUAGUAACUGGUGCAAUACAAUAAUCCAAACUGGUGCAAAAAUAUAUCAUCUAAGCAACUCACCUUAAAACUAUGUCAACAAAUUACAUGCUAAUUCAAAGAUUUUCCACUAGUGAGGAGUAUUGCAGUAGCAUUGUCAAUAUAUAUAAUGGAAGCAGUAGCUUGACAGGAACUCAACUAAAAAGCAUUAACAAUGUCUACAAAAAAUAGCCAUUUGAUCCAAGGAUCAUUUAGUUUUCUUCAAGAUUCACCUACAUGUGUCAUAAACCAAGCAAUUGGAGUUACCAAUCACACAGCUCUGCUUUUACAGUUUUAAUCUUAGAAAACAAAUAAAAACUAAGUUAGAGUAAAGAUUACCAAGUUUAUUGGCCAAGUAAUGGCCACUCCAAUUGCAUCUCCAAUCUUGUGGAAAUUAUGGUAUGGCCUUAUCAGCUCUUCAUCACUCUCCACAAACACAUUCACAUGGAUUUCACACCAAUGUAAUCCCAAAGGCGUGUCACCAAGAUAAAUCAUAGUUUCUGUGAAUGCAUAUUCAUGACAAAUAUUUAAGUAGGCUCAUGAUUAAAAGAGAACCAAAUGUUAGAUUAGGUAUGUCAUUAAAGGUAAUUUUCUAGUAGUAAGCAAUGUAGAUUGACCCUUAAGUCACAAGGAUAGCUAUGCACAUAAAUAACUUAGAAGAGCAAACACAAGUCAUGAGGAUUUAUGUAAAGUUUUAUUAAAGAAUUCAGUAAUAUAAAUUUAGACAUUUAGCGACGAUAAACAAUUCCAAAAUUAGAGCUACAAGUACAUGGUUUUGGUCAAUCAUGUUAAUCAGAAUAAUAAUUUUCAUCUAUGUCUUGUUGUAAGAUUUCAAUUUAUGAAGUUAAAUGUGCACUAGUGUGUAGUGAACAUAUAUUUAUUACAUUGGACUUACAUAACAUUUAAUAGCAAUUGGAAAAAAAGAAAGACUAAUAGUAACUGAAACAAGGACAAAACAAGAGGGGAAAAGCUAGACAAAUAUUAGGACCAAGAGUUUUGCCAUUUCCUGUCAGUAGUAUUCUGGUGACCCUAAUUAACAACGUUGCUAGACAAAGACCCAGUGAAAACUAAAGUCAUUAGAAAUUAAACUAACCACUGGAAUUUAUAAAAGGUGUACACUUCAUCACUGUCUUUGUACCUUGUGCAACGAGAAAUUGAAAAAAAGAAUAGAACAAAUUUCAUAGUAUAAUGCACUUUGUCCCAACCAUCUAAAAUGUCUCUGUCACCUAUUAAUUUUGUCAAAUUAAACUUAUGAGAUAUUUUAGUUGUACAAACACAUCCACAAGUAGGUCUAAUAUAAUCAAUGAAAUUAGAACAACACGAACAUAAAUGUAAGAUUAGCCCUGCUUAUGUCAUGCUCCAAUUUAAUAUAAAUGUAACAUGAGCCCUAAAAGCAUUAGCUUGACACCAAAUAGUAGAAGCUUCCUUAUGCUUUUCUAUAAGCAACAUGUUUUUUUCCUCAUUCUUGAAACUAUAAUAUCCAAAUCUUUGAUCAGUAUCUGAAUAAAAAUAGACAAAGUGAUUUCCUAAGUGAAAUGAGAUUGUGAGAGUGUCCAAACUUUUUAAAAGGCAAGAAACAACUUUACAUAUUGUCUUCACUCAAUAUAUAUCAUGCAUAAAUACUUAAUGAACAAACAAUAAUAUCACAUGACAAGAGUUGCCAAGCUACUGCUUCAUUAGGCAAUGGUCUGAGACAAAAGUAGCUAAAUACCUCAAAUAGAAAAUGCAUGUUCAAACUAAAGAUCCAAAGAGAAAACAUAAAGACACAUUCAACCAUGUUGCAAUAUUUCAGUUCUCUAUUCAACUCAAGAUUAGUUUAUAAAAUUGAUUUCAAGAAAAGAAGGCAGAGCCUUGGCAAAAAACUAAAGGGCAUGCUGCUUGGAAGAAUUGAGUAAACUAUAGAACAAAUCCAUUUGGCCCGCAAUGAAAAACUCAUUUAGUCAAUUUAUCAAAUAUGUGGUGGGUCACGGAUGCUACCAAACCGAUGCUAAAGAAGGCUAUAACAUUUACUUGGAAUCUUUCGACGGCAUCCAAUCAUCAAGAAACUUCAGUAUAACCAUCAAGAACCUUCUAUUGUUUGCUAAAAAACAAAAAGAAAAAAUUCCAAACAUGAGAAUAAAUCAAAACAAUGACACAUCAAAUCAACUAACAUUUUGAUGGCAUACUCAAAUAGCUAAGUAGAAGACAACCCUAAAUUGUUGAUGCCAUCAACCUUUUUGCUUAUUUUAGACAAAAUUGGAGAUGUAUAUGUAGACCUAAAGUUAAAAUUAUCUCUUAAAUACAAGAAAUCAAAAAGAAAACAAUCUUGAUGUUAACAAAAAAUUGAAUAAUUGAUAUUCAAUAAACUAAAAAAACAUCUUAAUCAUUGUACCUCCAUCGGUGGGAUGAAUCCCAGUUGCUUCCUCCUUGAAAAAUUAGUUGAUUGGCAAGAAAAUUGGCUAAAUUUACCCUAAAUUGAGAGAAACAAGAGAGGGAGGGAAAGGUCACAGUACAAAGAGAGAGAAAAUGCAGCGGGUGAGCAGAGAAGUAAUGAGAUGUGGUAAGUAAGAAAAGGGAGGAAAUAUUAGAAUUUUGGGUGAAAAUAAUCACGCGCUAAAGCAUAGCACCAACUUUCAAAAUUAAGGGUGAUACGAUAUAGUUUUGUCUACUUUUGGCACCUUUUUAAUGACACUCCUUACUGACUGUUAUGUUAACACCCUAUUAUGACGUUUAGGAAAUAUGUCAUAAUACAAGUGUCAUUAAAAGCUAUUUUUCUAGUAGUGAUUAUUUAAAUAAAUUUUUAUAAACGGGUAGUGGUUAGGCAAAAACUUACAAGAUAUUGUGCUCUAGCGCUAUCACCUUGAAAGUCCUCUGGAAAAGUGGGAUACCUACUUGGAUUUGAAAUAUAAAGCAUUGUCUGCUCUCGAUACUAAUGACGAUACUCAUCCGAUGGAUAUGUAGGAUCUUCAACUACAACAAUAUCUUGUACAUGCACACGCCGAUCAGUCCACACAUCUAUAUAUGCUCUAUGCGUAGUUAUCCAGUCUUGAUUCUCCCUUACCACGACGAUCUAGAGAAUGUAGGGUUACUUGAUUUUCAGUCAACUUAAGAUCAGGCAGGGAUUGAUAAUAUCUAAAUUGUCAUAUACCUAGAUGCGGAAGAUGCGGCUCGACAACUUCCCAACAUAUAAGAUACUGUCACCUCCAAAUGUCACGACCUGCAGUAUAAUAUGCAGGCAGAAAAGUGAGAACAUCCUCCGAAUAUGGCUACCAUAUGAACUGCAAAAAAGAUAAAUGAAUAUGCACAGACCACUAAGUUAAAUUGGUCUCCACAAACAAUUUACUAUAUGCACCAUUGAAUAUUGUCAAAUGCAAAAAACACAACAAAUUUAAGCAAAUUUCUGUCAUUUUUCAUAUUUUUUAAGAAAAUUUCGACAGCAUCUCCCCUAUAACUGGAAGAAAACUCCCUGUCAACAAAUCCAAGUUUGAAAUAAUCAAAUACAAUCUGUAUCUAUUCAUCUAACAGUUACAUAUUUUAUUAUCUUAUUCAAAAAAGGUAAAGUAUUAGAUGUUCAACGUCAUUGCACAAUUACAAUACCUCUUGAGGAUGUAGACCUAUCAACUGAUCUCGAAAUAUUGACACGACAUGUCUUACAACUCUGUGUAGAUAAAACCCAACAUUCCACCUAAAUAGAAUAAAUGAAGAUUUUUUUAAAACAAAUGAUUGUUAUUUAAAUUACAAAUUAUGGUCACAACUACAAUUGAUUUAUACACACCGAACUCCAUAUGGACCAGGAUAGUGCUCUAACGGCUGCACUCGAUCGGAACGCAUUAUAGGUAUACAUUCCCAUACCCAUAUCUGUAAUAAAAAUUGGAAUCAUUUCAUAAUUGUAAUAAAAUAAUAAGUAAAUAACCUUACUUUUAUUGAGUUUAAUGUAUCUGUAGCAAAACUAAUGGUCCUACAAUAAUCGAUCUAGAGGGUGAUGUGACUAUACACAGGGAUCGAUAGAGAGUCACUAAUAUCGUACUACCCCAAUUGUACCGCCCAACAAUUUUCAAGUCUCAUAAUAAGGGAAGAUAUAUUAACGGGACUUUAUUAUCAGAUUUAUCGGACAAUAAAUGACCACCUAAUAACAGGAGGAGGUAUAUGCAUGCUUGCUGUCUACAUUCGACAUCCGAAGCAUCAGUUGGCAACUCUGUAUCUAAUGCCCUGGAUAAACACCCCAAUUUUAACCUUUGUUCAUCAAAAUCCGACAGGGACGGAGAAAAACUAAUAAGCUCCUCACAUAUGAGUCCCCAUUCCUGAACACUAUAAGAUGUAUCUAUCCCUGUAAUUGGAGGACUAUUGAUCGGUAAUCCCCAUAGGACCUCUACAUCCUGUAAGGCAACUGUAACCUCUCCAACGGGUAGAUGAAAGGUAUGAAUUUCAGGCCGCCAUUGCUCCAUUAAACUAGUGAUCAGAGCAUGAUCAAUCAUCAUAUAUCCACUCUCGAGCACCCCUUCAAACCCAACCAAACGAAAAUAAUGCCAAACAGUUUCGGGAAUAGGUGUAUGCUCCCAAAAAUCCUUAUCACAUCGUCUGACAUCGAGCUAAUUGUCCAAAAUAUGCCAGAAAAAUAUGAAAUGUGCCCAUUGUGCAGUUCUUGCAGAGAUAAUAUCGUACAUGAAUGGCCCCAGAUGCAGAUCUGUUGGUGCAAGAAUGUCAAUCAUAUCGAUGUGAAUAUCUGCAAGAAUAAGUACAAUAAUGCAAAAUUUGUCAUUCCUUAUAACCAUAAACCGAAUCAUCAAAUACAAAAUAUUGAAAGAUUCAACUAAUAUAUAAGACUACACACUAUAAUGCCUAGAAUAGGAGUUUGAGAACCCAUACUAACUUGACACUUUAAGAACUAAGACCCCUUCAAACUAAAAAAAAAACAAAAAUAUUAUUUUCAUAAUUUAUCAACAAAUAGUAUAUAGCAAAAUAUACUAAUUUCAUAAUGCCUUCUAAUAGAAUUACAUGGGUUCCUAUCUCUAAAUUAUUUCAUUCAAGGUUUAUAAUUUGAGCAAUUUCUUCUAUUGUGACCCGACUGAUGAUAAUUUGUACAUUUUCUUGGUUCUUCUGGAUCUCUCUCAUCCAUCUCAUUUCGAAUUCUUCUUGCUCGUACUCUUCCUGCCCGAAAUGUAAUAUAUUUACUUCUAUCUACAUGUAACUCCCAAUCAGGUUGGAGCCAAGUAUUUGGAUGCGGUAAAGGGUUAAACCUUUCUGAAUACUGUACCGGCCACCACUUUUUUAUAAAUUGGGGCCUGUACUGCUACCACUUGGCACAAGAGCAAGUUUUAUCAAAAAAUUUGACCGUUUGUGUAUUACCCCCUUUGCCAUCCAUACGUCGGCCUGUCACAACUUUGUACACCCCUGUUGAGACAUCAAACUCCACAACCCUAUGGAGUUCGGCUUUCUGAUCAAAAAUUUUAAAUCGCCGCCAUAUCUUUGGAGGAAAAGGGUUACAGUAAUGUCUGGCAUUCUCACUUCUCGUUUCAAACAACUCAACUGUCCCGAUGAAAUGUCAUAUUGAUACAAGCCCAAAUUGGCAAAUGGCGUGCCCCUCUAAGUACAUUAUUAUAGCUUUCGGAUAUGUUGAUUGUAAGAAUACCCCCAACGAUGGCCACCGUCAUGUGUUAGACACCACUUUUCAGGUCCAAUAUCAGACAAAUAAGUUCAUGCAUCAGAAACAUGUUUCUUAUUUCUCGUUUGAACCCCCGCCACUUGCGCAAUUGUCUAGCUUUUUCCAUUGCUCAACACAACCUUUUAAGAUGCAGGCCUUUGAAGUGUGUCAUUAGUUUGCUCCUAACGUGUCGUAGGCAAAACUUAUGAAACGCCAAAGAUUCUUUUCAAUAAUCAAACUGUGUCAUGGCAUGAAUGAUACCAUUAUGACGAUCCGAAAUGACAAAAAGAGGAUACCGGUCACGAGCCACAUGGUAUCUAAAUUGCUCCAUAAAUCAUGACCAACUAGAAAUAGUCUCUUCAUCACCAAUGGCAUAAGCAAUUGGAAUUAUCUUGUUGUUGGCAUCUUGCGCAAUUGCAACAAAUAGUUUGCCUUUAUAUUCACUAUGCAAAUGAGCGCCAUCAACAUAUAUAACCGGUCUACACAUGCAAAAUGCAUCAAUAGCCGGUCCAAAAGCCCAGAAUACAAACUUAAAUGUUUUUACUCGAUCUGUACUUUCCAAAUGGUGCUACCACUUGACCACAGUUCCCGGAUUUGACUGAACAAGUGCAUCAAUAUAUUUUGGUAGUUUAGCAAAAUUGGCAUCCCAAGAUCCAAAUAUAAGUUCAAUAGCUUUGUAUCUGGCAUACCAUGCCUUUUUGUAAGAAACAUCCACCUUCAAGCCUUCCUUAACAUGACUCAUUAUAUUCUUAACUUUAAAUCUAGGAUCAUUUUCAAUGCUACAAAGUAUGUGUCUAGCAAUAACUGAAGAUGUGAGACUUGUAUUGCUAUUACUCAUCAAAUCACCUAGACAAUUAUUGUCGUUGACCCAUUUGAUUAUUUGCCACAAACUAUGAGUCUUCUUUUUCACUGCUCUAACACACUAGUCGCAUGCCGAAUACGAUGGGGUGACUGUAGUGCUAGUACUCCUAUCAAAUACAGAUUUGCAUUUGACAACCCACGUGUUACUCUCGCUCUCAACCACCCUGAACUCCCUGUUAUGAUUGAUAGACUACAUCCUAACAGCCCUACUGAGCUGUUGUUUGCUCUCAAAUAUUAUAUGUAGGCGUAUAUUAUUAUUUUUCUCACUGAAUAUAACAAUGCGCUCUAACUUACUUUUAUCAGUGAGUUGGUCAUCAUUAUGUAUGUUUCCAAGGUCAGAGAAAAAUCUAAGACCUCUUGGAACAUAUGAGAGGCCCACAAUUGCAUUGUUUGACCUACUAUCUCCUCGCUCAGUAUUCGCAACGCUCAUACCAUUAAAAGGCUAUUGGGUCUCGAGAUCCGGGUGAAAACCACAAGCUUCAUGUUCGUCAUCUGAGCCACUGUCGGACACAUCAAUUGACUCAGAUACUUCUAUGUCUUCUGUGUCAUGUUCCGAAUCAUCGUCUCCUCUAAAGCAGGGAGCUUGUCAUAUCCACUGGCAUACACAUUAUCUAUAGUUGUUGUUGGACAACUUAGACCAGGGGUGAAAUCUAAGCCAUAACAAGAUAAAUGAUACAGUGAUCCUGGAUCUCUACAACUUGGAAUCGAGUCAAGGCCGUGAACAUAUUCAACAUCACGCCUUAACCCUGAUGUGAUGCUUGACUCUGACGAGUCCCUAUCCCAAUCUCCAUGUGUAUAUUGGGAGGCCGAUGCAGUCUCUGAUACUACUGUACUAGAGUGGGACCGGAAUCUUGUUGGAUUCAUGCAUGCAUGGACAAGUGACAUCAUCGGACCAACAUUGGUAGUUGAUGAAAUGAAUAUGCUACUGACUCGAGAAUUUUGGAAAAUUUCGUCCUUCUCGAUAUAAAGCUCGGCUAUGUAUGGAACAAUUUCAUUCCAUAUAUCGUACAUUAUCUCCAGAGUUUCAUCAUCCACCACUGUGGAGACAUUAUAAGAGGUACGGCCACACGAUUGACGGAGAAAUAAAUUCAACUUGAACGUCUCCCGAUUAACCCCCAUAUAUUGAUAAAUUAUGUCAACCAAUUCCUCAUAUCCAAUUCUAUGCCGCAAUGUGAACGUACGGUUGGAGGUAUGAGGCAAGUAACAAAUUGACCCAUCCUCGUAAUGUAUUUUACCUCCCCAAUAAAGAGACACUCGCAGAGGUCUUUCUACAAACAUAUGUGUGAAAUGAUCCUUAUUUUGGGGAAAAUAAAUUAGAAUUUGUAAUACAAAAGUAUGAAACAAAUGACUAUCGGAUUAGGACUCUCUUCAAAAUAAUUUUCGCAUCAUCUCUCCCAAAUAUUAGCUCAAACUUUUCAUUAACCAUUGACCAAUUUUUUUUAGCUAUCAAUGCACUGUAAAUAAUUACUAUUUCUUAACUAGCUAAAGAAAAAACUAUAUUAAUUAUAUGAUGCAUAUAAUAGAAUGUGAAACUACAAUAAUUUGGAGGAGAAUCCCCUAUCUCAAUGUUAGAAGCAGCCUGCUUGUAAAAGUUAAUAUUUUUAGUUAAUUUUUUAUAGAAUUUGAAAGCAUAUUUUAAGUUAAUAUUCCCUCUAAAUCCCCUAUAAAUUUCGAUAGAAUGUUAUUCAUGAAUUCUUAUUCUGCAAAAAAAAAAAAGAAGAUAAGUUGAUUAAGUUCAAUAGCUUUCCUUGUUUUAUUUCACGUUUCAAAACACCCCCUUUGAGUCACUCUUGUCACCACUCCUCAAAAAAACUUUUAAGUUAAUAACUAACCAAAAAAGCCCAAAAUUAUAUCUAAGCAUGUAAAUGUCAAAACUUUUUGAAAACUUAGUAGAAUUUUUGAAAAAAUUUCAACAGAAUCUCCCCUAUAACUACGCUAAAACUCCUUGCCAACCAAUCCAAGCACGUAUCAAUUUUCAAAGCUAGUUUAUUUAAUUGCCUAAAAUAUUACGAUGCAUUCGCUAAAUCUUUCUACAUCCACCAAAUUCAUCAAAUUCGUCAUCUUUAUGGUUCAAAAGUAAAACUACAUAAAAGACCAUUCAAAUAAAAUAAUAAAGCCAAAACAAAAUGGCCAAUCAAAAUUUCCAAAUCCCUGAUAAUUUGGUCAAAAAAAGAUGUAUAUCUCAUUUUGUCAUGUUCGAGACAACCGGAGGGAUCAAAUAAAACCUACUUGUUCAAGUAAAAUGAACUUGUUCAUAUAGUUGGACAAAUAUCAUAAAUAUAAAGAGAGGCAACUUUGUUAAAGUUGUAAACUUAUAAAUUUACCUAAUAAUUAGUCUCAGAUUCCAUACAUGCACUCCAACAGAGAUUUGAUCCUACUAUUAUCAACCAAAGCCUCUUCAACUGAUAAUGUGCUCGUGUCACCAACUUUGUGCGCAUCUGUAUGAACAUGAUGGAAUUAAUGACAAAACAAAAAAAUUUAAAAAUUAGUCGUAGCAUGUAUUUGUCAAAAAUUUUUAAACAACUUUGAUAGUUUUUAAAGAGAUUUUGAUAGAAUCUCCCCUAUAAAUGGGCUAAAACUCCCUGCAGCUGAACAAAUCACAUCAAUUUAGAACACUGCAAACUAUAAUCUCCUAUUUUGCUAUAAGAGUUUAUUGCAAGGGUUAAAACUGAAAAUUCUGCUAAAAUGUCCGGGUUUAACAACAUUGCCCCCUCCAGCUUUUAAAUUGGACUUGAACUUUUUCCAUUAGCAUAAAAAUGAAAUUUAUAAGUAAAAAUUCAAUCUACUCGAAUGAAUGAAUUCAAUAAACACUCAUUCGGGUCCAAAAUCCAACUUAUUUGAAAAAUUAUAGCCUUUGGUCAUGUCUUUCAUAAUAUCUUCCAAUUUUCUAUUUUUAUUUGUACUUUGGUCCAAUAAAUCUGACCUUUUAUAAGUCCAUUUUAGAGAUUUUUGAGUUAAAGUCUUCUUGUUCCUUUUUUUUGUUCCCCCUCGAGGAUGAUCCUUUGGUCAUUGUGGCUAUCUUAUGGCCCGUUCAAUUGGAUAACAUCCACAAACAAGAACUUGUACCAAGCAUUCAUUACCAGUUUGUAUUUGUUUAUCAUAAUAUAAAGUUGAAUGGACUUAUAAAUGGCCCAUAUUUUUGUCAAUUCACCAUUGUAUUGGCUACCUAAACGUCCUGCAUCUCCUCCCACAUAUUGUAGUAUUAGUUAAUUGAGUUAAUAAAAAAUUGGGCCCUGCUUUGUGUUGCCUAAUGCUGGAUUAGUGCAAAACAACUUAAAAUCCAAAGAUGUCUGUAAUCUCUAUGAUGCAUUGUAUUUACCUUCAAAUCCAAGUUCAUGUACAACUUACAAAUCUAUUAAAUUAGGAUUGAAUGUCCCAAACUCAAGAUUUAAUUGAAUUCCUAAUCCUCAAUCCAUUUUCAUCUACUAAUACACUGGUAUCUCAAUUUGUCAUUAACCUUUUAUGUUUGUUCUCAAAAUCUCCUUCAUUAAUUGUCACUCCAGCUAACAUUUUCAUCAAAUAUAACCCAACUCAGCAGUCUUGACCCCUUAAACCACUUUCCAGGCUAGGAUAUACCACCACAAUUAAUGAUACCAAAACAGAGGGAAUGUAUUAAAUGUCAAUGUUGAUUUGUCAAAUUUCCUCCACCAAGGCAAAUUAUGCAUCGGACAAUUAUCUAUUGAUGGGACCAAAUUAUUGUCGGCAAUUGAAAUUCUGAGCAGUCAAAUUAACUGCUGUGAUUCUUGAGAGGGCAGGCCAUUAAGGAUAGUGAUUAAGAACUAUAUGUUGACUUUAGUCCCUAGCUUUUGAUAUUUACAAAACAAUGGAUGAUACUAAUACCUCUUCAAGAAAUAUUUUCAGCUAUGAAGCAAAUCUGAUUCAAAGAACAAGAGCAUUUGAAAGAGAUAAAAGAAAUUGAAAGCUGUCGGACGCUCGCGAAAACAACAUCGGACAUCCGAAAAACAAUGCAGCACUUCGGACGCAUGAAGAACUCCAUUACUGGAUGUCCGAAAGAAUUAACAUGAUUUCUCAAACUCACUAUUUAUAUAAAUAGUGUAUGGGCAGAAACUUCAAACAACUUUUGCACACUGAAGAUUACAAAAGAUAUAGAGUAGUUUUAGUGAGAAAACACUCUCUAAGGAAGAUUUGUAGUCUUGGUGGUGUGAAGUUUGUUGUAAGCUUUUCAUUUGUAAGUGAAUACUUCAAUAGUGUAACUCUGUGAGGGUUGUCCUGAGGGAUAAUAAAACUUCCUAACUUGAUCGAGUGGAGUUUAGGGCAAAGAGGAAGUGAGCCUUCUUUUGUACACAAGAUUGGUUGUAUUUCAUCAACUUGAAGAAGUUUGUUUGAAUUGAUCUACAAGCUCAAGAGGGUAAUCAAAUAGUUUGCAAUUCUUCCUUUCUUAUUUACUUAUUGUUAUCUUGUGAUCUUUAAAUUGCUUAUAUCUUCUACUUUUCUCAAGUGAUUUUGUUCAUUCAUUGAUUGAUUCAUUAUGUGAUCACUUAGAAAAGAGGGUAAAUUUCAUAUUGAGCAAAAAGUGCCCAUAAUCUGAUUAAUUUCUUAAUCAACCUAAUUCACCCCCCUCUUAGGUUGUCUUCGAUCAUUACACUAUAAAUAAGUGGGAUUUUGUAAUUUUAACUCCACAAUAAGAACAUUUGUAUUCUCUUCAUGUCCUUAAGAACAUCUGUACCAUGAAUGAACAUUAAUGUUUAACAAAAGAAAAAAAUAGCGAUUAUUCGUAGCAUUCAUUUUCACCAGAAAAAGAAACAAAAUCAAUAACUACGGGCAUUUCAGCAUCUUCUUCCGUCACUGGCCAUAGCAUCACAAAGCUUACCUUAUUCACCGAAAGAUGGCUGUACCUUCAACAUUUUCCGGUCUCCAUUUUGCAGCUUUUCGGGCCUUCAACUUUCCGAUCUCCGUUUUGCAGCUUUCUGGUGAGAGCUUCCGAGAUGACCAGAGUUGGACUCCUUCCCUCCAACGGCUGCACUCUUGAUGAAUGCUGCUGCUUCCGAGGAUUUCAAUGGCGGAUUUGGGAUGCAAUUUCCCCUCAAUUUGUAUUUCCCAAUUUUGUUGUUUCUUACGGUUUUCUGGUUAAAUGAGUCAAAGAGAGGACUGAGGUUGAAGGAGCUGGGUUUUUGUUUUUGAUCGACAGACAAAGGACCUCGCAUUUCUCAAAUGCAAGGUCUAUUUAAAAAAAAAAAAUGCUACCUGGCUUUUUGUUAGCUCGCAUUUGCUGAAUGCGAACUAAGCUAGUUCGCAUUCAGAAAAUGCGAACCACUUGAUUUUAGAAAUUACCCCACAAAUACCGUCUCUUGUAGAAAAAUUUUUUUCCAUAAUAAUUUAAGAAUUUACUCGGAUAGUUUAUUACUAUUAUAAGAUAAAUCCAUGACGAAGUAAGGGAAGUGGAGGUCAUUCCAUGUCAGUAGUUAGGCAGCGUUGAAAGAUCCCCUAAUACUUCUUUUUAUAGAGGAAAUUCUUAAAUUAUUAUGGAAAACAAAAUUUUUACAAGAGAGGCUAUUUGUGGGGGUGAUUUCUAAAAUCAGGUGGUUUGCAUUUGCUGAAUGCGAACUAGCUUAGCUCGCAUUCAACAAAUGCGAGCUAACAAAAAGCCAGGUAUAAUUUUUUUUUUUUUUAAAUUGACUUCACAUUUCUCAAAUGUGAGGUCCUUUGUCUGUCAGUCAAAAACGAAACCCAGCUCCUUCAACCUCAGUCCUCUCUUUGACUCAUUUAACCAGAAAAAUCCUAAGCAACCACAAAAUUGGAAAAUGCAAAUUGAGGGGAAAUUGCAUCCCAAAUCCGUCAUUGAAAUCCUCGGAAGUAGCAGCAUUCAUCAAGAGUGCAGCCGUUGGAGGGAAGAAGUCCAACUCUAGUCAUUUCGGAAGCUCUCGCCAGAAAGUUGAAUCCCCGAAAAGCUGCAAAAUGAAGACCGGAAACUGUUGAAGCUACAGCCAUCUUUCGGUGAAUAAGGUAAGCUUUCUGAUGUUAUUGUCCAAUAACGGAAGAAGAUGCUGAAAUGCCAGUGACGGAAGAAGAUGCUAUUGUCCAGUUACGGAAUCUCGCAUAUGCAAUGCUGACCUCGCAUGUGUCAAACGUGGGGUUGCCUAACCUUUUGACAAGGUAACCUCGCAUUUGACAAAUGCUUGAAGCAAUUUUUUUUAAAAUUUUUGCAAAAUCAGAAAUUCAAUAAUAAAUCGCAUUUGCGAAAUGCGAACUUAGUGAGCUCGCAUUUUAUAAACGUGAACAACACUUAAGCAGAAUGCUACACUCAAAAAGCUCCAUUUAUAGAAAAAUUUUAAAUUUCAUCAUAAAUUUAGAAAUUUCUCCGUAAAAUCAAGAGCAAUUUUUAGUGGAUGUGACGAGGCCGUGACGACAUUUUUACUCAAUUCCUAGGCUGCAGCAAGCAGAUCUAAAGGACCGUUCCAAAUCCCCAAAUUUGGCCUGGAAAUAUAGCAAUCUUGACAAUUUUCUCAAAAAAUCUGGCAAAUUUCACUCAUCAGCUAGCAACUCCCAUAAUAUAGCAACCUUGAUAAUUCUUAUCCAAAAAUUUACUAGCAAUUUUUACUCAUCAGCUUGCAACUGUUCCCCAAUUCUUGACAUAGCUUAUACGACAUGAUGCUACUUAACCAAAACUGAAUGAAGCUGACAGCAUUUACAAGGAACUUGGGUCAGACUUCGACCAAGAUCAAGUAAACUACGAUCUCGGUUCUAUUGUGUCAACAACAAAUUGGAACCUAAGCACUUGGAACAAAUAUUGAACAUCCCAAUAUGCUCUGCCCAAUUAUGCUCUGUCAAAGGGAUUACUGACCGCAUCAAUGUGUACGGACCUGGAAUGCUGGGAUCCCAACCUUCACCACUUUUACUGAAACCUCUAUAGUACAUGAUAACAGCAUUACAGUAAAAUAUUUGUGCUCAAUAUAGCUAGUCAAGUUGUUUCGUCCAGUCAAAUGGAUCCCAAUCUUGGGCAAAAGCAGCAACAGCUUGUUUCUGCAUCUCCAACGAUAUAUGCUUCUGUCGACAGUGCAUGUCUUCAGCAGGCAAGCGUAGCAUACCUCUUAUCACAUUUAGGCCAAAGUUGCUCUUAAAUUGCUUUUCAUCAUCAAUCACAUGAACGAAUCCCUUGUCUAGGCCAAAUUCGACAUGAAAGUAAGGGAAGUUCUUUGGAACUGAAGCACGGAGGCCCUUCUGACUGGUAUCAAUCAGCUUCUUGGCAUUAUGUUGACUCCACUCCUCCUCUGCCUCAUCAAUUGCCUGUGACAUAUCAAAAAGUAGCCAAAUGUUAAGUAUCCAAGCAUGAAACUCGAGCAGUUUUUUAUUUUAAAGACAUCAACAUGUUAAACCAAAAUAAUCAAUCAAAAAGAUCCGAUUCAUCAAUGACUAACUAAUCUAUAAACAACAAACAACAGGAGUAAGUACGAUUGGUUUAGUAAGGAAAUUCUUGCUCUAAAAGGACACAAAAGAGAAUUUACUCUCUUCAGUUUUCAAGUACAAUCAUAAGAAUAUAGAUUUACUUCCAACAUGUCACAAACAUCUCAUAUGUCUCCUUCUAGCUGAAUCACAACUAUCAGAGUUGGAUAGAACACCUGCACCAGAUCAUGACAAAUUAUUUUUAAGGUUUUCUGAUGCACAAACUGAGUAAUUCAUAAUCAUCAUUGCUCUCCAUACAAAUCAAUCAAUUUCUGCUUUUGCUUUGCAUGCCUUGAUCAAUCAACAAUUUCGUCAAGAACUCAAAGGACUACUUUUACACUUGAUUCAGGUAACACCUAGAAAAGCUAUUGCAAGACUUCUUAAACAGUUAACACUGUCAAUAAUAAAAAUGAAAAGUGGACACCACCCUCCAUGCCCUUAUCUACGCAGCAAACUCCAUAUCGUUAAACACUUUAUCAUACCAAACUAAACACCACAAAAUUUUGGUCUAGAAGGAACCCCAUGAGCUCCAAUUUAUAUUUUUCUCCAAUCUUCAGCAAGUACUGAUUGGUCAAAAUUGAAAAAGAAUUAAAAAAAAAACACAUUCACACACACGGAUGGCCUCCAGAGUCAGGAUCACCUUUAAGAUUAACCAUCAGAAAGAUGCAAAAAAAAGAAGAAACUGAAGAAAACUAACCUUCUUGAAAUACAAAGGUGCCUGUUUUGCAACUUCAUGGGGCAGCGGAAUGCAAUCCAGCAAACAAUGGCGGCGUUGCUGUGCCAAGCCCAUCACUGUUUCAAGAAACACAACAUCCUUAUCCUGCUUAGCAAACAUCAUUAUCAGGCACUUCUUGAAAUUCCGGAUUUCGUCCCAUAUAUUGUUGUCUACAGUUCUUGUCCGAGACUCAUGCUGCACAUGUCAAAAACCAUUGUUAGCGCUGUGGGAUGAUGACAAUAAUUACAAGAUCAACUCAGCAGCAAAGUUAACUUUCUUUCGUUUCCUUUUCAACACUAUUAGUGCGUAAAAACUUAAAUGUCCAUCACAAAGUUCUACGUGGCAAGCAGAAACGAUAAUCUGGGUUACCAAGGUUUCACAUUUUUCAGCAACUAAUGAAAUGUUAAUUUGGAGUAUAUUACCUUUUGCUGCCCUAUGGAUUAAGCACAAACACUUGUAAGAAUAUACCCUGAACCCCAAUUUGGUUUUAAAGAUGCAAAUGCACAACCUUCACUAGGGCAUACAAGUAGCUAUAACAUAUCAUGAAACAUCUGUAAUGCAUAUCCGUUUUGGUUCUCUUAAUUGGUUGUUUAACUGAAGAAUGCAGACCUAACCACUUUUUUGUAUACAGGGUACCUCUAAAAGAAAGGAGAAAGCAAUUCCUAUGAGUCUAAGUUUGUGAAGCACAGUGCUGAGAUAUCUCUAAAGGAUUAGGGAGAUAUCUCUAAAGGAUUAGGGACAUGCAUCUUUAUCAUAUAACAGACUAGAAAAGAGGCAUUCGUCGUACACGCUCAAGCUCCAGAAUUACAGUGGAGCAAUCCUGCUCUGGCCUAGAUAUAAACUGUAAAUAUGGGGAGAGAGAGAGAGAGAGAGAGUUCACCUGCAUAGUUAAAAUGCAGCAAUGACCAGGGACAACAGGCUGCCAAUGAGGUCGAAACAAAAUUGACACCUCUCUUUCUGUGUCAAGAGGCGAUUUGCAAUCCUAGUUGCCUGACUUAUCUCAUUUGGUUUUUGGUCUGUACCCAUUCCUUUGUGCCGAGUCUUUUUCCUUGGACCAUCAUCAUAAUCAUACUCAUCAUCUGCCUAACCAGAGAUGUUAUACUGCUGGUUCCACAUUAUCUUUUGAGCCAGAUACAAGUCAGCGUCGUCCUCCUUCAUCUUUUGUCGAGCAGAUACACCAUGAAUGAUAUAUCUGCUUGUGCUCCCAUCAAUCCGUGGUCUGUGAGACUCAUCCUCAGCAUCUGGCUUUGCCUUUGUGUUUUCAGCCUCCUUCACAAGUUUUUCAGCCUCUUCAUGUUUCCCUUUCAUGCGAAGCUGCAUGACUUUGGCAGCCAACUGGUUUGCCUUCAAUGCUGGCUUCACAGUUGGACCAUCUUCACCAUGUCUUUCAACCAAAUUUGAUUCCACUAGUCUGUCAUUUUUUGCAUUUGAAGAACUGACAGGAUCAUUUGAACUAUCAUUUUUCUUUUGCAUAAAGUCACGCAUAAAGCUUCCAUCAUUGGAAAACUUAUUUAAGCUAGACACUGCAGCAGAGAGGUUGAUAUCCUGAGCAGGCAUCUUACGCUUUCCCCAGGAUAAAGAAUCCUGAACUUUUGGUAUUCUCAUAUUAGCAUGGCACGAAGACCCAUCCUGCAAAAAGUUACUGUUAGGAUUCUAAAACUUAUCAGGAAAGGGAAGAAAACCAUCCAUAAAGAAAUAUGACUGGGAAAGUCUGGGAAGUUUUUGAAAAAUUACCAAAAACUAAUCACAUACUUCUUUUGAAAUUGGAAAAUUUUGUAUCAUUAAGCCAACGUCUUUCAGAAACAACACAGUCUGGAGAAAUCAUACCUUCUCAAUAAAUAUUCCCUUGUCUCUAUCUGCAUCUGUUUGUUCUCCGUCCUUUAGCCUUCUCCUCCGACUUUUUAUCGCAUGAAGAUGAGCAUGAUUUGGUGCCACUCUAUGGGAUGCCACAGAAACUGCCAGCUCUCCAAGAGAGCCCCACCGAUCUUCAACCACCUGUACAAAGUUAGUUCAUUACACAAUACUAGCUUGAAUGAAGAAUCUAAAUAAGAAACCUAAGACAAUCCCACAUACCUCCUCAAGCUUCCGUCCUUCACAGGCUGCUUGCUCCUGAGCUCGUUUCAAUGCUUUCAACCUCCAGCUUGCACCUCCAUCACCCACAAGUGAAGAAAAAAGAACUUGGUUCUGACAAGCAUUAACAUCUGAAUCUUCUGGAUACCCACUACCAUUAUUCUUCAAAUAUGGAUUCAAGUCCCUGGGAUUCAUCUUCUUAGUCUGAACCAAAAAAUAUACCAGGAAAUAGAAUAACCAAACUGUAUUUGAAAAUGCAUGAUAACAGCAAUUUGGCAUCUACAGAUAAAAUCAGCCCAGAGAACAAUCCACAACAGGCAAGAUAAACACUCUCAACGUUGACAAGAAAACACAAGUAUUGGCAGAUCGGUCAAACCAAUCAUAUAAAAAAUUACAUGAAGGCACAACUCAACUGAACAAAAGCCACAGGGCAAUGCUUCCUGCAAGAACAUGUAGUUUUGUGCAUAGACGAGUUGAUUUCAGACCCAAAAAUAAAUAAAUAAAUCAAUAAAGCACACACACACACAAGUUUGGAGAAAAGAACUAAAUAAAAAUGGAAAAAAUCCAGAAGGGAAUUUAGAUUAUCACUUUGAAUUGAGAUUGACUCAUUCAAGGUCAUCCAGGAUUGAAAUGUUACCAUUGCUACUAAGCUAAUAGCACGUGAGAAUAUACUACAAAAGAACCAAGUCCUUAAUCCAAUUACUCCAAGAGAGCCGUUAAAGCCUCUCCAAGUGUCUCUAGUCUCCCCUGUCUCAUUUUUAUUGAUCCUAAAUGCUUGUUCUGUCUAUUAUCCAUUAACACCAAAGUUCCUCAAACUCCAAUUACCAACAGGCAGCCCCUAUCCAUUUCUCGUCUUUUCUUGACAAUCAAAAGAAGAAAGCGGGGCAAACGAUUGAACCCAAAAAUGUCAAUCGCAGCCUUUUUUUUUUUGGGGGGGGAACCAAAGCACAUAGAAGUUCCUUUACCAACUGUUGUUCCCAAGGUUUCUCCAUCACCAAAAUUCUGGCCUUUUUAAACUAAAACGUUGCCGCUACAGUAUGUUCAAUGGUAGAGAACAAACAUCAGAUUUACGCGUUUGCAGAUUUUACAUUAAAAAAAAAGUCUAAAUAAUUUGAAAGCUAACCUCUUCACGUUCAACCUGAACCUCCUGUUGCUUGUCCGAAACCGUUGCCGGAGUCUUUUCCAUGGUAUCCUUCGGUCGCAGCAUCCAGUCCAAACCCAUCUCUUUCCUUGAAAUAUCUCUCAAGUUCUGGGAUUCAGAACCUCCACCAUUAUCUGACCAAUUUAGCAAAAGAAUAGACAGAUUAGUGGAGUCAAAUAAUUUCAUCAAUGAAUGGACUUUCACCAUGAUUUUCAGAUAUUUUCAGGGUAUAAACAAAUUUUUAAAAAAAGGGGAAAAAAACCUUACCCGUAUCCCAUUUACACAAGAAAUCGCACAGAAAGGCAGCCAUAACAAAUCAAUCUUUAACCCAAAAUUAAUUCUCUGUUUGAAGACUCUUCACCAAACAGCAAGUCGGUAGCAGAAGUUCAAGAGAAGGAGAAGGAAAAAUAAAAGGGCGAAGAAAACGAGGAGGCUUUCAUAUCAUAUGCGCGGUGGGUGGUGGUGAAAUUCGAAGCACAGAGGGAGAAUAGAAUAACAGACUCGAGUCGGAAACCUCCCUUGAAGAGGUUUCUGGCGGUGCUUCACAAACCUCCCUUGAAAAAGUUUCCAACGGUAUUAGUAUUUUUUUUUUCAGAGAUAACAAUUAUAGUAUAACCUAUGUAUCCUAAAUUAUAGGGAAUGAGAGUCGAAAAAGGCAUUGUAUUAGGAACUAAUAGGUACACAAAUUUUACUAAAUCAAGGGAGUGCUUUAGUAUAAUUCUUCAAUUUUUUUUACCGCAUAUGAGAUUUAAACCACCCAACUACAGCACAAGGAGGUGUUAAAGGGACUUAACACUAUGCCACUUAGCCAAGCACAGUAGUUUCUAACGGUAUUAGUGGUACCCUUAAUUCUGAAAAAUCUCACUUCUCUUAAUUAUUUUUUUGGGAUAAUUUCAGAAACCUCCCUUUCAUGCAGCCACGACCAAAUAUCACCAUUAGAAACCUUCAAAUGAUCAAAUUGCCCUUAAAAACUUGUGCCAACAAAUAUUGAAAAUAUGAGAAAAAGAAAUUAUUUUAAAGUAUAAUUUUUUUCUGCUACUUGGCACCAAAUAGUUGGAGGUAUAUAUAUGUUUAAAGCGUCAAAUAACACUUAUAAUGGCAUUAUCUAAGAAAAUCCAAAAUAGCUUUAAAAAAAAAACAAGGAACUAGAGGCUCAACCGUUCGUGAUACUUCACUUGGUGAAGGAUUUGUGCUAAAAGGUGACAAAUAUACCACAAUUUAGGUUGCAGCAAAUUCACUAGAUGUAAAAAGAUCAAAGCUUUUUUUGGUUUAUUAAACCUACUUAUAAGUUUUCUAAGUAUUGAUUGUUAUUUGUCAUAUUAAUGCACCUAAUGCUUGUCAUGGAUAUAAUUUAAAUUAGAAGAUUAUUAAGUUUUCCAAGUAUUGAUUGUUAUUUAUCAUAUUAAUGCUUGUCAUGGAUAUAAUUUAAAUUAGAAGAUUAUGCUAUACUUGUGAAUGUGCCUUUAUGCUAUUUUAUGAUGGUUACAGAUGACUUUGUUUAUAGAAUAUUUUCAACUAAAGUUCCCAUGAAUUUUUCUUUUGGCAAUUUUGCUAGCCUUAUAUGCUGACACCAAAUUUUUUAUUUAAUUUUAGCUUUACUUGUUUUCAAUUUUAGGUUUAUUUUAUUUUUAUUUUUAUUUUAUUAUUUAUUUUGCCUUCAUACCAAAUUUCAAAAAAAAAAGAAAAGAGAAAAAAGAGAAGAAAGGAAAAAUCCCCACAAAAAAUUAAAUUUGUUUUAGCCCUUUAGAUUUGGAUUUAAAGCACUUUAAUAGCAAUAAAUUUUCUAUUAAGAAUUAAUUUCUGUUGUUUAAACUUGAAUAAAAAAAAAGAAAAAAAAGAGAAAAAAGGACACACGUUAUUUCCUCAUUUUUACAGGCUUCGGACAACACAGAAAAUUGCAGCUGGCCAUUUCUUCCAUUUUUUACUCAUUUUCCGUUGCAUUUUUUUUUUCCUCCAAGUACUCUCAGUACAAGGCCAACGCAUCUUGGUGUUAAGUUCCAGGAUCAAUGCCCAUCUAAGGGCCCAAAUUCUUGCCAAAAAUGCAGCUCCAAUCUCCUCCCUUUGUUCUAGGUUUUGGAGGGUUUCGGCAGCUAUAAAAGCUAAGGAUAACAAGCAAAGAGAGGGGGGGUGGUGACGGCUGAGAAUCGAAAGGAAAAACAAAUGGACAGGAGCGGCUAGGUUUAGAGGAAGAGAAUUUGGUGAGUAUAAGAGAUAGAGAGAGCGUGGGAUAGAGCAAAAAGAAAACAGCAAGAGAAGGAAAACAGGGAGUGAAUAGCAGCGGAGAAAAGAGCGAGAGAGGUAGGAGAUCGAGGGUGGCGUUCGGCUGCACAAGAGGAAGAACCAAGCGAGGAAAACUGAGGGAAGGCAAGGUGAAGUGAGGUUUCGGCUAGAGGAAGGAAACCGAGAAAACAAGAAAGAAGAAACUCAGAGCCUAGAGUAUCAAGCUUGCGUUUUUUUUUACUGAAGACUGCAAUUUCAUCUCCUUCGAUCGCUGGUGGAGCGUAUUCAAUCUCUUGCGGAUUCUCCAGCGCCGAAAUUUCUGUAGUAAAGACUUUGGCUUGCAACCUCAGAUUUAAAUCUUGCUAUCCUCAGAUCCCUCACGUUUAACUAGUGUUUCCCAGCAUUAAAGGUAACCCUUUUAUCUUUUUCCGCUUAUACCUCAUCAGACUUGAAAAAAUAUAGUUGAAAUCUUUGCUGCCAUGCCUGCUGUUGCAUUUUUCAGCUUUCCUUCCUUCCUGUUUGUGAUUUGGUAGGAAAAGAGGAUUGUUGAAUCUUUGAUCUUGUGUCAUCGCUUGUUUAUUUUUGUUGGAUUGAGGCUCCUAUGGGGUUAGACCAUGAAUCCGUGAGUCUUGCUUUGGAUUAUUGCUGUUCUCAUGUGUUGAACAAAUUUCUGAAGUUGCAGAAUAUGGUUGAUUCGUUGAGUUGCAUAGUUUUGGUUUGUUGCUUGCUGUAGUGUCGACAAAUCCUUUUCCUUUCUUCGGUUGCUGGGGUUUUAGCUUGUUUGCGGUUCUUGACUUGCUUGCUGUUUGAUUGGGAUGGCCUGUCUAUGUGUACCGCAAGUCUCACUCCUUUCUUUGCUGCAUUUCUGGUCUAAUUGAUUUGAUUGGAUCUUCUAGGAUAGAUGAUCAUGUUAAUGACAAUAGGAUAAAAUCCUAGCACUUGGGUUUGGUUGUCCAAUAGAGUUUGUUUCUGAGUUUCUUGCGCACAAACAUAUCCAAGCUGAAAUAAAAUAAAAAGCUGCGUUCAUCCUUAUGACUUGCUGUGUUCUUUCCCGCAACAGCCUCACCAAAUGGGUUUGCCACCUAAUUUGCUAUGUGAUCUUGUGUUAGAAAGAGGAAGUUGAAUCGCUGGUGUUGAUUUUGUGUGUUGUUGGUUCAAAGGCACAUAGAUUAGGCUCGAAUAUUUGCUGGAAAUCAAGUUCCCGUAAUGGCUGGAAAAUGCAGAAUAUUGCUCUUCGAUGCAUGCAUGAUCAUGUUACCAAAAUUGCACUUUGCUCCCCUUAGCUUCUAUCUAUGCUUCUAUGGCCCAAAGAAUGGGAAAAAUCAAUCAAAUUGCCCCCUCAAACUUUCUUUUUCCUUUUUAAUUGGAUCCUAAUUUUGUGAAUAUGGACUGUUUAGUUAUUUAAAUGCUUUUAAUGAUUCAAUUUCAUAUUUAUGUGAUUAUUUGUGAUGCCUUGACCUUUUCUUUUAUUUUUGGAGAGUAAAUAAGCAAUUUCACUCCAUUAAGGCUCCAACUCAAGGGAGGUACAUCAUAUCCCUUAUUUCUUACUUUAUUUGACGUGCCCUAUGUGACUUUACGUGUUUAAUUGCAUGCCUCUUGGAUGUUUAUUUAUUUAUUUCAUUUAUUUAUUUAUUUGAUUUAUUGGCUUUAGCUUUGUAUAUUUAUUUUAGUUCAAUUUUGAUCAUUUGAAAAGCAUUUGAAUGCCAAAGUUGUAAUAGCUAGGUUAUUAUUAAUUAUUUUGUUCCUUUCCCUCCUAGAUUGUAGUAGGCUUCCCCCGAAUGUAAUAGUUAGGGUCUUAUUUGUUUUAUUUGCCUUGUGUGUUUUUGCAUGCCUAUGUGUUAUGUGUUACUCGCUUUCCUAGGGUCUUGCAUCUAGAUACCAUACUUAUGUGUUAUGUGCUAUAUGUGAUUUACGUGUUUACCUACUUUUAUUAGGUCUUACAUGAUUUAUUUGAUUGUAACUGAUGUGUGACGUCACCACACUAGUCCAACGCUAGUUGUGGUCAAUUUCUCGAAUCCACACUAGUCCAACGCUAGUUGUGGCCUUUUGUUCCGACAUUUCUCACUGGUCCAAUGCUAGUGAGAAAUUGUAGACAUAGGCUAGUCCAACGCUAGACCCUUAGGAACAAUCCGCACGUUAGAUCAUGAUUGUAUGAUAAAUCACUUCAUCUCAUGCAUAUUUUCACAUUUUAGGGCCUUUUAUCAUGUUUUGCAUGACAUCCCUCUUUAUACGUAUAUCCCUUCCCCCAUAUUUUUCCUUAUAUGUAUAUUACUUACCCCUUUGUAUGAAACAUGACAUUAGACUUGCAUUCCAUUUAAGCAUUAGACCUAGGUUAGUACAUUUGCUUGGUUAGACUAGAAAAAAUCCCUUGGAUAUGGGAUAUGGACGAGUUUGGCUUCUCUAACCUUAGCACGCUCGUAUUUCCUCUAUUAAAGGGAACAUUGGAGUCACGAACAUUAGUUCCCCCGUACCCGACAUGAUGCAUUCCUUUAGGCCACGUAUAUUUGUAUAAUUACUCUUAUUUUCCUUUUCUUUCUUUCGAGUCUCAUGAUUUGCAUUAUUUGUGACUUUUUCGAAGAGUCUUUAUUGGGCGUCACAAUUAAUGUGAUUGGUACCAAGUAAGUUUUGAAGAUACAUUUCGACCCUCCGAUACCCUAUUAGGUUUAGGGUUUGCAUUCAUAUAAAACAUCCAAAAUGUGAUAAAUCUUAAGGGUAAAAUAAGAAAAUCUUUGACUAAAUCGCGCAACUAGCCUUGGCUAGGUUGAAAGGGUGCCUUGGAUUCUUAUUCUUGCCUUCCCUUUUUUCAAAUGUGACUCCCGAAUCUUUUUCUCUGAUUUUCGUAGACUUGGAGUCGUUUAAAAAGCGUUUUCUACUUUUCCCUUUAAAAUUCAUUUUUUAGGUGACUUGGUACACCUUAACUCUAUACCAAGUGGCGACUCUAUUUUUUGUUCAAAAAAAAAUCCUUUUUAAACUAUAUUUUGGGUCAAAUCGUCGCAUUUUCAAGUCCCAUUUAGACCCACAUGUUUUUCAUUUUCUUUUUAAAUCAAAAAUUCAUUUUUUAAUCAAAAAUUGAAUCAAAAGCCAUUUUCCUAAACUCGUCUUUUAUUUUUCUCUAUUUAAAAAUGGAGCGCGACAAUUGGCGACUCCACUAGAGAUUUUGAGAGUCCGAGCAAAUUUGAUUUAGUCAAUCUUUUUUUUCUUUUAACCUUUUCAUAUAUCAUAUUUGGAUGUUUAGGGUUGCAUUUUUCCUUUUUAGGAUUUUUGCAUUUCACGCGUAUCAAUUCACUCCAUCACCCUUUGCAUACAAUUGAUUUUGAUGGAUGGAUGGUUUAUUUAUGUGAUCCCGUGCAUUGCAUUGCAUUUGGGUAGGGGGUAUUUCCCUAGAGUCUCGCGUUGAUUCUCGAUCCCUCCUCUCCAAACGAGCACUGGCAUACGUGCAUACGCUUUAUUUUUUAUCCCUCCUUUAUUUUUCUUUUAGUGGCUUGUCACGCCACUCUACUCUAUUAGGAUUAGGCGACCCACUUGGACGUAUGAUCGCGACACGACGUGUGCGUAACAUGAUCCGAGGGGUCACUCAAUCUUCUGCUUUAAGCUGUGGGUUAAUAACCUUUAGCUUUUAGUCGAAGGUUGAGGAUUUUUAUAGAUUCACUCAGACAUGUAGCUCUGAUACGACGUGUGCGUAGCAAUGUCUGGGGAAUCGCUCGAGCCACCGACAAAGAAUCUUGGGAUUGAUGACCCUUGGUUUCCCAGUCUGAAGGCUCGGGGACCUAAAACCUGUCGAGUUUAGAUGCAUUAGUGAGUCAAUACCUCAUGCAUCCAUAAUAGUUCAUCUAGGACAGAGUCUGUCUCACCCUAUUAGGGACACCAUUUGUUAGGAAAUUGGAUUAAUUUCUUUUAGGUAAAAUUCCUGUUUUGUGUGGAAGUAACUAGUUUCCUAAUUGGAUUUAGUUACUUGAAGUAGUAGUCAAGUAAAUUCCUAUUUAGCUAGAUACUAUUUUCUACUCUAUGUGAGUUUAGGAAAUAGUAUUGAUUUCCAAUUGUUAUUUGGUUUUUUUGGCAGUAAUGUUCCCUAUAAAUAGGUGGGUUGGCAUACUACAAAGAUACACAAGAAAGGAGCGAGAGAGUUCUUAGUAGGUGAGAGAGUUAUACAAGAGUUGGGGUUUGGGAAUCAAGUUGUAAUCUUGUGGUGUUUUUCUCUCAUAGUAAGAACAAGUUUUUCUCUCCGUGGAUGUAGGCUUGGUGAUUAAGCCGAACCACGUUAAUUCUUGUGUGUUGUUCAUCGUUCGUGUUAGAUAUUGUUUUCUAUUAAAUUGUUGGUCUUUUCUUUUUCAAAUAAUUGGCCUGAUAUCCCAACAAGUGGUAUCAGAGCCGAUGGUUCGGCUGGGCAGUGACUCCAGGAUAAAAAGCCAGUGGGAGUGGUAAGGCGUGGCUUGGAUAAGAGCGGGGAAAAAAAAAAUCAUGCAGACCUGCAGUGAGGUAAGGGCAUGUGGGCUCUUGAGCAAGAAUCGUACACUCUAGAUUGAAAUGGGCUUGAUGGAGUGGAUGGACUAGGGAGAGAGGUCCGAUGUGAAAAAGAUUCACAAUUGAGGGGGAGAUUGUUGGGAUAUCAAGUGUGAAUCAAUAUCCCACAUCGGAAAAAGAUGAGUAGAAUGAGGAACAUAUAAGAGAUGAGUAGAAUGAGGAACAUAUAAGUGGGAACGAUCCAUAGACCCAAUGCCUUAAGGUUUUGGGUUGGAUGUGGUGUCAAGCCCAUGGUUGUGGUUCCCAUUCUAGCUCAUGGUUAAAUUCUCCCCGGGUUUGGCUUUCUCCGAGCCCAACAAGUGGUAUCAGAGCUCCGUUGGGAUUUUGGUUAAUUAUUUGAAAUUGGGUGGUGGUAUACCAUGGGGUUUGGAACUAUACAGUUUCCAAUUCAACCAUUUAAUGGAACUACAAGUUUCACUCUUUGGCAAAGAAGAGUGAAGGAUGUUCUAGUUCAACAAGGUUUGGCAAAAGCGUUGAAUGGAAAGAACAAGAAGCCAGAGAGAAUGAAUGAUGAUGAGUUUGAAGAGUUGGACGCAAGAUGUGCGAGCACGAUUCGGCUCUAUGUGGCGGACAACAUCAUAAAUAAUGUGAUAGAUGAGGAAGAUUCUGCAGCAGACCUCUGGAAAAAGUUGAAAAAACUUUAUCUGGCUAAAAGCUUAUCCAAUAAGUUGCAUCUAAAGCGGCAACUUUAUGCACUAAAGAUGGUGGAGGGUGGCAGCCUCAUGGAUCACAUGAAUACAUUCAACGGAAUUUUGGAUCAACUCCAAAAGGUUGGCAUAGAUAUUGAGGAAGAAGAUAAGGCCCUUUUACUUCUUACCUCAGUCUCUGAUUCUUACGAAAGUGUCGUGACAACCCUGUUGUAUGGGAAGGACACUUUAGAGUUCGAGAAUGUGUAGUCUUCUUUGUUGGGUCAUGAAAAACAAAGGAAGGCAAACUAGGAUGUGACACAAGAAGUUGCGUUAAUUGCUCGAGGUGAGAAUAAAAGAGGAAAACAAUUUGGCGGUGAAUCUAAGGCAGGUGGUUCAAAGGCCAAGGGAAAGGGUGGAAUCCAGUGCUUUGGUUGUCAUGAGUUUGGCUAUAUCAAAAAAUAUUGUCCUCAUCGAAGGAAAAAUGAUGAGAAUGACUAUGAUAAUGUUGCUGGAUAUGCAUCGGGUGGAGAUAUUCUCACAAUCUCCAAAGGUAAUAAUACUUCUUCUCGUGAUGGUUGGAUUUUAGAUUCUGGAUGUGUUUCACAUGUUUGCUCCAGGUUAGACUAUUUUGAUACUCUCCAAAGAAAGAAGGCAGGUUUUAUGUCCUUGGGUGAUGGAUCUACUUGUCAAGCCAAAGGUGUUGGAGUGGUGAAAAUCAAAAUGUUGAAUGGAGAGAUUCGUUCUUUGGGUGUGUGGCUUAUGUCCCAAAAUUACGAAGGAAUCUAAUUUCUUUGAGCCAGUUAGACUCCGAGGGUUACCAUUUUUCCGCUGCAGGUGGAGUCUUGAAAAUCACACAUGGCGAUACGGUCUUGUUGAUGGGGAAGAAGUAUGGUAAUCUGUACCAUUUGAAUACCUCAAUGAAUUGGGAGCGGCAGGGGAUCCAAGAAUGCUCUCAAAUUACAAAUGGUGGUGAGAGAAAAAAUCCUGCUAUGGGAGAGGGUGCAUUGAGGCCCCUCUCGCGAGUCAACUAGAUGUUGGACUCGGUUAACUACGCACGUUCAUUUGCCGAUUGAAUCAAUUGAAAAUAAGACCGUAUUGAUUCGGGUGUGUAGUUAGGCACCAAGGUACUUGGUGGGAAAAAGCAAAUGGAGUUUUUUUGGAUGGUUUGCUGUGUUUGCUAAAAGAAAUUUUGCCAAGGUGGAGAUUUGUUAGGAAAUUGGCUUAAUUUCUUUUAGGUAAAAUUCCUGUUUUGUGUGGAAGUAACUAGUUUCCUAAUUGGAUUUAGUUACUUGAAGUAGUAGUCAAGUAAAUUCCUAUUUAGCUAGAUACUAUUUUCUACUCUAUGUGAGUUUAGGAAAUAGUAUUGAUUUCCAAUUGUUAUUUGGUUUUUUUGGCAGUAAUGUUCCCUAUAAAUAGGUGGGUUGGCAUACUACAAAGAUACACAAGAAAGGAGCGAGAGAGUUCUUAGUAGGUGAGAGAGUUAUACAAGAGUUGGGGCUUGGGAAUCAAGUUGUAAUCUUGUGGUGUUUUUCUCUCAUAGUAAGAACAAGUUUUUCUCUCCGUGGAUGUAGGCUUGGUGAUUAAGCCGAACCACGUUAAUUCUUGUGUGUUGUUCAUCGUUCGUGUUAGAUAUUGUUUUCUAUUAAAUUGUUGGUCUUUUCUUUUUCAAAUAAUUGGCCUGAUAUCCCAACACCAUUCACGAGGGGAGAGAUCCAACCCCUCUAUUCCUUUUAUUGCUUUACCUCUUUGUAUUGCUUUGCUACAAAUGUGUUAUAUGUAUUUAUCUGAUUGAACUAACUUCUCUUAAUUUUUUGUUUCCAUUGCAUUCAUAAGCCCUAGAAAAAUAAGAGUCCUGGCAUGGUACUCUCUAGGAGUCUACCUUAUUUGAUGUGACACGUUUAAAUUUAAUGCUUGGCAUUUUCAGCAUAAAUACAUGUUAUUUUAGACUCACCCCGACAUACUAAAGGGGGUUCCCUUUAGGUCACGUUUCAUUUGUAUACUACAUGUUUACGCGCUUUAAUAAACUGGCAUCAUGCAUCCACCUUAGAAGGGAAUGCCAUUUAGGGAAUCUCGUGUUAGGAACAAACCGCCCUAUGUCUCGGAUAUAUAAUCCAAUGAGACUUGCACGUUUAUAUUUCCUAUACUGUCCGAAGGGGUAGUGCACGAUGUAAGGUAGGAUCCGAUCUUUUCAAAGAUGGUAAAGCAAUUUUUUGCACAUUGGAAUAUGGGCAUCUAAUAAUUAUUUUUUGGCCAUUUUAAACAAAAUUGGUAAGAAAUUCCCUUGCGUAAAUGACAUUAACUUGAAGAAAUUCACAAAUGAUUCCUCACUGUUGAGACGAUAAAUGUAGAGGCCAAAUCUUGAUUUUAGAAGGGUCAUAGACUAAUGCAUCGCAAACUACCAGUGGAUAGAUUGAUUUUUAAAUAAACCAUCAAUUUCAUUCAAUCUAUUGAACCAUUUUAUUCAUCAAUUUCAUCCAAUCCAUUUUUUAUUUUUUUUAUUCACUCAUUUUUUUAGGACUAUCUAAGUCAAUUUUGAAUAAGUCAUCCUUUGUUUGAUCUGAUCAAUUUUGAAUAAAUCACCAAUUUCAUUCAAUUGACUAGUUCACUCAUUUUUAGGGCAAUCCAGUCGAUUUUGAAUAGAUCACCAAUUUCAUUCAAUUCAUUUGAUUAGUUUACCCAUUCUUAUGGCAAUCUUAUUGAUUUCGAAUAAAUCAUCAAUUUCGUCCGAUCCAUUUGACUAGUUUACCUAUUUUUUAGGGCAAUUCGGUCGAUUUUGAAUAAAUCAUCAUUUCACUCAAUCUGUUUGAUCAAUUGAUUUCAUUCAAUUCAUUUGAUUAGUUUAAUUUUUUUAGGGUUAUACAUUCAAUUUUGAAUAAAUCAUCAAUUUCAUUUGACCAAUUUACCAAUUUUAGGGUGACCCAGUCAAUUUUCAAUAAUUUAUCGGUUUCAUCCGAUCCAUUUGACGGUUUACGGUUUCGGUGCCAAAUUUUAGAAUUAAAAUGGCUAAUUGUUUUGAGGAAAUCAUCAAAACGCAUUCAUUCGACUUGGAUAGAUUAGGGUUUCGAUUCAUUUUAAGAAAUUUCAAAUUUCUCUAAUGACAAGCUCCUCAAAGUUAAAUCAAUUUGUACGAAUUCCUAUGCCAACCAAAACCAUUUCUUCAUUUAGAGGUUUCCUGCUGUUCAAUUGGCCCAAAAUUUUCAAAUUGCUUUCCAAUCAACUGUCAAUGAGUUGAUCGGAUCCAUCAGGUAUGGUAUAGUGCCUAUCUCAAAGGAUUACAUCAUGUUAGGCCUACCCUUGGUACUAAAAAGGUCCCCCAUAGGACAUGCAUACCGAUUUUGUAGUUUUGCCUACUAACUCGGGGUAUUUUUCUUUUGUUUUCCCCCCUCUCCUGCAUUCAUAAAAAUGUUUUAAUAAGGUGAAAAUAUUUUUCUAUGUCUGCUAAAAUUUGAAAAUUACAAGUAUUACUUGAUUCUUUGGUAAAUCCUACAUUGAAAACAUGAAAGAUGCAUCUGAAAGCUCUAGGCUAAAGCCUCUGAGAGACUUUGUAAUUGUUUUUCAAAGGAAAAUUCUGUUUAUUUGAUUUGUUAAUAUAUUUUUGUUCCAAAAAAGGGAGACAAAAGUGUAUAUGUGGGGUUUUUUUUAGAAGUUUUUUCUUCUCAUUUGUAUUAUAAUUGAAUGAGAAAUUUUGUUUAAACUUUUUCAGCAAUAAAGUCUUUGGACAAUUAUAGUUUUGUGUAUAUUUAUGUACAUUUGAUUUUGUAUCUUGCUCAUUAGAGAUUUCAUGAUGAAUUUUGAGAAAAAGAUUAAAUUGAGAUUUUUUCAACCCCCAGCCUGAAAAAUUCACAAGUGUAUGCCUUCCAAAAUCUUUACGUUCACAAGAUUAGUGAUCCAAACUGUACAAUAAGAGUGCCCGAAAUUAAAAGAAGCCACUCAAACUGAUAGAUCACUCAAAAGUCCCAAUGAAAUACCUUUUCUCCUUCACAAAGCACCCAAAAAUAAAAUAAGUCACUUUGACUGAUAAAAUGCAAAUUGGGGUAAUCUUUGCUUGAAAAAUGUUCACUGUGCCUAAUUAUAUUCAAUUCACAUCUAAGUGAAAGCAAAAUGUGCAUUAUUCUUGUUUGUUUUGAAAAAUUGGAAUGAUACUUCGAGCGCUCGUUUCUCUACCCAUACAGAUUUUAUCAUUUGCUCUCCCAUUUGAGCCUCUGAAAGAAUAAUUUCGUUUCAAAUAAGAGUCUUAAUAAUCACUACCCUACAUUGGAAAGUUCUUAGAUAUAAAAAAAAGGAGUGGAUUUUCAAUGACUAUUUCGUUACUUUGGUUGUCAUGAGGUGUAAGAAUGAUACUUUGGCCAUCGUUUCUACAACCUAAACACUAUUUAUCCUUUGCAUCCUCAUUUGAGCUAAAAUGGGUGUUUCUUGUCAAAAGCACUUACGAUCGCACCCUAUAUUGGGGAAAGAGAUUGGAGAAUUUUCCAAAAGGGGAAAAAUGCUAAAAUUAAAAGAAAGAGAGAACCCCGAAUGGGAAAAUUUAUUCUACCUGGGUUUCAAUUUUUUUUUAAAAAAAAAAAGAGAAAAGAAAAGAGAAAGAGAAAAGAAAGAAAAGUUGUCCGGCGGAUCCUCUAUGUUUCACGGAUAUGGAUGAACGGAAGUCAUCCUUGGUUAAUUGAUUCAGAUGCAUGCAAAAAAUUUCGCAUUAAUGAAAAUUUUCCUUUCAGAGUUAAUGUAAGGAACGGAUUAAAAGUCAGACCCUCUUCUUUUCCAAUCAAGCAUUCUAUUCCUAAUUAUCCCUUUUGAGCUUUCAAAAUAAAAUAUUUCAUUUGGCAACCCCUGAGAAUCGCAAACCCCACACUGGGACAAGUUUGAGUUGAAAAAGAAGAAAAGUCUCAAAAGGUGAAAAGUGAUAAGGCAACAAAAUCAAAAGACAAAGAAAGAAAAGAGAAUCUCAGUUGAACAUGAACCGGGGCAAAUUUUGAAAAGUUCAAAAGAAUGGCAGAACGCCAAAAAGAAAAAAGAGAGAAAAAUGAAAGAAGAAGACCCUCAAUUGAGAAUAAACUGGGGUGAGUUCUGAUUUAACCCUAAAAUAGGGUUGGCGCAAUAAUGCGAUCUCAGAUCAUUUAAACCACUUUUGAAAAUUUACUUUCAAAUCUUAACUUUUCUAAGCAUCCCACCAGACUCCAUUACAAAAGUCGAAAGUCCUGACUUCUGUUUCUUUGCAAUAUCUCUGUCAAGAAAAUUUCUAAUUGGCAAGUGAUGCUUGUAUACUGAUGCCAGAAUUUUUUUUAAUGUAUUUCUGAAUUGAUUAGCUGUGAAAUUGACAGUACUUAUCAUCUGAAAAUCCGCCAGGGCACCUUUGAAAAGAAAGGAAAAGGAUAAAGCAAAAAAAAUAAAUGCAAAGGAAAUGAAAAAGAUUUGAUAGUCCCUGUUAAGUGAUGACGAAAGUCACCAAAUCUAAGAUCUUUAAGUUCAAAAUAGGGGCAAUUUUGAAAAAAUGCGAUCUUCUGUGCAACGUUCUUGAAAGUCUUAUUCUUUAACUAUCGUUUUCAAGCCACAUUACAAGCUCAUAAAGUCCAUCGUUGACUUAUCCUUCAUGACAAUUCGAAGUGAGGAUUAUACUUUUGAGAAAUCCAUCAUUCAUUUGUGAUCUUAAGGCUAUAACCUUUUUCCACAUGUUUAAUUAUCGUUUCUGCCCUCAUAUUACAAGCCUAAAAAGCUUAUGUGUGACUAAAUUUUCUUAAGAAAUAGGGGUGACAAACUAUUUGCUUUCACUAAGAUGUGGUAUUGAAGGGAUUACAUAUAAUUUGGGCACAAGAAUAAGACAAAUCUUGGCCUCCCAUUUCCCUUAGUCACUUCUGAAUCAGAAAUAAUGCCCACUUGAUUGGUCCUGAAAGAUGAGCUAACAAGAGGUGGUGACCCAUUACCCUGAGCAUCAAUGCUAAACUAGGGAAGGAAUCUUUUGUAAUUUGGUAUUAUUUUGAGAAAUUCAUCAUGAAAUUUUCUGUUAGGAAGCAUAGUUUCUUACUUUGUUCAAAUAAAUGGAGAGUCAUCCAAACAAAUUUUUACAAUUAAAUGAGCCCACACUAGGGCAAAUUUUCAUUUGAGAGAUUUUGCAAAAUGAGCCUACACCGGGGCAAAUUUUUAUUUGUAAGAUUUCGCAAAAUAAACCCACACUAGGGCAAAAUUUUUUGUAACCCAUUUGAGAAUUUCGUCCAAGAGUCAAGUAAGACGUUUUUAAAUCAAUCAUACUGCUCUUUUCAUGAGUAGUAGAUGCACCAAAAAAUUUAAGUGCAUGUUGUACUUGGAUAAGCCCCUUGUGCAGGAAUCCAUGGCUUGAAAUCGAUGAAGAAGCGUAAGUCAGAAUCUUGCGAAUCAAGACCUUAAGGAGGAGCAACCUUGCCGUAACGCAAAUCAAAUGAUCGGCUGCACAAUAAUUGGUGGAAAUUGGGGCAAAUUAUUUUUUGAGAAGAUUCUCCCAAAUGGAAAAGUUGGAAAAAUCAAGAAAAAAAGAAGAAAAGAAAGAAAGAAGCAGAAGACAAAACAAAAGGGGUGGAGGCGACCUUAGCGAAAACCCGAAAGGGCACUGAGUGCUUUCGCCAACACCGGACUCCGGAGCAGAGAUAUUUGAAAGGGUCAAGACUGACGUUUCAUGCCAAAGAUUUUGCACAGUGUAUGAUCAUAAUUAUGGGAUUUGGGCAAGUGACAAUCUUUUAGUUUACUAAAAGCGCAAUUGGAUAUGUUCGUCCUUGGGAAAGCACAAUGGAACAACGAACAGUUGACAAUCUUGAUUCCAGACAGAGAAGUUUGUUUCAAUGGAAUGCCAAAAUUGAAAGUCUCAAAGUGGCUUGUUGUGAAAAUAACUCGUCGAACAAAAAUGAAGAUCACUUUGGGCUUGGACUUGGUGCCUCCUGCCAACAUCAAGACAUUCCGUUGGACUCGAACUUGGUGUCGCCCGCCAACAUCAAGACAUUCCGUUGGGCUCGGACUUUAUGCCGCCAAUGCAACCAAGACAGGCUCGGGUGUAAUCCCACUGACCAAUUCAUUAUAUUGGGGCAAAUUAUUUUUAGAAAGAUUCAAAAAAAAAUUCAAAAAAAAAUCAAAAUCAAAAAAUCAAAAAUCAAAUCAAGUUUCAUCACGGCAGGCUCGGGUUUAAUCCCGCUAACCGAUUGUCAGAGCAUUUCAUUUUGCAUUGCCACUAGCCAUGGGUCAAUCCCACUAGUGUGCAUUCUGAUUUAAAAUUUUGUUCGAUCCAAUCCCAUGAUUUUAAUUUUGUUCGAGUCAGUCCCAUGAUUUUAAUUUUGUUCGGGUCAGUCCCAUGAUUUAAAGUUUGUUCGGGUCAGUCCCAUGAUUUAAAAUUUUGUUCGGGUCAGUUCCAUGAUUUAAAAUUUUGUUCGGGCCAGUCCCAUGAUUUUAAUUAUGUUCGGGUCAAUCCCAUGAUUUUAAAUUUUGUUCGGGCCAGUCCCAUGAUUUUAAUUUUGUUCGGGCCAGUCCCAUGCUUUUAAUUUUGUUCGGAUCAGUCCCAUGAUUUAAAGUUUGAUUUUAAUUUUGUUCGGGUCAGUCCCAUGAUUUUAAAUUUUGUUCGGGCCAAUCCCAUGAUUUUAAUUUUGUUCGGGCCAGUCCCAUGAUUUUAAUUUUGUUCGGAUCAGUCCCAUGAUUUAAAUUUUGUUCGGGUCAGUCCCAUGAUUUAAAUUUUGUUCGAGUCAGUCCCAUGAUUUUAAAUUUUGUUCGGGCCAGCCUCUUUUAAAUUUUUUGUUAGGGGCAGUCCCCUUUUAAAUUUCUUGUUAGGGUCAGUCCCUUUUUAAAGUUCUUGUUCGGGUCAGUCCCGUUUUAAAUUUCCUGUUUUGGUCAAUUCUGUUUUAAAGUUCUCGCCUGGGUCAGUCCCAUUUUAAAGUUUUCAUUAAAGAGAUCAGUCCUCGUUUCAAUAAUGACAGUCAUUCGAGUGUCUGCAACCAAAGACACAGGUAAGUAUUUGGUGUCUACGUCUUUGUCUCAAGUUUCUUCGAAACUCAGACAAAGAGGGGCAAACUGUAGACACCAAAUUUUUUAUUUACUUUUAGCUUUACUUGUUUUCAAUUUUAGGUAUAUUUUAUUUUUAUUUCUAUUUUAUUAUUUAUUUUACCUUCAUACCAAAUUUCAAAAAAAAAAAAAAAAAAAAGAGAAGAAAGGAAAAAUCCCCACAAAAAAUUAAAUUUGUUUUAGCCCUUUAGAUUUGGAUUUAAAGCACUUUAAUGGUAAUAAAUUUUCUAUUAAGAAUUAAUUUCUGUUGUUUAAACUUGAAUAAAAAAAAAAAGAGAAAAAAGGACACGCGCUAUUUCCUCAUUUUUACAGGCUUCGGACAACACAGAAAAUUGCAGCUGGCCAUUUCUUCCAUUUUUUACUCAUUUUCCGUUGCAUUUUUUUUUCCUCCAAGUAUUCUCAGUACAAGGCCAACGCAUCUUGGUAUUAAGUUCCAGAAUCAAUGCCCAUCUAAGGGCCCAAAUUCUUGCCAAAAAUGCAGCUCCAAUCUCCUCCCUUUGUUCUAGGUUUUGGAGGGUUUCGGCAGCUAUAAAAGCUGAGGAUAACAAGCAAAGAGAGGGGGGGUGGUGACGGCUGAGAAUCGAAAAGGAAAAACAAAUGGGCAGGAGCGGCUAGGUUUAGAGGAAGAGAAUUUGGUGAGAGUGAGAGAUAGAGAGAGCGUGGGAUAGAGCAAAAAGAAAACAGCAAGAGAAGUAAAACAGGGGGUGAAUAGCGGCGGAGGAAAGAGCGAGAGGGGUAGGAGAUCGAGGGUGGCGUUCGGCUGCACAAGAGGAAGAACCAAGCGAGGAAAAUUGAGGGAAGGCAAGGUGAAGUGAGGUUUCGGCUAGAGGAAGGAAACCGAGAAAACAAGAAAGAAGAAACCCAGAGCCUAGAGUAUCAAGCUUGCGUUUUUUUUUACUGAAGACUGCAAAUUCAUCUCCUUCGAUCGCUGGUGGAGCGUAUUCAAUCUCUUGCGGAUUCUCCAGCGCGGAAAUUUCUGCAGUAAAGACUUUGGCUUGCAACCUCAGAUUUAAAUCUUGCUAUCCUCAGAUCCCUCACGUUUAACUAGUGUUUCCCAGCAUUAAAGGUAACCCUUUUAUCUUUUUCCGCUUAUACCUCAUCAGACUUGAAUCCAAAAUGUGAUAAAUCUUAAGGGUAAAAUAAGAAAAUCUUUGACUAAAUCGCGCAACUAGCCUUGGCUAGGUUGAAAGGGUGCCUUGGAUUCUUAUUCUUGCCUUCCCUUUUUUCAAAUGUGACUCCCGAAUCUUUUUCUCUGAUUUCGUAGACUUGGAGUCGUUUAAAAAGCGUUUUCUACUUUUCCCUUUAAAAUUCAUUUUUUAGGUGACUUGGUACACCUUAACUCUAUACCAAGUGGCGACUCUAUUUUUUGUUCAAAAAAAAAUUCUUUUUAAACUAUAUUUUGGGUCAAAUCGUCGCAUUUUCAAGUCCCAUUUAAACCCACAUGUUUUUCAUUUUCUUUUUAAAUCAAAAAUUCAUUUUUUAAUCAAAAAUUGAAUCAAAAGCCAUUUUCCUAAACUCGUCUUUUAUUUUUCUCUAUUUAAAAAUGGGGUGCGACAAGUACUUUUGCUUCACUUUUGAGGUUACUUUUUAUGACAAGAACUGACUUUGUUAUUAAAAAUAUCAAUCAAGGGAAGACCAGUGUAAUUUUUAAUAUUAGAGAAUAGUUAUGUGAGAUUGUCAGAAACCUCGAGGGAGGAUUCUGAAAUUUUCUCUUUUUUUAUAACUUUUGCAAUCCCUUUCAAAAUAUGAUAUUAAAAACUCAUUUGGGAAUAGAGGAUAUAAUCUCAUUUUAAAUUUACCCUUUUAUUUUGGACUCUUGAUUGUCAUAACACAUUAAUUUUCUUUCUUAAUUUUUGUAAAUGUGGUCAGCAUAGUUUUUUAAUUGAAAUUUAAAAGUUGGUAAUGGGGUCAAAAGACCUUUUAAUAGUUUUUUACGUCACUAGUUUGGACAAGAAAUAUAAGGAUAUUGAAAAUUAUAAAUAAUUAAGAAUACUUGUAAAUGACAUGAAAUAUUUUAUAACAAUGAAAAUGAGUUUUUGUGCCAACUUGAAAACAUCACAAACAAGUUUAUAUAUAAUUUUCAUCAUAUUUUAUUUUUCUAGUUUUCAAAUCAUUGAUUCAGAAAAAACCUAAAAAUUUGAAAAAAAAAAAGUAAACGAUUUAUAAAACUCCUUAACUCAAAACAUAUGGUAAAGAGAAUAAUACUUUUGUAACUUGUAGAAACUUUAAAUAAAGUUUAAAAUAUUAACUCUUUGUAUUUCAAAAGCGCACUAUAUUUUGUCCUAUUAGAAUUCAACUUUCAUUUUUUUAUUCUAUUUUUUAAUAUAUUCAAGCGUUUAAAAUUAUUAUAUUUGUUAAUGGGUAGUACUCCUUUUUUAUUUGUUAAUUUUUAUCACAUUUAUUGAGGUUUUGGUUAAAUUCCCCUCUUUCCUUUAUUUUUAUAUAUUAAUAAAGUAAGGACUAGCAAAAAUAUUUUGUACUAUGGACUUAGACAACAAAAGGGUAAAUUUGGAAUGAAAUUAUAUUCUUUCUCUCAGAAAAUGAGGAUUUUAAUAGUAUAUUUUGAAAUGGAUUUUAAAUGUUGCAAAAAUCUUAAAGUAAAUGAGGCAAAUGAGAUUUUUCAAAGUUGAAGAGUGUCAAAUAAUGCUGUUAAAAACCUCAAGAGAGGUUUCUAAAAUUAUCUCAAAGAUAAAAUUGUAUGUCUCUAAUUUGCAAGUGGUGGAUUAAUUAACUCAAGUAAACAUGUAUAUCUUUAAUUUGCAAGCAGUGGAUUGAGAGGUGACUAAUUUGCACUAUACUUUGAUGAAAUAUUUUGUUUGUUUUGUUCAUUUUUGGGAAAUUAUAGGUUGAAACAAAAUAAUUUGAGGUUAAAAGGUGAUUAAUAGUUUUUUGGAGUUUUUAUAUGGUUUAAGUCCCUUUUACUUGCAUUUUGUCUAUGUUUGUUGUAGGAGAUAGAAAUGGACUUCACUUGGGACGAGAAAUAAUUAUUCUUUAUGUGAUUGAAGUCCUAAAGGAUGCAAGGUUAGUGAGUUUCAAGGGUGGAUCGAGGCACAAGAACAAAAAAAAUGAGGAAACUUGAAGAUGAAGAAAAUUGGCCGAAUCCCUCUAUGAAUCCCUCCAAGAACCAGUCAGAUUGUCAGAGGGAUUCAUGGCAAAAUGUUGGCUUGAAGCAGAAACGAACAAAAGAAAAAUAGAGAAAGAAUCCCUCCAAGAAUCCGGCCAAGAUUCCAAUUGGAUUGCCCAAGGGGAUACCGGUCAAAUUUUGCGACUUUCACUUGCGCAACUUGUUUUCACCUCCAUUCUUUCACAUCUUUUGACGGAUGUUUGGCAACUAUUUUGCAGCUGUAAAAGUGACAGUUGAAGCUUUAUUUCUUAACUUGUUUCACUUAUAAAUAAAUCAUUUGCUUUAAGAAUCAAGGAGAGCUUGGAGAGAGCAAGGAAACACUGCAAAAAUGUAGUUUCUUAGCUCUUUCGUUUAUCGUAGUGUAGGAUAGUUUAGCUUAGUUCAUCCUUUCUUGUGUAGUAACUAGAUGAAGAUGAAGUUGGAGGAUGAAGAAACAAGGAGGAAACUCAUGUGACAAGGGUUACUCUACCUUUCUAACUCUUUAUCUUUUUGUAAUUGAUUCUAAAUUUAGUUAACAUAUAGGUUUGGAUUUUAUCUUCAUUAUGUCUUUCUAAAGUUUACGCCUUGAGUUUUGGUUGAAAUUUUUGUGAUUGUAUUGUGUUGAUUUCUUGGCUAUUUGAUGCUAUUAUUUUGACUAAAUUAUUUAGCACUUUUACUCCUCUAAUCAUAGUUAACUUGGUACCAUUAAUUAUGAUUAUCUAAAGGUGUUAUUUUUUUAAUGAAAAUGGGAAUUUAACGCUAGUUCAAGGAAGUGCUAAACCUAGAGAGUACACUCACAAGAAUUGAGGUACACCUUUGUGGCUUUGGUGGAUUUGUUCCAUAUAAUUUCAUUGAAAUAAUGAACUUGUAGCUAAUUUCAUAAUUAGAAAAGUAGGCAUGAAUUAGUUAUAUGUAUAAGUGAUUUACUACGAAAGUAUGUUUCACAUACAUAAGGAAAUUAUGCCAUAACUAGCCAAGGUAGUAGUGUUCAAUGAUCCAAAAUUUGCAUUUGCAUGAGUAGUUAGGGAUAUCAUGACCCAAGGAGUUUUUAUUUGCUAUUUUCUUGCACAUUUUAACAUAGUUUUAUUUUCUUCAAUUUGUUGAUUGUCUAAAUAGUAGAGGAAUCUUAAUAUUGCCAAUAGUUGUCCAUUCUUUCUUGUGGUUUAACUUAAUACCCUAUACUCAAUAUCGACUCGUAUACUUACAAAAAAUCGUGUGUGGGAUAUUUAAAACUUCAUCAAUCUAAAACUUAAUUAUGGAUUGAGCUUAAUUUUGUAUGCAUACCCCGCACUCGUCAAGUUUUUGGCGCCAUUGUUGGGGAAGAUUUGUGGCAAUAUUAGCGUGAAAAACAACUUCUUUAGUUUAGACAUUUUACUUGUUUUCUUGUAUUCAUUGUGUCUAGUUUUCUUGUAUAUUUGUUGAGUCUUUGUUUGUGUGCUUUUGUACAUGUCAAAUCACCUAUUUUUCUUGACUAAACUUAUUUUUGAAUUACUUUGAAGGCAUAUUUAGGAACUUAAGGAGAGUAGUAAACAUGGGUGGACAAAUUAUGAGAAGUGGAAAUUCAGCAAUAAAUUGUUAGUACAUGCAAGGGUCCAUGAAUAGAGAUAACCAAGCGGUGUUCAAUGAAAAACAGUAUAUAGGCAAAACAAUUUAAUAAUUUAAGUAGACAAUGAAGUUAGGUCAAUGAAGUCCACCUUUAACAAUUUAAAUAGGCAAAACAGUAUAUCAAUUUAAAACUUAAUAAGCACAAGAUUUCUUACUAUUUAGAGAUCAUGUCUGCCUGAAGUACCCUCAAUCAUAUGGGGACACACACGAAUAUCGUAAAUUAUGGGUGUCUCAAACCAAGGAAUCAUAAAAUGAGUUCCUUCAGGGUUUACCUACAAGAUGAUGGGGAUGUCUCUGCUGCCCAUCUAUCAACACCCAAAAUGUAAAAAGAAAUGGAAAAUUGAAGAAGGAUGACAUAAAGAGAUGGAAAAAUACAAUAGUUGGGUCCAUGAUUAUGAUUCUUUUGUAGUCUAGCAAAAAGAAUGCAUAGCAAAUAUGAACAUAUUUUAGGAUGCAUUUCUAUUAAAAACAAGAUGUUCGAAAUAGAAGUGAUCUAUUUUAGUUAAAUAUGCUGGAGAUAUUCAGGCAACUGCUUUUUAAGUACCUAAUGUAGAAUAUCUGAUACACUGUAGAGGAUUAAGCCACUUCACUAACAUUUCAAGGCAAAAAAUAUGCAUAUGCUUAGGGUUGUUCAACAUUAGCAUUGGCAUUGAUGAGAAAGGGAUGAGUCUUUCACUGAUUUUUCUUUCUUUUUCUAACUAAAUAUACAAUUUACACCUUGAGGAAAGCUAACAUCUAUAACAUAAUUUGCAGGCUAUGUAACAUCCAGGAUGCAUCAAACUCAUCAUCAAACCCAAUUCAGAAUGAAGCAAGAUAGAUACACAUGAAUAACGUUUUGCCAUAUUAAGCAGAGUUUCUUUCAAGUGGAUCAGAUUUCUCUCCUACUUCAACAUUGCCAUGUUGAGUAGAGUUUCAUUCAAGUGGAUUAGAUUUCUCUGUUAUUUCAACAUGAGUUGGGACACAUAACUCCUAGAAAAUAGACAAGUGAAUAUGUGAAAUUUUACAUUUAAGAACAUUUACCCAAUUACUAUAGUUAUAUCUUUGCAUAGUGUUAAGAAGAAACUUAAGAUGUAAAUGCAUUGCAAAGCAGAAUAUGACAAAGAAAAGAAGAUCUGGCUGCAAAGGAAAAUUGGGAAAUACAAUUUAUCAUUAACAUAGAAGGAAUGAAACUAUUUGACAUAAUGGCUAUUGGUUUAAGUGUACCUUCUUUUUCACACCAAUAAUACGAUUGAAUGCAACAUCUCUCUAACCUCCUUCCAUAUUGUAAAGGCUCUCUAACAAAAUAUAUGCUGUAGCAACUCCAAGAACUCCAACUUUUAUUAGAGCAAAGGCCCAUCCUAGCAACUUGGGCACAUUAAGCUUAAACUUGUCAAUGUUUGAAUUCUACAAGAGCAAGAUAUUGAGAUCAGCAUGUAAUCAUGUGCCAAUAUUAACACUAAAAAGCUAAGACUAAAAAUCAAACUCUUAUGACAAUGAGGUACCAUAUGUUCAUAGGCACCCAAAUUAAACUUACAAAAUAUAAUAAGCUACAGUUCCAAAGGAACAUAAAAAGAUUAAACAAUUCUAAAAAUUGUCAUUUCUCAUACUUAAAGCCAAUCCCCUUAAUUUGCAACACAAAUUGCCAGUAGCAGAGACAGAGAAACUAAUGAACUUAAAAAUUAAUAACAACCUUCAAAGUCACAUAAUAGAGUUUAGAAUAUGAAAAAGUAUCCCCCAGACCUUUUUAUUUUUUGAAAGAAAAACCUCAAAUAUCCUGUAAUCAAAACCCAGGUUAAAAUUCAUGAAAAUCAACAUAUAAUAAAAAAAUAAAUAACAUCCUAUAAAAUGCUUAGGCCCAAUAAAUGUAUACACUGCAAAACACAAAACUCACAGCCUCAUUUGCUGAAGAAAAAAUGAUAAGCAAAAGUAAAAAAAAUACCUUUUUUCUCUUUUUAGAGAAAAUAAAAGGCUAGUUUUAGUAGAAUGACUUUGGUGAACGGCCCUUCUAACUUGUGUGUAACUUUACCGUUUGAAAAAAAAAAGACUUUGGUAAACGGCCCUUCUACAUAAACAAGCAUAGAAAUAAUCAUAAAUCCCUCAAUUCCAACCAUCAAAAUUAGCUCAACUAUGACUAAAAGACCUAAAAUACACAAACCCCAAACACCAAACUCACUAUAAUUAACUAGUAUUUCGCCUCUUCCUAACCCUUAUCCCCAUUCCACAAAAAUGAAUUAAAAAAAAGAAAAGAAGAAAACCUCAGCCCAUUAGAAAAUCACAUCAAUCUGGGGAUAGAUCCAUAAGAGGAAAACAAAUAACCAGAGCAAAGUAAUUACAAGAAUAACUUCAAUCAAAAAAGAAGUUUACAAUAUUUAAAACAACAAUAUUACCAUAAAACUAACAUGUAAUGAUAGAAUUUGCUAGCAGCAUUCCAAUCCUGUGAAGAUCAUGAAGUUAUUUGUCCAAAAAAAACUUUUACUUGACACAUAAACAGAUAAAAACACAUGUAGAAGAAGAGGGCGCAAAAGCCCCCUUGAAGUAUAAGGGAAAAAAUUUUAAAAAAAUGCAUACGAAAAUUGAAAAAAAAAAUCCAUUUCCAAUAAAAAUAUUUAAAAAAGUGAAAAAUUUUCCAUUUAUUUUAGUUACCAGGUAUGUGAGAUUAAAAGCAAAAAGUUUGAUAGCUUAAGAGUAGGGAAGAAGCUUUUUUUAUACCCGAGUCUAUAUAUUUGCUCUUUUUUUUUCCUUCUGUCAAAAACCAAUGAUGCAACCAAUAAUGUUCAUGCUAUCUACCCUAAUUAUAUCCCUAAUUGAAAUGCCCUUGACAGAAGAAGCACCAGGCUUGUCCCCUUUGCCUUUUGAGGAAGCACCAGUUUGCUCCCUCUACUGCUUCUCUUAUUUCCUUUAUUUCCAUCCCCAUCUUUGUCCUUCUCUUUUUCCUUACUUUUGGAAAGGCCUAGCUCAUAAGAUUUUACUCUCCUAUGAAUCUUGAAUAUGAACUCCCUCUUGAUUUUUCCAAUCUUAUUGUGUCCAAAACCAGUACCCCAUGAAUUCUUGAAUUGAAAUAUCUCAACCCCAUUUUCAACCCAAAACCCCGUCAACAAAAUAGCAUAGUUUUCCUUGAGACUAUCUUCGAUAUUUUUUCCCUCUUCUGUUGGUCCAUGAUAAAUGCCCUACAAUAUAGUUAAGAUUCAAUUUUACAUCAUAUAAAAUGUUUGUGCUCGUACUUAAUUUUACUUAAUUCUGUUCUUAACCUUUCCCUUGAGAUGGAUGAAGCUUGGAUAUACCCGUAUUACACCAGUAAGAGGAAAUCAUGAGAGUGCCAAAUUGACUUCUUUUUUUGUGUGUGGCUUUAUAAAACUUUUUGCAAAGAAUCUCUUUGUCUGUAAAGACAAGGAUUCAAAGAUUUUUAUUUAGUAUUAUAUAUUUAAAAAAUUACAAAAAAAAAUUAACUAGAACAAACUUGCAUUAUGAGGUGGAUUACACCUCCUGUUGGUGCAAUCCCAUGGGUAAUCAUCAUUCAAACAAUAUCUUCGAGCACCUGCAUAUUCAAAUACCCAUUUAUAGGAGUUUCAAUUUUCCUUCACAUGGUUGAGAACUUGCAUGCUAUACUAGUAGUCUUAGCCUCUCGUAUAGACAACUGCUGGUGCUCCUCUUUAGGGUGGAGAACUUUAUAUUAUGAAGACAUUGCUUCCAAUCCAACAAUAGCUCAACAUAUAUCUUAAAAAUAAAUUACAACUACAUUAAGAUCCAAAACUACUGCUUACUACUCAUUACUGCUAAACUAAAAUAUUAUAUUAUAUUAUAGGACACAUAUCUUAAUAUACACAUUAAUAUCAAAAACUAUUGCUCACUACUAGUAAAAUAUUAUACUAAAUACUACUCAUUAAUAGUAAACUAAAAUAUUAAAUAUUAUAUUACAGGACACGUAUCUUAAAAUAGAUUAACGAAUACAUUAAUAUCCAAAACUACUGCCCACUACUAGUAAAAUAUUAUAUUACAGGAUAGGAAAUAAAGUCAUUAGCUAAGCCUAAGUCUUGCUUAAUGACUAGUAGCACAGCUCUAGCCUCAUUUAAUCAUGCAUGAUAUUCCUAUACAUCAUCAUAAUCAUAAAAAGUUUCUAGAAACAGAAAAAAAUUAGAAAAGUUUCCAAGAAUGUAAAAACAAAUUACAAGACAGAUGUACUAAGUUAUACUUUAAAAAAUUCAACUUUUUAGUAAGGAUGCAAGUUUUACAAAUAUUAUCAGUAACAAAAAUAGUGAAAAACACAAUUUUUUAGAAAAAUAAGUGAAACGAAGGGAUUUAUGCAUCCAAAACCUCUUUUUACCCAUGACAUCAAAAAUUCAAAAAAUAAGAGAUACUUAUUCCAGGAUAUCUAAUCUGUCAUUGGUCGAAAGAAGGAAGUUGAAAUAUAUGACACUAUUUUUGAUGGUUUUAGAUUUGCAGUACAUGUAGACGAGAACCAGUGAGCCGAAUUAAGGUGAAAUGCCGGACGAACUAGAAGUGGUUGGGACUAAUCCCCUAAUUUCACUCCGAUAUUUAAGUCUGAAGUUGUCAGAAGUUGUAGAGGAUAAGUAGGAUUGCAUACCUUUCAAGUGAAGAAGGUGUUAUUAUUUAUACUAAAAGAGAUAAAUAGAAAAUGAUGUGGUCUAACAGUAGUCUAAACUCAUAACAGAAGAUAUGGCUGCGAUGUCAAUAGUAAGGCUGAAUUGUAGAGUGGGUGAAUGUCAUAUCAAUCAUGCUAAUCACCAACUAUAUUUUAAAACUCAGACCGUGCAGGGACUUGAUCGAGGUCAAGGAUCAAUGGGUUUCACCGGGAUCAAAUCCAUUUAAGAAUCGGAUAAUGUCAUCAGGAUGUCAUAAGUAUAAUUAGUUUUAAAAAUUAAUAUACAAUGUAAAAUUUUUUAAAGUAUAAUAAUAUAAAAGUGUGUUCAUGCAUGUUUGAUUUAUUCAAAACUAUUGCUCACUACUAGUGAAAUAUUAUACUAAAUAUUAUAUUACAAGAUAGGAAAUAGAAUCCUUAGUUGAACUUGAAUCUUGCUUAAUAAUUAGUAGCACAAGUCUAGCCUCAUUUAGCCCCGAAUGACAUUCCUGUACAUCAUCACAUAUCAUAAAAAGUUUCUAGAAAUAGAAAGAAAAAAUUAGAAAGGUUUCUAGAAAUGUUAAAAAAAAAUUAAAAGACAAAGAUGUAUAAAGUUAUACUUUACAAAAUUCAGCUUUAUACUAAAGAUUUAAUUUUUACAAACAUUUUCAGUGACAAAAAUGGUGGUAAACACAAUUUUUAAGAAAAAUAAGUAAAAUAAAGGGAUUUAUGCAUUCAAAACCUAUUUCUUUUUACUCACGACAUCAAAAAUAUUAGAAACAAAAUGUACUUAUUCUAAGAUACCUGAUCUAUCAUUGGUCAAAAGAAAGAAGUUGAAAUAAAUGAUACUAUUUCUUGUGAUUUUAGGUUUGCCGUGCAUGCGGACGAGGACCAACGAGUCGAAUUAAGAUCGAAUGUCGGACGAGUUGGAAGUGUCGGGACUAAAUCUCCCAUUUUCACUCUGAUAUUUAAGUUAGAAAUUGUCAUGAGUUGUAUAGGAUAAGUAGGAUUGCAUACCUGCCAAGUGAGGAAGGUGUUGGUAUUUAUACUAAAAGAGAUAAGUAAGAAAUGAUGAGGUCUAAUAGUAGUCUGAUUUCGUAGAAUAAGAUACGGUUACGAUAUCAAUAGUAAAGCUGAAUUGUAGGGUGGAUGAAAUUUACAUCAAUCACAGUAAUCAUUAGCUAUAUUUUGAAAUUCAAACCAGUCAGAGACUCGAUCGAGAUUAGUAGUAGGGGUGACAAUCGGGUUCAAAUCGGGUUGAGUCCCAAUAAAAUCAAAAAUUCGCUAACCCAAACCUAACCCGUCAACUCGAAACGGGUCAGGAUACCUGACUUGAACCUGAAAUUUUUCGGGUUGGCGGGUCAAACGGGUUGACCCAAAAUGAUCCAAAAUUUAAUUUCAUUUUACUGAUUUAUUGGCUAUGAUUUUUAACAGAAUAAAUUCCAAACUAAAAAAAAAACACCAUAAGAGUAGAAACUAAUCCCAGUGGUUCAAUUGUUGCAUUUGGCUUGCAAAUUGCCACUAGCAACAACACAAGGCAGCUAAUCAGAUACAAUGAAUUUAAGACCAAAUCAUGUACCUUGGCUAAGAAUAACAACACCUGUUUCAUUUCUUCUUCUCUGAAACAGAGAAUAGAAAAAGAAACUAAUUCAACAAUAUGAUGGUCAAAAUACUAAAACAUACAGAAGCUAAGCUCGAUCUAAAUCAGUAAAUCUGCAUACAUUUUUCGCUUCUUCAAUAAUCGAUCUAGAUUAGGAAUUGCUUGCUGCUCAGACCUCAGAGAAGAAAAGCCGUUGCUUGCUUCUAACCGCCGUCUGCUAGUGACAGGUAAUGAGGUGAGGACCGUGAGGUGAACUGGUGAAGGGCAAGGCGGCACUUUCUGGUUUUGUCAUUUUGAAGAAAAGGUGAAAAAAGAUUUAGGUUAGGUGAAGUAGUGAACUGUUAAGAGGAAGAAAGAUUUCGGCUUCGGGUGAGGAUCAAGUGACAACAUUUGACUAUUUGGGCAACUUUUCAAAUUUUCUUCCUUGGCUACUGCUUAAACAAUCCACCUACAAGCUAGACAAAUUAAUAGGGCCAGCCAAGUCAAGUGAAUGUGAAUUGUUGUUUUGGUGUACAGUGGUAUUUACUAUUUAGUCUUUAGAUAAGUUUUUAAUAUUUAUUUAUUUAUUUUUAUUUUAGAAACGGGUUAGCGGGUCAACCCGAUUUGGACCUAUUUUUUUCGGGUUUAUCGGGUCUGACCCGAUUCUGACCUGAAUCCUCAAAAUCUAAACCCAAAUCCAUUAAUUUCGUAUUAGAUUCGUGUCGUGUUUUCAGGUCGUGUCGGGAAUUGCCACCCCUAAUUAGUAGUUCUGAGUCAAUCGAUUCCACUAGGGUCGGACCUAUUCAAUAAUCAAAUGAUGUCAUCAUGAUAUCAUAAAUAUAAUUAAUUUAAAAAAUUAAUGUACAAUGUAAAAUUUCUAAAAGCAUAAUAAUUUCAACAUGUGUUUAUGCACGUUUGAUGUAUCCAAAAGUAUUGCCCACUACUAGUAAAAUAUUAUACUAAAUAUUAUAUUAUAGAAUAGGAAAUAGAAUUAUUAGCUGAACAUGAGUCUUGCAUAAUAACUAUUAGCACAACUCCAGCUUCAUUUAGCCAUGAAUGAUGUUCAUAUACAUUAUCACAUAUCAUAAAAAGUUUUUAGAAACAGAAAUAAAAAAUUAGAAAAGUUUCUAGAAAUGUAAAAAAAAAAAUAAAAGACAAAGAUGUACUAAGUUAUACUUAAAAAAAUCCAACAAUAUAGUAAAAAUUUAAAUUUUACAAACGUUAUCAGUGAAAAAAAUGGUGGUAAAUACAAUUAUUUAGAAAAGCAAGUAAAACAAAGGAAUUUAUGCAUUCAAAACCUACUUCUUUUUACCCACGAUAUCAAAAAUACUAGAAGCAAGAUGGACUUAUUGUAGGAUACCUGACCUGCCAUUGAUUGAAGAAAGAAGUUGAAACAAAUGACACUAUUUCUUGUGAUUUUAGGUUUGCAGUGCAUGCAGACGAGAACCAACAAAUUGAAUUAAAGUUGAAUGCUGAAUGAGCUAAAAGUAGUCAAGACUAAAUUCCCUAGUUUCACUAUGAUACUUAAGUUAGAAAUUAUUAGGAGUUGUAUAGGAUAAGUAAGAUUGUAUACUUUUCAAUUGAGAAGAAUGAUGAUAUUUAUAUUGGAAGAGAUAAGUAGGAAGUGAUGAGAUCCAAUAAUAGUUUGAUUUCGUAGGAUAGGAUAUGGUUGCGAUGUCAAUAAUAUGGCUCAAUUGUUGGAUGGCUGAAUUUCACAUUAAUUAUAGUAGUCACCAUCUAUGUUUUGAAAUUCAAAUCGGGUAGGGACUCGGUCAAAAUUAGUGGUUAGGGUUUAAUGGAUUCCACUGGGUCAGAACCAUUCAAGAACCAGAUGAUGUUAUCAUGAUAUCAUAAAUAUAAUUAAUUUUAAAAAUAAAUAUACAAUGUAAAAUUUCUAAAAGCAUAAUAAUUUCAACAUGUAUUUAUGCAUGUUUGAUAUAUUCAAAAGUACUGCCCACUGUUCGUAAAAUAUUAUACUAAAUAUUAUAUUACAGGAUAGGAAAUAAGUCAUUAACUGAACAUGAGUCUUGCUUAAUAACUAGUAGCAGAACUCCAUCCUCAUUUAGCCAUGAAUGACGUUCACGUAUAUCAUAACAUAUCAUUAAAAAAAAAUUUAGAAAUAGAAAGCAAAAAUUAGAAAAAUUUCUAGAAAGGUAUGCAAAGAGUUACUAAGUUAUACUUAAAAAAAUCAACUAUACAGUAAAGAUGUAAGUUUUAUAAACAUUAUCAGUGACAAAAAUGCUGGAAAACACAAUUUUUUAGAAAAAUAAGUGAAACAAAGGGAUUUAUGUAUCCAAAACCUGCUUCUUUUUACCCCCAAUAUCAAGAAUACUACAACCAAAAGGUACUUAUUUUAGGUUACCUGAUUUGCCAUUAAAUCAAAAAAAGGAAGUUGAAACAAAUGACACUAUUUUUGGUGAUUUUAGGUUUGUAGUGUGUGAGGACGCGGACCAGCGAACCAAAUUAAGGUUGAAUGCCAAACGAACUGAAAGUAGUCGGGACUAAAUCUCACAAUUUCAUUCCGAUAUUUAAGUUAGAAGUUGUCGAGAGUUGUAUAAGAUAAGUAGGAUUGCAUACCUUUCAAGUUUCAAGUGAGGACGGUGUUGGAAUUUAUACUAGGAGAGAUAAGUAGAAAAUGAUAAGGUCUAAUAGUAGUUUGAACUCGUAGGAUAAGAUAUGGUUGCGAUGUCAAUAGUAAGGACAAAUUAUAGGGUGAUUGAAUGUCACUUCAAUCAUACUAGUCACCAGUUAUGUUUUGAAACUUAAACCAAAUAGAGAUUCGAUCUAGAUUAGGAGUUAGGGGUUAAUAGGUUCCAUCAGAGUUGAAUCUAUUCAAGAACUGGAUGAUAUCAUAAUUACAAUUAAUUUUAAAAAUUAAUAUAUAAUGUAAAAUUUCUAAAUGCAUAAUAAUCUCAACGUAUGUUCAUGCACGUUUGAUGUAUUCAAAAGUAUUGCCCACUACUAAUAAAAUAUUAUACUAAAUAUUAUAUUAUAGCAUAGAAAAUAGAGUCAUUAGCUGAACCUGAAUCUUGCUUAAUGACUAGUCACACAACUCCAGCCUCAUUUAGUUAUGAAUGAUGUUCCAAUACAUUAUCACAUAUCACCAAAAUUUUCUAGAAAUAGAAAGAAAAAAUUAGAAGAUUUUCCAAAAAUAUGAAAAAAAUUAAAAGACAAAAAUGUACUAACCUAUAUAAUUAAAAAAAAGUCCAUCUUUAUAGCAAAGAUGCAAGUUUUAUAAACGUUAUUAAUGACAAAGCAGUAGGAAACACAAUUUUAGAAAAUAAGUUAAACAAUGGGCUUUAUGCAUCUAAAACCUACUUUUUUUGACCUACGACAUCAAGAAUAUUAAAAGCAAGUGAUACUUAUUUUAGGAUGUCUGAUUUGCCAUUGGUCGAAAGAAAGAAGUUGAAAAAAAAAUGACACUAUUUUAGAUAGUUUUAAGUUUGCAGUGUGUGCGGACGAGGACCAACGAAGCAAAUUAAGGUCGAAUGUCAGAUGAACUGAAAGUGGUCGGAACUAGAUUCCCCAAUUUCACUCCAAUAUUUAAAUCAGAAAUUGUUGGAAGUUGUAUAGAAUAAGUAGGAUUGCACACAUUUUAAGUAAGAAAAGUGUUAAUAUUUAUACUAGAAGAGAUGAAUAUGAAAUAAUGAGAUAUAAUAGUAGUUUGAUUUUGUAGGAUACGAUAUAGUUGCGAUGUCAAUAGUAGAAUUAAAUUGUAGGGUGAUUGAAUGCUAUAUCAAUCAUACUAGUCACCAGAUAUGUUUUGAAAUUUAGACCAGGUAGGGACUCAAUCGAGAUCAGAGUUUAGGGGUCAAUGGAUUCUAUGGGAGUCAAACCCAUUCAAAAUCGGAUGAUGUCAUAAAUACAAUUUAUUUUAAAAAUUAAUAUACAAUGUAAAAUUUCUAAAAGUAUAAUAAUUUCAAAGUGUGUUCAUGCACAUUUGAUAUAUCCAAAACUACUAUCCAUUAUUAGUAAAAUAUUAAACUAAAUAUUAUAUUACAAUAUAGGACAUAGAGUUAUUAGCAGAACAUGAGUCUUGCUUAAUGACUAGUAUACAACUCCUGCCUUAUUUAAUCAUGAAGAUAUUCUUGUACAUCAUCAGAUAUCAGAAAAAAUUUCUAGAAACAGAAGGAAAAAAUUAAAAAAGUUUCCAAAAAUAUAUAAAAAAAUUAAAAUUAAAAAAGAUGUACUAAGUUAUACUUAAAAAAAAUUCAACUUUAUAUUAAAUAUGCAAGUUUUACAAACAUUAUCAGUAACAAAAAUGGUGAAAACACAAUUUUUUAGAAAAAUAAGUGAAACAAAGGGAUUUAUACAACCAAAACCUGUUUUUUUUUUUUACCCACGACGUCAAGAAUAUUAGAAGCAAAAGGUACUUAUUUUUGGACAUCUGAUCUGCCAUUGAUCGAAUAAAGGAAGUUGGGAAAAAUGACAUUAUCUUUGGUAAUUUUAGAUUUGCAGUGCGUGCGCAUGAGGACCAACAAGCCAUAUUAAAAUCGAAUGAUAGAGAUUCGAUCGAAAUCUGGGGUUAGAAGUCAAUAGAUUCGAUCGGGGUCAAAUCCAUUCAAGAACCAAAUGAUGUCAUCAUGAUGUUAUAAAUGUAAUUAAUUUUAAAAGUUAAUAUACAAUGUAAAAUUUCUAAUAAUCUCAAUGUGUGUUCAUGUACAUUUGAUAUAUCCAAAACUACUGCCCACGACUGGUAAUUAUUAUACUAUAUAUUAUAUUAUAAGAUAGGAAAUAGAGUCAUUAGCUGAAUUAGAGGUUUCGUUAAUGACGAAUAGCACAAUUUCAACCUCAUUUAGCCAUGAAUGAUGUUCCUAUACAUCAUCAUAUAUCAUUAACAUUUUCUAAAACUAGAAAAAAAUUAAAAAUUUUUCCAGAAAUAUAAAAAAAAUUAAAAGACAAAGAUUUACUAUAUGAUACUUUAAAAAAAUCCAAUUUUAUAGUAAAGAUGUAAGCUUUACAAACAUUAUCAGUAACAAAAAUGGUGGAAAACAAAUUUUUUUAGAAAAACAAGCGAAAUAGUGGGAUUUAUGCAUCCAAAAUCUGAUUCUUUUUACCCACAACAUCAAGAAAAUUAGAAACAAAAAGUACUUAUUCUAGAAUAGUUGAUUUGCCAUUGGUCGAAAGAAAAAAAUUGAUACAAAUGAUACUAUUUUCGGUGAUUUUUUAUUUGUAGUGUGUACAUAUGAGAACCAGCGAGUCGAAUUAAGUUCGAGUAUCGGAUGAGUUAGAAGUGGUUGAGACUAAAUCUCUCAAUUUUACUCUGACAUUUAAGUCAUAAGUUAUCGGGAGAUGUAUAGGACAAGUAGGAUUGCAUACCUUUCAAGUGAAAAAAGUAUUGAAAUUUAUACUAAAAGAAAUAAGUAGAAAAUAAUGAGUUCUAAUAGUAGUAUAGACUUGUUGGAUAAAAUACGGCAGUGGACAAGGACUCAAGGUUCCAUCGGAGUCGGAUCCAUUCAAUAAUCAGAUGAUGUCAUCAUGAGUCUUGCUUAACAACUAGUAGCACAACUUCAAUCUCAUUUAGCCACGAAUGACGUUCCUGUACAUUAUCACAUAUCAUAAAAAUUUUCUAGAAACAUAAGAAAAAAAUUAGAAAAGUUUUUAGAAAUGUAAAAAAAAAAGAUAAAGAUGUGUUAAGUUAUACUUAAAAAAAUUCAACUUUAUGAUAAAGAUACAAGUUUUACAAACAUUAUUAGUAUAAAAAAUGGUUGGAAACACAAUUUUUUAGGAAAAAAAGGUGAAACAAAGGGAUUUAUGCAUCCAAAAUCUGCUUUUUUUUUUUUACCCACGACAUAAAAAAUACAAGAAGCAAAAGAUACUUAUUUUAAGAUACCCGAUCUAUCAUUGGUCAAAUGAAGGAAGUUGAAACAAAUGACACUAUUUUUGGUGAUUUUAGAUUUGCAGUGCGUGCAGAUGAGGACCAGUGAAUCGAAGUAAGGUCGAAUGAUAUGGGCUUAGUCGAGAUUAGGGGUUAAGGGUCAAUAGACUUGAUCAGAAUCUGAUCCAUUAGAGAAUCAGAUGAUGUCAUCAGGAUGUCGUAAAUAUAAUUAGUUUUAAAAAUUAGUAUACAAUGUAAAUUUUCUAAAACAUAAUAAUCUCAAACGUGUAUUCAUGCACGAUUUAUAUAUCCAAAACUACUGUCCACUACUAGUAAAUUAUUCUACUAAAUAUUAUAUUACAUGAUAGAAAAUGAAUCAUUAAUUGAAUCUAAAUCUUGCUUAAUGAUUGGUAGCACAACUUCAAUCACAUUUUGCCAUGAAUAACAUGCCUCUACAUCAUCACAUAUCAUCAAAAUUUUCUAGAAUAGAAAAAAAUUGAAAAAGUUUCUAGAAAUGUUAAAAAAAAUUAAAAGACAAAGAUGUGCUAAGUUAUAUAUUAAAAAAAUCCAACUUUAUAGUCAAGAUACAAGUUUUGCAAAUAUUAUCAGUAACAAAAAUUAUUAGGAAACACAAAUUUUUAGUAAAAUAAGUUAAACAAAGAGAUUUAUGCUUCCAAAACGUGUUUCUUUUUGCCACAACAUCAAGAAUAUUAACAGCAAGGGGUAUUUAUUUUAGAAUACCUAAUCUGCCAUUAGUUGAAAGAUGAAAGUUGAUACAAAUGACACUAUUUUUGUUUAUUUUAGAUUUACGAUGCAUGUGAACGAGGAUCAAUGAGCCGGAUUAAGAUCGAAUGUGGGAAGAGUUGGAAGUGGUCGGGACUUAAUCCCACAAUUUUACUCCGAUAUUUAAAUAAGAAGUUAUAAAAAAUUAUAUAGAAUAAGUAGGAUUGCAUAUUUUUCAAGUGAAGAAGGUGUUGGUAUUUAUACAAGGAUAGAUAUGUAGAAAAUAAUGAGAUCUAAUUGUAGUCUGAUUUCAUAGAUUAAGAUAUGAUUGCAAUGUCAAUAAUAGGGAUAAAUUGUAAGGUGGUUAAAUAUCAUUUUAAUCAUACUAGUCACCAACUAUAUUUUGAAACUCAAACUAGGUAGGAACACGGUCGAGUUCAGGUAUUAGAGUUCAAUGCAUUUCAUUGGGGUCGGACCCAAUCAAGGACCGGAUGAUGUUAUCAAGAUGUCAUAAAUAUAAUUAAUUUUAAAAAUUAAUAUACAAUAAAAAUUUCUAAAAGCAUAAUAAUUUCAACGUGUGUUCAUGUACGUUUGAUGUAUCUAAAAGUAUUACCCACUAUAAGUAAAAUAUUAUGCACAAUAUUAUUUUAUAAGAUAGAAACUAAAGUUAUUAGCUGAAUCUGAUUGUUGAUUAAUGACCGGUGGCACAACUCUAGACUCAUUUAGCCAUGAAUGACAUUCCAGUACAUCAUCACAUAUCACAAAAAGUUUCUAGAAACAAAAAGAAAAAAUUAGAAAAGUUUCCAAAAAUGUAAAAAAAUUAAAAGAUAAAGAUGUACUAAGUUAUAUAUUUAAAAAAAAAAUCUAAUUUUAUAUCAAAGAUACAAGUUUUACAAACAUUAUCAAUGACAAAAAUAGUGAAAAACACAAUUUUUUAGAAAAAACAAGUGAAAUAAAGAGAUUUAUGCAUCCAAAAUCUGCUUCUCUUUACCCACGACAUCAAGAAUACUAGCAGCAAAAGAUACUUAUUCUAGGAUACUUGAUUUGCCAUUUGUUAAAAGAAGAAAGUUGAAACAAAUGAUACUAUUUUUGGUGAUUUUAGAUUUACAAUGAGUUUGUUUGGAUAAGAGUCUAUUUGGAUGAUUUAUUUAAUUUAAUUACUGUAGCACUUUUUGUAAUGCGAUGUAUGUGAGAUAAAAAGGUGAUUGAGAAGAUAAAAAAGUGAUUGGAAUUUGUGAAGCAAAUUAUUUUAUCUGAAAUGAUGCCAAUCCAAACAAACCCAAUGUGUGCAGACAAGGACUAGUGAGCCAAAUUAAGGUCGAAUGUCGAACGAGCUGAAAAUGGUCGAAACUGAAAUUUUCAAUUUUACUCCAAUAUUUAAUUUAGAAUUUAUCGAGAAUAUAGGAUAGGAUUGCAUACUUUUCAAAUGAAAAAGAUAUUUGUAUUUAUACUAGGAGAGAUAUGUAGGAAAUUAUAAGGUCUAACAAUAGUCUGACUUUGUAGGAUAAGAUAUGGCUGCGAUGUCAAUAGUAGGGUUGAAUUAUUAGGUGGUUGAAUGUCACAUCAAUCAUACCAGUCACUAACUAUAGUUUGAAAAUUAGACCGAGCAGGGACUUGAUCGAGAUUAGAGUUUAGGGGUCAAUGGGUUCGAUUGUGGUCAGAUCCAUUCAAGAACCAGAUGAUGUUAUAAAUACAAUUAAUUUUAAAAAUUAAUAUACAAUGUAAAAUUUCUAAAAGUGUAAUAAUUUCAACGUGUGUUCAUGCACGUUUGAUAUAUCCAAAGCUACUAUCCACUACUUACAAAAUAUUAUAGUAAAUAUUAGAUUACAUCAUAGGAAAUAGAGUCAUUAGUUAAACUAAGUCUUGCUUAAUGACUAGUAGUACAAUUUCAACCUCAUUUAGCCAUGAAUGAUGUUCCUGUACAUCAUCACAUAUCAUAAAAAGUUUCUAUAAACAAUAAGAAAAAAUUAAAAAGUUUUCAGAAAUAUAGAAAAAAAAGACAAAGAUGUACUAAGUUAUAUUUAAAAAAAAUUCAACUUUAUAGUAAACAUUCAAGUUUUACAAACAUUAUCAGUAACAAAAAUGAUUGAAAAUGCAAUUUUUUAGAAAAGAAAAUGAAACAAAGGGAUUUAUGCAUUCAAAACUUGCUUUUUUUACCCAUGACAUAAAAAAUACUAGAAAUAAGUGGUACUUAUUCUAGGAUAGCUGAUCUGCCGUUGGUCAAAUGAAGGAAAUUGAAAUAAAUGACACUAUUUCUGGUGAUUUUAGGUUUGCAGUGCGUGAGGACGAAAACAAACGAGUCGAAUUAAGGUUGAAUGACAGGAACUCGAUCGAGAUUAGGGGUUAGAGGUCAAUGAGUUCGACCAAGAUUGGAUCCAUUCAAGAACCAAAUGAUGUUAUCAUGAUGUCAUAUAUAUAAUUAAUUUUAAAAAUUAAUAUACAAUGUAAAAUUUCUAAAAGUAUAACAACGUGUAUUGAUGCAUGUUUGAUUUAUCCAAAACUACUGUUAUUACCGAUAAAAUAUUAUACUAAAUAUUAUAUUAUAUGAUAGGAAAUGGAGUUAUUAGUUGAAUCUGAGUCUUGCUUAAUGGCUAGUAGCACAACUCUAGUUUCAUUUAUCCAUGAAUGACGUUUUUGUACAUCAUUACAUGUCAUAAAAAAGUUUCUAGAAACAGAAAAAAAAUUGGAAAGUUUUUAGAAAUGUAAAAAAAAAAUUAAAAGACAAAUAUGUACUAAAUUAUAGUUAAAAAAUUCAACUUUAUUGUAAAGAUACAAGUUUUACAAAUAUUAUAAGUAAUAAAAAUGGUGGAAAACAUAAUUUUUUAGAAAAACAAUGAAACAAAGGGAUAUUAUGCAUCCAAAACUUGGUUUUUUGACCCACAGCAUCAAGAAUACUAGAAGUAAGAGGUACUUAUUUUAGAAUACCUGAUCUAUCAUUGGUCGAAAAAAGGAAGUUAAAAUAAAUGACACUAUUUUUGGUGAUUUUAGAUUUAUAGGACAUGCGAACGAGGACCAGCGAGCCAAAUUAAGGUCAAAUGCUAGACAAGUUAGAAGUGAUCGGGACUAAAUCCUCCAAUUUUACUCUGAUAUUGAAAUAUGAAGUUAUUGAGAGUUGUAUAGGAUAAGUAGGAUUGCAUACCUUUCAAGUAAAGAAGGUAUUGAUAUUUAUACUAGUAGAGAUAAGUUGAAAAUGAUGAGGUCUAAUAAUAGUUUGAUCUCGUAGGAUAAGAUAUGGUUGCGAUGUCAAUAGUAGGGCUGAAUUAUAGGGUGGCUAAAUGUUAAUAGUAGGGCAGAAUCAGAUCGGGCAGGGAAUCGAUCGAGGUCAGGAGUUUGUGGUCAAUCGGUUUGACCAUGGUCAAACCCAUUCUAUAACCGGCUGACGUCACCAUAAUGUCAUAAAAUAUAAUUAAUUUUAAAAAUUAACAUACAAUGUAAAAUUUCUAAAAGCAUAAUAAUCUCAAUGUUUGUUCAUGCUCAAUUGAUGUUUCUAGAAUAUUUUACAAGAAAAUGUAAAUAAAAUAAUAUAAUCAAGUAGCAAUCUAUACAAUUUAAUGCAUAUUCAACAAGUUUGGAAUUAAAUUGGAGGGAUUAUUUUAAAAAUAAUAAUAGAUUUAGGACAGAAGUUAUAAAUCAUAAAAUGUUACUAGCUAUAUUAAUAGUUUUCUAACACUAGGAGUCAAAUCAUAAAAUCAAGAAAAUUUUGAAACCCUAAAAUUGGUUUGAAUUCAAUGGUGUGGACCUGCGGGGCCCUCAGAGUGAGGUCCAACUGUCAGAUUUGACUCACUGAAAUGUGGAGUACAUACUAGUUAUCAUAGUGAAUGAAUUCCUACCUUUUAUCCUUGUUUAUCUCAUCACCUAUUUUCUUCCUUUCUUGCCUUGUCCUUUCUUUUCCAGUCGCAGUUUUCUUCUUGUAUUUCUCUCAUUUUUUUUCUUUUUUACAUCUAAAUCUUUGCAUCUUUUUCUCUAUUCACUACAAGAAAUCAACUUUUAUUAUUCAUGUUCUUUUUCCCUUUACUUCUCUUCUUUUUUUUCUCAAUUCUUUUAAUCCUAACUUUAGAUUGUUCAAUAUUAUGUUGAAAGAGCCAUAUGUGGUAGUAGCAGUGGAUAUGCGCUCAAGGAUCGAAUGCUAUAUUAAAAGUUUUAGGAGUAAAAAUGUUUGAAAUUGAAUUUUGGAAAACAAUCGAGUUUUCCCGGUUGUUUUGGGUUUUCAAUCAAACGCAGUUUUGAUCAGGUCCUUGUCCACCACAAAACUCAAACAUGACAUAUUUGAUGGGGUCCUUGUCCACCGGAUUUUUGAACACACUCAAACAUGACAUGUAUCCUAUUUUUGAUCCAAUUGGUUGAACCGAUUGGUCCAAUAUGAGUUUAAAAAUAUGGGUCACCAGUCACCAGCUACAUCGAUGACUAGUCGAGACUUUUGAUACCUCGGGUAGAUGGUCAUCUCGAGAUGAAUUCCUGUCAAAAAGCAUCUAGGCUGAGAUAUUAUCUGCGCCAGGUUAACAGAGAUGCUUUCUCAUUCAAGGUAGAUGAGGUAUUUACACUGAACCCCCUAAUUUCGGAAAGGAUAAAUAGUUCAAAGGACUAUCUUUUUCGAGGUUAUAACCCGAAUUGAUCAUGGAAUACACAUGACAAAGCAUAGUGCUACUAAAGAGACAAUAUGUUAAGAUGGAAUGACGAAUGUUAGCACAGAAAACUAAUAGCAUUAUUUUAUAGUGUCACUAAAAUUUUAGGAAACAUUUGUAGAAAAAUAAAAAUGUAAUCUACGAAUGCCAAACCUCCUUUCCAUACACAAUCAAAUGAUAUCAGAAGUUAGGGUUUUGUAAUCUAGAGCAGUUCUUAUCUGAUCAUGCCAUCUUGGCUAUCUUUAAGAACAGUUACCGGUAAUAACUGAAAAAAGAAAUUAGGGAAAUUUUUUUUUUCCAAAUGCAGAAAUCAUUCCUGUAGCAGAAGUAGGAUACAAAACUAACGCAUGAAACGGUCUCCAAAGUUCAAGCACCUGGUGUUAAAGUCAAAGUUAUCCAAAUAACCUUAAUUAAAAAUUAUAUAAUAAGUAUCUAACAGGACAAAUAAGUAAUUCUGAAAUGAAUUCCGAUCAAAGAGCAUUUAGCCCGAGAUAUCCUCUACACCAGAUUAAUCGAGAUGCUUUCUCAUUUGAGAUAGAUGAGGUAUUGACACUGAGCCCCCUAAUUCCGGAAAGAAUAAAUAGUUCAGAGAACUAUAUUUUUGAGGUUAUAACCCGAAAUGAUCAUGGAAUACGCAUGGAAAAUCAUAAUUCUGCUAAAAAGACAAUAUGACAACGUGGAAUGACAAAUAUGUCCCUCUUCUAAAAGGUGUUAGAUAAACUGUUAGUCAUUUAUGAGGGGUGAGAGUCGAGCACUUCAAGAUUCAAAAAGUCUACAUUUUCACCUUCCUUAACACCUAUAAAUAGGGGGUAAUUUAAUUCAUGACCCAUUUUCACCGUACAAUCAAAUUGUAAUUUUCAUCUAAGAUAAUCAAACGAGGUGCUUUGACAUCUCCAUCCUUGCCGAGGACUCUAUGAAAUAGUAUGCCAUAUUUUGUUGCAAUAGUUAUGGUUAAAAUAGCAACAACUUGCAAGGAAAGAGUGAGUCGAGUUUUUCUGAGAAAAAGAGGGCUAACCGUAUAGAAGAGGAGACAACGUAUACAAAUCAAACUUCCAGUUCAUGAGAGGAGUCUGUAGAAGAAUCCAAAAUAGAGAGGGUAGAAGGAUUAUCCCGGUCCACCAAGGAGUUAAAGGCAUUGUAUAAUGACGCUUUUGGUUUCGAGAUGCCUCAAGGCAUUGGGAUAGUUGUGCCUAAAACCCCUCUUAACCUCGACCUGGUUGGCUUUAGCAAACUUCCCUUAUUCAGAAGCACGAUUAAGGAGGCUGGGUCGAAAGUCUUGUUAUGAGCCUACCUGUUCUGCCAAGAUUACAAUACAUAUUGGUAGAGUCGAAUCAAUUAGUGGCCAUUUCACCCAAGGACCAAGUGGCAAUAUAUGCUGACCAUUUCCAAUUCCUUUGAAGGGAAGCACAAUCGAGGAGGCCGACUCGAGAGUCUGGUUAUGAGCCUACCCAUUUUACCGAGAUUACAAUAUAUAUUGGGUAGAACUGAAUCAUUCAGUGCCCAUUCCAUCCUAGGACCAAGUGACAAUAUAUGCUGAGCAGUUCCAAUUCCUCUGAGACAACCUUCAGUACUAAGGAACUCGGAUUACCUAGUUGACUCUGAAUGCCAUCCAAAUCUUGGUAGGGUUCAAGAUGUUAUACCAAGAAUAAGGCGUGGUUCCCAUGGUUAAUCUCUUCCAAAGGUUCUAUAUAACUAAGAGUGGUGGAAAUGAGAAGAGGUGAAUGUAAUUUGGCACCCAAUCCAAGAAUAUCGAGAAGUUAGUUGUGGAUGCCCUGACUUCCAUUAAAGAUAGACAAAUAAUUUUGCUUUUGUACCACACGAGAACUUUCUUACGGAAUUUUGGUGGAGAUCACAUAAUGCACCAGGCGACCCAUCUCUAGGACUCGUGGAAAAGUAAAAUUUUUAGAAGAUAAAAUAGUCAGGUCUCAAGAUAAAUAGUCGGUUCUUCCCUGAGGCAGUUCUAGUGGAUAGGGGCAUCAGCCAAACUUUGAUUAGCCUCAACAAAUCUCCCUAUUAUUUUUCUAGUUUUGGCAGUACUUGUAAUUUUUUUUCAUUAAGUAAUUUUGUAAUUAUUCCUAUUGCUAAGUAAUAAUUUGUCUUUUCUUUACAGUGGUGAAGGUAUUUGACUUGAUCAUCUCGUGAGCUAAAAUAGUAGCUAAAAAGCAGAAAUGCAAGCUUCUAAUGCAUAUUCUGGAGCGGGAAAGAAUUAGAAGAGUGUCUCAACCACUGCCGACUUUAGCACAUCAUAUAUCUGUUCCUAAGGGCAUUGCUACCUGAAGUUUCACUAUUAUCUUGGUUGGGCAUAAGAAGGAGAAGCUUCUCCACUCCUAUCCUCUAGUUAUUGUUGGGUCAUCUCUGCGGAAUAGACAUCUUACCCCUUUUCUGAAGCCUUCCAGUCCUGAGAUAAGGCACCUUGAGGAGUACUUUGGCUCAUCUUGGCAACUUACCAUCAAUGACCGAUCCCAAGAUCUAGGUCAAUCUCGGGAAUUGCUCCUUAACUCGGUACUGCCAUAAGAUGUUGAUUGGUCCUGAGCUGAUUGACCACCUGGCCAUUGUUUGGGUCUCGUCCAACAUCUUAGUAGCCAACAUGAUUCAAUGGUUUGGGGUCAUGUAGGAUGCCUAACAGUCAACUGCACUUCUCCUAAAGAAGGUGAAGGUUUUAGAGACAGAGCUGGAAGUGGUCAAAGCUAAAAGCGACCAUGCUAUUAUCGAGGCCAACUCCCUAAGGAUGACCUAUAAGGAAUAGCAAAAAGGACUUCAAGAGGAGAGAACAUCCAAUGAGAUAACCUUGGAGAAGGCUUGGAUCUCAGUGGUAGAGGCCUUCUUGAAAUCCAAAAAUUUUAAUAAAGACUUGGUGAGCUGACUACCUCGAGCUUUAUGUUUGGCUUCACUACAAUUAUCAAUAAGGUCGACCAUCUGCUGUCUGAGGAGGAAUUUGAAAGGAUCAAAACCAACACCAACUACAAUGAGGAUGCCAAAGAGUUGUGUGAUUGGAUGGCAGCUGGUAUCUCUCAUGCUGUUGACCUCUUCUCUUGUCAAUUGUCUUUGUAGCAAGUUCUUCUCCCCCUUUCUCUUCCUACCUCUAACAGCCUAGCCUAAUUGCCCAACUCCACCUGGCACGGCCUUUCGCAACCGAUAAUUUGCCCUGUAGGUACUGAGCAAUGGCUAGUUUUGAUUGUGUACAAAUGUUAAUUCUGUGAAGAAAUUCAUUUUGUAGUAUCAUGUUUGCUAAAUUCUUUCUACAUUUUCACAUUUUUAGAUGAUUAGUUAUGGAGUAUGUGCAUAGUGUUCUGAUUUUAUCUAAAUUUUGCUAUGUUAGGCUGAUUUUAUGGAAAAGGGCACUACUGACUGUCAUGAACAAUUUAGAUGAAGGUAGCCUCUACAAAAUGGAGACAGAUAGAAUAAAUAAUAGCAUACUUGCAUUAAAAAGCAUUUAUGGCCCGAGGUUCCUAAAUUGUUGAAGUAUUUAUCCUUUAGUUCUCUAUAUCUUAAACCAUCUGCUAUUGGUAAUAUAACUAUGACUAUGAAUUUCCAGUUUUUACAUACAUCAUAUCGUUGUUUACAAACUACAUAGCGAUAAAGUUGCAGAUAUUAGUAGAUGAGAAACCAUAACUGCAUAUGAAAUUUAUUGGAACGUGUUCUAUUGCUUGACUUCAAAUUUUCAGAUAUUUUCACCUUGAGCAGCUACAUCUGGAUUAAGUUUUCUAUAGUUAAAUAUCUAUAACAUUAGCUAUUAUAAUUUAUGAUGGAACCAGAACGGUUGCUUUAAGAGAGACUUUGGAGUGAACAUAUGAGUUUUUCAAAUUAUUGUGGUAGGGAAAAGUUUAAUUUUCAAGGACACUUCUAAAAAUUUUCAAAUCUUUAAGGGGAAAAACCAUGGAUUUCUAGGACUUGGGGUGCAUUGGCCCCUGCCUGCCUCCCCUUAGUUCUCGUGUUAAGUGUAAUUUGUAUAUUUACAAUUUUGAGUAUGCAUAUGCUUACAAUUGCUUAAAGCCGGGAAUCUAGUGGUAAUGAAUCUGUGCCUCUUUUUGGAAGAUAAAUUUGGAAGUGCAUAUACUUAAAUGUCUUAUGUUGUUUUGUGAAAAUUCUAGGUGUAUAAUCGAUUUACAUUCUAUAGGAUGAAAGUCUCAAUUCAUUCUUUUGUCAGUUGUUACGGGCUCUGCGGCUUUUUAGGAAGCAAGAUCAUGCCAUAGUGCCUGAGCUAAACCAAAGUCUUAGUUAGGUGAACGAGAUGUUGAUAGUGCUCUUUUCAAGAGAUAUAUCUACAGUGACUUUUUUUGUCGAUGUGUUUUAAUUUCUUGAAACCAUUUUCUUUGGAAAGAUAAUUGAGCUUUUUUUCUAUUGUUGGAAAAGAUAAUAGGUUGUUGACAUAAUAUUGUAGUUGGAGAUGACUGCUGAUUAAGUGUGAAUUCAGUUGAUUUGCACUCUUCAGAAGUUUAUCACAAGGUUGAACUUAUUCAUUUGGUCCUAUCUGGUACACAGUAUCACAACAAAUGGCUUCUAAAGGUAAAAGUUUUAUAGGUAAAAUGAAAAAAUUUCAUCUUCACAUUAAUUGUUAAAGAUACUCAAUGAAAGACGUGUCCAGAUUAUGGUAUGUUAUCCAUUAUAAGAUCUAAUUCAAUAUUUUUAAUUUUUUUUCCGUUUGUGGUUUACCCUUUCUAAAUUUUGUAUCUGGUCCCUUCCAUAAACUUUCUUUGAAUCUAUAUUGAAAAAUUUUAGGUUAACAAUGUAGUUGUUGUGAGCAAGUAUACGAGUCCACAUCAGUGUCAAAGGAAGGGGGAUUUCAAAAUAGCAAUCAAAAGUCCCUCACCUUAGGAAGUCUAAAUAAUUUACUAUUUUCUAUUUGUGGUUGCAAACUUAUAGCAUCCUAUUAUUUUGUGAUAGGUGAAAAAGAAAUAGCUUGUUAUAUUUCUUCUGAUAUAAUUAUUAGGAAUGCGUAUGUGUUACACUGAUGAAUCAUGUUGAUUUGCUUCAAGGUUAGAUUGCCAUGCUGAUGCCUCAUGAAGAAGCUUCCAAUUCCUUGAAGCAGUGUGAGUUCCCUUCUUCAGAAAUAUAUGUUAUGGGAAUUAACAAUAUGGCUCUGCAAACACAGCUGAAGUAUCAUUCAUUUAUGUGUGAGGAGUUUGAGCAUCCACAUAUGGCAAGGUUAUCUCAUGCGGAAUUCUACUGAUUGCCCAAAUUCUUGGUAAAAUGCUCUUGUCCUUUACCUGCUUCUAUUAAAGCCAAAAUCCACGCUUUAGGAUUGUCUUAGACCUGCUCAAAGGUCAGCAUGGUGUUAAAAUCAUCAAUCUUAUCCUAGAGCUGUUGAAAUCAGUGCCUUUGUGUCUUGAUAGAGAACUUUGAUCCCUCUAUUCUUUAAGGGCAAAGUGAACAAUCCAAAGGUAAGAGCCGCUAUGAGAUUGCAAUGGUUAUGGUUGACAUGAGUAUGGAAGCAAGCGUUGAGUGCACAUGGUGGGGUUAAGGUAUUAACACGGGACCAAUUAACAAUGAUGAGCAGAAACAUCUACGGGUACCAGAUUAUGCUUGUGCAUAUUAAAAAUGUGAUAUCCAAGAUCACUAAGAACGAAAACAGUCCAAUGAUAGAAUACAUAACAAUUCAGCUGCUGAGCUUCAAGGCAAAUCAGCAAAACUAGCUGUCGGAUUUAAAAUACACAACAAAAGUAGUGUAAGGUAUGCUGAGGCUAAUUCUUAGGUUGAAGAGCCUAUUUAUUCUGCUUUGAAUCCAAGAUACCUCCACAAGUAGAAAUGAUCGUGCACUAUGUUGAGUUGACAAUGCGAGUGUUGAUAACAUUUUGAAGUUGUUAAAUGUGGAUGCAUUUGGCAUGAUAGGCAGUACUUCUAUUGUACAUCAGUUGCAAUAUCCCAGGCACUCCUAGGCUAAUUGGUUGAUGUUUGAAAUUUUUUUGUUUUGUUUUGUUUGGCAUCACAUCAUUUGGUAUUGAAUCCGUUGACAAGAAACCGAGUAUCUCAUACUGUAGUAUCAUCCAAUAAUUGAUUGUUUUUUGAAAUGUAGUGACAAUCACUUGUUUGUUCUUAUUUAGUUCUAGCAUCACUUGUAACUUCUUGAAACAUUUGUAAUUGGCUACAGGCAGUUAACUUGGUUUACUAGCAUCCUAUAGGAUGAUGGACACUAGUGCAUUAUUUCUCAUAGUAUUUGAUGUAUCAAAAGCACUUGAUGUUUGCAUUUCUUUUUAGAAAUUAAGUUAGUGAGUCUUACAAAAGGAAAUUUCUGAAGUACAUGUAAUCUGCUUUUAGUUACUAAAUUGCAAGAAUGGUUUCUUCUUAUCGUGGAGCUGGUUGUUGUUGUGAAAUUGGAGGACUAGGAUGAUAUUGUUGCUAGUGAAAUUUCGGUGGCCUUGCAAUAUAACUAAAAUUCAGAUGAUCCUUCCACCCUGGAUUGUAGGUGUUUGAAUAAGGAUCAUAGUGCCUUUGAGGUGGAUCAGGAAAUCCCUCAUCUGUAUUCGCAUAUUCACUCAAAUCAUCCUAUAGUGUAGGGCACAUGUCAGUUGGGUGAUCUGAAACAUAGUAAUUCUAUAUGUUUUAUCCUGUUGUACCUGUCCUACAACUAAUUUUUCCACCAAAGAGGUUAGAGAAUCUAAUUUUUGUUCAAUAGAAGAAGUACUUACCUCAUUGACUUUUCUAGGGACAUAUUCCUAUCUAUCACCAAAUUGUUGACCAUUGACUACCAUACUUGAAAUUAGUUUCCUUGCUUCCAUUGGCGUUUUAUUUACCAAUACUCCUCCACUAGCAGCAUCAAUAAUUUUCCUAUCUGUUACUGAUAAUUCCUUAUAAAAAUAUUGAAUGAGAAGUUGGUCAGGAAUUUGAUGGUAAGGGCAACUUGCACAUAACUGUUUGAACCUUUUCAAUACUCGUGCGAAGCCUUUUCAUUGAAUUGUCUAAUCCCACAAAUAUCUUUCCUGAUGCUUGUAGCUUGGGAAGCAGGGAAGAAUUUUUUAAGAAACUGUGUUUUCAUCUGAGUCCAGGUGGUGAUUGAUCUAGAUGGUAAAUAACAUACCAGUCCUUUGCUUUAUCAGCUAAAGAAAAUGGAAAGACUUUUUUUUUUUUUUAGGGAUGUCCCGCAGGGAGUGGACCCCGCAGACUAUUCCCCACCCUCCACAACUUGCUGGCAGCAAGGUUCAAACCAGGGACCUAAGGCUCCAUCUUCAACAACCUCAACCGCCAGACCAAGCCCCGAAGGGCGGAAAGACUUAAUUUUAUUUGCUACUCUGUGACUCCUUGGAGCUUUAUGGUCGAGCAUACCACAUGAAAUUCCUUGAAGUGCUUGUAAUGAUCUUCACCUAGAAAUCCAUGAAAAGAAGGAAGUAAGUGAAUUAAACCAGAUUUUAACUCAAAUGGUACAUCUAAAGUAGAAUAUCUGAUGCAAAAAUGUUGUUGAUUUAAAUUAGCUGUAGCUAAUUCUCUCAAUUCUCUCGUUUGCCAUGCUUUUAAUCUUCUCUUUAGAUUCACUGGAAGAUUCAACUAAGCCAGAUGCCAGUUUUAGCCCAGGGAAUGAAGAUGAUAGCUUUGCUCAUUGCUUAGUUUCCCUUUCCAAUCUACGUGCUGUCUACUCUAUCUUAAGAUUGUAUUGUAAUUCACAUGUAUGAGAAGAUCGAAACAUAAUCUAGCAACAAAAUAAAAAGAAAAUAAAAAUGAAAAUCCAAAGAAAAUAAAUCAACAAAGGUACCAAUCCCCCGCGAUGGCGACAAAAUUUGUUGACUGUCAAAUCAACAAAUAUAAAAAUAUCUACACCAAAAAUAUAAAUUCAAUAGUAGUAAGAAGGGUAGUAUCCUCAGGGAUUGGGUGAUUUAUUUUAUUUAAAAAACAAUGACAAUAAAAUAAGAUGGGGGAUAUUGGAAAAAUUAAUCUAAGUAAUUUAAUCGACGAAAAAUAAUGAUGCAAAAUUAAAUAAAAAUAAACCAAUAUGAAAAAAGUCUCUAGUCAAAGGUUAAUCGCCACUUUGGUUCAUUUACUGAUCAUCUAUGAAAAGAAAUAAAUCAUUUAUUUAUAAACAAACCGGUUAUGGUUGUAAACAAACUCUAACAACCAGCCUCUCCGUACUUCUUCGAUAACCACAACAAACUUUGUGAUUAUUUCCUUUACCAAUUAAACAAUCCUAAUCAAACUCUUAGGAUUUAAUUUAUUAACAGUAUUAAUUAUUAGAAAGACUACCAACCUUAACCAACAAACACAUAAGAUCAGUUCAUUUAAACUAGAUUGUAUAUUCCCAUGCUAAUAAUCCGAAAGUUUCUACUACGAUUAAAUUAUAUCACUCGCCACAAAUACUAAAACUAUCAAACAAUUACAGAUUUGAUUUUUUUAGAUGACAGUAGAUUAUUCUAACAAUUAAAUAGUGAUCAAGUAUUUAACCGUAGAAAAUAAUCGUAUCAAGAACAAACAUAGAAUAUAUAAAUCUUCAUAAAUAAAUGUAACCAUAAGAACAAAUUAAAUCUCACAGUAUUCAUCGAACCAAAAUUUUGAUUAUCCUUUGACUAGAACAGGGAUUUAACCAUGCCUAAUGGUUGAAUUACAGCCAAAGACAUGAUUAGGGUUUGUUAUGGUAAAGGAAAGAAAGAAAAGAAAGUAUCUUCUACUUUAUUCUAAUGAAGGAUAAGCUAAAGCCAAAAAAGUCAGUAUUUUGCUCCUGACUUGUGAUGUACUAAUCAUUUUUAAAAGUCACUAUCAUCCUCUACUAAUACUUGCCUCCUUGUUCUCAAAAGGAUGAGAAUUUUUUAUCUAUAAUACUACCAAUAAUCCUAAAUAAAAAUAAAAGAUAUUAUUCCUAAAAAUUAAUCAAUAUGCAACUUCAAAAAGGAAAUAAAUCUCUUGAUCAGUAGAAAAAAAUUGAGCAGGGCCCAUUUCCAAUCUCGAGUUGUCCACACUUCACAACAGGUUAAGACGUGAUCGCAUCAUGUAAAGUAUGGUAUUUUGGAAAUUCAGCUUUUAAUACUCUUUUUACUCCCUUUUCACAAUAAAUUCCUAGAAAUAACACCAAAAAUCAAAUAUGAGUAAAAUCAAGCAAUUAAUACCAUAUUUUGGCAAAAUAAAAGGGAAAAAUAUAUACAAAUUAGUGUACAAUUAACCAUCUAACACCUUCACAAAUUUUUUUCUUUCCUGCUUGAAUUUUCUUAGCCUGCUUAGUGUCGAGCUUGAUCAAACACCACUAUGACAAUCAACAAUUUGGCAAGAUUUUUUUCCCUAAUCAGUGCACAACACCAACAAUCUCAACAGAAUCCCUCUUUUUAGACUUCAAUCUAAUUAGGAUCACUUUUCCCUAAUUCCAACUAAUGAACGAGUACUCUAAGACUAACUUUCACAGCCCAAUUUUUCAAUACACGAGUACUCUAGCAUAAUCUCUACACCCUUCUAUGGUAUAGGCAUCUCUAUCACAAACUCUACACAUCCUUCAGACACCACAGAUACCCUAAGAUCAAACUCUUGAACCUAGAGUUCUGAUACCACUUGUUAGGAUAAAAAAUCAUGCAGCGGAAGAAACGUGAAAUCUUCACAAAUAAUAAAGAAUAAGAAAGGCACGGGACGAAACAAAAUAUUUUGCUUCAAUUCAACUACAAACUUAGGAUUCCAAGUCCUUAAAUAGAGAAAUAUAACCACAAAUCCUAUUCUAAUUAUAAUACCAAAACAUGACUCAACUCUAUUUCCUAAACCAACUAUGACACCAAAUCUAAUAUAAUUACCAAAUAACAAAUCAAUUUCUAAAACUAUUAAAAUUCUAAAUAUGCUUGAUUUAAAAUAUAUCAACAAAUUGCAUAUGUCCCCACGUCUAUGAUUAGUUAAGGGAUAAUUUCAGAAACGUCCUGUAAGGUUUGUAGCAAUAUUACUUGGUACCUAUGAAUUUUGAGAAAUCUCACCUACUUCCCUUAAUUUUAACAUUCUGUAUCAUGAUCAACCCAAUUCGAAACAUUAUCAAGAAACUCAUAUUUGGAUAUAGCAAAUAUUUUCAUGCCAAAAUUGCCCUUGUAUUAUCCUACUAUUUUUCCAAAAGUGAAGAUAUAUUAUUGAAAGCAUGAAAAUAAAGACAAAUGGUGUGAAAGCAUAGUUCUACUAGAAUAAAUUAUAUCAGUAGGUGUUUUUAAUGUACAAAAGAUUAUUAUUUAAAAGUAUGUUUAAGAUGCUUCAAGUUAAAAAAUUAUUUCAUUCACUAUUAGGUGCUUUCGUUAAUUUGAGGAGUUUUAAAAAUUUAAGAAUUUUGCACUUUCUAAAUUGUUUUGUAUAAACUGAUGACUUGAAUAUUAGAAAUAGGCACAAUAUAUAAAAUUAUAUUUACAAACUCAUUUGAGGUAUUUUCAAAAACGUAAAAAUAACUUUCUUUAUUACAAAAUAUUUUUGAAUGAAUUUAGAAUUUUAUAAAUUAUUUAGAAUUUUUUUAAUGCUCUAACUUUUUGUCCAAAUUGAUAACUUGAAAACAAGAGAAUGAUAAAUUAUUAACAAUACAUUUAGAAACUUAUUUGAUGUAUUUUCACUAUGCAACAUGUUAUUUUUUACAAAUUAUAGAAAAAAAUUUCUUUUGCAUUUCUUGUCUAAACUGAUGACUUCAAAAAUUGCAAAUGAUCUUUCAACCUAAUUAAUAUGUUGUAAUUCUUAAGCAUUUAAUUUGGUUUGUUAUGAAAAAUUAAGGUCCACAAGAAAAGGACAAUUUUGAAAUAGAAAUGUUUUAUCUCUCUCAAAAUGAGUUUUCAAAUCACAUCUUUUGAAAUGGGUUGAUAAAGUUAUAAGAAGUUAAAAAUAAGGGUGGUAGAUGAGAUUUCUUAAAAUUUAAGAGUGCAAAAUGAUAUUGUCAUAAACCUCAGGGGAGGUUUUUGAAAUUAUCCCAUUAGUUAAUUACGACGACUAUUUCUUUGGCUUUGCAAUUAGAGAUUCAUGCUCGUCUCCAUGAUAGUAUUUUGACAAAGGAGAUUUGGAACUAUAUGAACAAAUUAAUGUUAAGAGUGUGACAUUUUUUUAACGUAGUUCAAUUUCCCGACCUCCACCCUCAAAACGGCCUUUGAAUUGUGCUUUCUCCUAUUUUGAAAAGCUAACAAGAAUACGGUCAACAAGGCAUCGGUUGAUAAUAGUAAAAUCUAAAAUCUGAAUUCUAAAACCUAAAAAUUAAUUACUGAAAACAUUACAUUGCUGAAUUGAUGAAGUUAUAUCUGUUUGAUAGCUAAGUGCAUUUAAGCAUUGAAUUGAGAUAUCACACAAGUACAGGAACUUUAUUGUUAAAAAAAUCGUCUUUAUUUGUGUAUUGGUGAGAAAGGAAAUUAUACGUGGGAGAGAGAAAACAUUGAAAUAAUUGGGAGGUGGUCUUUAAGUAUGCUUAUUUGAGUGUGAGAAUGUGUAUAUUUAAAGAGAAAAAGAGAAAAAAUGUACUUUAUACGAUAUCAUAUAUAAGAGUGUAUUGUGUAUAUGAGAAGGAUAAUAUAUGUAGCCAAUUCAGAAAAUUUAGUGAAAAUUUUUCGCUUAAAAUUUUGAAUGAAUGCGGGAUGUAUUAAAUGGUAAGACAUUUCCAUUAUCAAACAUGCUAAAUUUAAAAAAUUCUCAAUAAAUUACUUUUCAACAGAUCCAAAAUCUAGUUUGUACACGAAUUCCCUGAAUCCAACCAUAGUUUGUGCCUGCGUGUGUGUGCUCGUCGGGUGCACUGAUGAUCAUGGGAGAAAUUGUCCUUCCCAGUUUUGAUUUGACCACUACAAGCAUACUCAUACUCAAACAUUGAACUCAAAAUGAGGGGGCAGGGGAGAAAUUGUCAGUGCAUUUGACAAAAUUGUCAGUGAUUUUUAUAAGUUUAAUUUGACAAAACAAGCUUUUAUCUAUAUAUUUUUAUUGCAUUUUUCAUUACUAUUCAAGGAUCUACUUCAUCUCCCACCGCUGGUUCAUUCCCAGGGAUGUUCCAAGGACUCGAGUCAAUCGAUCAGAAAAGUAAACAAUGCUAGCAUGAUUUGUUGGGAAAAAAGGAAAUCUAUUAAAUGUCUAGUUAGAAAUUAACAAGGACCAAAGUCCGGAAGACUCCAGCAACUAAGUUUCCUGAACUUGUAAUUUCUUUACUACUUUUUGCCAAAAUUGAUCAUAAAAUGAAAUGCUCGUACAAAUAAAUGAUAGUCAAAUAAGAGUUUAGCAACAAAUAGGGACCAUAGACAAAGAACAACUGCAAUUUCCGGUAGCAAGUUGCUGGCAUUUUACCAAAGAACAUAUGUGCAAUAAAUGAUAAACUCAACUUUCAACAACUGACUGAACACAUUAACUUCGUGCAUAAGCUGUGAAUGAGGCAUUUCAAUACUUUAAAGGGGUAAGAAAAAAAGGGUUUCUACUUCUCCUAGCAAAGCUUUCUUUAACAAAUCCAUUUAAACAGACUUUCAAACUACAUAGUGGAUGUAUUAUGUUGAAUUGAUUGCCAAUUUAAGAAUUUGAAAAUCAUUCUCAUACUCAAUUGGAGCUGCUACUAUUUCUACUGAUUGGCAAAAACCAUAUCAGAGAAGAAAAAAACCUGGCUCAAGUUCUACUCGUCUAAAUCUGGUGGUACUUAACUUGUUAUAGCAGUUACCAACAAACUAAAAUACAAAUAAUAAUAAUAAUAAUAAAUAUCCAUUAGCGACUUCAAAAUUUAAAUCAACUACAAUCCAAAAAAUAAAAGCUGAAGAAAUUAGGCCGAUUCAACACUUCUAGAAAAAUUUUGGUCAUCCUACCCAAUAUUCCAUGAGUAAGCUGAAGAAAUUAGGCCGAUUCAAGCUUUCCAUGAAAAGACAACCACACCACACCUCAUUAAACCAAGUUACAAUCAUAAUUUUUCUUUCACAAGUUACAAUCAUAAUUGAGGGCUAUAAAAGAAUUACAUGAGCAAUAUUUUUGUCAUCACGCAAAAUCAACCUCGGCAACCGUUUGUGCCGGUUGUAUUCAUUUUUCACUGCGCGUAACUUCCAUUGCACACGAUAUAACUUACUUUAUACAUGACGUAAUUUUUCAACACUUUUUUGUGAACCCCACACAUGACGUGAAAAUCGAAUUACAUGCUAUAAUUUGAGCCGCACACAUUUUUUAGGCCACAUCGUAACGGUUAACCUUCAGGAACGGUUGUCACUGUCCUGCCCCAUUUCCAUCAACCUCACACUUACCAGCCAGCUGGCCACAUACAACCAUUCAUGCCACCAAAUACCAUAAAAGUCCAUAAUCUUGUCAUCCAAUCAGAAGAGAAAUAAGAGGACUAAACCAAUCCCAAUUGAAAAUUCCCUCUUAGAUUAGUCAAGAUAGAAGACACUACAAACAGUAAGGUUGUCACAUCAUCAGUGACAAGGAAAGGCAAAACACGGUUCAUCAAUAAUUGAAAUGACUAUUCAGGGCUUCGGAUAAUUAAAAAAAUAAAGUAAAACUGAAUAUAAUAAUUGGGGCAGCUCGUGGGAAGAAACUGGACGGAUCUCAUAAAUCAUUUAUAAAGAAUUCCCAAAAAAAAAAAUGUCAAUUAUUACAUUUCCUCGUUGAGUUCAUAAAGUUGGUCUGAAGUGUUUAUUGUCUUCUACCUAUGAGCCUUCAGAUAAGACGCUUAAUUUCUCCUGCAAAAGAUUCUGCAAUAAUCUUAAAAUAGUCAAAACAGCCAAAAGAAAAAUAGUAAAGAAAUGAAACUACUGGCCCCGGAUAUCCAUUCAAUCAUUCAUACAUGAAAAUUGGAGUGAAACACCAAAUUCCUCUCCCUCUUGCUUCUUGAUCAUGGAGAUUCUAUUGAGUGUUCUGAUUCUGAUCUUCUCCAUCUCGAUUGCUCUAAUACUAUACCUCCAGCGAAAGGAGAACAAACAGCCUCCAAGUCCACCAGCCCUUCCAAUUGUAGGCCAUCUCCACCUCUUGAGAAAUACUGCUCCUCACUUGGCAUUUCAUAAGCUCUCCAUCAAGUACGGCCCCGUGGUUUCCCUUCGUUUUGGGAUUCGCCGCAUCCUUGUUGUGUCUUCUCCAUCACUUGCAGAGGAAUGCUUUUCCAAGACUAAUGAUAUCGUCUUUGCAAACCGACCUGAGUCCAUUUCCAGUAAGCACCUUGGCUAUAACCACACAACUCUUGUUUUCUCCCCGUACGGAGAUCACUGGCGUAACUUACGCCGACUGACCGCCAUCCAUAUCUUUUCUUCAAUCAGUCUCCUCCAGUCCUCCUCAAUUUGGACAAAUGAAAUGCGUUUUAUUGUCAAAAAACUGUUCUCAAGUUGCUCUGAUGAGAAAAGUUGGAAAGUUGUGGACCUGAAUUCUUUGUUCUUGGAACUGGUUUUCAAUGUGGUAAUGAAAAUGAUUGCUGGCAAAAGAUGGCCAUCCGAUCAGUCAGAUGAUGCAUUUAAGCCGAGUGUUUUCUCGGAUAUUUGUGAUUAUAUUCCAAUUUUAAGGUGGAUUGGUUUUAGAGGGCAGGAGAAGAGUUCGAUUAACUUGCAGAGAAAAAGAGACAAAUUUCUGCAGGAUCUGAUUGAAGAAACUCGGAAAAGGAAUGGUGAAGAUGUUUCAUGUUCAACUAAAACAAAAGAAAUUAUUCAAGCGUUGUUGUCUCUACAAGAUGCUGAUCCUGAAUACUACACAAAUGAAACUAUCAAAGGAAUAAUGCAAGUAAGUCUCUUUUUGAGUCUUUUCUUUUCAAAGGAUAUAUCCCUCUACCAGCGCCUUUUUAUUAUAUAUAUAUGUGUGUAUAUAUAUAUAUAUAUAUAUAUAUAUAUAUGUAUAUGUAGUUCUAGGUAGGGCUGCAAACGAGUCGAGUCGAGUCGAGUUUUGAGCUAAUCGAAUCGAGUCUCGACUAAAUUUUACCAAGCUUGAGCUCGAGCUCGAACUCGACGAGCCAGCAAUUUUCGAGCUCGAGUUCGAAAAAAAUAAAAAAAUAAUAAUUAUUUUAUUUUUAAAAAAAUAAAUAAAAUAAUAUUUUUUUCUUAAUAAAUAAUAAAAUAUUAAGGAUAUAUACGUAAUUUUACUAUGAAAAUAAAAAAUAAAAAAAUAUAUAUAAUAUACAUAAUUUUAUUAUUAAAUAAAAAAUAAAAAAUAUAUAUAUACUCAAGUUCGCGAGCCGGCUCGCGAGCUAACGAGCUUAAUAUUCUGAGCUCGAGUUUCUGGAGCCGGCUCGAGCUCGACUCGAGCACUCGCGCGCGGCUCGAUUCGUUUGCAGUCCUAGUUCUAGGUUGCCCCAUACUAUUUAGGGCACAGGUUCAAUGUGCACUAGGCGAAAAUUGAGCAUUUGAGAUGAAAUUCAACAACUUCGGACUUUGCUGUCGCCUCCUAGGUCCUUGGAAUGGAGGGCUAAAUGGAAAUUUAGUGGAAUCACUGAAUAGCCUUCUAUUUUAUAAUGGCCUAUACAGUGUCCCCGCUGGUGUUGCCUUAUCAGGGCGGCUGAGAUCAAAUUUUUCUUGGUUAAAUACAAAAGACUCCCUUAUAGUUUAAUUGAAUGUUAAACUUAAUUCUCUAUAGUCCAAAAGCUUACAAUUUAGUUUCUCGUAGUUUGUGAGCUUUUGAAAUACCUACAAGAUUCAUGAUUAAAUACUUUCCAGUCAAGAACACUUGACAAACCACUGCAAAAUUUAAAACUACAACACUUUCAAUUCAAAUUGAGGGACAGUUAUGAAACGAGUAAUUCUCUGUUCAGUCAAAUAAUCAUUUUUAAACUAUGAAAAUUUAAAAAUUACUAAUAAAAUGGAUUGGAGCUAUGAUGUAUAAUCUUGGCAACCAACUAUUGUAAAGGCCAGGACUUCAACUGCUGAGGUUCCUAAUAAAUAUAUAUACCUUGGUGUUAGCUCUAAAAACCUGGCCCCUUGAAGGUUUCCAGGACUGAGUUUUGAUGCACAAGGGGCUGCCUAAGUUGGCAUGUUAAAAACAUUUCUUUUUGUGUGAUAACAUGUAAAACUACUAGGUUUUUUUUUUUUUUUUUGUAAGUCUAACAAUCUAGAUUUUGAUAAACAAUAUGGAUAGUUGAUUGGUAUUAUAAUGUAAUUUUCCAUAAUAGAGGGAAAUGAAGGUCAUUUUGUAAUUAAUCUUGUAAUGUAGAAACAUCCCGUGAUACGUCUUAUAUGAUCAGAAAAGUCUCAAUGUACAAAGUUGAUCUUCACUGAUGAAUAAUAAAAGCAAUUCUGUUUCUAAAAUUAGAUAAUUUUUCCUUGGAAGUGGAACUAACAAUUACUAUUAUUUCUGAGCAUUUAUUUCGAGUUUGCUUUGAUUUUGACUAAACUUCAGUUUGUUUGUCUAGAUUAUGUUUACAGCAGGAACACACACUUCAGCUUUUACCAUGGAGCGCGCAAUGUCAUGUCUGUUAAACCAUCCUGACAUAUUACAGAAAGCAAAGAAUGAAAUCGACGACCAAGUCACAUACUCUGGGCGUUUGCUGGAGGAUUCAGAUCUCUCCAAAUUGCCAUAUUUACGUUGUAUAAUUAACGAAACACUUAGAAUUUUUCCUCCUGCACCAACUCUUGUACCACAUUAUUCAUCUGAAGAUUGCAUCAUUGGAGGCUACAAAGUUGCUAAGGAUACAACUCUGUUUGUUAAUGCGUGGGCCAUUCACAGAGACCCCAACUUAUGGGAAGAGCCAAGCGAGUUCAAGCCAGAAAGGUUCGAGGGUUUGGAUGAAGGAUUUAAAUUUCUUCCAUUUGGAAAAGGGAGGAGGGCUUGUCCAGGGGCUGCAAUGGCUAUGAGAUUGGUUGGAUUGGCGGUGGGCACGUUGGUUCAAUGCUUUGAGUGGGAAAGUGCAGAAUCUCAAAUGGUGGAGUUUGAUGAAAAAUCUGGCGUCACUUUGGGCAAGACCAAGCCUUUGGAGGCAUUGUACAAGCCACGCCUUUCCAUGAUCAGCUUAGUUUCUCAGCUUUGAGUUUAUAUAAUAAUUUGUUUUUAAGGUAAAACAGAGACAAAUUUAAUACUUUAUCUUUUUUUUUCAGAAACGAUAAAAAUUUUAUUUCUAAUAAUAAGGAAAUAACGAUACAUUGUAUGAGCAAGGGCUCAAACUUAGACUUUACAAAAGUGGACCAGGCCACUGAGGAGCUUUGAAUUCCUCAUCAAAGUAUAUGCAUAGCUAAUCUACUCAGUUUUGCACUGAGUCUAUUCAUUUCAACAGGCAAGCUAUCAAAUGAGCAUUUCCUAAACAUUGAGCUAAGAUCUUUUAUAUCCUCCAAGUGAGUUGCCAGCCUUAAGUUGCUAGAAGCUUGAUACCUUAUCAUAUUUAGGACCUGAGUGCAUGGCGUUUGGAUCUUGAUAUACUGCCACCCUUUCUCCUUUAGCUUACAAAGUGCCAAUUUAAUGGCCAAAAAAAUGGUCCAGCACUACUGACCCAGUGCUUCUCUCCUUUAGUAUCCAAGCUGCACAUUUCUGGCUCAUGUUGUUUUCUGCUGUAACUCCAAUUCCCAUAUUUUGACCUUCUACAUGUUGUCCCACCUCAACACUAAUGUUCAGCAGGUUAUCAUCCUCCCCCACCCUUUCCUCCUCAUCUUGUGCUAUUUCUGUUUCUGAGAUGCUCAUCUGAUGUUCAGUCUGUUGUGAUUGGUGAUACUCCUCCCAGUCCUUGAUUGCUUUCCUGAUAACUUCCAUUGGAUGUCUAUUCUUCUCUUCGAAUUCAGCUUCAUUCCUGGCUUUCCAGAUCUGCCAAAGUAUUUCCACUGUUAAGGCUAUGUGUUCACUUCCAUCCUUUCUCGUCUACACUUCCAUUAACAUACUCUAUCAUCUCCUGAAAUCAGCAGUGUGUUCCUUAAGUCCAUCCCAUUGGAGAGGUGCAUCCGCUAUAUCAUUUGUGCUUGUUUGCAGUGAAAAAAAUAUGUGUUCCACUAUUUCAAUAUUUUCUCCACAUAGCUUGCAAAUUAUGUCACCUUUGCCUGUUCGCUUAUGUAUUGCUUCCCUACUUGGCAAGGUUUGGUUCAGGCUUUUCCAAACAAACAGUUUUGUUUGUGCUUUAUCUUCAUCUUCCAUAGCUGUUUCCAGACUUUUUCACUUCCUCCUUCCCAGCUUGUCUCUCCCUUGACUCUUUUGUUUACUUCCUGCUACUUAUUCUCUCUUGUUAUUGCUUCAUAUGCUGACCUAACUGUGUAUUGUCCAUUCUUGCUGUGGCUCCAAAAGGUCUACCAGUUAGGCUUACAGGGAUAUUGAGUAUCUAUCCCGCUUCUCUUGCAUUAAAGGUCCUAAAAAUUAAUGGUGAGUUCCAUCUAAAGUUGGAGAUCAGUUCACUCACUUUGCUAAUCUUGCACCCUGGGGGUUUAGGGGACUCUAAUUUACCUUCUUUGCCAUCCUGAAUCCAAGCAUCCUCCCAAAUUCUAGUGCCAUUGCCAUUCCCAAUUUUUUUCCUUGCUCCUCUCCUUACUUCCUCUCUUGCUCCCAUCAUCAUGCUUUUCCAUAUCCAGGAGGAGUUGCUUGUACUUCACAGCUCAAAGGUGACUCAUUUUAAUAAUACUUGGCUUUCAUCACCUUGCUCAUCAGCAGGUUUGGGCAGGUGAGGAGCCUCCAGAUUUGUUUGCCCAGCAAGGCUUUAUUAAAGCCUUGUAAGUCUUUAAAUCCUAAGCCACCAUUGUGCUUUCCAGAUGCCAUCUUUUUCCAUGAGCACCAGUGCACUUUCCUUUUUCCAUUAUCCUCUCCCCACAAGAACCUUGCCAUUAAAGCAUGUAUGUCUUUGCAAAGUUUCACUGGAAGCUUGAAGCAUGACAUUGCGUAGGUUGGCAUUGACAUGGUUAUAGCUUUCAGUAACACCUCUUUUCCUACUUGGGAGAGCUUCUUGUUGCACCAAUUAGAUUGUUUUCUGACAUUUGUCUCUGAUAAAUCCAAAAAUCUGGUCCUUGGUUCUGGUGAUGACCAUGGGCAGCCCCAGAUACCUCCCUUGAUGUACCACCUUUAUAUUUCCUAGUCUACUACAGAUUUCCUCUUGUUCCUCCUGUUCCAUAUUCUUGCUAAACAAGACUGAUGACUUUUCCAUGUUAUCAUUUGUCUUGAGCCUUGUUCAUACGUUUCCAGUAUCCUCAUCACCUCUUCAGCUUGAGCCUUCUCAGCUUUGCAAAAAAUCAGGGAGUCAUCUGCAAAGAAAAAGUGAUUGAUUGAUGGUCCAUUUCGACUUAUCUUCAUUCCUGUCAGCUUAUGGUUCUCUGCUUGACCCAAUAAAUUGGAGAAACCUUCUGAUACUAAUAGGAAAAGGUAAGGCGACAGGGGGUCACCUUGCCUAAUUCCCCUUGAAGGUACUACGUAUCCUUUUGAUUUCCCAUUUAUGUUGAAGGAGAAGGUAGCUAUUGUGAUGCCUUCCAUAAUCCAGUUGAUCCAUAUCUCACUGAAUCCCAUUUUGGUCAUCAUUGCCUUCAAGUAUCCCUACUCCACCCUGUCAUGGGCUUUUGACAUGUCUAACUUUAAAGCCAUGAAACCUUGAGAUCCCUACCUUUUGUUUUUAAGGUAGUGCAAGUACUCAUGAGAAACUAUAACAUUGUCCAAAAUUUGUCUUCCAUGCACAAAGGCUGCCUGGUUUUUACUGAUGCAGUUAUCCAACACUUAUUUUAGUCUGUUUGCAAGAAUUUUGGAAAUGAUUUUAUACAGAACAUUGCAAAGGCUUAUAGGUUUGAACUGCUUGAUUUCAAUGGGGUUUUCUACCUUAGGGAUCAGGGAUAUGAUACUAUGAUUGACUGCUUUUAGCAUAUGGCCAGAGUGAAAAAAACUGUUGAUAGCCUAAAUGAUGUCUGUCUUAAGGAUGUGCCAAAAUUUCUGAAAAAAGAUUGGUAUCAUGCCAUCUGGGCCAGGAGAUUUUGUUGGAUUCAUGGAGAAUAAGGCUUCUUUAAUUUCUACCUCCCUAACAAGUGUAGUAAGUCCUAUGUUCAUUUAGUUAGUGAUGGUCUGUGAUAUUCCCUGUAGCACAAAUUUAAUACUUUAUCGAGUAUAAUUACUAGCAUAGAUGGCAAAUGGGCUGGACGGACAAACUUUGGACAGGAUUCAAAUGGGAUCGAAACAUAUGGUCUAUAUCAAAGCAGUCUCAUAUUAGUCACGGCAUUAAUAUGGGCUAGUCCCAUUUUGAUAAUGGACCACACACCUAACAAAUUGCCUGUUGCCUUUUUUUUUGGAAUCUUCUCUUCUAAAAAAUCGGUGUGCUGCAAUUUUUCUAUGUACUUUGUUUGUAAUUUUAUUUAUUUUUAAUUUGUGAAAGCUCCAUACUUCUUUUUAUUCAUCAAGCAAUGAUUUCUUUAAAGUAAACAUUUAUAUUGAAUUUCAUUCAUUCUUUUCCUUGUCUCAUUGAACCCAAAAAGUUAACAUAGAUGUUGAUUUGAUAAAUUAAUGUUAAAAAAAUGCCGAAUAAUAAAACAGCAAACAACUAAAUUAUAAUAAUAAGACAAAUCUAUACUACUAUUACUUUCUAUUGUGUAAAGUCAAAACUUUAGUUUUAACAUUGGGAAAAAGUAUUAUAUCCUUUAUUUUUGAGUAAAAUGAAAGAUAGAAAAGAUCAAUUGGUACAUAAAAGUGGAAGUUGUUAAAUCGGAAGUGGUGCGCCACACCUCCCAACACUGUACCAGUACUACUAUAGUAUUUCAAGUUUCACAUCAAAAAAAACUUGAGACAUGAAGAUGGUAUUCGUACGUUUUCCUGAAAAAAAAAAAAAAAGAAAGAAGAAGAUGAAGAAGAUAGUACCAGAGUAUAUUUAAAAAAGUAAAUCUUAUAUACACUGUCAGAUAGUGUAUACACUAUCACCGUUAAAUUUAUGAUAUUUGUGCAAAAGUUGAAUUUCAAAUUCAAAUUUUACACAGUUAUCACUCUUCCAACACUGAAAGUGUAUACACUGUCAGUGUAGGAAAGAUUAAUUCUAUUAAAAAAUGAAUUCUUUUUUUUUCUAUUAAAGUAGAUCAACGCUAUAAAUAUAGAUGACCAUGCUAAAAUGAUUAAUAAACAACUAAAAAAAUGAAAAUCUUGUAAAUUGUCACUUUGGAAUCUCACAUGAUAUCCAAGCAUUCCCAUUUAUAGUUGGGUAUUGUUGGGAUUAACCUCAUUUAAAACCCAACCUCCAUCACUUAAGCCCAUUCCGUCCAAAAUUCUUUUGGACACGGAUAGCUCCAUUGGAAUUUGAGAUCAAUGCACUUGAUAAAAAAAAAAUAAAAGAAAAAAAGAGCUAAAGAAUAAAUUAGAAAAUCACAAAUGGCACAAAAGAAAUUUUAAGCAAUGUCAAUGAUGAAUUUUGCAAACUGACAGGUAGAAAUAUUUUAACUUUUUUUUUUUUUAUCGUUUUGUUUCUCAUCGUAUGGUCAGUAAAAUUAUUAGCAAUACUUACGCAUAUUGUAGGAAUUAAGUAAUUAAUUAACUGCUCAGCCAAGAUUAGUUUAGAGUCAAAGUCUUAAGUCUUAAACUUCGAUUAGUAAGUGCGUUUAAAGUAUUGGGGUCAAAAUUUAAAAUGUAAAGUAUAGCAUACGUGGGAAGUACAUGCAUCCUAAGACAUCUUUAUUCAAUAAUGAACAACCUAAAAUCAUAAAAAAAACACCAAAAGGUAAAAAUCAGCACAAAAAAAAAAAAAAAGUGUCUGGCAUAGAGUGUAUCUUGAUUAUGAUAGAAUUAUUCCUUUAAUGGAACAAGAAUAUUGAAACAACUAUAAUCUUCUUUAUCUUAAAGGCUCAUAAUUGUAUCGUAUUCUACCCUGUUUCCCAGGGUUUGUCAUAAUUAGUUAAUUAUGUCUUCGGCUUUAGAAUUAGAGAUUAAUGGUCUCGUAUUAGGUUCGAUAAGAAAAAUAUUGAAUCGAAAGAAAGAAAAUUGUUAAGAGUUCAGUAUUUUGAAGAUAAAAUAAAGAAAAGAGGUAAAUUACUCAUAACUAGGGGCAGAGGUAAAUGUCCAUGAGGGUGGGCAAUUGCUACCCCUCGAAUUUUUUAAAAUUGCUUUGUUACCCAGCAAACAUUUUUAGUCAUGCUUUAAAUUAGUUAUGAUUGUGUUGGUUGCACCCCCUAAAAUCACAAAAAUUGUACCUUGCACCCGUUCAAACAAAAAUUGAAGGGCAAAUCACCAAGUAAAAUCAAUUGAAACCCAAUGUAUUAUAAGAAAGAAGUUAAGAGAAAACAAGUUAAUAUAGGCAUAUAUAAAAUCAAGCUACCAUAUUGGAUUGAGAGCAACAAUUUAGGAAUGCAUUGACAAUUGACAAAAACAGUUGAUGUCUGUAAUGAAAGAAACAAGUUAAUUACGUGGAAAGAAAUAAACAAAAUGAGAGAAAAGACUAGAAAAAGGAAACAUAAAGGUUUUGAUACUACAUAUGGAACAAAAUGUACAUAACAUAUUUCUUUUUUUUUUUAAUUUGAUUUACUCCUAACUCUUACAAUCAUUCACUUUUGUAAAUUAGCAACAAGGUUUUACGCCGACGAUUUUUAAUUUUUCUAACCGAUUUAGAUAUUAAAUAGUUUACAAUUCAAUCGGUGACAAAUUACAAAUUCAUUUGUGGAAUAGUAUUAUUGUACUAAUUCACUAUGUGAAUGAAGAUGCCAAAUUCUAUCACUUUACGGACAAAUUAUCCAUAUUCUCCACCAUGGAGAUCCUCGACAGCUGUUUGGUCCUGAAUUUAGCCAUAUUCUCAAUUACUCCGAACUCCGAUGUACUUACUUCAAAUGAAUUUUUAUAUUGCACGUUUCAUUUUACUUUUCUUUAGCUUUAUGUUCCAUCUAUUUUCUUUCAUAAUGGUACCACGCCAGCAACCUUGGUAUUAAGAAAGUGGAAUAUACAUGGGCAAGAAAAUCAAUGUUUUUAAAUUCGUAUUGGUGAGUGAAUUGGAUGAACUUUUGAUCCUGAUUUAAUAGUUUGGUCAAAUGUUUAACUUUUUUUAUUUUCUUUAAUAUCAAAUAAUUUGGAUAAUACUGAAAUAUAUAUUAAAAAAAUUCAGUGGUAACUGGGUCAAUGGUCUGGAUUUUGAUCAAUUUAAUCAGUUUUUGACUGAGGUUAAUGGAAUUUUUUUUUCCAUUUUCUGAGCUUAGCAAGUAAUUGGACUAGUGCCAUUACUAGUUCGCAGUCCAACAGGCCAAACCACUUAAUCAGGUCUGAUUUUUAAAAUACUUAAAUGAGUUUAUCAAUCCAUGCGUGAAGAUCAUUGUAAAUGCAUGAUUGAUUACCACCAUCAUGGAAAUACAUCACAUGGAGUUGAGGAUUAUAAAAUGAAAUAAUAAUGUUUGAUCUUUUGAAUGAGCAAGAAAGACGUGCAAAUAAGUUUGAUGUCUGCAUCACAGUUUUUGAAACGAUUAAUGGGAGAUAAUGGUUGCUAUUAGGCUGCAAUUUAAAACACAUUCUUCCAUUUUUUUGAUUUUUAUUUUUUUCUUUUGAUAUAAUCUUUUACUCUUGGGAUAAUAUAAGCUAAGCCAUCUUAUUUGACAAAAACAUGCUAUGACAGGGCAACAAGACAGAGAAAUAAAAGAUGCCCUUCCGUAAGCAAAUUGAAUUGAGCUCGUUGUGACAACUGACAGGCUUUGUUGAAUAUGUAAUUUUUUCAGAAAAUAUCUUUGGUAAAAUGUACAAAAAUUUGAUUAGUGUGUAAAUCUUUGUUGACUAUUCCAUUUCUGAUUGUUUAAGUUAUGUACUCUUACACGUUUGGCAAUAUUUUAUUUUACAUUAGUAGACCAAGAUGUUUGCAGUAAUAUACUCGAUCUUCUUUUGUUUUUUAAGGGUAAAGUACGUCAAAGGUUAUCAAACUUUUCAAUAGCUUAGUUUUAUUCUUGUAACUUUUUUUUGGUACUAAAUGGUCCACUAAAUUGUUUUAAAAGUCUCAUUUUAUUCAUUGAACUAUUUUUUUAUAAGAAAUUUCUCACUAUUUUUUAAAAUUUAUUUUACCCACUCAACUACUUUUUGAACCAAAUAACCUACUAAACUUUUAAAGUGAUUUAUUUGGAUCGUUCUAUUAGAUUCUACCAUUAAGAUAGAUAAAAAGUUUGCCAUGUAGUCGUGUUUUAAAUGGAUAAAUUUGUCAUUUCACACCCAAAAUCUAUAUGUCCAAAUCAAUUAGAAAAAUUUAUAGCUUCAGAAAAACCACAAAUUCUAUUUUGGAUAGGGCCAAAAAUAGUUUCUGUGUGGAUCGAGAUUUUAUUUUGGGAUUUAGGUAUGUUUAAAAGUGAUUGAAUAGUUUAAUCCAUUGGGGUAGAUGGAUUUUAGGCCCGCAACGAUGAAAUUGUCCAUUUAAAUCAGGCUCACACGACAAACGUUCGUCUAUCUUAAUGGUAGAAUUUAAACAAAAUAGUCAAGAUGAAUCACUUUCAAGAGUUUAAUAGGCUAUUUGGUACGAAAAGUAGUUGACUGGGCAAAAUAAAACUUUUAAAAUGUUUAGUAUGUAGUUUUAUAGAAAGAAUAGUUCAAUGAGACUUUUAAAAAGUUUGAACACCUUUAAUCAACAAGUAGCAACCUUAUAUUAUUUUCUAAUGGCUGAUAGAAAGGACUAAAAGUCUAAAACAGUCCCUUGUCACAGUCGUAUCUACUCUUGUCUAUUUUCAGUUAACAAUCGUCCAAUAAUUGCAUUAAAAGAAAAUGCACACAUGAAAAAUGAAGUGAUAAACCUUAACUUGUUCAGUAUAAAGUCAACACCAAACUUCUCUCUUUCUUCUUGCUAGUUGCAUCUUGAAUUUUGAUCAUGGAGUCACUCUACAGCAUCCUAAGUCACUUAUUUUUUUUAUAUCUAUUAUUAUUUUUACUCUAACCUAUUUUAGGGGAAGAUUCAGCUAAACCUACAAAGGAAUCGACGGAAAUUGAAUCACCGUCUAACUAGACGAGUACACUAUGCAUCCAUAUAAAUCUAGAAGAAGCCACUUAAAGUGGCAAGACACAUAUACCCCAUGUCUAAUAGUAACGUGAAUUAUGAAUUUUACAUGCUUAUCAAAGCUCGGAAAGAGCGUGCUGCAGCCGGACCAUAUCACUUGCCUUAAAUAAUGAGUUUCCAAUAAAUUGCAUAUUUCGCCAGGUUAAGGGCACAAAUGGCUGCCAUGUGAACUGUUUCGGAAUGAUUUUGUCUAUUUUAACAAGAUCUAAGCCUUUCAUUUAGUCAUGUAAAUCAUUUUGAAUGCAAUGUAAAUUUAAAAUAAAAUUUUCUGAAUUCGAUAAAUAUGAUGUGAAAACGAUUUACGCCACAUGAUCUGAGCCUUAUAUAUAUUUUGGGUUAAUCCGGAUUCUCAAACCUCUCCAAAACUUCUACUGCCCUAGUUGUAUUUCCCCCCCACGGUUUGCUAUGACUGGUUUCUUACGACGGCUGAUAGAGAUUUAUACUAAUCUCCAUAUUAGUUUUGACAAAGAAGAACUUGAAUUAAAUUACAAAAUAAUAUUAAGAGAAUAGUUAAUAAAAUACGGAGUGAGAAUAAUACAGUGUUAUGCAUACCCGCAUUGCACAAGUUUUUUCUCAAAAGUAUGAUUAGAAGUUCAAUUGUAAAUGCGAGUUUAUUAUAUUUACACUUAAAAUUACACACUUAUUUUGUAGGAAAAUAAACCAAGCUAUUUUAGUUUCCUAAUUCUUUUUGGUAUCUUAUUUGUUUAGUUUCCAUAUUAGAUUAGGAAAUCUCAAGUCAGUUUCCAAAUACGUUUUGGCUUACAACCGUAUUAGCUUUAAGAAAUUUUCGAGCCUAUAAAUACUAACAGUCUAGUAGGUUAUUUGUGUGGAGAGUUGAGUUGAGUCUAGAGAUUAGACUUGAGAGAAAAUCUCAUAGUUGAGGUUUGUGAGUUAUUGUGAGCAAAGGCUACGACUUAAUAUUUGUUUUGAGUUAAAUAAAUUAUUGAGUGUUUGUUCUUCUCCUCUUCCCACAUAUUUUUUAUAUGUGUUAGAAUUGCUUCCGCUGUGUGCACGGGGAUUCUUCGUGCCAAGAAGUGAUAUCAAAGCCAGGUUUUGAUCCUAGGGCUUGUUUGCAAAAUUGGGGCUUGGAGCUUGUUCGUGAAAUUAAAGUAUGGAUCCGCAUUAUUUGCACAAUUGUCACGUUUUUAUCUUCUAUGGUAAAAACGAUUUUGAGGCUUGGAAGUCGAUGAUGAAGAAUUUUUUCCAAAAUAUUGGAGUUUGGAAUAUUGUCGAGACAGGAUAUACGGAACCGGUAGCACAUAUAGAAUUAUCAAGCAAUGCAGUUAAAGAAUUAGAGAGAAAUAGACAGUUGGAUUGCAAGGCAAUGUACUAUCUCAACACUCAAGUCCAGUUGCAUGUUGCAAAAAAAUUUAUACAUGCAAAGUCGACAAAAGAGGCUUGGACAAUGUUAAUGAAUUCAAAUCGAGGUGCUGCUAACAUAAAAAAAAUCAGAUUGCAGGAACUUAGGAGACAAUUUGAGUUGGCCCAAAUGAAAUCCACAGAGUCAUUAAAGAUUUUAUUGGUACAAUCAAAGAAAUUGUCAAUGAUAUGGAGUCCAUUGGUGAGAAUUUGGAAGAGGUUAGAGUUGUUGAAAAGUUAUGAGAUCUCUAACUGCCAAAUUUCACACCAAGAAGACAGUCCUUGAAGCCACAAAGGACCUUGACAAUUUGUCACUUGCUGAAUUGGAAGGUGAAUUGCUGACGUCUGAGAUGUUCCUGAAUCAGCAGCCAUCGGAUAUAGUAGAGGAGGUGUUACAAGGCAAGGUGGAUCACCUAAAAGGAAAAGAGGAGGUGAAUCGUAUAGACACAAAUUAAAAGGGCAAGAACUUCAGAGGUAGAGGACGUGGAGGCAGAGGUAACUUUCGUGAUCGUGGAAGAGGUAAUUAUUCUUACCAACCCAAAAAUAAUUCUAAUAGGGAUCAGAAAAACAAUCAGCAGCAAAGUCGAAGAAAUAAUUUUCAAAGACAUGAUAGAUUUAAUGUCCAAUGUUAUUAUUGUGAUAAAAUUGGUCACUAUCAGAAUGAAUGCUGGUCCAAUAAAGAGGUGCAUGCAUGCUAAAGUGGCUGAAAAUACUAGUGAUAGAGAGGAUACCUUGUUAUAUUCUAGUUCUACAUCUGAAGAGUCUAUGAAGAAUGAUUGGUUUAUUGAUUCUGGUUGUAGUAAUCAUAUGUGUGGUAAAAAGGAGAUGUUUUCUAACCUAGAUGAAUCUUUUCAUGCAUCUGUGAGAUUUGGAAACAAUGAAAAGUGUCUGUUCUUGGAACAGGAAAAAUCAGAAUUAUCUUGCAAGAUGGUCUUCGAAUUUAUUUCUGAUGUUUUUUACGUGCCAAGUUUAUAUCAUAACUUGUUGAGUUUGGGACAAUUGUCCGAGAAAGGUUAUGAUCUGCAUUUUAAAUAUGGUAAGGGCAUCAUAAGUGAUGGAAAAUUGGGAUUAAUUGCCAAGGUAAAGAUGAACCAUAGUCGUUUGUGGCCUCUUUCCCUUAACUGUGGUGAUUUACCUUGCAUUAAUUCCGUGACUUGUGAUGAUUCUUGGUUAUGGCAUAUGCGUUUUGGGCAUUUGAAUUUUGGGAGUUCGAAAUUUCUUGAAAGAAAGAAAUUAGUUAUUAGGUUGCCUUCUGUUGAGUUUCCUGACAAGAAGUGUGAGUCUUGUAUUUUGGGAAAGAAACAUAGGGAUUUUUUUCCAAAAGGCAAGGCUUGGAGGGCUCAUCGACCACUUGAACUGAUUCAUUCAGAUUUAUGCUCAGUUGAAGUUCCUUCCAAUGGUGGCAGUAAAUAUUUUAUUACCUUCAUUGAUGAUUUCAGCAAGAAGAUAUAGGUGUAUUUUUUAAGAAAUAAAUCUGAUGCAUGUGAUGUGUUUUAAAAAUUCAACUAUUAUGUAGAGAAGCAGAGUGGCUAUUUUAUUAAAACUCUGAGAAUUGAUAGAGACACUGAAUAUCUUGUUUGUGAUGACUACUUGGUGGAAAGUGGCAUAAAACAUCAAUUGACAGCCAGAUAUACACCUCAACAAAAUGGUGUGGCUGAAAGGAAGAACAGGACUGUGAUGGACAUGGUGAGAUCUAUGAUGCACUCCAAAGGUAUUCCUAUAUCCUUUUGGGCAGAAGCAGUAUCUUGUGCUAUUUAUGUUUUGAAUAGGUGCCCUGCUAGAUGCAACAUUGGGAAGACCCCACAAGAAGUUUGAAUUGGUAUGAAACCAGGUAUUUCUCACUUCAAGGUAUUUGGUUGUCUUGCAUAUGCGCAUGUUCCAGAUCAUUUGAGGAAGAAAUUAGAUAACAAAACAGAGAAGUAUAUUUUUAUUGGAUAUAGUCAUGAGACAAAGGGAUAUAAGUUAUUCAAUCCAAACAAAGGAAAGGUGAUUGUUAGUAAAGAUGUGACUUUUGAUGAACAUGGAGUUUGGAAUUGGUCCAAACAAGACCCUAAGACAUCGCCAAACUAUCCAUCCAUUUCUCCCAUUAUAGGACCGAGUGUUAAUAAGCAAGCAGUGGAGCAAGUUGUGCAACCUCAUGGUGAUCCCUCACCUUCCACUAUUCAGGUUGAGACAUCCAGUCGACCACAGAGAGAAUGCUGCAUGCCAGCCCGAUUUGAUGAUUAUGCUGUUGGUAAAGAUAAUGAUUUAACUGAUGAAGAGAUUGUGAAUUUUGCUCUUUUUGCAGAUUGUGAGCUUGUCUCAUUUGAAGAAGUUGCCAAAGAUGAUCGUUGGGUUCGUGCAAUGGAUGAAGAAAUUUAUGCCAUUGAGAAAAAUGAUACAUGGGAAUUGACCACUAUCCCACUUGAAAGAAGCCACUUGGAGUGAAAUGGGUAUAUAAGACCAAAUAUAAGCCAACAGGAGAGGUGGAUUACUUCAAAGCAAGAUUGGUUAUCAAAGGCUAUAAGCAAAAAGCAGAUAUUGAUUAUUUUGAAAUUUUUGCACCAGUUGCUAGACUUGAUACGGUUCGUAUGAUUGUCUCACUUGCUGCAAAUAAUUGUUGAAAAAUUCAUCAAAUGGAUGUAAAAUCUGCAUUUUUAAAUGGUUUUCUUGAAGAAGAGGUAUAUGUUGAGCAGCCUGUUGGUUAUGUUAGAAAAGGUCGAGAAAACAAAGUGUAUAGAUUGAAAAAGGCAUUGUAUGGUUUGAAACAAGCUCCUAGAGCUUGGUAUACUCGCAUCGAUAUUUUAUUUUAUUGAGCAUGGUUUUCUGAGAUGUCCAUGUAAGCAUACUCUAUACAUGAAAUUCAACCUUGGAGGAGAUGUCCUUAUUGUAUGCUUGUAUAUGGAUGACUUGAUAUUUACAGGCAACAAUACCAAACUAAUUUUUGAAUUCGGAGAGGCCAUGAUUAGUCAAUUUGAGAUGACAGAUUUGGGAUUGAUGUCUUAUUUUCUUGGUAUUGAGGUUCAUCAGUUGGAUGGUGGAAUUUUUAUCUCACAAAGGAAGUAUGCAAAUGAUAUUUUGAAGAAGUUUAAGAUAGAUAUGGCUAAACCAAUGAUGACCCCGGUUGAAGAAAAAUUGAAAUUAACCAAAAAUGGUACCGGUGAUUUUGUUUAUGCUACUUACUUUAGGAGAUUAGUAGGUAUUUAACUUCUACGAAACCUAACAUCACUUAUGGAGUUGGUUUGACUAGCAGAUUCAUGUAAUCUCCGCGCCAGUCCCACUUGUAAGCUGGUAAGAGGAUUUUAAGAUAUGUUCAAGGUACGUAGUCUGACGGUAUAUUUUAGUCAUUUUCACAUGGUAACAACCUUGUUGGAUACAUUGAUAGUGAUUGGGUUGAUGACAUAAUACAAAUGAGGAGCAUUUCUGGUUAUGCAUUUUACUUGGGAUCUGGUGUAUUUUCUUGAUCCUCAAAGAAACAACAGGUGGUUGCUUUGUCCAUAGCAGAAGUGAAGUACAUGGCAGCCACAAGUAGUGCUACUCAAGCACUUUGGUUGCGAAGAAUGCUUGAAUUCUUACAACACAAGCAAGACGGUCCUACCAAAAUAUUUUGUGAUAGUUUGUCUGCGAUUGAGUUGACAAAAAAUCCAGUUUUUCAUGGGCGCAGCAAACAUAUUGAUAUCAAGUAUCAUUUUAUUCAUGAGUUAGUUCAACAACAAGAAAUUGUCAUUGAUUAUUGCAGAAGUGAAGAUCAAGUAGCUGAUAUUUUGACAAAACCACUCAAAUUGGAGAGGUUCAUGAAAUUGAAGAAGAUGCUCAACAUGGUGAAAUUUGAAGAGCUUGGUUUAAGGGAGGCAAUGUAGGAAAACAAACCAAGCUAUUUUAGUUUCCUAAUUCUUUUAGGUAUCUUAUUUGUUUAGUUUCCAUAUUAGAUUAGGAAAUCUCAAGUCAGUUUCCAAAUAAGUUUUGGUUUACAACAUUUUGGAGUCUAUAAAUACUAGCAGUCUAGUAGGUUAUUUGUGUGGAGAGUUGAGUUGAAUCUAGAGAUUAGACUUGAGAGAAAAUCUCAUAGUUGAGAUUUGUGAGUUGUCGUGAGCGAAUGGCUACAACUUAAUAUUUAUUUUGAGUUAAAUAAAUUAUUGAGUGUUUAUACUCCUGCUCUUCCCAUAUAUUUUUUAUAUGUGUUAGAAUUGCUUCCGCUGUGUGCACGGGGAUCCUUCGUGCCAACAUAUUUACCAUAAAUUUUAGAUCUUAUGCUUUAUUAACAGUAGUUUUAAAUUGUAUUUUUGUACAUGAGACAUGAUAUUGAUUAUAAUUUCAUCGAACAGUUAUAGAUGCAAGUAUAUGAAAGAAGUACCAUAUGAGUCUGUUAUUUUUUUAUAGUUCAUAAAAUACAUAUUGUUUGAAAGGAAAUUUUAAAAUUUUGUCAUGAAUUGAUGUUUUUUCUGAAGUAUGAUAUCAUAAAAGUUUAUUAGGUGCUUUUGUUGAAAAGUAUGAAUAAUUUUUGUUGGAAAAUAGUAUUCAAGCCCUUGCGUUUUCAGUCACUUUUGUAUUGUUGGUAAUAAGGGUGGUCACAUAGGAUCACAUCCCAAAGGAUUUAUAAAUUGGCGGUAGGGAAGACAUUGGUUUUCUUUGUAAGCCACAUGGAGUUUUUAUCUUUGGAAAAUAAUAUUCCAUACUAACACAACUUUAUGAUAUAGAAAUAGAACAAAAGAUGGUCCACCUUGUAUUUCUUGGAUUGCGUAAUUUGAGUUGCUUUUUGUAACUGAAUUCUUUGUUAUGUAAAGUGUCACUUUCAUUUCUUUUGGGUUGUUGCUAGAGCCUUCACAUAUUGUUAAAUUAAAAAAAUUAUUCUUAAAACUUAAUUUAGUUGGUAGGGACAUUUUUUGAGGUGAUACAAGUUAUGAUUUGGAAUGAAAGAAAAUUUCUAAUCCACUUUGUCUACAAACAACGAAGUUAUAAGUAAUGCAACUAUAAAUCUCAUGAAGAAUUUGAUCCUGACUCAAGAUGAACGCUGGUGGCGAAGUUUUUAAUUCAACUUUCAAGCCUUUCUCGUGUAAGACUUUGAGUCUUUUCUUGAACCAAAAAAUUAAAUAAAUAAUAUAAAGCAAAACAUCUUUCCUUUUGCAUCUUCAUUGAUUUUCUUGAGGACUUUUGCUAUGAACGUAUACUAUUCGAUAUAAUAUGAGUUUUUCUACACUAUGGUCAGUAGGAUGGUACUUCUGUUGGGGGAGGAAGCCGAGCAAAGUUGAUUCAAUUUCCCAACGUCUACCUUCCGACCCUCAGUUUUGCUUUAAGAGUCCCUACCCAAAUGAUUAAAAUAGUCCCUCAACCUUUUUUGUUCAAAAGUUUAUGUCCCUCAACUUUAGUUCAUUAGCUGAUUAAGUCACCAGCUGUUUAACACUCAGUAACUUACUUUGUUUGGAUAGUGAAUUAGUUAAAAAAUUUACUUGCUUGCAUCAAUACAUUUUUUAAUUAUCUUUUUAUUUCAUAUAUAUGAUAUUAAAAAAGUGAUAGACUAUCAUUUUAUCUCACAUACAUCACAUCAAAAAAGUGUUACAGUAUUUUUUUAAAACAUUAUCCUAAAUAAUCUACUAUCCAAACACAUAGCUUUGCAGCAUCGAUGAAAUCUCUUGCAAGGUUGGCAUUUUUCCAAGAAGUUUUUAUAUGUGUUAUCUUAGAACAAUGGCAAUAAGCAAUUUGAUUUGCUAUGAUCUGGUGCCCCAACCAUGAAAUUCCAAACUCCAAAUAUUGGUCAUUGUACAAGUUGAUUUAUAGAUGAUGGUAACAUCUGAUUUUGGGAAAAGGUUUUCUUUCAAAUAUUCCUAUUUUCUUUGCCUUAGAUCUUCUUUUUUUUUUUGAAACAUGAACAAAUAUGUGCUUAGUGCGAUUAAGGAGGACGGACAAUCUGCCUUUUAAUUGGAGCCUUUGUGUCCUCCAAACAUGCCUUUUGAAGAUGGCUUCCUUCUAAGCUCCCGAAGUAGAUGGCUUGGCCUUUCCCUCUACCCCUGAAAAUAUCAUAUUUUUAUUAAGUUGAAAUCAAGGAAAAAUUAACCCACACGUAUGGAGGUUCCAAUGGCCAAUACCAAAAAAAAAAAAAAAGAACAAUCAUACACUACUAAACUAUUCAACACGCUCUAAAUAAAAUACAAUCUAACUAGUGGAACUACAACAAUAUACCACUAGCAAAUAAGUCAAGUGAAAAUUUUCCGAUCUAAGUCUCAACUCGAACUAAUCUUCCAAUUCUUUCUAAACCUAUCUACUCUUAAGGGUACAAUUUACAUUAUGAACAAUUCAUUCCACCACUAUAGAGGAUGCAUAUUUGAUGGUUGACUAGUUAGUCUAGAGAAAAUGUAACAUUUGGGUGGCUCAAUCACAUAAGGACAAAAUUGGCUACCACAAAAUACUUCGAGGACUUAGUUAGCUAACAUUCAAAGUUGAAGCACCAAAAUGGUUUAGUGAAAAAGUUGAGGCACUAUUUUGCUCAUUUGCUCUAUUUCCUCCAACAAAUUUAGGAAAAAAAAGAUUAUUUCGCCCAAGUCCACUGCCACUGGCACUUCUAGUAACUUAUUGUGAUGGUAAGCUCUUCUUGUAGGAAUAUUAAACCAAACAUCAAUAAUUAAUGUCCACGUGUCUUUGUUUUAUUGGUUAACUAGAUAGUUGCAUUGUGAGUUGGUAAAGUUGGCCACAUUGGAUUAGGCCCAUAGUAUUAGUAAUAGAAGUCAGCCAGCAAGAGAUGUAGUACUAUAUAGCCUCUCGUCCGUCCCCUUUAAGAAGUGGCUUCGUUGUUUUGUAUUCUGGCCAGAGUUUCAUUUGAUUAAUAGAAAACUUCCUUUGGCUCAAUAUCGUUCUUUAUUUGAUUGUUCCUGUGGGUUUCUGUGUGUUUAUUUGUUUGGGUCCUACAAAGUGAUACCAGAGCUAUAGUAGAUUGAAGUAUGAAAAACCCUAACCCAAUAUUAUUUGUUCUAUCCAAAAACUCAAAACAAAGGCGGAGUUCAAUUUCUGACAGAAACAAAUGAUAACCAAUCUCAAGGCAUGCAAAUUACAUCGAUAUAUUGAAUCUGCACUUGGCCAAGAUGCUAGUGAGGAUGAUAAGGCAACAGAUAGCUCGGCUUGGUCACAAAUUCAUUAGGUAAUUGACAUGUCAGCUUUUGGAAAAAUUUCUACGGCUGAUACGACAAAGGAGACUGAGGAUAUAUUGGAGAAAACAUACAAAGGGAUUGACAGGGUCCAACAAAAUAAUUUGAUGAUAUUGAAGAGGAAAUUUAAACUUGUGACAAUGAAGAAGUGGGAAUCUAUUGAGUCAUAUUUUUUUUUGUUUAUUAGAUAUUAAAAACGAGUUCAAACUCAAUCAGUAUAAUCUUCCUAACUGAACAUUUGUUGAGAAAGUUCUCAAUACCCUACCCAUGAAAUUUUAUUGUAAUUCAGGAAAUGAAAGAUUUGGAGGAUUUGAGUAUUGAAGAUUUGUAUGGAUCAUUAAUUCUACAUGAACAAAGAAUUAAUGAAAAAUUGGAGAAUACCUUGAAGAAGGAUACAGUAGAGAAGGUGUUGCAAGCGCAGUUGAAUUUGAGAGGCAAUAAUGAUGUCAGGGAGUAAGGCAAAUCCAGUCAGAGGAGUAGAGGUGGUUACAAUAACAAAAGUGAUCGUGACAACAAUAAUAUAGGCCGAUGAGGUACAUCAAAUCUUGGACGUGGUGGAGGUAAUAAUUUUAAUUUUAAAGGUGGUCCUGGUAGAGGCAUAGGUGGUAAUUUUGGCAGUGAAAAUAAUUUUAAUCAGAAUAAUUUUGGAUAGAGAGUUCAAUGCUAUAAUCGAAGAAAAUUGGGUCAUAGACAAUUUGAAUGUAGAUUUGGAGAAAAUGUAGAUAAAAAUUUUCAGGCUAAUGUUGUUGACAAUUAGGUGCAAGAUAAUAAUAAAAAAUUUGAAACUUUAUUAUCAGCUUGAAAUGCUGUUGAUGUGGUUGAUAAAAAUAAAUGGUACUUGGAUACGGGUUGUAGUAACCAUAUGUCUGGCAAGAAAGAAUUAUUUGUUGAGGUUGAUGAAUUUGUAUGUGGUGAAGUUAAAUUUGAAAAUAAUACAGUUUUACCAAUGAUUGGCAAAGGAAAAAUUCUUAUUAACCUGAAAAAUGGGUCUACUGAUUUUAUUUUUGAUAUUUUUAUAUUCUUGGGCUACAUCAAAAUUUGUUGAGUAUGAGCCAGUUGUUUGAGAAAAAAAUAUGAUAUUUGUAUCAGGAAUGGUAUUUGUACUAUUUUUGAUAAAAAUAUUGGAAUGAUUGCCAAUGUACCAAUGACUUCAAAUCACUUAUUUUCAUUGAAUUUGAGUAGUGCCAAUUUUUUCUAUUUGAAUACAGUGAUAGAUGACAGUAAUUGGUUGUGACAUAUGCAAUUUGGUCAUUUGAAUUUUGACAGUUUGAAAUUUUUGGCCAAUAAAAGAAUGGUUGGUGGAUUGCCUAAUAUUAGAAAUCUUGGUAAAGUCUGUGAUAUGUGCGUUUUGGGAAAAUAACAUAAGGAUACUUUUUAGACUGGCAAAUCAUGAAAGACCAGAAAAUCAUUAGAAAUUAUUCAUUUAGAUGUAUGCACUGUGGAUAUUCCUUCUAAUGUGGUUGCAGGUAUUUUACUACCUUUAUGGAUAAUUUUAGUAGAAAAACUUGGGUGUAUUUUUUGAAACAAAAAUCUGAUACCUGUGACACUUUUAAAAUUUGUGUUGAGAGGCAAAGUGGGUGUCAGAUUAAAAUUUUGAGAACAGAUAGGGGUCAAAAAUAUUUGGUGUGUGAUGAUUUUCUUGAGAAAAUGAGAUACAACAUCAGUUGACUGCUAGGUAUACCCUCCAACAAAAUGGAGUGGCAGAGAAAAGAAUAGGACAGUUAUGGAUAUGGUGAGAUGUAUAUUGAAGUUGAAAAAUAUGCCAAAAUCAUUUUGGACAGAUGUAGUUUCUUGUGCAAUUUAUCUGUUAAAUAGGUGUCCUACCAGAAGUGUUUCUGGAAAAACUUCUGAUGAAGUUUGGAGUGGUAGAAGACUAUUUGUUGGUCAUUUCAGAGUUUUUGGACCUAUUCACAUGUCCCUGAUCAAUUAACAAAGAAACUUGAUGAUAAGGGGGAUAAGUGUGUAUUUAUUGAUUAUAGUGAAGUUUUUUAGGUUUAUAAGUUGUAUAAUCCUAUGACAAAAAAGGUGAUAGUGAGCAGAGAUGUGACUUUUGACAAAAGAGGUGUUUGAGAUUGGUCUACUGGAGAUUUUGAGGUAGUAGAGGUGAUUCUAAAUUAUCAGCAAGAGAAGGAUAAUUAUGAUAUUCAGUCGUCACCAGUUGCUCAGAGUCCACAAACUGAGUUAACUAGAUGUCCCCAGCGUCAGCGAUAGAUGCCAACUCGUCUGGAGGAUUAUGUUAUUAUACUAGAUGAUGUUUCUUCUAACAAAGAUAUUGUUAAUUUUGCUUUGUUUGCAGAUUAUGACCCAGUUGUGUAUGAGGAAGUAGACAGUGAUGAUCGUUGGGUGAAAGCAAUAGAGGAAGAUAUUCAUGCAAUAGAGAAUAAUGACACCUGAGAACUUACUUCUCUUCCAGUCGAUAGAAAAGCCAUUGGAGUGAAGUGGGUGUACAAGAUAAAAUUUAAACCCAGUGGAGAAGUUGAUAGAUACAAAGCGAGACUAGUGGUGAAGGGAUACAAGUAGAAACUCAGGAUUGACUAUUUUUAAGUGUUUGCACCCGUUGCCAGGUUUGACACAGUCCGUAUAAUAAUUUCUCUAGCUGUUCAAAAUAACUGGAGAAUUUAUCAAAUAGAUGUCAAGUUAGCUUUCCUGAAUGGAUUCUUAAUGAAGAAGUGCAUGUGGAGUAGCCAGCAGGAUUUGUCAGAAGAAGUUAGGAAAAUAAAGUGUAUAGAUUAAAGAGAGCCUUAUAUGGAUUGAAAUAAAUCCCAAGAGCAUAGUAUACAAGAAUUAGUUCCUAUUUUCUAACUCGUAAUUUUCAGAGGUGUCAAUAUGAGCACACUUUAUAUAUUAAAUUUUCUACUCGCGGUGAUAUUCUUAUCAUGUACUUGUACGUAGAUGAUUUAUUUUUUAUAGGAAAUAAUUCAAAGAUUGUUGCAAAGUUCAGGGAGGUUAUGAUUAAGUAGUUUGAGAUGACAGAUAUGGGACUUAUGUCAUAUUGCUUGGGAAUUGAAGUUUAUCAGUCUGACAGUAAGGAUUUUAUAUGUCAAAAGAAAUAUGCAAGUGACAUUUUAAAUAAAUUCAAGAUGAAUAUAGCAAAACCAAUUAUGACACCAGUUGAAGAAAAAUUGAGGUUGACCAAGGAAGGCGCUGGUGGAUAUGUGACAAACAGGUUGAUUCUACGAAGAUUUAUUGUGAUAGUAAAGUCAGCAAUUGAAUUGUCCAAAAAUCCAAUACUCCAUGGGGUCUCAAGCAUAUUGACAUCAAAUAUCACUUCAUACAAGAGUUGGUUCGAGAAAAGGAGAUUGAAGUUGAUUAUUGCAGAAUUAAAGAACAAGUGGUUGACAUUUUUACCAAGACAUUAAAGACAGAGUCUUUUGUCAAGUUGAAGAAGAUGCUGGGUAUGUCCAAAUUAUAGAAGCUUUGUUUAAGGGAGGCAAUACAGAAAUAUUAAAUCAAACAUCGAUAAUUAAUGGCCACGUGUCUUUAUUUUAUUAGUUAACUAGAUAGUUGCAUUAUGAGUCAGUAAAGUUGGCCACAUUAGAUUAGCCCCAUAGUAUUAGUACUAGAAGUCUGCCAGCAAGAGACGUAGUACUAUAUAGCCUCUCGUCCAUCCCCUUAAGAAGUGGCUUCGUUGUUUUGUAUUCUAGCUAGAGUUUCGUUUGAUUAAUAGAAAACUUCCUUUGCCUCAAUAUCGUUCUUUAUUUGUUCCUAUGAAUUUUUGUGUGUUUAUUUGUUUGGGUCGUACACUUCAUCAUUUUUAUUUAUUUCCCUUUCCUUGAAAUUUGAUGUUUGACACACUUUCUUUGGUUAUAUCAUAUUGCCAAGGUUUGUAUUAACAAAGUUGAGAAUAUAAAGGGCAAAAAAGUUUAUCUAUCCACUGAUGGAAAUUUGUGCAUGGUGAUUACCUGGAAUUCAGGCUUUAUGAAAUAUAGUCAUGAAUCAUAUAGUUCUACUUUUACGGUCAAAAGUUUCCUCAACUGGUACGUUUACAAGGCAAAAUCUAUACCCCUGAGAACUAUGCUUAUUAUGUUUAUGAAGUGCUUGAUGAAAUUCCCCUGAGAACGUUGAAUUCAAUAUUUGUCUUGCAUAAUAUGUGUAACCAUAUAAUAAUCAGAGUACCUGGCUAGAAAAUGUCGGCCAUUAUCUGUCUAGAACCUGUUCUGCAGAUGUGGGGUUUUUUUUUUUUUUUUUUUUUUUUUUUUUUUUGGGUUCACCAUUUGAGACUUGCAACUUAUGUGGUGUAAACUAGCUAGGAGGAGGAAUUCAAAGUUGGUAUCCUGAAAAAUGGGAAGAAGUUAACUUGCAAUGGCUUUCGAAUGUCAAUUUGUCUUGCUGUUUGUUGCCAGAAAUCUUUCUGAAAUCUUCAUUGUAUAAUCUUUCUGGCAGGGAAUUGUCAGUUCUGGACUAUGUGUGGCUGCAGUUUUCUGGAGCUCAAUGAUGGAAGGCCCUUUGUUCGUGUCUUCUUUCACUCCUUUGGGACUAGUAUUCACUACCCUUGCUGGAUCCCUCUUUCUAAAAGAGGAGCUGUGUUUGGGAAGGUUAUGAUAUGGGGAAAAGGCAAGGAGGCAACUGCAUCUCAAGAUGGAGAAACUGAAAGCAGGAGGGAUGAAGUAACCGAUGGUAGCCAGGCUGCGCCUCUCAUUGUCCCCGGCCAUUGCACUGAUUAUCAAACAAAUGGGGUUCAUCAACAAUUUAAGCAUGAACAUGUUUUACAAGCUCGGUUAGCAUUGCCAAGAAUUGAUUGAAUAUUGCUGAGCCACUGUAUCCUUUUCUUUUUCCUUUUUUUGUCUUAGCAUUUUCUGUUAAAACAGUAGGCGAAUGGAUCUGAAUUCUGUUUCUGUAAUUCGAAAGAUGAAGAGCCACUCUCUUCUCAGCGCAUUUUUUUAGCUUGUCAAAUGUAAACUAUCCUGAAGAGUUAUAAUUGCUCUUGAUUGUGGAACCUGCAUAAUUGCUUUAGGUGUUUUGCUUUUGCGUUCUUCCUUCUUUCAGUUCAAGCACUGAGCUACAAAAUCUCAUUGAAGGCCACAAAGUUAUCCUUAUCGAUGCCUCUUAAACUUUUAUCAACUCUAACUGAUGUGUGGAAGAAAAGGAAAAACCUAAAAUUUGUCCUCCUCCUUGUCCAAAUACAUCUAAAAUUUACAAGUACAUAAAAAAGUAUCUUCAUAUUACAAGAAAUGGUAAUGUAAAAAAAAAGUAACAAAAAUAUUUAAAUGGAUUAUAAAUGGAUAAUUGAUUUUUAUUUAAUCCAUUUAGAUCCAUCCAUUUAGAUCCAUUUAAUAAAUGGAUCUAAAUGGAUUGGAUAAAUUUCAUCCACCAUCCAUUAAGUCAAAACCAAUUAUGAACCAUUUAUCCAUAUUGCCACCUCUAGUCAUGAUGUUUGAUCUUUUGCAUUUUGAGCAAGAGAGACGUAUACUUUUUUGUCUUUUCGAUUUCUUAAGGCAGAGUUUGUUUUCUUUGGCAGGGUUCAUCAAACCAUAGCUCUAUUGUCAGGCUUUAAAAUAAAACACACUUAACUUUUUUCGAAAGCAAAUAAAAUUAAAACAACUCACAACCUUUGUUGAUGCCACUGAAGUAUUGGGGCUGGUCAUAUGUACUAUAUAAAUAUUGGGUACUGCCAGCAAAUAUCUCUGGAAAGAUGCACAAAAUUUAGAUUAUUACAUGCAUAUGGUUUAAACUAUUUCAAUUUUGAUUAUUUUGGUUUUGUACCACUAUUACACUUUUGCGCUCUGACUUUGUUUAUGUUCAACCAAAUGCUAUUACUUAAAUUAAAAACCCACUGAUUUCUGAAUUUAAAAUGUUAAAUUACAUCACGCAUGAUCCCAAAUUUGGGAAGCACGUGCUUAAACUAUUUGGAAAGCACCAAAAUGUAGAAACAUGAUAGAAGGAACUAAAACCACCAAACUUAACCCAGUGCCCACCAUCAAAGUUGGUGGGGUGAGAGGUCAUAGGAUGGGAGGUCAUGGGAUCAAACUAGAGGUGUCAAAAUGGGUGACUUGGGUGGGUUUGGGUUGGGUAAAAUGGGUAAUGGGUAUAAGUGAGUCAACUCAUUUAUAGCCAUUUAAUUAGAUGGGUAUAAAUGGGUAAGUCAAAAAAUGAAUUAGGUAACCCAAUUACCCAUUUAUAACUCAUUUAUUUUAACUUUUUGCAAACUCAUUUAAAUUCACUUUUGCAAACUAAGUUAUCAAUUUAUACCACUCUUUGUACCCAUCAUUAGUUUUAAAUAUUUACUUAUAAUGUUCAAUAAACUUAAUUACCAAUUUUUUUCAUUUAUACUCUGUCACAAAAUUACCUAUUAUUUAAUAAUUGAAUAAUACGAAUAUAAAAAUUUGAAUUAAGUACUAUAAAAAUUAAUAUAAAAACUUAAUUCAAAAAUUUUGAACCCCUAACAUUUUUUUCAUAUAUAAAUUUAAAAUUUCAUUUUAUAAAGAUAAGAAAAUAGGCUAAAAUUUAUCAUAAAUUGGUAAUGCUAAAAAAUGAGCAAGUUAACAAACUAAGAAAAAAUAAAAUAAUAAGAUAAAACCAACAAAUAAUAAUAAUAAUAAUAAUAAUAAUAAUAAUAAUAAUGUUAACAUCAUGACAAAAUGAAAAUUUUGAAAAAAAAAAAGGUAGGGAAAAAGAAGAGACUUGGGGGGAAGAGAAUUUUAAAUGGGUUAAUUGGGUUUGAUGGGUUAUCCAAUAAUACCCAUUUAAUAAAUGGGUAUUAUUGGGUAACCCAUUUAUACCCAUAUGCAAAAAUUUAAGAUAUCCAUACCCAUCUAUUCAUGGACGGGUAUGGGUAAAUCUAGUUAAGUGGGUUGAUUUGCCACCUCUAGAUCAAACCCUACCCCCUACCAUUGGUCGCAAAAUGUGGCAAGCCUGCAUAGCCCAUUCGUUUGGGCUGAUAAGUAGUAUAAAUAACUGUAGGCCCACGUCUCAAUCCUAUCCACUCUCUGUAUUCAUUUCAAAAUUGCCCAGCAAUUACAUUAGAUCUACUUUUAUCCCCACAUGCAAGAUGAAGUGAAACAUGAUAGCUGCAAGAAGGACUCUCGUCAAUGGUCACUUGUCAAAGCAACUCCACUAUGCAAUUUAUGCUCCUUAAUUAUAUUAAUUAAGUAAAUGAUAUUUAUAGUAAGACAACUAUUAAUGAGGAAAAAAAUUACACCCUCCAUCUUAUUUUAUUAGGCUUGAUUUCUAUUUUAGUUUGUCUCAAAUUAUUUGUCAUAGCCAAAAAGAGGAAAAUGAACAGAGACCAAUUUCCUUUUUUUUAUCCUUCAUUAAAAAGAGUAUUAAUGUCAUGUUUUAGAAUCGAAUGCUUUAACAAACUAUUAUAAAAUUCUCAAAUUCAAAAGCAACAAACAAAAUUUGAAUUCAAGUCAAGGGGUAAUUAUGGAAACAGUUAUUUGUUGGUUGGCCAGAAAUCAAAUUCCUUAAUCUAUGUGCAAAGUUAUACAUGACAAGUCAAAUGAGACUGGAUUGAGUAUUUUGUGUUUUAAUGAUGUCAUCUUAGUGCCUAGAUUUGUUGGCUUAUUGUCCAUUUUUUUGAAUUAAUAUUGUAACUUUUAGUAAGUGAGAGAUUUUGAAUCAAGAUCUCUUACUCAUCCCUUCCAUUCUACUAUUCAACUCAACCUGGCCCAUCCCACCCCCUUUAUAUUGAAUCAAUAUUGAUGCUCAUGUAUGAAACAACUGAUACUGAUGAUCAGAGAGUGCCCAAAUGCAAAAUUACUACACUGCACAUAAAGUCAACGACAAACAUCUUUCUCCUUGCUUCUUGCAUCUUGAGCCUUGAUCAUGGAGUUACUCUACACCAUUCUAGGUCUCUUCAUAUUCUUGAUUGCUGUAAAGUAUCAGUAUCUCCGAAAAAAGAACAGAAAACUGCAGCCCCCAAGUCCUCCAGCUCUUCCAAUUUUGGGCCAUCUUCACCUUGUGAAAACUGCCCCCCACCUUGCCCUGCAAAAGCUCUCCAUCAAAUAUGGUCCCCUGAUUUUCCUUCAUUUUGGGAUUCGUCCUUUCCUUGUUGUUUCCUCGCCAUCUCUUGCAGAGGAAUGCUUAACCAAGACCAAUGAUAUUAUUUUCGCGAACCGGCCUGAGUCAGUUUCCAGUAAAUACCUUGGCUACAACUCAACUAUUCUCAUACUCUCCCCUUAUGGAGAUCACUGGCGAAAUCUCCGC
rnacentral:lncRNA from 1 species